GCACCAAAAGAAGAUGCCACAAAUAAUCAGAAGCAGAGAAUACAGGAAUACUUGAAGUCUUGCUGCUGCUGUUGAGAAUCAUGACGAUCAAAAGAAAGUAGCAUAUACAUUGCUCAGAGGGACUUUGACUUGCCGAGGACGUGACCAUAGGAAGAUAUGGAGGUCAAGGAUUAGGGUAGAAAGUUAGUAAGUAGUGAGUAUUGUCUAGCUCCUUAUCAGUUUUGUUAUUAUUACUCUCUUAGUGUCUAUUCUUUGAUUGUGGCACUACCGAAUGUUUCCUUUGCUUCUAAUAUCGUCCAUUUUGCUGUUGCUACUUCUUCUUUUUAAAUUGUUUAUAGCAUGCUUCUUCAUUUCUGUACUUGUUUAACUUGUUUUUUGAUUCUUCUUUAACUGAGUGAGAGUCUAUCAGAAACAACCUCGUUACCUACAUAAGGUAGGGGUAAGGCUGCAUACACACUGCCCUCCCUAGACCCCAACUGUGUGAUUACACUGGGUAUGUUGAUGUUGUUAAGUUUAUUGGGUACAAACAUACGUACCGAUCAGGGAUGUAUUUAAGGCAACCCCAAACAGAAUGACCACCCAUCGAAAACCCCAUAACAUAAAAUUUAGGGCCAAGUCCGAGUUGAUCAGCAAGCUCUUCCAUAUCCAAAGCGGUAGUUUGUAUGGUUCGUUUUGGAUGUGGAUCGCUUUCCCCAUAACCAGGUCUAUCAAAAGAGACAACAUACACCCCUAAUUCUUCAAGUGUUUCCUGAAAGAAACACCAAUAAACCGUUAUAAUCUCAGUUCGAUUAAUACUCAAAAAGGAUGCAGAAAUACAAGUUUGACAAAGAGUUGAUGAAAUACCAAGGGUAUAAUAGCUGACUCAUAUCUGGUAGAACCAAAGCUGUGCGCAUAUAUGACCUUAUAUUUGGCCGUAUCUUUGGGUACACCAUGUUCCUUAUAAGCCAAAUGUCUUCCAUCCCUAAGUUUGAUUCUAGGUUCGGUAAAUGUUGGACCACCAGGAGAGCCACAGAUUUUAGGAGGUGGAGGUAGGAGGGCAGGGAAUGCCCAUGCCAGACCUGCAACCAACAAGACAACUAAAACUUUCCCAAGCAUACCUGAACACAAGAUAGACAUAACACUUACAAUAACAUAGCAACAUAUAGAUGGCAUAAUGUGAAGCUAUACAGUUUGAAUGGCAGGGCCGAAACUUAGGAAAUACUGAUUACUUAGUUGAAGCGAAGACAAAAUUUUGGAAAGAUUUUGCUUACAAGGAGAUUUCAGCUGUCAAAUGACAACGGAAACUAAUAAUAUUGGCAAGGUGAUGAUAUGAAGAAAUGAAUGUGGAAUACACAAAAAGGCAAACAAAUUAAAACAAAAUGUAACAACACGGAAGAAGUUAUUCUUUGCUUUUGGAAUGUUCACGUGAAUCAAGUUGUUCAACACGCAAGAACACAACCACCCUUUUCUAGUGUUAAGACUGAAAGUUUGCAUCCCAGAACUUUGUAUGAAAACUCUUGCUGAUCUAAAUGCCAAUGUUCCCGAAUUUAUGAAUUCACCCAUUGAAAGAGAAAACAUUUUAGAAAGAUUUUGCUUACAAGUAAAUUUGAGCUUUUAUAUGACAAUAACGAAAAUAAAGAAUGGUGGCAAGGUGAUGAUAUCAAGAAAUGAAUGUGGAAUACACAAUUGGAAGGCAAACAAAUCAAACAAGAUGAAUAGAGGAAGGUAUUCUUUCAAAAUUUUCAACCAAAUCAAGUUAUGACAAUCACAGAAGUCUUUUAUCACAACCCUUGCCAGCCAAAUUCGCUGAACUUAUGAAAUCAUCCACUUGUUUCUUAAAACCAUGUUUCCCUCAAUGUGACAAGAUAAAAUUGAAGGAAGAGAUUGUCUAGUAUGACUUAGUCUAGGAUUAUUCUUUCUCUUCGGAGAGAGAUGUCAUUUAGCAAGAAAUUACGACGUCUUUCUUUCAUCCGCUCUGUCCAGAGCCUAUGACAAUUGGUCUGGGCACUUGACAAUUUGCACCUACUUCACUAUGAGCUAAAUAAAGUAGACACGAAGCAACAGUUUGCAUAAGCAAGCAUAAAAUUGCACAAUGAACUAUUUCCUUUCUUCUGUACACCUGUUCUUUUCUUGUUAAUUUUUCUCAAUUCUCCUCUUUAUUCCUUUGUUUGUCAAUUUUCUCUUGGCUAACAGUCGGGGUGGGAGCUACAAGCCUAUCUACAGUUCAACAGAAUUCAGAAACUUUGUCUCAGAUCCUGUAUUUUUAUUUAAAAAUUCACUUAAUAUACAUAGAUAUUUUAUCAAGAACCCUAAAAGCCAUCUUUUGCUAGAUCUACAACCUAUAAAUUCAAAAUUCUAACUAUGUCUCUGCUAAGAGUCAUUUCAUUCUCACAGCUAUGCAACAGCUUGGCUACAUUACCACUCUAAUCCCCCUUCUUCUCACAUUUCCAAUAUUAACAUUUUAAUGAAUCAAUGAAUAAUCGACUGAGCCUCAAUCCUAAACUAGUUGACCUCAGUCUUAGAAGCCAAACUUUUAGCCUCUAGGAUUUGGACUCCGAUUUUCUUUCAUAAGCUAAGAUUUGCAUAAAUCUUCUAUAAUCAUUCCCUCAACAACAACCACAACAUAUCCACUAUAAUUUCACAACUGGGGUCUGGAAAGGAUGGAGUGCACGCAACCUAACCCUUACUUUUGAAGGUAGAGAGAUUGUUACCGAUAGACCCUCGGCCAAGUAAGCAUGUCACAAAUCAAAUCUGUAAAGAAAAUACAGUAGUGAAGAAGCCAUUUUGAAAACAAUUAAAUCAGAGCACGUAGCAACACAAAUAAUAUGAUAGUUGAAGCAAAGGAAACAACAAAUACUCAUAAGUGAACUAGACAACACUCGACUACCUACUAACAUUCUACCUCAAUCCUCGACCUUCUUUCUAUCUUGGAUCAUUUCCUCGGUGUGUUGCAGGUGAGUUAUGUCUUGUAAUCACCUGUACCCAAGACUUUUUCGGCGUACUUCUACCUCUCCUAAUACCCACUGUAGCUGAUCCUUCACACCUCCUCAUUGGAACAUCUGUACAUCUUUUCUUCAUAUGUCCAAACCAUCUCAGACUCGCCUCCGACAUCUUGUCCACCAUGGAGGCCACUCCCACCUCCCGAAUAGCUUCAUUCCUGAUACCGUCUCUCCUAAUAUGCUCACACGUACAUCUCAAUAUCCUCAUUUCUGCUACUUUCAUUUUCUGAGAGUGCGAGUUCUUGACCGGCCAACACUACACCUCACACUACAUACUUGAUCUGACCAUCACUCCAUAACCAUUCCCUCAAUUUAGUAAAUGAAAGAACUUAUAAAUUUCACUAUUCCUAUGCUCAAAGUCAACCUACUGUGAUCCUCUCUCCACUUUAUGGAACCUUUAACAUAAACCUCUUCCUCUUCAUAAUUUUUUUAAAGAACCGUGGUGUCCCAGUAGCUUGCACUGUUGCACCUAAUUUCAACAAGUACCAGUUAUUUGACAAAAAGUCCACAAAGGUGUACUCUUCUAUUUCAAAAUUCAUUCAUUCUAUGGAUAUUUUUGAAACAUCGUAAAGUCUUUCCAUAUUUCUUAAACUCCGUAUCUAGUCUAACUACAUCACAUAAAUCGAGGCCGAGGUUGUAGUACUUUUACCUCCUCUAGAUUUGAUCCUGAAACCUCAGAAUCCCAACCCAAUUCACUAACCACUAGGCCACUCCCUUGGAUGCCUUCCUCUUCACAAUCUUCUCAAACAAUAUAGCAAUAUAAACAAAAUGGAACCUUGAUUUUACUUUAAGAUAAAACAAUAUACAGAUUACAACUCAAAUAAGAAAAUAACAAAAAGCAUAAACAAGUAGGGUGUCUUGAAAUUGUACAGUAACAUACCUUGAUUUGAAUUGGAAUGAAAAAAUAUUGAAUCUUGAAGAUGAUUCAAUUGCUUUGUUGGAACAAUAUUGAAAGAUUGGGUUCUAGUGAGUGAUAAUACAAUUGGUUUGAACUUGUUAGUCCUGUAUAAAGAUUUUGCAAAGGUCAAUAAUGUUGGGUGAAUUUUUCUUUGAAUAAUUGGUGACACAGAGAGACCAAAUUUUGUAGGAAAAGUAGUAAUUGCCAUUUCAUUAUAUGUAUGGUCCACCAGUUGCACUUACUCUAGUACAUCAUAACCUAAUGCUUACAGGUCAAAUUGCUAAAUUUAUAAAUUAAAUUAAAUUAAUAAGAGUCAAUACACUCUUAUUUUUUACUUUUUGAGAUAAUGGUCAAAAAUAUGUUGAUAGUAUCACAUUUUGCGAGUUUUAUACCUGAACUAUCAAGUGUUUGUGCUUUUUAUCUAAUAUUAUCAAAACACACCCCAAAUCGACUAGAUCAGGUGUUUGAAUACAAUCGUUAAAUGACGUGUGACAACUUAAUUUACCCAUAAAAGUUCGUCCACAAGAGAACUAACUCAUUAAUUUCGAUGCAUAUUGUGAUAAUAGUUGAUUUUAGUUCAAAAAACAGGAACACCUAACAGGUCAGGUAGAAAACUCGUAAAAAAAAAGUGACAUGUCAAGUUUAUUUUUGACUAUUAUCUCUUAAUUUUUAAAAAUUUAAAAUUUUUAAAUUAAUUUCUUUAAUUAUCCGUGUGGAAUGCCAUUUGGCACCAUUUUUAAAUAAAAAGAGUAUACACCACGCACAUCAAGUACUAAUCGGGACAUGUUUUGAUAAAUAAUUGAUGAUAAUUCAAGUGAAAAGCACCAACACCUGAUAUUUCAAGUAUGAUGCUCGCAAAAACAUAACACUUCAGUACGACUUUGCCAUCAUCCUUUUUUCUUUCAUUUAUACAGGAGUGUCUUUGAGAUGUUAAAUGAGAUCUUGAGAACUAGUUCACAACAAUAACAUAUUGAUCCCACAAAUGGGUCUGGGAAGAAUUUAAGUGGGGUUUAUAGAGAAUUAAGUAUAUAUAGAAUUUACCCCUACUUUUUGGAGUAUAGAGAUUGUUUCCGAUAAUAUUUUAGGGUUGGAUGCAUAAACAAAUAUAAAAAAUUUCAAAUUAAAUGCCAAGACAAAAGAAGUGAUGAUUUUGAUAUGUCAUGGAAGUUCUUUUUUGGCGCAAUACAUGAAUAUGUACUUUUAACUUAACCUCAAAUUACAUCUAUAAGCUCCAAUUAUGGGUGUGAUAAGCAAAUACUUAAACUUGUAUAAAAUUGAACAAGGAGACAUAUAUGUCCUACGUAGCAUCCUACAUUGUCAAUUCUUGUCCUACAUGGCGUCCUACGUGUAUUAUGCCACAUGGGACAUGUGUGUCUACUUGUUCAACUUGAUACAAGUUUAAGUGCCUACUUGUGCACACCCAAAAUUGGAGGUCAUAAAUGUGAUUUGAAGCCAAGUUAAAGCUUGCACACGCUAGUGUCGAAAAACCUUUUUCUCAUUUUUAAGGAACUUAUUUCCGACCAACCGAACAUUCUAAAUCAUUCACAUUAUGUAAUUGCAACUUGAAUUCCAACAAAUAUUCAAUAAUUUGUGCAAAACAAGGUAUUAAUUAGGGGGGUCAAAGAAUAGAGCUUUGUUCAAAGUUAAUAAUUAAACAGAAAAGUGAAUUUCACUUGGCCUUCCAAUAGGUGAAUUUAUCCUAAUGCAUAAUGUAGCACACUUCAGAUACCAGCCCUUCUCCAAUUUUAAAAUCAAAGUUGGAAAUUAAACACUUCAGAAAGAAUCACAUUCUCAUAUUUAAGUCCAACGCAAAUAUAUUCUAUUUUAAUUAAUAUUUGUGCAUUAGGAUUAUGCCAAUAUCAAUACUGAAUCUGUCUUAAUUACAAAAGGAACCUCUAAAUCUCUUUGUUCCCCUUUAAGAAUGCACUCUCUGUUCUUUCUUUCCUGUCAAAAAUGUCCUCCAGACAACCUCCUUCAUGGCUGGAUCAUGCAUAACUAGAUGUCCAACAUUGGGUAGUUCAUGGUAGUGUAUCCAUGGAAGCCUUUCUGCAACGUAGCGCUGUAAUAUAACAGGUACAACCCAGUCUUGGUCACCAUGCCACAAGUGGACCGAGGCUUCACCGUUUGGGAAAGGGUUCUUAAGAUCCAUAGGAUCAAAAUCCCAUUUCCCAAACCCCACCAUCAUGUCACGGUGGAGGGACUCGAAUACUCCUUGUUUUACAGCAUAUUCCUACAAAUGAAGGAAGCAGGAACAUUUGAGUCAGCAAUGCCUCAUCAAAUGAGCAUCAACAUAUGAACAUAAUUCUAAGUAAUCAGUUACAUUCCGACACUUUUAACUUCCUCGCCUGUAUUGUUCCUCUCCCUAAUAACAACGUGCUUCUCACUUCCCCAUGAAAAAGUUCUUGCCAAAAUGUUACUUAAUAACGCACAGUUCAUAGGCAACAAGAUACCCAGUGACCAGUGUAGUCCGACAAAGUGGAUUCUACAGAGGGUAGAGUGUACGCGACCUUUACCCCUACCUCAGGGGUAGAGAGUUAGUUUCCAAUAGACCCUCGGCUCAAGGAAAAAAGUCCAAAGUAGUCCCGAAAAGAAGUAACGGAAGUUCAAGAAACAACAGAGAUAUUAAAAAAACAGAAACUACAACACUACAGGAACAAUACUAUGACUACUAAUAUGAAGUGACAGCAAGAUAACACACUACAAGUGGUCAUAGGCAAACAAACAUAAAAAAAAUUAUAACUUGUAUGGUUCUUUCACCCCAAUAGUGGUCAUUCUAACCUUUCACCAAAAACAGAAGAAACAUUUAAUUCGAGCAGGAAUAAAACUCCACUCUAUUAUGAGCUGGAACAAAAUUCCAAGCCAUUACAACUUAUCCAGAAAAUUUAUUACUAGGAUCAAACACAUGCAAGGGAACAUGAAGUGACAGUAAUCUAACAGUAAAUUGUCCAAAUUCAGGUAGGAAACCAAUUACCUCAAGUUUUUGUCUUUCACUUGCAUGCUCAGCAAAUGCGGAAGCAACUUCCAAAUCUGGGGGAGAUAAUUUGGCUUUUCCAGCUAUAACACUAUUGUACGGGAACCACUUCUGAGUGUUCCACCAGUAGACUAGCCAAGGCGCAUAAUGUGCAACUCGAAGUGCCCAUUGGUCCUGUGGGAGCUGUACAUUGUAUCCUUCUUUGGAUAAAUUAGCAGGAAAACCAGGCCACCAGUAAUUGACUACGGGAGCAACUAAAGCUGCUCCAGCUAACCUAUUAGCACCAAAAGAAGAUACCACAAAUAAUCAAAAGCAGAGCAUACAGGAAUACUUUAAGUCUUGCUGCUGUUGUUGAGAGUAAUGAGGAUCAAAAGAAAGCAGCAUAUACAUCGGUCAGAGGGACACUGAUUUUAUCAAGUUAUGUAAUACUAAGGACAUGACCUUAUAUAGGAGAUAUGGAGGUCGAGGAUUAAGGCAGAAGGUUAGUAAGUAGUCGACUAUUGUCUAGUUCCCCUACCAGUAUUGUUAUUAUUACUCUCUUAGUGUCUUAUUCUUCGAUUGUAGUGUAACCUAUUGUUUCCUUUGCUUCUAUUAACGUACAUUUUUCUGUUGCUACUUUUUCUUUUUUAAUUGUUUUUAGCAUGCCUUCUUCGUUACUGUAUUUGUUCUACUUGUUUUCUGAUUCUGCUUUAACUGGGCUGAGGGUCUAUCCGAGACAACCUCUUUACUGUCAUAGGGUAGUGUUAAGGUUGCAUACGCACUGCCCUCCCUAGACCCCAACUGUGCGAUUACACUGGGUAUGUUGAUGUUGUUAAGUUUAUUGGGUACAAACAUACGUACCGAUCAGGGAUGUACUUAAGGCAACCCCAAACAGAAUGACCACCCAUCGAAAACCCCAUAACAUAAAAUUUAGGGCCAAGCCCGAGUUGAUCAGCAAGCUCUUCCAUAUCCAAAGCUGUAGUUUGUAUGGUUAGUUUUGGAUGUGGAUCGCUUUCCCCAUAACCAGGUCUAUCAAAAGAGACAACAUACACCCCUAAUUCUUCAAGUGUUUCCUGAAAGAAACACCAAUAAACCGUUAUAAUCUCAGUUCGAUUAAUACUCGAAAAGGAUGCAGAAAUACAAGUUUGACAAAGAGUUGAUGAAAUACCAAGGGUAUAAUAGCUGACUCAUAUCUGGUAGAACCAAAGCUGUGCGCAUAUAUGACCUUAUAUUUGGCCGUAUCUUUGGGUACACCAUGCUCCUUAUAAGCCAAAUGUCUUCCAUCCCUAAGUUUGAUUCUAGGUCCGGUAAAUGUUGGACCACCAGGAGAGCCACAGAUUUUAGGAGGUGGAGGUAGGAGGGCAGGGAAUGCCCAUGCCAGACCUGCAACCAACAAGACAACUAAAACUUUCCCAAGCAUACCUGAACACAAGAUAGACAUAACACUUACAAUAAUAUCGCAACAUAUAGAUGGCAUAAUGUGAAGCUAUACAGUUUGAAUGGCAGGGCCGAAACUUAGGAAAUACUGAUUACUUAGUUGAAGCGAAGACAAAAUUUUGGAAAGAUUUUGCUUACAAGGAGAUUUCAGCUGUUAGAUGACAAUUAACGGAAAUAAAUAAUGGUGGCACGGUGAUGAUAUGAAGAAAUGAAUUGGAGUACACAAAAAGGCAAACAAAUUAGAACAAAAUGUAACAACACAGAAGAAGUUAUUCUUUGAUUUUGAAUUUUCUAGUGAAUCAAGUUCUUCACACCCUUUUCUAGUAUUAAGAUUGAAAGCUUGCAAUCCCAGAACUUUUGUAUGAUAACUCUGGCUGAUCUAAAUGCCAGUGUCCCAAAUUUAUGAAUUCACUAGUUGAAAAAAAAAAAUCAAAAGAUUUUCCGUACAAGGAAAUUUCAGCUGUUAUAUGACAGUAAAGAAAAUAAAGAAUGGUGGCAAGGUGAUGAUAUCAAGAACUGAAUGUGAAAUACACAACUGGAAGGCAAAUGAAUUAAACAAGAUGCAUAGAAGAAGGUAUUCAUUUAGAAUAAGCAACCAAAUCAAGUUCUUCAACAAGAAAGAACACAAUCACCCUCUUCUAAUGUCAAGAUUGAAGGCUUGCAAUCACAGAACUUUUACGACAAUCCUUGCUAGCCAAAUUCGUUGAACGUAUGAAAUCAUCCACUGAUUCCUACAACCGCGUUACCCUCAAUGUGGCAAGAUAAAAUUGAAGGGAGAAAUUGUCUAGUAUGACUUAGUCUAGGAUUAUUCUUCCUCUUUGGAGAGAGGUGUCAUCAGCUUCAGCAAGAAAUUCAUGUCUUUCUUUCAUCCUCUUUGUCAAGAGCCUAUGACAAUUGGUCUUGGCAGUUGACAAUUUGCACCUACUUCACUAUGAGUUAAAUACAGUAGAAUGAAGCUACACUUUGGCAUAAGCAAGCACAAAAGCACAGCAAAUUAUAAGUAUUUUCUUUCUUCUGUCCACCUAUUCUUGUCUUGUUAAUUUUUCCCUCACUAAGGGGAUUAAUCAUCUAUUGUAUAUAAAGAAAAAUGUAACUUUGACCUUAUAUAUACACUGUAAUAUAAGGUCUGUAUAUAUACAUAGUGAAAUUCCUAGCUCCGUCAGUGCAGUUGCAUGAAUCUUCUAUAACCAUUCCCUCAAUUCAAUAAAUGAAAGAACUAAUCAAUUAGGCUAUUUCUAUGAUCAAAGUCAACCUACUGCACUCCUCUCUCCACUUGGUGGAACUUUUUACAUAAACCUCCUCCUCUUCAUAAAAAAAAAUUCCUUUAUAACUGUAGUGUUCAAGCCAGCUUGCCCAGACAUCUUCCCUUCCACCGGCACAAGUACUGGGUAACUCUUGUCCACCUUCCACCAAGUCUUGGACGAAUGGGCAAAAUAUCAUACUCCCUUUGUUCCAAUUUAUAUGACACACUUUCCGCUUUAGUCGGUCUGAAAAAGAAUAACAUAUUUCUUUAUAAAAUAAAUUUUUAACGACACUAUCAAUAUUUUACCUAUGUUGGGUCCCACUUAUUUGAACAUAGAAAGUCUUUCUAUAUUUCUUGAACUCCGUACUCAGUUAAACUACAUCACAUAAAUUGAACCGGAGUGGUACUAUUAUUUUUGCCUCCUUUGGGUUUGAUCACAAUUCUCAACCCCACUUCACUAAACACUACGCCGCACCUUUGGGUACAUGCUUCCUCUUCAUAAUCUUCUCAAACAAUAUAGCAAUAAAAAAAAUUAUCAAAUCUUGAUUUCACUUUAAGAUGAACAAAUUCACAUACUAUAAACUAAACAAGAAAAGAACAAAAGUAUUAACAAGUUGGGUAUCUUAAAAUUGUACAGUAAGUAUCAUACCUUGACUUGAAUUGGAAUGAAAAAAUAUUAAAUCUUGAAAAUGAUUCAAUGGCUUUGUUGGGAAAAUAUUAAAUGGUUGAGCUCUAGUGAGUGAUAAUACAAUUGAGUUGAACUUGUUAAUAUGUUUAAGGAUUUUGUUAAGGUCUAUAAAGUUGGUUGAACUCCUUUUUGUUAAAGCGGUCACAUAGACGCCAAAUUUCACCUACUCUAUAAUAUACUAGUCGAUAAAUAUCUAUUUUACUUUUUUAUUAAAUAUUAUUAAUUUUUUAAUACAUAAAUAAAUUUAUAAUAAUUAAUUAAAGAUGAUAUAAUAUAAUUACGGAGAAAGCAGCUUAUGAAGCAGACAAGAGAAGCAGGCAUGUGAAGCAGGCAUGUUGACGGAGACUUGCCUGCUUCUCCUACCCCAUUCCCUCUUUUAGAUAAGACUAGAUAUCGAUGACCCGUGCCAACUCGGACUCAAUAUAUGUUAUUUUUUAUCUCAAUUUAAAUUAUUAAAACAAUUUAUGUUUUUAAUUAUUGUGAUUUAUAAUAUUUUUUUUCUGUUUCAAUUUAAAUGAUGUUGGUAUACUUUUGUGAGUAAUUUUUUAUGUUGACAUAUCAUUUUAUGUCUCUUUUACCUUUUUUAUGAAAUAUUAUUAAUUUUUCAAUGCUUAGACAAUCAUAAUAAUUAAUUAGGGGUGAUAUAGUAAAAUCACGAUGAAAGCAAUGAAGCACACAUGUUUUACGUGACUUGUAAUAACUAAUUAGAAGCGGCAUAUCAAAAUUUCUAUAAAAAAAAUACUUGUAUAAUAAUUAAUUAACGGUGGUACAAUAAAAUUACGAUUGAAACAGUCAUAAAUGUUUAUUUUACUUUUUUUUAAUUAAAUAUUAUUAAUUUUUUAAUUUGUAAAUGACUUAUAAUAUUUAAUUAGGGAUAGCUGAAGCAGACAUGUCAUAAAUAUCUAUUUUAAUUUUUUAACUAAAUAUUAUUAAUUUUCUAAUACAUAAAUGACUUAUAAUAAUUAAUUAGGGGUGCUAUAGUAAAAUUACAAUUGAAACAGCUGAAGUAGGCUUGUCGACCUCAUUCUUGUUUUGCUAAUACAGUAAGUUACGAGUGAAACAGCUGAAACAGUCAUAAAUGUCUAUUUUACCUUUUUAACUAAUUAAAUAUUAUUAAUUUUGUAAUACGUAACUAACUUAUAAUAUUUAAUUAGGGAUACAAUAAUUAAUUACGGGUGAAAUAGUAAAAUUACGAUUGAAACAACUAAAACAUGCAUGUCAUAAAUGUAUAUUUAAUUUUUUUUAUUAAACAUUAUUAAUUUUUUAAUACAUAAAUGACUUGUAAUAAUUAAUUAAAGGUGAUAUAGUAAAAUUACAGUUGAAACAGAUGAAGCAGGCAUGUCGACCUUCUGCCUGCUUCAGCUGCUCAACUCCCUCAUAUAUAUAUACUAGUCAAUUAUACGUGCUUUGCACGUGUAUAUUGUGUUAUUUAACAAUAAAUGUAUAUAUGAAAAAAAGAUGUUGUGUAUAUAUACAUUAUAUUAUAAAGGAUGAAACCUUUAAAAAAAUAACAUAAAUUUUUAAAGUAAAAAGCAUACUUAAAGAGUAUCAUUAUAAUCCACUAUCACACUAACAAUUAAGGAGAAAAUUAAGUAUAGUGAAUAAAAUUUCGUUAUUAAUAGCCGAAGUCAAAAUUUAAAUAAUGUAUACUAAACGUAGUAUUCAUUUUUGUCUAGUUGUCUCACGUAAUGGUUUUUCGUUAGACCCUCACUAUUUUUUUAAUUUAAAACAAACUUUUUUGCUCAGUAUUUCUUUUUUGGGUUAAAUUGUUACCCUUCUUCUAAAUGGUUACUAUUCAUCUAAAAUAUUAGACAAAAGUAAGUAAAUAAAAAAAAUUUGAUUAAAUUUUAACCUUUACAAAAAAGUUCCUUAGAAAUCGAUCGAACAUUCAUCUAACAUUUGUAUUAAGCAGGAAAAAUAGAAACUAUACCAAAAUAAUAUGACAAUCGAGUAAUACGAUUACACCUAAUCUUUAAACAAUAAUUUCUCAAAGUCCUAUCGAAUAUUCAGUUACCACUUGUACUAAGUAAAAAAAAUAGCAGAUAACAAUAGGAUGAAAGUACGACAAACCAAAACCUAACCUUUUCACAAAAGUUCCUUAAAGACCAAUCGAACAUUCAUCAACAUUUAUAAAAAUAGUAGAUAGAAACUACAAUAAAACAAUAUGACAAUUGAGAUAUCAGAAAAAUACGAUUAUUAAACAUGAUCUUUACACAAAAAAUUCUCAAAGCCCAAUGAACAUUUAUUUACGAUCUAUAUUAAGCAAAAAAAAAUAGAAGUUAGCAAUAGAACAAAAAGUACAACUUAAUCGAGAUAUCAGAAUAUACAAUUAAAUCCAACCUCUACAGAAAAAUUUCUUAAAGCCUGACCGAUCAAUAAAAAAAAUAAUAAAUAGUAACAUAAUAGACAUUAUAACAAAAUAAUACGAUAAUCGAGAAAUUGAAACAAUAAGAUUGAACCUAAUUUUUAUACAAAAAAAAGAUUCAAAGCUCAAUCAAAUCUUCAUUGGUUUUAAAUUCAACAAACCUAAGGCUAAUUCUAAACCAAAAUAAAGAGAAAAGACAAUGUAAAUCUUAAUAACUUAUAUAAGAACAAAAAAAAAUUGAAAUAACCCUAAACCUGAUUAAAAAAAAGUCAAUAAUAUAUAUGUAGCAGUUUUGAUAUUCUUAAAAAAAAAAAAAAUAGCGAUAAUUCUAAUUUAUUUAUUUUCAUUUGGACAGAAAGUAAUUUAAUUUUUAUUAAUUCAAAAUUAUUAAUAUUACCUUUGCCUCAUUCCAAUAAAAGAAGUAAUUAAUUAAUUUCUCCUUAAUUUGGAACAAGUUGCCGAUGUGUUUUCAAUUAACUAGUUUAGGUGUACGCGCCUCGCGCGUGUACCUCACUUUAAUGAUUUCAAAUAUUACACUAAAUAGAAAAUUUAUUUAAAUAAUAAAGAUGAAUACAAUAAUUAAAUUCAACAUCUUUUGAAUAUGUAAAGAUGGAGAAUUUAUUUAAUUAAACCUAUCCUUUACCAAAAAAAAUUCUCAAAGCCGAUCGACAUUCAUCUAUCACCUGUAGACUGCAACAAAACAAUACGAUAAUAGAGACAUCAAAAGAUACAAUAAAUCUAACCUUUACAUAAAAAUUUCCUCAAAGCGUCUGACACUCAUCUACCACCUGUCAACUAUAACAAAAUAAUACGAUAAUAGAGAUAUCAAAAUAAUAUAACUAUACCUAAUCUUUACACAAAAAACUUCUCAAAUCAGAGAUAUCAAAGCAAUACAAUUAAACUUAACCUUUACCUAAAAAAAUUCUUCAAAGUCGACCGACAUUUAUCUACCACUUGCAAACUACAACAAAACAAUACAAUCAAAGAGAUAUCAAAAUAAUAUAACUAAAUUUAAACUUUACACACAAAAAAAUUUUCAAAUCCGAUCGAUAUUCAUCUACGACCUGUAAACUACCACAAAAUAAUAAACUAAUAAAGGUAUUAAGACAAUACAAUUAAACUUAAUCUUUGCCUACAAAAAAAUUUUCAAAGCUGACCGACAUUCAUCUACCACCUGUAAUUUAUUUUACAAUAAUAAAGACAUCAAAAUAAUAUAACUAAACCUAAUAUUUAUAUAAGAAAUCCCUUAAAGUCAACCGACAUUCAUCUAUGGCCUGUAAACUACAACAAAAUAUUAGUGAUCACAAAGUUUCGAUUUUGAUAAAAAUAAUUCUUGUUUAAGCGAAAAUUUUGACUCUAAAGAAUGACUUGAAUGAAAACAAAAAAGAUAUGUCUAUAUAUACAUAUAGUUGAAUUCUAUUAUGUUGAUAAAAACAGUGAAGAAGUUGAGGGUUAAAAAAUUAAGUAUCCACUAAGUAAAUUGAUGAGCAUCAAUCAUAUUCUCCCAAUAAGUAAAUUGAUUUCUUCUUUAGUAUAUUUUUUCAAUAAUAAAUUGAUUUCUUCUCUAAUUUAAUAUGCAUCUCAAUAUUUUAUAGAAGUAUUUUCGUAAUAGAGUACUAUUAUCAAUGUUAUCAUGAUACUGUCCAAAAGAAUGAUUUAGGUUCAAUCUCUAAUGGCACACUGUCAUUACCGGUAAUGACAAAAUAGAAUUUCCGCAAUCAUAAAUCUAACCUAUUCUAAAUAUAGAAUAAUGAAACUUUCCUACAAUAUACUACUGUAUCUCACGUUUUCUCAUAGUAUUAGGAAGAACAAAAUUGGUCAAUUAUUGGCCCAUUUUCCUCGUGAAGUUAUUUAGGAGUAUUUUUUUUAAUUGAUCGAUAUAAAGAAAAAUAUUACUGUAAUUGAUUCUCCUUCCAUAUAUUUUAGUAGCCCUAUAUAUUUUAGGAGUCUAGUUAAUAUAAUAAAAAAAUAAUUAAAUAAUAAAUUAUAUAAAAUAGUGAAAAGAUAAUUUUGUUUAAAAAAGAGUCUUUUAAUGAAAGACAAAAAGUUCAAAUAACUUUUUUAAGGGGCUUCACACUUUUAAUAUAUUAUAGAUUAGAGUUUUGUCAUUUAAUUUUCUUAUGAGAAUUGAGGAAUAUGUGAAUCGCUUUAAAAGAAAUUCGAUAUUAAAAAAGUUUUAUAACUAUGCUAUGUAGUUCUUAUAGGGAAAUAAUUUACAUAAGGUAAAUUUUGAUGAUUUUAAGUUCAUAAAUAUUAGUAUUUCCUACCUAUUUCGAUAAGGAAUUUUAAUAAUCAAAAUUUUAAUUGAUUUCAAAAUUCUAAAUAUUAGGAAAAUUAUAAAAAGAUGACUUUGUUUAUUGCGAAAUUUUUUAAUGAAGAGUAAAAAGUUCAAGUUACUUUUCUAAGGAUCUUCACAAAUUAUAUUUUAAUUUACGUGCUUUGCACGUGUAUAUAAUGUUAAUAAUAAUAAACACAUAAAAGAAUAAAUUGUUAUGCGGUUGUUAUAGUAUUAAGUAUAUAUCUUUUUGAUAAAAAGUAAAGUAAAUACAUAAUUAGCCCCCUGAUCUUGUCCGAGUUUUGCAAAAAGACACCUAAACUUUAACUUCGACCUAUUAUCCCACAAUUCUUUUUUAUUUCGUUGCAAACACACAAUUUUUUGCUGAAUCUCAGUCACAACAAGGAGAGUAAAAUGCAUGCGCCAAUCAGGUGUUGCCACGUGUCAAAUACGUUUAAUUUCAUAUGUUUUUAUUUUUUUAAUACAAUUUUUCUUUUUAUUUAAUUUAACACCCCACCCCACACCCUCUUUCUCCCGUCUAAUAUUUUUUGUUCAAAUUAAUUCAAAAAUUAGUUUUAUGAUUAAAUUGAGUUUUAAGGAUAUCUAAAUAAUUGAAUUGAGUUUUAAAGAUAGUUAAAUGAGUUUUAAUAAAGUUUUAAUGAAGGAGCUUUAAUGGAGCUUUAAAAAAAGCUUCAAUAAAGAGCUUUAAUGGUGACAUUGUGUUGAAGAGCUUUAAUGGUAUUGAAGAAGAUAUUGUGUUGAAGAAGAAAUAGUGGCUAGUUAAAUGAUAUGAUUUAAUUGCAAAAUAGAGCUUUAAUGAUAUGAUUUUAAAAAAAAGCUUCAAUGGAGGAGCUUUAAUGGUGGCAUUGUGUUGAAGAAGAAAGGGUGGGGUUAUGGUGAUGAUGAUGAUGUUGUUGUUGUGGACGUAAUUGAUAGUGUUGUUGUUUUAAUUGAUGUUGUUUUUGUAAUUGAUUUUGUUUAGUGUUGGUAAUGAAGAAGUUGGGGAAAAAGACAAUGGUGGAUGGGGGGUUGCGCGGGUAGGGUGGGGGUAUGAAAUAAUUUUUAAAAAUAAAUAAAUAUGAAUUUUUUAAAAACAAAGACUAUAAAUUAUAUAUUAAAUUAUUUUACACGUGGCAGCUUGUAAUUGGUCAAAAAAGUCAAAUUUGAGCCCUUUCAUGCGCCUGUGGAGCGUGUGUACACGCAGGGGGUCAAAAUGGUGUGUUUGCAAUGAAAUAAAGAAGAAUCGUGGGGUAAUAAGUCGAAGUUAAAGUUUAGGUUUCUUUUUGCAAAUCUCAGACAUGAUCACAGGGGUAAUUAUGUAUUUACUCUAAAAAGUAUAACACAAAAUGUAUAAUAUGAAUAAAAAAGAAUUAUUAUCUUUUCGUCAACUAAUAUUUGCCAAUGAUCCUCAUGUUGUUUAAUCUCCUUCCGCUUUCAAAUACUGUCUUCCUUGCUUAACGAAUGAUUCACAUUUCACAAUACUCUCCUCAUUCCUUUUUAGUUGUCAUAUAUAUUAAAAAAUAGUUAUUCUCAAAUACUAAUAAUUUUAAAAUCAAGAGAGAAUUAAUUAUUUAAUUUCAACUUUGCCCCUAGCAUUAAUUAAUCUAAAAUUAUUAAACACAUAAAUAAACAAAGAUUAAUAAAAGGUAUAUACAUCAAAUUAAAGACAUCGUUUCCACCCCAAACUAUACAAGAAAAGUCAAAGCCACACCUAAACUAUACUAGUGACCUAUUACACACGUAAACUAUAAAAAAGUGGAACUUUCUACACCCUGUAAAGCAUUAUACCACUUCCAUAUGGUGCGUUAUUUUACAUGCGCUGCCACGUCAGCAUUAUACGAAAAAAAUAAUAAAAAAUAUCAAAAUUCCCUUAUUAUUUUUAUAUUUGUCAUCUGUCAUUAUUUUUUCUUAUUCUUCAUCAUUCACUGCCAUUUUUGUUCACUGAUGUCCCCUUAUAUUUGUUUUUUCUUUCUUCUCUUUUUUGGCCUAGUACUAUACUAGUCUUCUCUCCCGUCUUUCUUCUCUAUUCGUUACCUUUUUUUGUAUGUGGUGGAGAGUAGAGUUUGUGUAUAGCUUCGAGAUCGAUCGGGUGUUGCAACUUGGAACUGAAAGUUUUCAAAGUCAAACCCUCUUUCAUCAAUCAACUUUUAUCAUUUUCUCCUCUAUUUUACCUUCGGAUCACCAAAUUAAAAAAAAUCAUCUGAAUUUUGUGAUUUUUGAAUGAAAUUGUAAUCAAAUUGUUGGGUAAUUAAGAAAAAUUCAUUUGAAUUUUGUUAGUUUUGCUUGAAAUUGUGAUCAAUUUGUUGAGUAAUUAGAGAAAACCUAUUUGAGUUUCGUGAUUGUUGAUUGGAUAUUUGUAAUUGAAUUUCUAAGUUUGUGGUGAUGUGUUUGUUGGAAAUAAUGAGGAAGUAGGGGUAGUGGUGGUGGAGGUACCAACACCCUUAUUGGGGUUGGGAAGGGAAGAUUUAAUGGUGAUUAUAUGGGGAUAAUUUGGUGCUUCAUGUUUGGGAUUAGUGGAUAUGGGGAUAUUCGUCACCGUUUGAGAUCGCUGGAACACCGAUGAAGUGAAAACAACAAAUUCAAUUUGAAUUUCGACAAGCUCGUUUAAGCGUAGUUUGAAAUUAGUAAUUCAAAUUUUGUUUCGAGAUUUCGAAAUUAGUGAAAUUGACAUUGAUUCGGUGGGGUUGGAGUUUGGGGGUGAGGGUGAUGAAGAAGAUAUGUUGGUUGGGGUGAGGUUGGAGUUUGGGGGUGGGGGUGAUGAAGAAGAUGUGUUGUUUGGGGGGGGGGGGGGUGGGAGUUUGGGGGUGGGGAUGAUGAAGAAGAUGAUGGUUUGGGGGAGGGGGUGAUGAAAAAGAUGAUGGUUUGGGGGUGGGGGAGGGGAGAUGGAUGCUAAGGGUUGGGUAGAGUGAAUAUUUUUUUUUUUUUUUGCAUUAAUUUUUAAUGUAGACGUGCCCUUUUUAAUUUAAUUAAUUAUAUUUUUUCCACGUCAAAUCUAGGGGUAAAAAGUUUCACUUUUUUAUAGUUUAAGUGUGUAAUAGAUCAUUAGUAUAGUUUAGGUGUGGCUUCGACUUUUUUUGUAUAGUUUGGGGUGAAAACGAUGUCUUUUCCCAAUUACACUCCUAAUUAAUGUUUCUUAAUAGUUGUGCAAGGUUUUAUCAUGACAAUUAAAAACAAACAAUGAUGUACUGGUCAUUUUAGAAAAUUAAGAUAUCAUUAGUUGUUUGUUUUUAUCGUUUCCAUUCGUCAUAAAUAUGAAAAGAUAAUAAGAUGAAGCAAAAUGGACAAAUAUUAUAUUAAAUUAAAAUGAGUAAUAAAUAAAAUAAUUUAGUUAAAUUAUUCUCUAGUUAAAAUUAAUGAAUAUACAAAAUAAAACAUAAUACGUAUUUAAAAAUGAUGAAGAAAAUACUCCCUCCGGCAUACUUAUAUGUCCUUAAUUGUCAUACUUGGAGAACCAAAAGAUGACCAAGAUAAAACGACGAAAGAAUUGAGAGUAGAUACGCCCUUCGUUCAGUUUUACUUGUCACAAUUUGACUUGGCACAUUGAUUAAGAAAAAUAAUUAAUAACAUAGUUAUUUUACCAUAGUAUCCCUAUUAAAUAAUGUUUACAUUGUAUAUUGAAAUUAAUUUGGAGAAAAAAUAAUUAAUACGAAGAGUAAAAGAGAAAAAAAAUUAUCUUUUCUUGAUAUGUCAAAAAUGACCAAUAAAAGUAGAAAUACAAUUAGAAAAUCUGUGACAAGUAAAACUGAACAAAACAGUAAUAUAAAUAAGUUACAAAGUUAGUGUCCCUUUCUAAUAUUGUUGAGUUUUUCUUUUUUCUUCUUUUCUUUUUUAAGGAAAAACUAAAUUAUAAAGACUAACACCACUUGAUUAUAGUUAUACGAUGAAUAAUAAGGACUCCUAAAUUUAUUUUAUUGCACAAAAAUUUUCUAUUUUGUUUGAUGUUACGUAUAGGUGAAUUUUAUAAAACAAUUCAUUUAUAAUUAAGUUACAUGUAAUAUCAAUAACAUUUUUUAGAUUCAAAGAAUUUUGAAUUCGAACUUUAAAUCAUAAAAAUAUUUGUACCAAGAAUUUUGGAGUAUACGUUCAAUGUACAUUCUUAUCAUCUUUUCAGCUUUUAACUUCAAUUAUUAUUUAAUUAAAGAAGUCCAAAAAUAUAUGACAAGAAAAAAUAUUUGAAGAAAUAGUGUUGGUAGAUUUUCUUUUUCCUUUUACCAAAUCCUUUGAAUCUAAAAAAUGUUAUUGAUAUUGCUCACUUUGUAAACAUAUUGAAAUAUAAAUGUCAUAUAUAUUUGUUUAACUUGUUUUCUCAAAUAAUUUUUCUUUUGGAUGUAUAGUUUAAAUUUCUCAAAUUCAUGUUUAUAUCUUCAAUUUCAGAAUGACACUCUGGUAGGUAGAGUGCUUUAGCAAAUCAUAAAAAGAUUGCAAAUGUCUAUAACUAAAUUCAAAUUCUUUUUGUGCUUUUCAACAUGAAACUUAUUACAUUAAAUGAACCCGACAAGAAUUCACAUAGAAAUAUAACUAAUUAUGCAUUCAGUUCAAGAGCUCACAAUGAUGAUAAAGAUACCAGCUAGUCUAUCCAACAAUUCAUAUUGCAAAGUUACAUACUGCAGGCAAGUAAAAUAUCUUAAAUGGGUUGACAAGUAAUUUUAUAUCACUUAAAAGAAGAUAUAAACUCUUUUAUUAUGUCAAGAGAUCUAAACACCUAAGCUUUUAAAAAUCAAAAUCUUUUUAAAGGAAGCAAUGCUACAAUUUAAAGGCUAUCUAUCUAUUGGAACAAUCUUUAAAUUAAGACAUAAAAGCUGAAAAGUAUUAUAAGUUCAUGGAUUCAUGCAAAUUCUAUAAAUGUAAAACAUUUACACCUCUAUCUUAUUGAAAUUUCUCCCAUAAUUUUUGUUUUAAUAAAUCAUCCAAUAAUACUUGUCUUCUAUUAACUUAACACUUAUGUCAUGAAACAAUAAUAACCUUACCCUUGCCUCAAAAGGUAAGAGACUAUUUUUGAUAGAACCUCCACUAAACUCUACUAAAAUUAAAUGAUUUCAUUCUCUUUCCAAUAAUUUGCAUAAAAAAUUAUCAAUUUUUAUUUAUUCCUAAAACACCAAGUAAUUGUUUGUUCUAAAUUGCUUCCAUCUUAUAGCCAUCCCUAGUUCUAGUUUUUAUAUUGACUUUCAAAUUAAUUUCAGUCAAAUUUUUCAUUUAUCACCAACUAAUACAAACAAAUAUUUAAAAACUAUUUUUUUUUUAAAUUUUAACUAUAAAGAGAAACUCAUCAUCCUCAACCCCUUUCCUCACCAAAAUAAUAAUUUUAAAAAAAUUAAAUCAUACAAAAAAUAUUAUAUACCAUUAUCUUAUUAAAAUAUUUUUCUUAUUGACUAAGUAAUUCGAAAUUUUAGCACAAAAUAAUUCCACCGGAAUCUAAAAUUUAAUUAAAAUAAAAUAAUCAUGAAAUAUAAAGUAAUCACAAAUCAAUCCAAAUCAAGAAAAACGUACCAUUAAGCUUCAAUUCAACUCUACUUUAACUUUGUUCAUAAAAUAUUUGUACGAAAAAUAAACAAAUAUAAUAUUUAAAAUCUAAAUGAUAAGAUUAAGACCUUUAUCAAAUACCCAAAAAAAUCUACAAACUCUUUUGUUUAAUUCAAUGCAAGAUCAUCUCUUUUAUGCAUAUGUUAGCGGUGAGAUAAAAUUUUAGCCUGAACUAUGUUCACAUUAACCAAUUAAAAAUAAAAAAUAUCUUAACAUAAAGCAAAAAAUGCAAAAUAAAUCUGUCUACAUAUCUUAACAAAAGAACAAGAUAAAAAAUAGUUCAUAUUAUAGAAUAUGGAAUGAAUAACAAAUAUAAGAACUUUCUAUCUUAUUUUCUAUGCAUGAAAGUAAAUAAAUCUCUCUUUGGUGAAAAUCCAAACUCACGACUGACUCUCUUGUUGUUUGAUGAGAACAUCAUUCUGUGAAAUACGUUGUCUUUUUGAUACAAAUAAAAAUAGGGGAGGUAAUCAAAGAAAACAAAAUUGGUAAAAGUAAUAACCUAUUUGGGAUCAAAAGAAAAUGCAAUAAUGUGUUGCGCGCUUCUUCGUUUUUGAAGGAAAAAAAAAUGUUUAGCAUAAGCAAUAUAUGAUCCACAAUAUAUUUUAAUGGAUGUUUUGGACUGAAGGAGAAUGGGAGAUGAGGAAUUGAGUUAUUUUUUCCUCUAAACUUUUAUGUUGAUAUCUGCAUAUAUUCAUUGAGCAGUUUCCAUUCUUUUUCUCUUCUUUUAUUAUUACCCCUUUUUCCAUGUUUUUUUGGUAAGAAAAUAAAACCUUUUUGAUUUGUAAAAGGUUGUCUAUUUUUUUUUUUUGGACAUAUUAAAGACAUAAUUUUUUUUAUCAUAAACAUAUGAACUUAAUCAUAAUAAGAAAAUCUUCUCCAUUUACUUUCUAAUAUAUUUAUUAUAGUUAAUAUUUAAUAUCAUAAAAUAAUAAAAGAAUGUGAAAAGACGAUUUUGUCUAAAGCAAAGACUUUUAUUGAAGGGGAAAAAGUUCGAUUCAUCAAAAAGUUCGAUUCACUUUUUUAAGGGUCUUGAUACUUUUAAUAUAUCAUAUAUAUAUAUAUAUACAUAAAUAUUUUUGUGGGGAAAAUAUGUAAAUAAGAACUUACAUGAAGUAACUAGGAGAGAGGUUUCCCUUUCGGGAACCCCCUUACGAUUGGAAUAGAAAACGUGAAGCCUUUAUUUAAAUCACGAUGUUACAAAGUUUAUACAAGAAGGACUGGUUUGGACAAGUUUUUUGGGAGAAAAGGUUUUAACAUUUCAAGUAGGUUUGGAGUUGGUUGAUUUCACUCUACCUCUUUUGCGCCACUUUGAUAUCCACAUAUUUGUUCUUCGUUUUUAUUACUGUAUUUAUUAGGUCUUGCUUUUAAGAUAGCUCCCCAUCCUAAGUCACUUCCAUCUGUUUGNNNNNNNNNNNNNNNNNNNNNNNNNNNNNNNNNNNNNNNNNNNNNNNNNNNNNNNNNNNNNNNNNNNNNNNNNNNNNNNNNNNNNNNNNNNNNNNNNNNNNNNNNNNNNNNNNNNNNNNNNNNNNNNNNNNNNNNNNNNNNNNNNNNNNNNNNNNNNNNNNNNNNNNNNNNNNNNNNNNNNNNNNNNNNNNNNNNNNNNNNNNNNNNNNNNNNNNNNNNNNNNNNNNNNNNNNNNNNNNNNNNNNNNNNNNNNNNNNNNNNNNNNNNNNNNNNNNNNNNNNNNNNNNNNNNNNNNNNNNNNNNNNNNNNNNNNNNNNNNNNNNNNNNNNNNNNNNNNNNNNNNNNNNNNNNNNNNNNNNNNNNNNNNNNNNNNNNNNNNNNNNNNNNNNNNNNNNNNNNNNNNNNNNNNNNNNNNNNNNNNNNNNNNNNNNNNNNNNNNNNNNNNNNNNNNNNNNNNNNNNNNNNNNNNNNNNNNNNNNNNNNNNNNNNNNNNNNNNNNNNNNNNNNNNNNNNNNNNNNNNNNNNNNNNNNNNNNNNNNNNNNNNNNNNNNNNNNNNNNNNNNNNNNNNNNNNNNNNNNNNNNNNNNNNNNNNNNNNNNNNNNNNNNNNNNNNNNNNNNNNNNNNNNNNNNNNNNNNNNNNNNNNNNNNNNNNNNNNNNNNNNNNNNNNNNNNNNNNNNNNNNNNNNNNNNNNNNNNNNNNNNNNNNNNNNNNNNNNNNNNNNNNNNNNNNNNNNNNNNNNNNNNNNNNNNNNNNNNNNNNNNNNNNNNNNNNNNNNNNNNNNNNNNNNNNNNNNNNNNNNNNNNNNNNNNNNNNNNNNNNNNNNNNNNNNNNNNNNNNNNNNNNNNNNNNNNNNNNNNNNNNNNNNNNNNNNNNNNNNNNNNNNNNNNNNNNNNNNNNNNNNNNNNNNNNNNNNNNNNNNNNNNNNNNNNNNNNNNNNNNNNNNNNNNNNNNNNNNNNNNNNNNNNNNNNNNNNNNNNNNNNNNNNNNNNNNNNNNNNNNNNNNNNNNNNNNNNNNNNNNNNNNNNNNNNNNNNNNNNNNNNNNNNNNNNNNNNNNNNNNNNNNNNNNNNNNNNNNNNNNNNNNNNNNNNNNNNNNNNNNNNNNNNNNNNNNNNNNNNNNNNNNNNNNNNNNNNNNNNNNNNNNNNNNNNNNNNNNNNNNNNNNNNNNNNNNNNNNNNNNNNNNNNNNNNNNNNNNNNNNNNNNNNNNNNNNNNNNNNNNNNNNNNNNNNNNNNNNNNNNNNNNNNNNNNNNNNNNNNNNNNNNNNNNNNNNNNNNNNNNNNNNNNNNNNNNNNNNNNNNNNNNNNNNNNNNNNNNNNNNNNNNNNNNNNNNNNNNNNNNNNNNNNNNNNNNNNNNNNNNNNNNNNNNNNNNNNNNNNNNNNNNNNNNNNNNNNNNNNNNNNNNNNNNNNNNNNNNNNNNNNNNNNNNNNNNNNNNNNNNNNNNNNNNNNNNNNNNNNNNNNNNNNNNNNNNNNNNNNNNNNNNNNNNNNNNNNNNNNNNNNNNNNNNNNNNNNNNNNNNNNNNNNNNNNNNNNNNNNNNNNNNNNNNNNNNNNNNNNNNNNNNNNNNNNNNNNNNNNNNNNNNNNNNNNNNNNNNNNNNNNNNNNNNNNNNNNNNNNNNNNNNNNNNNNNNNNNNNNNNNNNNNNNNNNNNNNNNNNNNNNNNNNNNNNNNNNNNNNNNNNNNNNNNNNNNNNNNNNNNNNNNNNNNNNNNNNNNNNNNNNNNNNNNNNNNNNNNNNNNNNNNNNNNNNNNNNNNNNNNNNNNNNNNNNNNNNNNNNNNNNNNNNNNNNNNNNNNNNNNNNNNNNNNNNNNNNNNNNNNNNNNNNNNNNNNNNNNNNNNNNNNNNNNNNNNNNNNNNNNNNNNNNNNNNNNNNNNNNNNNNNNNNNNNNNNNNNNNNNNNNNNNNNNNNNNNNNNNNNNNNNNNNNNNNNNNNNNNNNNNNNNNNNNNNNNNNNNNNNNNNNNNNNNNNNNNNNNNNNNNNNNNNNNNNNNNNNNNNNNNNNNNNNNNNNNNNNNNNNNNNNNNNNNNNNNNNNNNNNNNNNNNNNNNNNNNNNNNNNNNNNNNNNNNNNNNNNNNNNNNNNNNNNNNNNNNNNNNNNNNNNNNNNNNNNNNNNNNNNNNNNNNNNNNNNNNNNNNNNNNNNNNNNNNNNNNNNNNNNNNNNNNNNNNNNNNNNNNNNNNNNNNNNNNNNNNNNNNNNNNNNNNNNNNNNNNNNNNNNNNNNNNNNNNNNNNNNNNNNNNNNNNNNNNNNNNNNNNNNNNNNNNNNNNNNNNNNNNNNNNNNNNNNNNNNNNNNNNNNNNNNNNNNNNNNNNNNNNNNNNNNNNNNNNNNNNNNNNNNNNNNNNNNNNNNNNNNNNNNNNNNNNNNNNNNNNNNNNNNNNNNNNNNNNNNNNNNNNNNNNNNNNNNNNNNNNNNNNNNNNNNNNNNNNNNNNNNNNNNNNNNNNNNNNNNNNNNNNNNNNNNNNNNNNNNNNNGUAUUACUGCUUAAAGUUAAUUUUCCAAUAAAACCUAUGCACAUUAGUAAAUUAUUUCCACUAUUCAUUUCUUCGUAUCCCUUAGUUUGGAUUCCUAUUUUAAUAUUUUGUCCAAAUUCUUUUAAGUUCAUUAGAAAGUCUGGACUUAUAUAAAAUAUUCCCCCAUUAUUAGUCAUAUCUACUUCCGUUAGUCCUAUUAUUGACUUCUUAAUGUCUGACCAUCGAUCAUCAUAUAUCGUUAUUAAUACUUUGGAUCCUAAAUUUUUUCUAGUUAAACCUUUUAUUCCUAUAACAAUUAAACCCAUAUGUAUUAAUACCAUUCUAUUAGUUUUUAGAUGUCUUAAGGAAUUAGCAUUUACUAAAUCUAGUAUUUUAAAAUCUUCUCCUAUAGUCGAUAUUUGUUCUUCUCUAUAAUGUCUGUAUAACUGAUUGUUCGUAGAAAAAUAUCCUGCAUUAUAUAGUGUUUUAGGAUUUAAUAAUUUUAAUUGAUGUUGUUGAAAGAUUUGUAGGUCUUUUUCUACAUCUAUUAUUUCGUGAAGUUCUUGAUUCUGCUCUGUAUUAGGUUGUCUUCUGCAUAUUCUAGCUAAUAUAUUAUUAUUUCCUAUUCUAUUUUCUGAAAAACUUAUUCUUUGUCUUUCUUCUCCUUGUCCUAUAUUAUUUUUGAUGGCUCUCCGUCUAUUUGAUAGAAAGUCCAUUUUUGUGGUUUUCGUAUUAUAUUUUUUCAUUCUUGUUUAGUAGUUAAUUCAAUUCGUUUUAAUUGGUUAAUCAGUUCGUCUAUUUCUAGGUUGGUAUUUUUUGGUUGGGCUUCUUUAUUUAUUAAAAUGUCUAUUUUCUUAUGUAGUUCAGGUAAUUCUGGUUCUUUCUAGAGGGGUUUUUGAGUUUCUUUGCCUUUAAUUAAGAUGUCUAUCUUUUUGUGUAAGUCUAAUAAUAAUUCUAUUAUGGUAUUAUUUUGUUUUAGUAGAAUUUUAUCUGUUUGACUUGAAGGUAUAUGCCUAGAUAAUCCUUCAGGUUCACUAUGAUAAUUUUUUUAUUUUUCUAGUGCUUUAUUGUAAUUUAUAUCUUCUUCGCUCAUGAAAGUGAUAUUUCUUCUAAUCUUUUUGUUAUUUCUUGUAAGUCUUUGAUUUCCGUUGUUAUGUUUUCUACCUGUUCUACAAGCUUAGAUAUUAGUUGAGUUGUUUUUAAUUCCAAUUCUUUAGGUUUUUCUAUUAUAGUUGCUAUUAGUUUUUCNNNNNNNNNNNNNNNNNNNNNNNNNNNNNNNNNNNNNNNNNNNNNNNNNNNNNNNNNNNNNNNNNNNNNNNNNNNNNNNNNNNNNNNNNNNNNNNNNNNNNNNNNNNNNNNNNNNNNNNNNNNNNNNNNNNNNNNNNNNNNNNNNNNNNNNNNNNNNNNNNNNNNNNNNNNNNNNNNNNNNNNNNNNNNNNNNNNNNNNNNNNNNNNNNNNNNNNNNNNNNNNNNNNNNNNNNNNNNNNNNNNNNNNNNNNNNNNNNNNNNNNNNNNNNNNNNNNNNNNNNNNNNNNNNNNNNNNNNNNNNNNNNNNNNNNNNNNNNNNNNNNNNNNNNNNNNNNNNNNNNNNNNNNNNNNNNNNNNNNNNNNNNNNNNNNNNNNNNNNNNNNNNNNNNNNNNNNNNNNNNNNNNNNNNNNNNNNNNNNNNNNNNNNNNNNNNNNNNNNNNNNNNNNNNNNNNNNNNNNNNNNNNNNNNNNNNNNNNNNNNNNNNNNNNNNNNNNNNNNNNNNNNNNNNNNNNNNNNNNNNNNNNNNNNNNNNNNNNNNNNNNNNNNNNNNNNNNNNNNNNNNNNNNNNNNNNNNNNNNNNNNNNNNNNNNNNNNNNNNNNNNNNNNNNNNNNNNNNNNNNNGCGCUUAAUAAGUCGUUAUAAUAAACUUUAUGUACUCUAUUAACUUUUAGUAGCCUUUUUAGACCUUCUUCUAAAUUAUGUUUUCUAGUUAAUAUGUUAUUUCUUUUUCUGAUUUCUCUAUAUAAAUAGAAAUAACUACACCUUAUAUCUUGGAAUGAUCUAUGUCUUUUCAUAUAAAGUUUAUAAACUUUUGCGAGUUAGUAGGUAAUGUUCUCAAAACCUUCUCGCUCUGAUACCAAAAUAAUUGUAUAUUUCGAUAAAAACAGUAUUUCAAUGAAAAAUGGAAACAAAUAUUUCAAAACAGAGAUAGAAAAACAGUAAGACAGUGAACAAUGAUCGAUUUUUGAUUAUAUCAAUUUGUAAAACCUACUCAGUACUCUCUCUUUCCUAUUGUUUUUCAUGUUUAUUCUUAUCGUUUAUAUUUUCCCCAGAUUUUUUUUUUUUAUUAUUAUUUUUUAUUUUUUACUUUACCCUGUUCAUCUCUUCCUCUUAAUCUAUGUUCUUAACAUCGUACUUCUUUAAUCACACCCCGGAAAAUUUUGGUCUGGCCGCUAACACUCGUCCUUUGUCUAUCUGCAGACCUAUUGGACUAUCAAGGCCAGAAUUCCUAGGAAUUUACAGGUUAAUCCAUUGUCGGUAUUAAGAAAUUAAGAGGUUAACCAUAUACUAAGGGUAAGAGUUUUAUAGAUAAUUUAAUUUACAUGAUUUUACAAAAACUAUGUAAAAUAACAUUUAAACAUAGAUAUAAGAACAUAAAUAUUUUUGUGGGGAAAAUAUGUAAAUAAGAACUUACAUGAAGUAACUAGGAGAGAGGUUUCCCUUUCGGGAACCCCCUUACGAUUGGAAUAGAAAACGUGAAGCCUUCAUACAAAGAAAAAGGAAAUAUGAGCGCUAUAGACUUAGAAGUACUAGCUAUCAUAUAUGGCUUAAAUGCUUUCAAACUAUAUAUACUAAAUAAAGACGAGAUUUUAGAUUGUGAAGCUAUAGUUAAAUUUCAUCAAAAAAUAAAUGACAAAACUAGCAGUAGAAGAAGAUGGUUAAAUUUUACAGAUACCAUAUCUGUUUAUAAGAAUAUAGUAUUCGAACAUAUAAAAGGAAAAGAAAACAACUUAGCUGACCAGUUAAGUAGACUACAACUGGGAAUAAAUAAAUAAGUUUAAUUUCAUUUAUUUGUUUUCAGCAUGAGACCAACAGGACAACCUCCUGCAGACAAAGGCAAAGGCGUAGCUUCGUCUUCAGAGUCUUACCACCAGACAAUGUUAGGUAACUUAAAUUUUAGACCAUUAGAAUCCUUAGAAACAAUGGAAAGAAUUCAUUUCGGACCAUUUAAUUUAAUUGCAUACCCAGAGAGCAACAUAUCUUUUAGAAUAAGACCAGACUACGUUUUAGACAGACCCCAAAGAUGUUUAGUAGAUAACCUCUGGAUUUCAUAUAAUAGACAAAAUCGUAAUCAUUUCAUGGCUUCUAUGAAUGCUUUAUGUCAUUACAUGGCCGAAAAAAGUAGGCCUCGUUUUAAAUACUAUGUAGUCAUUCAUGGAAAAACUAACGGGAUUUUCCAAACAUGGUUAGAAGUAUUAGACUCCAUACAAGGUUUUAAAGCCCCUCUUUUUAAAGGUUUUAAUGAUUUUACUGAAGCUACAAAUCAUGCNNNNNNNNNNNNNNNNNNNNNNNNNNNNNNNNNNNNNNNNNNNNNNNNNNNNNNNNNNNNNNNNNNNNNNNNNNNNNNNNNNNNNNNNNNNNNNNNNNNNNNNNNNNNNNNNNNNNNNNNNNNNNNNNNNNNNNNNNNNNNNNNNNNNNNNNNNNNNNNNNNNNNNNNNNNNNNNNNNNNNNNNNNNNNNNNNNNNNNNNNNNNNNNNNNNNNNNNNNNNNNNNNNNNNNNNNNNNNNNNNNNNNNNNNNNNNNNNNNNNNNNNNNNNNNNNNNNNNNNNNNNNNNNNNNNNNNNNNNNNNNNNNNNNNNNNNNNNNNNNNNNNNNNNNNNNNNNNNNNNNNNNNNNNNNNNNNNNNNNNNNNNNNNNNNNNNNNNNNNNNNNNNNNNNNNNNNNNNNNNNNNNNNNNNNNNNNNNNNNNNNNNNNNNNNNNNNNNNNNNNNNNNNNNNNNNNNNNNNNNNNNNNNNNNNNNNNNNNNNNNNNNNNNNNNNNNNNNNNNNNNNNNNNNNNNNNNNNNNNNNNNNNNNNNNNNNNNNNNNNNNNNNNNNNNNNNNNNNNNNNNNNNNNNNNNNNNNNNNNNNNNNNNNNNNNNNNNNNNNNNNNNNNNNNNNNNNNNNNNNNNNNNNNNNNNNNNNNNNNNNNNNNNNNNNNNNNNNNNNGUUUGUAUUAUUAGCUAGCAUGGUCAAGUGGGGAUGCCUACUUUAUGUCUUGUAAUACUCAUGUCUUGUAAUAGUCAGAGUCCGAGUGCUUCCUUUAUCACUACUUUCCAAAAGAAAGAAAAACUGUUAAAGCACGCGUCAAAAUAAGUUUGAAAGAAAAUUAAUAACGCAUGUGACGAUGGGGCCCAAAGUGUACCCGACUUGCAUUAUUAAAGUUUUCUUUCUUAUCUCUUAUCAAGAAGUGUCGGCCAAUUGUGUUGAGGCCACGUAGUAGCUUUAGAACCACUCCUUUAUGUAUAUCUCGCCUAUAAAAAGGCUCACAUUAGUUCAAAAGAGGUAGAGUGAAAUCAACCAACUCCAAACCUACUUGAAAUGUUAAAACCUUUUCUCCCAAAAAACUUGUCCAAACCAGUCCUUCUUGUAUAAACUUUGUAACAUCGUGAUUUAAAUAUAUAUAUAUAUGAAAUAAUGAUGAAAAAUUUUGUUAUCUCAAUAUUUAUUUUAUAUGAAUGUGUCAACCUUUUCUUAUUCAUCUCAUUUAAUCUUCAGAAAAUGAUCAACAUACCCCUAUACUAUGGAAAAUUGUUAAAACACAUCUUUCGUUAUAAAUUUAUUUUUUACAAUAGCUGAUGUAAUUAAGGAAGGUGAGUUGAAUACAGCAAGUUUCAAAUUCUAAGCUCACCCAUUGGUGUUUUUCUUUGUACAUUUGAUAUUUUAUGAUAUAAAAUUAUUCAGGUGACCGAAUUACACACUCUUUUAUUUGACAUAAAGAUCUUAUUUUGAAAAACCACUGGUAGGUUGAUAACUCGAUAUAUGUACUAGCUAAGAUGGAAACAAGUAUUUUGACAUAAUUAGGCUUUUGCUUGUUACUCUCUGGGUUCUCUCUUUUUUCUGUCAGUACGAUAUGAUUAAUAUUUAGUUCUUCGUUUAUAAAUGCCAUGUUAUCUGAUUUUUUGUCCAUCUGAAGCAAGUUGUGCGGGGAUGAUUUAUAUAAAUUUGAUUCACAACGGUGGUUAUCUAUGUACAUUUUCUCCAACAUGAUUAUGGAUUAGAAGAUAAAUGAGCAAACGACAUUAUAACCAAGAAGCUAGUAAAGAAAAGAGUUUUCAAGUAAAGAAUCCAAGGGCCAGUGGCGCACAAGUUCGAAACUUGUGGGACCUCCCCCUCUUUCCGUCACCAUUUAGGGGUCGUUUGGUGGAAGGUACUAAAACAUAUAAUUCUGAGAUAAAAUAAUAGUUCUGGAAUAAAUUUUUUGAUUCAUUGUUUGGUUGUCUAUAUUCGGAAUAACUUAUCUCAGAAUUAAUAAAUAGUAUCGAGAUAAGUUAUUCCACACAUGUGGUGGGAUAACAAUCCCAACACAAUUUAUCCUUGGGAUGAACUACAAAAUGAUAAAAUAACCCCUAAAUUCUUUUAUUAUCACUUCAUUUAUAUUAUUUUACUUUUUUUUCUAUAUAAAAUAUAAGGUAUUUGUAUAACGAGAUAGGUUAGAUUUAAAUGCGAAUGAAUAUGAAACUUAUCAUAUGAAGUUCAAAUUUUCAGAUGAGAUAAAAAAGAUAAAUUACAAAAUUUUGUGUAUAAUAUUUUGUUGUUUCUACACAAGUUUUUCAUCAUUUUUAUUUUACUUUUUCUACCAACUUACUCAAAUAUUUUAAUCUAAAAAUUCAAAAAAAAUAAUAAUCUAAAUAUAUGUUUUGGAGAAAGUGAAAAAUUCAAACUUACAAAUAAAGAGAAAAAUCAUAUGAAUCAAAUACAUAUUUUUUAUGUUGAGUAAUGGAGAAUCUAGCUAGCUAUUAUUUUAGACCCUUUUUCAAAACUAUAGCUAAUAACAUUUUUUCAAAUGAUUUUAUUGAUACACACACACAUACAUAUAUAUAUAUUACUUUACUUUACUACUAUAUAUAAGGGAGAAUGUGAGAUUUUAGUAGUCCUCGCAUCAAUUUUUUUUUUUAAAUCAUUUUAUCACUAAUUUAAAUUUUAAUUAUUCUACAAAUUUUUAUUCAUUUUGAUAAAUUUGAACAAUUAUAUGAGCUUAUUAAAUGCUACAAAAGUGAUGAGUAAUGGAAAAAUAAUAGUGACACCAUAAAAACUAUUUAUACAAUCAAGUUCAAAAUUGAUGCACAGAUUUAUCGUCUUUCUAAUUUGUAGAAAUUUUUAUUAAUCGUACUUUAGAUUUUCAUUUUUCCUAUCAAAUUUAUCAUGGACAUAAAUUUUUAUUUUUCCUAAUAAAUUUAUCAUGGACAAGUUAUUAAAGUAUGUUGACAUUCCCUUUCUAACUUAAUACAUGCUUAAUUAUUAAAUAAAAAAUAUUUUUAUAUUUAGCUAAAAAUAUUUGAAAAUUUAUUUCUUAAAAAAAUACAAUUUGACUCUCCAAAUAUUAAUGAUACUAAAUAAUGAAAAAUGAGAGUAAUUCUUUUUCACAUUUUUUGAUGAUGAAAUUUUUUGACAAAAAAUGAGAUUAUCAAUAUUUUAUGGAAUUUAGAACAAAAUAAGUAUUUCAACAUGAAAUAUUAGAGCUUCAUACACAUUUAAGAAAUAUCAACAUAAAUUUCUUAACAUAUUUUUUUAGGAAAAAGAAACUAAUAAAGUUAAAAAAGAACAUUAGUAACUUUUUAAUUUCUUUUGUAUGAUUUAAUAUGAAGGAAAAUAAUUAAGCUAAAUAUUAUGAAGGUUUUUUUUUUUUUUUUUUGAGAAAGAUAUUGUGAAGGAUAUUUUAGUAAACAAACAAUAUAUUUUUACAAACAAUGCACUACAGAUUAUUUUUAGUAACACAAACCAAACAACCACCCAAAAGUAAUAUCAGGAUAACUUAUCCCUCGACAACUAAUCCCAGCACAACUUAUGCCAACAUAACUAAUACCGGUAUAACUUUUUUUUUGGGCAAUAAACUGUGAAUUAUUACCAUACCCAUCAAAAUUUGUACAUAGCAAGGAGCAUCAAGAGCAGUGUGCAACUCGACCUCAAAAAAAAAAAAAAAAGAAGUAGAAGCUCAAUAAACUAUUAGCUAGUUACAUUCAUCCUAUGUAUUAAGACUUGACAGUGUUUUGCUUUCCUAGAUCUUUCGAUUAAUGUCAUUCUCUCCUUAAAUUCUCUCUUGAUUUGUGCGAUAGUGAACUCAAUAUUUAUAUUUAUCUUUCUGAAUUGUUUCUAGUUUCUAGCUUGCCAUAAUAGUAGAUCAUAGCUCCGUACAUUGCUGCCACCAUUUUCUUCUUCAGCUGUCUCCACCUCCUCUUUUAAUCCAAGCAAGUGUUUGUUUAACUGUACCUCUGGGAAUUAUAACACCAAACCAAUUUGACAAUUUGGUUUUCACUUCAUUCAUCCAGUAGCAGUCCAUGAACAAAUGCUGCUUAUUCUUAGUUUCCUCCCCAUAUAAGAAGCAGCCUUCAUCUUCCACCAUCAGGUAUAAUCUCUUCAUUAUCUCCUUGCUGAGUAGUCUUUCCUGAUAGGCAAGCCACAAAAUCACCCUUGGUAGCAUUAUAGAGCUCCAAAUCAAAUCUGCUUUCGGCCACUUGGUAAUCAUCCCCAACAUGGCAUUGUAACUGCUGGACAUGGAAUAAAUUCCAUUAGUUGUUAACGCAUAAGUUCCCCUUGGUACCACUGUUUCAUUCCUUCUUUGAGCUCAUUUAAUUUUCUCCAAUACCAAUUGCUAUUUUGUAGAGCUUUGUGUUGCCAAAUAUCAUCGGUUCCUCUCAUAUAUACUUCAUGGAUCCAUUUAACCCAUAACAUAUCUUUCUUGCAUGCCAUCUGCCAGACCAAAUUUCCCGCUGCAACAAUAUUCCACUUGACAACAUUUUAUAUUUAAUCCUCCAUAUUUCUUUGGUGUACACACCUUGUCCCAAGCCACUAAUACCACUUUCUUAUGCCCUUUAGUAGUACCCCAUAAGAAUUCUCUGCAUUUUCUAUCAAUUUCUUUUAGCACACUCUGUGGAAUUAUGACCACGGUGCCCCAAAAGUUGUAAAUCGAGAAGAAUAUUGCAUUAAUUAUCUGUAGCCUCCCUGCAUAGGAUAGUUGUCUCGUGUACCCUACCGAAAUCCUUUUAGUGAUUUUCUCUACUAGUUGUACACAAUCCAUCUUAUUCCAUCACUUUGAAGAAAGUGGAAGGCUAAGAUAUCUAAUAGGCAGGCUUCCUAAGGUGAAUCCUGUACUUAUCAAAAUGUUUUCCUUUGUUGGUUCAUCUAUUCCAGCUAAAAAGAUAUUUGACUUCUGUAAAUUUGCUUCUAAACCAGUCACCUGACUGAAGAGUCUCAGAGCCUCUAUUACCCAAUUGAUAGACCUUAUAUCCCCUUUACAGAACACCAUUAAAUCAUCUGAAAAUAUGAGAUGGGUGAGCUUAGUAGUCUGACACAUGGGGUGGAACUAAAAGUCCUCCACCUCACACAUCUUUCUCAAUUCAUGACCAGCUGUACCAAUGAGGGUGGAAACCCAUAUCUCUUCAAAACUUCCUUGAUGAACUCCCAGCUAACCAUAUCAUAAGCUUUCUUUAAAUCGAUUUUCAUUAGGCAUCUUGGUGUUGUUUUCCUCUUAUAGUGCCUUAAGAGGUCAUGACAGAUCAACAUGUUGUGAAUCAAGGAUCUUCCUUCUCUAAAAGUCGUUUGAUUAUUCGCCACAAUCACUGUAAUAACUUUUCUCAGUCUUGUACAUAUCAUUUUUGAAAUGCAUUUGUAGAUACAUUACAACAAGCAAUUGGUCGGAAUUGGUUUGAUAAAACAAGUGCUUCAACCUUUGGAAUUAAAGAAAUUACUAUGGCAUUCAGUUAAUUGAGUAGUCGUCCAUUCCCCAUGUAUUCUAGUACUGCUUGUGUCACAUCUGUCCCCACUAUACUCCAUGCUGCUCUUAAAAACCCACUCCCAUACCCAUCUGGACCCGGACUCUUAUUUAUGUUUAUGCUGACCUCCUUUUGCGUGUAUGCCUGGACCAGCGUCAAUUGCUACUCAGUAUUUAGUAUAGUACCCUGUCUUAGUAUUCCAGCAUUUGUUAUCUCCCUUCCUUGUUCCUUCUUUCCAAGCAAUUUUUGAUAGUAUUCAACAAAUACCUCUGCAAUAACCUAUUGGUCAGUCUGUAGCACUCCAUUUUUGUCCCGCACCUGAAUAAUGGUAUGUUGUAGUCUCUUGUGUUUAAUUACAGCAUGAAAGAACUUUGUGUUAUCAUCUCCUAGUUGCAACCAAUUUAUUUUACUUCUUUGUUGUAGAAAACAUUCAGCCAAAUAUGAUGUUCUUCUGAAUUUUUGAUACAUCCUUUUUUCCUGCUCCUGCAGUUCUUCAUCUAGCGGUUGUAUAUGUAAUUCAGCCUGGGCCUUUCCUAGAGCUAUUUUAUCCUCGUCUGCCUCAGUAAUAAUGUUCCUAAAAUGCUGACUGUUCAGCACUCUCAACUGCUUUUUCAUUGUCUUCAAUCUCUUUACAAUUCUGAACAUUUGACACCCUUCCACGUUUUGAUUCCAACCCUCAUUCACUAUAUUCAUAAAUUGCAGGUGGUUGGUCCACACAUUACAAAAUUUGAAAGCUGGUCUUUCCAUUCUUAGCUCAUUGAUUAAAGAAAUUUUUACAGGGCAAUGGUCGCGCAGCCCCUCAGCCAUGAAGUUGACACUAUAUGCUGGCAUAUUGACAAUUCACUCAUCAUUUACAAAGACCCAACCUAUCUUAGAGAAAAUCCUCACAUCUCCUUUAUCAUUCCAUGUGUAAUUAUUGCCUUGUCUGGGUAAUUCCACAAGUUCACACUCCUCCACACAAGCUUGAAAUUCCACUAUCUCUGCCAUACUUACAGGAUUUACCCCAAUCCUAUCAUCAACAUGCAGUACUUCAUUGAAGUCACCCAUCACUAUCCAAGUAAGAUUAUUUCCCAUCUUCACAUUUUCUAAGUAAGUCCAUAACCCUCUUCUUUCCCCCUUGAGUUGAAUGCAUAAACCACACUCACCAAGUGCUCUGUUUGAGUUUUGUGAUUUUUUACUCGAUAAGUGAUAGCUUGGGAACAACUUGUCAUCAUCUGCACCUGGAAGUAGUCAGCUCUCCACGAGAUCCACACCCUGCCAUUAUAAUGAUCAAUAUGGUUGGUACAGUACUCCCAACCUCCAAACAUGCUUCUCGCCACUUUGGCUAUAUUACUUACCUUAAUUUUAGUCUCUACAAGACCUACUAAACCAACAUUCUCUUUAUUACAAAGGAGCUUGAUCUCUUUUUUUUGUUAGGGGCAUUCAUGCCCCUAACGUUCCAGCAUAACAAAUUAUCCAUUCGCCUUGGGGAUUUUCAUCCCACCCCCUUCUGGUCUGCUUCAUUAUCCUGAUUCUCAGCUGUCUCUGCGAGUACUUCGAAAGUAUUUUUUUGCAUUACCUCAGUUGGUUUUGGGACCUUGGGACUGUGACCUCUGCCGAAGUGGACUUUCUGAUCUUGUACCUCGUUGGAUCCAUCCUACAGUCUUUCCACUUGCCUUCAAUGACCCAGCUGUACCACUAGGUCCUUCCCCUGCAUCUGCUCUAUUUGUUAGUGUAGUUGCUGCCUUAUGUUUACCUAUGUUGUUCAGUUUCUCCGUUGUUUCCAAUUGUUUCUCAACUGCCUUGUGUGUAUUUUGUUAUUGUGCCUCCUUUUUCCUCUGGUUCUCUGGGGAAUUAGGAGGAUUUUUCUUCCUACAUACACCUUCAUCGUGCCCAUACUGCUUGCAAAAGUUACACAACGUUGGUUUCCAAUCAUACUGGACUUUUUGUUCCACCAAUUCACCCCAUUCAUUCCUAAAAAAUACUUUCUCUGGUAGUUUAUCUCUCAUCUCUACUUCAAUACGUAGCUUCGCAAAACUCAACCCUAUCUUCUUUUCCGUGUUAAUAUCCACCAUUAAUGGUUUUCCAAUCAAACUCCCAAUUUUGCUCAACCCUUUAGCGCUCCAGGACUUAAAAUCCAACCCCGGUAGUUUCACCCAAAUAGGCACUGUAUACAACUCUUCUCGAGUGAAUUCCAUUUCUGGUGACCAUGCUUUGACAAUCAGAGGUUUAUUAUCGAAGUGGUAGAUCCCCCCCUGCAAAACCUCAUCUCUUCCUUCCUUCGUGUCAAAUCGCACCAACACUACGCCAUUUUUCAACAUCGAGACCUUGUUUAUUCCAUACUUCCCCCAUUGACGUUGAAUGUAACCGUUUAGUAUUGAGAAUGGUGGAUGUGCUCCUAGGACGUAGUAUACAAUUGCGUGUUUCCAGUACUCUAUCUCUGAGCUGAUAUCCUCAAUUUCAAUCUCACAUAUUUCCUCUUCACCUUGUUUCUCCGGUGAUACAAAUUCGAGCUUAAACCCGAUAUAACUUGUUUUCAAACCAAACAACCCCUUAAUAUAUUAGGCUUUUAAGUGCGAUAUAACUUGAACCUUUCAUAAUGCAAAAUAACAAAAAUUUAUCCUAUAUUUCUGCAAGUGGCUAUAUCUAAAGUUAAAACAUAAUAUCAUCUUCAAGCAGUUAGAUCACAACAAUUCUCUUGCUAAGGGAACGUAAAUGGUAAUUUUUGUAGCCCUUUGAAUGUUCAACUAGAAUUCUGGAUAUGUUAUACAUGUUGCACACAUAACUAGUAAACAUUAUUAUAGUUUUCUUUAAUUACAUCUCAGCUACGAUUCUAAUUCAGAAGUUGGCAUAUUAUAGCGACAAACAGGGCAAUAAUGGCUCUUGUCUAACCAGUUCUUAAUGCAGUCUCCAUGGAACAUAUGCGAGCAAGGCAUGCACACGAUCUUUCCUUCGAGUUUUUCAAAACAGAUGACACAUUCAUCAUUCAAACAUUGAUCUUCAUCGAUCUCCAUUCUCUCUGGCAACUGCAUUAUUGAUGUCGUACUAGCAGGUACCAUCCCCCCAUUCAAGUGCGACGAUGGUUGUUCUAGCCUCCUAUCCAAAAUAUAUUCCAUUUUCAAGGUCAAAUCAACGAUCAUCUCCAAGUUUUGGCAAUUAGUACCGCCCUUGUUCAACUCAACAUCAACAAAUUUAUGUAUCUGAAAUAUCAUACUACGGAUGAGAACAUCACUAUAAACCUCAUAAUAGUCGCCCCAGUUGUUGAGAUUUCCUUCAAGGACACGGUAGAAGGCAUCGCACGACAAGUAUUCAUAAGCGCAAAAUUUGAGAUGAAAUGAUUUGGUGUCAGUUCUAUGAGAUUGAGCCAUAUAUACGAGUUGUGAAGGACUAUGAGGUUGUUUAUACCAAAUGUCAUGUUCAGUAACAAGGAAAAACUGAAGGACUAACUGGAGAUGUUUUGUGCAGCCGGCUAUCGUUUCUUUUCUUAAUUCCUGUGGUUGUGGUCGAACUAAGCAGCUUGCUUUCGCCCUCACAUGGUGACGGUGCUGUUCGAAAAUAGGAGUCUCCAUGGAAAUUAAACUCAACCCAUGUAGUCUUUUUAGCUGAAACAAGAAACAAAACCAGGACAAACUCAAAUUAGGAUACAGAAAGGUUCGCUAGACGCUAAUUAGGGAAGGCCUAACAUAUUUAAAGGAAAACAAAACAAAAGUACUAGAUCGAAUACCUUUUCCAAUAAAAAUGAAAAAUAAAGAUUCAAUAAAGCUAUGUUGCUUGGACUCUUCGAAAAUGUCAUCGAGUGCAUGUCAGAUCCUUCAAAAGUAGUGCAUUUUUGUAGAUCCAACACGGGUGCGGCCACAUUUUGGAGAGUCCGAGCAGCUUAGCAAUAAAGUAACUCCGGGAAGAACUACUUGAGUCAAGAAAUUAAUAACAACCAGCUUUCAGGCUACACAGAAAUUCACAACAGCAAAAAACAUACCGAGUGUAGCGCCCAAAAGUGAGGUUUGGGUAGGGUAGGAUACACACAGACCUUACCCCUACCACCUUUGUGGGGCAGAGAGGUUAUUUCCGGUAGAUCCUUGGUUCAAAAGAAGUGAAACAAAGCAAAGAAAAGAAAAUAAUGACAUCAAAAUAUCAAGAUGAAAAUGCGAAAGAAGCAACAUGUGGUAGUAAAAAGAUGAAGAAAAAGAUACUACGUGAACCAAGGCCCCUCAAUGUCAAAGUAAAACUGUUUCAUGUAUGAAAUAUUGCUCCUAUAAUCUCAUUUGCAAAUAAGCUGCAAUCAGUAAAGACAAUUAAUGCUUGAUACUGCAACUUCUACAUCAAAAACUCUGUUGUCCAAAAACAUUGUAUGCAAGACCUCAAAACCCUCUUCAUGAACAGCUAAGAGCCUAAGUAGUGUAAUGGUUAUUAUGGUGCAAAAAUAGUUCUUAAGGAACUCAAGAAUCAAGAAAUUGUCCACAAAUCUUUGAAAAAUUUUGUUCUUUUUCAAUUGGGACAAGUGCGAUAGAGGACGAACGGGAAAAGGGGCAAAAAUUCCGAGAACAAUACCCAAUUACAGACCUUCAGAACUCUAAAGUGUCACGACAUCUAGCAAACGUCCUUUGAAGCAAUAUGGAAUUUAAAAAAAGAAUGAUGACAAAUAUUCAAGAACAUCCAUAAAUAGAAUCAGUUAGGAAAAGAGUUAAAGGCAUAAAUAAUUCUAAAACAGCCAUAAGAAAGUUCAAUAAUUUCUGGAGUUAGCGAUGAUAAAACAAAUACAAUAUAUGGAAUUCGAAGAGGAAUAGAAAAUCCCUGAAGCAAGAAUGCUUACGGGACAAGAACCAGAAACAAAGGUUUAACAAAUGCAGAAGAAGGAAUAUAACAAUCUGAAAGUAUAGAUAAUUGAUAUGAAAGAAUGAGAUAAGUGUAAAUCAUGUGUCUGAAGACUACACAUGUAGGAAUGUUAGUUUAGAACAGUCGCUACGCUAAUUUUAAAACUAGUCGACAAAAGGAUAACUACAACAAUAACAUACUCAGUAUAAUCCAACAGGUGAGGUUUAGGGAGAGAUACACAGCCUUAUUCCUAUGUUGAAAAGGUAAAGAAGUUGUACCUUUUUUUCCCUCAAGGGUUGGGGUUGGGGUGUAUAAUAGCUUUUUUUUUUUUUUUUCGUUUUCAGACAAACACUAGGCUCGAGUAAGGCAUAUUAAAAAAAUAAGUAUGUAAAGGAAAUGCACGAAGAAAUCAUGUUGAAAACAAUGAAGAGAGAACGGGCACAACAACAAAUAAUACAAUAACUGAAGCAAAGAAGCAAUAUGUAAUACUAAAAUCAAAGAAUAAGAUACUAAGAGAGUAAUAAUAAUAAUAUUCGAAAGGGAACAAAACAACGCUCAACUACCUACAAAUCCUCAACCGCCACUUCUUCCUAUCUAGAAUCAUGUCCUCAAUAAGCUGUACGUAUGUCAUAUAUCACCUCUCUUCAAAACUUCUACAGCAUAUCUCUCACACCUCACUGAGCAUUUGAGCAUCUUUUCUUCACAUGACCAAACAAUCUGAACCGUGCAUUCUCGUAUUGUCCACCUUGGGAGUCCCUCAGAGUCGGAUCCAGAAUUCGAAGUCUUCAGAUUCCAAAUAGACUCAUCGAUUAAACCAAUUGGAGACUCCAAAUCCUAGAUGCAAAGCCAGCUUAUAGCCAAGGGUUCAUCUGAACCCUCUUCGGCGAAAAACUACACUAUUUAUACAUAUUUAAAUUAUUUUUUAUAUGGUAUAUAUUAAAAUCUAUUCGACUAGUUCGUGCGUUUACUUCUGUCGAUUUUGAACUGCUUCAGCUUUAUACUUACCUAUUUUUCUUCAAAAAGCAAAAGAUUGUGACUUCUCACAAUCUUUGGCCUCAAUUUUUUGUACUAUUUCAAAGCUUACAAUUUGAAUUUUGAAAUAGAGUAGACAUUAAAGUGGAAAAUAGAGUUAGUCCAUUUCUUGAAACAUAAAAUAGCAAGGUUAGUAGAGUAACAUUUAGGAAACUAAAAAAAACUUUCAAGUUACAGACUUCCAAAGGGCUGAGGAAUGCGGUUGAGGAUGACUGACCAAGAAAUCCGAUGGGAUUGGCGGAGCGGCUUUAGGAAGAAGAACAAGUUCGAUGACUGAACAAAGGUUUUUUUCUUUAAUUUCAUGAAAGAGAACAACAACAACAUAUCCAGUGUAUUCCCACCUAGUGGGGUCUGGGGAGGGUAGAGUGUUCCCAGACCACACCACUAUCUCAAGAGAAGUAGAGAGGCUGUUUCCGAUAGACCCCCCGGCUUAGGACCAAUAACAGUAUAACCAAUACAAAAAGUAAGAGCAUAUAAACUAGUAUGAUACACAAAACAAACUAACAGUAUAACAAAUACAAAAGAUAAGUGCAUAAUAAACUAGUACGGGAUGCAAAAAAUCCAACACCACUAGCCCCAAAAACUACAGCCAUAACACUACGAACCAGAAACUCUAGACCCAAAGGAGCACUCCCCUAUUACUACCGCCGCGCUCCCACCCCCUAACCCUCUACCCUAAUUUGCGUCCCACACCUUCAUAUCAAGGGCCAUGUCCUCUGUAAGUUGUAAUUGCUUCAUACCAUGCCUAAUCACUUCCCUCCAAUAUUUCUUCGGUCUACCUCUAGCCCGCCUAAAACCAUCAAUAGCCAGAGUCUCACACCUCCGCACUGGAGCAUCAGGGCCUCUACUCAUCACAUGUCCGAACCAACGUAGCCUCACUUCUCGCAACUUAUCCUCCACCGAGGCAACUCCCACCUUUUCCCGAAUAAUCUCAUUCCUCACCCUAUCUUUCCUGGUAUGUCCACACAUUCAUCGCAACAUUCGCAUCUCUGUCACCUUCACCUUUUGGAUGUGGGAGUUCUUAACUAGCCAACACUUCGCUCCAUAAAACAUAGCCGCCCGGACUACCACUCUGUGGAACUUACUUUUAAGCUUCUGGGGCACCUUCUUAUCACAAAGGACUCCCGAAGUGAGCCUCCACUUCAACCACCCUGCCCCAAUACAAUGCGUGACAUCCUCGUCAAUUUCACUAUUAUCCUGAAUUAUAAACCCCAGAUACUUGAAACUCUCCCUCUUCUGGAUGGCUUGAGAGUCUAGCUUCACAGCUACUCCAUCUUCUUGCGACAUAUCACUGAACUUACACUCCAAGUACUCCGUCUUGGUUCUACUAAACUGAAAACCUUUAGAUUCAAGCGUCUGUCUCCAAAUAUCCAACAUAUCAUUAACUCCACCUCGAGUCUCGUCGAUCAGAACCACAUCAUCUGCAAAUAACAUACACCAAGGCACCUCCCCUUGAAUAUAUCGCGUCAAAACAUCCAUCACCAAGGCAAAUAGAAACGGGCUAAGAGUCGAUCCCUGGUGCAACCCUAUCAAAACUGUGAAGUGCUCCUAAUCUUCACCUACCGUUCUCACACGAGUCUUCGCACCAUCAUACAUAUCCUGAAUCGACCUAGUGUACGCUACGGGUUUCCCUUUAGCCUCCAAGCACCUCCACAAAAUCUCCCUGGGAACUCUGUCAUAUGCCUUCUCUAGAUCAAUAAACACCAUGUGCAAGUCCUUCUUCCUCUCUUGAAACUACUCCACUAAUCUCCUCACAAGGUGAAUGACCUCAGUGGUCGAACGGCCAGGCAUGGAACCGAACUGAUUCUCAGAGAUCGUCAUGAUCCUCCUCAUCCUCAACUUUUAAUUUUAUAAACAACUGCUAGUAGUAAGAAAUUUAUUAAAAAAACAAAAAGCCACAAACAACUAAAUUAAAUUAGUCAAAAAUAAAUGAAUUAAUAAAAGUUACUAAUAACUAAAAAUAAAUAAAUGAAAUAUAGUUUCACUGAUUUAGUAUCUUUUAAAUUUUUUUUCUUUCUAUAUAUUCGAAGAGUUGUUUCAACAUGUUAGGUUAAAGGUAUUAAUAAAAAGCAUGAGGGUAUAAUAGUCUUUGUAAGUAGAAUUAGCUUGUUCAUGAAAGUUGUCUUUAAUGCUUUCUUUGUUGAACCUUAGAGUUGUUUCGACAUGUUAGGUUAAAGGUAUUAAUAAAAAGCAUGAGGGUAUAAUAUUCUUUGUAAGUAGAAUUAGCUUGUUCAUGAAAGUUGUCUUUAAUGCUUUCUUUGUUGAACCUUAGAGUUGUUUCAACAUGUUAGGUUAAAGGUAUUAAUAAAAAGCAUGAGGGUAUAAUAAUCUUUUUAUGUAGAAUUAGCUUGUUAAUGAAAAUUGUCUUUAAUACUUUGUUUGUUGAACCUUAGCAAUAUCAUUACAGAAAAGUUCACCCUUUUUCAUUUAAUUACAAUCAUGAUCUUUAAAAAAAGACCUCCCUUUUGUACUUAAUUACAAUAAUGCUUUGAGUGCUAUUGAAUAUGGUGGACCAUACUUAUUAAAAUAUUUAAUUAAAUAUUUCAUAUAUUUUUCCAGUUUGAAAUUUAAGUUUAUAAGCCUAUUUACUUUCAUAUUCUAUGUCAAUUAGUUAGUAAAAAAAAAAUCAAUUGUAACCUUGCUUAAUGGGUAUACUUGAAGGAAGAAAUGAAACAAGAAAGUUUUGUUGAGUUGAGAGAGUAUAACAAUAUAAUUUGGCUGAAAAGGGAGUAUAUACUAGAUGAGUAUUUCCAGUUAAGGAAUAAUUUUCUGUUGCUAUUCAUAUGAUGCCUUAUCAGAUCGUCUCAUUUGGCUGAAAGUUAACACUUCAAAAUUUAUAAUUCUAUCGGUUUACCUACUAUAGAUAUUAGAAGGCUAAUAAUUGCUGAUAAAAAGGAUACUUUUUUUAUAUUUUACACUUUCUUAGUGAAAAUAUUGACUCGUCACUUGGGACCCAAAAUAAAAAGUGACAAGAAACUUUUGGUACCAACUGCAUAUGCAUUUGCCACCAGCUUCAUGUAAAUCCAACAAACCGAUGACCCAACUUAUGUAUAUAAUAAUUUUCCAAAAAUUUCCAAGUUUUUCCUAAAAGCUCAUAAACUUUCGAUCCACGAGUUCGAACAUUUGUGUGGGCGAGUACCUCCUCUUAAUGUAGUUGGAAUAGAUAAAAGAUCUAGUAUUUUAAUCUGUUGGGAAACAUUGGUAGAUUCUGGGCUUUGGGGUGGGAUGCUUGUUGAAAUUGGGGGCAGAAACAGCUCGAGUGAGAGAGAGGAGUUAUAGAUGGUCCAUUGAGGAGGUUGGCGGAGGAGAUGUCUAAUGCCAGAUUCUCUGUAGUUGUAGGCGAAGAGAUAAAAAUUGAUGCCAGAAAUAUUAUAGAACCUCUUUAGUUGCAUACUCAGUUGUGUCUGAGCCUACUUCAUUUAUUGAGGCAUGUACGAAUCCUGAGUGGAUCAAUGUUAUGAAAGCUGAAAUUUCAGCUCUUGAAGAAAAUGGUACCUAGUUGAUUGUUGAUUUUCCCGCCGGUAAAGUUCGUAUUGGUUGUAAGUGGGUGUUCAGUACACUUCCUAAGGGGUUGUAGAUAGAUAUAAGUCAAAGUUGAUUGGCAAAGGUUACAGGGUUUUGCGCUAUAGGUUACAAAAGAGUUUUAAAAUGAGGCGCAGGUGACACAAGUCUUAAUUAUUAGGUGGAGGUGAUAAUUAUUUUAUUAUGGAUUGAGAAAGUUGAAAAAGUUUGAAAAUAACCCACAUAUUUUUAAAUUUACACUUUGUUCCAAAUAUUAGUUAAUAUACCAAAAAUGAAGGGAAAAAAGGUGUGUUUCUCUCUCUUUUCAUCCGUUGUUGUUUUCUCCCUCUUCACGACUAUUAUUAUUCAUUGUUGUUGUUGCUGUUUUAUUCAUCAUCUUCUGCUUCAUUAUCAUCAUCUUCUACUUCAUUAUCAUCUUCAUCUUCUUCUUAUCGACCAUUGUUGUUGUUGCUACCGCUACUGUUGCUAUUUUACCAAUUUCUUAGCUCAAAUUUUUUUUCGAACAUCACCACUUUUCACUUUGACAUUACUUCAUUGGUAAGUUAAAUUAUAAUUUUUAGUCGAAUUUGUCAUCUGGGUUACAAAGUUACUGCUGUUUUUUCCAACAAUAGAUAGAAGUCAAUCAUGAAUCUAACAUAAGUGCGCACAAUUUAAACAGAUCACUCAUCUGGUGCAUUAGAUGAGUAAUCUGUUGCAACAAAAGAUAAAUCUGUUGCAUCAGACUGAUUAUCUGUUGUGUCAGACUGAUUAAUCUGUUUGGAACAACACAAAUCAGCCCCUGCCACAAACCCAAUAGAUAACCAAUAUGUUUUGCUAUUGCUACUGGAUUCAAAAUUAUUUCUUACGUCCAAUCGUUGACAUGUUUGUUGAGAAUAUAAUAGACAGAAUGAAAAUUAAAUACUUCCUCCGUCUCAAAUUACCCAUCCCAAAUUUUCUAAUUUGAUUUCUUAUUUUGCUUGUCUUUUUUUAUUAAUCAAGAAGAGAUAAAAAAAAUUCCAUGUUUUAACCUUUGAAUUAAUCAUUUUUUCUUCAAAUUAAAAUGUAAACAACAUUUAAUAGGGGUAUUAUGAUAAACUAGGCAUGUUAUUAAUUAUUUUUCUUAAUCAAUGUGCCAUCUCAAUUUGGGACGGGUGCGUUAAUGUGUGAGACGGGGGGAGUUAUCUAUUGAAACAGACUAGUUAUCCGUUGCAACAUAUGAGUAAUCUACUUGGAACAACAUACAUCAGCCCCUGCCACAAACCCAACAGAUAAAUCUUAAAUCUUGCUAUUGCUACUGGAUUCAAAAUUACUCCUUACGUCCAAUCGUCGACAUGUUCGUUGAGAAGAUAAUAGACAGAAUGAAAAUUAAAUAUGAAUUAAAACGGUCAAAGUUGAUCAAACAUAAUUUUUUUAUUAAGCUAAAACAAAUAAAAAUACAUAUACAAACUUAGAAAGAAAGAAGAAUAAAAUAAUCUAAUUAUUAUUAAUAGAUUCUUCAUUAUUAUUAUUAUUAUCGCCAGGCACAUCUUGGACAGGCAGCAGAAGCACCCUUUUUAUCCUGCGGAUCUUCCGCAACAUCCUUACUCUGACAGCGGCCAACUCCCACUAUAUAUCAUGUACCUGUCUCUGUAGUUCUCGUACGCCGUCUCAUAAAAUAGUGACAUCCACACUGAUCGUUCAUAUCUAGAACACGCAUAAAUUGACAAAAACCGCAAAAAUAAAAGUAAAGAAAAGAAUUCAAAAGUAAUACAAUGUAUAUUUACACAAAAAGCAAGAAAAACACUUACCAGAGACAGGGAAAAACAAUCAAGUUCUUGAAGAGAAAGUAUUUGAAGGUGUAGCAAGAAAUAAAUAGAUAUAUGUAGUAGAAUGAACGAGUAAGGAGGGACCUAUUUAUAGAGGAUUGAAUUUGAAUGAGUUAGGCAAAAAGGAGCUACUGUUCACCUUCAUUUAUUAAUACUGGUGACUUUUUGAGUACUGUGGAAAGUUGUGACUUGAUAAGUUCUUUUCAGUGACCCUUUUUUUUAGUUGUGGCAACAAAUUAUAUAUCUGUUGCAUCAGAUAACCCAUCUGUGACAACAGAUAUACCAUUUGUUGUAACAAAUCUAUGAUCUGUUACAACAAAUAUCUUUUUAAUAAUCAUCGUAUCUUUAUCUUUAAUUCAAAUUUGGUGAAUUUUUUAUUUUAUAAAUUAAAAAAACAGAUUUAAAAACAAAAAGGUGCGACUGUUCACCUCCAUUUAUUAAUACUGGUGACUUUUUGAUUACUGUGGAAAGUUGUCUUGAUAAGUUCUUUUCAGUGACCGGUUUUUUGAGUUGUGGCAACAGAUAAUGUAUUUGUUGCAACAUAUAUCUUUUUAAUAAUCACCAUAUCUUUAUCUUUAAUCUAAAUUUGGUGACUUUUUUAUUAUUAUAUAAAUUAAAAAAACAGAUUCAAAAAUAAAAAGGCGCGACUGUUCACCUCCAUUUAUUAAUACUUGUAUUUUUUUAAUUACUGUGGAAAGUUGUGACUUGAUAAGUUCUUUUCAGUAACCGUUUUUUUUAGUUGCAACAGAUAUACCAUUUCUUGCAACAAAUCUACGAUCUAUUGCAUCAGAUAAUAUAUCUGUUGCACAUAUAAGAUAUCUUUUUUAAUAAUCAACAUAUCUUUAAUUCAAAUUUGGUAGUAUUUAUUAUAUAAAUUAAAAAAAUAGAUUUAAAAAUAAAUAUGUCGAAGAGUCACGAUCAGUUAUUAAAGUUAAAUAACCGUUCUGUUAUGGUUAUAAAUUGUGUUUAUCAUUUAUUUUUUUAUUAUAUUUACAAACCAUUUUUCAUAUUAAAUAAUCGAAAAGUCAUGUCUUUUCACCCUCUCAAUAACAAUAAUUUUUUUUUAUUAAUAACCGUCUGUUGUAACUCAUUACUAUUAUUAUUAUUAUUAUUAUUAUUAUUAUUAUUAUUAUUAUUAUUACUAUUAGUAUUGUCAACUGGACAAUUUUCAUCCAGCAGCAGCAGGGCCCUCCUCAGCCUUGCUCUGAAGUUGGCCAAAUCCCUCUGGAGUUCAUCAAACUGCCUUUGAAGUUCCUACAAGGACACGAUAGGAAUCUUCUUGUACGAAUCUGGAUCAAACAUAUUUGUAUUAUAAGUGUAGUAGAAUGAACGAGUGAGAGGAGGUCGGAGAGACCUAUUUAUAAAAUGAUUGAAUUGGAAGGGGUGACUAAGUCAAACGAAAAGCCACGACUGUUCAUAUCCCUUAAUUAAAUAAAGCUGGUGAAUUUUUGAAUAUGUAAAUUAAAAAAAUUUAUGUAAAUUGAAAAAAAUGGAUCUAAAUAUAAUAUUUUAUCUUUUUAUUGUAUUUCGAAAAGAAAAAAAAUUGCUUUAAAAUAAAUCUAACAGAUGGGUAACCUGUUACAAAAUAUAUUUCAUCUGUCAGAUAACUUACAACAUAUUGACAAUCUGUUGCAACAGAUGGAUAUAUCAGUUUGCUUUUCCAACAGAUGUGGCGUCUGUUGAAACUUGUCAGUCAUCUGUUUAUUCAAUUUCAUCGAGAGGAUCAAAUUUUUCUAAAUUCAAGCUGGCCUCCAAACUCAAUUUUUGCUCUUGGGUUGCUUCUCUUUUUUUCUAUGUAUCCUUCAAGCUAGCCUCCAAACUCAAUUUUUGCUCUUGGAUUGCUUCUUUUUUUUUUCUUUGCAUCCUCCAAAUUGGACAGUUUGAAGGAUGCAAAGAAAAAAAAAGAAGCAAUCCAAGAGAAAAAAUUGAGUUUGGAGGCCAGCUUGAAGGAUGCAAAGAAAAAAAGAGAAGCAAUCCAAGAGCAAAAAUUGAGUUCGGAGGCCAGGAAGUGUUUAGAAAAAUCUGAUGCACUCGAUCCAAUUGAAUAAACAGAUGACUAGAAAGUUACAACAGAUGCCACAUCUGUUAGAAAAUACAGUACUGAAACAUAUAUGGAUAGUGCAGCACUCAAUGCAAAAUAGUUUUCUGAUUGAAGUAAGUCUUGAGAAGACAUAAUCAGUAAUCUCUCGAUAUCAGCUUUCACUGUGUCAAGCAGUUUUGUAGAUAUCUUGUCCUCUACGGGAGAAGAUUGAUCAAUAGAAAAACCAAGUGAUUGAGAUCGUAUAAUCUGUUGACUAACUUGAACAAAAAUGUCUUCUGAAUUAUCAAAUGACACAGGGCAGUCUAGUGGUUCAAUAACAUCGGAUGUAUUGCUUCCGGUAUUAGCUAAUGAUUGGGAGAUUCUGCCUUCCUAACCAUCCUGAAAAGAAAAACCUCUCAAAAUUAGAUGGAGUAACUCAGUAACUCAACAUAACGACACAAGAUACUAGCAUUCAGUUUUUCCUUCCUAUUCCUCCCUUUUUUAUCUUCUCACCUUUUUCAGAUCCAAUUUUUUUUUCCAAAUACUUGAUAAUGCCAUGGAAGGCAUUCUUCUACCGCACCUUUUGGCGUAUAGUUUUUCACCAACCACUCAUUUUUCCUUGAAGGCAUUCUUCUAUCGCACCUUUUGGCGUAUAAUCAUCACCACGAGCAACCAAACCAUAUAAAUUUGGGCUAGGGCAAUAACUAUAUUAGUUUUCUGUUCUUGUUAGAUGUAGUGCUAGUCUUUGAAGGCUUUCUUAGAGUCUAAUGCACCCUAAAAGUUAGUCCAAUCGCUAUUGAAUCUCUUUACAAUGACACCAAAACUAGCUUGACAAAUAAAUAUGAGCAACAACUGACAUUAAAUCUUAACAAGGUAUCAGAAUCAUAUUCAUGGUCCCUCAGCCUUAUCAGUUCGAACCUACCAAACUUAAUUGCAGAUAUCUUGUUUGAAUGAUCUAUGAUCAAUCGAUAAAAACAACAUUCAUAAAAUUAGUGUACUCUAUAUGUGUUUCCACGAUAACAUUAUCAGUAAUACCUCUCACAUAUGAAGUGGUUCCAUAUGUAUGUAGUUUAUUCCUCCGAACCCAUAUUUAUUGUAACCUCUUGUGAUGGUCGGGCAUAAUUUGAUCAACUUUCAGUUCCUUAUAUCUACAAAGAAGAGGAAAAAAAUUAAUGUCACGGAAAGAACAUUAUUCAUCUGUUCCAACAGAUGUAGAGUCUGUUGCAUCAGAUGAGGAGUCUAUUACAUCAGACGAGGAGUUUGUUGCAUCAAAUGUGGAGUCUGAUCCAACAGAUGUGGAGUUUGAUGCAAUAGAUAUGGAGUAUGUUGCAACAAAUAUGGAGUUUGUUGGAAUACAUCAAACCAGCCUUGCUGGUAGUUUAAUUUGUUCCAACAGUUUCUCCGUCUGUUGCAACAUCAAUUACAACAUAAACUACAAAGAAACAACAAAUAAAAAACAUCAACAACAAAGAAAACAACAACAUUUGUUCCAACAAUAUCAUCAACAACAAAGAAGCAGCAUCCUAUGUUCCAACACCAUCAACAGCAAUAUACCACAAGUUCCAACAAUGCCUACCCCACCAACAACAUCAAUAACAACAUCAACAAUAAAGAAAUAAAUAAAAUACAUACAAGAAAAUGAUAUUGCCAAUAAGACUUUUAAACUUCUCUCAACAGAUGACUUUUUUCGCAUAUUGUAAUAAAAAUUCACUAUUCGUUUAUUCAACAAUUAAAAGUUCCUUCAAAUUUUUUAAAUAAAUAUGACAUGGGUAAAUGAUAAUUAAAUAAAAAACAGUUGUAAAUAACUUCCAAAGAAGAAGAUGAGAAUGAAAGAGCAAUAGUGAACCAUACCUUAAUGUCAAAAGAGGAUCAAAAUAACAAUUUCAGUCGAGGAAUCUACGAUAUGGAUCGGUUUAGAUCUGAAAGGAUUUUUAUGAGAAAGAGGAGAGAAAAAAGGCAGUGAUAACCCUAAACAGGAGAGAAAGAAAAAGAUGAGAGACAGAUAAAAUAAAUUUAGGGCUGAAGGAGAGAUGAAAUAAUUCUAAUUUCUAGAUGUACUACCCUUAAUAUUAAAUGACUAAACAAAGUGUAUUUAUUCAACUUUAUAUUUUCAAAGCAUAAUUAAUAAGGCUAAUUUGAUAAAAUAAAUCCCAAAUUAAUAGUAGUAUUUUUUUAAUGGGUGUGCCAAGUCAAUAGGGGCCAACUAAUAUGAAAUGGAGGAAGUAUUACGAGUUUUAAUAUUCAUUAAUUAAUACUAUUCAUUAAUAAUUUGAGAGGCACGAGGAAGAAAAUGGGUGACAUUGAAAACACAGGACAAGACUACUCAAUGUGAUUUUUGAGUUAUCCAAGAAACAUUUUUUACCGUCUUUAGUAGUACUACUUUAUCUACUCAGACAGAAGGUUGCUUUUAAAUUAAAAGAAAAAAAAAGAUUUUCAAACAGAUAUGUCGUCUGUUGCAACAAAUAUAAAUAUCUGUUUGAAAAAUCCCAACAGCUCAGUGAUUUGUGACAACAGAUACAAAUGUCCAUUUGAUAACUAAAUCAGCUAUGUCAUCUGUUACAACAGAUAUCAAUAUCUGUUUAAAAAUUUCCAACAACUCAGUCAUCUGUCACAAUAGAUGUAAAUGCCUAUUUGAUAAUUAAAUCAAAUAUAUCAUCUGUUGCAAUAAAUAUGAUUAUUUAUUUGAAAGUAUCCAACAGCUAAGUUGUUUGUUGCAACAGAUUUCAUUGCAAUCAAUUUAGGUGGAACUAGGGAUAAAUGAAUGAGCUCACAGGGUCAACAACAAUUUUAAUUGUGUCGUUGCAUUUGCAUGGUGUUAGUAUUGCGUUCAUCCAGAUCCGAGCGUUGAUCGAUCACUCUGAGUUAAAAUGAGUUCUCAUUAACUUAAUGUUAAGAUUAAUAAUAGUACCUACAUUGAUUUAGGUGGAACUAGGGAUGAAUGAAUAAUCUCACAGGGUCAACAACAAUUUUAAUUGUGUCGUUGCAUUUGCAUGGUGUUAGUAUUGCGUUCAUCCAGAUCCGAGCGUUGAUCGAUCACUCUGAGUUAAAAUGAGUUCUCAUUAACUUAAUGUUAAGAUUAAUAAUAGUACCUACAUUAAUUUAGGUGGAACUAGGGAUGAAUGAAUGAGCUCACAGGGUUAACAAUAACUUUAAUUGAGUUGUUCCAUUUACAUGGUGUUGGUAUUGAGUUCAUCCCGACCCAAGUCGUCGAUCGAUCACUCUGAGUUGAAAUGAGUUCUCAUUAACUUAAUGCUAAGAUUAAUAAUAGUACCUACAUUGAUUUAGAUAAAACUAGCGAUGAAUGAAUGAACUCACAAGGUCAACAACAACUUUAAUUAAGUAGUUGCAUUUGCAUUGUGUAUGUAUUGCAUUCAUCCCGACCCGAGUUGUCGAUCGAUCACUCUGAGUUGAAAUGAGUUCUCAUUAACUUAAUGCUAAGAUUAAUAAUAGUACCUACAUUGAUUUAGGUGGAACUAGGGAUGGAUGGAUGAGAUCACAGGGUCAAAAACAACCUUAAUUGAGUCGUUCCAUUUGCAUGGUGUUGGUAUUACGUUCAUCACGAUUCGAGUCGUCGAUCGAUCACUCUAAGUUGAAAUGAGUUCUCAUUAACUUAAUGUUAAGAUUAAUAAUAGUACCUACAUUUAUUUAAGUGGAACUAGGAAUGAAUGAACGAGCUUACAGGGUGAUACACUAUCAAGUCCACAAUGCAAGAAUCCAGCAACAACGACAAGAUGAACAAACUAACACAAGAACAACAAGUUGAACAACAAGUUAUAGUGAAUCGAAAUAGGCCACACGCGACUUCACUAGGAUUUAGGAAUCACGUUUUUAGAACAAGAUGAUGAAGUUUUCAAUAAGAACCAGCAAGUCAACAAGGUGCUGUGAAUCGAAAGAGCCCCACAAGGCUUCACUAGACUUCAAGAUUCCAAAACACAAUCUUACAAGAUUACAAGAAAAUUGUAACUUGAAAUGUAAUAUUCAAGAGUCUAAGAACCCUAAAAACAAUAGAGGACCCUAAGACUAAAGAAUAUUAACACCAAGUUCUUACUUGGACCAAGAGAAAUUCUAUGACCUCAAGAUCCCUGUUUCUAGCCAAGAUACACCACAAGUAUCACUCUACUUGUGAGUUUUCAAAUUUGGGGGUUCUCCUAUGGAAGAGGGAGAAGUUCCUUAAUAUUAUAAAUGUUUAUGUUUCAAAAUAUUAUGAAAGAACUAGCUGCCAAAUAACCCUAAUAUCAUUUAUUUAUAUUACACCAUAAAUAAAGGAGAAAAUAACUAGAUUGCCCUUGCCAUGGGGUGGCCUUGGAGUGUAAGUUAAUUACACUUCAAGGUUUCUAUUCACACUUAAAAAUAUUUAGACCGUUAGGUGGAUCAAUCACCAACUCACAUACGACCAUUUGCAUGAACAAGGCUUGGAGUUUUUGUAACUCUCGAGCUUGGCUACGUGUGAAUGGUCGUGAACUUGUUGGACAACUUGCUACAUCCGUAUCAUCCUCUCUAUCUUGAGAGGAAUUUGACCUAAAAUUCAGCAUUUGGUCGUCUUCAACCACAUCCAUGAGAGAAAGAUCACGCACGUUGAAAGUGUUGUGCACUUGAUAUUUCGGUGGAAGGUCAAUCUUGUAGGCGUUGUCAUUGAUUUUCUCAAGUACUUGGAAUGGACCAUCACCCCUCGGCAUCAGUUUGGACUUCCUUUGAGAUGGAAACCGAUCCUUUCGAAGAUGCACCCAUACCUAAUCUCCUGGUUCAAGAAUGAGUUUUUUUCUCCCCUAGUUGGCCCUUUUUGCAAUUUCUUGGUUUUUCUUUUCAAGUUGAAGCCGAACCUUCUCAUGCAAUUUCUUCAUAGAAUCUUCCCGAUUGCUUCCAUCUAAGCUAAUCAUGUGACCACUUGUCAGUGGCGUUAAAUCAAAAGGGGUAAGGAGGUUGAGGCCGUAUACACACUCAAAGGGAGUCAUUACCGUACUUGAGUAAAUGAUACGGCUAUAGGAAAACUCAAUCAAUGGUAAGUGAUCCUCCCAAGAAGUCAUUUUUUCCUUAAUCAUGGAACGUAGCAUAGCACCCAAAGGCCUGUUUACUACUUUUGUUUGGCCAUCGGUUUGUGGGUGGCAAGACAUAGAGAACAACAACUUGGUACCAAGCCUACCCCACAUAGACUUCCAAAAGUGACUUAGGAAAUUAGAGUCCCUGUCACUCACAAUGGUCCUCAAAACACCAUGCAAUUUGACAUUAUUAUCAACAAACAAAGAGGCCACGCUAGGUGCGUCAUCACAUUUAAAGCAAGGAAUAAAGUGUGCUAUCUUAGAAAACCAAUCGACUACAACAAAGAUACUAUCCAAGCCUCGUCUAGUUCUUGGCAGCCCUAACACAAAAUCCAUAGAUAUAUCAAUCCAAGGACGUAGAGGGGUGGGCAGCGGGGUGUACAACCCAUGAGGUAGGAGCCGAUAUUUGGCUUCUUUGCAUUCUACUCAUUGGCCGCAAAUUCUAACCACAUCCUUGUGCAAUCUUGGCCAAUAAAAUUUCUCCUCCAAUAUUCUGAGGGUCUUUUCGACCCCAAAAUGACCCAUUAAACCACUAUCAUGUGCUUCCCUCACAAACAACUCUCUCCAAGAGCUAGAGGGUACACACAAUCAUCUACCUUUAAAUAAGUAACCAUCAAACUUGGCAUAGGGAUUUGUACCCCUAACCGAAUCCCACUUGUCCCUACCCAAUUCUUCGCAUUCCCUAAAGAUAGGAGCAAAGUGAGGGUCCUCGGGAUAUAAUCCUUUUAAGCUCUGAAAACCCAUUAAUUUUAAUGACAAAGUGGACACAAAAACAUGUUUUCUAGACAAAGCAUCGGCUACUACAUUUUCCUUACCCUUCUUGUAUUAGAUAACAUAAGGAAAGGUUUCAAGAAACUCAAUCCAUUUGGCAUGCCAUUUGUUAACCUUGUCUUGUGCCCGAAGAUGCUUUAAGGAUUCAUGGUCCGUUCGGAUCAUGAACUCCUUAGGCCAUAAAUAGUGUUGCCAAGUGGCUAAGGCUCCAAUCAAGGCAUACAACUCUAAAUCAUACGUGGAGUAGUUUAGAGUUGCUCCUUUGAGAUUUUCGCUAAAGUAAGCAAUGGGUUUUAAAUCUUGCAUCAAAAUAUCCCCUAUGCCUACUUUACUCGCAUCGCACUCGACUUACAAUGUCUUAUCAAAGUUGGGCAAUUGUAACAAAGGCGCAAAGAUGAGCAUAGCUUUCAAAGCUUCAAAAGCCUUAGCUUGCUCGUCACCCCACUUGAAGGGUUGAUCUUUCCGAAUGACCUCGGUCAAAGGGGCGGCUAUGGUGCUAAAUCCUUUAACAAACCUUCUAUAAAAACUAGCCAACCCAUGGAAGCUUCUUACUUCUCCAACGGGUCGUGGGAUUGGCCAUUUUUUUAUAGCGUUUAUCUUGGAUUCAUCCACUUCGACCCCUCUUGAACUAACAACAAAACCUAAGAAAACAACUUCAUUAACACCAAAGGAGCAUUUUUUAGAUUUGCAUACAAUUUUUCCUUUCUACAAACAUCAAACACACAUAGUAAAUGCAUCACAUGCUCAUCUAAAGACUUGCUAUAAACCAAGACAUCGUCAAUGUAGAAAACAAUAAAAUUUCCAAUAAAUGGCUUCAUCACAUGAUUCAUUAGCCUCAUAAAAUUACUUGGAGCAUUUGUUAGGCCGAAUGGCAUAACCAUCCAUUCAUAGAGACCAAAUUUGGUCUUGAAGGCGGUUUUUCAUUCAUCACCGGGCUACAUUCUUAUUUGGUGAUAACAACUCCUUAAAUCAAUCUUCAAAAAUGAACACGAACCAUUCAAUUCAUCAAGCAUAUCAUCUAACCUAGGGAUAGGGUGACGAUAUUUUACCGUAAUCUUAUUGAUGGCUCGGCAGUCCAUACACAUACGCCAUGUUCCAUCUUUCUUAGGCACUAGUAGCACCAGAACCGUGCAUGGACUCAUGCUCUUCUUGAUAUACCCUUUGUUGAGGAGUUCCUUAACUUGACGUUGCAAUUCCUUAGUGUUCGUAGGGUUGCUUCUAUAUGCUGGCUUGUUUGGCAAUUGUGAGCUUGGCACAAAGUCAAUUUGGUGCUCAAUUCCCUGAAGUGGGGGCAAUCUUCGCAGAAGUUCUUUGGGAAAUACAUCUUCAUAAUCCUGCAAUACACAAGAAAUCAAAGGAGAAAUGGAAGAAUUAGUGGGGUUAGUGUUAAAACAAUGAGCCAAAAGUGACAUAGGCAUGUCCUCAUCAUGAUCCACAAAGAGUUCCUUGUUUCUAACCAACAUCACCAUGUUUUCUUUCUCUUUUGAUGUUGAGGCAACCUUGGAUACCCCUAUUGCCCCACCUACGGGUUCCCCUCUUUUUUCUUCUUUUUCAGAUUUCUUUCCCUUUUCCUUUAAUUCUCUCAUCUUUUGAUGCCACUCAUUUACUUAGGAAGGCAAAUGAGAAUGAAGUGUAACCUUUCGGCCACCCUUCUCAAGUGUAUAUCGAUUAGACCUCCCAUCAUGUUUGGUAGACCUAUCAUAUUGCCAAGGUCUACCUAACAACAAGUGACACGCUUACAUCGGUAUCACGUCACAAAGCACUUCAUCGUGGUAGUUUCCCACGUUAAACCGUAUCACACAUUGCCUUGUGACCUUUAAUUCACCUCAUUCAUUCAACCAUUGCAACUUGUAAGGACUAGUGUGCGGUGUAGUUAGCAACUUCAAGAAGUUUACCAUAGCAACACUAACAACAUUUGCACAACUACCACUAUCAAUCACCAAAGUGCACACACUCCCCUUUAUAAGAUAUUUAGUAUGGAAUAUAUUUUCCCUUUGACUUGGGUCAUCUAUUGCCUUACUAAUCAUGACGCGCCUAACUACAAAUUUUGGAGAGUAACGCCUCAGAAAAUGGGUCCCAGAGUGUCACACGGUGCUUUAGGCUACGAGUAGCCCCAAGCUAACCCUUUGAGCCAUUUUCAUUCAGUUCAACACAAAUCAACGGGGUUUCCAUAAAUAACCCUCAAAUAUCAACAGAGUAAUCAUCAUCCAAGAAUAAAAGAAUUUCAGAAAGAUAACAAAAUAUGACUUAUUAGUCAGCUCCNNNNNNNNNNNNNNNNNNNNNNNNNNNNNNNNNNNNNNNNNNNNNNNNNNNNNNNNNNNNNNNNNNNNNNNNNNNNNNNNNNNNNNNNNNNNNNNNNNNNNNNNNNNNNNNNNNNNNNNNNNNNNNNNNNNNNNNNNNNNNNNNNNNNNNNNNNNNNNNNNNNNNNNNNNNNNNNNNNNNNNNNNNNNNNNNNNNNNNNNNNNNNNNNNNNNNNNNNNNNNNNNNNNNNNNNNNNNNNNNNNNNNNNNNNNNNNNNNNNNNNNNNNNNNNNNNNNNNNNNNNNNNNNNNNNNNNNNNNNNNNNNNNNNNNNNNNNNNNNNNNNNNNNNNNNNNNNNNNNNNNNNNNNNNNNNNNNNNNNNNNNNNNNNNNNNNNNNNNNNNNNNNNNNNNNNNNNNNNNNNNNNNNNNNNNNNNNNNNNNNNNNNNNNNNNNNNNNNNNNNNNNNNNNNNNNNNNNNNNNNNNNNNNNNNNNNNNNNNNNNNNNNNNNNNNNNNNNNNNNNNNNNNNNNNNNNNNNNNNNNNNNNNNNNNNNNNNNNNNNNNNNNNNNNNNNNNNNNNNNNNNNNNNNNNNNNNNNNNNNNNNNNNNNNNNNNNNNNNNNNNNNNNNNNNNNNNNNNNNNNNNNNNNNNNNNNNNNNNNNNNNNNNNNNNNNNNNNNNNNNNNNNNNNNNNNNNNNNNNNNNNNNNNNNNNNNNNNNNNNNNNNNNNNNNNNNNNNNNNNNNNNNNNNNNNNNNNNNNNNNNNNNNNNNNNNNNNNNNNNNNNNNNNNNNNNNNNNNNNNNNNNNNNNNNNNNNNNNNNNNNNNNNNNNNNNNNNNNNNNNNNNNNNNNNNNNNNNNNNNNNNNNNNNNNNNNNNNNNNNNNNNNNNNNNNNNNNNNNNNNNNNNNNNNNNNNNNNNNNNNNNNNNNNNNNNNNNNNNNNNNNNNNNNNNNNNNNNNNNNNNNNNNNNNNNNNNNNNNNNNNNNNNNNNNNNNNNNNNNNNNNNNNNNNNNNNNNNNNNNNNNNNNNNNNNNNNNNNNNNNNNNNNNNNNNNNNNNNNNNNNNNNNNNNNNNNNNNNNNNNNNNNNNNNNNNNNNNNNNNNNNNNNNNNNNNNNNNNNNNNNNNNNNNNNNNNNNNNNNNNNNNNNNNNNNNNNNNNNNNNNNNAUAUCUCAAAUAUUCAACAUCAACGUGCUUAUAACACACAGUUUUUCAAAAAAACACAAUUUCCAAUAGGGAUUCACGACCCAAAUAUCAAAAUCAUGAUAAAUAUCAUUCAAGAUUCAUGCUUUAUAUCUCCACACAUGUAAAUUCAUUUUUCAAAAUCAUAAACAUCAAGAUUUCAUAAUAAUCAUCAUAAGAUAUGGGUUCAUGCUUCAAAUUCAUAAAAAUCAAAUAAAAAUCAUGCCUUUGUAAAGAAAAUUACUUUUGGGCACAAGAACGAAAGAGAGUUCUUGUUGAAAAAUCCCACAUAUCUUGAAUGAUGAACUUUAGAUCGAUACUCAUUUUUGAGAUGUUAAUCGUGCCUUUGAAUAAUGGUUCUUGGAGUUCUUGAACUAGGAACUUGGAAUCUUGUAUAAAUUUACAGAAUUAAUGGUGAACUUUUGAGGUUCUUGAAGUUGGAUGUAGGAGCUUAGGGUCUUUUUUUUUUAAGGGAAUUUGAUGAAAUAUAACAUAUAAUGCUCUAAUAGGUUUUAAUACAGGGUUCAGACGGAUUUUGGGUGAGGGAAUGACCAAAACGCCCCUAAAAAUCAAAUAAUUCUCGAAUCUGUCCUUUGGUGGACUGUUUUGAUAGUCUGAAGUAGAUCAACCAUAAUGUUUUACUUCGAUAUCUAAAUUAGAUGAAACCAAUUUCAUUAGAAAGAGGACUCUCAUAUAUUUCCGUUGAUAUAUAGUAUCUCACCCAGAUCAUUGUGUACGAGGAGUUAUGAUCGUUUGAAGUUGACCCAAAAAUUCACUUUUGAUAGACUGAUGUAGAUCGAUCAUAAUUUUUUGCUCCAAUAGACAAAUUAGAUGAAACCAAUUUCAUUGGAAAGAGGACUCGCAGAGCUUUCCGUUGAUAUAGUAGAUCACCCAGAUCAUUAUGUACAAGGAGUUAUGAUCGUUUAAAGUUGGAGCAAACAUACGACAGGCCUCGGUACUUUUUCCUGCAUGUUUUUACUGUUCACUACUAUUCACGGUUCGAUCGGAAUGUUCAUAACUCGUCGCUCGGGUGUCCGUUUUGGAUGAUCCACAUAUCAUUGGAAAGCUUAUUCAAUACUCUACGCAAUGGUGGGUCAUAAUCUAACACAUUAUGUAUGGAAAAUUUAUAAUUCAUUCUAGAAGAUAGAACCUAACACGUUUACGCACAAAAUUUCAACGAAAAAUUUCCCGGGGUAUUACAUCAUCCCCUCCUUGGAAACAUUCAUCCUCAAAUGACGCUAGACAUACCAAGAUUAGAUACGGAAUAGAGCAUACAGAUGAAACCAUUUGUUAGACUCAUCACCACAUCGUUUCUCACUCCGAAUGCAACAUAGAAUCAAUAAAUUCAAGAAACUACAGCUGAACACAUAAUAAAUGACAGCUGAACUGCUGCAACUUUUAUCAAAAGUGCAUGAUUUAGGAAAGAACGGUAUCUUCAGCUUGAUCGGAGUUCGCGGAACAUAGGUGAGGGUACUUGGAUCGCAUAUCCGCCUCAGCUUCCCAAGUUGCUACCUCAUCAGAUUGGUUUCGCCACAACGCCUUGACCAAGGGAACUUCUUUGUUCCUUAGUCUUCGGACACUNNNNNNNNNNNNNNNNNNNNNNNNNNNNNNNNNNNNNNNNNNNNNNNNNNNNNNNNNNNNNNNNNNNNNNNNNNNNNNNNNNNNNNNNNNNNNNNNNNNNNNNNNNNNNNNNNNNNNNNNNNNNNNNNNNNNNNNNNNNNNNNNNNNNNNNNNNNNNNNNNNNNNNNNNNNNNNNNNNNNNNNNNNNNNNNNNNNNNNNNNNNNNNNNNNNNNNNNNNNNNNNNNNNNNNNNNNNNNNNNNNNNNNNNNNNNNNNNNNNNNNNNNNNNNNNNNNNNNNNNNNNNNNNNNNNNNNNNNNNNNNNNNNNNNNNNNNNNNNNNNNNNNNNNNNNNNNNNNNNNNNNNNNNNNNNNNNNNNNNNNNNNNNNNNNNNNNNNNNNNNNNNNNNNNNNNNNNNNNNNNNNNNNNNNNNNNNNNNNNNNNNNNNNNNNNNNNNNNNNNNNNNNNNNNNNNNNNNNNNNNNNNNNNNNNNNNNNNNNNNNNNNNNNNNNNNNNNNNNNNNNNNNNNNNNNNNNNNNNNNNNNNNNNNNNNNNNNNNNNNNNNNNNNNNNNNNNNNNNNNNNNNNNNNNNNNNNNNNNNNNNNNNNNNNNNNNNNNNNNNNNNNNNNNNNNNNNNNNNNNNNNNNNNNNNNNNNNNNNNNNNNNNNNNNNNNNNNNNNNNNNNNNNNNNNNNNNNNNNNNNNNNNNNNNNNNNNNNNNNNNNNNNNNNNNNNNNNNNNNNNNNNNNNNNNNNNNNNNNNNNNNNNNNNNNNNNNNNNNNNNNNNNNNNNNNNNNNNNNNNNNNNNNNNNNNNNNNNNNNNNNNNNNNNNNNNNNNNNNNNNNNNNNNNNNNNNNNNNNNNNNNNNNNNNNNNNNNNNNNNNNNNNNNNNNNNNNNNNNNNNNNNNNNNNNNNNNNNNNNNNNNNNNNNNNNNNNNNNNNNNNNNNNNNNNNNNNNNNNNNNNNNNNNNNNNNNNNNNNNNNNNNNNNNNNNNNNNNNNNNNNNNNNNNNNNNNNNNNNNNNNNNNNNNNNNNNNNNNNNNNNNNNNNNNNNNNNNNNNNNNNNNNNNNNNNNNNNNNNNNNNNNNNNNNNNNNNNNNNNNNNNNNNNNNNNNNNNNNNNNNNNNNNNNNNNNNNNNNNNNNNNNNNNNNNNNNNNNNNNNNNNNNNNNNNNNNNNNNNNNNNNNNNNNNNNNNNNNNNNNNNNNNNNNNNNNNNNNNNNNNNNNNNNNNNNNNNNNNNNNNNNNNNNNNNNNNNNNNNNNNNNNNNNNNNNNNNNNNNNNNNNNNNNNNNNNNNNNNNNNNNNNNNNNNNNNNNNNNNNNNNNNNNNNNNNNNNNNNNNNNNNNNNNNNNNNNNNNNNNNNNNNNNNNNNNNNNNNNNNNNNNNNNNNNNNNNNNNNNNNNNNNNNNNNNNNNNNNNNNNNNNNNNNNNNNNNNNNNNNNNNNNNNNNNNNNNNNNNNNNNNNNNNNNNNNNNNNNNNNNNNNNNNNNNNNNNNNNNNNNNNNNNNNNNNNNNNNNNNNNNNNNNNNNNNNNNNNNNNNNNNNNNNNNNNNNNNNNNNNNNNNNNNNNNNNNNNNNNNNNNNNNNNNNNNNNNNNNNNNNNNNNNNNNNNNNNNNNNNNNNNNNNNNNNNNNNNNNNNNNNNNNNNNNNNNNNNNNNNNNNNNNNNNNNNNNNNNNNNNNNNNNNNNNNNNNNNNNNNNNNNNNNNNNNNNNNNNNNNNNNNNNNNNNNNNNNNNNNNNNNNNNNNNNNNNNNNNNNNNNNNNNNNNNNNNNNNNNNNNNNNNNNNNNNNNNNNNNNNNNNNNNNNNNNNNNNNNNNNNNNNNNNNNNNNNNNNNNNNNNNNNNNNNNNNNNNNNNNNNNNNNNNNNNNNNNNNNNNNNNNNNNNNNNNNNNNNNNNNNNNNNNNNNNNNNNNNNNNNNNNNNNNNNNNNNNNNNNNNNNNNNNNNNNNNNNNNNNNNNNNNNNNNNNNNNNNNNNNNNNNNNNNNNNNNNNNNNNNNNNNNNNNNNNNNNNNNNNNNNNNNNNNNNNNNNNNNNNNNNNNNNNNNNNNNNNNNNNNNNNNNNNNNNNNNNNNNNNNNNNNNNNNNNNNNNNNNNNNNNNNNNNNNNNNNNNNNNNNNNNNNNNNNNNNNNNNNNNNNNNNNNNNNNNNNNNNNNNNNNNNNNNNNNNNNNNNNNNNNNNNNNNNNNNNNNNNNNNNNNNNNNNNNNNNNNNNNNNNNNNNNNNNNNNNNNNNNNNNNNNNNNNNNNNNNNNNNNNNNNNNNNNNNNNNNNNNNNNNNNNNNNNNNNNNNNNNNNNNNNNNNNNNNNNNNNNNNNNNNNNNNNNNNNNNNNNNNNNNNNNNNNNNNNNNNNNNNNNNNNNNNNNNNNNNNNNNNNNNNNNNNNNNNNNNNNNNNNNNNNNNNNNNNNNNNNNNNNNNNNNNNNNNNNNNNNNNNNNNNNNNNNNNNNNNNNNNNNNNNNNNNNNNNNNNNNNNNNNNNNNNNNNNNNNNNNNNNNNNNNNNNNNNNNNNNNNNNNNNNNNNNNNNNNNNNNNNNNNNNNNNNNNNNNNNNNNNNNNNNNNNNNNNNNNNNNNNNNNNNNNNNNNNNNNNNNNNNNNNNNNNNNNNNNNNNNNNNNNNNNNNNNNNNNNNNNNNNNNNNNNNNNNNNNNNNNNNNNNNNNNNNNNNNNNNNNNNNNNNNNNNNNNNNNNNNNNNNNNNNNNNNNNNNNNNNNNNNNNNNNNNNNNNNNNNNNNNNNNNNNNNNNNNNNNNNNNNNNNNNNNNNNNNNNNNNNNNNNNNNNNNNNNNNNNNNNNNNNNNNNNNNNNNNNNNNNNNNNNNNNNNNNNNNNNNNNNNNNNNNNNNNNNNNNNNNNNNNNNNNNNNNNNNNNNNNNNNNNNNNNNNNNNNNNNNNNNNNNNNNNNNNNNNNNNNNNNNNNNNNNNNNNNNNNNNNNNNNNNNNNNNNNNNNNNNNNNNNNNNNNNNNNNNNNNNNNNNNNNNNNNNNNNNNNNNNNNNNNNNNNNNNNNNNNNNNNNNNNNNNNNNNNNNNNNNNNNNNNNNNNNNNNNNNNNNNNNNNNNNNNNNNNNNNNNNNNNNNNNNNNNNNNNNNNNNNNNNNNNNNNNNNNNNNNNNNNNNNNNNNNNNNNNNNNNNNNNNNNNNNNNNNNNNNNNNNNNNNNNNNNNNNNNNNNNNNNNNNNNNNNNNNNNNNNNNNNNNNNNNNNNNNNNNNNNNNNNNNNNNNNNNNNNNNNNNNNNNNNNNNNNNNNNNNNNNNNNNNNNNNNNNNNNNNNNNNNNNNNNNNNNNNNNNNNNNNNNNNNNNNNNNNNNNNNNNNNNNNNNNNNNNNNNNNNNNNNNNNNNNNNNNNNNNNNNNNNNNNNNNNNNNNNNNNNNNNNNNNNNNNNNNNNNNNNNNNNNNNNNNNNNNNNNNNNNNNNNNNNNNNNNNNNNNNNNNNNNNNNNNNNNNNNNNNNNNNNNNNNNNNNNNNNNNNNNNNNNNNNNNNNNNNNNNNNNNNNNNNNNNNNNNNNNNNNNNNNNNNNNNNNUUGUCCAUCCUGUGGACAAUCUCUAACUCUGUGACCCAUGUCACCAUACCGAAAACAACCCCUCUUCUCACCCCAACACUCACCCGAAUGAGCCCUACCACACUUAGGACACAGGGGAUGAUUUGGCUUACUGCCAGCACUGUACUGGGACCUGGAUGCAUAUGACCUACUACCUUGCUCCUGCCUACGUCUAGGCACGGAAGCACUAGAAGAUGAUUGUGCUAUCAUAGACGAACGAUCCUGAUACUGAGGGCGACUCCUUCUCUACGAUCUAGUAUGACCCUAUUCGUGCUGCUCAGACCUAGCUCUCUUAUUCACUCUCAUUCUAUCUCUCUCCUUAAUCUUAUCUGCCUCAAUCUGUUAGGCGUGAGUCAUCAGCCUAGAAAGAUUUAUCUCACUAGCUAUCAUAGCAGACCUACACUUAUUAACCACAUAACUAGACACUCCAGUCAUAAACUUACUCAUACUAGCCCGAUUAUCAGCCACUAAGUCAAGAGCAUACUUGGCCAACUGAUUGAAUUUUAGACAGUACUCCCUAACAAUCAUAGAGCCUUGUCGCAGGUUCAUAAACUCUUCCACCUUCACCUCCCUUAUCUCCAAAGGGAAAAACUUAUCUAGAAAUACAUCCUGGAACUCUUGCUAAGUUAUAGGGAUAGCUCCCUUACCUCUACCUUUCCUCCAAGCAACAACCCAGUCAUAAGCAAGGUCUUUCAACCUAUACGCAGCCAACUCCACACUAUGUUCCUCAGAUACAUGCAUCACCUGAGUAAUCUUCCGCACCUUCUCUAGAAACAACCGUGGAUCCUCAUCAGACUUGGACCCAUAGAAUUCUGGUGGAUUCAUCUAUAUGAAUUCAUGGAUCCUGGCACCAGCUGAAUCACCUCCCUACUGCUGUGGAGCCGGGGUCGGGUUGGCCUAAACAUUUGCAGUAACAGCUUGGGCCAGUGGCUGAAAGGCUUCCCAAAAUAUAACAUAAGACACAUUUUCAUUCAAUGGGUCAGCGGGUUGAGGUUGCUAAUCAUCAUUAUUUCUUCUCGCUCAACGUGAAGGCAUAUUUCUGGAAGAUGAGAGCACGAAUCAAUAGCAGAGAGAGACAAAUUAAGCACGAUAGACUUCUCAAAAAAAAGAAUCACACUUUUUCCUAAAACGUCUUAUAGCCUCUUGCUCAUAGAUGUGGCGCACUACACACCGAUGAUUAAGACUCUACUUAACGUGGCUUGUCAGACUCCCUAGGACACCUUAAAACCUUAGGCUCUGAUACCAAGUUUGUAACACCUUGGAAAAUGGGUCCCAAAGCGUCACACGGUGCUUGAGGCUACGAGUAGCCCCAAGCUAACCCUUUGAGCCAUUUUUAUUCAGUUCAACACAAAUCAAUAGGGUUUCCAUAAAUAACCAUCAAAUAUCAACAGAGUAAUCAUCAUCCAAGAAUAAAAAAAUUUCAGAAAGAUAACAAAAUAUGACUUAUUAGUCAACUCCCAACAUCUAUACUAGUCUGAUAAGCCUCUAAGAAAAUCAAUAAAACCAGUGAGCCAUUGAGACACGCCCCAACUGACUCAUACUCAGUUAUCAAAUAUAAACGAUUCCGUGAAAGCAAUAUCAGACAUCACAUCCUCGGAACAUGAGGACUCACCAUAACAGAGGAUGUAGAACAGCGUGCCCGAAAAAUCACUGUCGAACCUAGAACUGAGCACCUGAACCUAUAUUUCAAGAAAAUACAGCCCACAUUCGAAGAUGUGGGUCAGUACCAUGGAAAGGAACAGAGUAUAUGGGGGUGUAUGCAGUUGUAUAAACAUCAUCAUCAUAAAUAUUUAUAAGAAAUAUGUAGGAUGUAUGAAAGACUCACAUAGCCCGAAGAAAAUCAUCAUAAUCAUGAGAGGAUGAAAUAAGUACAAUAACACAUGUGAGUCAUCAUAUAAUUUGUCAAUCACUUUCAGUUCAUCAAGAAUAUCAAUUCUCAUAAUGUAAAUAUCAUUUAAAUCUUUCGAAAGAAUAACUUUCACAAUUCCACUUUCAAAUCACUUCACCAUUCACCAUACACACAAGGAAACAUACACACACUGGGAGAUCCUAUAACCGACAUAAACCAUGUGAGCUACAUGGAGUCCAACGCACAACCCACGUUAGGGAUAGCCAUCCUAUCCUUGCCAUCGGAGUAGGACUAUCGAUAUCAAAUCCACACAAACUAGUAAUCGCUAUAUAAAUUAGCCUCAGGCUCACUCCUAUGGGGCACUUAGUUCUAGGGAAGUAAGGUCGCUUUAUACCUCCCACUCGGUGCUAAAGAUUUCUCCUGAACUUAGCUCAGAUCAUUUCAAAGACAAUCCACAACAAAAAAAUUUCAGUAAUAUAUAAAUAUACAUCGGGAGCCAUCAUGCUUCCCAUCUAUCAAAAUCAACCACGUUGUGGAUUUCUUUCACACUCGAGUUCAAAAUAACUCCAUUAAGACCAAAAGGUCAAAUCAUUCAAAAUAUCUCAAAUAUUCAACAUCAACGUGCUUAUAACACACACUUUCUCAAAAAUACACAAUUUCCAAUGGGGAUUCAUGACCCAAAUAUCAAUAUCAUGAUAAAUAUCGUUCAAGAUUCAUACUUUAUAUCUCCACACAUUUAAAUUCAUAUGUCAAAAUCAUAAACAUCAAGAUUUCAUAAUAAUCAUGAUAAGAUAUGGUUUAUGCUUCAGAUUCAUAAAAAUCAAAUAAAAAUCAUGCCUUUGUUAAGAAAAUUACUUUUGGGCACAAGAACAAAAGAGAGUUCUUGUUGAAAAACCUCACAUACCUUGAAUGAUGAACUUUAGAUCGAUACUCAUUUUUGAGAUGUUAAUCAUGCCUUUGAAUGAUGGUUCUUGGAGUUCUUAAACUUGGAAUCUUGUAUAAAUUUGCAGAAUUAAUAGUGAACUUUGGAGGUUCUUGAAGUUGGAUGUAGGAGCUUAGGGUUUUCUUUCUGAGGGAAUUUGAUGAAAUAUAAUAUAUAAUGCUUCUAAUAGGCUUUAAUAUAGGCUUUGGACGGAUUUUGGGUGAGGGGAAAUGACCAAAACGCCCCUAAAACUCAAAUAAUUCUUGAAUCUGUCCUUUGGUGGACUGUUUUGAUAGCCUAAAGUAGAUCAACCAUAACGUUAUACUUCGCUAUCCAAAUUGGAUGAAACCAAUUUCAUUAGAAAGAGGACUAUCAUAUAUUUCCAUUGGUAUAUAUAUUAUCUCACCCAGAUCAUUGUGUACGAGGAUUUAUGAUCAUUUGAAAUUGACCCAAAAAUUUGCUUUUGAUUGGCUGAAGUAGAUCGACCAUAACGUUUUACUCCGGUAGACAAAUUGGAUGAAACCAAUUUCAUUGGAAAGAGGACUCCCAGAUAUUUCCAUUGAUAUAUAGUAGAUCACCUAGAUCAUUAUGUACAAAUAGUUAUGAUUGUUUAAAGUUGGAGCAAAAAUACGCCGGCCUUAGUACUUUUUCCUGCACGUUUUACUGUUCACUACUAUUCAUGGUUCGAUCGGAAUGUUCAUAACUCGUCGCUCGGAUGUCUGUUUUGGAUGAUCCAUAUAUCGUUGGAAAGAUUAUUCGAUACUAUACAUAAUGGUGGGUCAUAAUCUAAGACAUUCCACACGAAAAAUUUAUAAUUCAUUCUAGAAGAUAGAACCCAACACAUUUACGCACAAAAUUUCAACAAAAAAUUUCCCGAGGAAUUACAUACUCCCCUUCUUGUGGAUUAAAAUAUUCACCAUCAUCAUCAUCAUCAUUAUCAUGUGGUCCAUUCUUGGGUUCCUCUCCAUCUUGAGGUUCGGCCUCAUCCUCUCCGUUUUCAAGACCCACCUUCUCUCAAGGUAAUACAAUCUCCCUUCCCAUAGGAUCAUGUUGCGUCGGUUUGGACAUUCAUUGGAUUUAUGUCCCCAACCUUGGCACUUGAAACAUUGGAAUCCUUUUGGAUUAGGAUAUUUGUGAACUUCUUAUUUUGGAGGAAUUUUGUGGACUGUUUUGGGAUCGGACAGCCUUGUAGUGGCGGGUUGGUCCUUGUUUUUGGGCCAACCUAAAGAGGAUUGAGCCAUCUCCUUACUUCUAGGCCAACCCAAGGUGGAUUUUCCCCUUGCCUUGAACGACAACUUUUCUUUAUGUUUCCUUUCAAUCUCAAGAGCCGCUUGGAAAAUACCUUCAACGGUAUCAAACUUGUAAAGUGUUAAAUGAGUGGAGAUCUAUUUGUUCAACCCACACUUGAACCGAAUGAUGUCAUGACUGAUUUAUUCCCCUCGAUGAUCAAGCUUCAACAUGAGUUGCUAAAACUCAUCAUAAUACGCCAUCACACUUUUGUUACCUUGACGCAAGUUGUAUAAUUUAGCAAGCAACUGAUGCGAUAACUCUCAGGAAGGUACUAUUGUCUCAUCAAGUACCUCAACCAAAACCAAGGUGGUGGCUGCCCAUCAACUAAUUCAUUACCAAACUGCUUGACGUACUCCCACCAAGUGUUAGCAUAACCCUUAAAAUGAGCGAUGGCAUAACAACUUCUCUUUUCUUUUGAGAUAUCAUUAACUUCAAAAAAUUUGUCACAAGAAGAUUCCUAAGCGAAGUAGGCCUUGGGGUCACUUUCACCUUUAAAGAUUGAUAGGCUCAACUUGAUGGUGUUGAUGCCUACAUCUCUCUUUUGGUAUCGGUUUCCCCUUUCUCUACACCCUCGGUAUCUCAUUUGAUCUCCACAUCCCCUUCUCAUCUCCUCCUCCCUCAUAUAAGUAUCAUUAAAGACCCCAUAUCCUUCAUAUUUCUCUCUACCAUAUUUCUCAAAGUGGGCUAGAUGGUUUUGGACAUUUUGAACUUGAUUUGGAGGAAUUGGAUUUUGUGAAGGUGGUGGUCUUUGGUUUAAUGGAGCUUGGAAGAGAGGGUUUGGAUUUAGCGGAAGUACUUGACGUCUAAGUCCCUCGUGUGGAACUUGAGGAGUUUGGAAAUGUAUUGGUCUAGUGGGGUCACGGUUUGGAGGGAAAGGAGUGGUUCAGCUUGCGGCAUUUAGUGGAGCUUGGGGUGGAUUUAGCAUUUGGUGCAAUGUUUUGGGAGUGAUGGUUGCGGAGGAAGUUCUAUCAUGCCCACUUGAAGAAACAUGUGAAGGAGUAGAAGGGAGAGAGUUCCUUUGACUCUCCACUUGUUCUAAUCUCCUACUAAUAGCCGACACAUCUUCCUUUAUUGUUGUCAAAUCCCCUCCCACGGCUCUAACUUCCGUAUUCAACCUUUCAAGUAUUCGGGUAAUGGCCUCAAGAGUGGCCCUCAUAGAGUUAAGAGCAUUAAUAUCCAUAUUUUGGGACAUAGUACCUUCCAUUAUCAAGGUAUUACCUACAAAAUCAGCAAAUAAGUUAGUGAAAAAAAAUCCUAUCCUCACUUACACUCUUUGGAUCACCUCACACUUUAGUUCCACAAGUGUUGUAGAUUGGAUAGUAACCCGUGAAUCCUUAAGGUAUGAUUAAGCUCUUAUUUGAAUUGGAUUCUUGUUUGAAGACUCAAAUAAUUCGCGUCGGUCUAGAACCAAGAAGUAGCAACGUAUUCAAAAGAUAAAAGUACCCAAGUAAUCGUUGACACGAACAAACGGAUUCAAAGGACUAAUAGACAACCUAGUAGGAAUGUACUAGUUUGUUAAUUAGUUCUAGAACCAAGUAAGGAAACCAAGAAUCAACAAUUAGAAACUAGAAAAUAUCCAAAUUUGAGCUUAUUAGUGAUGUGGCAGUAUCAAUGGUGAUGUGGCAGCAUGUAAUUGGACUUGGUCCCACACAAUUUUUUUGUCACAAAUCUGAAAUUUCGAUAUUCACACAACUUGUAAUGGAUGACAAUUGGUUUUGGAGAGAAAGUAAAAGUCUUGUAAUCUUUUGCAACUUUUCAAACUCAAAAGGUGAGAUUUGACUAUACUAAUCCCACAAAACAAGGUCCCUUGAUUUAAGAAAAAGUGGUUGUCAAGUCUAGGAAGUGAUGUGUGCAAGUUUUCUCACCAACAACUUUAUAACUUUUGUCUUACAACCUUUUGGAUCUAUUUUACACCUUUGUUGUCUUAAGUUGUAAGAAUAGAUGAAGAACAAAAUGAACACCGCAACAACCUUCAAGAACACAAUAUCAACUUCUUCAAGAAUACAACACAAAACCAGCAAUUUCUAUCAACAAGGUACAACCUACAGCCCACUUCAAGUCACCACAACAAUGGUCAAUAUUAUAAGCUCAACUUUAGAUCUACACACUUUUAGUUUUAGUGAGAAAGAAACCAACACUAUAAACAUAAUAAACAAGUAAAAUAACACCUAUAUCUAAAAACACAAACACCAAUAUCGACCAAGACAACAAGAUGGACAGAUUUCUCUUUUUUUUCUAGAAUUUUCAAAUUUCAAUAAUUUUUUUUGAAUUUUCGUCCAAGAGAGCCCAAGAUUGGUAGUGUAGGAACACAAUUAGACUUGAUUUGAUACCAAAUGAUACACUAUCAAGUCCACAAUGCAAUAAUCCAGCAACAACAACAAGAUGAACAAACUAACACAAGAACAACAAGUGCUAGUGAAUCAAAAUAGGUCACACACGGCUUCAGUAGGAUUUAAGAACCACAUUUUUAGAAUAAGAUGAUAAAGUUUUCAACAAGAACCAGAAAGUCAACAAGGUUCCAGUGAAUCGAAAGAGCCCCACAAGACUUCACUAAACUUCAAGAUUACAAAACACAAGCGUAACAAGAUUACAAGAAGAUAGUAACUUGACAUGCAAUAUUCAAGAGUCUAAGAACCAUAACAACAAGAGAGGACGCUAAGACUUAAGAAUAUUAACACCAAGUUCUUACUUGGACCAAGAGGAACUCUAUGACCUCAAGAUCCUUGUUUCUAGCCAAUAUACAACACAAGUAUCACUCUACUUGUGAGUUUUUAGAUUUGGAGGUUCUCCAAUGGAAGAGGGAGAAGUUUCUCAAUAUUACAAGUGUUUAUAUCUCAAAAUAUUAUGAAAGAACCAGCUUCCAAAUAACCCUAAUAUUAUCUAUUUAUAUUUCACAAUAAAUAAAGAAGAAAAUGAACAGAUGGGUGGCCUUGGAGUGUAAGUUUAUUACACUUCGAGGCUCCUUUUCAUACUUAAAAACAUUUAGACCAUUAGGUGGAUCAAUCACCAACUCACACACGGCCAUUUGCAUGAACAAGGCUUGGAGUUUUUGUAACUCCCAAGCCUGGCUACGUGUGAAUGGUUGUGAACUUGUUGGACAACUUGCUACACCCGUAUCACAGAGUCAACAACAAUUUCAAUUGAGUCGUUGCAUUUUCAUAGUGUUGGUAUUGCGUUCAUCCCGACCUGAGUCAUUGAUCAAUCACUCUGGGUUGAAAUGAGUUCUCAUUAAUUUAAUGUUAAGAUUAAUACUAGUACCUACAUUGAUUUAGGUGAAACUAGGAAUGAAUGAAUGAGAUUACAGGGUCAACAACAACUUCAAUUAAGUCGUUGCAUUUGCAUGGUGUUGGUGUUGCAUUCAUCCUGACCCGAGUUAUUGAUCGAUCACUCUGAGUUGAAAUGAGUUUUUCUUAACUUAAUAUUAAUAUUAAUAAUAGUACCUAUAUUGAUUUAGGUGGAACUAGGGAUGAAUGAAUGAGUUUACAGGGUCAACAACAACUUCAAUUGAGUCGAUGCAUUUUCAUGGUGUUGGUAUUGCAUUCAUCCCGACCCGGGUCGUCGAUCAAUUACUCUGAGCUAAAAUGAGUUCUCAUUAACUUAAUGUUAAGAUUAAUAAUAGUACCUACAUUGAUUUAGGUGGAACUAGGGAUGAAUGAAUGAGCUCACAGGGUCAACAACAACUUCAAUUAAGUCAUUGCAUUUGCAUGGUGUUAGUGUUGCGUUCAUCCCGACCCGAGUCGUCGAUCGAUCACUCUGAAUUGAAAUGAGUUCUCAUUAACUUAAUAUUUUAAAAACUAUAGCUUUUGAAAUUCUAUAAAUUAAUUAAUAACAAUUCGGAUCAAAUUAACAAUUUCAAAAUUUGUCAUUCUUUUCUAAAAUUACAAAUCAACCCAUACAAAUCAUCCAUUUACGGGAAAAACUUUUCCUCAUUUCGAAUCUCAAGUUCUCGCUCCUCGCCUCUCUCUCUCUCUCUCUCUCUCUCAAUAAUACAGACAACAACUACUCAACAUAUUGCUCGACCCUCUAAAAUAGAUCGAUUUUCUUCCCAUUUCCGAUCACAUAGUUGUUAUUUUUGACUUUAUUCCAUCUUGUAUCCAUCAUUUUUUCUGUCUUCACAGGAAACAGUGUUCGAGAAGAGUUCUACAUUUAUUCUUUAUUCUAAAAAUUAGGAAUUUUUAGUUAAUGAUGAAAAAGAAGACUUUUAGUUGUAUUAUCUUCGAGAAUGGGUUAACAAAUUUGUGUUUUGAUGCUAAAAAAAAUAGGAAGCACCCAAGAAAACCUUAGUUUUUGUUUCAAUAUUUUUUUACUAUCAUGGUAUUAUUGGAUGCGGUUUGUGGUGUUGUUGGUGGAUAUUGUUGUUAGUAUCGGUAUUUGUAUUUUUGGUGGUAGUAUUGGUAUUGGUGGCAUUGGUAUUAUGAAAAAUGAAAACAUAGAUGGAUUUUCAAGAAGAGCUGCUUUGCAUACUUUCACGAGUUGUCUUAGGACCGCACUCUUUAUUUCCCAAUGAGCAUGGUAUAUGGCCUUCUCAAGUGCAGGAUCAAGUAUACGGGGAAGGAGGGCAGAAAAAAAUGGAUGAAGUCUGGAUCAACUACUGUGGCAUGCCAAUUUUUGGAUUGAAAGAGUUUGCCAUAGUGACGAGCUUGAUAUGUGAUCGUCCAGAAGAACCUCUCAUCAAGAAAACACCCCACAAAGGGUCCAACAAAUACAAGGUAAAAAAAGAUGGGUUGUUGGGCAUUGUUGGACGUAGUAGCUACAAAGUGGUAGAUUUGAUGGCAGAUCUCGAUGAUAAAGACAUACCAAAGCACUGCAGAGAGAAAUUAUGCUUAGUUUGGUUUGUCCAUUCCAUUUUAUUGGUAAGAGACGUCAGGAAAGUCAUAGAAGAUGAUUUGUUGGCGCUUGAUGAUGAUUUUGACAAAUUCAAUGACUAUCCUUAGGUAUAUGACAGCUACUACUUGACUGUCGAAUAUUUACUGACAAAGCUAUCCACAGGGACGAUCACAUUAUACGGCUUUCCCUAGGUUUUUAUGGUAAAAUUGAUCACUAUUUUUACUCAUUCAUUAAUUUAUAAUGACUAUAUACUUAUUAUGAAUUUUUUUUUGCUUGCUUUAUGUUUUUAUUUUUCUGGCUUGGGCAUGUGAAGUCAUUCCUCCCCUUAGAAAGAAGUUCAAGUAUUACCAAGAUGAGGUUUCUCAUCCAAGGAUCCUUAGGUGGUUAGCGGCUGCAAAGAAAGAUAUUGAUACAAAUGUUCCAUCUGUUGUGACAGUGGUUCGUCUGUUGCAACAGAUUACCCGUCAACUACAUCUAGUGCAAUAAAUGGGUAAUCUGUUAUGAUAGACGAUCCAUAUUUUGCAACAGAUUAACUAUCUAUUGGUCUGAUUCUCUGAACCCAACUCAAUAGAUUACCCAUCUGAUGCAAAUUAUACAAUAGAUGUAUAGUCUGAUGCAAUAUAUUUUCAUUCUGUUAUGACAUACAGAUCAGUUGUUGCGGCAGCUAGAUCAUCUUUUGCAUAAGUUAGCUUUGUUAACAUCCAUGUAACCUAACUGACUACAAAUUAUUGUUAUAUGAUUUAAAUGCCUCUUGUCUUUUUUAUAGGUUGUGCAUCCUUCGAUCGUGUCUACCGAUGAUGAGCUGGGGAUAACUUCUUUUCUUACUAUGGGUCUUGUUGAUACAAAAGAAUAACCAACGGUGGAGUUAAUUAAGAAGGAAUCGGCCGGAGCAAUAUCCAUAAGAAGAGAAGUUAAGCAAGGUCUGCCUAAUGUUGAAGCUCUUCACGACCAACCUCAAUAUGAAACGGAUCGGGGUGCUUCUUCGGGGGGUAUUGCUGGUAGGGAUUUGUUUAUGAUGGUGGCAGCCAUCCUGCUACUACUAGUCGUGAUUAUGAGCAUGCUUAACAAAAAAUAAAUACUUUUGAAAACACCCCUUUCACAGGUCCCUCUCACCCCUAUACUGGUCCCUUCCACCCUUAAAGUGGUCCUUCUCACUCCUGUUUACCCUCAUGUUCUCAUUGCAAAUGCAAAGUAUGCAAUGACAGAGAGGAUAAACUCCUUGAAAAGCUAGAGGCUAUUGCUGAAGCUGUCGAGGAGUUGAAAUCCAGGAAGGGUGUCAUACCAUCCAAUGGGGUGAGUUUACUUUUGCUAACCUAGACUUCCAAUCUACUCCACAAAGAAGAAUCUACAUAGUAGAUGUGUAAUCUGUUGCAAUAGCUUGGUAUUAUGUUGAAAUAUAAUACGCAUCUAUUACAUGAGCUUCGUUGGCUGGGUAAUCUAUGAACUGAUUCAGAGAACCCUUUGCAUCUGAUUCUUUCUACUGUAUUUUUAAUCUUUACAAUUGCUAACCUAUUUAAAUUAAUUGGCUUCUUAUACCACAGUAUGUUGAUGAAAUUCUCUGCCUCAUGGGGGGCAGACAAUUAGCGUACCCAUAUGCUUAUGAUGCUGCGGAUAAGAUAAUGGAACUCAACUUCUACAAUAUUCAAGGAUAGGUACGCUGAUCUCCAUAAGAAAGUUGAUUUUGGUAGCCUAAGACUUGAUCAGUUAGUUUCUACAUUCCAAUGGGAUAAAGAAAUGAUUAAAUAAGUUAGAGGGAAGAGGCCAUAUCCACACGACAAGAGCUGGACCAAGGCAAAGAGAAUCCUUGCAGUCAUGAAUGUGGAAGUCAAAUAUUUUCUCGUUGUUGAAAUACUACUCUACGAGGGAAAUAUUAAGGUUUAUGACUGCAACUUAACUGUCUUCAACCAGGACAAGUGUUUAUACUACAUGUAGCCACUCUUGAAGUUGUUGCCCAAGUUGUUGACGCAAAGUAAGUUGAUGGAUCAUUUGCCGACUAAAGUCUUAACAAAGGAAUCAUGGGAUUUUAAAGGUCGAAAUAAGAACAUUGAUCUCCAGAGAAAUAAAACUGAUGCAACGUUUGGGUCGUACUCGCUUUCAUACAUCGAGUGUUUGCUGACCGGCACAGAAAUAAUCGGUAUGGAUGCAAUGGGUCUGGGAUUAUGGGGUACUAACUAAAUGGUUGGAGCCAGUGUAUAAAGAAGAAAAUGUACAAAGAUGGAGACGAACACCAUAACAAUUUUUUAUUUCAAGCCACCUUGCUUUACAUGUAGUAGCAAUAAUUUUUAUGUUUGUGGAUAGUUAAAUUUUUAUAAUGCAACAGAUAGUAUAUCUGAUGUAACAUAUACAAUACUUGUUAUGACAGAUUGUUAUCUGUUGGAGUAGGUUGGUCGUUAGUUGCAUUAAUAGAUAUUUCUCAAUCUGUCUGUCACAACAGAUAUCCAAUCUGUUGCAAUAUAUAAUCUAUCUGUUGCAACUGAUAGAUAAUCUAUUGCAACAAAUCAAGAAAGUAGAAAGACCUAUUAUAUAAUUUCCAGCAGAUGACCUAACUAAAUGGUUGGAGCCCAUGUAUAAAGAAGAAUAUGUACAAAGAUGGAGAUGAACACGAUAAUAUUUUUUUAUUGCAAGCCACCUCACUUUACAUAUGAGAAUGCAGUGCGAUGGUGCCGCAGAUUUAACGGGUGAUUUCGUGGUUAAGUCAGCCAUGGGAAAAUAUUUCGAUGCCUUAAGAAAAAUACUUCGAAAAUAAAAAUUGAAUGCUUAUUUCAGGGACAACUGCUUUGGGAAAUAUCUUGAUUUGCCGGAGGACAACAAUGCUCGUUUCCAAAUGAAAAUGGUAUAUGAACUUCUCAAGCGUAGGUUUAUGUAUGAAAACAAAGAUAAGAUGGAUGAGNNNNNNNNNNNNNNNNNNNNNNNNNNNNNNNNNNNNNNNNNNNNNNNNNNNNNNNNNNNNNNNNNNNNNNUGGACUAAAAUAUUAUCCUCCUUCUCAAGUUAUACCUAUUCUAACCCCAAAAAGCACCCCGCACACCCAAAAAAGGUAAAGGCAAGUCGUGUGAUCGUGAUGACCUGGUGUCCAUUGUUGGUCCAAGUUUCAAAAAUAAAAAUUUGAUAGAAGCGUUAAAAGGUAAAGGACUUUUAAAGAAGCACAAGCAGUCAUUGUGCUUGGUUUGGUUUGUACAUAAUAUUCUUUGGGUGAGAGACGUUAACAACAACAUAAGCCUCAGUUUAAUAAAGCUCUUCGAGGAUCUUAAGGCAUUUAACUGCUAUCCAUGGGGGUAUGAAAGCUUCAAAAUGACUGUUAGAUAUUUGUUGACUCCGUUAGCGCCAAAGACAGUCAACUUAUAUGGCUUCCCAUGGGCUUUCAUGGUAAAUGUUUUUUUCUUCUAUUAUGAUAUCAUUCAUUUUUUCGCUCAAUAAUAGUUUUGAUUUAUUAACGUUAUUUUAUAGGCUUGGGCGUUUGAAGCCAUUCAUUAUUUGAGACAACAAGUGAACUACCAGGAAGGAGUUUUCUAUCCAAGAAUCUUGAGAUGGUUGUCGGUCAAAACUCAUAAAAGUACAAAAUUUCUUGAUCUCUUCAACCCCCCGAAGGAUGCAGUAAGUAUAAUUAUAAUUAAUUUUUUCUUUUAAUUAAUGGUUUUUUUUGAAUGAUCUAAUCAUCAUUCUAAUAUAUGUAAUGAUUUAUGUUAGAAUGUGUAUCUAUCGCUAGUUUCGACCAAUCAAGAGUUGAAGAUGUCAUUUUUUCUUACUUUACGAUCUGUUCAAACUUUAUCAGACCCUAAGGUCAUCGAUAGAAUAAAAAUAGAAUUGUUUGGAGCAACAGCCAUUACAAGAAAAACAAUUUUAAAGGGUGGGCUUGUUGUUGUUGAUGGAGCUGUUGGUGGUGGUAAUGGUGCUGCUAUUGGUGCUAAUGAUGCUCCUCUUACCCCCCCGAAGGAUGCAGUAAGUAUAAUUAUAAUUAAUUUUUUCUUUUAAUUAAUGGUUUUUUUUGAAUGAUCUAAUCAUCAUUCUAAUAUAUGUAAUGAUUUAUGUUAGAAUGUGUAUCUAUCGCUAGUUUCGACCAAUCAAGAGUUGAAGAUGUCAUUUUUUCUUACUUUACGAUCUGUUCAAACUUUAUCAGACCCUAAGGUCAUCGAUAGAAUAAAAAUAGAAUUGUUUAGAGCAACAGCCAUUACAAGAAAAACAAUUUUAAAGGGUGGGCUUGUUGUUGUUGAUGGAGCUGUUGGUGGUGGUAAUGGUGCUGCUAUUGGUGCUAAUGAUGCUCCUCUUACAUUAUUUAAAGCAAACCAUUAUGAAUAUGAUCAUACUGGUUAUACAGAUUUUACCUCUCCCAGCGAAUGUUCUGGAUGCAAAUGUCAAGACUGCAAGGCGAAAUAUGAUGUAGUGAUUAAUGCUAUUAAUGCAUUAACUGCUUCUGUAAAUAAAUUGACAUCUAAGCGGGGUCUCAUUCCAUCAAAGAGGUUUUUAUUUCCAUCCGCUCCAUUAGAGAUUAGGGAUAAGAGGAGAAGAAGAGUGAUUUUCAGGGCAUUAUCAGACAUCUGAAAAAGUGAAAUUGCAACUCCUCUGUCUGUGUGUUGCACUGAGCAACGUACAAUGUCCAAAGGAGAGAAGCACGAGCUAAACAAGGUGAAUAUAUUAUAUGUCUUCCAACUGACAAAACAAACAGACACAUAUCUGUUUCAACAGAUGACACAUCUGUUGAAAAUUAUCAAACAGAUAUAUACAUCUGUUGCAACAGUUGACUAACCUGUUCCACCAGAUCCUUUAUUUGGUGCAACAUAUGUCUUGGUUGUUUUAGCAAAUCAAACAGUUCUUUGUACAGCUUUUAUUUGUACCAACAGAUGACCUAUCUGCUACAACAGAUGAUUCAUAUGUUGCAACGGAUGGUUCAUCCAUUGGAAAUUAUCACAGGGUCCUCCUCAUGUAGAAAUUUAUCCCAACAGUUGAUUCAUUGUUGCAAUAGAAAUAUAAUAUGUUUGGGAUAAUUUAAAAUGGGAGGAAGACCUGUUUGAUUUGCUAGAAGAGAUGAGUUAUCCUUUUUCGCUUUGUUGUAUCUCCGUGAUUAGCAUUGACCAAUUCUGGCUUUCCAGGUGGAUGUAGAAGAAGCUACUGCUAAACAACAUUGAUACUAUGCUACUCCUUUUAUGUAAAUACGGUGAACAGAAAGUGCAGAAACUGUACGCAAGCGACAAUAAAGAUCCACAACGAGCAAAGCUGAAUUCCAUAGCACCGGAUGAAGAACAACUUGUCCAUAUAGAGUAGAUCUUUAUAGCUUGAGCCUAUCAAACCAAUACCUGGCAGUAUACUUAAAUUGUUGUUGAUGUAUUUGUUGAGAUUUGUACCCAUAACAAUUUUUUUACCUUUCAUUUAUUCAUUGACUUAUUUCAGCUAAUUUAUGAAGGCUUCGAUUUAUUUUAUUUUGUCUACGAAUUUUAUUUAUUCCUUAGAUUUGUACUUAUUAAUUGAAAAGGAAUACUAGAUUCAAAUAUUACAACAGAUAAUGUAUCUGUUGCAACAGACGACACAUCUAUUGGAAAAUUCGAAUAGAUUUAGACAUAUGUUGCAACAGGUAGAUAAUCUGUUGGAAUUUAUCAAACAGGUCUUCCCACUGUUGCAACAGAUGGACUUUAGAUAAAAACAUCAAGAUAAUGCAACAGAUGACACAUCUAUUGGGAAAAAAAGAACAAAUUUAGACAUAUGUUGCAACAAAUGGACUUUAUCUGUUGCCACAGACGACACAUCUAUUGGAAUAAUCAAACAGAUUUAUACAUAUAUUACAACAGGUAGGUUAUCUGUUGGAAUUUAUCAAACAUGUCUUUCCACUAUUGCAACAGAUGGACUUUAGGUAAAAAUAUCGAGAUAAUGCAACAGAUGACCAACCUAUUGCAACAGAUAAACUAUAUGUCAAAACAGGUAGGAUAACUGUUACAAAGGAUGGAGAAUCUGUUACAUUAUAAAAAUUCAACUUUUGUUGGACAUAAAAAAUUACCACCACAUUUAAAAAGGUUAAAGUGAAUUGAAAUAAAAAAGGCGCAACCAAUCGACGGUGUUCAGUUUAAACACCUAAAAUAAAAUAGGCAUCAAGUAGACAUGUUCAUUUUAAAGAAAUAAAAUAAAAUAAGCAUCAAAUGUGUUAGCUGUCAGUGUCAGUCUGGCAUAUUUCGCUGACUUACCAUCACUAGGCCCCCAACGGUCAUUCCCCCCCUCCCCCCCCGUCUUAUAUAUUCAUCUUUCUCUUAAAAUUUAACCCUAAAUUCCCAAAUCUUCUUCUUCAUUGUCAUCUUCUUUUAUCUAUCCAAAUUAUUCAAAUUAUUACUUUUAUUUUUUUCAACUGACCUUGACAAUGUUGAGCGCAUCUUCCACUAUUUUUUGUGAUAAAAAAUUUCGAUAUUGUAAGUGCGGUCAUGAAGCUCUGUUAAAGACUUCUUGGACUCAACAAAAUCCGGGUCUUAGGUUUUUUACUUGUAAGAUUUCAAAGCUAAUAUUUUUUUAUUUAAUUAAUUAAUUAAUUAUGGACUUAUAAUUGUUUUGUAAUUGUGUUCUUUUUUUUUUAGAAGCUAAUAUGUUUUGUAUAAAGAACGACACCCUUCACAAGCAAAUUGUGUAAUCUGGGGUUUGUUGAACAAAGUCAAGGCUUCUGAAGAGAAACAAAAUCGAGCAAAAAGAUACUACAUUGUUGCCGUUAUUGCUACUGGUUUGGUGUUGUUGGGCACAUGGAUUUGAAGCCUAAUUGCUAAAAUUUUCAUGGUGGUGUGUGUAUUUGCUACUGGUUUGUUGUCGACGAGCACAUGGAUAUUCAAGCAUAACUGUUGGAAAAUAUCAAAAAGAUUUACGCAUAUGUUGUAAAAUUUAGGUUAUCUAUGUAAAUUAUCAAACAUGUCUUCCCACUGUUGCAACAGAUUACACUUAGAUUAUUAGAUUAUUCAUAAAAAUUAUCAAACAGGUCUCCCCACUGUUGCAACAGAUUAGACUUAGAAUAUUAGAUUAUUCAAACAGGUUUUCCUACUGUUGCAACAGAUUGACAAUCUAAUCUAUUGCAUAAUAAAAACUCAACUUUCAUCAGAAAAAAAUUAUUACCACUACAUGUACAUGUAAUAAAGUGAAGGGUGACUUGAACUUAAAAUUUCUAUUUCAAAGACUCUUCUAUAUACAUAGGCUCCAAGCGUCCAGUUAGUACCCCAAAAACCCAGACCUUUUGCAGGUUUGCCACAGAGUUGUCGCAUAGAAAAGUCAUAGGCUCAGCCAUUUCUGUGCCAGUCAACAAACACUCGAUGUGUACAAAAGCGUGCGAGCCACUCGUUUUAGCAGCAUCAUCUUUUGGAAAGAUCAUUCCCCUAUUUCGACCUUCAAAAUCCCAUGAUUUCUUCAUCAACACUUCCUUUGGCAAAUGAUUCAUCAGUUUACUCUCCCUUAACAAGAUGGGCAACAGCACCAUCAGUGGCUCCACGAGGAGAAAAAGAUUGAAAUCAUCGAUGAGAGGUACGUUGGAGUCAUAAACAUUGAUCUUUCCCUCCUCGAGUAGUAUCUUAACAGCCCAAUAAUACAUGACGUUUACGCUAAUGACUGCAGGAAUCCUUUUUGCCUCGGUCUAGCUCUUGCCGGGUGGAUUUGGCCUGUCCCAUCUAACAUAUCUUAAUAUUUCUUCUUCAUCCAAGACCAACGUAGGAACUAGGAAAUCAAGUCCCAAGCUAAGGUUUGACACCUCUCCAUUGAGUUGAUCAUACCUAUCCUUGAGCUUAUUACAGAAGUCGAAGUCCAUUAUCCUAUCGGCAGCGUCACAAGCUUCCCGGUACAUUAAUUGCCUUUUCCUAAUGAGGUAGAGAAUUAUGUCAACAUGUUGUGAGAUAAGAAGUCAAUUUUUAAAGAAGUCAAUUUUUAAAUAGGUUGGUAAUUGUAAAGAUGCAACAGAUGGUACAUCUGUUGCAUAGGGUUCUCUGAAUCAAUAAUCCAACGCAACUUAUACUAUAGAUAGAUAAUAAGUUGCAAUAGAACCACAACUAGUUUCACCAGUAUACCCAGCUGUUGCAAUAGAUGUGAAAUAUGUUGUGUAGCUUCUUAUUCAUGGGUAUAUUAGAAGGGCUAGGUUAGGAAAAGUAAACUUGCCUUAUCCUCGUACGGCAUACGCAUAUCAGUCAUAGUCUGGAAGUCUUGGGGGGGAAAGGAAGGCCUGGGGUAAUCUGGUGCGCCUGGUUUGGUAUUUUUAUCCUGUCACGGAUCCCUCUUCUCUUCGACACCAAUUUUUGCGUAUAUGUCCACCUUCUUGACUGCCCCUGAACUUCAACAGCUUUUGGAGAGGGAGGAAUUGCAAUUUCUUUUAAUUUUUGAGUGGAGAGUACGUCUCUAAUUGCUCUUUUCUUUCUCCUAACCAAUGUUGUAGGAGUGUGUGGCUCCCUCACCUUCUAGAUGGUAUGGCACACCUAUUGGAUUUGAAUUCCUUGAUAGCUUUAGAGAUAACCUCUACUUUUUCAAAGAGUUUAUCCUGUCUGUCCUUGUACCCAUCGCAUUUGCAAUGAGAACACAAGGGUGAAGAGGGGUGAGAGGGACCUGUGUAAGGGCAAAAAAGUGUGUUUUCAAUCAUAUUUAUUCUUUGGUAGCAUAAUCAACAUGCCUUCCACCAACACCAACAACUCCACCAGAAGAAGCACCCGAAUCUGCCUUAGUAAAAGGUUGGUCAUGAAGAGCCUCAACAUUAGGCUGACCUUGCCUAACUGCUCUUCUUAUGGCUGUUGCUCCAGCCAAUUCCUUCUUUAUUAACUCCACCGUUGGGUCUACAAUAGUAUCAACAUGACCAAGAGUAAUAUAAGAAGUCAUCACCGACUCCUCCUCAGUAGGCACGAUCCAUGAAUGCACAACCUAUAAAAAAGAAGAAAAAGAUAGAUACAUUUAAAUCAUAUAAUAUAAUAAUUUUCACAGUUGCGCUACAUUUUAAAAAAAAGACCCAUCUGUUGCAUAGUUUGUAGUAUAUGGUUAAAAUCCGUUUGAGUCUGGUUCAUAAAAAUAGAGCAACACAUGGAUAAUCUGAUGCAAAAUAUAAAUUAUUUUUUGCAACAGUUGCAUAAGAUGGGUAAUCUGUUAUGCAACAGAUGAUCUGUACGUCGCAAUAGAUGAAUGAUAUGUUAUCAGAUUAAACAUCUAUUGUAUAAUUUGCAGUAGAUGGUUAAUCUUUUAGGAGUUGGGUUCAGAGAACCAAAGCCACAGAUAGGUAAUAUGAUGCAAUAUAUACCCCGUCGCAACAGAUGUCCCAUCUGGUGCAUCAGAUAUAACAUCUCAUGCACCAGAUAUAACAACUGUUCAAUAUCUUUCUUAUCUUUGAGUAGAAUUAUUUUACUUGAAGAAGACGUACUGCAUCAUUCGAAGGGUUAAAGAGAUCAGCCACCUUAAUAUUGGUGUUGCUCUUUGCAGCCAACCACCUAAACAUCAUUGGAUGAGAAACCUCAUCCGGGUAAUCCAUUAACUUCGUUCGAAGGGAAGGAAUGGCUUCAAAUGUCCAAGCCUAAAAAGUGUAAACAGGAAGCAAGAAAAAAAAAUCAUAAUUACUAUAUUCAAUAUAAAUUAAUGGAUAAGUAAAAUUAGUGAUUAAUUUUACCAUGAAAGCCCAAGGAAAGCCGUAUCAUGUGGUCCUCUUUCUCUUUCUGACUCUCCUAUUCCUCCUCUUUCUCACUUUUAUUUUCUUCAUCACCAUCUAUGGACCCUUGUCCACCUCCCUCAACAUUGUUUUCACAUCUCUCCUCAGCUUCACUUUUCCCUAACUGAGAUUGUUCAGGAAGCUCCUCCGAAUCCCUCUGUACUGUAACCUUUUUUUUUAGUGGUCAGACGUUGAUCCACUUUCACUUUCGUUUCUUUUGAGAGACAUAUUUUACCUAUAGACAAAGAAAAUCAAAAAUUACAUUACAGUUGAUGUAGGCAUAGAUUUUAAAAAAAUACAUUACAAAUACCACGAAUACCGACACACCAACAACCACCACCAUAAACACUACCAACCAAUGCCAACAAACAAACCAACAAACACCAUGAAUACUGACACCACCACAAACACCACCAAUUAAUGCCACCACGACGACCACAAACACCACCACCACCACCACCAUCCAACUAUACCAUGACAGUUAACGGAACAUUGCGAUAGAAACUAGCGAUUUCUCAAGUUCUUCCUACGAUUUUACCAUCAAAACUCAAAAUUGUAAACCCAUUCUCGAAGAUAAUACAACUAAAAGUUUUAUUUUUUAGAAAAAAAAACAAAAAACAAAUAUAGAGCUCUUCUCGAACUCUAUUGCCUACGAAGACAAAGAAAACGACUGAUACAAGCAAGAAUGAUGUUGAAAAUAACACCUAUGUGGUCGAAAAUGAGAAGAAAAGAGAUCUGUUGUAGAUGGUUGAGCAAAUUUAUUGAGUAGUUGUUGUCUGUACUAUAUUGUUGAGUGAGAAUGAGAGAGAAAGAGCCAGACCUCAAGAUUUGAAAUGAUGAAAAGUUUUGUAUAGGUUGAUUUGUAUUUUGAAAAAGAAUGACAAGUAGUUUUGAAAAUGUUAAUUUGGUCCGAAAUGAUCUUAAUUAUUUUUAAAAUCAUAAAAUAUACGCGUAAUUUUUAAAAUCAUAUAAAAACAAUUGAAGUUGUAGUUGACCGAGUACUCUAGGAGGUGACCCUGUGAAAACUCACCCCUGAUCCUAGAUUAAUCAAUUUAGGAGUCUAAUAUAUGAACUCAAUUGAAAUUAUAAAAAACAAAUGUUCAAUAUGUUGCGUCAAAUUUCUCAUCUGUUGUAAAUUAUCAAUCAGAUCAGGUAACAACAGAUUAUGAAUCUGAUGUAAAUUAUCAAAUAGAUUAAGUCAUCUAUUGCGAUAGAUUACCCAUCUGCUGUAAAUUAUCAAAUGGAUUAUCAUAUGUCGCAAUAGAUUACCCAUAUGUUGUAAAUUAUCAAAUAGGUACUGCCAUCUGUUGUGGCUGACCCUAUGAGAACUCACACCUAGUCCUAGAUUAAUCGAUAGUUUAUCCUAUGAGAACUCACCCCUAGUCCCAGAUUAUUCAAUAAAGGUAUUAGUACCCUAGUCCUAGAUUAAUCAAUUAAGGUAUUAGUCUAACAUAUGAGGUACUAAGAAUCAGUUCGGGAGGAACGCAGUACCAUUUCAUCAUGUAAUUGACAAAAGACUCAAUUGAAGUUAUAGUUGAACCUAUGAGAAAUCACAUUCAAUUAAGGUAUUAUUCAUAUGAACUCAAUUGAAUUAUUAAUAAACAAAUGCUCAACCUGUUGCAACAGAUGUCUUUUCUGUUGGAUCAAAUCAAAUAGAUUAUGUAAUCUGUUAUAAUAUAUUACACAUCUGUUGUAAACUAUUAAACAGAUUAAGUUAUCUGUUGCAACAGAUUACCCAUCUGUUGUAAAUUAUCAAAUGGAUUGAGUCAUAUGUUGCAAUAGAUUACCGAUCAGUUGUAAAUUAUCAAAUAGGCGUUGUCAUCUAUUGUAGUUGACAUUAUGAGAACUCACCCCUAGUCCUAGAUUAAUCAAUGAAGGUAUUAGUUGGACAUAUGAGGUAGUAAUAAUUGGUUCAGCUCAGAGUGAUCGAUCGACGACUCUUGUCAGGAGGAACACAGUCCCAUCUCAUCAUGCAUUUGACAAAAGACUCAAUUGGAGUUGUAGUUGACCCUAUGAGAACUCACCCCCAGUACUAUAUUAUUUAAUUAAGGUAUUAUUUAAAUAUAUGAGGUAGUAAGAAUUGGUUUAUCUCAGAGUGAUCGAUCGAUGACUCUUGUCGGGAGGAAUGCAGUACCGUCUCAUCAUGCAAUUGCCAAAACACUCAAUUGAAGUUGUAGUUGACCCUUUGUGCUCAUUCAUCCAUCCCUAAUUCCCCUAGAUCAAUGUAGGUACUAUUAUUAAUCUUAAUAUUAGGUUAAUGAGAAUAUAUUUCAACUCAGAUUGAUCGAUCAAUGACUCGGGUCGGGAUGAACGCAAUACUAACACCAUGUAAAUGCAAUGACUCAAUUGGAUUUGUAAUUGACCCUGUGAGCUCAUUAAUUCAUCCCUUAUUCCACCUAGAUCGAUGUAGGUACUAUUAUUAAUCUUAACAUUAAGUUAAUGAGGGGCUCAUUCUUUCAUCCCUAGUUCAUCCUAAAUNNNNNNNNNNNNNNNNNNNNNNNNNNNNNNNNNNNNNNNNNNNNNNNNNNNNNNNNNNNNNNNNNNNNNNNNNNNNNNNNNNNNNNNNNNNNNNNNNNNNNNNNNNNNNNNNNNNNNNNNNNNNNNNNNNNNNNNNNNNNNNNNNNNNNNNNNNNNNNNNNNNNNNNNNNNNNNNNNNNNNNNNNNNNNNNNNNNNNNNNNNNNNNNNNNNNNNNNNNNNNNNNNNNNNNNNNNNNNNNNNNNNNNNNNNNNNNNNNNNNNNNNNNNNNNNNNNNNNNNNNNNNNNNNNNNNNNNNNNNNNNNNNNNNNNNNNNNNNNNNNNNNNNNNNNNNNNNNNNNNNNNGCAAUACUAACACCAUGCAAAUGCAAUGACUCAAUUGGAUUCGUAGUUGACCCUGUGAGCUCAUUCAUUCAUCCCUCGUUCCACCUAGAUCAAUGUAGGUACUAUUAUUAAUCUUAACAUUAAGUUAAUGAGGAGCUCAUUCUUUCAUCCCUAGUUUAUCCUAAAUCAAUUGCAAUGAAAUAUGUUGCAAUAAACAACUGAGUUGUUGGAGAAUUUCAAACAGAUAACAAUAUCUAUUGCAACAGAUGAUAUUUCUUAUUUAAUUAUCAAAUAGACAUUUGCAUAUGUUAUGACGGAUGACUGAGGUGUUGGAAAUUUUCAAAUAGAUAUUGAUAUCUGUUAUAACAGAUGACGUUUCUGAUUUAGUUAUCAAAUGACAUUUUCAUCUGUUGUCACAAAUGACUGAGCUGAUGGGAUUUCUCAAACAGAUAUCUAAAUCUGUUGCAACAGACGACAUAUCUCUUUGAAAAUCUUUUUGUUUUCUUUUAAUUUUAAAGCAAGCUACUGUCCAAGUAAAUAGAGUAGUAGUACUUACUAAAGGCGGUAAAAAAUGUUUAUUGGAUAACUCAAAAAUCUCAUUGAGUAGUCUUGUCCUGUCUUUUCAAUGUCACCCAUUUUCUUCCUCGUGCCCCUCAAAUUAUUAUUGAAUAUUAAUUAAUGAAUAUNNNNNNNNNNNNNNNNNNNNNNNNNNNNNNNNNNNNNNNNNNNNNNNNNNNNNNNNNNNNNNNNNNNNNNNNNNNNNNNNNNNNNNNNNNNNNNNNNNNNNNNNNNNNNNNNNNNNNNNNNNNNNNNNNNNNNNNNNNNNNNNNNNNNNNNNNNNNNNNNNNNNNNNNNNNNNNNNNNNNNNNNNNNNNNNNNNNNNNNNNNNNNNNNNNNNNNNNNNNNNNNNNNNNNNNNNNNNNNNNNNNNNNNNNNNNNNNNNNNNNNNNNNNNNNNNNNNNNNNNNNNNNNNNNNNNNNNNNNNNNNNNNNNNNNNNNNNNNNNNNNNNNNNNNNNNNNNNNNNNNNNNNNNNNNNNNNNNNNNNNNNNNNNNNNNNNNNNNNNNNNNNNNAACUAGGCUAACCAAACAACUCUUACUAUGGGUGCUCACUGAUUAGAUUAUAUACAUUUUUUCUUUAUUUCCACAUACAUAUAUAAAGUUCAAUACGAGUUCAGUCUGUGCUCGCACCCGGAGGACUCCAUGUGGGUCCGUCCGUCCCUUAUUGUUGAUGGUGUUGGAACAUAUGAUGUAUGCUUCUUUGUAGUUGAUGAUGUUAUUGGAACAAAUGUUGUUGUUUUCUUUGUUGUUAAUGUUUUUUAUUUGUUGUUUGUAGUUUAUGCUGUUGUUGAUGUUGCAACAGACGGAGCAACUGAUGGAACAAAUCAAACCACCAGUAAGGUUGCUAUGAAUUCCAACAGACUUCAUAUCUAUUGCAUCAGACUCCAUAUCUGACGCAAACUGUCCGGGAUUUAUGUGUUAUGUGUGUUACUUAAAUAAAACUGGUGACUUUAUUAAUAUGUAAAUUAAAAAAAUGGAUCUAAAUACAACAUUUUAUCUUUUUGUUGUAUUUCCAAAAGAAACAGAUUGGUAAUUUGUUGCAAAAUAUAUUUCACCUGUCAGAUAACUUACAACAUAUGGACAAUCUGUUGCAACAGAUGUAUAUAUCAGUUUUCUUUUCCAUCAGCUGUGGCGUCUAUUGCAACUUGCUAAUCAUCUGUUUAUUCAAUUUCAUCGAGAGCAAUAGAUUUUUCUAAACACUUNNNNNNNNNNNNNNNNNNNNNNNNNNNNNNNNNNNNNNNNNNNNNNNNNNNNNNNNNNNNNNNNNNNNNNNNNNNNNNNNNNNNNNNNNNNNNNNNNNNNNNNNNNNNNNNNNNNNNNNNNNNNNNNNNNNNNNNNNNNNNNNNNNNNNNNNNNNNNNNNNNNNNNNNNNNNNNNNNNNNNNNNNNNNNNNNNNNNNNNNNNNNNNNNNNNNNNNNNNNNNNNNNNNNNNNNNNNNNNNNNNNNNNNNNNNNNNNNNNNNNNNNNNNNNNNNNNNNNNNNNNNNNNNNNNNNNNNNNNNNNNNNNNNNNNNNNNNNNNNNNNNNNNNNNNNNNNNNNNNNNNNNNNNNNNNNNNNNNNNNNNNNNNNNNNNNNNNNNNNNNNNNNNNNNNNNNNNNNNNNNNNNNNNNNNNNNNNNNNNNNNNNNNNNNNNNNNNNNNNNNNNNNNNNNNNNNNNNNNNNNNNNNNNNNNNNNNNNNNNNNNNNNNNNNNNNNNNNNNNNNNNNNNNNNNNNNNNNNNNNNNNNNNNNNNNNNNNNNNNNNNNNNNNNNNNNNNNNNNNNNNNNNNNNNNNNNNNNNNNNNNNNNNNNNNNNNNNNNNNNNNNNNNNNNNNNNNNNNNNNNNNNNNNNNNNNNNNNNNNNNNNNNNNNNNNNNNNNNNNNNNNNNNNNNNNNNNNNNNNNNNNNNNNNNNNNNNNNNNNNNNNNNNNNNNNNNNNNNNNNNNNNNNNNNNNNNNNNNNNNNNNNNNNNNNNNNNNNNNNNNNNNNNNNNNNNNNNNNNNNNNNNNNNNNNNNNNNNNNNNNNNNNNNNNNNNNNNNNNNNNNNNNNNNNNNNNNNNNNNNNNNNNNNNNNNNNNNNNNNNNNNNNNNNNNNNNNNNNNNNNNNNNNNNNNNNNNNNNNNNNNNNNNNNNNNNNNNNNNNNNNNNNNNNNNNNNNNNNNNNNNNNNNNNNNNNNNNNNNNNNNNNNNNNNNNNNNNNNNNNNNNNNNNNNNNNNNNNNNNNNNNNNNNNNNNNNNNNNNNNNNNNNNNNNNNNNNNNNNNNNNNNNNNNNNNNNNNNNNNNNNNNNNNNNNNNNNNNNNNNNNNNNNNNNNNNNNNNNNNNNNNNNNNNNGGGGAGGGCGCUGCGUCUGCCGGAUUAAAAUUUUCAGGUUGAGAAUAAUAAUAGUGAUAAUAAUAAUAAUAAUAAUAACUAGGUUAUGUUUUUUCUUUCUUUUAGCGUAUGUAUUUCCCUUUUUUAUAUCUGAUCUACCUAUAAGGGAUUCAAAAAAAUCCAUGUAUAUGUUUGGUUUGGUUUGGUCGAUUUUGAACUUUUAAUUCUUAUUCAUUAUUUAAUUAUCAUUCUAUUUAUUUCUUAUUCAAAACAUGUCGGCGGUUGGAGUUAGGGAUGCGGUCAUGAUGAGAAAUUAUCCUAAAAAUGGUUCGUUAACAAAUAAUAAGGAACUAAAUGAUAUUAUAAUCGUCAAAAGAAAGAUUAUUUAAUUUUUAAAAAGUCACAACAUUGUAUUAAUCUAAUUAAGAUAUAUAUAUAUAUAUAUGAUGAUAUGAUUUUUAAGAAAAAAGUUAAUGAAUAGUCUCCUCAUCUGUUGCGACUUAUGAAUCAAUUAGAAGAAAUCAAAAAAUCUCCUUAACAAAUGAUCGAUUUAUAGCAACAGAUGGUAUAUCUGUUAAAAUAGAUGGGUUAUCUGAUCCAACAGAUAUACAAUCUGUUGCCAUAAAUCAAUUAAUAAAAAUAGUUAUUAAAGAAAUGGAAAGAUUAAGUCACCACCAGCUUGAUUUAAUUAAGUCAUUUCUUUUCACAGAAAAAAAUAAGAAAAUAAAUGAUAAACACAAUUUAAACCAUAAAAAACUCAGCAGAAAUAUUCUUGUUUUUAAAUCCUCUUUAUUAAUUUAUAUAAUUAAAAAGUCAGAAAAUUUGGAUGUCAUGAAGAUAAUAUAUUUUAAUAUAUAUAUCACAAUAAUUAAUAAUUUAGAAUAUUUAAAAAAUAUAUAAAAAAUUUAGUUGACUCUUAAAAAUUGUAUCAAUACCACAUAAACUGAUACGAGGGUAUAUAUAACAUACAUUAUUUAAAAAUUACACAAAAAUAUUAUAAAUUAUAAUAAUUAAUCUAAAAAUGUUCUUCGCAUUAUGCCCGUGGUAACACUGCUCGUAUACCCUCUAGUUUCUAGAGAAAAUUGAAGGAAAGAUGUCUUUUAAGUCUUGAAUGAAGAAUUGGUGACAUUGACCAACAGAUAGGGUCAAACAUCAUUAGAAAACUUGAUUAAGUUAAUUGUGGACUUGAUUAAUAUUUUCAAAACUUUCUAACCUUUUCAAAAAUACAAAUCAAUCCAACACACACCCCUCUUAAAUCCUAAUCAACCACUCUCUCUUUCUCCAGCUUCUCCCAAGCAACAGUUCUGCAAAAUUUCUCGCUUCAACCUCCGGCGACAAAUAGUCGGGCGAGUUUUUUUUCAACUUUUAACCAUCAAUCGACGUGAAUACUUCUUCGGCAACAAUAACUUCGAGUUCUUCGCCCUCCCAUUUCCUUUUUCACAAGUAAAAAAUUCUGAAGAAACAGAGGAACUUGAGCCAACUACUCUUCUGGUAUUGAAAUGUGGACUGAAUAAAACCCUAAUAUUUGGCAUUUCUGUAUUUUUUCUCCUCGUUGUCGUACUGUUGAUUCAAAUUUUUUUGUGAUUUUUUGUCAUAGUUGAUAUUCUUAGUGUGUAUGUGUGUGUGUGAUAUGUUGGUGUUGCUGGGUUGAUUUGUUGUUUAUCUUGGUAGAAAUGGUAUUGCAAUAGUUGAAACAUCUGAUGUAAUAGAUGAAACAUAUGAUGCAAUAAAUGAAAAUCUGAUACAACAGGUGAACAAUCUAACAUAUUAUUCAUCUAUUACGACAGACAACUCUUCUAUUUGGAAGAAAUCUAAACAAUAUUGAUCCAACAGAUAAUUGAUUAGUGAUCUGUUUUUAUUAUUUCUAAUGGUUUACUCUUCAUUUUAAAAUCUGAUGCAACAGAUUAAAAAUCUGAUACAACUAUGAAAAUCUGAUGCAAAAAGUGAACAAUCUAACAGAUCAUUCAUCUAUUGCGACAGACGACUCUUCUGUUUGGAAGAAACCUAAACAAUAUUGAUCCAACAGAUAACUGAUUAGUGAUCUAUUUUUAUUCUUUCCAACGGUUUACUCUUCAUUUUACAACAGAUUAGGAUUGUUUUUAUUCUUCCCAACGAUUUACUCAUACAGGUCGGUUAUCUGUUGCAACAGAUAACAUACCUGGUGCAAUAGAUUAGUGAUCCAUUUUUUUCUUUUCAACUGUUUACUCAUCUGUUUCAACAAGUCGGUUAUAUGUUGCAAUAGAUAAAAUACCUGGUGCAAUAGAUUAGUGAUCUAUUUUUAUUGUUUCCAACGUAUUACUCAUCCGUUGUAAUGGGUCAGUUAUGUGUUGCAUCAGAUAAAGGUGCAACAGAUAGUGUUAUUUUUAUGGUUCCCACGUAGUACUCAUCGGUUGCAACAGGUCGGUUAUAUGAUGCAACAGAUAACAUACCUGGUGCAACAGAUUAGUUGUCUGUUGGAACUGUUAUAUUACUGUUAUGCAUUAAUCAAUUAUAAUAUAUGUUAUGUUCUUGUUAAUUUAAGAUAACAUGGCUCCCAAAAUAAAAGAAAUCGAAUCAAGUCCAAGUAAAGGAACAAGUGCAGCAGCUCAGCUACAUCCACCACUCUAUGAGCUUUCUUUAUAAGCGUUAUCUCAAUCAGGAGCAGAAGACAAUGAGCACGGGGAGGAGGAAUCUUUCAAAAGAGAUGAUCCAAAUGCUAAUAGCCCUUUCGUCGAAGAGUUGGUCAAAAUCUUCAGCAUUGAUCUUUACCCUGUGAGAAUGCAAUGCGAUGGUGCCACAAAUUUAACGGGUGAUCAGGUGGUUAAGUCAGUCAUGGGAAAAUCUUUCGACGCCUUCAAAAAAAUACUUCGAGAACAAAAAUUGGGUUCUUAUUUCAGGUAAGCUGCUUUGGAAAAUAUCUUGACUUGCCGGAGCACAACAAUCCUCGUUUCCAGAUGAAAAUGGUAUAUGAUCUUCUCAAACGCAGGUUUAUGUAUGAAAACAAAGAUUCGAUGGAUAAGGUGUGGAUAAAUUACUGUGGCAUGCCUAUUUAUUUUAGUUGAGAGAAGUUUGCCAUAGUUACCGAACUAAAAUGUUAUCCUCCUUCUCCUUCUCAAGUUAUACCUACUCUAACCCAAAAAAAGCACCCCGCACACCCAAAAAAGGAAAAAAAAGUCGAGUGAUCGUGAUGACCUGGUGUCCAUUGUUAGUCUAAGCUUCAAAAACAAAAAUCUGAUUGAAGCGUGGAAAGGUAAAGGACUUUCAAAGAAGCACAAGCAAUCAUUGUGCUUGGUUUGGUUUGUACAUAAUGUUCUUUGGGUGAGAGACGCUAACAACAACAUAAGCACGGAGGUCGUCAGCCAUGUUUUCUUCUAUUUUGCUCAGAUUUUUAACUCUUUUGCUCCAUUAUUUUUUAUUCUCAUUUCUUCAGCCUUUUUUUGAAAUAUCAUGAGCAAACACAUCAAAACAACAAGAGUUGCUUCAGAAUUCACAAUUAUUUUGAGCUAAAAAACAUUAAAUGUGUUAGAUUUUGCUCACACAUCAUCCAUCCGUGGCUUGUUUUGACCAACCGAGAGUUGAAUAUGCCAUUUUUUCUUAUUUUACGGUCUGUACAAAAUUUAUCAGACCCUAAGGUCAUUGAUGGAAUAAAAAUGUAAUUAUUUGGAGAAACAUCCAUCACAAGAAAAACAAUUUUGGAGGGUGGGGCUAAUGAUGCUCCUCUUACAGUUUUUGAAACAACAAGCCAUUAUGAUUAUGAUCAUAAUAGUUGUACAGAUUUUUCUCCAGAUUUUGCCGCAUCUGGCGAAUGUUCUUCAUGCAAAUGUUAAGACUUCAAGACAAUACAAGAUGGAGUGAUUAAUGCUAUUAAUGCACUAACUGCUUCUGUGAAGGAAAUGACAUCUAAGAGGGGUGUCAUUCCAUCAAAGAGGAUUUCAUAUCUAGACACUCCACUAGAGAUCAAGGUGGAUAAGACAAGAAGGAAAGACACUUCCAAGGCAUCAUCAAUCAUAAAAAAAGCAAGAUUGCAAUGCCUCUGUCUUUGUCUUGCACCGAUGUUCAGUGUGCAAGGCCCACAGAAGAGCAGCAUGAGCUGAAGAAGGUGAAUGUACAUCAUCUGUUCCAAAAAACAAACAAGCACAUAUCUGUUUCAACAGAUGAUACAUCAGCUAAAAAUUAUCAAACAGAUGUAUACAUCUGUUACAACUGUUGUCUAACCUGUUGCAUCAGAUUCGUUAUCUAUUUCAACAGAUAAGUCUUAUGUUGCAACAGAUGGGCCAUCUAUUCAAAAUUAUCGUACUGCUCUGAUUUACCUAUUCAAAUUCAUCCCAAUAGAUAAUCCAUCUAAUGCAAUAUAAAAAUCAUCUGUUGCAACAGAUGGAAAAUCUGUUGUAUAUCUCUACUUAGCAUUGACAAUUCUGGUUUUCCAGGUAGAUGUCACAGCUACUGCCAAAGAGUAUAAUAUGACAGUUGAUAAUCCAUCAACUGCUUCCAAAGAUGAAGAAAAAGUGGAUUCUGUCAGUUUGGGAGAACGGAACAAUUACCCAUUUGAAGGGUUCAAUAUCUCGGACGAGGCUUAAUAAAAACUAAUACAGUUGAUCAACGUUUAUUCAGAAUGGAUUGCCGAUGGGAUGUUAAAGCAUCAUGUCGGCAGGUACAUAAAUCAAUUUUAUGGAUAUUAGUUUAUACAAUUCUUGUUAUAAGAACCUGACAUUAACACAUAUAAAUCAUCAUGUAGAAAAUAAAAUGACUAGCGCUACAAAGUGAAUGAAUAGAGUCUUGAUUUUGAUAUGUUCGACUUUGUUGUUGUAUAUCUCGAAAUGAAGAAUUGGUUCUAUUUCAUGUCACAGCCCCAAACUUGCUGGAAUGAUGAGGUUUAAAGGCCAUAUAUAUAACUAUUAAUUAAUAUUUUAUUUAAUUACAUUUGUAUAUUGAUUUUUUUGUCACAUAAUCUGAAAUGUUUGAUAAUAUAUGCAGCACAUCGAUGUCAUUUUUUACUACCUCCAAAAGAAGACCAAGUUGCAAACACAAGAACAAUACAGAUACACAACAGGCAAUUGUUUGUACAAAGUUUACAUCAAUAAUGCCUACGAUAGGUAUUAUUAACAGCAGCCAAAAGUUUUUCGAAACGAGGAAUGCUUAAUCAAUAUCAUCAAAGGUUUUAGCAUUCUGGCUGGCGUACCUUGGCAUUUGGUCAACGAAGUGUACAUUCCAAUCAAUUAUGGUGAUGAAUUCCAUUGGGUAUUGGCUGUCGUCGUUCUAAAAGAGAGGCGCAUCUAAGUUUAUGACUCGAUGUCGGAAAGGAGACGUUCUGGGCAGACGUCUGAGAUACAAAAGCUGGCCAAAAUAUUGCCUACUUACCUUGAUAUGAGUGGAUUUUUGGAUCAAAAGGUUCGUACUGAUUGGUCGACGUUUGCAUACCGGGAUAAAAUGGCUAAUCCAUUUGAUGUACAAUAUGUUGAUGGAAUUGCUCAACAAACCAUUGGUAGCCUGUAAGUUUAAGUGUCAUGAUUUAGUUUCAUUUCACAAAUUUCACAACGGUUGUAUGAACUGCAAGAUAGGGAUUAUCUGUUUUUUUAUAAUGCAGGGAUUGCAGUCCUUUUAUUGCCGCCUAUGCCGAGUAUUUGAGCUAUGGAUUACAAGUACCAAAUCAUGGAAUUGAUUAUGGAUUACUCCUCAAAAUAUAUGUUGCUCUUUUAUGGAAAUAUGGAGAAGCGAAAGUUUAGAAGCCGUACGCAACCGACGUUAAAGAUCCACGAUGACCAAAGCCGAAUUCCAUAGCACUGGAUGAAGAACAACUUGUCCAUAUUGAUUAGAUCUUUAUAGCUCUAGUCCGUCAAUGUAAUAACCUAUCCUUCUUGGUUUAACUUGUUGAUUUAUUUGUAGAGUAGAUCGUUUGUACUCAUAAUGAUUUUUUUUACAUUUCAUUUAUUUGUUGAGUUAUUUUAUUUCAUGUAAUUUCUGAAUGCUUCAAUUUAUUUUAUUCUGUCUAUGAAUAUAAUUAAUUUGAGUUUUGAACAUGUUAAUUGAAAUGGAGUACUAGAUUCAAAUAUCGCAACAGAUAAUACAUCUGCUGCAACAGACGACAUAUCUUAUCAGACAGAUUUAGAUAUAUGUUGCAACAUGAGAUGCAACACGUAGGUCAUCUGCUGGAAAUUAUAUAACAAGUCUUUCUACGUUUUUUAUUUGCUCCAAUAGAUUACUGAUCAGUUUCAACAGAUAAGUUAUAUGUUGCAACAGAUUGUAAAUCUAUUGUGAUAUACAGACGGGGAACAUCUGCAUAACGCAACAGAAUACCAACCUAUUCCAACAGAUAAUCAAUCUAUCACAACAGGUACUAUAUCUAUUACGACAGAUAUCAAAUCUAUUGCAUUAUAAAAAUUCAACUUUGCCAGACAUAAAAAUUAUUGCCCCUAUAUGUAUAGUGAAUUGGCUUGAAAUGAAAAUUUGUUAUCGUGUUCGUCUCUGUCUUUGUAUAUGUUCUUUUUUAUAAACGGACUUCAACCAUUUAGUUAGUACCCCAUAUGCCCAGACCCAUUGCAUUUUUCCUACAAUGGUGUCGCACACCCCGAUCAUUUGUAUGCCAGUCAGCAAACACUCCAUAUAUGCAAGCGAGUACGGCCCGCACACUGCACCGGUUGUAUUUUUUGGGAGCUGGAUGUUCUUAUUUCGACCUUCAAAAACCCAUGAUUUCUUCGCCAAGACUUCAGCCGGCAAAUGAUCCAUCAGCUUACUCUGCAUCAACAACUUCGGCAACAACUUCAAGAGUGGCUGCAUGUGGGUUAAAAAUAUCUUCUCGCUGAACACAGGUAAGUUGCAGUCAUAAACCUUAAUUUUUCCCUUGUAUAGUAGUAUCUCAACAGUGAGAAAAUGGGUGACAUCCACAUUCAUGACUGCAAGGAUUCUCUUUGCCUUGGUCCAGCUCUUACCGUGUGGAUAUGGCCUCUUCCCUCUAACAUAUUUAAUCGCUUCUUCAUCCCAUUGGAAUGUAGAAACUAACUGAUCAAAUCCCAGGCUACCGGAAUUAGCUAGAUUACGAAGAUCAGCGUACCUAUCUUUGAAAUUAUUGUAGAAGUUAAGGUCCAUUAUCCUAUCAGCAGCAUCAUAAGCAUCUGGGUACGCUAAUUGCCUACCCCUCAUGAGGCAGAGAGUUUCAUCAACAUACUAUGGUAUAAGAAGAUAAUUUUUAAAUAGUUUAGUAAUUACAAGGAAUAAAAACACAGUGAACAGAAUCCGAUGCAGAGGGUUCUCUGAAUCAGUUCACAGAUUACCCAGCCAAAGCAACUUAUGCAACAUGUAUUAUGUUGCAACAAAAUACCAAGUUUUCGCAAUAGAUUACAUAUCUACUGCGUAAAUUUUUUUCAUAGGGUAGAUUGGAAGGGAAGGUUAGAAAAAGUAAACUUACCUUGUCCUCGUACCACACACACAUAUUUGUCAUAUUCGAGAAGUCUUUGGCGGCAAAUGAAUACAUGGUGUAUUCUUUUUUAACCUUCAUCUUGAUGAAUUCUUCCAGUUCCUUCUUCUUCUCCUUGCCAAGCGCCGUAAAUAUGUCCACCUUCUUCGGCGGCCCCUGAACUUUAACAACUAUUGGAGCGGGAGUUGUUGCAGUUUUUGCUAAUUUUAGAAUAGAGAGAAUUUGUCUAAUUUUUAUUCUCUUCCUCCUAACCUCCACUGUAGGAGUACAAGGCUCCCUCACCUCGUUGGAUGGUAUGACACCCCUCCUNNNNNNNNNNNNNNNNNNNNNNNNNAACCGCUUAUCUAGAAUCUCUAACUUAAAAUGAUUUUCCUGUUUUGAAUCGUUUGAAGUAACUUUUAUAAAGGUUUCUUAAUUCCUUUUCAAAAUUAAGUGGCGACUCUCUUUAAAAAAUCAAAAAAUUUCCGCAAAACAGCUGCCACCAUCACAAACAACUCCACCAGCAACACCCCCAGAAGAAGCACCCGAAUCUGUUGCAGUUUGAGUUAGGCCGUGAAGAGCUUCAACAUUAGACUGAUCUUGCCUAACUGCUCUUCUUAUGGAUGUUUCUCCAUCCAACUCCUUCUUUAUUAACUCCACUUUUGGGUCUUUUUUUGUAUCAACAAGACCUAGAGUAAGAAAACAAGUCAUCCCGAGCUCAUCAAUGGUAGGCACGAUCCAAGGAUGCACAACCUAUAAAAAAUGAUAGGAGAAAUUUAAAUCAUAUAAAAAUAAUUUGCAGUCAGUUGGGUUACAUGGGUCUCAAGUUAUGUUAACAAAGCCAACUUAUACAACAAACGAUCUAGCUACCGCAACAGCUGAUCUGUAUGUUGAAACAGAUUGAUAAUAAAUUGCAUCAGAAUACCCAUCUGUUGCAUAACUUACAGUAGAUAGAUAAUCUGUCGAGUAGGGUUCAAAGAACAGAGCAACAUAUAGUUAAUUUGUUGGGAAAUAUAGAUCGUUUGUUGCAACAGAUUACCCAUUGCACCAGUUAUAGUUGACGGGUAAUUUUUUACAACAGAUGGAACAUCUAUUUCAAUAUCUUUCUUUGAGGAAAAUUAUUUUAGUUGAAAGAAGACGUACUGCAUCAUUCGAAGGGUUAAAGAGAUUAGCCUAGUUAAUAUUUUUCUUGGUGCUCUCUACUGCAGCACAUCACCUAAGGAUCCUUAGAUAAGAAACCUUAUUCGGGUAAUCUGUGAAAUGGUUACGGAGGGGAGGAGUGGCUUUACAUGCCCAAGCCUAAAAAUUGUAAACAGGAAGCAAGCAAAAAAAAAGUCACAAGUAUAUUCAAUAUAAAUUAAUGAAUGAGUAAAAAUAGUGAUCAAUUUUACCAUGAAAGCCCAAGAAAAACCGUAUAAUGUGGUCAUCUUUGGCUUUAGCUCUUUCAGUAAAUAUUUGACAGUCAAGUAGUAGCUGUCGUAGCCCCGAGAUAAUCAUUGAAUCUCCCAAAAUCAUCUGCAAGUGCCAACAAAUCACGUUCUAUGACUUUCUUGACAUCUCUUGCCAGUAAAAUGGAAUAGACAAACCAAACUAAGCAUAAUUUCUCCCUAUAGUGCUUUGGUAUGUCUUUAUUCUUGAGAUCCGCUAUCAAAAAUCCUUCACUUUGUAGCUAGGUCCAACAAUACCCAACAACCCAUUUUUUUUACCUUGUGUUUGUUGGACCCUUUGUGGGGUGUUUUCUUGAUGGCAGGUUCUUCUGGACAAUCACAUCUCAAGCCCUUCACAAUGGCAAACUCUUUCAAUCUAAAACAAACUGGCAUACCACAGUAGUUGAUCCAGACUUCAUCCAUUUUAUUUCUGCCCUCCUUCGGACCUCCAUCAUCCCCCGCAUACAUGAUCCUGCGCUUGAGAAGGUCAUAUACCAUGAUCAUUGGGAAACAGAGAGGGCGGGGCCCAGACAGCUCAAGAAAGUGUACAAAGCAACUCGUUUUAAAAAGUCCAUCUAUGUUUUCCUUCUUCAUAAUAUUCCUAAGUUCGUCAAAAGGUUUCCCCAAAUGACAUUUAAGUACAAGAUCACCAAAUACUGCAUUAGGGUUAUUCAUCGGCAUCGCAACUCGAAACUUGUCAAUACUAAUGGUUUUGAUAGAAUCAUGAUGGAAUUUUGAUAUUAUUUCAAGCCCCGUUGGUGAGGAGGAGUUAUCACCUUCCUCAGCUUCAUUUUGCCCUGACUGAGAUUGUUCUGGAAGUUCCUCCAAAUCUAUCUGUACUCUAGCCUUUUUUGUUUGGUGAUCGGAAGUUGAUCCACUUUCUCCACAUUUUAUUUCUUUUCUUUUGGGAGACAUCUUUUAACUACAAACAAAAGAAAAACAAAAAAGACAUUGCAUUUGACAUCUGCAUAAUUUUUUAAAAAAAGGUGUGACAAAUUUCCAUAUAACCAAAAAAAAUACUCCAACGGAUAACCCAUCAGUUAGAACGGAUGGGGAACCUGAAUUUGUUUGAAGACCUAGUUAAUAUCUCCCCACAUAUAUUCCACCUGUUGCAACAGGUGGAGAAAUUUAAAUAAAUUAUUCUCUGCCACAAUACAAGAAAAUACUCCAAUGGAUAACCCAUCAGUUGGAACAGAUGGGGAAUCUGUUUGAAGACCUAUUUAAUAUCUCCCAACAGAUCUUCCACCCGUUGAAACAGAUGGACCACCACCACCACAACCAAUGCCAUGACUAAUGCCACCAAAACCACCACCAAUGCCACCAAUACCAACACCAAGACCACCGACACCACCGCCAAAAAACAGAAAUACCAACACCACCACCCGCAUCCACCAAUAACACCACAAACACCAUCCAACAAUACCACAAUAGUCAACAAAACACUGAGAGAAAAACUAGGGUUUCUUGGGUGCUUCCUACUUUUUUAGCAUCAAAACUCAAAAUUGUUAACCCAUUCUCGAAGAUAAUACAACUAAAAGUCUUCUUUUUUAUCAUUAACUAAAAAGCCCUAUUUUUUAGGAUAAAGAACAAAUGUAGAACUCUUCUCGAACUCUGUUACAUGCGAAGAUAGAGAAAACAAUGAAUACAAGCGAGAAUGAAGUCGAAAGAAACAACUAUAUGUAGUCGUAAAUGGGAAGAAAAUCGACCUGUUUUGAAGGGUUGAGCAAUAUAUUGAGUAGUUGUUGUUUAUAUUGUUUGUAUUGUUGAGAGAGAGAGGACACCCCGAGAGAGAGAGAGAGAAGAGUGAGAACUUAACAUUUGAAAUGAAAAUUUUUUCGCGCAAAUGGAUGAUUUGUAUGGGUUGAUUUGUAAUUUUGGAAAAGAAUGACAAGUUUUGAAAUUGCUAAUUUGGUCCGAAUUGAUCUNNNNNNNNNNNNNNNNNUUAAAAGAUAUAGUUUUAAAACAUUGAGUUGAUGAGAACUCAUUUCAACUCUGAGUGAUCGAUCGACGACUCGGGUUGGGAUGAAUGCAAUACCAAUGCCAUGUAAUUGCAAAGACUCGAUUAGAUUUGUAGUUAACCCUACGAGAUCGUUCAUUCAUCCCUAGUUACACCUAAAUCAACUUAGGAACUAUCACUAUCAUAACAUUGAGUUGAUGAGAACUCAUUUCAACUCAGAGUGAUCGAUCGACGACUCGAAUCAGGAUAAACUCUAUACCAAUGCCAUGCAAUUGCAAAGACUCGAUUGAAUUUGUAGUUGACCCUGUGAGCUUACUCAUUCAUCCCUAGUUCCACCUAAAUCAACUUAGGUACUGUCACUAUCCUAGCAUUGAGUUGAUGAGAACUCAUUUUAACUCAAAGUGAUCAAUCGAUGACUCAGGUCGGGAUGAACGUAAUAUCAAUGCCAUGCAAUUACAAAGACUCGAUUGGAUUUAUAGUUGACCCUGCGAGCUCACUCAUUCAUCCCUAGUUCCACCUAAAUCAACUUAGGUACUAUCACUAUCCUAAUAUUGAGUUGAUGAGAAAUCAUUUCAACUCAGAGUGAUCGAUCGACAACUCGGGUCGGGAUAAACAUAAUACCAAUGCCAUGCAAUUGGAAAGAGUCGAUUGGAUUUGUAGUUGACCCUGAGAUCUCACUCAUUCAUCCCUAGUUCCACCUAAAUCAACUUAGGUACUAUCACUAUCCUAAUAUUGAGUUGAUGAGAAAUCAUUUCAACUCAGAGUGAUCGAUCGACAACUCGGGUCGGGAUAAACAUAAUACCAAUGCCAUGCAAUUGGAAAGAGUCGAUUGGAUUUGUAGUUGACCCUGCGAGCUCACUCAUUCAUCCCUAGUUCCACCUAAAUCAACUUAGGUACUAUCACUAUCCUAAUAUUGAGUUGAUGAGAACUCAUUUUAACUCAAAGUGAUCAAUCGAUGACUCAGGUCGGGAUGAACGUAAUAUCAAUGCCAUGCAAUUACAAAGACUCGAUUGGAUUUAUAGUUGACCCUGCGAGCUCACUCAUUCAUCCCUAGUUCCACCUAAAUCAACUUAGGUACUAUCACUAUCCUAAUAUUGAGUUGAUGAGAAAUCAUUUCAACUCAGAGUGAUCGAUCGACAACUCGGGUCGGGAUAAACAUAAUACCAAUGCCAUGCAAUUGGAAAGAGUCGAUUGGAUUUGUAGUUGACCCUGCGAGCUCACUCAUUCAUUCCUAGUUCCACCUAAAUCAACUUAGGUACUAUCACUAUCCUAAUAUUGAGUUGAUGAGAAAUCAUUUCAACUCAGAGUGAUCGAUCGAUGACUCGGGUUGAGCUAAACGCAAUACCAAUGCCAUGCAAUUGGAAAGAGUCGAUUGGAUUUGUAGUUGACCCUGCGAGCUCACUCAUUCAUUCCUAGUUCCACCUAAAUCAACUUAGGUACUAUCACUAUCCUAAUAUUGAGUUGAUGAGAAAUCAUUUCAACUCAGAGUGAUCGAUCGAUGACUCGGGUCGAGAUAAACGCAAUACCAAUGCCAUGCAAUUGCAAAGACUCGAUUGGAUUUGUAAUAUUGAGUUGAUGAGAACUCAUUUCAACUCAGAGUGAUCGAUCGAUGACUCGGGUCGAGAUAAACGCAAUACCAAUGCCAUGCAAUUGCAAAGACUCGAUUGGAUUUGUAAUAUUGAGUUGAUGAGAACUCAUUUCAACUCAGAGUGAUCGAUCGAUGACUCGGGUCGAGAUAAACGCAAUACCAAUGCCAUGCAAUUGCAAAGAGUCGAUUGGACUUGUAGUUGACCCUGCGAGCUCACUCAUUCAUCCCUAGUUCCACCUAAAUCAACUUAGGUACUAUCAUUAUCUUAACAUUGAGUUAAUGAGAACUCAUUUCAACUCAGAGUUAUCGAUCGAUGACUCUGGUUGGUAUGAAUGCAAAACCAACACCAUGCAAUUGCAAAGACUCGAUUGGAUUUGUAGUUGACCCUGCGAGCUUAUUUAUUAAUUUCUAGUUCCACCUAAAUAAAUUUCUAUGAAAUCUGUUGCAACAAAUGACUAAGCUGUUGAAAAUUUUCAAACAGGUACAUAUAUGUUGCAACAGAUGGCAUAUCUGAUUUAAUUAUUAAAUAGAUAUUUGCAUCUAUUGUGACAGAUGACUGAGCUGUUAGAAAUUUUUUAAAAAAUAUUUAUAUCUGUUGUAAUAGAUGACAUAUCCGAUUUUAUUACUUAUCAAAUGAACAUUUUCAUUUGUUGUCACAGAUGACUGAACUUUUGGGAUUUUUAAACAGAUAUUUAUAUGUGUUGGAACAAAUGACUGAGCUGUUCGGAUUUCUAAACAGAUAUUUAUAUAUGUUGCAACAGAUGACAUAUCUGUUUGAAAAUCUUUUUAUCUCCUUUAAUUUUAAAGCAAGAAGCUUCUGGUCCAAGUUGAUAAUAUCAAGUAGUGGUACAUACUACUAAAGGUGGUAAAACAUGUUUCUUGGAUAUCUCAAAAGUGAGUUCAUUAAGCAGUCUUGUCUUGUCUUUUCAAUGUCAGUAGUCUUAGUCUUCCUCGUGCCCCUCAAAUUAUUAAUGAAAUUAAUGAAUAUUAAUUAAUUAAUAUUGAAAACAACCAUGUCUACAUACACAAUAAAUCUAUAGAAAUUAUCUUAUCUCUUCCUUUAGCUGCAGUUUAUUUUAUGCAACUCUCAUUUUUUUAUCCCUCCUCUUUAGGGUCACAGCCUUUUUUCUCUCUUUUCUCUUCUCUUCUCAUAAAGAUCUUUUCGGAUUUAAACCCAUCCAUAUCUUUUCUCGACUUAAAUUCCUGUUUUGAUCCUCUUUUUGAUAUUAAGAUAUGUUUUAUUAUUGCUCUUUCAUUCUCGUCUUCUUCUUUGCAUGUUAUUUACAUCUGUUGUUUAUUUAAUUAAUAUUUAUCCAUAUCAUAUUUAUUAAAAAAAAUUAACAAACUUGUAAGUGUUGAAUAAACAAUUCAAGAAUUUUUAUUAUAAUAUGAGAAAAAAGUUAUCUGUUGGGAGAAGUUUAAAAGCCUUGUUGGCAGUGUCAUUUUUUUGUAUGUAUUUUGUUUGUUUCAUUAUUGUUGUUUUAGUUAUUGAUGUUGUUGGUGGGGUUGGCAUUGUUGGAACUUGUGGUAUUGUUUAUGGUUCUGGCACAAAGGAUGUUGCUUCUUUGUUGUUAAUGAUGUUGUUGGAACUAAUGUUGUUUAUUUUUUGUUGAUAUUUAUGUUGUUGUUGAUGAUGUUGUUGGAACUAAUGUUGUUUAUUUUUUGUUGAUAUUUAUGUUGUUGUUGAUGUUGCAACAGAUAGAGAAACUGUUGGAACAAAUAAAACCACCAGAAAGGUUGGUUUGAUGUAUUCCAUCAAACUCCACAUCUGUUUCAACAGACUCCACAUCUGUUGCAACAGACUCCACAUCUAAUGCAACAGAUUGACAAUGUUCUUUUUGUGAUAUCAAUUUUUUUCCUCUUCUUUGUAGAUAUAAAGAACAGACAGUUGAUCAACUUUGACGGACUAUCUCAAGAGGCUGCAGUAAAAAUGAGAUUGGAGGAAUAAGUUGCUUGUAGAUGAAACCACUUCAUAUGUGGGAGGUAUGUAUUACGGAUAAUGUUAUCGUGGAAACACACAUAGAGUGCACUGAUUUUGUGAAUGAUGUUUUUACUGAUUAGUCAUAGAUCGUUCAAACAAGAUGUCUAUAAUUUUAUAGUUAAGUUUGGUAGAUCCGAACUGAUAAGGCUGAGGGACCAUGAAUAUAGUCCUAAUAGCCUGUUAAGAUUUAAUGUCGGUUGUUGCUUAUGUUUAUUUGUCAAGCAUUGUGAAGGGAUCUCAUUUUUGUGUCAUUGUAAAGAGAUUCAAUAGCGAUUGGACUAACUUUUAAGGUGCAUUAGACCCUUAUCAGGCCUUCGAAGCUUAGCACUGCAUCUAAUAAGAAUGGAAAACCAAUAUAUUUAUUGCCCUGGCCAAAAUUUAUAUGGCUGGAUUGCUCGCUCGGGGUGAUGAUUUUAUGCCAGAAUGUGUGGUAGGAGAAUGCUUUCGAUGAAAAAUGGGUGGUUGAUGGAAAACUAUAUCAUCUGAGAGCUAAUUAAAGAAGAGACAUAGGGUAGAAAGUAACUUCUAACGAAUUUGGCCGGUGGAAUUAUCUUAACAGAUGCGAGAUCUGAAUCAAGUGCAAAUAUGAAAGUGUAUCCAGUAAUGUAAUUUCAUCUGUUGUGUUUUUGAAAGAAAAACAAUGCAGAUGGACACUUUGCUAGGGAGUUGCGUGGUCAGGAUAGAUAAAAAAUAGGAGAAGACCAACAAAGAAGCCCCACGGGCAUUGAGGGUAGAAAUGAUGUACAGUAAGUCUAGAAAACUUAUGCCAACAGCAACUAUAGUUAAAAUAAGGAAUCUAAGCCAAGGCAGCAAAUUUCUAAAUUUUAAAUUUCAUCCCAUGCCUUCUUGUUUGUGUUUCCAAUCAGGUCCACUGUCGUUGACCUGAUCGGAACCACAAACGAGACUGAAAGGCAAAUAGAGUAUCAUUGCUUCCUUAGCAAUAUGGUUAUAAUUGAUUGUGAUUUUUUGCCUUGACAUGCUUUCAACAUUCCUUGGAGAAGAUCAGAUGCUUGUUGUAGUAAGUGAAUCUCGAUAAUUUUCAAGCUUUCCUCCAGCUUGUUGAUUCUGUAUUCAAGCUGGUCAUUGCCCUCUUCGAAGUUGAUAAAUAGUUCCUUGCCUCUUGUGAGCUCGAUCAGGAACACUACCUUCAAAGUUGUGGCAUUCUAGAACCCCUUUAGAACACUUUCUUCAGAAGCCUUAAAGGAUAUAUAGAGGGUCUCUAUGUUUGUUUUAGGUCAAAAUGUCUUGAUGCACGUUAAAGAUGUGGUCCCAAAAAUUAAAAAACACACUUUUAUCUAGCGUUGCUCCAUGCAUCUUGCUCAACCAAUUUGAUAAAUUAGUAAGCAUGGAGUUAUGUAGCGUGUGAUCUAAACCGGCUCUACCAUUACUACCAAACGUUAAGUAACUCUAAGCUCAUUACUCUAUCAAAAAAAUAUGACAGAGUUAGUGCAUAAAUUGAAAGAGCUCAAUCUCUCAGCCUUUCUGCUGAUUACUCUUCUCCAAUAUAGAUGACAAGAUAUCUACUAUACAAAAGUCUGCACCAUCGCCAGACAUAUUCCCAGGCAAUCAUGUCUGGCGAUGGUGUAAACUUUCGAACAGCAGAUAUCAUGUCAUCUAUAUUGGAGAAGAGUGAUCAGCAGAAAGGCUGAGAGAUUGGGAUUUUUUCCUAUGUGCACUAACUCGGGCAUAUUGUUUUAAUAGGGUAAUGAGCUUGGAGUUCUGUAACGUUUGAUAGGCUUGGUAGAGCCGGUUUAAAUCACAUGCUACGUAACUCCAUGCUUACUAAUUUAUCAAAUUGGUUGAGCAAGAUGCAUGGAGCAACACUCGAUAAAAGUGUGUUAUUCAACUGUUGGAACCACAUCUUCAACGUGCAUCAACACAUUUUGACCUAAAACACACACAGCGACCCUCCAUGUAUCCUUUAAAGCUUCUGAAGAGAAAGUGUUCUGAAGGACUUCUAGAAUGCCACAACUUUGAAGGUAGUGUUCCUGAUCGAGCUCACAAGAGACGAGGAACUCCUUACCAACUUCAAAGACGGUAACGACCAGUUUGAAUACAGAAUCAAUAAGCUGGAGGCAAGCUUGAAAAUUAUCGGGAUUCACAUACUACAGCAAGCAUCUGAUCUUCUCUAAGGAAUGUGGAAAACAUGUAAAGGCAAGAAAACACAAUCAAUUAUAACCAUAUUGCUAAGGAAGCAAUGAUACUCUAUUUGCCUUUCAAUCUUAUUUGUGGUUCCGAUCAGGUCAACGAUAGUGGACCUGAUUGAAAACACAAACAAGAAGAUGGGAUGAAAUUUAAAAUUCAGAAAUUGCCGCCUUCGCUUAGUUUCCUUAAUUUCACUGUAGUUGUUGUUGACGUAAGUUUUCUAGACUUGCUGAACAUUAUUUCUACCCUCGAUUCUCGUGAGGCUACUUUGUUGGUCUUCUCUUAUUUUCUACCUAGGUGAUAAUCCCGACCAUGCAGCUCCCUAGCAAAGUGUCCAUCUACAUUGUUUUUCUUUCAGAGACACAAUAGACGAAAUUAUAUUACCAGAUGCACUUUCAUAUUUGCACUUGAUUCAGAUUUCGCAUCUGUUAAGAUAAUUCCAUCGGCCAGAUUUGUUAGAAUUUACUUUUUACCUGGUGUCUCUUCUUCAAUUAUCUCUCAGAUGAUAUAGCCUUCCAUCAACAACCCAUUUGCCUCAAAAGUAUUCUCCUACCGCACCUUCUGGCAUAUAAUCAUCAACCCGAGCGAGCAACCCAACCGUAUAAAUUUUGGCCAGGGCAAUAACUAUAUUGGUUUUCCAUUCUUAUUUGAUGCAGUGCGAGGCUUCGAGGGUACUCUAAGGGUCAAAUGCACACUUAAAGUUAAGUCCAAUCUCUAUUGGUUCUCUGUAGUGACGACAAAUAUUGAUCCCUUCUCAAAACUUGACACGCAUAAACAUGAGCACCAACCAUCAGUAAUUUGUAACAGGGUAUCUGCACCAUCUUCAUGAGGUCCUCAGCCUUAUCAAUUUUGAACCCAUCAAACUUAACGGUACAAUGCAGGAUCUUGUUUGAAUGAUCAAUGUCUAAUCAGUUAAAAACUACAUUCACAAAAACAUUGUACUUUGUAUGUGUUGUUUCGGUAACCUUAUCAGUAAUACAUAUUUAACUCCCACACAUAUGAUAGUGGAUCCAUAUGCACGCACCUUAUUCUUCCUAGCCCAUCUAUGACUUAAAUUGAAUAAACAGAUGACUAGCUUGUUGCAACAAAUGACACAUCUGUUUAUAUUGUCAAUCAAUUGGAGACAUCUGUUACAACAGUGAUAAACCUGUUGUAGAAAUCAAACAGAUAUAUACAUCUGUUGCAAAAAGAUUGCCAGUAUGUUGUAAGUUAUCUAACAGGAAGAAUAUAUUUUGUAACAGAUUAUCCAUCUAUUAGAUUUAUUUUAAAGCAAUUUUCUUUUCUUUCCGAGAUACAAUAAUUUAUAAAUAGGUCCCUCCUUACAAAUAUGGAUGAUCCAGAUUCGUACAAGAAUAUUCAUAUCGUGUCCUUACUUCAAAGGCAGUUUGAUUGAUGAACUCCAGAGAGAUAUUUGGCUGACUUCAGAGCAAGGCUUCUGGAUGAAUGAAAGAUGUCUGAUUGACAGUAAUAAUAAUAGUAGUAGUAAUAAUUAGGUAAUAUUUUUUAUUUUAGCGAUUAUUUUCCUCCUUUGUAUAUCAAAAUCUACCCAAGGGAUUCAAAAAUCUAUGAACAUUCAUUUCAUUUUGUUGUCAACUUUAAAUUUUUAAUUCUUAUUUAGUAUUUAAUAAUAAUCAUUCUGUUUAUUCCUUGUUCUCAACNNNNNNNNNNNNNNNNNNNNNNNNNNNNNNNNNNNNNNNNNNNNNNNNNNNNNNNNNNNNNNNNNNNNNNNNNNNNNNNNNNNNNNNNNNNNNNNNNNNNNNNNNNNNNNNNNNNNNNNNNNNNNNNNNNNNNNNNNNNNNNNNNNNNNNNNNNNNNNNNNNNNNNNNNNNNNNNNNNNNNNNNNNNNNNNNNNNNNNNNNNNNNNNNNNNNNNNNNNNNNNNNNNNNNNNNNNNNNNNNNNNNNNNNNNNNNNNNNNNNNNNNNNNNNNNNNNNNNNNNNNNNNNNNNNNNNNNNNNNNNNNNNNNNNNNNNNNNNNNNNNNNNNNNNNNNNNNNNNNNNNNNNNNNNNNNNNNNNNNNNNNNNNNNNNNNNNNNNNNNNNNNNNNNNNNNNNNNNNNNNGUGACUUUUCACCAUUUUUGUUUUUGAAUUUAUUUUUUAAAUUAUUUAUUAUAUAAUAAAAUGAUUAUUAUUUUAUUAAGGAAUUUGAAAAGGUAUUUUUUUUCAUUUAUAAAAUAAAAAAGUAAGCAAAUAUGGAUUAAUGAUAUGAUGAUAUAGUUUUUUUUAAAAAAAAAAAAGUAGAUUAUAUGUUGCAAUAAUUAAAUUAUCUGAUGCAACAGGUUCACUAUGGUUGCAACAGAUGAUAUAUCUGUUGUCACAGAUGAUUUAUCUAAUACAACCUAUAUCGAGUCACAACUCAAUAAAAGCAGUUCUUGGAAAGAACUAAUUAAUAAUAAUAAUCUGAAAAGUCAUGACUUAUCACAAUAUUUCUUAAUUUAAUUAAUUCAUUACUUUUCACAUUAAUAAAAAAAUAUAAUUAAUAAAUGGAGGUGAACAGUUAGAUUAUAUGUUGCAACAGAUAUGUUAUCUGAUGCAAAAAAAUUUAUAUUUGUUGCAAUAGAUAAUAUAUUUGUUAUCACAGAUGUAUUAUCUGAUGCAACAAAUAUAGAAUCUGUUGCCACAACUCAAUAAAAAUGGUUCUUCAAAAGACUAAUUACUAAUAAUAAUCUGAAAAGUCAUGACUUACAUCACAAUAUUUAUUUUCUUAAUUUAAUCAAAAAUUUAAUUAAUGUCUUUUUUGCCUCUUAUUCAAAUUCAAUCCUCUAUAAAUAGGUCCGUCCUUACUCAAUCGUUCAUUCAAAUACACCAUCUAUUUAUUUAUUGCAUCUCGUCUUUCAUAUUACACUCUAGAAGAUAAGAUUAUGGCUGACCCAGUGUGGGAUAUUGCUUUUCUGCAAGACGCCGUGAAUGAACUUCGGAAUCAAGUUCGUGAUCUGCAAUGGGAAUUGGGAGAAGUUAGAUCAAGAAUGCUCUGCGAGAUACGCAGGCUGAGGAGGAACUUGCUUCUUCCGGUUGAAGAUUGGCCGGCUAGCAAUAAUAAUGCUGAUAAUAAUAAUAAUAAUAAUUAGACUAUUAUUUUUCUUUUAGUCUAUUAUAUGUAUUUUUAUUUGUUUAAUGAAUAAAUUAUGUUUGAUCUUUGACGUUUUAAUCCAUAUUUAAUUUUCAUUCUAUCUAUUAUCUUCUCAACAAACAUUUCGACGUAAAAAGGAAUAAUUUAGAAUCUAGUAGCAAUAGCAAGAUUUAUUUGUUGGGUUUGUGGCAGGGGUUGAUAUGUGUUAUUUCAAAUAGAUUAAUCAUUCAUUGCAACAGAUAAUUAGUCUGGUGCAACAGAUAAACAUUCUGAUGCAACAGAUAAUUAGUUNNNNNNNNNNNNNNNNNNNNNNNNNNNNNNNNNNNNNNNNNNNNNNNNNNNNNNNNNNNNNNNNNNNNNNNNNNNNNNNNNNNNNNNNNNNNNNNNNNNNNNNNNNNNNNNNNNNNNNNNNNNNNNNNNNNNNNNNNNNNNNNNNNNNNNNNNNNNNNNNNNNNNNNNNNNNNNNNNNNNNNNNNNNNNNNNNNNNNGAAUAAAAAUCAUAAUUUUACUUACCAAAGUAACCUAUGAAGUAAUGUCAAAGUGUAAAGUGAUGUAGUAAACAAAAUUUGACCUAAGAAAUUGGUCAGAUCGCAGCAGUAGCGCUAUACCACCACCAACAACAACAAUAACAAAAAAUGGUCGACAAGAAGAAGAUGAAGCAGAAGAUGGUGAAUAAAGCAGCAGAAAUAGAAACAAUUAACAACAAAAAUCGCUAAGAGAGAGAAAACAACAAUGGAUGAGAAGAGAGAGAAAGGCGCCUUUUUUUCCCUCCGUUUUUCGUUAUUUUAGGUAUACAUUGGGAUCAAAGUAUAAAUUUAAAAACUUGUGGAUUAUUUUAAAACUUCCCCAACUUUCUUAAUACAUAAUAAAGUAAUUGUCACCUCUAACUAAUAAUUAAGACUUGUGUCACCUACACCUCAUUUUAAAACUCUUUUGUCACCUGUGGCCCAAACUCCCUAGUUUCUAAAUAUUAGAAACAUUGGUUUCAACAUGUUAGGUUAAAGGCAUUAAUAAAAAGCUUGAUGGUAUAAUAGUCUUUUUGCAGAAUUAGCUUGUUGAUCAAAGUUGCCUUAAUCCUUUAAUUUCUUGAACCUUAGCAAUACUUUUACAGAAAAGUUCAGCCUUUUCCAUUUAAUUACAAUCAUGACCUUAAAAAAAGACUUCCCUUUUCUAUUUAAUUACAAUAAUGCUUGGACUGCUACUAAAUAUGGUGGGGCCAUACUUAUUAAAAUGUGUAAUUAAAUAUUUCAUAUAUUUUUUCCUUUACUCUCUUAAAGGUAAAUAAGUUUUUUACUAUAUUUCGCAUUUAAAUGUUUUGAAGUUAAAAAGAAUUAUAGAGAUUUUUUUUCAUAUUAUUUUUUUAAGUGAUAUUCUUAACUAAUUUAUAUCUUUUAGAAGAAAAAUUUGAAAAUAAUUUAAAGAUAAUAUUGAAAAGUAGCUUUAAUAAUUUUCUUAAGGAAUACUGCAUAUUUCAACAAUUCACUUAAUAUGAAUUAGAGGAAGUACUAUCUAUAUAUAAUUAUGUAUUUUUUAAAAAUAAUAAUUUAUACUAAUUACUACUAAUUAAAUAUUAAAAUUAAAUAAAAUUCAUAUAUUUCUUCUUUUAUUUUUUGGCUCUUAUACUGAAUAUAAUUUUUUUUAAUUAUUUAUGUUAGCAAAUUAAUUUAAUAAGAUAAAUUCCUAAUAAAAAAUUUCUUAAGAUCUGUGUCAAGUCAACAUAGGAUCAAGUUACAAAAAAAUGAAGAAAUGUCUACUAUGUCGAAAUAUACACCCCAAUAAGACUAAGUAUUGCCAUAAAAAUUUUUUGCUCUUUCAUAUACUAGAAAAGUUUAUUUGACAAAAAAAUUUAUUUAACAUAUUUGGGUCCAUAAUUUUGUUAUUUAACGUAGAGUUUCCAGGGAGGUUCUAUAGAGGUGUUUGGAGACUAGAGGUGUUCCUAUAGUGUAUGUUAGGGCGAUUAAGGAUAUGUACGACGGAGCCAAGACUCGGGUUAGGACUAGGGGAGGGGACUCGGAGCACUUUCCUGUCUUGAUGGAGUUACAUCAAGGAUCAACGCUUAGUCCAUUUCUUUUUGCCUUGGUGAUGGAUGUUUUGACGCAGCACAUUCAGGACAGAGUGCCUUAUUGUUUGCUUUUUGCAGAUGAUGUAGUCUUAAUUGAUGAGACAUGUAGCGGAUGUAAUGCUAAAUUGGAGGUUUGGAGGUAAACUCUUGAGUCUAAAAGGGUUUAGGUUGAGUAAUCCCAAGACGGAAUAUUUAGAGUGUAAGUUCAGCUAGGUGUCUCAUGAGUCUGAUAUCGUUGUUAAGCGUGACACUCAUUCUAUAAGUAAGAUAUAUAGUUUUGAGUAUCUGGGGUCGAUGAUUCAGAAGAAUGGAGAAAUUGAUGAUGAUGUCACUUAUCGGAUCGGGGUAGGGUGGAUCAAAUAGAGGCUCGCCUUCGGUAUCUUGUGUGACAAAAAGGUACCUCCUAUAUUUAAAGGGAAGUUCAACAAAGUGGUGGUUAGACCAACUUUAUUGUAUAGGGCGGAGUGUUGGCCUGUUAAGAAGACCCACAUCCAGAAGAUAAAGGUGACGGAGAUGAGAAUGCUUCGGUGGAUGUAGGUGUAUUAGGAAAGAUAGGAUUGGAAAUGAGGUUAUUCGAGAUAAGGUGGGGGUGGAUUCGAUUGAAGCCAAGAUGAAGGAAGCGAGGUUAAGAUGGUUCAGUCAUGUGAUGAGGAGGAGUACGAAUGCCCUAGUGUGGAGGUGUGAGAGGUUGCUUAGAGAUGAUUUCAAGCGAGGUAGAGGUAGACCGAAGAAAUAUUGAAGGGAGGUGAUUAGACAUGACAUGGAGCAACUUCAGCUUAUCGAGGACAUGACCAUGGAUAGAAAGUCGUGGAGGAAGCGAAGUAAAGGUAGUAGGUUAGUCUGAGUUAGGAUAUUGUAUGUUUUGGUAUGUACUUGGAGUAUCUUACUUUUGGUAUUAUUGAAUAUGUUCUAUUGUAUCUUGUUCUAUUACUAUUCCUUAUCUUAUCUUAGAUUGCUUUAUUUUGAGUCAGGGGUCUAUCAUAAGCAACCUCUCUAUCUCACAUUGAGGUAGUGGUAUGGACUGCGUACACUUAUCCUCCUAAGACCCCACUUGGUAGGAAUAUACUGGGUAUAUUGUUGUUGUUGUUGCUGUUAUACAAAAUAUUGAUAAAAUAAGAUUUUUAAAGUUAAAUUAUUUUUAAACAUAAAUAAUCGUCUUUCUAAGUUUUUUUUAAUGAAUUAUUUUUAAAUAUAAAUAAUCGUCUUUCUAAUUUUUUUUUAAAUAUUAACCUGACACGUUGCUUAAGAAAACUUAAAUUAAGAAUGUAUUUUACCACAUUAACCUUAUUAAUGCUGGAUUGGGACUCUAAAAUUGACUAUUAUUGAUAUUGUCUUAGAAUUCUAAAUUUACCAAAUAAACUUAAGAAAACUCUAACCGUAUUGACUAUUAUUGAUGUUGUUUUGGAGUAUUACGUUAUGUCGUUAUUAAACACUAAGGAUAAAAAGAAAAAAAUAUAACAAAAUUAGAGACAAUUUCGACAUGCCUGCUUCACCAGGCUACUUGCUUUGUGAUUUUACUAUAUCAUCCCUAAUUAAUUAUUAUAAGUCAUUUACAUAUUAAAAAAUUAAUAAUAUUUAAUACAAAAAGUAAAAUAGACAUUUAUGACAUGUCUGCUUCAUCUGUUUCAAUCGUAAUUUUAUUAAAUAUCAUCCUAAUUAAUUAUUAUAAUUCAUCUAAGUAUUAAAAAAUAAUAAUUUAAUUAAAAAGGUAAAUAGAUAUAAAAUGAUGAAUUAACUCUUGAUAUUUUAAAUUAACUUGACGUCUUAUAUAAGACUCACUUAGUUUUCUUUUUACAAAUACCUUUUAUAGGAACUUUGCUAUAUCACUUUUUACUAAAUAUCUCUCCUAAUUAAUUAUUAUAAUUCUUCUAAGUAUCACAAAAUUAAUAAUAUUUAAUAAAAAAUAAUAUAGAAAUAAAAUGAUAAAUUAACUUUAGAUGUGUUAAAUUAACUCGACGUCCUAUGUGACUCACAUAAAAAAAAUCUCAAAUAUUUUUUAUAGUAACUUUUUUAUAUCAGUUUUUAGUAAAUAUCUCCCCUAAUUAACUAUUAUAAGUUAUAUAAUAUUAAAAAAUUAAUAAUAUUUAAUACAAAGGUAAUAUAGACAUAAAUUGAUAAAUUAACUCUUGCUGUUUUAAAUUAACUUGACGUCUUCUAUGAGGUUCGCGUAAAUUUCUUUUACAAAUAUUUUUUAUAAUAAUUUUGCUACAUACAACAACAACAGACCCAGUGUAUUCCCACAAAGUGCGGUCUGGGGAGGGUAAAAUGUACGCAGUCCAUACCGCUACCUCAGAGAAAGUAGAGAGGUUGUUUCCGAUAGACCCUCGGCUCAAGAUAGAAAAUAAUAUACCAAGGUUGUAAUGAAACAUGAAACAGGAUGGAUAGCAUAACAGAAAUAAGAGAUAAGAAACAAUAACAAUUUAUAUCAGAGAAAUAGGAAAUAAGAGAAAUACGAAUAAUACAAAAUAUGAAAAGAAAAACGGUUACCCCUGUAGUAGUAACAUACACUCACAGACAUAAGACACCCACCCACCCAAACUCUCCUAACACCUAGCGCCACAACCCACAUACUCACACUAGCCUUCAACCCUAAUCCGCGACCUCCACACCUUCCUGUCUAGGGUCAUGUCCUCAGUAAGUAAGCUGAAGCAACUCCAUGUCAUGCCUAAUCACCUCUCUCCAGUAUUUCUUUGGCCUACCUCUACUCCUCCUGAAGCCAUCCAGAGCUAGCCUCUCACACCUCCGAACUGGGGCAUCUGUGCCCCUCCUCAUUACAUGUUCAAACCAUCUCAACCUUCCUUCUCGCUUCUUGUCCUCCACCGAAGCCACUUCUACCUUCUCCCGGAUAAACUCAUUCCUAACUUUAUCCCCUCUAGUAAGGCCACACAUCCAAUGCAACAUUCUCAUUUCCACCACCUUCAGCCUUUGAAUAUGGGAGUUUUUGACUGGCCAAUACUCCACUCCAUACAACAUGGUCAGACGGACUGCCACUCUGUAGAAUUUGCCUUUAAGCUUAAGGGGCACAUUCUUAUUCCACAACACACAUGAGGCGAGCCUUCACUUCAUCCAACCUGCUCCAAUACGUUUAGAGACAUCCUCAUCAAUCUCACCAUUUCCCUGAAUCAUAGACCCAAGAUACUUAAAACUAUCCUUCUUACAAAUAUCCCGAGAGUCCAACCUCACCAUCACAUCGUCCUUCUAACUCAAGUCACUAAACUUGAAUUUUUAAUACUCCGUCUUGGACCUACUCAACCUGAACCCCUUAGAUUCAAGGGUCUGCCUCCAAACCUCCAGUUUCUUAUUCACCCCUUUCCCCUUCCCCCCCUCCCGCAUCUCAUGAAUCAGCACUACAUCAUCCGCAAAUAACAUACACCACGGCACCCCGCCUUGAAUACUCCGUAUUAACACGUCUAUCACCAACGUAAAAAAGAAUGAGCUAAGAGUCGAUCCCUUUCUGGACCGAAAAAUGCCUUAAGUCUCCUCUCGCCGUCCUCACCCGAGUCUUUCCUCCAUCGUACAUGUCCUUAAUAGUUUUGAUGUACGUCACCGGAACUCCUAUCACCUCUAAGCAUCUCCAAAGAACCUCCCUAGGGACUUUGUCAUACGCCUUCUCCGGAUCGAUGACCACCAUGUACAAUCAUUUCUAAUUAAUUGUUGUAAGUGAUUUAAGACAUGUUUGUUUCGAUGCUUCAAUCGUAAUUUUACUAUAUUACAUUUAAUUAAUUAUUAUGGUUAUCCAAGUAUUGUGCCACUUAAAUUGACAUUUGUAAUUUAUUACCUCACUUAUAAUGGAUGAUAAACAGAUAACAGAUCGAUAUGUUUGUUUGUGUUGCCUGAUUAAAUAUUUUCUUUUAUAUUUAUUUAUUUUAUUUUUUAAUCCUUUAUAUACUUGAGAAUUAUUCAAAAGAAUAAUAAAUCAUAAUAAUUAGCAAAAUAAAAUAAUUAAAAAGGCAUAAAAAAAUUAAUUGACCCUCUAAAUUUUAUUACUACCACAUAAAUUAGGACAUAAGAAAAAUAUACUAUAAAUCACAAUAAUUAAUAGUUUAGAAUAUUUUUAAAAUAUAUGUAAAAAAUUUAGUUAACUCUCAAAAUUGUAUCAAUACCAUAUAAAAUUAGACAGAGGGUGAAAAAUAUAUUAUUUAAAGAUUAUAUAAAAAAUAUUAUAAAUCACAAUAAUUAAUCUAAAAAUAUUUUUCACGUUGGGCCCGUGCUAACACGGGCCAUAUCAACCCUAGUAUGUAUGUUUGUAGAUAUAUACUAGUUUAGUAUACGUACGUUGCACAUGUAUUAUGCAUUAUCGAUCAAAAUCCAAACGAACCUAAAUUGGGAAAAAAUUCUACUAAUUUAUGUUAUUUGAUGAUUUUUUUUAAUUGUUUCUUGGGAUAAAUUAUUGAUAAAAAAGCAUUUGGGUCCCAUUUUGACCCAUGUACCAGCGAACUUGGUCGAGUUAUUUAAAUUUUUAUAAUUAAAUUUAUAUUUUUGUGAUUAAUUUUGAGUGAAAGUAAAACUUUGAUGUUUCUCAAAAUUUAAAUUUUGUAUGGGCAUAUGUGUUUUUUGAAAUUGAACCCCAUGAAUAAUUUUUAAAAAUUCAAUGGCCAAACACCUACUUAUUACUCUAUAUCUAAGUAAGAGCCCGUUUGGAUAGGAUUAAAAAAAUAGCUUUUUAGCUUAAAUGAUUAAAAGAUUAAAAUAAGUGCUUAUAAAUUAAGGAGAUAAGUGUUUGGAUAGAAGUGCUGAAACUGAAAAAAAGUUGUUGAUGUGUUUGGUAAACAAAUGAUGUUCAAUACUUUUUUGUUGUUAAAAUGACUUAAAUGUCCUUAAAGUUGUUAACACCGUAAAUAAGGUGAAUUAUUUAUAAUUUUUAAAUCUAAAAUAAUUUUUUUAAACAAACCUCUGAUGUAAUGAAGGAUUCAAUGAAGACAAAGAAGAAAGAUGAAGAGAAAAUUGGAGGAAAGAGAUGAAGCGAAGCGGUAAAGAGAACAAAAAUUAUAUAUUAAGAGCUACAAGUUUAGGAUAUUAGUGGAAUUAGAGGAAAAUAUAGGGGAUAAAAAAGUAAAUAUUUUGGUCAAACCUAAAAGAAUUUUAAUCUAAAAAAUAAAAAGCUGGGGUACCUAGCUUCUCACUUUUUGAUUUUUUUUAAUUAGUUUUUAGCUUUACUUAAGCACUUUUUUUAUUUUACCAAACACCUUAAAAAGCUAAUAAAAAGGAUUAAAAGCUAGUUUGACUAGUUUUUAAUCCUAUCCAAACGGGCUCUAAGUGAUAUUUUAUUUUUAAUUUUGAUAAAACACUACUUUAGAUCAAGAAAAAAAAAGAAAAAAAAAAAAGAGAAAAAGAGAAAGAUAUAUCUAUCAACACAAAUCUAACUCAUCUUUAUCAACAAACAAACAAAAAAGUUUAGAUUGUACCUAGUCAUGCAUUACCAAUCUAUCAAAUCAUAAAAGUAUAACACAGAAAAUUAGAACAAUAUCAAAUUCACAAGAUGCAAGUGAUCAUUUGAGUCAAUGUCAACAUAUGUCAAAGUAUUUAAGCUUAUAUUAACUAUUUUUUUAAAGAAGCAUUCAUAUAAUAAUUCAUUUCUAGUGGGAGGUGGAGAAUGUCAUAUCACAGCACAAAGCUUCUAUUGAGACCCAUGAAAUGACAUGUAACACUUCUAUUCUGACAAAUAAUCGACAUAUGGUACUUUUCAAUGGCUUUAAUAAGUUUAAACAUUCAACUUGCACAUUUUUAAAUCAAUGGUUCUAACCAAAUAAGUCAGAACAACAAGGUAUCCACCACCACAAACGUCGCAAGGAUACAUGAAGAUUGAUUCAAACAUACAAGUUUACUAUUUUCUUCUUUUUUUGUAUCUGAAUUUACUAUCAUAAAUGUAAUUAUAUGAUCGUGUCUUCGGAGGUUCAACAUGUAGUUAUGAGACUUGGGUUAACUGAAUCAUUUUCUCUUGGUGCUAAAUAACCCUCCUAAAACUAUAACAUGAUUGAUCAUAUAACUUCUCGAGCAAAACAAAUCCCUUCAAUAUAUGUCAUUUACAUGACUAGUCUCUAUCCUGCAUCCUUUUUCUCUGACAAAAAAGUGAAAACAUAAUAGUUAGAAGCUGCAUUUACCAAAUCAUUAAGAUGAUUAGCUAUAUGUCUCAACAAAUUAAUCUUCGCAGUCGGUGCUCUUCCUUCACCUAUCCAAGAAUAUUAAAAAAUAAAUUAAUAAAUUUAUUCACAUAUUGAUUGAAGACCGUCUAAUAGCUUUUCAAAGAUAAUAAACUUUUUUGUGAGUGAAAAAUAGAAAAAGAACACCAUAGAUUAUACUUUAUAACAUCAAGAUAGUAUAAUUUUAAUGAAAUUUAUUUUUUCAUAGAAUGGUUGGUCGUCUGAGGUCUCACUGCAAUCUGCCUGAUUUUCCAUUAGUUGCAUGCAUUUAUAUCACUGCAAAUUCUAUAAAUAAGCAAACAUGCACUUUGAUAGUUUCAUGAUUCAGAGAUAUGUGGAAGCUCCAUCAUAUGUAUCUACCUUGAGCACAUAAAUUGUUUGUGUAAUUUGAGCACUCGUACACAUGUUUGAAAGAUGAUUAUUCAUCAGGAGGUUAAUGUUUGAAAGUCUUUUCUUAUUUUAUCUGAAUGACAAACCUGUUCUUAUCGAUCGUAGAUGGAAGAAAAAGUGAUAGUUAUGUCUGACUGUCUCAAGCUUCAGCUUUAUAUAAUUAAAUAUCGAUAGUUCAUUCCCCUAGAAAUAUGAAGAUCCAAAUUCAAUCAGAUUUUUGUCAGGAAAUUGCAAACAAUAUUGAACAUGAAAUGAUAACUACAGCCUGUGCCACUGCGGAAUCAGCACCUGUCUAUUUAUACCACCCGUUCUGUCUGGUUGGAGAUGUUUGAUUCCUUGCCUACGAAAGAGGCUUCUGACUUUAUAAAGAGGUUGACCGCUGAAAUAUCGAUCUCACUUUCAUACUGUACAUUACUAAGUUAAUACAUAAGAACACAUAAAAAGUCAAUAGCGCAUGCAACAUUUAAACGACAUUGAGAAGGACAAGAAAAAACUCAAAAUCUGAAGAAAUGGUUAUGCAUCAAAAGAAAAAGAAGUAACAGAAAAUACACUAAUUGUCCAUGAAUGAAGAAAAUAUAUACUUACUAUUAGAUAGGGUCAAAGGUAAAAUGUCAUCUUGUAGCGGAUCGGAAAGGGGCAGUUAGACUGCAUUUGUCUUUUUUUAAGAUUCAAAGGUUUGAAUCUGAAUGCACAUCUGAAUGAGUAAGAUGUUAUCUCUGAAUCUUAAAACUGAAUGAUUAAGACUGUUUGUUUUUCAAUAUCUGAAUUUGCAAAAAAAAAUUAUUUGUAUCUAUAAUAAAAUAAAAAAUAUAAUUCAAAUAAAAAACUAAUUAUAUAUCAGAAAAGUAUGUAAUUUAAUACAACAAAAUUAUUAUUUGAUUGAAAAAAAAUAUUUAUGUUUGUUAGUGAUAAUGUAGAUGGUUUAUAAUGGUGGUUGCAGUGAUAAUGAUUGAUGUUAGUGAUUAGUAAUAUUGGUGGUGAUAGUUGUGAUGGUUGAUAUUGUAGUGACUGUUAUGAUGGUGGCGGUUGAUAGCAGUGACGGUGGUUGUGAUGUGACAUUGCUUGAUGUUAGUAGUUGGAGGUAUUGAUUACAUGAUGGUUUGACAAUGUGUUGAUGCUAGUUGGAGAUAUUGUUAGUUGUGAUCGUGGAGAUGGUUGUUAGUAAAGAUAAAUUGUAGCUAUGGUAGUGGUUGCAGUGAUGGUAGAGGUGGCGUUAAUAGUGACAAUGAUGGUGGCUGCCAAAGAAUGUGUGAAGGUUGUGAUGUAUUAGUGGUAGUUAGCGGUGAUGUUAGUUAUGAUAGAUAAGUUGGUCGAUACUAGAAAUUGGCAGAUAGUGGUUGAUGAUGAUGGUGGUGUUGACGGCGGUGGUGACGGUGAAUACAAUUAGAAUAAUAGAGGUAGUAGGUGCGGUAGCGAUUGACAAUAGUGGUUGGUAGCGAUAUUUGUUGUCAAUGGUGGUUGUGAUGAUGGAGGUGGUUGGUGGUUGACAAUGGUGGCGGUGGCAGAGGUGGUUAGUGGUGGUGACUGAUGAUUAUGAAUAGAGUGGUGGUGAAUAUUAUCCAACACCAGAAUACGACCUAUUAAGACUUGAUUCUAGAUCUGAAUGAUUAAGACCUAUUCAGAUCUAUUAAGAGAUAAAAUCUUAAUAAAAAAACAAAUGCACUUAAUGGUCUGAUGUCUGAAUCAUUCAGAUUCAGACCUCCAUUAAGUGCAAACAAACGAGUCGUUAGUCAAGGAAUGACUCGUUUCCCCACAAUUGUAACAUGAACUUCUUAUUCAUCACUUCAUCAUCAUUGUUAGGGAGAUUCUUGAGGUUGUGACUGCGUCGACGACAAAGCAAUUAUAUCUUCAUGAUAAUGAUGGAGAAAGUGGAACAAUACAUGAUUUAGCUCCCGCAUUAAAUUAAAUUGAUCAAAAUAUAAUUUAAAUAGAAAAGGAAAAAAAGAACCCCUAUUAAUCUUAAUCAAACUUGGUACAUAAAAGGUUUCCAUGUUUACCUCCAAAGUAAACAGAAUGUAAUGUUUCCAUGUUUAGGUUUCAAAUCCUAAUUAAACUUGUCCUGCACAUAAAAGUUUUUCAUGUUAACGUGGAACCAAUUCGUGUGUGUAUAGAAUAUGACACAAUUUUAAUUAAUUUUCAAACUCUAAAUUUUAAGAAUUAUAAUAUAGUAAAAUAAGGAAAGAUUUAAUAUCUUAAUUAAAUUAUAACAAAUUUUAAAUUACUAAAUAUAACCCCCAAAAAAAAGUAAAAAGUUAAUUUUGUAAGACUUUUAAUGAAGGGCAAAAAGUUUCUACUAAGAAUAAAUGAUAAUUUAUUUUGAAAAUUGUAAGAACAUAUUAAGAUUUUAGAAAACUUACCUCAAAUCACAAAUAAAUUUAUCUCUUUAAUCACAUUUACUGUCAAGAUUGUAAGUAUCAAGAACAUGCUAAAACAUUAGAAAACUUACCUCAAAUCCGCCCCUUUGAUCAUAAGAUAUAUCGAGAUUUCACAAAAAAAAAAAACUUUAAAUUAACAAUUGUUUAUUAAGAAUACAUGAUAGUUUAUUUAUUUUAAAAUUCAAAAACAUAAUAAAAUUUUAAAAACUUACCUCAAAUUACAAGAAAAUUUACGUUUAAACCUGUUUUUUCUCUACAUACGGUCGUUUUGGAGAAAAAAAAUCCAAACCUAAACAAUGAAAGACAACUAUCUUCAAUUAAUUAAUCUAUAAUCUAUAACCUAUAUCUAUAAUCUAUAUCUAUAAUCUAUAUCUAUAUCUAUAUCUAUAAUAUAUUAAAAGUGUGAAGACCUUUAGAAAAGUGAUUUAAACUUUUUGCCCUUCAUUAAAAGACUUUUCGUUAGACAAAACUGUCUUUUCACUAUUUUCUUCAAUUUAUUAUUUAAUUAUUUAUAUUAUAUUAACUAGACUCCUAAAAUAUAUGGAACUCCUAAAAUAUAUGGAAGGAGAAUCAAUUAAUAUUUUUCUUUGUACUGAUCAAUUAGAAAAAUACUCAUAAAAUAGGAUAGAAAAUAUUCUUAAAAUAGGACUCUAUUAAGGAAAUACUUCUAUAAAUAUUGAGAUGUAUGUUAAACUACCGAAGAAAUCGGUUUACUUAUUGGGAAAAUAUGAUUGAUGAUAAUCUAACUUGAUUCGGUUGCAUGUCUAGAUUGAUAGAUUCUUAAUUUUCUAACCCUCAACUUCUUCACUGUUUAACAUAAUAGAAUUCAACGUGUGUGUAUAGAUCUUCUUUGUUUUCAUUAAAGUCAUUCUUUAGAGUCAAAAUUAUCGCUCAAACAAGAAUUAUUUUCAUCAAAAUUGAAGCUUUGUGAUCACUAUUGUAUUAUUUUGUUGUAGUUUACAUGUCGUAGAUGAAUUUACAGGCGGUAGAUGAAUGUCGGUUGGCUUUGAGGACCUUUUUUAGGUAAAAUUUAGGUUUAAUUGUAUUAUUUUAUAUCUCUAUUUUGAGAUUUUUUUAUGUUAAUGUUAAGUUUAUAAUUGUAUUAUUUUAAUAGCUCUAUUAUCGUAUUAUUUAUUAUAGUUUAAAGGUGGUAGAUGAGUGUUAUGGCUUUGAGAAAUUUUUUGUGUAAAACUUAGAUUUAAUUAUAUUAUUUUGAUGUCUCUAUCAUCGUUUUUUUUUUAUUGCAGUUUACAUGUGGUAGAUGAAUGUUGAUCAGAUUUGAUAAAUUUUUUGGUAAAAUUUAGGUUUAAUUAAUUAAAUUCUUCAAAAGAUGUUGAAUUUAAUUACUGUAAUCAUCUUUACGAUUUAAAUAAAUAUCCUAUUUAAUAUACUAUUUGAAUUCAAUAAAGUGAGGUACACGUGCGAGGCGCGUACACCUAAACUAGUUAAUUAAAGAAUACAAAGUUUAAAGUGAUUCAAAAGCAAAUAGUUAUUAGAUUUAGGUCUUUUUUUCCUUUUUCUAGAAUAUUAAUUUUUUACUUUCGAUGUCUUUUUACAGCUAUGCGUUUUAUUAUGCCCCCUUCCCCCCUAUAUUUUAGGAUUCCGUUUUCAAGUAUAAAAGGAGAAAAAAAUAUACCAAUAUUAAUUCUCUAUAUAUUUUUUUCUUAUCAUAUAUUAUAAAAUAUUAUAAGCAUAAUGAUAUAAUAAUUGGAGCAAAUAAAUGAAAAGCUGAUUUUGUCUAUUGUAGGAAUUUUUAAUGAAGGGCAAAAGGUUCAAAUUACUUUUCUAAAAAUCUUCACACUUUUAAUAUACUAGUCUAGUAUACGUGUUUUGCAUGGGUGUAUAAUAUCAAUUAAUAAUUGAGCUAUAAAAAUUACAGUAAUAUAAAAUCACACUGCAUAAAUUAACUUCAAAUUACUUUUGUUUAAAUCAACAGUUAAGUUUUAAAAAAGAAUAUGAAGUCAAGUCAUAAAUUGAUGCUAGUCAAGUCAUAAAUUGAUGCUUAGUAAUUAGUUGUUCUAUUUAUUUUAUUGGAUGAAACUUAGUUGUUCUACUUAAUUAGUUAUUCCGUGCAACCCUGUUCUUAAUUAUCUUUUGAGAUUCUUUUCACGUGUAGUUUGUAUUAAUCAUCAGAAAGGUUUUAAAAAUGGCUAAUAUUUGCACAUAUACAUGUAUGUUGUAAACAAUGUUAGACACAUUUUUUUUAAAGAAGUUAAAGCUCUGUCAAUACUUCUUCGGCCUACUUCUACUUCUCCUCGUACCAAUUAUAUUCAACCUCUCACAUCUAGGUUAUGUACCAACCUACAAAUUUUAUCUUUAACUAUUUUUUUUAACUUCUAUUAUCUAUAAAAUUGAUUCCAACAACAUUAUAGAAUACACUGAACAAUCUAUUCAAGCAGAAGCAAAAACUGAAUCAAAGUAAUAAAAUGAAUUAAUGACUGGAUCAAAAUUAAACUCAAAUACACACAACUCAAAUCAACCAAAACUAACUUAGGUCAAUACUAAUUAUUAGCUCAAGUUCGCACAUGGCUAGCAAAGUGUGCAUAUUGAACCUAAUUAAUAUUUUUGCUGAUGCAAAAUUAAUAUUAUAAAUAAAGCAUAUAUACAAUUUUGGUAUAUUUAUAACUAAUUGAAAGAAAUAAGUACUGUUGCCCCAUUAAUGAUUUAAAAAUAAGUAUUCCUACAAAUUAAUAGAUAUCAAUUAAAAAAAUAGUCAUUUGAAUAAUUUCUUGACCCAUGCACAAUCUUCAAUAUAAAUUAAAGUAUUAUGAAUAAUCAUGAUCACUAAUAAAUUUUUCUUUACAUAAAUGUAACAUAAUUAUGAGUUAAAUCGAAUUUGUUUUUUCGUGGUUAUAUAUGACCGCUUUCGAGAAUAUGAAAAUUAAGACAAAAUUGUGAUGAAGAAAAAAAUAUUUAAUUAGUAUGAUUUUUAUAGAAAUUGAGAAAUGCUAUGUAAAAUCUUAUGUUAUUUGGGAAAGUUUUUUUCCCAAUUUCUUUUGGACUCUGGAAAUGGGAUUUCUAGUUUUUUUUUUUAUCAAGCCUAUGUUAGUUGGGAAAGGUUUUGUUGUCAAAUUUUAUUUUAGGAAAUAUUUUUAUUUUUAAUUAUAAUUAAUAUUUAACAUCAUUAAAAAAAAUAAUGAAAAGAUAAUUUUGUCUAAAGUGAAGUCUUUUAAUGAAGGGUAAAAAGUUCAAAUAACUUUUUUAAGGACCUUCACACUUUUAAUAUAUUAUAGAUUAUAAAUUUUAUAUAUAUAUAUAUAUUAUAGUUAUUUUUAGUUUCUAUCAAAUUGAUACGUGCCAGCUCAAAAGGAAAGUGCAAGACACUUGUAAAACAAUAGGCAAGCAAUAACAAUGAAAUGACCCAAAUACCCUUAUUUGCAAAUUUUAUUGGCAUUAAACAGCCACAAGUGAGGGUUUUGACAUGGCUGCUUAAUGCCAAUAAAAUUUGCAAAUAAUGGUAUUUAGGUCAUUUCAUUGUUGUUGUUUGCCUAUUGUUUUACGAGUGUCUUGCACUUUUCUUUUGAGCAGACCCGUAUCAAUUCCUGUACCUAGACAUAGGAGUGAGCAUGGUAUCGUAUAUACCGAAUUACCAUAUCGAAUCAAAAAUUUUGAUACCGUGAUUUUUGGUAUUAUGAUAUUUGGAAUGGUAUAUGCUAUACAUUUUAAAUUUUUUUGGUAUAUGAUAUGAUAAACGGUAUUUACAAAUGACAUACCGAAAUACCAAAUACCAUACCGAAGGAUAUAUAGUUACAUACGUAACUUUUAUAUAUAUAUAUAUACACACAAAAAAAAAAUACUUAGUAUUAGUAUAAAAAUGUUUAGACUUUGAAACUUUCGCUACUCUAUCUUGAUUGAAAUGUCUUUAAGGCGUAAUUGAAUAAUAAAAGGAAUUGUUUGUACUUCUUUUUCAAUAUUUCUGCAUGUGUAAUGCAUUUUUAUAAUACAAUUAAGACAUGCUUUUGAAAAGUCGAAGUAAUAAUACUCUAGUAUACAAGUGUAUAUUAUCAAAGUUAAACAAACUAUGAUUACCUAUUAUCAUAUCGCAAAAUACCACCAAGCGUCAAAAUACCGAACCAUACUGAAUUAAUAUGGUAUGAUAAUGAUAUAAUAUUUUUAAAAAUUGAAUACCGAAAUUACCGUACCGAAGUUUCAAAUACCCUACCAUACCAUACCAUUGCCCACCCCUACGGCUAGACACAUAUAUUAUUCAAUCAAAUUUGAUAAUCUUUUACCAAGAAAGUUUUUGUGAUAAUCAUACGGGAGGUUAGGUGCACAGGCUACCCUUUUAAACUCUCUGGUAAAUUCCAAACAAAUUUGAGAUUUUUCAUUUUGUUGGUGUUUCCUUGACCAAAUGACUUCUUUGUCACUUGGGGAUUCUCUGAUGUCGAAUUAUGAUGCCUUUGUCAUUGGAAGAGGUAGGCUAAAUUGAACAACUUUGAGGAUAAAUUGAAUGCUUAUUUUGAUAUCUCAUGAAUAUUUAAUUUAAUAUUGUAUUGCAGUUUCAGGUAACUCACAUGUACAUGGUCAUGAAAAUGCAACAGCAAAGCACCACUGGCGAUGAAGUGGAGAUAUUUCGAAACAAACCAUUUAGUGAUAAUGAAUUUGGGGAGGGCUGAUAGACAUCAAAAGUUUACCACUUGCAGAGGUAACUUGAGUUCAAAUUUUCUUAAUGAGUUCUGUUUAUUAUUACAAUAUUUUGUCUUGAAUCAAUUAAGUCAGCAGUCAUUGUAAGUUAAGUAAUUUGGAGUUUGGACAAGGUUGUUCUGUCAUAAGAAACCUAUUUAGUGGUUAUUGUGGGGGCAUAAUCUUAAAAUUUAAUUUUUAUGAGGUAAACAGUAGCUAUAGAAGCUUUUUCUUGAUAGCCAUGGUGUCUGGUCCAACUCACGAUGCACUUCGACUAAUUUCGAGGGAUACCUGCCGUCUCCCACCAGCAGCAGCUAGUAACAGCAGGUACCAAGUAACUCUAUCCACUAAUCUUGGAUAGAUAGGAAGAAAUCGCCUAUUGAUUUUUCCCUCUCUUAUAACCAUACAUUGUGUAGGGGAUUUUAAUCUGUUGCAACGUUGGAUUUCAAUUUAAUGAUGCAAGAUUUUUUUUUUAAGAAAAAAAUUGUAUAAGCUCAUCCCAAAGCAGGAAAUAUCACACAAUAACAGGUCUUGCUUUGAUUCUCAAUCGACCUUUUAAUAAUGUCAAUUAUUUUUUUCUUUCAUUUAUGUUUGUCAUCCUUGUGGAUUUCUGUAUCGUUUCAAUUUUAUUGAUGUCACUUGUUGACUGAAGUGUAAUUGUGACCUUUCAAUUAAAUUGCCACUAUUGUAUGUAAGUAUGAUACUGAUAUUCACUGAUUUUAUAAUUGCUUCCACUUUCUAUUUGUCUUUGUUCAUUAAUAUUACACAGAACUCCCUCCAUCAUAUUAACUACUUACCGUCUCAAAAGGAGAAUUGCAUUCAUGUAUAAAAAAAUUAUUCAUGUUCAAGUAAAGCUAAUCCGGAUAUUUAGUUUCAAAAAAACAAGACCCAUAAUUGAAGUUUGGUUGUCAAAUCAAAUAUGGGCUCUUGCUAUUUUAUUGAUAUGGUCAAACAGAUAGCAGAAAGAUUAAUACACAAAAUCAGAAUUUAAUUUUGGAUAUGCACUGAUAGAAGAAUGACCUAAAGAGAUGAAGACUAAGAGAAACAAGAGAACAAACAAAUGCAAUAAAGUAAGAUAGAUAGCUUGACAUACGAGAUUACGAGAAAUAGGAACCAAACUGUGUAUCAAACGAUAAGACCCUUAAGACCCGCAAUUACAACACCAAACUCUUACGGUGAUCACUAAGGGAAUCCACUCCGCCUUACAACCACCGUUUCUAAGCAAAGAUCAAUAAUGGCUUUUCCAAGCCCUACUCUACUUGUCUUUUCAAAGCCCUACACUACACUCUCAAAGAGAGAAGAAGAAGUCUUUCAAAUAUCAAUAAUCAACUAAUGAGAAAAUAAGCCUAAAGAGUCUAUUUAGCUUAUUACAUAAAAUAACAAAAUACCCUUAAUGAAAAAGGCUCCUAUGAAGUGUAAAGAAAUGGCACAAAAAAUACUAAAACACCCUUAAUGAGUGUUUACACUCCAAGGCCACCCCACUAAUGCUUCGUGGGUCCCUUCUUCUUCAAGCUUCAAAAUGUGAAACCUCUUGGAACCCUUUGGUAGGCAUCAACACAAGUCCCAAGCAAUCUUCCAAACAUGGUUUUGCUCUAUUGUAAUCUCAAAAUGAGUCCUNNNNNNNNNNNNNNNNNNNNNNNNNNNNNNNNNNNNNNNNNNNNNNNNNNNNNNNNNNNNNNNNNNNNNNNNNNNNNNNNNNNNNNNNNNNNNNNNNNNNNNNNNNNNNNNNNNNNNNNNNNNNNNNNNNNNNNNNNNNNNNNNNNNNNNNNNNNNNNNNNNNNNNNNNNNNNNNNNNNNNNNNNNNNNNNNNNNNNNNNNNNNNNNNNNNNNNNNNNNNNNNNNNNNNNNNNNNNNNNNNNNNNNNNNNNNNNNNNNNNNNNNNNNNNNNNNNNNNNNNNNNNNNNNNNNNNNNNNNNNNNNNNNNNNNNNNNNNNNNNNNNNNNNNNNNNNNNNNNNNNNNNNNNNCAAAUAAGUGAACCAACCAAUAAGUUCCCUACCUCUACAUAAUACAAAUCCAAAACUAGUAUGGAUGUCAUCAUAGGCAAAGAGGUAGUAUAGGAAGGAAUCAAGUGUAAAGGCAUCAUUCAAGGCCCUGUCAUCUAUAAGAAUGCAAUUUAGCCCAUAAUAUAUAACACAUAAAGCACACAAGGAUGGAUUUAAAGCACUAAAGCACAUAUGACCUCUUCCUUUCAAGUAAAGUAUCAACUUGGCAUCCACAAGUUGGGAAUCAUGCAACUUAAGCACAAGUGUGUCAAGCAAGGAUGCACAUUUAGUAGCAUUACCCCAAGAAGACAAUGACACCUUUGCCCUCGAGUUUUCAAGAAUGUCACUUUGCUUGUCAUGUAGACCAANNNNNNNNNNNNNNNNNNNNNNNNNNNNNNNNNNNNNNNNNNNNNNNNNNNNNNNNNNNNNNNNNNNNNNNNNNNNNNNNNNNNNNNNNNNNNNNNNNNNNNNNNNNNNNNNNNNNNNNNNNNNNNNNNNNNNNNNNNNNNNNNNNNNNNNNNNNNNNNNNNNNNNNNNNNNNNNNNNNNNNNNNNNNNNNNNNNNNNNNNNNNNNNNNNNNNNNNNNNNNNNNNNNNNNNNNNNNNNNNNNNNNNNNNNNNNNNNNNNNNNNNNNNNNNNNNNNNNNNNNNNNNNNNNNNNNNNNNNNNNNNNNNNNNNNNNNNNNNNNNNNNNNNNNNNNNNNNNNNNNNNNNNNNNNNNNNNNNNNNNNNNNNNNNNNNNNNNNNNNNNNNNNNNNNNNNNNNNNNNNNNNNNNNNNNNNNNNNNNNNNNNNNNNNNNNNNNNNNNNNNNNNNNNNNNNNNNNNNNNNNNNNNNNNNNNNNNNNNNNNNNNNNNNNNNNNNNNNNNNNNNNNNNNNNNNNNNNNNNNNNNNNNNNNNNNNNNNNNNNNNNNNNNNNNNNNNNNNNNNNNNNNNNNNNNNNNNNNNNNNNNNNNNNNNNNNNNNNNNNNNNNNNNNNNNNNNNNNNNNNNNNNNNNNNNNNNNNNNNNNNNNNNNNNNNNNNNNNNNNNNNNNNNNNNNNNNNNNNNNNNNNNNNNNNNNNNNNNNNNNNNNNNNNNNNNNNNNNNNNNNNNNNNNNNNNNNNNNNNNNNNNNNNNNNNNNCUUACCCUUAAGAGUACUCUCAUCUUUCAAGAAGAGAUUUCCAUCUUUAGGAGGUAUGUUGUCACACCAUAGUGGGUUAGUAUAUAGGCUAUAGCCUUCAAGACAAGUUAUACCUUCAACAUCAUUCUCACCACUAGGUUCAUUAGGAGUGAUUGGACCAUCUUUGAAUAAGAUUUUAUACCUAAAGAGAGGAGGAUCUACCCUCGGGCAAGAUUUAGAACAUGCAAGUUCACUCUCUAAAGGACAAUUAUCAAUUUCCAAAGAAGUUUCAAACACACGAUCCUUAUGAGCAAAACUGCUAGUAGAACAUUCACUAGAGGUCAUGCUAAAGAGAUCACUACUAUUUAUUUGAUCAACAUUUUCAACAUCAUCACUAACUUGAGAUCCAUUAAACAAAUCACACAUAUCCUCAAGUGGUGGACAAAUUUCGCACAUAAGUUGAUCAAAACAAUUCCCACAAGAUGAUGUACUAUCAUUCAAUACAUUGGCUUCAACACUAGGUGAACAUAAAUUGAUCUUAUAAGAAGAGUUAAUUCAAUAAUCAAUAGGAUCAACUAGUGUAUCAACAUUCACAACAUGUACAUCAUCAUCAAGGGGAAAAGAAUCAAUAGAUGAUGUAUUAUUAUUCAACACAAUGGCUUCAACACUAGGUGACUUAAAUUGAUCUUACAAGAAGAGUCAAUUCGGUCAUCAAUAGGAUCGACUAGUGUAUCCACACUCACAACAAGUACAUCAUCAACAAGAGGCAAAGAAUCAAUAGAAUCACAAAUAGGUAAGCUACUACUCACACUUAAUGGGCUACUAGCCACAUAAUUAUCAUUCACAUGCACAAAAGUGUAAGAGUUAGCUAUUUUACCUUGAAGUUCUUGAGUAAAUUCUUCUUUGCCAUGGUGUAAAGGUUUCCCACAUGCUUUGGCAACAACUUCUCCUUGGCCUUGUGCUCCUCCAUUUGCCAUAUUAGUACCUACACAAAUGUCCUUAGAAAUAGAAGGACAAACAUAGUUAGCACAGUUUUGUGAAAACCCCCUCACUUCACUCCACACAACCUCUCCUUUUUCCACUUUUGGAUUGCCACCUUGCACACCCUUACUCCUCUGAAUCUUUUAUCUCUCAUAAUUAUUCGGGCCAGAGUAAGUGAUCACAUAUCCUUACAGUUUGGGAAGAAUUGAGGUAAAGAGAUAAUUUGCCCAAUGGUCCACUACAACCUUAGGCUAAUUUAGCAUAUUUUGGAACUCUAUAUUGUGCAAACCAAUCGGCACCUAAGCAUACAUGACCUGGUGUCAAGGGAAAGAUAUCGCACCAUACCUCCUCAUAGUAUUCAAAUUGGGUAAAGACAAUCCUCACUCUCUCGAUAACCCUAUACUCAUCCAAUUAAUAUGGAACAAAUAAAGGUUCUCGAAACAACCCCAAAUAGUCAACCAUGGGUGGCAUGAUGUAGUUCUUAUGGAGCCAAUCAUCUAGCACAAGGAAGCAGCCCGGUACCCCAUAAAUUCUUACCUUUUCGGAGUGAACACUUUCUCUAGGAUCAACAUUGUAGAGUUUAGGACAACCCAUGGGCACAUGUGUACCCCUCGACCUUGGAGAUGUAUUCUCUCUUCUUCUCAUGGGACAACCUACACUAUAUCUAGUAUACCCAUUCACACCACUUCGACCUUGAUAAGAUGUACUACAAGGUGAAGAAUAUGAAUCUUCAUGAUCCACAUGUGCACUCUCACCAAGGCUCUCAUAUGCUUUGCGAAGAAAAGGGUUAUACCUUACAUAAAUUCUAGGUUCGGAGUGGGAAGUGUAAGACUUCUCACAUGCCCCAACUUCAUCAUAAGAACCAUCACAAGGCCCUACAUCAUCUCCAUAUUCAUCAUAAGCACUAGGAACUUCAUUCAUCUUAUUUUCUCUCUCAAAAUUAUAACUGUCAAUUCUGUCUAUGUCUUGAUCAUGGCUAUAUUCAUAGCCCCCAUAAUCUCCAACAUCAUCGUAGCCAUAAAAUCCCUCACUACAAUCAUAGUCUCCCAUGUUGUAGUCAUAAUAGUUCGAGGCUACCAAGAUAUGUUCCCCUUAUAUCACCUUGUACCUACAAAAUAAACAAACAAGAUUAGUAGUAAAAGCUCCUCACCAACACUCGUAUAUACUCUCACCUUUGUGAUCCUCACAAUUGGAGUAGCGAAUAUUGAAAGUUGGUUAUACUUCGAUAGUCAAUAAGGUGCCAAUCACUACUUAGUGGCUGCAAUCGAUUCUUGUUUGAUCGAAUCAAGACACAAUACAAAAUCUACUUAUGAACGUGAAACAAAGAAGUUCAACGAGUCAAAAUGAGAAAAGCACACAAAGAACGAAAACACAAAGAAAACGGACUCAAACAACUAAUUCACAACUAAGUAGGUGACUACUAGUUGUUAAUUAGUUCUAGAAUCAAGAAAUGAAACUAAAGAAACAAGGAAAUGAAACUUAGAAUCUAAAAUUUGAGCUUAAACUUUUUGGGUGAAGUGAUGAUGUGGCAGCCCUUGGUGAUGAUGUGGCAGCCUUUGGUUGGUUGAUGUUUUGAAAAAAAAAUUCUUGUAUUCAACUUGUAUUCAAUCAAUCUUCAACUUAAGAGGAAGGUAGGAUCAGUUUUGAUGAAGAAAACACAAAGAAUGAACCUUUUUUCUAGCUCAAAAGAGUUUGAAUUUGUGAUGGUCCCCCCUUGUACUUUCCCUUGUACUUGUCCUUGUCCUCUUCUUUGAGAAUAUUCCUUUUGAUGCCUUUUGAAUUCUUUUCUUCCUUUGAAAGACUUGGAAUAUGCUUGAAAUAUUCUUUGAGACAAAGAAAUAGUACACUCUCUUUCUCCUCCUUUUUAGAUCAAACAACACUUUUUGAAUGUUCUUGUUCAACAAUACAUGAAGAACAUGAAGAACACCAAGAACAUUCAAAGUUUGACCCAAAGUUGACCCUUAAGUAAAUGAACUCAGAAUUUGAUUUUUCUUGAAGAUCCAAACUCACGUUGAUAAUCCAACCACAAAUAUCAUGUUUUCAUCUCCAAAAACGUCAACAACAACCUUCCACAAUGAGAUGUCACAUUCAAGUUUCUUCAAACUCAAGAUCAACAAUGGUGGAUGGCUCAAAUCACCUUCAAUUUAGCUCAAAUUCAAACCCUAGACUCCUAUAGUGUUAGAGAACACAAAUAUAACACUAAAAAGACAACAAAAAUAAAAAAUCAAAAACUCAAAAUUUGACCUAGGUUCAAAAAUGGGUUUAGUAUUUUUUUUUGGGGGGGGGGGGGGAUUUUUUAUUUUGACGCUUUUUUUUGUUGUGAUUUUUAAUUUCUAGACUCUAAUAGUGUUAGGGAACAAGGAUCUAACACUAGAAACACACAAAACAAAUAAAAAUCAAGUCUCAAAAAUUGAAAACCCUAAAAACAUGAACAGUAACUUUUUUUCUUUUUAUUCUUCUUUUUCACUUUUUUUUGUUGAUUUUCAAGAUAACAAUCCGAAGAUUGAUUUUGUUGGAACAAAAUCAAACCUUGAUCAUGAUACCAAAUGAUAGAAGAAUGACCUAAAGAGAUGAAAACUAAGAGAAACAAGAGAACAAACAAAUGCAAUAAAGUAAGAUAGAUAGCUUGACAUACGAGAUUAUGAGAAAUAGGAACCAAACCGUGACAAUAAGACCCUUAAGACCCGCAAUUACAACACCAAACUCUUACGGUGACCACUAAGGGAAUCAACUCCGCCUUACAACCACCAUUUCUAAGCAAAGAUCAAUAAUGGCUUUUUCAAGCCCUACUCUACUUGUCUUUUCAAAGCCCUUCACUACACUCUCAAAGACAUAAGAAGAAGUCUUUCAAAUAUCAAUAAUCAACUAAUGAGAAAAUAAGCCUAAAGAGUUUAUUUAUAGCUUAUUACAUAAAAUACCAAAAUACCCUUAGUAAAAAAGGGCUCCUAUGGAGUGUAAAGAAAUGGCACAAAAAAGACUAAAACAUCCUUAAUGAGUGUUUACACUCCAAGGCUGCCCCACUAAUGCUUUGUAAAAUGUGAAACCUCUUGGAACCCUUUGGUAGGCAUCAACACAAGUCCCAAGCGAUCUUCCAAACAUGGUUUUGCUAUAUUGUAAUUUCAAAAUGAGUCCUCCAUGCAUCUCCUUGUACCCUCAAUAUGACCAAAGCUUGAAUCUUCAUGUAUGGGCCUCGAAUGAUGUCAUCAAAAGCUAUAAUGGCCCUUUGGCUCGUAUCAUGCACAUAGAAGUUGCAUUCUGAAAUUUGGUGAAAACUAAAAUGUCACAGGUGCUGACUGUUUUAGCUUUGAGCUUCAUGACUUCUCACACAGUGACCUUUCAGUGUAGAAUGGUUGAUGAAGUAAGAUUCAAGAAAUCAGAAAAUAGAUCUCCUAAGAAAUUAGGAUUCUUAGAGAAACCAUCAGAAUCAAUUAGCAUAGUUGUGUUCAAAUCAUGAUCUGCUCUAACUGGAAUUGUGUCUGCUUUAAUUGGCGCUUCUGCUGUUGGAUCACCGCAAGAAGUCACGUUAGUUAUGCUACUAUCAUACUUAUAGCUUCUGAUGGAUAUAUUUAUUUAUAUAUUUUUAUAUAUUAAAUAUUAAUUAUUUUAAAUAAAUAUAAGUAAAUAUAUUAUAUUAUUGUAUAUUUUCUGACAAAUUCUACAGGAAGAAGAAUACAAAAGAAGAAAUAAAGAAAUAAAAGAAUUCCACGAGUGUAACCACAAAAGCUUGCUCAUACCCGUCAAGUGAAGGAAACAAGUGAAGGUUUUAAGAAGAAGUCACAAUUGAUCGUCACAAAGACCACUUCAAAAGCUUGCUCACACCCGUCAAGUGAAGGAAACAAGUGAACGUUUUGAGAAGAGUUAUAAGUUGACAAUCAUUACGACCACUUCAAAGAAUGCAUUCGUUGGUUCAACAUUAUAAUUUUCUAUAAAUAGAGGCAUUUUUUUAUUAUUAAUCAUCCAACAACAUAAGCAAUAUAUAAGAAUUAGUCUUGUUUACUUUUUCUUUCUUUCUUUUUCUUUUGUAGAAUAAUAUUUUUUCCUUUUCGCUAUUAAUUUCUCCAUAAUGGAGUAAUUUCUUUGUGUUGGGAGUGUUGAAGAAACUUGGUAUAAUAUUAUAAUAUAAAUCUUAUUUUAGUUCUUUCAGGACUUGAUUUUAUUUAAAAGCUAAAUACUUCGUGUUGAAAUUCUUAUACUAGAAAUUAGCAUUACUUGAUAUUUUAUACUAUAGUUAUAGUUAUAUUAAGUUGUGCUUCCCACAAGGAAGAAAACUAAAUAUACUACAAGUAUUUCAUAAAAUAUAAGUAAUAAUAAUUUUUAGUCACUUGUUAUUUCAAAUCUUUGAAAUUUCUUCUUUUGAUCCUUAUCCUCACGGAAGGAUUACUUUGAACUAUUUCUUAGAUUUAAAUAAUCUCUAUCUUAUUUGUUUCAAUUCGUAUCCUCGCGGAGGGAUUGACUCAAAUAAGAUUGUUGAUUUGAGGGGUCUUUAUCUUAUUUCUUUCAAUCUGUAUCCUCGUGAAGAGAUUGUCUCAAGUGAGUUUAUUGAUUUAAAGAUUACUCGCAAGGGGUCUUUAUUCCUCAUGAACACAUAAAUCAAGUUUAGAAAGUUAUUCUACAAUUUUAUAGAAAUUAAUAAAAUAAUAAUUUUAUUAUAAUCAACAUACCAAGUGAUUUCAACAACCCCCAACUUCCACUUCAAGAUAAUCUUUAAACACUAUUACUUUACAUAUUUUUUUAAAAAAUUCUUUCAUCAAUUUGAUUCUCAAAUGAUAAUCAAGAUAAUACAAAUUUGUAGCAUAGAUUUUCCAAUCUCUGUGGGACGAUAUCUUAAACUAUACUAGAAUUUGACAGAGUACGAGCAAUAAAAAUCUUAUACAAUUUGGACUUGUUAAAUUUUUGACGCCAUUGUCGGGGAUUGGUAAACAUCUACUUCAAAUUAAUUGUCUUAUUAAUUACUUUGAGAUUUUAUUUUUCUAUUUUUUCCAAGUAAUUUAUUUUUGAAUACUUGACAAGUUUUUGAAAAUAAGACUUGAAGAUAUUUUUGUUGUUGUUGUUGUUGUUGUUGUUCUUGUUGUUGUUGUUGUUGUUGUUAUUAUUAUUAUUAUUAUUAUUAUAUUAAUUUAUAUUGUAUUAUAAUAUAUUUAAUUAUUAUUUUUAUUUUUUGUCUUCGUGUAUUUUGUUUUGUAGCACCUAAUUAGUGGUAGGAAGCAAGAUUUUAAAAAAAAAUCUCAUUGUGAACCUACUUUAUGCACUUUAAGUUUGAAUUUCAAUCAAUCAAGUAAAAAUUUUACUAAAUUGGUAGAAAAAUAUUGUCAAAAGGCUAUUAUCUGUGACUAUUAUGGCAGCAACCACCAAAGCUUUGAAUGCCAAACAAGUAACACAUUAUUCUUUUUGAAUUCUAAAGAAUGAACAGUCUUGAAGAAUUAAUUAAGAAAAUUCGUGAAAGAUUCAUUACUUGUGAAUAUUGUGGAGGUAGUCACUUAGUUCAUGAAUGUCAGACAUGCAAUUCAUAUUUCUUUAAUUCUUCGUGUGAGCAAUCUUACGUUGUUUCUAGUUCUUACAGGUACACUGAUUCUAAUGAAUAUGAUUGCAAUCCGGAGUGCAAUCAAUACUCACAAGAGGAUCAACAUAUUGAGAGUAAAUCAUUUCAAGAGGAGAAUGUGAAUUUGGAGAAAAUUAUGCAUACUCUCUUUAAGAAUAUCGAUGAAAGAAUUGCAUAUAAUUAUAAAGUCACUAUGGAUUUAACUAUGAAGGUAAAAGAAUUAAUAAGCAUAGUAAACUCCUAUAAUGAUGGUGAACUUUCAAAUGAAAUGCAUCUUGUAAGGAUGAAACAAUUAAUGAAAUAAAAGAGCCUUAUGAAAAAGAAUAUAUUGCUCACGAUGAAAAGACUAUUUUAAUGAAGCAUGGUGACAAUAAAUGUUUGAUGAAAUUCAACUCAACAAGUAACCAAUGCAUAUUUUAUUUUUCUAAUCCACAUAAAUUUAUUAAUUUUGAAAAAAAAUGAGCAUGAAAAGGUCACAAGCACAAAAAUAAUAUUUGAUCAUUAUUCUGCGAUUUAUUUUUAUCAUUCUAACUUUUUGAAUUUUGUUGUUGGAGAUUUUCAAGAAAAAACAUGGAAUGAUCCUUGUGAAAAAUAUAAAAUAAAAUUAAGAAUUAUCAUGCACGAUUAUUUUUCUUCUCGAGAUAGGGUCAAGAAAAAUUGGAUGAUCCAAAAGAGGAAAAUACUUUAUAAUGUUAUUGGUCAACUAUGUUUGUGCAAAAUUUUCAAGAAUCAAAAAAGAAAAUUUGAAUCAGAAUUAGGGGUGAAAUUCACAAGCUCUCGAAAAAAAAAAACUCUUUUUCCUCCUACUGCUUUUAAAUUAUUUGUCAGACACAUGAUGAUAUUUAAGUGGGGGAAUAGAAAAUAUAUAUAUAUUUAUGCAAUAUAUUUUAUAUAUUUACAUUUUUUUUUAAAUUCCAUGGAUUUAUUUGUUCAGUUCUUUACCAUGGUCGUAAUAUUUUGAACUGGACACUUUUUUAUAUAUUUACAUAUUUUUUUAUUUAUAGCAUAAAGACAUUAAUAAACUUCCAUGGAUUUCUUUGUUCAGCUCUUUGUCAUGGUCGUAAUAUUUUGAACUGGACACUUUUUAAAAAAAAAGUUAUAAUAAUAAAAAUUUGAAAAAUAAAUUGAAUAACUAUCCCUCAUGGGUUAUAUGAAUAUCUUUUCAAAUUUAUAUUUAUUUAUUGGUGAUUAAAAUUGUAAUAUUUACUGAUCCCAAGUGUAUAGUGUUGUCAGGUGAUAUCGCCCAGUUCUCUUGCUUAUUUGAAAAUCUAGAACUUGCCUUGAAUGUGAUUUGAGGCGAAAUACUAGAUAGAUUUUUGAGUUGAGAAAUGAAACUAGGCUUUCUUGUUAAGUCAUGAUCAAAAUUGACUUACCAAAAUUAUAUUUAUCCCUCGGCAUCCCCUUGAGCCUAAAUAAAUCAUCUCUUAUUUUAUUGAUAAGCCAAAUUCUAAUUCAGAUUUAAUCUUUGUUAUUACAUCUUUUCAUUCACUUUAUUUCCUUAGAGUUGAUAAGAAAUUAAAUACAAAAAUAGCGUGGGGAGUAAGAAAAAGAAGUAAACAUUGAUUCUUGUUUAGCUUAUUGGUAUUUUAAGUAUAUUAUCAAAAAUAAAAAAGAGAGAAUGUUAUCAACAAAAAAAUUACAAAAAAAAAUGUUGGUAACUACUUCUUGAAAAAAUGACUGAGGAAAAAUGAAAUUAAAAAAAAUGAAGAAAAAAAUGGAGGUUGAUUUGUUUUAGAAGCAGGAAAACAACAAUGUUAAAAUGCUAAAUUGUUGUGGUGUUUAUAAGGGAAUUGAGUCACUUUUAUUCAUAUACAUUCUAUCAAUCCCUAAACCUACAUUCCAACCUUAUAAAAGUCCUACAUGAUCUCAACUCAAAGAUUCCUAUAUUAGUGGAGAACUACAUAAUAGGCAAGCUUAUGGAACUUUGAGUAGCUUGAGAUACUUCUUUGUUGAGAGAGAGAGAAUUUAUUUUCUUAUCAAUGCCCUUUGUUUGAUUUUAUUGAUAUAUUGUGUGAUUUAUGGGAGUCUCUCUUCAUUUGGUAAGACACACUGGGAAAAAGAAAAUAUUACAAUUUUGAUUCUCAAUAGGUGAAUAUGAGUGUGACUAAAUUUAUUUGAACUCAUGAUGUAGUCUUUAUUAAACUUUAUUUUGCUUUAUUUUAUCUAAUAAUUUUAUUACUUAAAAUUUUAAGUGUUGUUUUAUUUUGUCCUUUGCUCGAGGACGAACAAAGAUUCAAGUGUGAGGUAUUUGAUGUAUAUAUUUAUUUAUAUAUUUUUAUAUAUUAAAUAUCAAUUAUUUUAAAUAAAUAUAUCAUAUUAUUGUAUAUUUUCUGACAAAUUCUACAAGAAGAAGAAUACAAAAGAAGAAAUAAAGAAAUAAAAGAAUUUCACGGGUGUAACCACAAAAGCUUGCUCACACCCAUCAAGUGAAGGAAACAAGUGAAGGUUUUAAGAAGAAGUUACAAUUGACCGUCACAACGACCACUUCAAAAGCUUGCUCACACCCAUCAAGUGAAGGAAACAAGUGAAGGUUUUAAGAAGAAGUUACAAUUGACCGUCACAACGACCACUUCAAAGAAUGCAUUCGUUGGUUCAACAUUAUUAUUUUCUAUAAAUAGAGGCAUUUUUUUUAUUAUUAAUCAUCCAACAACAUAAGCAAUAUAUAAGAAUUAGUCUUGUUUACUUUUUCUUUCUUUCUUUUUCUUUUGUAGAACAAUAUUUUUUCCUUUUCUUUAUUAAUUUCUCCGUAAUGGAGUAAUUUCUUUGUGUUGGGAGUGUUGAAGAAACUUGGUAUAAUAUUAUAAUAUAAAUCUUAUUUUAGUUCUUUCAGGACUUGAUUUUAUUUAAAAGCUAAAUACUUCGUGUUGAAAUUCUUGUACUAGAAAUUAGCGUUACUUAUAGUUAUAGUUAUAUUAAGUUUUGCUUCCCACAAGGAAGAAAACUAAAUAUACUAUAAGUAUUUCAUAAAAUAUAAGUAAUAAUAAUUUUUAGUCACUUGUUAUUUCAAAUCUUUGAAAUUGCUUCUUUUGAUCCUUAUCCUCACGGAAGGAUUACUUUGAACUAUUUCUUAGAUUUAAAUAAUCUCUAUCUUAUUUGUUUCAAUUCGUAUCCUCGCGGAGGGAUUGACACAAAUAAAAUUGUUGAUUUGAGGGGUCUUUAUCUUAUUUCUUUUAAUCUGUAUUCUCGUGGAGAGAUUGUCUCAAGUAAGUUUAUUGAUUUAAAGAUUACUCGCAAGGGGUCUUUCUUCCUCAUGAACGCAUAAAUCAAGUCUAGAAAGUUAUUCUACAAUUUUAUGGAAAUUACUAAAAUAAUGAUUUUAUUAUAAUAAACAACCAAGUGAAUUCAACAACCUCCAACUUCCACUCCAAAAUAAUCUUUAAACACUAUUUCUUUAUAUAUAUUUUUUUAAAAAAGCUUUAGAAAUUACUCUCCUUUCAUCAAUUUGAUUCUCAAAUAGUAAUCAAGAUAACACAAAUUUGUAGCAUAGAUUUUCUAAUCUCUGUGGGACGAUAUCUUAAAUUAUAUUAGAAUUUGACAGAGUACGAGCAACAAAAAUCUUAUACAAUUUGGAUUCGUCAGCUUCCAUAAUUUCUAUUAUGAAUGGUGGAGAUCAGGCCAAUUGUUAUGUUUAGAUAAAAUGCUGGAAAUGACUCAAAUCUUGUGGACUCUAAUGUGACAGACUGAGUUGUGACUUUUGGAACUUUUGGCUUAAGGAUAGUGAAAUAUAGGAUAAUGGACUCAAAUCUUAUGGACUCUAAUGUGACAGACUUAGUUGUGACUUUUGGAUCUUUCCACAACCUAUUUUCAGGGAUUUAUGGGUCCUUCAGUUGCAAGUAGAAUAAAAGGAUAUUACAAGGUAGAUUAUCAGAUGAGACUGUCUAUGCUAAGGAUAUUACCAUUUAGAAAGCUUUGUUAAGAGUUAAUUUCCUACUAAAGUUAGAACUGAAAGACUUAAGACAAGGUAUAGAAAACUGCAAGUGAGUAUACAAAAUCAUCUAUAAUCUAGCAUCCUGGCAUUCUUUUUUCUUUUCUAUUUGGUAAUGCGCAUCAUGCAACUUUUGAACUAAGUUGUUAGAAGUUCUUUUGCUUCUUAUUGGAAUUCUUCUGCUUCUUAUCGGACCUUGCAAGAUCUUUUAAAGCUAUUUAGAGUUGGUAUUUUAAUUAAGUUGAAGGAGGGUUUUGGGCAAAGAGCAACUCUAAAGGACAUACUUUAGUCCCGGUACUAAAACACAUGACUAUAGGGACUGAGAAUGUCAUUUGUAGCAUAAGUUAAUUUUUCCAUUAUAUCUUCAAAAACGACAUUAGCCGAAGUUGUAAAUUUGAAUCAGUGACAUUCGGAUUUCAGUGCUUCAAUUUACUUCUUUCUUUAGAAUGUUAAAACGAGUGAAUAUCUUGCCAUGAGUUGUAUGAUUUGCCUCUCAGUUGCUUACAUGUUACUUGUGAGCACUAGUCUAGAAAUCAGUUUAGUUGGACGUGAAUUACUCUGUUAUUAUAUUUAAGCUGAGAUUACAAACAUUAAAAUGGCAAGUAAUAACAUCCCUUAUGAAUUUCAUACUUGAUAGCUGUUACUAUCUUUCAAUAAUGGGUAGAAGUAUCACAGGCCUGGGAGUAUGACUUUAACUUGGACAAUAAAAAUAAGUACAGGGCACUAUUGAUAAAUGUUCUCUUUCAUCUUUUUUUUUUUUGUUUCUUUUAAUUGAAAUUUUAAACAACAAAAUCAAGUGGAUAAAAGUCUUCUUGCCACAAAUGAAUGUCGAGAAAUUAUCAUGCGAGUUUUUCAGUUUGAAUGACAUUUAUAGCAUUUCAGAAUUCGGGAUUCAAUUAGAUAUUUGCUCACUAAUGCUAUUGCACAUUACAAUAUAUAGUUUGAUAACUGAGAAAUCCCCAAUAUAAAACUGCAAAGCUCUCAACGCUUCUGCAUACAAUCACCAAGACUAAUACUUGCAUUAUCAUAGUUUAUCAUGCAUACUUUUACUAUAAACGCGAGAAGUUGUUUAUGGCUACUAGUAUGAAUCCAAAGCUGAAUAUCUUCAAAUUUUGUACUUCCCUUUCAUCUUCUCACUUGAAAUUUAUGUUGUUGAAGUUGGUUGCUGCAGUCAACUCACGUAUAUACUCUUCGUCCUUUCUUUUCUUAUCUAUACAAGAAAAGUUUGUAGAUACACAUAUGCUUUUGGAGAUGUUCCUUGUACUUUGUAUCUUCUCAUUACAAUGUAAUAUAUGAAAUCAGAUAAUGUGAAAGUGAUAAAAAUAGCUACAACAAUGACUAUCCAUAUUCAAGUUUUUCCUGCACCUAUGGUAUGCGAACAGUUAUACAGUUGACUGUUGAUCUAAGAAAUUUAUGCACAUUUCAUAAAUGAGGUGUAUUCCUGAUAUACACUUACCUUUAGAUUAUUUGGGUGAAAUCAGAACAUAUCUUUGCAAUGCAUUUCCAGUUUCAUUGAUUUUUAAAUUCCACAUCGUCAAGACUAAUACUUGCAUUAUCAUACCAUGCGUACUUCUACAAUGUUAUUGUAUAUAGUUUCUAUCUCUUAUAAUUUGUAGCCUUAUAUUUUUGUAAUUUCAUCAUAUUAAGUUGUGCACACUUCUAUAUUUUUGUAAUUUCAUCAUAUUAAGUUGUGCACACUUUUUUAUUUUUUAUUUAUAGAUAAGGUAUUAAGUUGUUGCUUUCUUAUUUCUUUGAGAAUGCGUGCUACUCUUGUGCUAACGAUGAGAAUCUUUCAAAACAAGGUAUUAUUUUCUAUAUGACAUCAUAAAAUAUGAAAUUUGAAACUUAACUUCUUCCUUUUUAACUAACCAUCUAAUAAUUUUGCACAUCUGUGUUUGUUUAGAGCAAUCUAAACUACAAUAUUUCCAGUAUUUUGAUGCUUAGUAGAUUCUACAAAUUGUGGGCAUCAAAAGUUGGUUAACAUAUUUGACUCAUGUUGUAUUCUAAUUCUAACACCAAUUGGACAGUUUUUUGCAAUCAUACUGUACUCCAAUCCUAUUUGCAUUAAUUGGAGUAUAAUUGGGUCAUAUCUUUACUGAAAAUGAUGAAUGACGAGCCUUUCUUCUUUACCCCUCCGUGCUCCAUAUUUUGCUUGAGCAGUCUACAAAUGCAUGUUUCUAUGAUUAGAAUAAAGCAUUCUUUUCUUUUCCCUUUGCUUUUUGGGACACACAUUACAUUUUUUUUAAGAGCUACUCUUGUUUACAAAAUUAAUAUUCAUUAGACGUUCCUAUUAUUAAAAAUCAUAUUGCAUGAUCAAUUUUUCAUCCUCAAAUUUUGUACGAUGGCGUUUAUUUCUCAAAAAGACUUAACAAUAGAAUAAAGUAUCUAUCCAUUGUUUUUCUUUUUCAGCUAUUGUGUACUAGACAAUCUAUGCAAAUGAGAAAAUUGAACUAUUAUAUUUCCAUAUAGAAAUUGCUCAUCAAAAUACUAAUCUCAAUAAGAUAUCUAUCCGUUGUUUUUCCCUUUCUGCUAUUAUGUACUAGACAAUCUAUGCAAAUGAGAAAAUCAAAUUGUUUUAUUUUCAUAUAGAAAAAAAGGGGACGACCCGGUUCAUACCUACUCCGUAGGUGUCGGGGNNNNNNNNNNNNNNNNNNNNNNNNNNNNNNNNNNNNNNNNNNNNNNNNNNNNNNNNNNNNNNNNNNNNNNNNNNNNNNNNNNNNNNNNNNNNNNNNNNNNNNNNNNNNNNNNNNNNNNNNNNNNNNNNNNNNNNNNNNNNNNNNNNNNNNNNNNNNNNNNNNNNNNNNNNNNNNNNNNNNNNNNNNNNNNNNNNNNNNNNNNNNNNNNNNNNNNNNNNNNNNNNNNNNNNNNNNNNNNNNNNNNNNNNNNNNNNNNNNNNNNNNNNNNNNNNNNNNNNNNNNNNNNNNNNNNNNNNNNNNNNNNNNNNNNNNNNNNNNNNNNNNNNNNNNNNNNNNNNNNNNNNNNNNNNNNNNNNNNNNNNNNNNNNNNNNNNNNNNNNNNNNNNNNNNNNNNNNNNNNNNNNNNNNNNNNNNNNNNNNNNNNNNNNNNNNNNNNNNNNNNNNNNNNNNNNNNNNNNNNNNNNNNNNNNNNNNNNNNNNNNNNNNNNNNNNNNNNNNNNNNNNNNNNNNNNNNNNNNNNNNNNNNNNNNNNNNNNNNNNNNNNNNNNNNNNNNNNNNNNNNNNNNNNNNNNNNNNNNNNNNNNNNNNNNNNNNNNNNNNNNNNNNNNNNNNNNNNNNNNNNNNNNNNNNNNNNNNNNNNNNNNNNNNNNNNNNNNNNNNNNNNNNNNNNNNNNNNNNNNNNNNNNNNNNNNNNNNNNNNNNNNNNNNNNNNNNNNNNNNNNNNNNNNNNNNNNNNNNNNNNNNNNNNNNNNNNNNNNNNNNNNNNNNNNNNNNNNNNNNNNNNNNNNNNNNNNNNNNNNNNNNNNNNNNNNNNNNNNNNNNNNNNNNNNNNNNNNNNNNNNNNNNNNNNNNNNNNNNNNNNNNNNNNNNNNNNNNNNNNNNNNNNNNNNNNNNNNNNNNNNNNNNNNNNNNNNNNNNNNNNNNNNNNNNNNNNNNNNNNNNNNNNNNNNNNNNNNNNNNNNNNNNNNNNNNNNNNNNNNNNNNNNNNNNNNNNNNNNNNGGUCCAUAAACUAAAGGCCCAAUAACAUAUGGGCUAACAGUACGAACGAGGACAUAUACAGGUACUCCUUUCUUUUCUAUCUCCCACCUUUCCUCCAUAGAAGUGUAUAUGUUUAAACAGAAGAUACCAAGCUUUAUAAUGUUAAUGAGCAGCCCGACGUUGUGGUUAAUUGUGCCGCACUUUCUGUUCAAAUGGUUAUGAAAAUAAAUUUGCCACUCUGGUUGAGGAACCUAGAGAUGAUGACACUAUCCUUCUUCAUUAUGGAAAAAUCAGAAUGACGCAGUAGAAGACCCAUUCCCCCUGAUGCUUCUUCCAGUGUAGCUCACUUGAAAACCCAAGUUUGCCCUCUUCCCAUUUCUUUUUCCCAAGAUAACCAAACAUGCUAAGCAUAUCUUUGUCCAGCUUACACAAUGUAGAAUCAUCACCUUUAAAAAAGGGCAGUCCCGUGCAUUAAAGCACCCGCUAUGCACGGGAUCUGAAGAAGUGUCGGAUCACAAGGGUCUAUUAUAUGCAUCCUCACCUUGGAUUUUUGCCAAGAGGCUGUUUCUUUACCAACAAAGUUUAUUAUAUCAUGCACCAUUUCCAGAUCUAUGCAAGAGUAUUUGAAAUACAAGUACAAAUUGAGAAACAGACACAUAUUUAGCAAUCUUCACCUUAAUAUUUAUCUCAUUUUUGGAAGAGGGAGGAAUAAACAGUGACCAAUAACCUUUUCAUUCUAAAGUCAGCAUGGGCAAUGUUCAAAGGCACUUGAGAUACAUGCACAAUCCCUUUAGUGAGACACAAAAAGGAGAAAAAGAAAUAUGAUUAAUUAUAUUUAUUUUUGCCUUGUGUCACAUGAAAUAGGUGCUGGUUUAUACCUAUUUUACUAUUUUGUUCGAUGAAAUUGAACAACAAAAGAUAAUAUUGAAAAAUGAACCAUGCUUUCCACAAAAUUAGACACCACUAAUGUUUAACCAAAACAUAGUUUUCCAGAGAGAACAAAAAGUACUACACUAAAGUAAAGAGAAUCUCACCAUAGAUUCUUCAUCGCCCUCACCAAUCGCAGGGCCAAAUCACAGAGCUCUUGUGUAGUGGACUCGACAGUCAUGGGCUUACCAUAAGAGAAUCUAUGGUGCUAUAAGGGGAAGGUAGAAAAUUUUCGAUUAUUCGAUCGAGACAGAGCAACACAAAUUGCUCUCAAUCAUAUGCAUGUGAGACUGGUUUUUAAGUGUGUAAUAAUGUAAUAAUUAGGCAAUUCAUUUCUGACCCUUGGAACUUAUAAACCUAGCUUAGAUAAAUGAAUAAAGUUGUGUGUGCUUCAGUAAAGACGAAGACGAGUAUCUUGGGAGAUUUUUGUGUGAGCUGGGUUGCAUUUUCACAUCUAUCUGACAUACUAAUGUUUUGCUUCCCCUCACUUGCCAUAAAAAAUGGAGAAUGAAAACCAAUUUAAUCAUGAUCAAUGAUGUAGGUUCGUCUAUGUUGAAAGUAGUAGCUCGACCUCUUGCACCUUUAGCCCGAAGUUUUCUUUGUUGUGAAUAUGAUUAUUUGUAUGUCUUGUUAAGAAUUACUCAAUUUUAAAAGGCAUGAUAAUAAAUAUGACCCUAAAUUUGACACCAAAUUAUAAUAUUGACCUUAAACUUUGUCAGUGCAUAAGUAGGUCUUUUAACUAUGCAAAACCUAAACAAAUAAACACUUCGGUUUUGUAACUUACACACGUGUACCUCACUUGCGCCUACGUGGAUUAGUCAUCCACUCAAAUGCUACCACCUAAUAAAAAAAAUACAUUAUAACUAUGAACUUUAACUUUGUCAGUGCACAAGUUGGCCCUUUAACUAUACAAAAGCUGAACAAAAAAACCCUUCAGUUCUAACUCCGACUUGCGUGGUUUUGAGUGUAUACACGCAUUUUGCCACGUAGGAUUAGAUUGUUUAUUUGUUCCGAUUUUGUAUAGUUAAAGGGCUUACUUGAUCAAUGUUAUAAUUUGAUGUCGAUCAUAUUUAUAUAUUAUGCCAUUUUAAAAUAUUGAAAAUAUUGUGGGCCUAUGCUGACACGGGUCAUAACCCUUUAAUAUUAUUACAUUAUAUAAGUGGUGGUUUCGACAUGUAUGCUUGCCGUCAGGAAAAAAUUGUUCAGGGAUAUUUUUGUUAUUUGAUGGCAGAUAGUGAUGAAUUGGCACAGCUGUGACGCCCCGCGUCACUACCCAUUAAAUUCAUCCCGUUUUGGGCACAAUUCCGAGCGUUUCGGGUACAUUUCGGAGCCCGACGGGCCUUCCACAAUAUCUCGUGACAAGGCCAACGUGGGGGCAUCUUUGGGAGGUCAAAAUACAAGCUCGGGUCAACAUUUAUGGGGCUUUGGAGCCUUGACCAGCUGAACAGAAACUGCACAACAAAAACAGGUUACUAGACAAGGGUCUUUCCACUAGUUCAUGGAUUGCAUGCCCAAAUGUAGUAAUGUUGACUAGCAUUUACUGUAUCCCUUGACUAAGGGGCAUUAUAUAUACCUUGUAAGGCCCUCUUGGGCAGAUCAUCAUACUUGUUUUACUCAAGAAAUAUAAUCCGAAAAUUGGCUCUUCGGGCCUCCCAAAUCGAGUGUCUUCCCUUGCUAUUUUCCUUUCGAGUUUGUGUGAGUGUUCAAAGGUUCUUGGGGACGGAUUUAGAGCUGGUUUAGGACUGAGCUUAGCAUCGAUAUCGAGAGUGUUAAGUUAUCCGCACGCGGCUAAAAUUAGGCCCGUGACAAGUGGUAUCAAAGAAGCACUUUGAACAUGGCAUACGACGGCGACGAGGAGGUUCACGGCGGAGACAACUUGGGCAAAACCAAGACCAGAAAACGUGACAAGAGUAGGAACAAGGAUGAGGCCCAACUUCCAGUUAGUGAGGUUGUCACUAACGUGGAAGAUGGCGAAGGUUCAGCAUCCGGCUCUCUCGAUGAGAGAAUCGUUAGCACGGAGGCUGGCUUAGCGGUUUUGGGCCAUCGCUUUAAGACCCUUGAGUCCAACGUUGGUACUCUUGAGGCUGCUGCUCUUGAAGGGCUGGACGAAGUCAAAGCUGACUUGUCCGAGCAAAAUGAAGAGCACAAGAAGGGGCUGACCAGCUUGGAACUCAAGCUCACGGAAGCAUUAUCAGCGCUACACGAAGAGUUUGGGUCAAAACUGUUCGAGGUGAUGUUGGGGCAGUCCGUUUUGCAAGAGGAGGUUGUUGAUUUGAAGCAACAACUGAAAGCAGCCCGUGUUGGUGGAAAUCAUGGUUCCGUGGCUUACCAUGAUGCUCGUAUUGAGGCUCCUAAACCCAACGUGUUUAAGGGUGAUAGGAAUGCUCAAGACGUAGAAAAUUUCAUAUUGCAAUUGGAGUCAUAUUUUGAGCACGUCAAGAUUGUUGACGGGGCAGCAAGGAUCCGAAUUGCAACCAUGUACUUCAGUGACGUCGCAAUGUUGUGGUGGCGUAGAAAAAAAGUAGACAUGAAGAGGGGUCUUUGCACCAUAGCUGAUUGGGAUCAAUUUAAGGAUGAGUUGAAGGAGCAAUUUUACCCUCAAAACAUUGUAGACGAAGCUCGACGGAAGUUGAGGGAAUUAAACAAACUUCUUCCAUUCAUAACUACAUGAGGGAGUUUACGAAGCUCUCACUUCUUGUGACGAGUUUCAGCAGCGAGGAUUUGCUAUUCUUCUUUCUUGAUGGCCUCCAAAAUUGGGCCAAACAAGAGUUGAGGAGGCGCAACGUCAAGACCGUGGAUGAGGCCAUCAAAGUGGCGGAAUCCUUGACUGAUUUUCAUGCCGAUUAUGCCAAGGCGAAGGAUAGUCGGAACAAGCCCGUUGCUGCCAAGGGAGAUCGUGGGACAAAGGCAAAGACAAGUUUAUUCCCAACAAAAAUCGUGAGUUCAAAGGCGAGCGCAACCAGCCAUCGUCAUUCCGCAAGAACUACGAGGAGAAGAAGAAAGGUGUAGCUAACCACGAUAGCGGCUGCUACCUUUGCGGGGAUACAUCUCACUUUGCGAGAUCUUGUCCUUCGUUAAGUAAGCUGGGGGCGAUGAUUGCAGCAAGACGGAAGGAUCAAGCUAGUGCGCAAGCCGGGAGUUCCGGGGAGCAAGAAGCACAAGCUGCCAAUUCGGAGAAAGGAAAGGGACAUGCCAUUGGUUUGUUCAACCACAUGGCUUUGUUCAACCACAUGACGUUUGCUGCUCUUGCUGCAAAGAAGCAUAGCAUUAGAGCUCGAGAGUCAUUAUUUGUUGAUGGAGAGGUGAAUGGCCAAGCAGUCCGCGUUAUGGUGGACACCGGAGCAACGCAUAACUUUGUUACGGAAGAAAAGGGUAAAGAACUUAGCCUUGCAUUCGUGACCAGUGAUUCCAUGUUAAAGACUGUCAAUUGUCUCCCUACCAAUGUCAAUGGCCUCGCUCCUCGAAUGAGUCACCUUGGGAGGUUGGAAGGGAGAAACGGAUUUUUCGGUUGUUCCGAUGGAUGUCUUUGAUAUUGUAUUGGGGUUGGAUUUUUGGUAUGAGAUUAACGCGUUUAUUUCGCCACGUCUCAACCAGCUAGCCAUUUGCGAUGAGGGUGGUUCUUGCAUUGUUCUACUUAUUCGUGUCGCUCAAAGUGGCACACGUUUGUCGGCGAUGCAGCUUGUUAAAGGUUUCAAGAAAGGAGAACCAACCUUUCUUGCGACAUUGAUGGAGAUCGUUGGCUGCCAAAAAACUGAAUUAGUGUCCUCAUGUGUCCAACGUGUUCUUGAAGAGAACAAAGAUGUAAUGCCGGAGGAGCUGCCCAAACGGUUACCUCCACGAAGGGAAGUUGAUUACAAGAUCGAGCUGGUACCCGGGGCAAAGCCACCAGCUAUGACCCCGUAUCGGAUGUCGCCUCCGGAGCUUGAGAAACUUAGAAAACAACUCAAGGAGCUGCUGGAAUCUAGACAUAUCCGACCAUCUAAAGCACCCUUUGGAGCUCCGGUCUUAUUUCAAAAGAAGAAGGAAGGGACGUUGCGGUUGUGUAUUGAUUACCGUGCCCUCAACAAAGUCACGGUGAAAAACAAAUACCCCAUUCCUUUGAUAGCUGAUUUAUUUGAUCGACUGGGGCAAGCCAAAGUGUUCACGAAGAUAGAUUUGAGGAUGGGCUAUUAUCAAGUUCGCAUAGCCGAAGGAGAUAAAGCCAAGACGACUUGUGUGACUCGUUAUGGGUCCUACGAGUGGCUGGUCAUGCCUUUUGGACUGACCAACGCACCAGCCACGUUUUGCACGCUAAUGAACAAGAUCUUCCAGCCAUACUUGGAUCAAUUCGUGGUCAUAUACUUGGACGACAUUGUUGUCUAUAGUAGCUCAAUGGAAGAGCACGUUAGGCACCUUCAAAUCGUGUUUAAUGUGCUACGGGAAANNNNNNNNNNNNNNNNNNNNNNNNNNNNNNNNNNNNNNNNNNNNNNNNNNNNNNNNNNNNNNNNNNNNNNNNNNNNNNNNNNNNNNNNNNNNNNNNNNNNNNNNNNNNNNNNNNNNNNNNNNNNNNNNNNNNNNNNNNNNNNNNNNNNNNNNNNNNNNNNNNNNNNNNNNNNNNNNNNNNNNNNNNNNNNNNNNNNNNNNNNNNNNNNNNNNNNNNNNNNNNNNNNNNNNNNNNNNNNNNNNNNNNNNNNNNNNNNNNNNNNNNNNNNNNNNNNNNNNNNNNNNNNNNNNNNNNNNNNNNNNNNNNNNNNNNNNNNNNNNNNNNNNNNNNNNNNNNNNNNNNNNNNNNNNNNNNNNNNNNNNNNNNNNNNNNNNNNNNNNNNNNNNNNNNNNNNNNNNNNNNNNNNNNNNNNNNNNNNNNNNNNNNNNNNNNNNNNNNNNNNNNNNNNNNNNNNNNNNNNNNNNNNNNNNNNNNNNNNNNNNNNNNNNNNNNNNNNNNNNNNNNNNNNNNNNNNNNNNNNNNNNNNNNNNNNNNNNNNNNNNNNNNNNNNNNNNNNNNNNNNNNNNNNNNNNNNNNNNNNNNNNNNNNNNNNNNNNNNNNNNNNNNNNNNNNNNNNNNNNNNNNNNNNNNNNNNNNUUGAGCACGACCAGCUGUGAUGUGCUGGAUACCAUCAAGGAAGGGAUGGAACAUGAUCCCGUUGCCAAACAACUUCUUGAUUUGGGGCGCAAAGGCAAGACCCAAAAGUUUUGGGAAGAGGACGGACUGUUAUACACCACCGAAAGGCGAGUGUAUGUGCCUAGAUGGAAAAAUCUUAGGCGUUUGUUGAUCAAGGAGGUCCAUGACACGACGUGGGCUGGUCCUCCGGGACAGAAACGCACCAUGGCUUUGUUAAAAGCAGCUUAUUAUUGGCCUCGCAUGAGGGACGACAUAGAGGUAUACGUUCGCACUUGCCUUGUUUGCCAACAAGACAAGGUGGAACACAAGGCGCCCGGUGGAUUACUUGAGCCGCUGCCCACCGCAGAGAAAUCAUGGGACAGUGUCACCGUGAAUUUUAUCACAUGUUUGCCUAACUCGGAGGGUUGCAGAACAAUCAUGGUUGUCGUUGAUCGCUUUUCCAAAUAUGCAACAUUCUCAGCUGCCACGUCGAAUUGCAAAGCCAAGGAGGCAACCCGAUUGUUUCUCAAAGACGUAGUUAAACUUUGGGGCGGGCCCAGGCAUAUCAUUAGUAAUCGAGACCCGCGAUUCAAUGGAGCAUUUUGGAAGGAGCUAUUCAGUUUGUUGGGGUCGGAGCUGCACUUUUCAACCAGCUUCUAUCCCCAAACCGACGGACAAACGGAGCGAGUAAAUGGGUUACUUGAGUGCUACUUGAGGCACUUCGUUAGUGCCAAUCAAAGGGACGGGUCACGGUUGCUCGACACGGCCCAAUUCUCAUACAAUUUGCAACGGAGUGAGGCCACAGGUCGUAGUCCAUUCGAGCUUGCAACGGGGCAGCAACCAAACACUCCAUAAUCCUUACCGGUUAACGCCGGAAUGAGGAAUCCGGGUGCUUAUCAUAUGGCAAAGGCUUGGGAGGAACAAGUCGAUAUGGCAAGGUCGUAUCUUGAUAAAGCAGCCCGCAAAAUGAAGAAAUUCGUUGAUCGCAGUCGUCGUCCAGUCCACUACCGAAUUGGAGACAAAGUGAUGGUCAAGCUCAAUCCGAGGCAAUUCAAGUCGUUGAGGAGCGUCAAUCAAAGUCUGAUCCGAAGGUACGAAGGUCCAUUCGAGAUUGUUGCCAAGGUUGGCAAAAUUUCAUAUAAGCUGGACAUGCCAUCGCAUUUAAAGAUUUAUCUGGUCUUCUAUGCAAGCAAAUUAAAAUCGUAUUUCGAAGAUAAGGAAGACGUGGAGUGGGGUAAGUCUAGUCGGGCCCAAAUCUUCAUGACGUCCGCUGCCACGGAUAAACAAAUCGAGGACAUCAUUGAUCAUCAAUUGGUGCGAGGAAAAGGUUGGGGCAAUUCAAGUGCCCAAUUCCUAGUCCAUUGGAAGGGACAAUCACCCGAGGAGGCGUCGUGGGAGAAAUACGAAGACUUGUGGCCGUUCAAGGAGAAGGUCCACAAGUAUUUGCAGCUAUGUGGCGCCGCGGUCGUCGCCAAAUCAGGUGGGGGAGAGUGUGACGCACCGCGUCACUACCCAUUAAAUUCAUCCCGUUUUUGGCACAAUUCCGUGCGUUUCGGACACAUUUCGGAACCCGAUGGGGCUCCCUCGACGUCUCGGGACAAGGCCCACGUGGGGGCAUAUUUGGGAGGUCGAAAGACAAGCUCGGGUCAACAGCUUUGGAGCCUUGACCAGCUGAACAGAAACUGCACAACAAAAACAGGUUACUAGACAAGGGCCUUUCCACUAGUUCAUGGAUUGCAUGUCCAAAUGUAGUAAUGUUGAUUAGCAUUUAUUGUAUCCCUUGACUAAGGGACAUUAUAUAUACCUUGUAAGGCCCAGAUCAUCAUACUUGUUUUACUCAAGAAAUUUAAUCCGAAAAUUGGCUCUUCGGACCUCCCAAAUCGAGUGUCUUCCCUUGCUAUUUUCCUUUCGAGUUUGUGUGAGUGUUCAAAGAUUCUUGGAGAAGGAUUUAGAGCUGGUUUAGGACUGAGCUUAGCAUCGAUAUCGAGAGUGUUAAGUUAUCCGCACGCGGCUAAAAUUAGGCCCGUGACACAGCACUUUAUUAUAUGCGUGGUAAUACAAGCCCUCCAUCGCAUACUUGCUAUUGUCUCCUUCUUUCUCAUCUCUGUGUUCUUCUCCAUUACUAAAAAAAUGUUCUGAUAAGCAUACAAAAACAGCAAUCAACAAAGCGAAAAAACAAAUUUAGGUUGGUGCGCCUGCUUUCUGCGGGUAUGAAUUUACCAUUUCUAAAGUUUUUUAUUAUACAAAUUUUAUUCGUUGGGAUGAAGUUUGCUUAUUUUCAAAAAUUAGGGUUUGUUUGUAAGCUUAAUUAGGGGUCAAGGUUAGUGAAAUUAGCGUCUGUCUUGUGAAAAUUUGGAUCUGUUUGAGAACAGUUCAUAAUAGGAGCUUUGGUUGAGUUGUGGUUAGAUUUCAGCGAUGGAGGUGAAGGGGAUGGGAAAAAUUACAGGUAUGGUUUACUAAUUGAGUAAUUUUCCUUCGACGCUUUAUGCCUGUUCUUGCAUUUGUCUCUUGUGAUUGAGUGUCUUAGCUCUAUCUUUUGUAAUCUCUAGCUUAAUUAGUUAUCUUUCUAAUAAGCUGCAAUCAGAACUACAAAUUGGUCCUGUAAGUUUAUUAGUUUUGUUGGUUUGUCCGAACUUAUGAUUAUGAGAUUUUAGCAGUUCAUUUAUAAUUCUUCAUUAUAUUGCUGAUAAUAAUAAUAAUAAUAAGGAUAAACAUGUUUUUGACUUGGAAUUCUAUAAAUUAGGGAUAGUGCCAAAAGUUAAAACUUGGUACGUAAUACAUCCUCAAAUGUUUAGAUGCAGAUGGGCUUCAAUUAUAGAUUUUGAAGAAAUCUGAUUUAUGCAUUUUCUUAUUUCAGCUAGACUAUACAAGAUAAAACCUCAGUCUAUACAUGAUCAGUUUUUGAAAAAUCUGCAGAAUAUCCUCAUUCGUGAACAGAAAGGACAAAAACAUCACAUUCAUAAACAGGUUCGAUUGGUGUUAUGUAUAAGCUCCUUUCGCAAGGAUCUUUUGUAAUAUCUUCAACUUUGAUUUCGACGGAUACAGUGAAUCUUGUGCUUGGAUGGAUGACACAGCAGCUUCAUUGAUGAAUAGAACAGCAACGGCGACCUCCCUCUCCGCUAGAGCCGUCCAAAAGUGUAUUGAUUCCCAAUUUUGGUAUAACCUCAAGACUGUUUAUUGCUUAUCUUACGGAAUGUUUGAAAAUUAUGUCUUUACGUUACAUCAGUUCAUUUUUGAAUGAUGAAUUUCGUAUGCGUUCUUUCUCGGAUUAAUUUAAUUUACUCCUCUGCGUUUACUGAUAUGUUCAUAAGAGACUCAUUUAUCAUAAUGACCUGCUUAUACAUCGCAUAAGAGGAGUUAAAAUUCAUUUUAGAAAGACAUUUUAUAUUUUUUGUAGCGAUGAUCAUGAUAUUUCAUUUAUUAGGAUAUCAAUUUUUGGUUCUUAGUUCUCUUUUUUCCCUUUCUGUCGACUGCUAUAAAAUUAUACUUGGUUUGAACAAUAAGUAAUGAUCAAAUGUCUACUUCAUUUCAGGUUUAAUAACUUUUACAAGCAACAAAUGUUGUUGGGUUCUACGUAACUAUACAUUUUUUUAUCCUUUUCUGGUUAUUCUCUUCCAAUUCCAUUUCAUUGGCUCACUGUGGGGAUGGUUGCGAUGAAUUUUUUGAGCUUAAGCUGAUGGGCGAACAAAAGCAGUGCCUCUAAAGCUAGGGAGCCAGGGGUAAAGCUACGUACACACCACUCUACCUAGAUCUCAUUUGUGGAAUUACAUUAGGUAUGUUUUUAUAGUAGUUUUUUAUACUUAUAAAAUGAUCUGAUGCAACUGAGCAAACCAUAAGGAUUCAAUAGGACUGGACUAUUAGAACGGAAAACCUCCAAUUAAACCCAAAAAAAUAUAAACCAGAAAGCAAAGAAGCCAUAACCAAAAACUACAAGUUGUAUAAUAUAAAAUAAUUUGACAUAAAAACAUACCAAAAAUAAAUUUUAAAAAAUAAAAAUUAACACAUACCAUCAAAGCAUUGGAACAGAGAAUAUGCUCUAUUGUCUAACAAGUUAACUUUAUCUAAUUUUACUUUAAUUUGAAAAAGAAUUGUUGUUGAUGAAAAUUGCCAGAUUUUUACUUCUACAGAUAUGAAGGAAUCAAGUUUGUUACUUUAUAAUUCCAUGUUAGAUAUAUCAAUAUGUUAUAGUUUUCAUAGAUUCCCUCUUAUAUUAGGAUUAGUCUUUUGAGUUUAGAUGUUAAGAGAAAAUUAAAGAAAUGGUGAAUAUCGACUGUUGUUGCUGGUGGACUGGACUAUAAAUUACUCUUAUGAAUAUCAAUUAAUAAAACUGGGAAGUGACGCAAAACUAAAGCAUGGAGGGAAAUUUGACACAUAAAACUCUCAUGAAUACGUAUAGUUUUUGUGUUACUUUUAAUUGCAGAAAGUGACAAAGGAGGUCUUCAAUUUUCGUCUUUGUGCUUCUCUUGUAAUGUAUGAAUGUUGUUUGUGCAGAUUCAAAUGUCUUAAUUGAGUUGAGAGACUCCAAAUAUGAUUGAACAAUGCCUAAGGUUUCCGCCGUCAUGAACUUUGUUGUAAAUGGAGGUAAUUAAAGAUAUGAACUGGGAAGCAGCUAGAAAGGUCCUCAAUGUCGUGUUUUUCUUGAUUUUAACUACGCUCCUCCCUUUUCUUAUUUUGUUUUCCUUACAAAUAUAGGCUUCGACCCCAUUACUAUCUGAAGCUCGCUGUUCUGGUUUUGCAGGUGGUAGCUGGUAAAUUUGUGAAUGCUUAUUCGACGAAUGAUUGGAUGCUUGGCGUUGCCUUUCGUGCCAGGUAUGCAUUAUCUGCAAACUUAAUAGUACUUUAUUUGAUGGUUUCAACGAUUCCCCUCUAUUUGCUUUCACAUUUGAUUUGUCGUUUUCUGCUUCUCUCCCUUCACUUAUUUUUCAUGUAAAAAUCAAAAUAAUCAGGCUUCGUGUGGAAUCUAACAAAGCAGACCUCGAAAUCGAUAUAUCAGAAAGGGCAUUAUUGUAGUUCCAGUUAGUCAAGUGAAUUAUUGGUGUCUUGUAAUGUGAGGAAAGGAAUGGUGGUGUAAAGUUUAGUCUCAUAUGUUCGACAAGGUUUGUUAGCUAGGGAACUGGUCCUUUGAAGAUGCUACAUUCAUUCUGAAUGUAAUUCGAACUUUCUAGCCAAGGUUCGAGGGAAGGAAAUGUUUAAUUUUAUUGGAGAGUAGUUGCUUAUUGUUCAGGCCUUCACUUAUACAGUUCAUUAGGUUAUGCGGUGCGAGUAUUAAGGAAAUCUCUGAGCUACAUAUAACAUAAUGCGAAUAUACCUUAUCGCGAGGCCCAAAACCACCCUCUCUGAGCUUGUUUUCACCCGAGAAGUUGUUUGUAGCUGUCAAUAUGAAUCCAAAAUUGAAUAUUUUCAGAUGUAUAUAUUCUUCCUCCUUUCUUUUCUUACCUAUGCAAGAGAACUUUGUAGAUACAUACACAUGUUCAACAUAACUGACAUCCAAGUUUUUCCUGCUACCUUUAACAUACAGAGAGUUAUAUCAAUCUGGCAUCCUGUUCCAUUGUCACUGACGCUGGUGAAGCCAAUGCCACUGCAAAACUCCCAACACUUCUGCAUACAAUUGCCAAGACUAAUGUCUGCAUUAUCACAGUAAUUAGUAAUAGUACCAGAUAUAUCUGCGAAGUCUCCUCUCUUUUGCCAAGACUCUGUUUUGCAGCAAAAUUUACUAUCAAUAAUGACAACUCUUGCUGAUUCAUUCUUAGCAGAAUUGGAUGAAUUAGACGAUAAUACAACUGAUGUUCAUGAACAUAUGGAGAAAGAUGGAUGUGAAAAAUUAGCAUUUAAUUAUCAUGAUGAUGAUGAGUAUGAUCUAGAUAAUGUUUUGAAGCUACGAAAAUCACGUCAUUACAUUGACAUAAUGCAGAAAUUAAAGUCGAAGAUGCCCUAUUUUUCGCGAAUAAGGGUGACGUUCUUCCUGAAGCAGAUGAUCCAGAAUAUAAGUUGAUAUAGAUUGUAACAUGUUAUCAGUUGAUAUUGAAGAUGAAAUUGACAUAUAAUCCAUAAUUUUAUGUGUGACAAGUACAGAUUGACAUUUCCCGACUUAGAUUCACUUGUUAAUCAUCCAAUUGAUUAUGCUAGAGUUGUUAAAAGAAUUGGUAAUGAGAUGGAUUCAAGUCUUGUUGAUUUGCAGGGGUUAUUGCCUUUAGCUAUUACCAUGGUUGUUACUGUUACAGCAUCAACCACCACUGGCAAGCCACUGCUGGAGCACGUUUUAGAAAGGACAUUGGAAGCAUGUGAUAGAAUCUUAAACUCAGGGCAUUUUUCGGUCGAGACAGGAUUGCAUCAGGGAUCGACUCUUAGCCUGUUCCUUUUUGCGUUGGUGAUGGACGUGUUGACGCGGAGCAUUUAAGGGGAGGUGCCUUGGUGUAUGUUAUUUGCAUAUGAUGUAGUGUUGAUUGAUGAGACGAGGGGAGGUGUGAAUGAAAAAUUGGAGGUUUGGAGGCAAACUCUUGAAUCUAAGGGGUUCAAGUUGAGUGGUCCAAGACAGAGUAGGAGUGCAAGUUUAGUGAUUCGAGUCAAGAGGACGAAGUGGUGGUGAGGUUGGAUUCUCAUGAUGUUUGUAAGUGGGAUAGUUUUAAGUAUCUUGAGUCUAUGAUUCAGGGAAAUGACGAGAUUGACGAGGAUGUCUCUAAACGUAUUGGAGCAGGUUGGAUGAAGUGGAGGCUCGCCUCAGGAGUGUUGUGAGAUAAGAAGGUGCCCGCAAAUUCUGCAGAGUGGCAGUCCGUCUGGCCAUGCUGUACGGAGUCAAGUGUUGGUCAGUCAAGAACUCCCACAUUCAAAGAUUGAAGGUGGCGGAAAUGAGAAUGUUGCGUUGGAUGUGUGGACUUACUAGAGGGGAUAAGAGUUAGGAAUGAGAUUAUCCGGGAGAAGGUGGGAGUGGCUUCGGUUGAUGACAAGAUGCGAGAAGGAAGGUUGAGAUGGUUUGGGCAUGUGAUGAGGAGGGGCACGGAUGCCCCAGUUCGGAGGUGUGAGAGGCUAGAUUUGGAUGGCUUCAGGAGGAGUAGAGGUAGGUCGAAGAAAUACUGUAGGGAGGUGAUUAGACAUGACAUGGAGCAGUUACAGCUUACUGAGGAUAUGACCCUAGACAGAAAGGUGUGGAGGUCGCGGAUUAGGGUAGAAAGCUAGUGUGAGUGUGUGGGUUGUGGCAAGGUGGUAGGAGAGCGCUUGUGUAGCCGGGUGUCCUCUUUCUUAUCUCUUAUUUCAAAUUGCUAGUAUUUUCUCUUAUUUCGUAUUUCUCUGAUAUUUAUUUUUUAUCUUUAUUUCUUAUUUCGUUUAUGUCAUCCAUCCUGUUUCAUGUUUCAUUACGACCUUGAUAUACUAUUCUCUAUCUUGAGCCGGGGGUCUACCGAAAACAGCCUCUCUACUUCUUCGGAGAGAGCGGUAUGGACUGCGUACAUUUCACCCUCUUCAGACCUCACUUUGUGAGAAUACACUGGAAUUGUUGUUGUUAUUGUUGUUGUCGUCGUCUUUCCCUGAACCAAAAAAUUAUGUUUCAUCUAUCUGUUAACGUUUCAUUCCCGUUCUUUCAUUUUCAUAUAUAAACUACUUAUCAAAACACUAACACUUCACAAUUUAUGCGAUAGGUUUCAAUUGUAUGGUUAUUCAUCUCAACUCUCAAGCUAAGGAUGCAUCAUAUUUUUUAUCAUAUUUUUUUAUCUAUGUAAAUAAAAUGUACAUAAUUCCUUAUAAAAUUUUGCUCCUUUAACAAAUAUCAUAAAAUAAAUAGUUUGUUCCAUAUAUUGAUGCAUUGAAUUUAAUUAUUCUUUACCUGUAACAUGGAUUUGUGCUAGCACGGGCCUCGACCCCCUAGUAUAUAUAGAAGAGAUGUUUCGAUGCGUGUGUUAUUCGUCCAUAAAGUUCAAUGUAAGGACAUAAUUGACUUUGCCCGUGCUAACUCGUGUGUUAUUCGUCCUUAAAGUUCAAUGUGAGGACAUAAUGGACUUUGGCCGUGCUAACACGGCCCCGACCCCCUAGUAUAUAUAGAAGAGAUGUUUAAAAGCGUGUGUUAUUCGUCCUUAAAGUUCAAUGUAAGGACAUAGUGGACUUUUGACUAUUUAUUUGUUCACAGGUGUCUUUUAUUUCUUUCAUUACCAACCACGUGUCUUCACAUCAAACGUAAGACUACAUCAGACCUUCAUGUUAUCUUCACAGUUCAUGCUAUUCUUUUUCUUUUUGAAGUAAUCUGAUUUGACUGGAGAAAGAAAAGUUAUCCGAUUUCUCUUCGCUGCUAAAAAUUCUACCGAAAUUAUUUUGAUUGUUCAGUUCCAAUUUUCAUUAAUUUCGGUAGGCUUUCUAUUUCUAAUGAUACCGCUUGAGAUUUUUUUGGUAGAAUAGAUUCAUUCUCUUACUAGGUUGAUAUGUGUUCUUUUACAAGGGAUAAGCUACGUGUCUUGCUGCUGCAACUGCAUAGACACGUAAGACGCCCGUCUUGCUUAAGCUGGUUAAAUUGCGAUUUUGCAUACUCGUAGGGAGAAAAAGUAUGACUAUGCACCCAAUAAGGGCUUUGAUGCAGCCAAGGUGCUCGAAGAUAUGCCUUAUGCAACUUAGAUCUGAUACUUGUGGAUAGUUGAAUUUAAUUUAUUAAAUUUUUCUUCUACUGAAUAGCAUGCAUUUUUAUUCUUAAGAGUUUUUCUCCUAUUUGGAUGUCUCGCUUAUAUAAGUGCACAACUGAUGCAUAUGUGGAAUAGGACAUGUUCUGCUUUUAGAGGGAGUUGGAUCAUGUAACAUCCCGUAGUAUUCUCGUCAAAAAUGUUAAAAGACUUAGUCAUAUUUAUGAGCCCUUAACUUCAAUGAUUUUUAAAUUGAUCUUUCUGAUCUCGAGGAAUAGAUUUUUGAGUUGAUUCAUGUCGAGGAAUAGAUUUUUGAGUUGAUUCAUGUUCAGGGGUGUAAAGGAGAUGUCUCGGGGAAGUUUCAGAUUUUUUGGAUGAGGUUUAAGACGUGUUUGAAUUUCGAAAACAGUAGGUUACCGCGAUUGCACUGCUUCGCUAUAGCGAUGGACCUCUGUCGCAUCGCGGUGAGCUCCAAAAGCGGAUUUUAGCUGCGAAUUUAAAUUUUGAAGGGCAGACUCGUCUUUUCUCCACAGUCCCAGUCGUGAAAAUAAUAAAUUAAAGCAUCAUUAGGGCAUUUUAUGCCCAAAACUACACAAUUUUCCUCGAGAACUUAACCCUAACUCUUCUCCAAAAUUCAAGAAUUCAACCUCUAAGUCAAGAUUUCAAGAAAAGAGUCAAGACUAGGGUUUCAAAUCUUCAAACUAAACAUAAGGUAUGGGGGACUAUUCUUAAAUUCCAUGGGCAUGGGUUUUAUCUUUUUUAUCAAAUAUAAUGAUUUAUAAUCAUGUUGCAAAUGAAGGGUUUUGAAUAUUAUUUUGAAAAGCAUGUUAUUAAAUCGUUUUGAUGAAAAUAUAGGUAUUGUGUUGAACCCUUUUUGUGGAAAUUGAAUUAUAACCCCUUGUGUAUAUACGUUUAUAGUUUUGAAAAGUUUAAUUGAGAGCAUGAACAAUGAAUCCCCUCUCUUGUUAAGAAAUAUAAUAUCUAUUUGUAUUGUGAGUGAUUUAGAAUGCAUGAACUAAGGUUUGAAAGUAAGUUUCUUAACAUCAUGUUUGACAUGUAUUAUGAUAUGAUGAGAUGGAGUUUUCUUGCUAUAUCUGUACUCUUGCAUUAAAAAGAAGAAUUGCAUGUGAUUGAAUAAAUUGACAUGACCACCGCAUGUUAAAAUCUUGCAAAAAGAGGAUAAUUGCAUAAGUUUUCUUGAGAUUUUAAAGUGAUGACUCUUUUGUGAUGUUAUAAAUCUUUGGUGGUCAUUUGCAUGUCUUGAAUGAGAUGGGUUGUGAAUUCGUUAUGAUAUGAACGACUUGCAAGUCAGGGUAUGACGACACCUGUUGAUGACAUGUCCUUAACAGAAUAAGUAUUGGGUGUUUUGAAAAGCAUGGAGCAUGAUUUUGAAGAACUAAAAGUUGGGCUUAAGAGAGCUAGUUGGUUACCCAAAAAAGAUGUUUGAGUGUAACAACUCAUCGCUGGAAACCAUAGUUGCUGAUAUGGGUGUUAUCUUUAAAUGGGAUAAUUUAGACAUCAUGUAAGGGUGAUGCCACCGCAUACUUUUAAGGGGGUGUGCCAACUCAUGAAAACUUCAAUCCUUGCGGCAAACUUGGGUUGGGAGCUUGACCGUCGAGUCAAGGGCGAAUUUCCUAUAGCCCUUGGAAUUAUAAAUUGUAGGGUGUACCGACUAGCUCAUAAGAAUAACAAAGAUUGAAUCUGGUUGUCGAAGGCCCGUGCCAGCACAGGCCCAAUAUAUAUUAUUUUUUAGUUUUAAUUUAUGUGACAAAUAGAAUCUAGAUAAUCAAUCACAAUUUUAAUAUGUUUUAGAUAUUUUAAGUUGUUGAUUGUUGUAAUUUAUAAUACUUGUUUAUGUAAUUUUCAAAUAAUACAUUUUACGCUUCUUGUCUAAACUUUUAUAUCAUUGAUAGUUAAUUAUAUUUUUAACUAUGUCAAUUUAAAUGAACUGAUAUAAUUUCGAGAGUCAAUCAAAUAUUUUAUAUCUUUUAAUCUUUUUAAGUUGUUAAUUAUUGUAAUCUAUAAUAAUUUUUAUGUAUUUUUUGAAAUAUAACAAAUUAAUUUUUUUAGAUAUUUUAAGCUGUCAAAAUAUUGUAAUUUAUAAUACUUUUAUGUAAUUUUUAAAUAAUAUAAGUUACUCUUUUUAUCCAAAUUUUUGUGGCAUUAAUAGUUAAUUAUAUUUUAAAAAGAAUUUAAAUUUUUAAUUAUUGUGAUAUAUAAUAUUUUUUCACUCUAAUUUAAAUGCCACUAAUAUAAUUAUGAGAAUCAACUCAAUAUUUCAUACCUUCUAAAAUUUUUAAGUUAUUAAUUAUUGUGAUGUACAGGAAUUUUUUCGCAAUUUUUUUGAAAUACAUAACAAACUAAAAGAAAUAAGACAAAUAAACUAAAAUGUAUGAAAUAAUGAAGGCAAGGGAAAGGAUCAAUGAAGUUAUGCCAAAGCAGAUUGGUUUUUUAAAAUUUUUAAGUUGUUAUGAAGGCAAGGGAAAGGAUCAAUGAAGUUAUGCCAAAGCAGAUUGGUUUUUAAAAUUUUUAAGUUGUUAAUUAUUGUAAUUUAUAUUAUUUUUUUGAAAUAUAUAAAAGAUGUUUUUUAGAUAUUUUAAUUGUUAACUGUUGUAAUUUAUAAUAUUUUUUUUAAUGUAAUUUUCAAAUAAUAUAUGUUACUCUUCUUGUACAAAAUUUUGUGGCUUUGAUAAUCAAUUAUAUUUUUUAAGUAAUUUAAUUUUUUAAUUAUUAUUAUUUAUAAUACUCUUUUUUCUAUCUCAAUUUAAGUGACACAGUAGUUAGAUGAUCACAAUAAUUAAUCAGAGGUGGUAGAGUGAAAUUGCGAGUGAAGCAACAAAACACAAAUGUCUUAGAUAACUUACAAUAAUUAAUUAAAAGUGAUAUAAUAAAAUUAUGAAAAAUAUGUAAGGGGGUCUCAUGUAAGACAUUAAAUUAAUUUAGAAUUAAAUAUUAUUAGUGUUUUAAUACUUAGAUAAUUUAUAAUAAUUAAUUAAAGAUAAUAUAGUAAAACUAUAAUUGAAAAAUUGAAAUAAACAUGUUAUAAAAAUCUAUUUUAUUUUUUAUUAAAUAUUAUUAAUUUUUAAUAUAUAAACGACGUAUAAUAAUUAAUUAUGAGUGAUAUUAUAAAAUGGUGCAUUGUCGGCAGGGAGGACAACGGAAGCUGCUCAAACUCCCUCUUAUAUAUUAGUAGAAAAUAUACCUUCAUCUUUAUUGCUCGGUGCUCUCACCUGUCCUUUCCCUUCUAUAUUUACCUUCCAUCUUUAAUGCUCAGUGCUCUCACCUGUCCCCUUCCUCCCCUUCUAUAUUUUCAUUAAUUGAUCCCGACCUUCUCCUAAUAAUUACCACUACAUUAUCAAUGCUCGACCCGCCAAAAUUUAGAUCUAUAUCAUUAAAAAUCUCCUUCGGGGCGCACUAGCCAAAAUAACUACGUGCAUGCUUAUAAAUUAAUUGUGGGUCAUUAUGGGUUCGUAUUUGCCUGCUAAUUUAUUUUGUGGACUGAUCAUUCUGGUAGUUUUAUGUGUAAGUUGUCCUUUGGUGAACUGUGGGGCGGAGGAUUUUUUUCAAUCAGAAUGUUUACAGGUACCAAUAUCGGAGUUUGUGGGCUCAGUUAAGUCCACCAUUGACACAAUCCGGCAAGUCACUUCCAUAGUGUCGAAAUUCGCCAACUUCUUUAGUGAUUUUCGACUUUUUAAUGCCAUUUCUGAUUGCCUUGAUCUACUGGAGCUCUCAGCAGAUGAACUUACCUGGACUCUCACUGCUUCUCAGAAUCCCAAAGGUAGUGCAUAGUGGCCAUAACUUUAAUUUGUUCUUUUUUGAGUAACGAACUUUCGGAAAGUUUACUACAGUCAAUUUUAUCUUUUUGAGAUUCUUGCUUUAUUCGCUUUAAAACUUUAAAUUGCAAUGUCAAUAGAUGUUCUUGUUCCUUUACUUUUCAGCCUGUUUUGCACUUUAUUAAAGUACAAAAGGCUUGAUAUUUUUUAGUUGGAACUUGGAACCUCUCCAUGAUUACGAAAUUUUUUAGCUCCAAAUCCCUGUAUUCUACUCUACAACAAUAACAUAGUACCACUUUAUUCUUGCACAAUAGGGGUCUUGAGGGGAUACUCUCUACACAAUCCGUACCACACGCUAUUUCGACAGCGAAGUAGGAAGGUUGUUCUGAAUCUCAAUUUAAUAAAGUAUAAUAAAAUAAAUACUAUGUCGACUUGUCACUAUCCAUCAAAAAACAUUUAUUAUAUAACCCCUCUGUUCACAUAACUCAUGUUAACUUGUCAUCCUCCUUAAAAAAUAAUUACUCCCUCCGUUUCGAAAUAAGUGAAUUAUUGAUAUAUUUUUUUGUGUUUCAAAAUAAGUGAAUCCUUGAAUUUUUUUUUCAAAUUUAUCCUUAUGAUUUGACAACCAAUUAACUUUUGAAAAAGUAUUAUAAGGUCAAUUUUUUCUUUUUUGGGAUAAAAAUAGAAAGUUAUGUUAAAUUUAUAUCUUUAAUGUUUUUUUUUUUAAUCUGUGUGUUAAAAUUCAACAAUUCAUUUAUUAUGAAACGGAGAGAGUAUUAAACUUAGUUUAUUAAAUUAAUUUUAUUAAUUAUAUUUUAUAAAUUUAAAUUUUUCCUAUUUAUUUGUCUCAAAUUUCCUAAUUUGAUUUCUCAUUUUAUUUGUCAUUUUUCAUAAAUCAAGAAUAGACUUUUUUUUUUUUUUUCAUGUUUUACCCUUUUACAUUAAUUAUUUUUUUUUCAAAUGAAAAUAAACAUAAUUUAACAGGUCUACUAUGAUAAAUUAGACAUUUUAUUAAUUAUUUUUUUUAAUUAAUAUGUCAAAUUAAUUUGAAUAAGUAAAAUGGGACAGGGGUAGUAAUAUUUUAUGGAGUCAUUAAUGAUAAGGUAAUAUUGAAAGAAAUAAUACACUUUUGUUCUUCUUUGAGUAGCGAACUUUCGGAAAGUUUACUACAGUAAAUUUUAAUCUUUUUGAGAUUCUCGCUUUAUUUGCUUUAAAACUUUAGAUCGCAAUGCCAGUAGGUGUUUUUGUUCCUUUACUUUUCAGCCUGUUUUCCACUUCAUUAAAGUAGAAAAGGUUUGGUAUUUUUUAGUUGGAACUUGGAACCUCUCCAUAAUUACGAAGUUUUUAGCUCCAAAUACCUGUAUUCGACUCUACUACAAUAACAUACCACUUUAUAUUUACACAAUAGGGUCCUCAGAGGAUACAGUAUGCACAAUUCAUAACACAAGCUAUUUCAACAGUGAAGUUUUUGGAAGGUUGUUGUGAAUCUCAAUUUAAUAAAGUAUAAUAAAAUAAAUCCUAUGUCGACUUGUCACUAUCCAUCAAAAACAUUUACUUAUAUAACUCGUCUGUUCACAAAACUCAUGUUAACUUGUCACCCUCCUUAAAAAAUAUUAAAGUAUUUAAGUUAUUUUAUUAAAUUAAUUUUAUUAAUUAUAUUUUAAAAAUUUUAAUUUGAUUAUUAAUAUUUUAUGCAGUCAUUAAUGAUAGGUAUUAUUGAAAGAAAUAAUAAACUUUUCUUAAUUUCAUAACUCAGAUAAAUAAAUUUAAAUACUCACUCUAUCUCAUAUUAGUUAUCAUUUUAAUAAAAAUAGUUAUUUCAUAUUAUUUGUCCAUCUUACUAAAUUAAAAAAACAUUAAUUAAAUUUGUCUCAUACUUAUCCUUGCAAUUUUUUUUUUUUUAAAGUAUUCAUAUGUAUUUGUAAAGUUUCCAAGAAGCUCUUCAAGGAUUUGAUUAGUAAAAUUAUCUUUUAAUUUAUAAUUUUUAACGUAUGUAAAAAUAAAAAUGACCAAUUAAUAAGGAACAUAGAGAAUAACUAAUUUUAGUAAAGUUACCGAGUAAAAUAAAACAGAAAAGUAGUGCCUAAUUAUAAGUAAUUAUUUUUAACAAAGUGGGUGCAUAUAAUUUAAACACUCCUUGUGGAAAGAAAGCAUAGUAUAAAGCUUCUUGCGUUCCAAAAGGUAAUCCCACUUUCAGAUUUAAUUGUCACUAUUUUAAUUUAAUUUUCAAAUUUUUACUUAUCGUUUUUGAUAAAAUUAAGAAAAGACAAAAAAAAAAAAUUAUUUUGAUUUUAGCAUUAGUUACUAAUUUUAAAAUUAUUUUCAAGACAUAAUAAUAAACAUCAAUUAAUAACAAUGGUAUGGUAAAAUUACAAUGCAAAUCAUUAUUUCUUAAUGAAUGUAUCAAGUCACUUUGACAAAAUUACAAUGCAAAUCAUUAUUUUCUUAAUGAAUGUAUCAAGUCAGUUUGACAAGUAAAUUCAAAGAGAGAGUCUGUGUGGUCUCUUUUGCAUUUUGUACUCUCCAUCAAGUAUUUAUUUAACUAAAUUGUUGUUACUAGUAAUUGUAACUAAAAAUUUUAAAUUUGACUACUAUUUACUCUAAUUAGUUUGAGAAAGUGUUACUAAAUAUGAUAUGGGUAAAAUUAAAUUAAAUAACUAAUUCUCUUAUAAUUUUACUAAGGUGGAUAAGUAAAAGAGAAAAAUCGUUUUUUUGGUGAUUGUCUAUCUUGUUCUAAAAAUUUACCAAUUUUCCCGGAAAGAAAAUAAACAUGCUUGUCAAAUCUUUUUCAUUUUUUACCAUCAGAAGAGUAAUUGAGAUCUCUACUCUUUAACUUUUACAUAAUUUGCAAAUCUGUUAGGGUCAGCUUUAUCUUCACUUUAAUGUCAUAUCCCAUAAUCCAAAGAGUCCUAGCCCCUAGGAUACUCUUGCCAGAACAACUACCGGAGCGGUUUUUGGCCUUUGGAACUUUUAUAUUACGAGGAGGACGUAAAUGAAUUGAAUAAUUGUCUAACUUAGUAAGAAGUAUAAUAAAUUACUCCCUUCGUUUUGAAAUAAAUGAAUUAUUGGGGUAUUUAUUGGUGCUUCAAAUAAGUGAAUCGUUGAAUUUUUUUUCAAAAUUACCCUUACGAUUUGACAAGCAAAAGAGACUGCACCUUUUUUUUUUUUUUGGGUAAAAGAGAUUCAAGGAUAAAAAUGAAAAUUUAUAUUAAAUUUAUGUCUUUGAUAUUUUUUUCUAAAUUUAUAUGUUAAAAUUUAACAAUUCAUACUUAUUUGUUUAUUUUGGAAGCAUAAGUAUUAGUGUAGGAACAUUUUAAUAAAGACGGGUGAUGUGAUGAUGGGACAGGGAAAAACAACAGCACCGGUAAUCUAAGUGCAGAUUUGAGGAAUUAUUUAAGCGGAGCACUGAUUAAUCAAGACACAUGCAUAGAAGGAUUUGAUGGGACAAACGGGCUUGUUAAGAAUUUGGUUGCGGGAAGUCUCAACCAAGUUACUUUAUUAGUCCGCGACAUUCUUUAUAUGGUCCGUCCCGCCCCUAAGAACGCCCCCCAGGGCCAGGCCAAUGACAGACGUGGGAAUCCGUGGCAGUGGUCCCGUGAAAGGAAACUAACGUCAAACAAACAAGACAGCCACUCAUAUCCCUCCUGGCUUAAACGAAAAUAUCGAAGGUGGUUGUUGCAAGCAGCUCCAACUAAAGGGGUAGUAGCGGACGCUGUGGUAGCCCUUGAUGGGACUGGUAAUUUCACGCGUAUUAAAGAUGCCAUAGAAGCAGCACCACAAUUAAGUACAAAAAAAUUUGUCAUAUAUAUCAAGAGGGGAGUUUAUAAUGAAUAUGUGGAGAUUAGUAAGAAGAAAUGGAACAUAAUGAUGAUUGGUGACGGCAUUGAUGUUACUGUUAUUUCUGGCAAUAGAAGUUUUAUUGAUGGAUGGACCACUUACAGAUCUGCAACCUUUGGUAAGUCUUCAUUUUCAUUUAUUGUACACACAUCCAAAUUCAGGCGUAGUACUACUAUAGUAAGUAUAUUUCAAACAUAAACCCCACCCCCACUAUUUAAAUAUUGAUCGGAGUACUGUACAUAAUAAGAAGAUUACUAAAAUGCCACUAUUUAUUACUCGUAUGCUUUAAAGAUGGCCCGUAAUGUAUGUCUGUAAAUAGAUCAGUCAAGUCAUGGAUUGACUAAUUAAUUAUAGUAGAAUUAAAUAAAAUACAAGUAAUACUACAGUUCAGUAAUUCCAUAAUGACUCGGAACCAAAAUAAGUCAAAAAAAAAAGUGAUUAAAAUAUAUUACUUAUUCAAUAAGUUUUCAAAAUAGAUUAAACGUAAUAAAUUAUUACGUUUUAUAUAUUUUUUUAACGGUCAAUUGACGGGGGUGAAAAGUGAAAAUAUUGUUUGUAAAACAUAACAAAUUAUUAUGUUUUAGAAAAAGUAAUGUAAACUGUAAUAAUUUAUUACGUUGUAUACGAAAAACAGAAAAAAAACAAUGUAUUAUCAUAUCAUCAUCUUUAUGUCAAAUAAUGUAAAACAUAAUAAUUUAUUACAAUUUUCAAAUAUUUUGGUAAAACAUAAUAAAUUAUUACAAACUACAUAAAUAACCCCACCUAUUCCUGUUCCAUCAUUUACUUACCUUUAUUUUUUGAUAAUUAAAGAUAGAAGUAGGUUAUUUUUUUAUAUAGGAUAAGUAUAAGAAAAAUAGAUGGUAUUUAUCCACGUGGACAGACACAUAAGCAUUUUUUUUUACGUGUACGCACAUGUUUUACACGUUGUGAUAUGUGGGCCAAAAAGGACCACGUGACGUACUAAAACAACAAGUUCGGAGUACUUAAAAUGACUCAAAGUUCAAGUGCACUAUAAAUAAAAUGAGACAAGUUCAGGGGGAAAUUGAUACUUCUCUCUUUUUUAUUUUUUUUAUUUUUGUGUAGAACAUAAAAAUUUAUUACAAAGAGAUCGCUGAAAAUCAAAUAAGUUCGUCGCUUGGGGGUGGGAGUGGGGUGGGGGGACCGCUAAAAAUCAAAGAACUAAGUAAAAGGGAUGACACAGUUAGAUGGGGUGGGGUGGGGGGGUGGGGGGUUUACCCUUAAAAUAAGGUAAGUAAAUGAUGGGACAGUAGUUUGUAAUAAUUUAUUAUGAUUUACAAAAAAUUUUGCAAAACGUAAUAAAAUAUUACGUUUUAAAGAACUUUUUGUAAAUCAUAAUAAAUUAUUACGUUUUACAUGAUUUGACAUAAAGAUGAUAUGAUAGUACAUUGAUUUUUUUAUUUUUGUAUAAAACGUAAUAAAUUAUUAUGUUUUAUAUUACUUUUUGUAAAAUGUAAUAAUUUGUUAUGCUUUAUAAACAGUAUCUUAACUGUUCACCUCCGUCAGUUGAUCGUUAAGAAAAAUACAUAAUAACGUAAUAAUUUAUUACGUUUAGCCUAUUUUGGUAACUUAAUAAGUAGGUGACCUAUUUUGAUCACUUUUCGUAUGUCUUGACUUAUUUUGGUUUCGAGUUUUUCAUAAAUUCAUUUCUUUGGCCAUUUAUUAUGGAAAAUCUUUUGGUCCCACCAGGCAUAUCAAUAAGACUAUAAGACGUUCGGAUCACAAAAAAAGAACUGUUUAUAAAAAGAUGAAAAAAAGGAAGGGUGUUUUUUUUUUUUUUGGUGAAAGGGAUGCUUCAUAUCAUAAUAAUAGCAUGAGUUUUACUAAAUAUAUCCGGGAGUCAUCAAUCUGGAUCAAAAUCAACAAUGGAAGUUACAUAUUGGCAUUGAAUAUAUUGUGCAACAUCAAGAUUCCUAACUAAUCUUUGAUAUGUAGUUCCUAGGAUGUUUGCCUGUAAUUUCUACAUGGCAUACAUUGGAGGAACUAGCAAAAGUUUAGCUUGUUCAAAAUUUAUCGCUUGUGCACCAUGUUUGGCAAGUGCAUCUGCGACUCCAUUUUGUUCUCGAUAGACAUGGCUAACCACUAGACAUUCCAGCUUCCUUAGGUUGGACCUGCACUCAUGAACAAUGAAGAAAGGGUGUUGCUAAAUGACUCGAAUCACUUUGGCACGAAUGGCAUGAAAGUCAUAAAAAGAUCAUAACGUCCUCUAGCUCCAAAUCAGCUUAUGUUUUCCUCCAAAAUGCAAAACCAUAUCUUUCUUAUUUUCUUUAGGCUCCAAAACCAUUUAUUUUUUCCUCCAAAAACAAAAUUACUAUAACUUUUAUUUCUUAUUUUUUAUUAUUCUUUCAUAUUUUUCUUAUUUCAUAUUUUUUGUUAUUCUUUCAUAUUUUUCUUAUUUCAUAUUUUUUAUUAUUCUUUCAUAUUUACUCCUUAUAUUUUUACUUUUUUAUUCUAUUUUUUCUUUUCUUAUUCUAAGUUCUUUUAUCUGAUUUAAAGUCUUUUAAUCAUCAUUUUUAUUUGUAUUAUAUAUUUUUUUCUUCCAAUACUUCAAUCUCUUUAGUUGUUUUACCAUAUAGAUUUUUUUACUUUUUUUUUUUAAAUUUUAAAUCUUCAAUAUAUCUCAUCUACAAAAUUUCUCCUAUAAUUUAAAAAAAAAAAUUCAAAGUAAUAAAAAUAUUUAACUAAGAGAAAUCAUGAAUGAAAUUUUUGGAAUUGAAUAGUGAUAGUUUAGUCGCUAAAUUAAUUUAUUUGUAUAGUGAUUAAUAAAUAAUACAAGUACUUUUAAAGUUAAAUUGAUUUUUAUUUUAUUUACAAACAAUAGAAAAUUAUCUUUAAAUAGCAAUUCAAUUGAAGAUUAUCAACAUGAUAUUUCAACUAUAAAAUCAAUUAAAUUUGACUUAAAAAAUUUAGUAUAAAUUUUAUUUUGACUCUAAAUAACCCGCAUGUUGAGUUUAUAUAGGUUUGACUGAACAUUCAACUGUAUGUAAAGAUUAAGUAAAUUAAUAAAAAUUGUUGGGAUCGUCACAUAAUGUUAUUCUAACAAACUGGUCAAAAAACUUAUAAUCAUUGGAUCACGAGUAUGAGACUAGACAGUCGCGAUAAAAUACAAAUUUAUUUUAGUUAAAUUAUAUUUAAGAUUUUUGAAGUAUUUCUAUAUUGUUUCACUAAAAUUACAAAGUAUUUUUCAUAAUUAAUUUAUCUAAGAAACUUAAUUAGUUUGUAAAAAAUGAAGCCGAGAAAAUUUUUCGAUCCAAUAUUUAUUUUUUUUCACUUUAGUUCACAAAAUAUAAAUAUUAAAAAGAAAAAAAACUACACUACUGAACAAACAUAAGCUCUUAAUUAUCUUAUUUAGCCUAAGUUUUAAUUAAUUACAAUUCAAACGAUCCCUAAUAGAAGUGGGAGUGAAAGGUGUUACAAUUCAUUAUCUUUCUUUUCAAUUAAGUACAUCCAUACAAGUGCGACCUAUAAAAUAAAAAUACAAAUAGAAUUGCAUCAACAAAGACAAGAAAUAUAAAUGACGGUGCGAAUACAAAUACAAUAUGUAAUUGUAUUAUUUUUAUUAUCAUUCAUGAUUUAUGCUCGACGCGGCCAUAUAUUUUAAGAAUACAAAAAAAAAAAAAAAUAGAACAAAAAAGAGAGACCGAAAAAAAUAAAAAAGAAAGGAAAAUUUUUAAAAAAGAAAGAAAAUAGAAGUUAGAGAUUGGAGAGAGAAAAAAAAAGUGAAAAAAAUGAAACAAAAAUAGGAAAAAGGAAAAGAAAAAAACCAAAAAGAAGGAAAAACACACACGAAAAAAACUAAGGAAAAAGAACCCAAAAAAAGAAAAUUUUUAAAAAAGGAAUAAUGCAAAAAGGAAAAAAAAAAAGAGCAAAAAGUACCUAAAAACGAAAAAAGAAAAGAAUUGAAAAAGGAAAGAAAGGGAAAUAGAAGUUAGAAAUAGAAGAGCGCGAAAAAACGAAAAGAAAACAGAAAACGAAAAUAAAAACGAAAAAAAGUGAAAAAAGUUGCAUGUAACUACUCUCAUUAUAUUUAUAUCUUAUAACGAAUAAAGUCGGUUGCAUACAGUUGAUACAUUGACUACAUAUAAUAAUUUUGAAGUUAGAUUACGGGCUCCUCCAAUUUGUUGAAAGUUUGACUAUUUUCACAAAGUUUUUCACCUUAAAAAUAUACAUAUGAGUGAAUUAAAGUUAUUAGAAGUUAAUAAUUGUGUUGACUAAAAAUUAUUUUUCUUUUUAUAUAUUUUCGCUAAAAAAUAUAUUAAUAAUUGAUCAAAAUUGAACUAAAAAAAAUAAUUCUAAGCUAAUAUCUUUUUAAAUUAUUUUUCACUUCAUCUCAUGAAAUAAAUCUUUAAAGUAUGCAUAAGAGUGAAGCUCAGUUAUUAGAGGUCAACAAUCGUGUCAACCAAAACUUUCAAAUAUUUUUUCAUAUUAUUUCGCUUAAAUUUUUAAACAAAUGGUCAACUCGAACUCAAAAAAUCUCAAAUCAAUUAUUAUUAUUAUUAUUAUUAUUAUUAUUAUUAUUGUUAUUAUUAUUAUUAUUAUUAUUAUUAUUAUUACUCUAUUUCAUUAAAAAUAAAUUUAAAAGUGAUAUUAAGUUACUAGAAGUUAAUAAUUAUGUUGGCGAAUUGUGAAAUUCACAAAUUCAGACUCGAUUUAUUCUUAGUAUAUAUUGAAUCGGCAUUUUCUAAGUAGAAAUCAAUCAUUUAUGUUGACUAUACUGACAAAUUGACACAUGAUUCAAUCCUAACAUAGAUUGAAUCAAUAUUCCCCAUUUAGAAGUCAAUCAUUUAUUUGACUAUAGUUGUGAUAAAUUGAGACUCAAUUCGAUUCUAAUAAAUAUUAAAUCAACAUUUUUUAAUUAGAUGUCAAAUAUUUAUGUUGAUUAUAAUCUUCAAGAAGUCAAACAUUUAUGUUGAUUGUGAUCGUGAAAAAAUGAAACUCAAUUUACUUCUAACAUAAUUAGAAGUCAAACAUUUAUGUUGAUUAAAAUAGUGACAAAUAAAGAAUUAAUUUAAUUCUUAUAUAAAUUGCAUCAAUAUUUUACAAAAAAAAGUCAAACAUUUAUGUUGAUUAUAGUCGUGAUAAAUUAAAACUUAAUUUAAUUAUUGCAUAGAUUGAAUCAAUAUUUUUUAAUUAGAAAUCAGACAUUUAUGUUGAUUAUAAUGGUGACAAAUUGAGAAUAAAUUUAAUUCUAAUAUAAAGUGCAUCAAUAUUUUACAAAGAGAAGUCAAAAUUUAAUUUUAAUAUAAAUUGCAUCAAUAUUUUAUAAAGAGAAGCCUAAAAUUUAUGUUAAUUUUAGUCAUGACAAAUUGAGACUCAAUUUAAUCAUGAUAUAGAUUGAAUCAACAUUCGUUAGUUAGAAGUCAACUAUAUAUGUUAAUUAUAAUCGUGAUAAAUUGAGACUCAUUCGAUCCUAACAUAGAUUGAAUCAAUAUUUUUCUAUUAGGAGUUAGCUAUUGUGAUAAUUAAAGUCGUGAUAAUUUGAGGCUCAAUUUAUUUUUUAUUAAUUUACAAAAUUUAAUUUAGUUGUGGACCUUUUAAAAUGUUAAAAAUGUGAAUCUGCACCAAAUUAGCUAUAUAAAUAGUUGUUUUAAAAUCAUAAUUACACAUGCACAUAUAUAGGAUGAUUUGUAUUAGCUCUCUCUCAAUUUAUAUGACUCAUUUUUUAAUCAGUCUAAAAAAGAAUAACAAAUUUUUAUAUUUAAUAAUAAUUUAAAUUUUAAAACACCAUUUUAUUCUUAAUGAAAUGAUUUAUAGCCACACAAACAUCCGCCAUUUAUUUUAGAACACAAAUUUUUAAAAAAAAUUCUUUCUUAAAUUUCGUGUCAAGUCAUAGUAACUCAUAUAAAUUUAGAAGAGGGAGUAAUUUAUAUUUUGAUAAUUCUAAAACCUAAUUUAUAUUCAAAAUGACUUGGUUUUAAUUUUUUAGUUAUGUUGAAAUUGGAUAUAAAAUAUUUGUUGAGGAGAAGGAGCAUCGAAGAGAAAAAGGAAAAAAUAUUAAUGAAAAAAAAAAAAUAGAACGUGAUGACUCAAAAGAGGAACUUUAAAGAAAUUAAAACAUAUAUUUUAUUUUGAAAUUUUUUAUUAUAUUAAGAUGGGAGAAGAGAAAAUAAAAAAAAAAUUACAAGUGAGAAAUUAAAUUUUCACCAGUAUGAUAAAAAUUUAAGUUGCCGAUCAAUUUACGUUAAAUUCCUCAUUUGAUGUGUAUAUAAGUCUUGAUUGGUCAAUUUUUUUAACUUAUCAAAUUAAGAUUGACAAUAUUUGUAUUAAUGAGCUAUAUAUCCAUAUAGUAAAAUUAGAUUGUUUGAUUUUCUUGAAUUUUGUAAGUUUGAUUUAAAGUACACUACAAUAAAAUUCUUAUUAUACAUUUAUUGUUGUUCUUCUUGUCUCAAAUUAUAGCAUGAAAUUGAGAUGUUUAUUUCUUUUUUGUACACGUGAUGAAAUGAAAGCUUUGUGUGCGAGUGAGAGAAUUCAUCCAAAUUACUACUCUUGUUUUUAUUUGCGUGGGUCAAUUUAACCACUCUCUCGCAGUUGUGGAGGAACAUCCUAAGUAAGGAGUUUAAAAUUGAAAAAUAUAAAUAAAAAAAUCAAUCGAAAGUAGAUUUAAUAUUUGCUUUAUAUACAUGAAAAAUAACUGUAAACUUAUAUAAACAGUACGACUUGAAUGAACCCUCUCAUUAUUAGUUAGCUUUACUCCUAUUUCCUCGAUCCAAUAAUACUUGUCCAUUAUUCAUUGAUUUAGAUAAAUAUCUAAAAAAGUAAUAAGUAUAAUAUAAUUUACUAUCACCUUUUAAAUAUAGUAAAUUUGUUCAUAUUUUUAAAGAUACAUUAGGUCUAAUGAAUAGAUAUAAUAUCAAGGGUAUAAUCGACACAAAUAGAUAAAUUGAUUCGUUGAUUUUCAACCUGAACAAGUAUAAUUGGACACUAAUUUUAGUAAUAUAGACAAGAGAAGAUAGACGAAUGGAGUAUUUUUUAAAUCUAAAUUAGAUUAGAUUAAUUCAAUAUUGUAGAAUUAAAAUCUAGAUAUUUAAAAAUGAUACUUAAAGUAUCAUAAAUUGCAAUCUUUCUCAUAUUAAUAAGAACAAAAUACAAUUUAUAAUACUAUUCAAAGUUUACAUUUAUGACUUAAAAAGAAUUAUGAUAAAUAUUUUGAUACUGAGUAAAAAGAAUUAUGAUAAAUAUUUUGAUACUGAGGGUUUUGAAACUGUGAAGUACUGAAUAUCUUUGGAUUUAAGUUAAAUAUAUAGUGAUGGUGUAAAGAUUUUAAUAUACUGUUAAUAUUAGGAAGAAGGAUGUUUUGGUCCCUCAGUUAUUCGUAAAUUUUGAUUUUACUUUUCAUGAUAUUUAUUUUAGGAUAUUUUAUCUCAAUUAAUUCAAUAACAUAAUUUAGAUGUAAAAAUGUUGUUUACCAAAAGAUUACCAAUAUAAAGAGUGAAAUUUAUUUCUAUGCCUCUUCAGAUAAAAGUAAUGAUCAAAAUCACUAACUAAAGGGAAUACAUUUGACAUUCUCAAAAUCCUAUAAAGAUGCAGCUAAGUUCUGGCACUACAUAUCUUAUAAUUAAAAAAAUAUAAAAAAAUAUCAUAAUAUAUUAAUUUAAUAAUAAAAAUAAAAUAUUCUAUUAAUUUGUGAAACAGACUAUACUCAGAAUUUCUUCUAAGUGGUGCAAUUUUUCUUAAAUUCUUAAAUUUGUGAAAUAGGUUUUUGUUGUUUUCACAAUUUUUCAACUUCAAUUUCAACUUUUAUUAUUAUUACUACAUAUAAUCCCAAUCUUUUAAAUUUUUACAUAAAACUCUCCUUAUAACAUUACUUUUUCAAUAUUACGUAUAUAGCAGUUUUAAAGAAUAAGAUAAUUAUAAUGUCAAACUUAAUGCUAUUCUAAUUAAUAUAUAUCUCUUUUUCUCUCUCAUCAUUAUUUUUAUCNNNNNNNNNNNNNNNNNNNNNNNNNNNCAUUAUUUUACUGCUAAUUUAUAUUUAUACCCAUAAAUAUAUAAAGUAUUAUAUUUAUAAUAAAAAUAUACAAAGUAUGUUAUAUAUAAAGUUUAUACCAUGUAUAUACUAUAUACACACAUAUAUAAAUAUAUAAAGUAUUAAGAAAUAUACUAAGCAUAUUUAUAAUAUAAAUAUACCAAGUAUGUUAUUUAUGAAGUUUAUACCAUGUAUAUACCAUAUAUACAUCUAUAAAUAUACAAAGUAUUCAGAAACGUACUAAGCAUAUUUAUAUAUUUAUGGUAUAUGAUAUAAUAUACCAUAAAUAUGCAAAGCAUGUUUUACAUAGAAAUAAUUUAUUCACACAUAGUGUUCUUUUUUCAUUAGUAGGUAAAUUUUAGUUAGGUGAUUUUGAUAGUUUAUAAAAGUUAGGGUAUAAAAUUAUAUUUUAAAUUUUUUUAAAAAAAUUAAUUUUUUUUUUAAAAAGACAUAGUUAAACACAACUCCAACUUAAAAUUUUUUUAGUUUUCUUGGCGAAGCAGCUACUAAGUGUUAAAAAGAGAGAGAAAUGGAAGAAGGAAUGAAAAAGGGUUGAAAAAGGAGAGAGAUGGAGAGGAAAGACUUUGGUGCAUUUAUGAGAGUGGAUCCAAUAAUAUUAAAAAGGGGGAGAAUAAGAUUUUUUUGCUCUCUUUUGUGUAGAUAGGAUAACUCUUGAAAAGAGUACUUUGUGUCAGCUAGCCUAAAUUUAGGUGUAGGCUAAUGGUUUGUUCAAAAUCGGAUAGAAAUUAACGAUGAUUUUCAAUUAGGAAGGGUAAUUUGGGUAUCGAAAAAUUGUAAAAUGAUAAUAUAACCCUCCGUGCCACUUUAAUUAUCAAAAUACCAUUCAAAAAGUGAUUUUUCAGUCAUUCCAGUUCAAAGUCUUCGAGUCAAACUAUAUUUUCUGAAGAAGAAAAAGAAUUACUCCUAGCUACUAUUUGUGAAUUGAUUAGAUAGCAAUUGAUUUUUUGUCGUUCCUGCUGUCUUCUGCAUAUUCCCAUCUAAAGUAUAAAAAUAACUUAUUGAAAUUGAUGUUACUAGGUAGACUCUAUUAGUUGCUUUUGAUUUGAUCAUGACACUAUUAGCACCACACGAAUUUUGAACGAAAUGCCCCUAACAAAUUUGUUUGUAUUAAUAGUGAGAACUACUGGGUCAUUCUUACAGAGGUUUGAGCUUGAAUGACAUCUACGUGUAGACUUUGGGAAAUUUACGUUGACAGCAUUCAUGUUUUACAUAGUCAAACGUAAAAUGAAUCAUCAUGCACUAGCUAGUUAUUAUAAGACAAAACGCAAGGUUUGAAAAUAAUUUGAUAACUCCGAGUUACGUACGCGGUACGCCAUUACAUUGUCGGUGGCCAUGCAUCAUAUUUGCAUAUAAUACAGCCAGGGCAUAGAGUUAAACAUAAUUCUCUUAUUCGAAAAAUUAUAAGUAUUACCUAGAAUAAAUAAAAAUAUAUUUUCUUGUAUACUUGUAAAAUGUGAGUCAACAACAACACCAAAUUCAGCUAUUCUCACGUAGUGAGGUUUGGAGAGGGUAAAAUGUACGCAAUCCAUACCACUAACUUUGAAAUAGAGAGGUUGUUUCCGAUAGAAUUUUGACUCAAAGACAAAGAACAAUAAAUAAAAUCGUAAUAAAAUGUGAGUCCUUUGACAUAAAUUAAAAUAUAGUAAUUACUAUGCGUGAUAUUUGACAUAUUCUAAAAUUUCCUUAGCUUGUUCAAAAGUCUGAAUCUGCUUCUGAAUAUAUACGUACAGCUGUGAAAGGCCAAGGAUUCAUUGCACGGGACAUGACAUUUGAGAACACGGCAGGACCCGAAAAACACCAAGCAGUUGCAUUUCGAUCGGACUCUGACUUGUCAGUCUUGUUCAGAUGUGCGGUGAGGGGCUACCAGGACACUCUCUAUGCUCACUCAAUGCGACAAUUCUACAGAGACUGCAUUAUUACUGGCACAGUUGAUUUCAUUUUUGGAGAUAGCACAGCCAUCUUCCAAAACUGUCAAAUAUUGGCGCGAAAAGGACUGCCUCAACAAAAGAACACCAUUACAGCCCAGGGUAGAAAGGAAACUGCAGAGACAACAGGCUUCUCCAUCCAAUUCUCCAACAUAUCAGGUGAACAAGAUCUACUUGCUUCCCUCAACUCAACAUUCACAUAUCUUGGCAGGCCGUGGAAGACUUAUUCACGCACUGUGAUCAUGCAAUCGUAUAUGAGUAGCGUAAUUAGGCCUCAGGGUUGGUUAGAGUGGAACGGCAAUGUAUCACUUGACACAUUGUACUACGCGGAGUAUGAGAAUUACGGCCCUGGUGCGGGCUUCGGCGCCAGAAUCAAAUGGCCUGGUUAUCAUCUGCUCAAUGAUUCAUCACAGGCAAAUAAUUUUACAGUAGCUCAAUUCAUCUUGGGUAACUCAUGGUUGCCUCCUACAGGAAUUAAGUAUACUGCUGGUCUAGCGGUUUAAUUUUAGCUGAGUUACCAAUAUCUAUGUCCUUUUUUCUUUUUUUUUUUUUGUGUUACCACAUCAAUAUAUAUUCAUCUUUUGUUCUUUUUUGGUUACCUGUUGGUUGCAUUGGGCUUGGUGGUUCUGUACUCAACAAGACAAUUUAUACCGAUGUUUCCUUUCUAUUUACUCAUAAUGUACCAUCUUUAUCCAUUUUACUGGGAUAUCUCCAUAGAUCGAGUAUAUAUGCAUCUGUAUGUUUAAUGCAUGACCGGUUAUAACCUUCAGACUUUUAAUCAACUAAAAUAAGAAUUAAUUACAAGAAAAGAGCAAAUAGAUCGUGAGAUACUAUUGUAGUACCUUGUGCUAUAAAAAUUUUUCACGCUGGCUUAACUUUAAACUUGUAUGUAAUCUUAUUUGUUUUUUUUUUCUGGCUUAACUCUAUUAUACUAAAAACCAAAACAUAUUCACUUUAUUUGUUAUUUUUUAAGUUAAAAAUAGAAUUGUAAUUGUGUUGACAAUAAUAUUUUGGAAAUGGGGUGGUUUUUAAGUUAAAAAAUAAGUGAAAAUAAAUUUAGAUUUUUCUUUUUACAAUUUUAAGAAAAUAAAAAAAUAGUUUUUUUUUUUGAAAAAUAUAAAUUAAAAAGUAUAAAAAUUGAAUUCAAAAAUAGUGAAAACACCUGCGUUUUUCCAAAAAUACAAAUAUUAUGAAAAUAUAUUCUUUAAAAAUAUUUAUGAUUAAAUAAAAAUUUUAAAAUAAAUUUAAAUAUAUUUUAAAAUAUUACAAACAAUAUUUAUACCAAACACUUGCCCAGAAUAAGCACACAAAAUGCAUAUAAAAGCAUGGCUAAUAAGAUGAUGGAUAUUUUUCGUUUCUAUUUUUUCUUCUUUUCAGAUUCAUGAAAAGGGGAAAAUGACAAAGCAGCUUUAAAAAGCCUGCACGAUUUGCAGUGAUGGAAUGGACUGUCAUGAACAAAUGAUCAAUGGGAUUUCUGUCUUCCACACGAAUAAAGGAAGAGAAAAGAAAUCUUUUUCUCGUGAACUUAUUUUUCAAAAUCAGCACUUAAACUUAAUUUCUAUUUUUUAAAAAAAUGUAUUUGUUUCACCCUUCAAAACUGAAUACCACUCUUACAGUGGAGAGUAGACUAUACACAUGUCACGUUAAUACCAAAUCAGUGUAGAUUAUACACGCGCCACGUCAAUGCCAAAUCAGUGUCAAGUAAGUACGAGAUCAUUGCCACGUAAGAAAUUAAGAUUUAAAAAAAAAAUCUCACACACAUACUAUUUUUAUUUUAAAAAGAAAAAAAUAUAUAUUUAAUAUUUAUAUAUAUAUAUUAAAUAAUAUAUAUUUUUAUAUAUAUGUAUAAUAUAUUAAAAGUGUGAAAACCCUUAGAAAAGUGAUUUGAACUUUUUGCCCUUCAUUAAAAAACUCUUCUUUAGACAAAAUUGUCUUUUCACUAUUUUUAAAUUUAUUUUUAAUUAUUUUUAUUAUAUUAACUAGACUUUCUAAAAUAUAUGAGACUCAUAAAAUAUAUGGUAGGAGAAUUAAUUAAUAUUUUUCUUUCAACUAGACUUCCUAAAAUAUAUGAGACUCCUAAAAUAUAAGAUAGGAGAAUUAAUUAAUAUUUUUCUUUCUAUUGUUCAAUUAGAAAAACACUCCUAAAAUAGUACUCUAUCAAGCAAAUACUUCUAUAAAUAUUGAGAUGUACGUUAAACUAGAGAAUAAACCGAUUUGGCUAUUGGGAGAAUAUGAUUGAUGCGAAUCUAACUUGAUUUAAUAGCAGGUCUAGAUUGGUGGAUGCUCUUCACUGUUUUUGUCAGUAUAAUAGAAUUCAACAUAUGUGUAUAUAUAUCUUCUUUGUUUUCAUUCAAAAUCAUUCUUUAGGUUCAAAACUUCUGCUCAGACAAGAAUUAGUUGGAUCAAAAUCGAAACUUUGUGAUCACUCUUAUAUUUUUUUUAUAGUUUACAGGUCGUAGAUGAAUGUCGAUUGGCUUUGAAGAAUUUCUUAUGUAAAUGUUGGAUUUAACUGUAUUGUUUUGAUAUCUUUAUUAUCUUAUUGUUUUAUUUUAAUUUACAGAUGUUAGAUGAAUGUGGGUCGACUUUGAUUUCUUUUUUUUAAUUAAAGGUUAGGUUUAAUUGUAUUAUUGUAAUAUCUCUAUUAGUUUGUUGUUUUGUGGUAAUUUACUGUUCUUAGAUGAAUCUUGAUCGACUUUGAGAAAUUUUUGUGUGUAAAAUUUAAGUUUAAUUGUAUUAUUUUGAUAUCACUUUUAUCGUAUUAUUUGUUGCAGUUUACAGGUGAUAGAUAAAUGUCGGUCGGUUAUAAGAAAUUUUUGUGUGUAAAGAUUAGAUUUAAUUGUAUUAUUUUAAUGUCUCUAUCAUUGUAUUGUUUUGUUGUAAUUUACAAAUGGUAGAUGAAUGUUAAUCGACUUUUAAAAAUAUUUUUGAUAAAGGUUAGGUUUAAUAAAUAAAUUCUCCAUCUUUACAUACUCAAAAGAUAUUAAAUUUAAUUAUUAUAUUUAUUUUUAUUAUUAAAUNNNNNNNNNNNNNNNNNNNNNNNNNNNNNNNNNNNNNNNNNNNNNNNNNNNNNNNNNNNNNNNNNNNNNNNNNNNNNNNNNNNNNNNNNNNNNNNNNNNNNNNNNNNNNNNNNNNNNNNNNNNNNNNNNNNNNNNNNNNNNNNNNNNNNNNNNNNNNNNNNNNNNNNNNNNNNNNNNNNNNNNNNNNNNNNNNNNNNNNNNNNNNNNNNNNNNNNNNAAAAAAUUCCCCCCCGUUCUUUCUCCCUUUUAGUCCCUCACCCCCACCCUCUUUUUUCUUAUUCAAACACAAAAAUACUUUCAUCAAGUUAAAAUUAAUUUUUUCAAAUUGUCUUAUUAAUAAAAAAAAAUUUAAAAGUAAAAAUCAAAAGAAAUCUGAUUGAUGAUAAGUGAUUCAAAAACAAAAUCAUCAAUUUAAUGUAAUUUUUAGCUAAAUUUUGAUGGAGUUGGAUUGAAGGUUGAGAUGGUGUUCAACGGAGAAAAUUAUUUAAUAGUGUUUUCAUGUUUGUUCUUGGAUGGUGUUAAUGGAGGAAAAUGAAAAAAAUUAAAGGAAAGUGUUGUUCUUGGGUGGUGUUGUUAAUGGAGGAAAGUGAAAAGAAUUUGAAGUUGUUAAUGGAGGUUUGAGUGUUGUUGUUGUUGAUGAUGAUUUGAAGAAGAAAGAAGAAAAAAUUGUCAAUUUUUUAUUUUAAUUUUCUUUUUUUUUCUUUUUUUAUUAUAUUUUAAAUAUAAGAUUACUGAAAUUAUUUUUUUUAAUAAAUAUACACGCCCUUUUUUUUAAAAAAAAUGUCACGUCAGCUUUAGGGAUCUAACAAAUACACUUUAAAGAUGCUAAGGGAGGUAAAUAAAUGAAAAUUAAGUUUAAGUGCUAAAAUGAGUUUGAAGGACAAGUUCAGCGGGGUAAAAAAAAUGUCUCUUCUCAUAAAGGAAAAACAUAUUUUAAAAUAUGAUGUGUUUUAUCCCCUUUUAACUUGAAGGCUUGAAAAAUAUUGAUUUCAACUUUUUAAAUUAUUUCAAGACUUUAAAGAAAAUUUUGAAAUAAUUUAAGAAAUUAUAAAGUCGCCACUUUAUUUAUUUGAAAAGAAAUUAAGAAAAUUUUAAAGAAAAUCCUAAGUCUUAAAACAGAAAAAGAUUUAAGCUUUUAAGAAAAUUUCGGGUAAGAGGUUCUUAUUAACAUUUUAGAAAGAUUUUUAAGGCACCUAAAAUGUCAGCUAACUCACAGUUAUCCGGACUAUUUGAAAAUGAUUGUUUGACUAACUUGAAAAAAAUAUUUGAUUUUUUUUUUAAAGAAAUUGAUUGAGAAAACAUCUUUGAGGUUUAUGCGAAAUAACUUUUUGAUGAAUUAGUAGGGAAUUUAAAUACGCCUUAGGAAACAACUAGCAAAUAAAUAUAAGGAAAAAGAGAUGGAGGGAAGAGAUUGAGAUAUCUAAACCCAUUUGGACCCAAAUCUAUGAACCUGUUCUAAACUAUUCGAUUGGACUUUUGGCCCACUUGCACCAGUCCUAAACUAGUACUUUGGGCUUUCAGCCCAUAACCGCUUUACUUAUAUUAAUUUACAACUUUGAUUUUGAAGUCCAAAUGAAUGAAUAAAUAAAUAAAAACAACAAUAUAAAUUUAACGACUUCAUCAAUGGGUUUCGACCAAUUUUUCUUCUUCCACAGCAACAGACUCUUUUAUCCAAAGUGAUCAGCUAUAAGGGAUGGGCCUCAUUUGGCUCAUUAUGGAAUGCCAAAGGAGAAGAGUCCAUUUGGACUUCGAACAAAUUCGCAUACAAAAGAAGACAUAAAGAAAGUUAAGAUGCAUGCAUAAUGGAGUAAUAUAACAAAAUGAUAAAUCAAAAGGAAACUAUUAUGGUCCAAAAUAAAAAUAAAAAUGAAAGACAGUAAGCCAAGAUAUAGAAAGGCCAAAGAAAAUGGGCAUGUUUGACAUAGUAAAGUCAUGCAAUUAUAGCUAUCAUCAAUACCUAAAAACGUAUAGACCGAUUUUAAAGAAUAGACAUGUCCAAUACUAACUUCAUGGAGGGAGGCUUAGUGAGCAGGGAUAAGAAUGAUAAGAAAACACAAACUUGCAAACAAAGAUUUGGGGAUAAAAGAAGAGAAGCAUGUGAGAUUACAUUGCCUAUCUCCAAGGCUCCAUCAAUUCUUUCUUUAACAUUAUGAACUAGGGAGAAUCAUCAAAUCCUAAAAUGUGUUCAUUAUAGCCCUUAAAGUCGAUCAAAGCAUCACAAAGAAAAUAAAUGAAACCGCGAGAAGACAUCUCGAGUGAAUUUGAAAGAAAAAUUUCAGAAAGUUUCUUGUGAAAUGGGGUGCAACAAGAUACAAACUUUUAUAAAGAUACCAAAGCAUUAACAUACAAGAACAAGAAAAAGCACUAAGACAUACACUAGAGUUGAGAAUUAAACUAAACAAACCUCAUGAGCAACAUACUCAUGAUGUCAAAUAAGAAAGAAAACAUUAAAGAUGAAAACUUAAGAAUAAGUCGAGCAACCAGAGAGAAAAAAGGAAAAAAAUUAAAAUGAUCCAAGCAAAAUAUACUUAUCUAAAGUUGCCGGCAGAAGGAUCUUAGUGAUGAAGAUCGAAUAUGAUGAAACUUUGUUUCAUUUGCUACUUCCCACUUUUGAGAGAAGAACUAGAGAGUGUUCUCCCAAAAUUUGCCUUUAUAUAUUCAUUGAAGAAAAAUUCAAAGUAAUUAUAGAAUUUCAAGCAAAGUGAAUCAAUUCCACACAUACACUGGGAUUGAAAUAAAAGCAAUUAGAAGAGGUGAAACAACUCAACGUGCACAAGAAUUAACUACUUUUUGACGAUGAUUAAUGUAUCCUAGCCCCUUUUUAGACAUAAAUGAGUGUUAUCAAAACUCAAAACAGCAACAAAGGUUGGAGUAAAACAGGAAACAACUUAAAAUAGAACGUCUUCCAAAUUAUUAUAUUUAUCCUUAGGAGAAAGAAAGCAACAAUAUGUUCCAUAGAAUAGGCAAACUAAUUAAGCAUUUCACUGCACAUAUAGUAUGCAAAGCCAAUUUUAUCCUAUUUGAUUUCUCUACCACAUGAUAACACAAAUGAGGAAAAAGAUAACUUUAAACAAAACAUUGAGACUAUGCCGAAUACAAGCAGAUGUAAAGCUCCUAACCUAAUAGACGUUAAAGUAAAUUGGAAAGGGGAAGGAACAACACAACUACAAUAAACCUACUCCAAAGAAAAAGAAAAAUUAACAGAAAAAACCCACUGAAGUUUACUUCUAUACCCAAAAUAAACACUAAAUUAGAACAAGCAGCUCCAUAAAACAAUCUUAAACAUACACUGAUUGACGCGUUCAAACAUGAAUCACAAACAUCAAGCGACCGACAAAAUAGACGAAACUAUUGCAAAUUUUGUUAAACACAAGUACUAUGGCCUGUAAGCCUUUCUACAACAAACAAUUCUCAGCACUUCUAUCAUUAAGGCUAACACGCUACAAAAAAUUGACAAAAAGAAGAAAAAAUAUCGAAAUUAAAAGAGACGAAAUAUUACCUAUUUCGGGGCAGCAAAACAGGUCUUUGGGCUUCCGUCGAAGUCACAGCCACCAUUAAAAAAUAUUGCCGUCAACUCGAGAACUUUGAUUAGCCCACGAUUUUCAACAAAAAGAAAAUAUUUCACGAAAAUUUGAAUUCUUUUUGCUCAAAGCUUUUUCCAAACCCUGAGACUUGUCCUUAAUUUGCUCCACAAUGAACUAUUUAUUGAAAACAAAAUGGGAGGAAUUUUUAGCUUUCACCGAUGUGGGACAAAGGAUUUUUAGGGGUAAUUUGUGGAAUUUUAAUUGGGUGAAUUCGAAUUUUGAAUGAGGAUAUACCUCAUUCUAGUACUGAUUUUUGGAACUUUUUGAAGAAAAUUUAAUGGGUUUAAUCAAUGGAAAUUCGGAAAAAGGAAUAAUCCUCAAGAACCAAUAGAAUUCACAGAAAUGUGUACUAAUUCGUACCAAUUUUCCCUCAAAUUCGUGGAUUUGAAUGUUAGAAGAGCCAGCUAAGCAAUUUCUACAAGCUUCUCAGCAUCUUCAUUGUACAGAUCCGCGUGGGAGGGUACAUGAUACAUACGAGAAAUGGGUUGAGGUCGGGUCGAUUGCGGGUCGAAGUAUGGCUGAAGUUGUUGUAGUAGUUAUCAUCGAUAUUGAAGCUGUUCGCUGUUGUUGUUGCUUUUUAGUGUUGUACGCGUAUGAAGUUGCUGUUGUUCAUUGAAGUUGAAGAAUAUAAACAACGGGACGGGUCUUGGGAUUUUGGGCUGCUGGUUCGGUUGAUUAGAGUGAUUGAGAGCUAGAGUGUUGUUGCGCCCGAGGCGGGUCAGCCGUGGCAUGGGCUGUUUGUUGUUAUUGUUUUGUUGGGCUACUUUCGUGGCCCAAUUUAAAAUGGGGAAGGUUAAAGAAUUUUGGGGUCAAAUUAAAAAUCAGUUGACCAAUUGUAUUGCAAUUAUGGUCAAUUUGAUUUCAAUUAUGGAUAAAUUUAAUAGAUUGGCUAAAUUAAAUUGACAUUCGAUAUAAAUUAAUGCCUUGUUUAGUCCCGACCUUCUUGGUUUAAUAAAAUUAAAUAAAUAUUUUUUUAAAUAAAUUAUUUUGAGAACAAAUCAUGUUUAAAUCAAGACUUUGCCUUCGAAUUAUCUUUCGAGAUAAUACAAAAACAACAACAAACCUAGUGUAUUCCCACACAGUGGGUCUGGGGAGGGUAAGAUGUACACAGUCCAUACCACCACCUCCGGAGAGGUAGAAAGACUGUUUUCGAUAGACCCUCGGCUCAAGACAGUAUCUUUCAAGAUAAUACUUGAUUAAAAUUUAAUUUUUUCAUAAAAAUAAUUAUUUAAGUGACUAAUUUAUUCGUUCUCAUAUACACGAACACAAGAAUAUAUAAUCAUCACUUAAAAUGGUAAAAAUUACGUAGAUAAAUACUUUGAAAACCUUUUAUCUGGAUAAAACAAAUAUUAUAAUUUUAUUUAAAAUUAAAUAAAUUCAAAAUAAAAAUAGCCGUGGAGGGCAAAAUUUAGGUGUCAACAACUGCCCUUUCUCUUUAGAUAGGGUGGAUGUAAGUAACCCUGGACAAAUGAAGUUUGACGUUCCUAAUUUCGUCCUACCACAAAUUAGUUUCUAAGAGAGGUUGAUUUUCACACGAGUUUCAUGGAGUUAUGGCCAGACUUUGGUAUCAGGUUUCCUACACAUCUCAGGUAUCAUGAGAAUUCAGGCCACUUGCAGUUCAUAAAACUUGAUUUUUAAACAUGAUUUUUGAUUUUUUUGAUGAAAUCAAAAAACUGUGAAAUAAGGGGAUUUGGGGGGAUAUUGGAACACAGUCGAGUUUUAACAUAAAGCCCAACCCACAUAUCAUCGAGACUCAGGGAAUCAAACUGUUUGUAGUUUGAUUCAAUAGGUAGAAAAGAUAGUCUUUUAUUUUAGAUGAUCUUUGGCCCAAGAGGAGUGAAAAGUUUAUUGAGUUGUGAAAAAGAGGCUUGUAACCUCUGAACCAUGAAUGUGGGAUCCUUCACAUCCAUAGGCAAAAAUUUACCUUGACAUAAUUUCCAAAACUCUAAGUAUGUUGUCACCCUAAUUUGACAAAAAGAGAAGGUUUCCCUCAGUAUGAGUUUAGAAAUAUCCCGAAGGUGAAGCUGAACCAGAAUAUCCCAGAAUACCCACAUGCCUUCUAAUAGGGGAGUGGUUUUAUAGUGGUGGUAAUUAUCCUUUAGCUCGCGUCCAAAGAGUUUGACGUCCUUCUAUAGACUUUGUCCCUUUUGCUGCUAAGAAAAAGUUUCAUAUGCUGCGUCCUUAUUGGGGUCAUCCGAACCUGUGAUUUUGAUUUGAUAUUUUCAUCCUUUCGGAUGUUCUCGAUAAUAUCUCAAAAAAAUCAUUAGUAAUAAACACAAUUUACGAAAGAGAUGUAGAGUUUUUUACCAUAUCUCUAUGUGAGUUGUUGCCUAAAAAGCGAAGUCAUCCUCUCAUGUACCUAUUUGAAAGGAAAUAACUUGCUAUAAUUUACACAAAAACCCUAUUGGUUGUUGCAUAAUUAGAUUAUUUGUCAAUUGAAAAUGUCUUCAAAAUGGGGUGGCUCUUUUGGACACCAAUAAUACUUUAUGCAGAACGGUCCUUGCAACUGUGUAAUCUUAUGCUGAUGCGGCAACCUUUUUGGUCGCCUAUAAUGCUUGUUGUAUGUGGAAUAAUAAUUUUUUCAGUUAUUGACAAUGAUUCUUUGUAUGUGACCUCGGGUAAGUCUUGCGUAUCUUUUGCAUCGAUACGACUUAUAGAUUUUCCUUGAAUUUUCAAGCUUUGGAUAAUCUUGCAUAUUAUUUGAUAUUGGAUACGAGACAAUCUACAUAUAUCCUUUGAAUUACUAGCCUUUAGGUAAUCCUGCACAUUAUCCGACCUUGCAUAAGAGAUGGAUUACAGAUAUCCCUCCAAUUGCUUGUUCUCAGGUAUUCCCGUAAUCAUCCAACCUUGGAUACAAUAUGACUUAUAAAUAUUUCUCAAAAUGCUAGUCUUUAGGUAAUAUUGCAUAUAUUGCGGCUUAUAGCAAACUCUUGGACGUAUUUGUAAUGUCCUAAGUUUGUACCCCGAAUGCUACACGGUGGUCAUAAUUUUGAAGGACCACAAGCUAACCCAUGAUUGGUACCUGCUGCAAUAACUGAAUAAUAAUACUGUAAAUAUGCAGAAAUUAGGCAAAAACUUUCCAUAAAGUUCAAUACUAAAAGAAAACUGAAUACGGUAUAACAAUACCAAAAUUGAAACAUCUGUCUGAAAAUACUCUAGUCUGAAAAGCCUCUAAACUGUCUGAAAUAUUGAGUUGAUGGGACAAGUCCCCAACUAAAUCCAAACUACUGAAAUAAACUGGACUAUUGAAAUACUAAUCAUGUCCUCGAACUAUGAGGACUCACCACUAACUCUGUUAGCUGAAUAUUUAAACCUGCUAGGUAUGAUCGGGAGCCCGUGCGUCUGAACCUAUGAUAUAAAACAUCAUAGCGCAAAAGAAAGGUAUGCGUCAGUACUUUGAAUGUACUGGUAUGCAAAGUAAGGUAGGCUAAAAUAUAUGGGUUCAUAUGCAUGAACAAUACUGACUGAAUAACAUGAAUUUAACUGAAUGAGAGUACAUGCUGGAAUACGUAAACUGUAACUGAGAUUGUGAUAACACUGGAUACUGCUGAAUACUAAUUAACUGAUAUCUAAGUUUACUGGUACUGAAUUAUUGAUAACUGAGUGAAUGUAUCUAACAAUCCUGAAUAUGGAACUAUGCUGAGUUUCAUACAGAGCUAAAUUACCGUAUCUAACAGUCCUGAAUUUGUAAAACUAAACUUAGUUCUAUACUGAGAUUGGAACUAAAAUUAAGACUGCGAGAGAUAAUUAUCUAACCGAUAUGCUCCUCUUUGAACUAAUUGGGGUCCAACCUGUAACCCCAGUUGGAAGGGUGUCAAUACCGUACCACGGGUAAGGACAAGCUGAGUCACCCUCAUCUGGCAUGUGCUCUGAACGAGAAUGGUGGUACCCUCAACUGGAAGGUAAAUCACUUCAUCAACCCUCAACUGGCAGGUUGAUGUCUCAACCUACGUUGGCUGCGUAGUUAUGGAACACAAGGACUGCUUCUAAGGUUCAUACCCUCUACUGGUAGGUGAGUCCCCAUCCUUGGGUUCACUCGGUGAUGAAUCUUACUCCUAACUGAAUAGACACUGGACUGCUUUCUAAACUGUUCUAAGCUGGACUGAGAUGUUACUGAUCAUACUGUUUAACUAUACUGAACUGAGUUCACUGAGUUUCGUGGACUGACAAAUACUAUUGAAUUCUGUUAACUGACUGAAUUCUACUGAUCGUGACAUGGCUAAAUACUUGUAAGACCCCGUAAAAUACUUAAGCUUAAUUCAGUUCCUUAAGCUUGUCAAGGGGGUCACAGACUUAGAAAAUUCUAGCUAGGUACCCAGACUUAGCUUAAUUUUGGCCUUCAAAAUCUGAAAAAUUCAUUUCGCUACCUUAACAUCCAUUAAUUAUCUAUAUUCUUGUUAAUUCAUGAUCAAGAAGGUCUAUAGAUGUUCUCGGACAAGUUUUGAAUUUUUCAAAACUUAUUUCAAGCAAGUUUGGAAGUCCAAAACAGUGGAACAAUGCAAUCUUGGCGCACCGCAUCGCCAAUCGCGUUGGUCACCAGUGGUGCAGACUGCCAGAGCCAAAACAACUAAGGAUCAACGCAUUUACGGCGUGCCGCAUCGGGUAUAGCAUCGAAACCCUUGACACGCCGUGUCGCUCAUACCGUUGGUGCCCAGUUAUUUAGUCAUUAAAUGUCUACGUUUUUAAGGGAAAAUGGGUAAUUCUCCCACCCCUAUAUAAGUAACAAAUACUGGAUUAAGCCCCAUUUACACCAAAAUAUAGCCACUUACCUCAAGAUCCUCUCAAGAACACAUUAGGGUUUUCAAUUGGGGAUCCAAGUCCAAGCAAAUUUCUCCGUCAAUCAUCAGGAGUCUUCCGUCUAAGGUAUGCAUAGUGUUUAUUCAUGGACUCUUUUCAUCUAUGAAGCCCAAGAAUCAAGUUUUAAAUUACGAAUUGUGUUAUUCAUUCUAUCAACUGAAUUACGUUUAUGUGUUGUUGUUGUAUGAAUUCCAAGAUGGAACCUUUAUUAUAUUUUUAUGAAAUUACGCUAAUAUGUGGACUGAAAUCAUGAAAUUGGGUGGAAUUGUGAAGUAAGGAUGUAUUAAAUUCAUGCUCAUGACUAAGCCUUAAAUGAUGCAAUCUAAUUAUUUGAUAAAAUGCCUAGGAGAAUAGUAAUUAUGAUUGAUAGUUAAACUGUGACCCAAGUUAUGAAUGUACGUGUUCCCCUAUAUUUAAAAUGAUUUGCAUGAGGAUUUUUGUGUAAUACAAUUGCAUGAUGAUAUAAUUAUGAUAUUAAAAUGAUGAAGUUAAGACGUGAUCAUGUGCAUUUUAAGCUAUAUAAAAGAUUAUGAUAACCAUGUGAUUCAUGAAAUAUCCCUUACGGUCGUAGUAUCAAUUGUUGGCCAUGUAUUCAAGAAAGUCAUGCUUUGUCAGUUUCCUUCUAUCAAGUCUUGGGGGUACUUGUACCAAAAAAUAUAGUUGUGUACCUAGAGCCAGUGUCAUGUUUCACGUUAUCCUCAGUCUAGCCAUGAUCCAUAAAACUCAGUCAGUCAUGUGACUCAGGAAAUCUCAGUAAAUUCAGAAAUCUCUGUAGUAUUCCGUCAGUCAACGAAACUCCAUGAAAUUAGUCUAGUCUAGUUCAGUUAAUUAUGUUCAGUGUCUAUUCAGAUAAGAGUAGGAAUUAGCGUCGAGUAAACCCAAGAAUGGGAACUCACCUAUUAUAGAAGGUGCGAUUCUUAGUAGCAAUCCUUGUGUUCCUGAACUACGUAGCCAACAUAGGUUGAGACAUCAUAGCCUGUUAUAUAAGUGUAGAUGAGGUGGCUUAACCUAUUAUAUGAGGGUUCCCACCAUUCUCACUAGAGUUAUCUAUUAUAUGAGGGUUACUCACAGAUUGUCCUUACCAGUGGCGCGGUAUUGACACCUUUACAAUUGAGGUUACAGAUUGGACCACAACUCAGCUAUAUUGUGAUUAUUUGGGGCAUUCCGAUUAGAUAACUACUUUCCAUAGUUUCAGUUACAUGAUCAGGACUGUCAGAUAUAAUCAUAUAAUUUCAGUAAAAUAACUCAGAUAGUUCUUUAUAAUUCAUGACUGUCAAAUACAGUCAACUCUGAAUAGUACAGAACUCAGCUAGUUCCAUCAGAAACUAGACUGUCAGAUACAGUCACUCAGUAUCAGUUAUUUCAGUUAUAUAACUAUCAGUAUCUCAUGUUAUUAGCACCUAGGCUCAGUAAUCAUGUCGUCACGAUCUCAGUUACAGUUAUUAUGUAUUUAUGCAUGCAUUUUCACGUUCAUGUUAUCCAGCCAGUUAGUAUAGUUCAUGCAUGUGAACCUUUUGUAUUUAGCCUACCUUAUUUAUACCAGCACAUUCAAUCGUACUGACGUAUUUGCACUAUGGUGUUUUUAUACCACAGGUUCAGAAGCACGACUCUUGAGCAUUAGUAGCAGCCAUGUUUAGCAGUAAGUCCUCAUCAUUCGAGGAUGAUAUUAUGAGUUAUUUUAUAAAUUCAGAUUUAGCUUUUAGUAGAUGGAGUUAGUUAGGAAUAUGUCUCAUCAACUCCUUAUUUAGACAGUUAUAGGCUUUUCAGACUAUCAUGUUCAGAUGGUUAUUUCAGUUGUUUUGGGUAUUUCAUACCCCAUACAGAUAUUAUGUUUUUAUUAGUUAUGUUCAACAUUGAACCUUACGGUCUAUCAUCCUUUAUUUCUGCAUUUUUAUAUGUAUAUUAUGCAGUGUACAGGUACAGGUAUCAAUCAUGGGUUAGCUUGUGGUCCUUCGGGGUCAUAGGCACCGUGUAGUAUUUCGGGUAUCAGAUUCGGGGAGUUACAAACUUGGUAUCAGAGCCUAAGAUUCAAUAGUAUCCUAGAAAGUCUAAAAGCCGCAUCUAGUAGAGUCUUGUCCAUGGGUGUGUUGCACGCCAUACAGGAGGCUAUGAGAUAUUUUAGAAAUAGUUUCCCUUCUUUCAAUAUUCAUGUUGUGCCAGUGAGCAUCAUCUUAAGUUAAUCUCUCAGUCUGAUUUAUUUCUCCUUUUCUUCUACAGAACAUGCCUCCCAAAGGAAGAAAUGGGAAUCAGUCAGCCCCUCAGCCCAAAGAUCCUUUGGGCGAACAUGUUUCUCAUCAGAGCUAGAUUCACUAAUCUUGCUCAGUUAGUUGCUACUCAGAAUGAACGACCAGCUAUCAUUUCAGCCAACCUAGUGGCCAGUUCAGCUGCAGCCAGGAUUCAGGACUUCACCCGAAUAAAUCCUCCAUCUUUUCUCGGUUUUAAGUCAGAUGAGGACCCUCAGGAAUUCAUCGAUCAGGUUCAGAAGAUUAUAGACAUCAUGGGGGUUACUUUUAGUGAGAGCACUGAGCUAGCUGCAUAUCAGUUGUAGGACGUUUCUCACACUUGGUUUAAACAGUGGAAGUCAGAAAGGCCAGAUGAUGCAGGGCCUAUUGAGUGGGAGGAGUUUGUUACUGCAUUCUUAGAUAGAUUCUUUCCCCAAGAGCUGAGAGAGGCUAAGGUGUUAGAGUUUAUUAACCUCAGGCAGGGUAACAUGAUGGUAAAGUAGUAUUCUUUUAAGUUUACUCAAUUAGAUGGAUAUGCCCCUCAUGUGGUUGCAGACAGCAGGGCCAAGAUGAGUAAGUUUGUUUCAGGGGUGAAUGAUAAUGUGGUCAAUGAGUGUAGGUCUACAUUAUUGAAUAGUGACAUGACUUUAGCCAGGCUUAUGACUCAUGCCCAAUAGAUAGAAGAGCAAAAUAUUUAGAUGAGGAAGAAAUAAAAUAAGAGAGCAAAGAUAGGUAGUUUCAACUUUGGUCAGCCCAAAUCAGAAAGAGGAAACCAUUCUCAAUUUUUUCCUAAGUCAUCAGUUCCAGCUCCUAGAUUCAGAGAUGCUAGCAGAGAUAGAGUGCCAGGCUCUAAGUCUCAGGGCAGUGUUAACAGUGCCCGCACCUAUCUUCUUUGCCAGACUUAUGGCAAGCACUAUCAGGGUAUUUGCAGAGCUGACAGUGGUAUUUUUUUUAGAUGUGGCAAGCCAGGCCAUCGAGUUAGAGACUGUCCUUAUCCAGGUCCUCAGGGUCAGCAAAACCAUUCCUCAUCUCAGUCCGGUCGCUCAAAUCAGUAGAGUGCCACCUCCAGUAAUACUAGUGGGUAGCGCCCAAAUCAACUUUAUACUCUCUUAAUCCCGACAAGAUCAGGAAACUUCUCCUGAUAUGGUUACUGGUACAUUAUAGAUAUUUUAUUUGCAUAUUUAUGCUCUGCUAGAUCCAGGUGCUUCCUUCCUUGUCUUUUGUUACUCUUUAUAUAGCAGUUGAUUUCAGAAUCAGUCUCGAAAUUCUAGUAAAACCCUUUUCAGUCUCUACCUCAGUGGGUAAAACCAUCAUAGCCCGACAGGUAUACAGGAACUGCCCGAUUAUGAUAUUUUAGAAAGUCACUUUAGCAGACUUAGUCGAAUUAGAGAUGACUGAUUUUGAUGUUAUUCUCGGCAUGGAUUGGAUUCAUUCCUACUAUUCCACAGUCGACUACAGAAAUAGAAUGUUCCAGUUCUAGUUUCUGAAUGAACCUGCCCUAGAAUGGAGGGGUAGUACUUCUGCUUUCAGAAGUCAGCUUGUUUCCUACCUUCGGGCAAGGAAAAUGAUAUCUAGAGGAUAUGUCUAUCAUCUUAUUCAUGUUAAGGACUCUUGCUCCAAAACUCCUAGUCUUGCAUCAGUCCUAGUCGUGAAUGAAUAUUCAAAUAUCUUUCCCGAAGAUCAUCCAGGAAUUCCUCCCGAGAGGGAAAUAGACUUUGAUAUUGAUCUUCUUCUAGAUACUCAGCCUAUACCUAUUCCGCCAUACAAAAUGGCACCAGUCAAACUUAAGGAAUUGAAAGAGCAGUUGAAGGAUCUCUUGGAUAAGGGACUUAUCAGACCCAGCAUAUCCCCAUGGGGUGCAUCAAUCUUAUUCGUGCGCAAGAAAGAUGGUUCUCUUAGAAUGUGCAUUGAUUACUAUUAUCUCAAUAAAGUCAUGGUCAAGAACAAGUAUCCUCUUCUCAGAAUUGAUGAUUUAUUUAAUCAACUUUAGGGUGCCAGCUAUUUCUCUAAGAUAGACCUCAGAUUCGACUAUCAUUAGCUCAGAUUCAGAGAAUGUGACAUUCCAAAGCCAGCCUUUCAUACUCGGUAUGGUCACUUUGAAUUUAUAGUCACGUCUUUCGGUCAUACUAAUGUCCCAGUCGCUUUCAUGGACUUGAUGAGCCGGGUGUUCAAACAGUGCUUGGACCUAUUCGUUAUAGUCUUUAUAGAUAAUUUUAUGGUCUAUUCUCUUAGUAAGCAUAAUUAUACAGACCACCUCAGCGUUGUACUUCAGACUCUCAGAGAUCAUCAGCUAUUCGCCAAAUUCAAUAAGUGCGAGUUUUGGCUAAGUUCAGUAGCAUUCCUUGUCCAUAUCAUUUUCGGUGAUGGCAUUAGGGUAGGUCCUCCAAAAACCAAAGUGGUAAGAAACUGUCCCAAACCUGUCUCUCCAUCAUACAUCAGGAGUUUCUUGGGUUUGGAUGGCUAUUACAGAUGAUUUGUUGAGGGAUUUUUUUUUCUAUUGCGUCCCGUAUGUCCAGACUGACUCGGAUGAAAGUCAAUUUUCUGUCGUCAGAUCCUUGCGAGAAUAGUUUUUAGGAGUUGAAGACUCAACUCACCUCAACUCCAAUCUUAGCUCUUCCAGAUGGUUCAAAUGGGUUUGUAGUGUAUUAUUAUGCAUCUAGAGUAGGUUUGGGUUGUGUUCUCUGCAGCAUGGUAAGGUAUAUCCUACGCCUCCAGACAGCUUAAACCCCAUGAAAAGAAUUAUCCUACUCAUGAUCUUUAGUUAGCAGCUGUAGUGUUUGCCUUGAAUAUUUGGAGGCAUUAUCUAUAGGAGUUUAUGUAGAUGUAUUCACAAAUCAUAAGAGCCUUCAGUAUGUCUUUUCUCAGAAAGAUCUCAAUCUUCGUUAGAGAAUAGAGCUCUUGAAAGCUUAUGACAUGAGCGUCCUUUAUCAUUCGAGAAAGGCCAACGUAGUGGCUGAUGCUCUCAGUAGACUUUCUAUGGGUAGUGUUGCUCAUGUUGAGGACAGUAGGAAGAAGUUAGCUUAAGAGUUCCAUCAGCUUGCCAGACUAGGCGUUCGCUUAGUCGAUACAGAGGAGGGUGACAUAUGGUUUCAGAGUAGUUUAGAAUCAUCUCUAGUUUCCUAGGUGAAAGAAAAAUAAGAUAGAGAUCCCAGUCUAGUCAAGUUGAAAGAACCAGUCAAGGAUCAAAAGAUAGAGGUGUUCUCCCAAGAGGGAGAUGGUGUUCUGCGUUGUCAAGGUUGUCUGUGUGUUCUAGGUGUAGAUGACUUAAGGAAGCGAAUUCUUGCAGAAACGCAUGGUGCACACUACUCUAUUCAUCCAGGGGCCACAAAGAUGUACCGCAACUUAUGGGAAAUCUAUUAGUGGACUGGGAUGAAGAGAGAUAUUUUAGAGUUUGUGGCUAAGUGCUCUACAUGUCAGCAGGUAAAAAUAGAGCAUCAGAAGCCUAGUGGGUCUAUGCAGGAGUUCAGUAUUCCUACUUGGAAGUAGGAAGAAAUGAACAUGAACUUCAUGGCGAGUUUACCUCGUACUCGUCAUCAACAUGAUUCAGUUUGAGUCAUUGUAGACAGAAUGACCAAGUCAGCUCAUUUUUUUCCAGUUCAUACCUCUUAUUUACUCGAGGAUUACUCCAACUUCUAUAUCAGAGAGUUGGUCAGAUUUCACGGUGUUCUAUUAUCCAUUAUCUCAGACAAAGGUACCCGGUUCACCUCUUAUUUUUGGAAAGCGUUCCAAAAGGGUCUUGGUAUCCAAUUUCAUCACAGUACAUCCUUUCAUCCUCAGAUAGAUGGUCAAGCAGAAAGGAACAUUCAGACUCUAGAAGAUAUGCUAAGGGCGUGUGUAAUUGAUUUCAAGGGAGAUAUGCUAAGGGCGUGUGUAAUUGAUUUCAAGGGUAGUUGGGAUGACCACUUUUAUUUGAUUGAGUUUGCAUACAACAAUAGCUAUAAUUCCAGUAUUAAGAUGGCUCCGUUCGAAGCUCUCUAUGGUAGAAGAUACCAAUCUCUAGUUGGUUGGUUCAAAGUUAGUGAGGCUUUAGUUAUAGGGCCUGACUUGGUAUUCGAUACCUUUGAGAAAGUCCAGUUGGUUAGAGAAAGACUCUGGGUUGCUCAGAGCCGACAGAAGUCUUAUGUAGAUGUGCAUAGAAAAGAUCUCGAGUUUGAGAUCGGUGAUUAUGUCUAUCUAAAGAUCUCUCCCAUGAAAGGAGUGAAGAGAUUCGGCAAGAAGGGAAAGCUCAGUCCCCGAUAUGUCAGUACCUUCAAGAUACUUAGUCGUUUCGGCAAGGUAGCUUAUGAGAUCGAGUUGCCUUCAGAUCUAGCCUCAGUUCAUCCAAUUUUCCAUGUCCUUUUUCUCAAGAAGUGUAUAGGUGACCCGACAGUCAUAGUCCCUAUUCAGAGUGUAAUGUUCAGAACAACCUCUCUUAUAAAGAGAUUCCAGUCGAAAUCCUAGACUAUUAGACUCGUAGACUGAGGAACAAAGAAGUUCCUAUAGUCAAAGUUCUUUGGCGAAAUUAGUCCGUUAGGGAGCUACUUAGGAAGCAGAAGCAGAUAUGCGAGCCAAGUAUCCUUACCUCUUCCCCGCCAACUUAGGUCUAGCUCAAGGUAACAGUUCUCCUUAAGCUUUUCAGUUUCAUGUUCAGACUUCAGUUACAAUCGUGGUACUCAGUUUAUGCUCAGAAUUCCAUUAUAAACUUGGUAUUAAAUACUACUCCACAUUCAGUCAUGCAUUCAUGUAUCAGUUCAGUUAUAUAGUCAUGCAUCAGACAUGCAUUCUUAUUGUGAGAAACCCAGUUCGUCAGAACACUUAGUAAUGCAUCACGAAUUAGUUACACAUGCAUCAGAUAUGCAUGCUUAGUAUGAUAUAUUCAGUUAUCAGUCAUGUCAGUCAUGAAAUCAUGUUCCAGUUGUUCAUGCUUAGUAUGUGUUUCAGUCUAUCGUUUCUCCCCUCUUAGUCGGUCUCAUUCGAGGAUGAAUAUUCUCAAGGGGGAGAUAUUGUAAGACACUGUAAAAUACUUAAGCUUAAUUCAGUCCUUUAAGCUUGUCAAGGGAGUCAUAGACUUAGAAAUUAUAGCUAAGUGCCCAGACUUGGCAUAAUUUUGACCUUCAAAAGUUGAAAAAUUUAUUUCGCCACCUUAACGUCCAUUAAUGGUCUAUAUUCUUGUUAAUUCAUGAUCAGGAAGGUCAAUAGAUGGUCCCGAACAAGUUUUGGAUUUUUUAGAACUUGUUUCAAGCAAGUUUGAAAGUCCAAAAUAGUGGACCAAUGCGAUCUUGGCGCGCCGCAUCACCAAUCGUAUUGGUCACCAGUUGUGCACACGGCCAGAGCUAAAACAACUGAGGCUCAAUGCAUUUACUGUACACCGCAUCGGGUAUAGCAUCAAAACUCUCAACGAGCCGCGUCGCCCAUAGUGCCGGUGCCCAGUUAUUUAGUCAUUAAAUGUCCUUAUUUUAAGGGCAAAGGUGCAAUUCUCCCACCCCUAUAUAAGUAAAAAACACGGGAUUAAGACCCAUUUACACAAAAAUAUAGCCACUUCCCUCAAGAUCCUCUCAAGAACACAUUAGGGUUUUCAAUUGGGGAUCCAAGUCCAAGCAAAUUUCUCCGUGAAUCAUCGGGACUCUUCCAUCUAAGGUAUGCAUAGUGUUCAUUCUUGGACUCCUUUCGUCCAUGAAGCCUAAGAAUCAAGUUUUAAAUUAUGAAUUAUGAUAUUCAUUCUAUGAACUGAAUUAUGUUCAUGUGUUUUGUUGUAUGAAUUCAAAGAUAGAACCUUUAUUAUAUCUUUAUGAAAUUACGCUAAUAUGUGGACUGAAAUCAUGAAAUUGGGUGGAAUUGCGAAGUAGGAUUGUAUUAAAUUCAUGCUCAUGACUAAGCCUUAAAUCAUGCAAUCUAAGUGUUUGAUAAAAUGCCUAGGAGAAUAGAAAUUAUGUUUGAUAGAUAAACUAUGACCCAAGUUAUGAAUGUACGUGUUCCCCUAUGUUUAAAAUGAUUUCCAUGAGGAUUGUUGUGUAAUACAAUUGCGUGAUGAUAUGAUUAUGAUAUUAAAAUGAUGAAUUUAAGACACGAUCAUGUGCAUUUUAAGCUAUAUACAAGAUUAUGAUAACCAUGUGCUUCAUGAAAUAUCCCCUACUGUCGUAGUAUGAAUUGUUGAUGUCGGCCAUGUAUUCAAGAAAGUCAUGCUUUUUCAGUUUCCUUCUAUCGAGUUCUGGGGGUACUUGUACCCAAAAAAUAUAGCUAUGUACCUAGAGCCAGUGUCAUGUUUCAUGAUAUCCUCAGACAAGCCAUGAUCCAUAGAACUCAGUCAGUCAUGUGACUCAGGAAAUCUCAGUAAAUUCAAAACUUUCAGUAGUAUUCCGUCAGUCAACGGAACUCCAUGAAAUUAAUCUAGUCCAGUUCAGUUAAUAAUGUUCAGUGUCUAUUCAGAUGGGAGUUGGAAUUUUCACUAAGCGAACCCAAGAAUGGGAACUCACUUGUUAUAUGAGGGUGUGAUUCUUAGAAGCAAUCCUUGUGUUCCUAAACUACGCAGCCAACGUAGGUUGAGACAUCAUAUCCUGUCCUAUGAGUAUAGAUAAGGUGGAUUAACCUAUUAUAUGAGGGUUCCCACCGUUAUCACUAGAGUUAUCUGUUAUAUGAGGGUUACUCAUAGAUUGUCCUUACCAGGGGCGCGGUAUUGAUACCCUUCCAAUUGGGGUUAUAGAUUGGAGCCCAACUCAGCUAUAUUGUAAUUAUUUGGGGCAUUCUGAUUAGAUAACUACUUUCUAUAGUUUCAGUUACACGAUCAGGACUUUCAGAUACAGUCAUACAGUUUCAGUAAAAGAAUUCAGAUAGUUCUUCAGAAUUUAGGACUGUCGGAACAGUCAACUUAGAAUAGUAUGAAACUUAGCUAGAUCCAUUAGAAACUAGACUGUCAGAUACAGUCGCUCAGUAUUAGUUAUUUUAGUUAUAUAGCUAUCAGUAUCUCAUGUUAUCGGCACUCAGGCUCAGUAAUCAUGUCGUAACGAUCUCAGUUACAGUUAUUACGUGUUCAUGCAUGCAUUCUCACAUUCAUAUUAUCCAGCUAGUUAGUAUAGUUCAUGCAUGUGAACCCUUUGAAUUUAGCCGACCUCACAUGCAUACCAGUAUAUUCAAUCGUACUUACACAUUUACACUAUGGUAUUUUAUACCAUAGGUUCAGAAGCACGAGCUCCAAAGCAUCAGUAAAAGCCAGGUUUAGCAGUGAGUUCUCAUUAUUCGAGGAUGAUAUUAUGAGUUAUUUAAUUGAUUCAAUUUUUUCUUUCAGUAGAUGGAGUUAGUUGGGGACAUGUCCCAUCAACUCCUUAUUUAGACAGUUAAAAGCUUUUCAGACUACCAUGUUCAGACGGUUAUAUCAGUUGUUUUGGGUAUUUCAUACCCCAUCUAGAUGUUAUAUUUUUAUUAGUUAUGUUCAGCGUUGAACCUUACGGUCUAUCAUCCUUUAUUUCUUCAUUUUUCUAUGUAUAAUAUGUAGUGUACAUGUAAAAAUAUCAAUCAUGGGUUAGCUUGUGGUCCUUUGAGGUCAUGGGCACCGUGUAGCAUUCCGGGUAUCAGAUUUGGGGCAUUACAAUACUAUUCUGUAACUGACACCAGCUCUAUGCAUACAACUAAACUGUCGGGUAUUAAAUACCCCCCAAGACUUGAUAGCAUAAAUUAUACGACAUGGCAUAAUCUUAAAACAUGAUAGCUAAGUACUUGGUCAUCGUACAUUCGUUUGGGACAUUCUAGCAAACACUUGCAUGACAUAAAAUUGAAUAUAUGCUGACCUGAUAUAAUUUCACUAUUCAACUCACAUAAAUAAUUCAUCAAACACUUGAAGGACAUAAUAUAUGCAAAUAAUACUAAACAACAUGUAAGCAUCAUAGUUCAAUUUCACAUUUACAACUUCAAGGGUUUCAACAUGGUUUCGCAUGAUAAUGCACACAUAUCAAUAAUUCCAUAUGAAUCUUGUAUUAAAUCAUGAACUAGAAUUCCCAUUGACCAUAGUAAUCAUGAACACAUUCAAAUUCAACCAUGAAUUUAUCAAAUCUCAUAAACUUAUAGUUAAAAGGGAUUCUUGAACUCCAAGGGAGGAAAGGAACCCUUGGAUGAACAAUUAACAUACCUUAGUGCCUGAAUUCUGAAAGAUUGGUGGUGGUUUGUUGAGUUCUUGAUUUGAAAUUGAUCCCCCUAGGAUUUCUAUUCUUUAGAAAUUUAAGAAUAAUGAAUGAAAUUAGCCUCUAACUGGGCUUAAUCUCGUGUUUUGGGGGAUGAUAAACGUGGAAAAAAAACCUAAUUACCCCUGAGGACGCAACUUUUUAAUGAUUGGAAAUUGAAAUAUUGAUGCGCAAAUCUAUGCACCGCGUCAUUGGUAUCGACGUAAUGGGAAACACACCGCGUCGAUUCUACAUUGGUUCAUUGGAAUUUGCCACUGGGACCCAAUGAAAAUUACUGAUCGAUGCGAUGGCCACUGUGCCGCACCAAGAUCGCAUCGAUACACUAUUUUGGAUUCCUAAAUGUGGUUCAAACGAGGUUCAAAAAAUUUAAAACUUGUUCGGAAACACCUACUGACAUUCCUGGUCAUAAAUCAACCUAAAGAUUGGCAUUUUAAGGUUAUAGAUGUCGUGAAAUAGAGUUUUCAAUUUACGAAGGCCAAAAUGAUACUAAGCUUGAAUACUUCGCUUAAAUUUUCUAAGUCUGGGACCCCUUAGCAAGCUUAAAAGUCUGGGUUGAGCUUAGGAUUUUAUGGUGUCUUACAAUAUCAAUUUGAUAAUCUCGCAUAUUUUCCGAUAAGGAUUUAGUUGCGACUUAUGAAUAACCUUCGGACUAUCGAUUUUUGGGUAACCUUGCACACUAUCCGGGUAGGAUGCUAUUGCAAUUUACGAUGAAUUAUGAAAUAUCAACUCAUUGGUAAUAUUUCACACUAUCCUAUUUCAAAUAUGACUUAUAGAUAACCCUCAAAUUGUCCAUUUCUAGGAAAUAUCAUAUGUCAUCCAUCUUAAGAUAACGACUUAAAGACUUCCCUUCAAAUAAAGUUCUUUUGAUUCAUUCAGAUGCUGAUUCAUGCUGUGAUAUCCUCGACACCAGAGUAUUCUAUCUUCGCGUGUCAACAAAUAUUAAAUACUGAGAUAUCCUCGAUGCCAGUAUAUUCUAUGUCGUGUGUCAAUAGAUAUUAAAUGUCGAUGAUAUCCUCGAUGCCAAUGUAUUUUAUCUCAUGUGUCAAUGGAUAUUAAAUGCUGAUGAUAUCCUCGAUGCCAGCGUAUUCUAUCUCGUGUGUCAAUGGAUAUUAAAUGCUAAUGAUAUCCUCGAUGCCAGUGUAUUCUAUCUCGCGUGUCAAUGAAUAUUAAAUGUUGAUGAUAUCCUCGAUGCUAGCGUAUUCUAUCUCGCAUGUCAAGGAAUAUUAAAUAUUAAUGAUAUCCUCGAUGCCAACGUAUUCUAUCUCACCUAUCAAUGGAUAUUAAAUGUUGAUGAUACCCUCGAAGCCAGUGUAUUCCAUCUCGCGUGUCAAUGGAUAUUAAAUACUGAUGAUAUCCUCGACCCUAGCAUAUUCUAUCUCGCGUGUCAACGGAUAUUAAAUGUUGAUGAUAUCCUCGACUCCAGCAUAUUUUAUCUUGUGUGUCAACUAAUAUUAAAUGCUGAUGAUAUCCUCGAUGCCAGCAUAUCCUAUUGCGCGUGUCAACGGAUAUUAAAUGUUGAUAAUAUCAUCGAUGCCAACCUAUUCUAUCUUGCAUGUCAAUGAAUAUUAAAUGCUGAUGAUAUCCUCAAUGCCAACGUAUUCUAUCUCGCAUGUCAACGGAUAUUAAAUGUUGAUGAUAUCCUCAUCACCAACGUAUUCUAUCUCGUGUAUCAAUAGAUAUUUAGUGCUGUGUAUUCUAUCUCACGUGUCAAUGGAUAUUAAAUGCAAUAGCCCUCUUGGCAAUGAAAUGAUAUGCAAUGACCCUCUUUGGUAAUGAAAUGAGAUGCAAUGGACCUUCUGUCAAUGAAAUGAGAUGCAAUGAUCCUCUUGGCAAUGAAAUAAAAUACAAUAGCCCUCUUGACAAUGAAAUGAAGUGCAAUGACUCUCUUGGCAAUGAAAUGUAAUGGCCCUCUUGGCAAUGAAAUGACAUGAAAUAGCCCUCUUGGUAAUGAAAAUAGUUUCUCCUGAGUCCAUUUAUUUGUAUUUUUUGGAUUUCUACAUGUACUUGUACUCAAGGUAGACAGUUAGUAGAAACAAUGUCGCUCUUACUGGCUACCAUAGUCAAUCUUUAUAACAGUUUGAAUGACUAAUCUGAAUAACGUAGUCAACUUAUCAUCUUUUUAUGGAUAAGCAUUUAAAUGAUAAAUUCACCGAAUGUAAACAAAUGGGUAAAAUUCCUUCUUUUAGGGGGGAGGGGGGGACUUCUCGAAUACCGUUUAUGUCGCCUCAUGGCAAAUUUAAGGAUGACUUUCUUGCUCUUCACUUUCUUGAGCAAUCCUUUGAUUGUGGCCUUAUAGGGCUGUCUCCUUUGACUGUACCUCGAUUCAAGGUAAAUAUUUAGUAGACAAAAAGUGGCUUUUGCUAGCGGCUAUUUUUAGAAAAAUUCCAAAUAUAAUAUUUAUAAAGGAGAUAAUGCACCUUUGUUUGUCCUUCAUGAUCUCAAAAAAUGAGAUAGACAAUUCAAAAGAUCCUCGAUAAAUAGGUAUUAAAUUCAUAUUUGGGGCUACCCGAAAAUACCGUUCUUGAGCAUUAUAUGCUUUGGUGGGGCUCCCAACUCGCUUCGGGAUUUUUGAAAAAGAUUUCCAUUUUUGUGUAUUGCUCCUUCCAUCCACAGAAAAAUGAUUAGUUUUGAGUGAAACUACUCUGUGUUGACCUCCUUCGAUCCUUGGUUUACUCCUCGCUAUCUUUCGGGUGCUCCGUUAUGUUGGGACUUCCACCCUGACUCCCUAUUUCAAUAGAUUCUUAGGCAAUCACUAAGUAAAAAUAUUUGAAUAGAUUUUCGAAAGUAGUCUUAAUUUUUAGAAAGUAGUUUCAAAAAUUUAUGUAAAAACUUUAGAAAAUCUCUGCUAGUCAUGUCAUGUACUAACUCAACGAACGUUCUCUUCUUGAGGUUUGAGUAUAUUCGACAUCCGAUGGAGGAUUUUCAAAACUCAUCGUCAUUGUUGGAGAGUUUUUCAAAAGUUUUGUUAUUUUAACGCCCCAAAAUCUGAUUUCCUAGGACGCCACACGGUGCUCCGAACUACAAGUAGUGCUAAGCUAACUCUGGCUGCCCUAUACUAAAUUCGAAUCUCAAAAUAGGGGAAUAUGAAUGUAAAAUCAUAAUAAAUGCAGAAAAUUAUCUGAAUUAUCUGAGUAUAUCUGAAAAAUACUAAUCUCAUCAGUCUGAUAAUGGAAAUACUAAAAAUCUGAAUAUUGCAACUAAAAUCUAAAACUGAAUCUAGUAGUCCGACAAGCCUCUACUUACUGAAACUAGAGAGCCACUGGGACAAACCCCUAGCUGACCCAAACUGUCUGAAAAUAUUUCUAAAUCAUCUACUAAUAAACUUAAAGUCUGAAUGACUAAGUCCUCGAACUAUGAGGGCUCACCAACUGUAGGGAUGUAGAUGUAGAUGCUCAAAAUCACUCGUGUUACUGAAACUAAGCACCUGAACCUACAUUAUGAGACAAUGUAGCACUCAAACAUAUAUGUGAAUUAGUACUUUGGGAAUGUACUGAGCAUAUGGGGGUGAAUGCAAUAAGUAAACAAUAUCAUCACAAUUUAUAAAAUCAUGCAUGCUAAAUGUAAAUGACUCACAUAGGCUUGAGUAAUCUGAAAACUGAGGAUCAUAAAUCAUGAACAAUAAAGCAUAUAAUAUAAAUCUUGUGAGGCAUUACAUUCAAUUCCAAAAUCUUUUCUUUCUAAAAACUACUACGUUAUCUUAUCAUCUGUAAGAGAAAUACCUUAUCUCAAGACUUUAAGAAUAAAAAAAAAAUACGACUUCCAAAACAUAUACUUUUAUCUUAAGGCUUUAAACCAAUAGACUGUUUUAAGAGUGGGUGAUUUCUUUUUAGGAGGUUCUUCUAACUGACAUAAACCAUGUGAUCAUUCAUAGAGUCUAACGUCUUACCCACAUUGGGGGAAGCUGUUUUACCUUUGACAUCGGAAUAGAACCUUUAUCUUAAGUGAUCACAAUCUUAGUCAACCACGUAGAAGUGGGAGUAAUCUUAUUUCUAUGGUGGCACGUAGUUCUGGGGCAUGAAACCUUGGUAACAUACCCAUCUCGGUGCUAAGUACUACCCCCAUUCUUAUGCUCAGGAUCUUUGGAAAACCACUUCAAAAUAGCACAAGGGUUUACAAGAAAAAAAACAAUUAUGCUCUUUCUUUUCUUUAAAUCUCAAGUCCUAUGAGCUAUGUGGAUUCUUUUUCUCAGCUUAGGACCAAAAGAUCAAAUCUAUAUCAAAAAUCUGAGAAUAAUCUUAUCAUAAGGUGCUCAUAGUACAAACAAUCUUGAAAUAGCAAUCUUUAAUUAGGGCUUACUGACCCAUGCAUCAAACUCACAUUAAAACAUUAUAAUACUUAUGCUUGGUAAUGUAAACAUUUAUAAAUCAACUUAAAAUCUGGAAAUUUCUGCAAUAUGCAUGAAAAUAUGAACAUAGACAUGCAAUUCAACCUCUACCCCUUGAGAUUCCAAAAUCUUAUAAAUAGAAAUAUUGGGUAUAAGCCCUAUUUUCAAUUCCAUGAGAAAUCACACAAAAUUCAAUAAAUUUGUAAUUAAAAUAAGUUUGGUGCACAAGGAUGAAAGGAUUAUCCUUGUUGAAAAACCCACAUACCUUAAUCGAUGAUCUUAGAUGAAAAUCUUGAACCUUGGACUCAUAUUGUGUCUUUGGAGAUGAUUUAUUAGAAUUCUUCAAUUGGUUAUCCUUAAUCUUAAACUAUGAAUACUUGGUCUUGAAAUAUUUUGGAGAAUUAAUGGAGAAAUUAGAUUUCUCGGAGAGAAAGUUUGAGGCUUUAGGAUUUACUUUUGAGAGUGAAUAGAUGAGAAGUGAAUAUAAUGAGCUUUGAAUGGUUUAAAUUCUCUGUUAUUCACGACUUGGGACUUGGAAAAGAGCCCUUUUUAAAUUUUUACUCGGACUGAAAAAAAUUCCGCUUUAUACCUCUGGCAUGACGCACCAACAUCGCGGUGGCCUACUAGAAACUGUCAAUUGGGACCUCAAAAAUCACUGUGAUGCGGAGCUAUCACCGUAAUCCUUUAGAAUUCCAUUUUGGCCACCUCUGCGAAGCGCCAUUAUCGUGGAGACUCACUGAAAAUUGCCAAAUCUGAAAUGGGACUCCUUCGCGAUGUGCUACGGGUCCAUAUCAUGGUGUUCUAUGACUGAAACUUAAAAUUACCAAAACUUCCUACUCGGUUAUCGAGUUAAGCCGAAUCUUAUAUCAUUGGAAAGCUAAUUUGAUUUUCUACUCAUUGGAGGGUCUAAAAUUGGAAAAUUACACAUGUAUGGAAAGUCUUUCUUUUUUGAAGCUAACAGUUGACAUUCUAAAUGUCAAAUUGAGUUAAGAAAAGUACGGGGUAUUACAAUAUCUCCCCCUUGGAAACAUUCAUCCUCGAAUAUUGCUAGUUAGACUAAGAAUACUGAGGAAUAUGAGGAUAUAUGAUAGCAUGCACAACGAAAAUAAAUUACAAAACUGAAUCUAAAUCAUUCUGAUAUUCUGAGUAAUUCUGUGAGUGCAUGAACUUACAUGAGGACAACUAUAUAGCCAACUCUGUGAUUAGAAAAAAACUGAAUUAAAGAAAAGUAUUACGUUCAGCUAAAUUUGAGUUUGCGGAGAAGAGGUAAGGGUACUUAGCUCGCAUAUCUUCUUCUGCUUUCCAAGUAGUGCCCUCCACAGAUUGAUUUAGCCACAAAACUUUGACCAAGGGAACUUCUUUGUUCCUUAGUCUAUGGAUCUGAUGAUCUAAAAUCUUGACUGGAAUCUCUUUGUAAGAAAGACUAUUCUGAAUAUCUGAGCUUUCUAAAGGAACUACAAUAGUGGAGUCGUUGAUGCACUUCUUAAGUAUAGAGACGUGGAAUACAAGAUGAACAGCUGACAAGUCUGCGAGCAACUCAAGAUCAAAAGCCACUUUCCCAAUACAACUUAAAAUUAUAUAAGGGCCAAUAUACCGGGACUAAGCUUCUCCUUUUUGCCAAAUUUCUUCACCCCUUUCAUGGGUGAAAUCUUCAAAUAUACUAAAUCACCAACCUUAAACUUGAGGUCCCUUCUUUUCACAUUAGCAUAUGAUUUUUGAAGACUCUGGGUUGUUUUUAAUCUUUCUCUAAUCAACUUAACUUUCUCCAUAGCUUCAAAAACUGCAUCAGGCUCAAGCAAAGCAACCUCACCUAGUUCAAACCAACCUAUGAGUGAUCUAUAUCUUCGCCCAUAAAGAGCCUUAAAUAGAGCCAUCUGAAUACUAGCAUGAUAACCAUUAUUAUAAGCAAACUCAAUCAAUGGCAAAUGAUCAUCCCAACUUCGUUUGAAAUUAAGAACACAUGCCCUUAACAUAUCCUCUAAAGUCUGAAUGGUCUUUUUUGCUUGACCAUCUGUCUACAAAUGAAAAGAUGAACUGAGAUAAACUUGGGUACCAAGACCUUUCUGAAAAGAUCCCUAAAACUGAGAGGUAAAUUGAGUACCCCUAUCAGAGAUGAUAGACAACAAAACUCUAUGCAAUCUAAAUAUCUCUUAAAUAUAUAUCUUUGCAUAAUCUUCAGCUAUAUAGGACAUAUGAACUGGUAAGAAAUAUGCUGACUUAGUCAACCUGUCUACAAUAACCCAAAUCGAAUCAUGCUGAUGGUACGGACGGGAUAAACCAGUCAAUAAAUCCAUAUUCAUUUUUUCCCACUUCCAAGUGGGGAUACCAAACUCUUGCAGUGUACCACCAGAUCUUUGGUGCUCUACCUUAACCUGUUGACAAGUUGCACACUUUUCUACGGAUUCUGCUAUAUCUCUCUUCAUACCACUCCACCAAUAGAUUUCUCGUAAGUCACGAUACAUCUUGGUAGUACCUAGAUGAAUGAAAUAUUGUGCACCAUGUGCUUUUACCAUAAUCCGCUGCCUCAAAUCAUCAACACAUGGCAAAUACAAUCUACUCUUGUAUCUCAACACACCAUCUCCCCCUGGGGAGAAAACCUAUACCUUUUGAUAUUUAACAGACUCCUUCAGUUUGACCAAUCGAGAGCCUUUAUCUUGCUUCUCAUUCACUUCCGAAACUAGGGAAGAUUCAAAACUACUCUGAACCCAAGCAUUCCCUUUAGCAGAAUUAACUAAUCUCACACCCAAUCUAGCUAAUCGAUGAACUUCCUGACCUAUAUCCUUCUUAUCAUUCUCCACAUGAGCAACACUGCCCAUAGAUAAUCUACUAAGGGCGUCUGCCACUACAUUGGCCUUGCCUGGAUGAUGCAACAUACUCAUAUCAAAGUCCUUCAACAAUUCGAACCAUCUUCUAUGCUGAAAAUUCAAAUAUCUCCGAGUAAACACAUAUUGCAAGAUUUUAUGGUCCAUGAACAUAUCAACAUGUACACCAUACAGAUAAUAUCUCUAGAUUUUCAAAGAAAACACAACAACAACUAACUCAAGGUCAAGGGUUGGGUAAUUCUUUUCAUGAGGCUUAAACUGUCUAGAGGCAUAGGCUAUGACCUUACCUCUCUACAUCAAGACACAACCCAAACCAACUCUAGAGGUAUCACAAUACACCACAAAACCCUCUGUACUAUCAGGUAGUGCUAAAACUAGGGCUGAAGUAAAUCGAGUCUUCAACUCCUGAAAACUCUGCUCGCAGGCAUCUGACCAAUGAAACUUAGACCAAUGAAACUUAACUUUCUUCUGGGUCAAUCUAGACUUAAGAAAAGCAAUAGAUGAGAAACUCUCAAUAAAAUGUCUGUAAUAACCAGCUAGAAUCAAGAAACUCCUAAUAUCUGAUGGAGAGAUAGGUCUAGGCCAAUUUAUUAUCGCUUUUAUCUUUUCAAGGUCAACUCUAAUACCCUCACUGGAAAUAAUAUGAUCAAGGAAAGCUACUAACCUUAGCCAAAAUUCACACUUGCUAAAUUUGGCAAAUAACUGGUGAUCUCUAAGAGUUUGCAACAUAAUUCUAAGAUGGCCAGCAUGAUCAUCCUCACUACAAGAGUAGACAAGGAUAUCAUUUAUAAAGACUAUGACAAACAUGUCCAAAUACUGUUUGAACACUCUGUUCAUCAAGUCCAUGAAGGUUGCGGGGGUAUUGGUUAGCCCAAAGGACAUGAAUAGAAACUUAAAAUAACCAUAAUGGGUUCUAAAGGCUGUUUUUAGAAUAUCACACUCCCUUACUUUAAGCUGAUGAUAGCCGAAUCUAAGGUCUAUCUUUGAGAAAUAAAUUAUACCUUAAAGUUGAUCAAAUAAGUCAUCGAUUCUAGGAAAAAGAUAUUUUUUUUUGGCUGUAACUUUAUUCAACUGACGAUAGUCAAUGCACAUAGGCAAAGAACCAUCUUUCUUUUGCACGAAUAGGAUGAGAACGCCCUAUGGAGAAACACUAGGCCUUAUGAAACCUUUGUCUAAAAGAUCAUUGAGUUGCUCUUUCAACUCUUUAUGCUCGACGAGAGCCAUAUGAUAUGGAGGUAUAAAAAUAGACUGAGUAUCAGGAAGAAGGUCAAUACCGAAUUCUAUUUCCCUAUCGGGAGGUACCCCUGGCAAAUUUUAGAGAAAGACAUUAAAAAACUCAUUAACUACACUGACCGACUGAACUGUUGGAGUCUCAGACUUAGUGUUUUUAACUCGAACUAGAUGAUAGAUACGCCCUUUGGAGAUCAACUUUCUGGCUUUAAGAUAAGAUAUGUAAUGACUCUUGGGAGACACUGAAUUACCUAAUCACUCUAAGACUGGCUCAUCUGAAAACUGAAACUUCACUACCCGGGUGCGACAAUCUAUGGACGCAUAAAGAGAAUGGAUCCAAUCCAUACUAAGAAUAAGAUCAAAGUCAACCAUAUAUAACUCUAUUAAAUUUAGUAACAUGACUUUAUGAAGAACAGUGAUAGAGUACUUUAUAUAGAUUUGUUUAGCAACAACUGGAUCGCCUACUAGGGUAGAAACUAAGAAGGGCUCAGGGAUCUUUUCAGAACAUAUUUCAAAAUUGACUGAAACUAAUGGGGUCACAUAAGAGAAAUUCUACCCAGGGUAUAACAACACAUAAACAUCAAGGUGAAAGACACGAAGCAUAUCAGUAACAAUAUCUGGUGAAUCUUCCUGCUCCUGAUGAGAUGGUAAAGCAUAAAACCAAUUCUGGCACUGACCGUCACCGAUACUGGAUGGUGCACCUUGAGGAGGAGCUAGGCAACCUAGAGAGCUGGUGCGCUAGCAGCCUGAGUUUGGGGAUGGACAUCCCUAUUUCCCUGUCUAGCAUGCGGGCACUCUUUGAUUCCGUGACCCAUCUGGCCACAACCAUAACAACCUUUUUAACCCAAUAAACACUCACCCGAAUGGGUCUUACCUGGGCUUUCCACUCAUACUUUUCUGGGAUCUAGACAUAGAAUACUUACCUACAGCUCCUAUCUACCUCUAGGAACGGGAGCACUAGCUGAAGAUGGUGCUAGCAUAGAUGAACCAUUUUGAAAUUACGAAUGAUUCCCUCUAUGAGACCUAUCCUAGCCAUACUCAAACUGCCCUAUUCUUGCCUUCUUAUUUACUCUCUCUCUUUCCUUCAACUUCUCUGCCUCAAUCUGAUGAGCAUGCAUCAUUAAUCAAACAAAAUCCAUGUCCCCAAUGAGCAUAGUAGUCCUACACUUUUUAACUAUCAACCCAGACAUACCAGUAAUAAACUUACUCAUACAUGCCCUAGGAUUAGCCAUUGCAUCCAGGGCAUACUUAGACAACUGAUUAAACUUAAGGUAGUACUCCUUCACUGUCAUCGAGCCCUGGCUCAAAUUCACAAACUCCUCUACCUUAGCUUCCCUCAUAUCACGUGGGAAGAACCUAUCUAGAAAAGCAUCUUGAAAUACCUGCCAACUCAUAGGAGUUGCAUUCUUACCUCGCCAUUUCUCCACAUAACUACCCAAUCAUAAGCUAUAUCUUUCAAUCUAUAGGAUGCUAACUAUACACUCUCCUUCUAAAAAACAUGCAUAAUUUGAGUGAUCUUCUUCACCUCAUUAAGAUAAAGUUGUGGGUCUUCACUUGCUUUUGACCCAAAGAAUUCUGGCAGAUUUAUUCUCAUGAAAUCUCUGAUUCUAGCUGCAGCUAAAUCAUGGUUCUACUGAAGUGGGACUGUAGCCUGAUGGUUUCCCUAAACAUUAGCAGUCACAGUGUAAUACCCUGGGAAAUUUUUCAUUGAAAUUUUGUGCGUAAACGUAUUGGGUUCUAUCUUCUAGAUUGAAUUAUAAAUUUUUCCGUGCUGAAUGUCUUAGAUUAUGACCCACCAUUGCGUAGAGUAUCGAAUAAUCUUUCCAACGAUAUAUGGAUCAUCCAAAAAGGACACCCAAGCGAUGAGUUAUGAACAUUCUGAUCGAAUAUGAAUAGUAGUGAACAGUAAAACGUGCAGGAAAAAAAGUAUUGAGGCCUGACGUCUUUUUGCUCCAAAUUUAAACGAUCAUAACUCCUUGUACAUAAUUAUCUAGGUGAUCUACUAUAUAUCAAUAGAAAGCUAUACGAGUCCUCUUUCCAAUGAAAUUGGUUUCAUCCAAUUUGUCUAUCGGAGCAAAACGUUAUGGUCGAGCUACUUCAGCCUAUCAAAAGCAAAUUUUUAGGUCAACUUCAAACGAUCAUAACUCCUCAUACACAAUGAUCUAGGUGAGAUACUAUAUAUCAACGGAAAAAUAUGAGAGUCCUCUUUCUAAUGAAAUUGGUUUCAUCCAAUUUGGAUAUCGAAGUAAAAUGUUAUGGUUGAUCUACUUCAGACUAUCAAAACAGUCCACCAAAGGACAGAUUCGAGAAUGAUUUGAUUUUUAGGGGCGUUUUGGUCAUUUUCCCCACCCAAAAUCCAUCCAAACCCUAUAUUAAAGCUUAUUAGAAGCAUUAUAUGUAAUAUUUCAUCAAAUUCCCUCAAAAAGAAAACCCUAAACUCCUACAUCCAACUUCAAGAACCUCCAAAGUUCACCAUUAAUUCUGCAAAUUUAUUCAAGAUUCCAAGUUCCUAGUUCAAGAACUCCAAGAACCAUCAUUCAAAGGCACGAUUAACAUCUCAAAAAUGAGUAUCGAUCUAAAGUUCAUCAUUCAAGGUAUGUGGGGUUUUUCAACAAGAACUCUCUUUCAUUCUUGUGCCCAAAAGUAAUUUUCUUUACAAAGGCAUGAUUUUUAUUUGAUUUUUACAAAUUUGAAGCAUGAACCCAUAUCUUAUGAUGAUUAUUAUGAAAUCAUGAUGUUUAUGAUUUUGAAAGAUGAAUUUACAUAUGCGGAGAUAUAAAGCAUGAAUCUUGAACGAUAUUUAUCAUGAUUUUGAUAUUUGGGUCAUGAAUNNNNNNNNNNNNNNNNNNNNNNNNNNNNNNNNNNNNNNNNNNNNNNNNNNNNNNNNNNNNNNNNNNNNNNNNNNNNNNNNNNNNNNNNNNNNNNNNNNNNNNNNNNNNNNNNNNNNNNNNNNNNNNNNNNNNNNNNNNNNNNNNNNNNNNNNNNNNNNNNNNNNNNNNNNNNNNNNNNNNNNNNNNNNNNNNNNNNNNNNNNNNNNNNNNNNNNNNNNNNNNNNNNNNNNNNNNNNNNNNNNNNNNNNNNNNNNNNNNNNNNNNNNNNNNNNNNNNNNNNNNNNNNNNNNNNNNNNNNNNNNNNNNNNNNNNNNNNNNNNNNNNNNNNNNNNNNNNNNNNNNNNNNNNNNNNNNNNNNNNNNNNNNNNNNNNNNNNNNNNNNNNNNNNNNUUUAUCCUCUCAUGAUUAUGAUUAUUUUCUUUGGGCUAUGUGAAUCUUUCAUACAUCCUGCAUAUUUCUUAUAAAUAUUUAUAAUGAUGAUGUUUAUAAAACUGCAUACACCCCCAUAUACUCGGUUCCUUUCCAUGGUACUGACCCACAUCUUUGGAUGUGGGCUGUAUUUUCUCGAAAUGUAGGUUCAGGUGCUCAGUUCCAGGUUAGACAGUAAUUCUUUGAGCACGCUGUUCUAUAUCCUCUGUUGUGGUGAGUCCUUAUGUUUCAAGGAUGUGAUGUCUGAUGUUGGUUUCACAAAAUUGUUUACAUUUGAUAACUGAGUAUGAGUCAGUUGGGGCAUGUCUCAAUGGCUCGCUGGUUUUAUUGAUUUUCUUAGAGGCUUGUCAGACUAGUAUAGAUGUUGGGAGUUGACUAAUAAGUCGUAUUUUGUUAUCUUUUUGAAAUUCUUUUAUUCUUGGAUGAUAAUUACUCUGUUGAUAUUUGAGGAUUAUUUAUGGAAACCCCAUUGAUUCGUGUUGAACUGAAAGAAAAUGACUCAAAUGGUUAGCUUGAGGCUACUCGUAGCCUCAAGUACCGUGUGAUGCUCUGAAACCCAUUUUUGGGGCGUUACACACAGCUUGGGCCAAUGCCUGAAAGGCAGCCUUAAACUUAGCAUGGGAUACAUUCCCAUUCAAAGAAUCUACGGGAUGGUUACCAUUUCUGUGGGAAUUAGCUCAACGAGGAGGCAUUUUUAACUGUCACGUAAGAGCAUGAGUUAAUAGUAGAUAGAGAUACUGUAAGCACGACAGCUCAUGAAAGAAAUAGAUGAUUUCCUAAGAACAUCUCGUAGCCUCUUGCUCAUAAAAGUGGCAUGCUUCACACCCAUGAUCAAGACUCUACACAACGCGGCUUGUCGGACUCCCUAGGACUCUUAAAAAGAAUAGGCUCUAAUACCAAGUUUGUAACGCCCCAAAAUCUAAUUUACCGGGAUGCCACAUGAUGCUCCAAACUACAAGUAGUCCUGAGCUAACCUGGGCGUCCUCUACUAAAUCUAAAUCUCAAAAUGGAGGAAUAUGAAUGUAAAAUCAUAAUAAAUGCAAAAAACUAUCUGAAUUGUCCAAGUAUAUCUGAAAAUACUAAUCUCAUCGUUUGAUAAAGCAAAUACUGAAAAUCUGAAUACUGCAACUAAAAUCUAAAACUGAAUCUAGUAGUCCGACAAGCCUCUACUGACUGAAACUGGAGAGUCACUGGGACAAACCCCCAGCUGAUCCCAACUGUCUGAAAAGAUUUCUAAAUCAUCUACCAAUAAACUGAAAGUCUGAAUAACUCUGAAUAACUAAGUCCUCAAACUAUGAGGGCUCACCAACUGUAGGGAUGUAGAAGUACAUGCUCGAAAUCACUCGUGCUGCUGAAACUGAGCACUUGAACCUACAUUAUGAAUGAUGUAGCACACAGACGUAUAUGUGGAUCAAUACUUUGGGACUGUACUGAGCAUAUGGGGGUGAAUGCAAUAAGUAAAUAAUAUCAUCACAAUUUAUAAAAUCAUGCAUGCUAAAUGUAAAUGACUCACAUAGGCUUGAGUAAUCUGAAAACUGAGGAUUAUAAAUCAUGAACAAUAAAACAUAUAAUAUAAAUCUUGUGAGCCAUUACAUUCAGUUCCACAAUCUAUUCUUUCUAAAUACUACUACAUUAUCUUUUCCACUUUAAGAGAAAUACCUCAUCUCAAGAAUUUAAGAAUAAAAAAAAACACGGUUUCCAAAACAUAUGCUUUUAUCUUAAGGAUUUAAACCAAUAGACUGUUUUAAGAGUAGGGGACUUCAUUUUGGAAGGUUCUUCUAACCGACAUAAACCAUGUGAGCAUUCAUGGAGUCCAACGUCUUAUCCACACUGGGAAGAGCUGUUCUAUCCUUUCCAUCAGAAUAAAACCUUUAUCUUAAGUGAUCACAAUCUUAGUCAUCUACGUAGAAGUGAGAAUAAUCUUAAUCCUAUGGUGGCACGUAGUUCUGGGGCAUGAAACCUUGGUAACAUACCCAUCUAGGUGCUAAGUACUACUCCCAUUCUUAUGCUCAAGAUCUUAGGAAAACCACUUCAAAAUAGCACAAGGGUUUACAAGAAAAUAACCAAUUAUGCUCUUUUUUUUCUUCAAAUCUCAGCUUAGGACAAAAAAGUCAAAUCUUUAUCAAAAAUCUGAGAAUAAUCUUAUCUUAGGGUGCUCAUAGGACAAACAAUCUUGAAAUAACAAUCUUUAAUUAGGGCUUAAUUACCUAUGCAUCAAACUCACGUUAAAACAUCAUAAUAUUCAUGCUUGGCAAUGUAAACAUUUAUAAAUCAACUUAAAAUCUAGAAAUUUCUGCAAUAUGCAUGAAAAUAUGAACAUAGACAUGCAAUUCAACUUCUAAACCCCUUGAGAUCAUAUAAUCUUAUAAAUAGCAAUAUUGGGUAUAAACCUUAACUUCAAUUUCAUGGGAAAUCACAUAAAAUUCAGUAAAUUUAUAAUUAAAAUAAGUUUUGGGCACAAUGAUGAAAGGAUUAUCUUUGUUGAAAACCCCCACAUACCUUAAUCGAUGAUCUUAGAUGAAAAGCUUAAACCUUGGACUCCUAUUGUGUCUUUGGAAAUGAUUUCUUAGAAUUCUUGAUUUGGGAAUCCUUAAUCUUGAACUAUGAAUCCUUGGUCUUGAAAUAUUUUGGAGAAUUAAUGGAGAGAUUUGAUUUUUUAGAGAGAAAGUUUGAGCUUUAGGGUUUUCUUUUGAGAGUGAGAAGAUGAAAAGUGAAUAUGAUGAGCUUUGAAUGUGUUAAAUUUUCUGUUAUUCAUGACUUGAGUCUUGGAAAAGACCAAAGAGCUCUUUUUAAAUUUUUACCGGGACUAAAAAAAAUUCCAAUUUAUGCCUCUAGCAUGACGCACCAACAUCGCGGUGGCCUACUAAAAACUGCCAAUUGGGACAUGGAAAAAAUCACCGCGAAGCGGAGCUAUCGUGGUAAGCCUUUGGAAUGACAAUUUGGCCACCUUCGCGAUGUGCCAUUAUCGCGGAGGCUCACUGGACAUUUCAAAAUGUGAAAUGGGAAUCGUCCGCAACGCGCCAUGAUUGCGAGCUUAACUGAAAAGUGACAAUUGUGAGAUGGGACAUCACCGUGAUGCGGUGGAAUCACAGAGUCUCACUGGAAUUUGACAAUCGUGAUUUCAGACUUCUCUGCGAUGCGCUACAGGCCCAAAUCACUAUGUUCUAUGACUGAAACUUAAAAUCGCCAUAACUUCUUACUCGGUUAUCGGAUUAAGGUGAAUCUUAUACAUUGCAAAGCUAAUUUAAUUUCCUACGCAUUGGAGGGUCUAAAACUGGAAAAUUGCACAUGUAUGGAAAGUCAUUCUUUGUUGAAGCUAACGCUUGACAUUCUAGAUGAAAAAUUGAGUUAAGAAAAGUAUGGGGUAUUACAGUUAUAGCAAGAGAUUUAGUCUAUCUAGAUUUUGUCGCUACUAGUAAUUUCUAAAGCUGGACUUUGACCUCCUAGUGUUGGGGUAUGUGAAAUAUAUUCCAGUGUAUUAGCAAAAAUUUUGAGGACCUUCUCAAAAUUUCUGCCCCAAUUUAAUACCAUUUAAGAUGAUCUUGGCUUGAGAGGAACUGUAGUCUUCGUAGGUCUUCAUGUUCUUUUUUGGAUGAUGAUCUUCCUCUUGUGAAUUUUUGAGAUUCCUUCAGGAAAAUUUUGCCCCAAUUUCUAUUUUCUGGGGUUAUAUGACCAAGCCGUUGGGGUGCCUACGUAUCCCAUUGAAGCAGAAAUUAGGCCAAACUUAGUUCAGGACUACUCUAAGGAUAUAUAGAAAAAUCUAAUGGAAUGACCGAAGUUGUCAUAGGCCGCCUACGUAUCACAUUCUUGAGAAUUCAGGUCAUCACGUUGUUCAUACAUAAAAGAAAAGGAUAAAUUCUCCUAAGGGGUUGACCGAGGCCGACAUAGGUCACCUAUGUAUUCCUUUCUUUAGAAUUCAGGUCAAACUUAGUUCGUACAUAAAAGGAAAGGGACUCUAGGCAAUUACGUAUCAUAAAAAUGAAUACCUUCAUAGAAACGAUUACAAAUAAACAAAGAAAACAAAAGCAAAAAAAAUAAUUUUCAAUCAUAGUAUAUCUUUACCACAUCGAAAUUGAUUGGUUUGGUCCACUCUUGACCAUCCAUCUCAGAUAGGUUAGGGCUCUUCCAGAAAGCACCUUCUGAACUAUAUAUGGUCCUUGCUAAUUAGAAGCAAACUUGCCUUUGUACUCUUCUUGGUGAGGAAAUAUGCAUUUGAGAACCAAUUGCCCAACUUCAAAUGUUCGAGCUCUUACUUUCUUGUUGAAGGAACGGAUCAUCCUAUGUUGGUACAACUGUCCAUGACAUACAACAAUCAUUCUCUUCUCAUCAAUCAGCAUGAGUUGUUCAUAGUGACCGCAAACCCAUUCUUCAUUACUUAAUCCGGAUUCUUGAAUAAUCCUUAAGGAAGGUAUUUCAAUCUCGGCAGGUACCACAACUUCAUUUCCAUAAACAAGUAGAUAAGGAGUUGCCCCAGUGAAAGUUCGAACAGUUGUAAGAUACCCUAGUAGAGCGUAGGGCAACAUCUCAUGGCAUGAUUUGUCAUUUUUUAUCAUUUUCCUCAUGAUCUUCUUGAUAUUCUUAUUGGCGGCUUUCACGACUCUAUUAUUCUAUGAUGAUAUGCGGUCGAUUUGCGAUGAACAAUCUUGACUGAUCACGAAUCUCAUUCAUCAAGUGACUGUUCAAUUAGCCCCAUUAUCAGUAAUGAAUGAUUCUGGCACUCCAAAUCAACAAAUCAAGUUAUUCUUAACAAAAUCUUCAACCAUCUGCUUGGUGAAAGCUUUAUAUGAAGCAUCUUUGAUCUACUUAGUAAAGUAAUCAAUAACAACUAAAAUGAAUCUAUGCCCAUUUAACAUCGAUAGAUCUAUUGGUCCGAUAACAUCAAUACCCCAAGCUACGAAAGGCCAAAUCAAAUCUCUGUGUAUCUAGCAUUUUGGGAAAUUCUGCACAUACUUAUUGUAAUCAUUUUCCAUAGUCAUCCGAAAGUAACCAGUUCUCAAGAUCUUUCUCACAAGGGCAAACCUAUUGGGCCUGCAGACUUUGGUGUGUAUUUCUUUUAUUAAUUUUGUAGAUUCUACGACAUCGACACAUCUUAAAAAUCCUAAGUUUAGAGGCCUCCUAAAAAGAAUUUCCUAACUUGUAAAAUAAUUCUUUGUCAAACACCAGAUUGUCUUUUUCUGAUUGUUGCUAGCCUCUUCAAGAUACGCUUCAGAUUCUAAAUACCUUUUAAUAUCAUAGUACCAUGGCUUUCCACCAGGUUUCUCUUUGGCGUGCACACAAUGUAUAGGUUUUCCUUCAAGUUUAUUUCCAGAGGAUCAGUGUAACUCUGAUUUGGGUGCUAAAUCAUGGAGGAUAUAGUAGCCAAAGGAUCAACAAACUCAUUCUAUAUCCUUGGGAUAUUUCUGAAAUCACAUUUCUUUUUUUUCCACACAAAUCCUAUACCAGCUCUACAUAAGGGGUAAUUUUGGAGUUUUUUACUGCCCAUUCUCUCCGUACUUGGUGAAUUAUAAAAUCUGACUCUCCAAUGACUAGCAAUUCACGAACACCCAUAUCAAGUGCUAACUUGAGACCUAAAAUACAAGGCUCAUAUUCAGCCAUGCUAUUUGUAUAUGGGAAGCAUAAUUUAGCGGUUGUUGGAUAGUGUUGGCCUAUUUCUAACACCAAAGCGACUCCAAUUCCUGAGCCUUUGAAGUUGACCACCCCAUCAAAGAACAAUCUCCAUCUAGGUAUAUCUUUGCAAUGUCUUCUCCUAUGAAUAAAAUCUCUUUAUCUGGUAAGUAAGUUCAAAGUGGCUUAUAUUCAUUAUUAACCGGACUCUCAACUAAAUAAUCCGCUAAAGCUUGCCCCUUGAUUGCCUUUUGAGUCACAUACUUAAUGUCGAACUCACUCAGCAACAUUUGCCAUUUGGCUAGCUUUCCUGUAGGAAUGGAUUUCUAAAAUAUAAACUUUAAUGGAUCCAUUAUGGAAAUGAGAUAUGUUGUGUAGGAGGAUAGAUAAUAACUCAACUUUUGGGCGGCCCAGGUCAGAGCACAACAUGUCCUUUCUACAAGAGUGUAGCGAGCCUUGCAUGGCGUAAACAUUUUACUCAAGUAGUAGAUUGCUUUCUCUUUCUUACUGGUCUCAUCAUGUUGCUCGAGAACACACCCGAAAGCAUUUUCAGAGACUGAUAGGUAAAGCAACAACAUACUUCCUUCCCUUGGUGGUACCAAAAUGGGCUAAGCGGAUAGAUAUUCCUUGAUUCCGUCAAAAGCUUUUUGACAUUCUCCUGUCUACUCAUUCAAUGUUUUUUUAUUCAACAUCUUGAGAAUUGGCACACAUAUGACUGUUUAUUGGGCAAUGAACCAGCUAAUGUAAUUUAAAUGGCUCAGGAAACUCAUAACCUCUUUCUUGGUCCUUGGCGGCGAUAAAUCCUAAAUUGUGUUGAUCUUGGAUGGGUCUAGCUCGAUGUCCCUUCUGCUGACUAUGAACCUAAGUAAUUUCUUAGAUGGAACACCGAAAUCACACUUAGGAAGAUUCAACUGUAAGUUAAACUUUCUUAGUCUAUUGAAGGAUUUUUUCAGAUGAGACAGAUGAUCUGAACUCUUGCGGGAUUUGAUAAUUACAUCAUCCACGUACACCUCAAUAUCUUUAUUAAUCAUAUCAUGAAAAAUCAUCAUUAUAUUCCUCAUCUAUGUCGCAUUAUCAUUCUUGAGUCCAAACGACAUCACCCUGUUAUGAUAAACACCCCAGGGCAUAAUGAAAACCAUCUUUUCGUAUCCUUUUCAUCCAUUAAUAUUUGAUGAUACCCGAUGAAAUAAUCCACAAAAAACUGCAUUUAAUGCUUCACACAAUUAUUGAUGAGGAUAUGGAUGUUGGUUUGUGGAAAAUUAUCUUUAGGUCUGGCUCUAUUCAAAUCUCUAUAGUCAGCACAAAUUGAAAUCUUGCCGUUCUUUUUUGGCACUGGGACAAUAUGAGCUAGCCAUGUUGGAUAUUUUGUGACCUUCAUAACCUUAGAUUGAAUUUUCUUCGUCAUUUCUCCCUUUAUCUUCAAACUUAAGUUCGAAUUGAAUUUCUGCAUUUUUUGCUUAACUGGAUCAAACGCGGGAUUGAUUGGUAACUUAUGCAACACAAUGUUGGUGCUUAAUCCCGGCAUAUCAUUGUAGGAUAGAGUAAAUAUGUCAAUGUACUCCUGUAUCAAGCGAAUGAGUUUUUCUUUUUAUGCUUCUGCUAAGUGAACACUAACACUUGUCUCAUUGAUUUCAUCAUUGUCGCCCAACUUGAAUAUUCCAAUUUCCUCCACGUUGAGCUUCUCUUGAUUUUCAAAUUCCUCUAUAUCUUCCAUUAACCGCUCCUGAUCACAUUCUUUAUAUUUAUCAUCAUUCCUAUUACUUUGUUCGUCUAACCCUUGACAGGACAUGGCAUUGGCAGGUUUUAAAUUACUGCUACUAAAAUAAACAAACAAACCAAGUUAGAUGAUAACGAGAUCAUAACAUAUGAUAAUAUAAUCAUAUUUCAAAAUAACUUCUUAGAUAAAGGGAGGCCUUUUCAUUGAAAUUUGGGAAAUAAUUACAAACUAUGGCUCAUGACCCACGCAACUAUGGGUCCAUGCCUUUUUUGAAAACAGUAAAACACGAAAAGAAAAUUUGAAACAUAAAUGGGUGGAUCAUGAGGCCUCCUUUGGAUCAUCACUAAUUUUUUAAAACUACUAGUAAUUGCUCUUUUAUCUACCACGAUGAGCGACAAGUUAUGAGUGAUGUGGAGGUCCAGUUCCGUAAAGCCACUAUUGGUGAAAUCUUUCUUACCCCACUAGACUUGGGAAAUAUUCUAGAAUAACAUUGCAUCCUUCGAACAGAUUUCUUAUCUCAUCCCCAAUACCAUUAUUUUUUGAUACCUCACGCACAGGUAACGACUGGUACUAGAAUGAUAACGGUUUGGAUAGACGUCUUUAACUUAUUUUCAAUCUUAUCAUCCUUUGUUGGUUGGUAUCCUAACCCAUAAUUAGAUGUUUUUUCUGUGAUCAUAUUGGACACAAUAAUUCCUUCCAAAUUCUUACCCAAAUCCCGAUCGAGCUUGAACCUACUUCUUAAUAUUGUAGUUGCAAUUAUUUUGUAAAUAGAAGGCAUUAGUGCUUAGGGCGUUAGAUAUUUCUCUGCAUUACUUAGAAUUUCCUCUAUAUAAAAACUAUUACCCCUCAAAAUAUCUUCAAUAACAGGUAUAUAAAAAUUGGGAUAAUUCAAAUGGCUUCAUUCUCCUUGAAUAACUCCUUCAUAGUCUCCCCAAAUAAGCUUCAAUAAUUGAUGAAGGGUUGAUAAAACUGUCUUUGCACCAUGGAUCCAUGGCCUCCCCAGAAGCAGGUUGUAACUAGGAUGGAUAUCCACAACAUGAAAUUUAGCCUUGAAUUCAGCAGGUUACAUAUGGAUGUACAAGUCAAUUUCACCUAUAGUAUCUCACUACCGUCCAUCAAAAGCCCGCACAUUAACAUGACAUUGGCAAACUUUUCCCAAGUCAUUGCCUAUUUGAACUAAUAUGGAAAGAGGACAAAUGUUCAAACCAGAUCCAUCAUCAAUCAAUACCCGAUUAAUCACAUAGUACCGACAACUGACAAUAAUAUGUAAGGCUUUUUUAUGCAUCACCCCCUCAAGAGGCAACUCUUCCUCACUAAAUGAUAUAUGAUGACUUCCUACAACAUUCCCUAUCAUUGCAGUCAGAUUCUAAAUGCUUACGCCCUGCGGGAACAUAUGCUUCUUCCAGGACCUACAAUAGAGUUUUUUGGCGGUAUUGCAAACUCAUUAACAGUGCCCAAAUAGAAAUCUGGGCUGGAGUCUUUUACAAAUGCUUGAAAAUUGAAUACUUUUUUGAUUGCAUACGCCUCCAAAAUUCCUCGGCCUCUCUUUUAGUUAUUGACCUUUUCUGUGAAUCCUUCCUAUUGGUCAAAUCUUCAGGAAUGUAGCAUCGUCCAGACCGUGUCAUCCCCUGAGUGUCAGUAGUCUUUACAAUAAAUUCCUUCCUAGGUAGUAAAGUAUAUACCUGAGUCAAGGCUGUCAUUACUAUAAAUGGGCGACUUUAAUUGAGACUUAAGGCAUCUAUGACUCUCUCUAUCUUCUCUACUCCUUCCGUCCUUUUAGAUUUUUCUAAAUCCACCUUAGUGAUGGUCUUGCUGGACACCUAUUGGCCCUCUAUUUUUAUCAUGUUAAAUGUGGCUCUCCCAUGAUUAGGCAAUGGAUUACUGUUGACAUUUGUUGCAGUGACUGAAGUUGAUGGCCUUUUUAUCAAUCAAGUCUUGAAUCUUAUACUUUAGGCUAACGCAAUCCUCGGUACUGUGCCCUACCGCUCCUGAAAGAUAGGCACAAUUUUGAUCGGCAUGAUAAAAUCAAUAAUUAGGACUGGUAGGUUUCAAUCGAAUAGGCUAUAAAUGACCGACGUCUUUUAAUUUUCCAAAGAGUUGGGUGUGACUUUCAGCUAAUGGCGUGAAGUUUCGGAGAGGUCUCUUUUUGAGGUUUAUAUGUGCGGGUUAUAAUGGGUUUGAUUAGCAGGAGGGGGUACUUGACGAUAAUUUUAAGGUGCUUGGAUGUUUAUUCGGUUGUUUGGAAAGGCAUCUUGAACAUGAUACUGAUAAUUUGGCUGCAGAACUUGGUAUUGGGGUAAAAUAUUUGGUUGUGGAGCAUGGUAUUGGGAUUGUAUAUUUAGAAGUGGAGCUUGGUACUGGGAUUGUAUAUUUGGAAGCAGAUCUUAGUAUAGGGGUUGAGUGUAGAACAUAUGCUGAAAACUUAGUAACGGUAGAGAAGAGAGAACAUUCCUAGGCUUAAAUUUCUUCUUCAAUUUAGUAACAAAAUUAGUAGAGACCGUAGUCACAUCUUUUUUUCUUAUUUAGGAAUACAGAAGUCCCAGAUGAUGUUGGGGUUUUAACAAUCUUUCCUGUUCGAACGCCUUCUUCUAGUGAUUCCCCAACUUUUACCAAAUCUUCGAAAGUUUCCCUGAUCGUGAAUACCAUCCUAGUAUAAAAUUCUCCCACCUGAGCGCGAGAGAAAGUCGACACCAUUUCCUCGUCAGAUAUAGGAGGUUGUACCUUAGCAGCUUAUUUUCUCCAACGGAAGACAUAGUCUCGAAAAUACUCAUCAUUUUUCUGCUUGAUCUGGUCUAGUGAGUAUCGAUCAGGGACUAUUUCAAUGCCAAAUACAAACCUAUUGAGAAAGCUUUUAGCCAACGCCUUCCAGCCGGACUAUCUUCUUAGAUCCUUAGAUAUGAACCAAUAUAAAGCUUCGCCACUCAAGCUUCUACUCAAUAGGCACAUUAGUAACUCCUCAUUUCCCCUACCUGACCAUUUGAUUGCAAUACCUUCGUAAAUGAUCCAUAGGGUUUUCGAUGCCAUUGAAUGUUUCGAAUUUAGGGACCUUGUACCCUUUUGGUAGAUCUACUCCAGGGUGAACAAAUAGAUUAGCGUACCCUAGACUACCAUUGUCCCUUGUCCCAUGAGACUCCUUGAUCCUUGUAAUCUCUUCAUUCAUGACCAACAACUUCUUUUCAUGCUUGGUCCUCUAUUUCUUUUCCUUUUCCUUAUAAUGGUCUACCUCAAGAUUAUGACAGGGGUUGUAGAUGUCGAAGCAUAUAAUAAUAUGAGAAAGAUUUGGGAUGGUAGCUUGAUUUUGAGGAUGAGAGAAUGUUGAGUGGUAGGGAGUAUAACGACCUGAAAAUGGGUCCUAAGACGUCACACGAAGCUCAAGACUAUGAGUAGCCUUAAGCUAACCCUGUAAGCCAUCUACUAAAUCUAAAACUCAUAAUAGGGAAGUAUAGAUAUAUAAUCAAGCUAAAAUAUGAAAUUCUGUAUGAGCUAAGCUUAAACUGUCUAAUUAUAAUAUCUAAAAAUACUUAAAUCAAGAGUCUGAUAAAUCAAUACUGAAAAUCUGAACUAUGUCUAGCAGUCUGACAAGCCUCUACAACUAAAACUAGAGAGUCAUUGGGACAAACCUCCAGCUAACUCAAACUGUCUAAAAAUACUGAAUCAUCUAUACUAGUAAGCUGGAAAAAAUUAAAUGACUAAGUCCCCAAACUAUGAGGAUUCACCAAUUGUCUGGUUGUAGAUGGAGAUGCUCGAAAUCACUCACGCUGCUGAAACUGAGCACCUGAACCAACAUUACGAGACAAUGUAGCAUAUAGACGUAUAUGUGGAUCAGUACUUCUGGAUUGUAUUGAGUAUAUGGGAGUGAAUACAUAAGUAAAACAAUAUCUCAACAUUAUUACAAUUUGUUAAAAGAUACAUGCUAAAUGUAGAUGACUCACAUAAACAGGAAUAUCUAAAAGCUGUAAAUCAAAAUCAAGAUAACAAAACAUGUUGCAUAAAUCUAGUGAUUCAUAACAUUUAGUUUUUAAAAGUUGUACUGGUAUUCUGUCUUUAAAUCAUACUGUCUAAGUGUAGAAAGGAAUCACUUCUGAAUCUGAAAUUUAAAAAUUAAAAUCUGUAGCUAAUGUCUUUCUGUAAAACAAUAUUUGUGUAAAGUUGUGAGCCAGUACACUUAGUUUCUAAAACUUUCUGUUAAGAUUAUUCUAUAGUCUUUUCUAUUAGGGAGGUUCUUCUAACCGACAUACACUAUGUGAGCUAUCAUAGUGUCCAACGUCUAGUUCCCUUAUGGGAAAACCUCCCGUUGGGGAGAGGUGUCAUACUCUUUCCAAGAAGUAUAACGUAAUAUAAGUGAUCACAUAUGUAUCUGUCAUCCAUAUAGAAAUGGAAAUAAUCUGAUAAUCUGAACCUACGGUGGCUCGUAGUUCUGGGACAUGUCAACAUACCCUACUUGAUGCUAAAUACUACUCCCUUUAAUAUGUAUGCUCAUUCUAUUGGAAAUCCACUUUUAAAAACUAGUAUAAUGGUUUAUAAUUAAAACCAACAGUAUAUCUGUUAAUUUAGUAUGUAAUUGAAACUAUAAAGUGGAUUCCAAGUCUAAACUGAGAUCAAAAGAUCGAAUCUUUAUCAAAAUCUAAAAAUAGUUAAUCAUAGGAUGCUUAAUGUAUAGUCAUUCUUGAAAUAUCGACAUACAAACUAGGGAUUAACAACCCAUGCAUCAAAUUCAUGUCAAAACAUCAUAAGGUUCAUGCUUGAUAAUUUAAGUAUUGAUAAUUCAUCUCAAAAACUGAAAAUUUCUGCAAUACGCAUGAAAAUAUGAAAAUAAACAUGCAAAUUCAUCAUCUAAAUCACUUCAAAUCUCAUAAUCUUUCAAUUAGUAAUAAUGGGUAUGAACCCUAAUCUGAAACUCAUGUACUUUCAUACAAAAUCAACUUUAAAACUAAUUUUGGGCACAAGGAUAAAAGGAUCAUCCUUGUUGAAAACCCCCACAUACCUUAAUUGAUGCAAUUGAUGAGACCACUUGAUUUUGGAUUCCUAUUUUUGCUCUUGAAGAUGGGUUCUUGAUAAUCUUGAAUUGGAAACCUUGAAUUUUGAGUUUCCUUGGAGAAAGAAUGGUGGAAUUUGGAAUUUUUGGGAACUAACUUUUGAUGUUAUAAGAUUUCUUUGAGAGAAAUUUAAUGAAAAGUGGGCAUAUAAUGGUUAGAAUAAGUUUGAUCCAAUGUUUUACACAAUUUGAGGCUUGGGAAAAAGACUAAAUUGCCUUUAAAAAAUUAAGUUCGAAAACUAAAAUCCCGAUUUUGGGCCCCCCCGCGAUGCGCCACUAUCGUGGUGACUUACUGGAAAAAGGAUGAUCGCGAGUUUAACCCUUAGCGCGACGCGGUGCAAUCGUGUUAGGCUACUAGAAAAGGGACGGGCCACAUUUUUUCCAUUGCCGCGACGUGCUGAAAUCGCGUCGCCUCACUAGAAAAAGACGAACUGGAUUUGGAACUUCUCCGCGACGUGGGCUAAUUGCGGUGCUCCACUGAAAAUAAGACAAUUGAUAUUUUGGCCUUCACCGCGACGCGGUGCCUGUCGAGAUGCCAUAUCAUUUGAUUAAAAAUGUCAUAACUUCUUAACCGAGGAUCGGAUUGAGGCUAAAUUGGUAUCGUUGGAAAGCUGAGCCAAUUAUCUACACAUUGGUGGGUCUAGAGCUUGAAAAUUCUUCAUGUAUCAAGAUUUAUUCAUUUUCAAAGUUGACCCUUAAUAUUAUAAGAGUUAAAUUGAGCUAGGAAAAAGUACGGGGUAUUAUAGGAAGGGAGAACAUUUUGAAAAUUAAGAAUAGUUUGUAGAAUUUGAGAGUAGUUUGGUGGAAUCUGAGAGGAAUUAUGUUGAUUUGAAAAUGAGUUUUGUGGAUUUGAAGAUGGAUUUCUUGGAUUUGGAAGCGAAUUUUGUGGGUUUGAAAAUGGAUUUUAGGGAUUUGGGAUGAAUUUUAUGGAUUUGGAGAUGGAUUUUGUGGUUAGGGGUGGACUUUGUGGAUGGUAAGCAUCUGGGGUAUUUUCUCGAUUGGUUUUUUGGACAGCAUGAAUUGAAGGAUUAUGGAUUAUGGGAUCUAUGGGUAAUUGGGAAGCAGAGGCGUAUAAUAUAUUGGAUGGUCCCCGAGAAUAGGCGUAUUGAGGGGAGGAAUUUGGAGUGGAGGCUCGUGUCCACCUGGGCCAGGAGCGUUGACAAUGAUGGCCAGAUUAGUCAAAUCUCUAGUACGGUUUAUCUCAUCUUAAAGCAUUUUGAAUUUUCUCGCAAGUUCAGCAAUCAUCUCGCUUUGUUCUACUAUCACACUAUUCCUGAUGGUUAAUGCAUUAUCUUCAUCGCAUCCAGUCAUAUUUGAUUGAUGGUUAGGGGUGGGAUUUUAUGAAUUUUCAACCGGGUGAAGUAAGGAUGUUCUACCAGCUUGUUUCAACACGUAGUAUUUUUUUGUUAUCUGUAAAGUAAAAUAACUCAAAGGCAGAUAUGUUAGAUCCCAUAUAUGAUAAAUAAUACAAGAUAUUUGACAAGAAGUAAUCACAUAGAGUUGUUUGGAUUAUAGGCAAACUGAUCCACGAGAGCGUAGCGGAUAAAUUUGUCUUUGAUUCAAACAAACGCACAUAAAUAUAUAAGGUAGUUAUAUCACAUAAUAACAUUAUAAUAAAUGCAUAUCCUAGUUGGGGUGAACCUUUUGAGCCAAGGGUUGGCCUAACGAAUUUUGAAGAAAAUAUAUACGUUUUUAAAAUCCAACCCAUUAUCCCUAAAUUUACAUAGAUAUAUAAAAAGGGCAUAAACGCCUACAAAAGUAGCAUAAGAGGGAUACAAUCUUGUAGGGGAAAGUAAGAUAACAUAAAAUAAAGAACAAGGUCUCGCACAGGGGAUAGAAAGACUAGCUCCUAGAUGUUCAUUCAUUGGCCCUUGUCUUCUUAGCCUUAUUAACCUCUUUCCAUAUGUGAUAUCUGUUGAUGAUCAGGUGGCUCCCGCAUAACUGUGCUUUAUUUUUAUUGGUCAUCUUUUCUAUGCUAACAAUUCGAGAACCAUGCAAUUAUCCAAAUUGAUUUGACACCGCCAAACAUGAUCAACCUCUUGCCUGACUCUCUUUAACAUCAACCUCUUGCCUGACUCGCUUUAACUCUUCUCUCAACUGGUGUAUGGUUGAGGCAUCUCCAUAUGCAUCUGUUGGUGCUCGGUCUCACUUUUUUGGAAUUCGUCUUGAAGACUUUGGAGUCGAAUCUGAUGUUUUAAUUCUAUAUCAACAACUCAAGUGGGUACAUUCAAUACCGGGAUCAAUGUUCCAGCAAAACUCUUCUUCAACCCACUCCUUGGAAGUGUCACUGACUUCGGGUUCAUGCCCAAUUAAAAAAGAUACUUCGUUUACCUUUCUUCUUCUUCAUCCAUCUACCAUAUAGUCUUUGAGCGGGAUUUUGCCUUCUUCAUAAUCAGUGACGAAUCUAAGCAUAGAUGCAGUUUGGGGAUGUCUCCUGCUUGAUUUCGAAUUGCCUAAGGACUUUGCUAGGAUUAUAAAGACGAGUCCCCCUGAGGCCUGGAAGUACUAGAAAAGGCCAUUCGCCCCCUCGAGUGAUAUAUUUCCCUGGGCGAAGAUAUCUGAUAGACCACUGGAUACCGUCAUCUCUUAAUUCCCAAAAAAACUUAAACCAAAAUUCUGGAGAUGCUUUCCUCUUAAACUUGUGCAGGAACAACCACAUGUCAUGCGAUGAUAGAAGAUCUACCCUUGUCUGAGGGUCUGGCUGCUCCUUUCUAGGAUUUUUCACUGUGUCAUCAUCCACCAUUGCAAGAUGAGGUUUCAACCUUUAAAGAAAUGAUGCUCGGUUUUACACCUUCCCAAAGCCCGAUAUAUUUUAGCUACAAUCAUGGGAGCUAAGGAUUGGAAUACCUUUGUGGAACCAUACUUCAUCCCAUAAAAAAAUGUGUGUGUGUCACCGUAACGACUCUUAGAUGAAUGGUGCUAUUUUCUCCUUGUGGGAACACCAUAGUUCUGAGUAGACCUACUGCAAAUGUUUUUUCCUCCUUUCAUUUUGCGUCUAAUUCAAAUUUAUGUCUAAACUCCUCAAAAACAUUAUACCUUCUAAACAUGCGAUACAACUCACGAAAAUAUAUGUUUGCUCCGCCACAUUCCCCCAACCAGGUACAUCAUCGAGUGAAAAGGACGGUUCCAUAUAAUAGGGACUAGAAUACUUUUAUCAGGCGAACUUAUUCUUUUCACACACAUAUCAAUGCUUUCAUAAUAAGCCACUACUUCUUCAAUAGUGGAAGUCAAUUCAAUGCCCCCAAAACAAAACACCAUAUUGUCAUCAUCCCAAAAUGUCAUUAGCACAUGGACUAUUUCGAGCCAAGAAUCCAUCUCUAUGAGCGAAGGCAGGUGCCUGAUAUGCGUACUAAUAAUCUUUUUAUCUUCUUCGCUCAUAUGCAUCCACUAUAUUUUUAGGAAGUUGUCCGGUUCGAUAACCAUCUUGAAUCUCACAGGGGUAUGGUUAGGUCAUUCCUAUACGGAAGAAAACAAGGAUGAGCCUUCCCCUUACCCCAAAAGAUAAUGGAUUGAAUUAAAUAAAUAUAUAUUUUUUCAACACAUAAAUAUGGCUCGUCUGUGAUUGACUCGGAGUCAAUAAACGCCGAUCAAGUAUUCAAAUAAACCCAAUUUCCCCUCGAGUAUUGGAUCGUCUUAGGCUCAUACCUAAAAAAAGGUUUUGGUUUCAUUCUAUCCUAGAUGUCUAGAGUGUGCUUGAACCAAGUUCCUAAGUGAACGACUUGGGUUUGAAAAUACGAACAGCCAUCGGACGCCUCUCGUACGGAUAAACCGUUAUAUUUCCAACACCUUAUUUGGAGUUAAACAAUAGGGACCUAGACAUCCACGAAACUCCAAACAAUUUAUAUAUUUCAAAUGGAAAACAUGUCAUUAAAUGCAAUAGUUUAGUUUUGCAGAAUUUAAACAUAUAAGCAUAUAAACAGUUUAAACACUAUAUCAGUUAGUCAAAAAAGGCAAAUUCAAACAUUUGGUUAGAACCUAAUUAAAAUCUCAAGCAGAGUCGCCAUUUCAGUUUUAUUCCUUUUUAACUUGAAGGAUUGAAAAAUAUUGGUUUCAACUUUUUAAACUAUUUCGAGACUUUAAAGAAAAUUUUGAAGUAAUCUAAAAAAUUACAGGGUCGCCACUUAAUUUAUUUGAAAAAAAAUUAAGAAAACUUUUAAAGAAAAUCCUAAGUCUUAAAAUAGAAAAAGACUUGGACUUUGAAGAAAAUCCCGGAUAAGAGGUUCUUAUUAACAUCUUAGGAAGAUCUUUAAGGCACCUAAAAUGUGCGCUAACUUGCGGUUAUCCGGACUAUUUAAAAAUGAUUCUUCGACUAACUUGGAGAAAAAUAUUAAUUUUUUUUUGGAAAAGAAAUUGAUUGAGAAAACAUUGUUGAGGGUUAUACAAAACAUCUUUUUGACGACUUCGUUGGGAAUUUAAAUAGGCCAUAGGAAAUUGCUAGCAAACAAACAUAAGGAAAAAGAGAAAGGGAAGAGAUUGAGAGAUCUAGACCCCUUUGGGCCAAAAUCUAUGAACUUGUCCUAAACUAUUCGUUUGGAUUUUUGGCUCACCUGCACCUGUCCUAAACUAGUCACUUUGGGCUAAGAGCCCCCAACCACUUUACUUGUAUUAAUUUACAACUUUAACUUCGAGGCCCAAAUGAAUGAAUGAAUAAAUAAAUAAAAACAACAAUACAAAUUUAACAUCAACGGGUUUCGACCAAUUUUUCUUCUUCCACAGCAACAGACUCUUUUAUCCAAAGUGAUCGGCUAUAAGGGAUGGGCCUCAUUGGCCCAUUAUGGAAUGCCAAAGGAGAAGAGUCCAUUUGGACUCCGAACAGAUUCACAUGAAAAAGAAGACAUAAAGGAAGUUAAGACGCAUGCAAAACGGAGGAGUAAUAUAACAGAAUGAUAGAUGAAAGGAAACUAUUACGGCCCAAAAUAAAAAUAAAAAUAAAAAUUAAAGACAGUAAGUCAAGAUAUAGAACGGCCAAAGAAAAUGGGCAUGCUUGACUUAGUAAAGUCAUGCAAUUAUAGCUAUCAUCAAUACCUAAAAACGGAUAGACCGAUUUUAAAGAAUAGAGAUAUUUAAGACUAACUUCGUGGGUGGGUGUGGGGGGGAUCCAGUGAGCAGGGAUAAGAAUGAUAAGAAAACACAAACUUGCAAACAAGCAUUUAGGGAUAAAAGAAGAGAAGCAUGUGAGAUUACAUUGCCUUUCUCCAAGGCUUCAUCAGUUCCUUCUUUAACAUCAUGAACUAGGGAGAACCAUCAAAUCCUAAAAUGUGUUCAUUAUAGCCUUAAAGUCGAUCAAAGCAUCACAAAGAAAAUCAAUGGAACCGCGAGAAGACGUCUCGGGUAAAUUUGAAAGAAAAAUUUCAGAAAGUUUCUUUCGAAAUAGGGCGCAACAACAUGCAAACUUUAAUAAAGAUACUAAACCAUUAAUGAACAAGAGAACAAGAAAAGGCACUAAGACAUACACUAGAGUUGGAAAUUAAACUACACAAACCUCAUGAGCAACUUAUUCAUGAUGUCAAAUAAGAAAGGAAACAUUUAAGAUGAAAACUUUAGAAUGAGUCGAGCACCCAGAGAGAAAAAGGGGAAAAAUUUAAAAUGAUCCAAGCAAAAAUAUGCUUAUCUAAAGCUGCCGGCAGAAGGAUCUUAGAGAUGAAGAUCGUAUAUGAUGAAACUCCAUUUCAUUUAUUAAUUCCCACUUUUGAGAGAAGAACUAGAAAAUGUUCUCCCAAAAUUUGCCUUUAUAUGUUCAUUGAAGCAAAAGUCAAAGUAAUUGUAGAAUUUCAAGCAAAGUGAAUCAAUUCCACACCUACACUGUGAUUGAAACAAAAGCCAUUAGAAGAGGUGAAACAACUCGAUGUGCACAAGAAUUAACUACUUUUUGACGACGAUUAAUGUACCCUAGCCCCUUUUUAUACAAAAAUGGGUGUUACCAAAACUCAAAAUAGCAACAAAGGUUGGAGUAAACCAAGAAACAACUUAAAAUAGAACAUCUUCCAAAUUACUAUAUUUAUCCUUAGGAGAAAGAAAGCAACAAUAUGUUCCAUAGAGUAGGUACAUUAAUCAGGCAUUUCACUACACAUAUAGUAUGCAAAGCCAAUUUUAUCCUAUUUGAUUUCUCUAGCAAAUGAUAACACAAAUGAGGAAAAAUAUAACUUUAAACAGAACAUUGACACUAUGUUGAAUACAAGCAGAUGUAAAGCUCCCAACCUAAUAGACGUUAAAGUAAAUCGUAAAGAGGAAGGAACAACACAACUACUAUAAACCUAUUUCGAAGGAAAAGAAAAAUUAGCACACCACUGAAUUUUACUUCUAUACAAAAAAUAAACACUAAAUUAGAAUGAACAGCUCCAUAAAACAGUCUUAAACAUACACCGAUUGACGCGUUCAACCAUGAAUCACAAACAUCAAGCAACCGACGAAAUGAACGAAACUAUUGCAAAUUUUGUUACACACAAGUCCUAUGGCAUGUAAGCCUUCCUACAACAAAUAAUUCCCAGCACUUCUAUCAUUACUAACGACAAAGAUAUAAGGCUAAUACGCUAAAAAAAUUAAUGAGAAGAAGAAAAAAUACUGAAAGCAAAAGAGCCAAAAUACCUGUUUCAGGGCAACAAAACAGGACUUUAGGCUUCUGCCGGAGUAACAACCACCACCAAAAAAUAUUGUCGUCAACUCGAGAACUUCGAUUAGCCAGCGAAUUUCAUGAAAAAGGAAAAUUUUUACUAAAAUUUUUACUCUUUUUGAUCAAAGCUUUUUCCAAACCGUGAGACUUGUCCUCAAUUUGCUCCACAAUGAGCUAUUUAUAGAAAAUAAAAUGGAAGAAAUUUUUAGCUUUCACCGAUGUGGGACAAAGGAUUUUCAAGGGUAAUUUGGUGAAUUUUAAUGGGGUAAAUUUGAAUUUGGCAUGUGGAUAAGGUUUUGUACCUCAUUCUAGUACUGAUUUUUGGAACUUUCUGAAGAAAAUUUAAUGGGUUUAAUCAAUGGAAAUUGGGAAAAAGGAAUAAUCCCCAAGAACCAAUAGAAUUAGCAUAAAUGUGUACGAAUUCAUACCAAUUUCCCCCCAAAUUCAUGGAUUUGAAUGUUAGACGAGCCAGCUAAGUAAUUUGUAGAAGAUUCUCGGCAUCUUCCUUAUACAGAUCCGCGUGGGAGGGCACGUGAUGCAUACGAGAAACGAGUUGAGGUCAGGUCGAUUGUGGGUCGAGGUGUGGCUGAAGUUGUUGGAGUUGUUAUCAUCCAUAUUGAAGGUGUUUGCUGAUAGAAUUGUUGUUUAUUGAAAUUGAAGAAGAAAAACAAUGGGCUGGGUCUUGGGAUUUUGGGCUGCUGGUUCAGUUGAUUGGAGUGAUUGGGCUAGAGUAUUAUUGGGCCUGGGGCAGGUCAGCCAUGACAUGGGCUGUUUGUUGUUAUUGUUUUGCGGGCAAAAUUCAGAAAUAAUAUACUUAACUCUUUAAUUAUGAGAUUCAUAGCAACACUUUCAUAAUUGCAUAUUAUAGCAACUUUUGAUAUGUAUUUUUGUAAAGUGUUGCUAUAAAAAUACAAAUACAAUUGUUUUUACUGCAUUAAUUGUCUGAUCUAAAUAUGGUAAUAAUUCCAUAAAUUAACAAUUAAAGAUUACAAUCCCAUUAAAAGCUCACUAAUCACCCUUUUUUCGUUACCUUCAAACAACCCUAUUCAAAUGCAAAAAAAAUAAAAAAUUGUAUUAUCCACUCGCUAUAUGCGUGAUUCUUCUUCUUAAAAAAAAAAAAAAUUCAAUUCAAUUUUCCAGUCGCUAAACGCAUGAUCCUUCAAAAAAAAAAUCAAUUCAAAUUCGUUGUAAUUGAACAAUCAAAUUCAAUUGUACUUGUUGAUGUUCAAAAAAAAAUUUGUAAAGUUCAACUAUUAACAUUACCUUGUUCUCGAUAACACUUUGGAAUUCAAUUAUCUUCUACGAAUUAGUGCUUAAGUGUUGUUUUAGGUAUUACCGUAUUUUUUUUAGUAUAUUUUGUUUUUACCGAUUGUUUUUUUCAAUUACUCAAUUUGUGAUGCAUCGUAGAUUUAUUUACUGAUGCUCCUAUCUAGUUUUUUGUUGUCACCGUUAAAUUUUGUAUGAAUAAUUUCUAAACGAAUUUCGAGUUAUAAGCAAUGAAGGAGUAAAUUCAACAUAUAUAACAAAAACCUUCAGAAUUCAACUAUUUGUUGCCAAAUUUCAGUUUAGAAAUUGUUUCAGGUAUUGAAAUUUCACUGUUUGAUUAUUUAUUUGAUGAUCGUUUGUUGUUAUUUUGAUCGGUUUAACAAUUGAACAAAUUGUGAAGCUUUGUAGAAUUUCGAUUAUGAACAUAAUUUAAACAAAUUUUGAUUUGAAUUUUAUUCAAUUAUUUUCUGAAAUCCUAGAUCAAUGAAUGAUCGAAUUCAGCUGUUGAAUGUGAUGAAAUUCUAUUGACACAUCAAAAUACAAAUUAAGUAUGCUCCCAGAUGUACUUUUUUGUGUUUAAUGUUAAAAUUACAUAUGUAUUUUUGCUAUGCUUAGUGUUAACACUACAUAUGUAUUUUUGGUUUGUUUGUCGGAAUUUCAGAAUAUAACUGUACAUGUGAAAAUAUAUGUUAUACGUGUUUUACUUCUAUUCGAUUUAGUAGUUUCUGUAUUUGGUUGAAAACUUUUGUUGUGUUUAUAUUUUACUUUAAACAAAUUUAUUUUAAUGUAUUUUUUGAACAAAUUGUGAAGCUUUGUAGAAUUUCAAUUAUGAACAUAAUUUAAACAAAUUUCUAUUUGAAUUUUAUUCAAUUAUUUUCUAAAAUCCUAGAUCAAUGAAUGAUCAAAUUCAGUUGUUGAAUGUGAUGAAAUUCUAUUGACCCAUAUCAAAAUACAAAUUAGGUAUGCUCCCAGAUGAAUGAGACGUCUAUAACAAUUAUACUGCCACCAAAGUACAAACGCCCUCCUGGAAGACUUCCUGCAAAGAAGGAUCGUGAAAAAUCGGGUCGAGAUAUGUUUGAAAAGAACAACAUCAACUCAUGCAUUGGAUGUGGGGCUAAGGGUCACAACAGACAUAUGUGGGGCUAAGGGUCACAACAGACAUUCUUGUAGAAAAUAUCAUAAAUGAUACAUUUUUUUUUCUGUAUUAUUUUUUAAUACUUUCUUCUGCACUUUUUAUAAUAAUGAACUCAUUUUUAUGGUUCUAAACAUUUAUUUAGCAUUUGCGAUCUAAGCACUGUUUAAUAUGAAUGUUGCAUUUGUAUAUAAUGCAAAAUCUGAACACUGCUUAUGUAUUUUGAAUCUACAUAGCAUAUGUAUUUUGAACACUGUAUCUGUAUUUUUAGUACAAAUUUAGUAACUUUGGUUAACCUCAUAUGAAUGUUAGCUUUAGAAUGAAGAAAAAUUAAAAUAAAUAUGAUGUAUAUUGCAUACGUAUUUUUAAUGCAGUUUCAUAUGAUUGUAAUAAAAUUUUAAAAUAAAUUAAUUUCAUGCAUUUUUCUAAAUUAGUUAGUUUGAAUCACCUCAUAAUUAUUUUGUAACUAUUGAACAAAGGAUAAAUACAUAUGAUAUAUUCUGCAUAUGUAUUUAUUUAAUGUCAAAUCUGAACACUGUAUAUGUAUUUUUGAUCUCUAAAUCUCACAACAAAAAAAAUAAAACUGCAUAAAAUACUUAAAUGAAUUUCUUUCAUUCAAUUCACAAACUUAAAGUUGAAUUCAUCUCAUAUGUAUUUUGAAAGUAAAUGAACACAAAUUAGAAUAUAUAUGAAGGUAAGUGCAUAUGUAUUUGUAUUGAAAAUUUCAAGACUACAUAUGUAUUUCAGAGGUCAAUCACACUGCAAUCAAUAUUAUUAAACACUGGAGUAAAACACAUAGUACAAAAUUGUUGAAAACAUAUUCAACUUAUACAACAGAAAUUAAUUACUUUCAUUCACUUCAAAAUAAGUAACAUUUAAACACUUCAAAACAUGAAAUAAGUUUGUACCAAAAAAAACAACAUCCAUACACCAGUUUGUCGACUAUCCAAUGUAAUAAAUUCAACAAUCAUCAUAUUUCUAAAACUUCAGUGACACUAGUUAUUCGGUUUUGCCUGCCAGGCCUUAAGGGUGCUUCGACAUCGCUAUGAGCAUUUGCUUCAUGUUUUCCCAUGCCAUAUAUAGUCCCACAAUAGUGCAGCAAUAUGUACGAAGUGUGUUGGGUUUGAACUCAAUCAAAGGAACUCUUUUACCAUAAGAAAGACACUCUGCGUAUGUUACCAUAUACAGACCACAGUCCCUACAAAAAAAAAAUUGAAUAAUAAAAUUUAAUUUCUACAAACGAUAUCGGUAAAUGUAUAUUAAAGUACUUACAAGCUUUCACUUAAUUGUUGGACCAAUUCUUCUGCAAAUAACACAUCAAAAAGAUCUGACAAGUUUUUAUCUUUGUAUAUUAGAUAGUUAUGAAGAUCAAUACCUUUCUUUUCGUAGAAAUUACAAGCUUUAAGGGUGCUUCGACAUCGCUAUGAGCAUUUGCUUCAUGUUUUCCCAUGCCAUAUAUAGUCCCACAAUAGUGCAGCAAUAUGUACGAAGUGUGUUGGGUUUGAACUCAAUCAAAGGAACUCUUUUACCAUAAGAAAGACACUCUGCGUAUGUUACCAUAUACAGACCACAGUCCCUACAAAAAAAAAAUUGAAUAAUAAAAUUUAAUUUCUACAAACGAUAUCGGUAAAUGUAUAUUAAAGUACUUACAAGCUUUCACUUAAUUGUUGGACCAAUUCUUCUGCAAAUAACACAUCAAAAAGAUCUGACAAGUUUUUAUCUUUGUAUAUUAGAUAGUUAUGAAGAUCAAUACCUUUCUUUUCGUAGAAAUUACAAGCUUGGGACACAAUGGGGUAAUCUCAGCUAAUUUUUGUAUCUCAGCCAGAACAACUGCAUAGUGACCAGAGAAUUCAUAUAAAUUAUAUAAGAAUAUGCAUCUCUCGGAGAAUGAUAAAAUUGCGAGAACCCAAUGAUGUUUCUCAAAUUUAACAAAAAAAAAAUCUUGUAAAACUUUAAAAAAAUAACAAAACACAUUAAAACUACACCUUAAACCGUAUAAAUCAACAAAAUACAACCAGCAUAUCAAAAAAUACCUAUAACAUGCAUAUGUAUUUUUAACAGAACAAAUCACCUCACUGCAAUUCCUAAAUACAUAUCAGGAGAAACAUAAAAUAAAUAUUAACUCACUGAAAAAAUACAUAUUACCCCAAUUGAUAAAACUCUACAGAAAUCCCUAAAUAUAUAACAGUAAAUAAAAUACAUAUACAACGAAAAAAUACCUCUUCCUCCAUGUCUUCUUCAGAUUCAUUAGCACAAAGAGUUCUCAACAUCGUCAUCAACAUUGUUUGACUUUUUAAUUUCUUUUGUUUUUCUUUUCUUCUCAUAUUUGUUUUUAAUUUGUUCAUCUUUUGGAGAAAAAACUUUUUUCAACCACUUUUUUCUUCAAAAUAUCAGCUAUCUUCGAAAAAUUCAACCAACAACAACAACAAAUCAACCCAAAAUCAUCUACAAUAUUCAUUCAACUCCGAUUAGCCUCCAUUUAUCGCAACAAAACAAAACUUAGUUCCAAUUCUCAUCCAAAAUUUAAUUUUUUCAACUAUAUCAACUCAUAAAACAUCAAAUUUAACUGAAAAACAAACAAAAUAAAAUUCAGCAAAUUUGAUGACCUUGAUUCUCCAUUAACAACUACAAAAAUCAAAACCUUAAAGAUGAAAUGGAGAAAUUAUUUACAGUACAAAAUAAAAAAAAAUAUGUAUUGAGAAAUUGAUAACAUGCAAUAACUGAAUUAAUUAUUUACCUGAAAUUGUGGAACAAUAAUCGUGGAAAAGACAUUAAGAAGGAAAAAUUUUGAAAGAGAAAAUCUGAUAAGAAGCAUGAAAAAUGGUAAAGUAUAAAGCAAUUAAAGGAAAGAGAAGGUUUUAAGCGUAAAUAAUGGAGCCUGCUUUUAAGAUGCGGUAAUUGUGGUCCCCCACUUAAAAUAAUGCUACAAAUGCUACGCAACGUAAUUAGGAAAAAGUGUUGCUAUUUUUUAUAAUUUAGUACUUAGGUAUGCUAACAUAUGUAUUUUUCCCUUGUUUUGUUGGUCUACUUUUGUGGUCCAAUUUAAAAUAGGAAAAAUUACAGAAACUAGCAUACUUAAGACCUUAAUUACAAUAAAUAGCAACACUUUCUCAAAAUUAUAAGUUAUAGUAAAAGUAAUAAUAUUUUAAUCAUUAUAUUAAAAAGGGUGUGGGUUUCACCCACUUUUUUACCUUUCCCUAUUUUCACUCCGCUUUUUUCAAUUCCCUCCCAUAUUUCACUCUACUUUUUUCAAUUCUCUCCUAUAUUUCACUCCACUUUUUUCAAUUUCCUCUCAUAUUUCACUCCACUUUUUUAAUUCAUUUUUUUUUCAAAAUUGUGCUCCAUCAAAUAAGGUAAGUUGAUAUUUAGAGUAUUUGCAUGUUAUCUUUUCAUAUAAUUUAUAUUUUUUUCUUCAUCUGUUUUCUUCAUUUUUUUUUGGAGAGGGAGGGGGGGAGUAUUUUUUUUAAUUGAAAGAUUGUGAAGCCAGAUUGUAUAUGUAUUUAUGACUAAUGCAUAUAUAUUUUUCCAGAUAUGCAUAUGUAUUUUUGAAUAAUACAUAUGUAUUUUCUAGUUAUUCGCACGUUUUUAUGGGGAUGCAUUCUAUAUUUAUUGAUUUGAUGAUACAAUAUCAACAACGGAUACACAAACAAACACCAAAACAGUCCACAAGUUGGAAGAACCGAGGACCCCUUUGGUGACCACUCUCAGAUUCACAACAACAAUAAUGAAAACACAAUAACAAGAAGAUAUUAAGGUGUUCGACACCUCUAAAAUCAGCGAGCCAACAAACUAGAUUAACAACACAAACACAAGAACAAGAAGAACACAAAGUCUCAAUUUUGGGACACCAAACCCGAGAAUGUACAACAACAAAAAUGAAAUAGAUAGAUAGUUAACUUGACAUACAAAUGUACAAACACUAUGAACCUAAGUGUAUAUUAAACACAAAGACCCAAGAAUUCAUACAAGCAACACCAAGCUCUACAGUGAUCUCAAGGGAACGGGAUUCCCAAGCAACCAACGUUUCAAAACUAGCACUAACACAAGUGAUAUCCACACUUGUUUACAAGGAAUCCACCUUGCAAGACUCUCUCUAUUGAGCUCUCAAAAUAUCAUCAAAGUUGUGAGAAAAUAACCUAACAUGUUCUAUUUAUAGCCUAGGUUACAACUUAAUACAAAAUGACUAGAAUACCCUUAGUGAGCCAUGGCUAAGGGGUGGUCUUGGAGUGUACAUUUGGGGUGGAUUUGGAGUGUUGGGGACUUGUCCUCUACACUUUAAAUCUUGUUCCAUUGGUCGGUCAGCCCACGAGCUCGAGUCUCAAUACUUUGGUCUACAAUCACGAUCGUACUUGUAUCAUCCUCCCCUUCUUGAAGAGGAUUCGACCUCGAAUCCGAACCUUGCAAAACAAUAGAGGAGAUAAAAGAACACAUAUUUCUCAUGACAUGAGGGUUAAUGUUAGCACAAUCAACAAAAGUAUCAAACCACGAGUGCACAUUCUACACAUGCCGUGGGACUCUAAGGAGAAUAGAAUACCCUACCACUCACCAAAAGAAAUAACUUGUCUAUCCAUCUAAGUGUGACAAGAAACAAAACAAAAGAGAUAAAAUGCAAACCUUUAGAGCAACCUCGGGUUCUUUAAUACCAAAAGGUUAGAGUGGGAUCAAGACCUCACCUUCUUCGGGCCAAGCAUCAUCAUGAGGUAUCCUUCUUAUUAAUCCGCAAGAUACAUUAACUUUCCCUUCAUCCAAUACCCUCUUGGCUUCAUCAUCAUCUCCAUCAUCCUUUUGAGGAGUUCUCUCACUAACAUCAAUUUUAGUCACUUUGUCCCCAACAAAGUAAGGAUCACCCUCCACCAAUACAAUGUUUCUUCAGUUUGGGCACUCACUAGCUUUGUGAACCCAACCUUGACAUUUAAAACAAAUGAUAAACUUAGGAUUAGGAGUGGAAGAACUAGUACCUUCAAGCCAUGGGGUCCUUUUGAGUGCUUUAUCAAAUGGUUUCUUCUCUAAGGGCUUGUAGAGCUUGUUCCACCCGAAGUUCUUCUUGUCAAGAUUGUGCCUUUAAACUUCAAUAGCCUAUGCUACAAGUUUCUCAAGUCGGUCAAAUUUAUGGACAACUAGUUGAGAAACAACUUCAUAGAACAAGCCACCCUUGAACCGAGCUAGGCAAUGAUUUGGAGGUUCAACAAUAUUAAGAUGUAGGAUUAAGUUUUGAAGCUCAUCAUAAUACUCCUCCACACUUCUAUCUCCUUUCCUAAAGUUGUAGAGCUUUGUUAGGUGCUCUUGUUUGUACCUUUCUGUGAGAUAUCUCUCCCUCAUAAGGGCUUUCAAUUCAUCCCAAUUUGAAAGGUCAAGAUUGUCAUUCCUUGCCCGUUGCAACCGCUUUGUCUCCCACCAAGUAGAUGCAUAACCUUCAAAUUGAGCAAUGGUAUGUGUGACUUUCUUUUGGAAAAUUAACUCAUUGAUUUAGAAAAUCCGAUUACAUUGUAACUCCCAAUCAAGAUAGAGAGAUGGAUCACUAGUCUUUUUGAAAGAAGGAAGAGUGAUCUUAAUGGAAUUUAGGUCCGUAUCUCUACCCAUAUUGCCUCCUUGGUCCACUAGACCUUAUUGAACAUGACGUCGGUGUCCCAAGUUGCCCCUACCAUGAGGAGACGGUCUAACCCUUCCCCCUCGGCCUCUAUGUACCCGCCAUAAGAUCCUCUUCUCUUGUGCAUAAAUUUCGUAAAGAGAGUUGCUUGAUCUAACCCCUUACCACCAUAAGAACCCUCACCUUCCACAUUAUCAAUUUGGAUUGGUUGGUUUUAUUUUAGUGGUGCUCUCGGCAUAUCAAAGGGGUCUUAGAUUUGGGGAGCUUCUUGAUGGACUCUACUUCAGUUAUUUGGAUAAGUAGGGACUUGGUGGAUGGGUUCAUGGGUUGGUCUAGAUGGAUUGAGCAAUUGGUGAAGUGUAUCUAUGGUGGUAGCAUGUCCACUAGUCGAGGCAUGGUAGUGUUGGACUUGAAUGGUUGGAAUCUAAACGAACUUCCAAUGUAUCCAUUCUCCUUGAAAAAGAACCCUCCAUCGCGUCCAUCCUUCCCUCCAUCCUCUUCAUUCAGCCACUAAGACCAUGUUUCACACUCAUUAUGGUCGCCAACAAAGCAUCCAUGGUUACCUCUCUCGAGGCCCUUGGACUACCUUCACCCGAAGCCAUCGUACCUAAUAAGAAAGACUAAACAAAACAAAAACAAUAACAAGUUAAAGGUUAGCAAAAAAUCACCCUUACUAACUCUCAAGCUCGCACUUUUUCAAGUAUCACUCAAUUGGUCUCACAAGUGUAGGUACACCAUUUUUACUCCAAUGAAGUUACUUGGUCCCGCUUGCGGCUUAAGGUUGGAAUGGAUUUUUGUUUGAAACGACUCAAAAUAAGUUUGUACGUACUUGAAUCAAAAUACAACAAGUUUCGAAAAGAUGAAAGCACACAAAGAAACAUAGACACGAAUAAACGAACCCAAAACUAAUUUACAAGCUAGUAGGAAUUUACUAGGUUGUCAAUUAGUGUUCGAACCAACAAACAAAACUAAGAAACAAUAAAUUAGAAACUAAUAAUCCAAGUUUGGGCUCAAAUUAAUGUGUGAACAGUAAAGUGGGUGACGUGUCACCCCCUAAUUGGCCGACUUUCAACAAAUUUUAAUUAUCAAUUUUGAUGUUCUUGGUUCUUCACAAUUUGGAAUGGAUGAAAUUGGUUUUGCAGGGAAAGUGUAAGUCCUAGAACCUUUUUCAAUUUCAAUAUUCAAAAGGUGUGACUUUGACUUGUACUAUUCCCACAAAACAAGACCCUUGAAUUAGGGAAAGUGGUUGAAAAAGAUGUGGUCAAGUAAAGAGUGAUGUGAUCAAGUCUUUAUCAACAAGUCUUGCAACUUUAUAUUCCACCUUUUUAGAUCUAUUAGGCACUUUAUGUUGGUCAAGAUAAGAGAGAGGUGAAGAACAACAAGAUCACAAUAACAAUUUUCAAGAAAAAUAACAACAUCAACAAUGUUCCACUCCAGUUUUUUUUUAGAACAACAUCACAACAUACGACCACCUUUCAAGUUCACAACAACAUGGUCACUUUUUUUUUUAAGCUCAAACUUUAGAUAUAGACACUUUUAGUGUUGGUGAGAAAGAAACCAACACUUGAAACACUGUAAACAAACAAAAUGAUCACAAGAGCACAACUCUCGGCCAAGAACAACUUCAAGAACUGAGGAUACCAAAUUAUACAAGAUCGACAAAAGAUAUACAAAACAAACACCAAAAUAGUCCACAAGUUGGAAGAACCGAGGACCCCUUUGGUGACCACUCCCGGAUUCACUAUAACAACAACGAAAACAUAAUAACAAGAAGAUAUUAAGGUGUUCAACACCUCUAAAAUCAGCGAGCCAACAAACUAGAUUAAUAACAUAAGCACAAGAACAAGAAGAACACAAAGUCUCAAUUUUGGGACACCAAACCCGAGAAUGAACAACAAUAAAAAUGAAAUAGAUAGAUAGAUGACAUACAAAUGUACAAACACUAUGAACCUAAGUGUAUAUUAAACACAAAGACCCAAGAAUUUAUACAAGUAACACCAAGAUAUACGGUGACCUCAAGGGAAUGGGAUUCCCAAGCAACCAACAUUUCAAAACUAGCACUAACACAAGUGAUAUCCACACUUGUUUACAAGGAAUCCACCUUUCAAGACUCUCUCUCUAGAGCUCUCAAAAAUAUCAUCAAAGUUGUGAGAAAAUGACCUAACAUGUUCUAUUUAUAGCCUAGGUUACAACUUAAUACAAAAUGACUAGAAUGCCCUUAAUGAGCCAUGGCUAAGGGGUGGUCUUGGAGUGUGCAUUUGGGGCAGCUUUGGAGUGUUAGGGACUUGUCCUCUACACUUUAAAGCUUAUUCCAUUGGUCGGGUAGCCCACGAGCUCGAGUCUCAACGUUUUGGUCUACAAUUAUGAUCAUGCUUGUAUCAUCAAUGAUUCAAGACAAACAAGGGAAAGCAUAAAACAUACCCCAAACAGUCCACAAAUUCAAGAAAAAUCAUGGACCAAAAGGGGACCUCACUCAGAUUCGACAAGUAUAACAAGAAUACAAGAAUAAGGGUGUAUUUGGCACCCAAAAUAGCCAACAACUCAACAAUAACGAGAUGAACAAGAUGACAAUAAGAAUACCAGAUUCGGAUUCCACAACAACAAGAUAUAACGUUACAAGAUUACAAAAGACAAAGGGAUAGAUAGUGAGACAUAAACUACUAUAAUGACUAAGAACCUAAGUGUAGAUGACACACAAAGACUCUUAAUGAUGAUAGUAGGAACACCUACACUCUUCAAAGAGACACAAGAGAGGACCUCAAUCCUUCAAGCACCCCAAGUUCCAAGCAAACAAAUAACAAAAGAGAUUCUACCCUAAUGUUGUAACCUAGUUUCGGCCAAGCCUCACAAGAGAGAGAACUUGAGGGUUUUAAGUGUGUUCUACCAUUUUCAAUAUUCAAAAACUAAGUGAAUAAACCCUAACAUGUUCCUUAUAUAUUACAAAACAAAUAGAAGUUAAAAUGACCAAAAAGGCCCUUCAAGAAUGGGCUGCCCCUCUAGUGUAUGGAGUGGACUGUUUUGGUGUGUAUUUGGGCCUUUAAUUACACUUCUCUUGCACAAACACUUGGUUGCUUUCAAUGCACACCCACAUAAGUCUACUUCCAUGAUUAUUCUCAUAUCAUUUGAAAAUAUAUUUUUAGUUCUGCUUAGGUUUUUAUAGAUGCAUAUGUAUUUAUGAAUAAUACAUAUGUACUUUUUUAGUGUGCAUAUUUAUUUAUUACUAAUGCAUUUGUAUUUUUCCAGAAAUGCAUAUGUAUUUUUUCAGUUAUGCAUAUCUAUUUAUGAAUAAUGCAUAUGUAUUUAUGAUUAAUGCAUAUGUAUUUAUGGAUGAUGCAUAUUUUUUGUCAUAAUAAUACUUUUGAUGUCUACAUUAUGAAAAAGAAAUGUGUAGUUCAAGCAUAAUUAGGCAAAUGUAUUAUGCCACUUUUUGUUAUGGAGAUUUUGUGUCCUAUAAGCUUAUAUAUACAUAUGAGUCAGAUAUGUAUUUCUGUAAAUACAUAUGCAGUUAUAUAUGUACGUUUUGCACUGUAAAUAGAUACGCAGAUCUGUAUGUCUAUGUAUUUUGUGUAUUUUUUGAAUAUAUAUAUGUGAUAUAGAUAUGUGUCUUUUAAAAAUAAAAGCAAGAGAUAGAAGAGUAAGAAAAUAAAAAAAUAGAAAAAAGAAAAAUCCCAAGAAAAAGAAGUGAAAACCGAAAAAGAAAGAAAGAGAAAUAUAAACUAGAAAUAUAAGUUUAAAAAUAAAAUCAAAAAGAAAAGAAAUAAAAAAAUAAUAAUAGAAAAAAAGAAGAAGAAAAUGAAAAUAGGAAAAUAAAAAUAAAAAUAUGAGAAAGGAAAAAAAUAAGAAAACGGAAAAGAAAAAAAUAAAUUAAAAAACGAAAAAGGAUAAAAAAAGAAGAGAAAUAGAAGAGUCAAAUAAAAGUGGAAAGAAAAAAAAGAAAAAGAAAAAAAUCAAAAAAAAAAAAAAAUAAAACGAUAAAAAAAGACACGAAAAGAGGAAAAGAAAAAGAAAAAUAUGAGGAAAAAAAUAAGAAAAGGAAAAAAAAGGAAAAAAAAUGAAAAAUGGUAAAAAAAAAAAAAAAGAGAAAUAGAAGAGUCAUAUUAGGAAAAUGAAUCUUUAUAAUUAAAUAUAGCAUGAAUUAAUGAUGGUUACUUAUAAUUAAAUAAUCUUUGUACAUGUAUUUAUAUAGCAACAUUUUACUUAAAUAUAAAAUACAAUUUACUAUUUUUCGUAAUUAUGAAACUGUUGCUAUAAAAGUUAUAAUUAAGGCAAGAGAGUUGCUACUUCUAAAAUUUUUCCAUUAAAAUAGAGAAGGUUAAAGGAUUUUGGGUUAUUUCUUAAAUGACCCCAAUUAAUUUAGGAUUUGGCCAUCUUAUUAAAUUUUUGGUCAAAUUAAAAAUUAAUUGGCCAAUUGCAUUGCAAUUAUGGUUAAUUUGAUUUCAAUUAUGGCCAAAUUUAAUAGAUCGACUAAAUUAAAUUGACAUUCAAUACGAAUUAAUACCUUGUUUAAUUCCGAGUUUCUUGGUUUAAUAAAAUCAAAUAAAUAUUUUUUCAAAUAAAUUAUUUUAAGAACAAAUCAUGUUUAAAUCAAGACUUUGCCUAUUCGAAUUAUCUUUCGAGAUAAUACUUGUUUAAAGUUUAAUUUUUUCGUAAAAAUAAUUAUUUAAGUGACGAAUUUAUAUUAUCUUGUAUACACGACACAAUAAUAUAUAAUCGCCACUUAAAAUGACAAAAAUUAUAUAAAUAAAUACUUUGAAAAGCUUUUAUCUGGAUAAAAUAAAUAUUACAAUUUUAUUUAAAAUUAAAGAAAUUCGAAAUUAAACUUAGCCGUGGAUGACAAAAAUUAGGUGUCAACAUUAUAAAUAAUAUUUAUGAUCAAACACCUAUUAAAAUUGAUAGAGAUCAAAGUUUUAUGCGGUUUCUUUCCACAACAAUUAUUUUUCACAUGAAGAUUCCUUUGUUUCCUCUUAGGGGUCGUUUGGUAGAGUGUACAAGAAUAAUGCAAACUAUGAUGUUUUAGUAAUGUUUGUAUUAGUUAUGUCUGUGUUACCUACGCUCGCAUUAGUUAUGCUUGUAUUUUUCUUAUGCGGUGUUUGAUUUGAUGUAUUAAAAAUAACAUGAAUUAAAUAAUUUCUAAAAAAAAUUAUAAAAAUAUCCUCCAUACAUACGUUGGAAAGGAUGCGAAAUUUUUUUUGAGGGAUAAUAGUGUCUAUAAUUAUGUUAAUGCACACGUCGAAUCAAUUGCAUUGCUAAUACCAUGGAUUUUUGGAUAUCAGUAAUACACACUUCAAUACACAAUAGAGUGUAUAACUAAUGGUACACCAAACAAGGUAUUAAUAAUACACAAUAAACUAAUGCAUGCAUUAACUUUUCAGUACACUCUACCAAACGACCCCUUAGGCAGUUGUAUAACAUUUAGAGGUUGUUUGGUAAAUUGUAUUAAAAAAUAAUAAUUAUGUAUUAAAAAAAUAAUGCAUGCAUUAGUCUUGUAUAUUAUUAGUAUCUUAUUUGAUAUUUUCUUGACAAUGUAUAACUAAUUCAUACACUCUAUUGUGUAUUAAGGUGUAUAUUAUUAACAGGAUUAAGUCAUCGAUAGCCUCUUAAACUUAUUUCGAAAUUUCAUUUGGACCCUUCAACUAAGACUAGUACCUAUUAGACACCUCAAUUACUUAAAGUUGAUAUAUAUCAGGCAUGAAAUAUUGAUUUGGUAAGAAAAGUGUAACACACUUUCCUUAGGCGCAUGAAUCAAAGAGUAAAUAGUAUUUUACCUUUUUAAUUAAAAAUUUAUACUUAAAUUAUUUUAUUAAUAUAAUUUAUAAUUAUCAUAAUUUCUUAAUUUUUGUUUUAAAAAAGCACCCCCCUUCCAAGUCAUCGUCGUCUUCACACACCCCACUCCCCCCUCCCCCCCCAUCAUCAUCAUCUUCACUCCCAACUCCAGUUCGUCGUCUUCAACCCCCUUCUCCCCGUUAUCGUCAUCUUCACACAUACCCCAGUUCGUCAUCUUUAACCUCCAUCCUCUCCGUAGCCGUCGUCAAUUGUAACUUCGACUAAACCCUUUAGCCGUCUUCUUUUUUCAUUCAAAUUUUAUGAGAAAUGUAUUUUCCGGUGAGACUCGCAGGAAAAUCAACUCCGAAAUUUCAAGAUUGUUCGAAUGUAUACGUUUAUGAGCUUAAAUAACUCAAAUCCAAUAUAAAGUUGCAAUCAUCUGAUUCAACCAACAAUACUCUAAAUAUCAUUUUAGGCAAAAAUUUCUCCCAUUUUAAAAUCGAACUAGAUGCUACUGCUGCAGCAUCCCCUGUUUCAUUAUUGUUGUUCUCUGUUUCUACUUGCAUAAAAUAGAGAAGAAGAGGGGGGACCAAUUUUUAAUUUUUAUUUCUUUUAAAAUUUUAUAAUUACUCUUUAGUAAUUGUUUGGGCCUCAAUACCACAUGAUACUUUUUAAUUUGUUGUUUUUGCCAUGUCACUAUAAGUCUGUUACGCAUACUUUACAAUUAUUGUUAAAUAUUUGAAAGUACCUAGUAGGAAUAAUUUUCUGUACAAUAUAAGUGUUCAAUAGACAUCCAUCUUAACUGAGGGAUUUAAGUAAAAUUUCGAAAUAAGUUUAAAGGGCUAUCAUGACUUAAGCCUUAUUAAUACCACCAUUCUUCAUGUAUUAUUAAUGAAAGAGAUUUCAAUACAUGCAUUAAUUUAAUAAAUGACAAAAUUACCUCUUUAAGUUCUUUUCUGGUCUUCUUCAUUGGUUAUCUAAGUUUGGUUUUUCUGAUUUUUCCAAAAAAAAAUAAUUCAGCGAAGCUUUCAACGAUUUCAUGUCAGACCUUUUGGAUUUCAUCGACGAGAAGCAAAGAAUGAAGAAGUUCGGACCCCAUUAAGAAAACUUUCAACUAUGGCAACAAACAAUUCAUGGAGAGGGUGAGAGAAAACACCAGAAUAUUAAAUAGGAAAUUCUAAAUAGUAAGGGGGAACGAAAUCAAAGUGGAAUUGAUUUAUCUUUUUCUACAGCAACUGUAGUUGUUGUCUGCUUCCUUCUCUGCUAGGAAAGAAAGUGUACAUAGUUAAAAGAAUAUUUUUUAUAAAUAAAUAUUAUUUUUAUAAAAAUUAUAUUAUUUAUAUUUUUUUAAUAGAUAAAACCAAAUAAUGUGUAAAAAAUAUUGACUGCAUAACCAAUACGGAUAUAAACUAAAGCAAAAGCAUUAUAAAUAUGGGGAUCUUUAAAAAUAGCAACAUUUUGCUAUAAAAUCGACCUUCUAUAGCCACAUUUUAUAUAAUUAUCAUUUAUAGCUGUUGUAUUCGAUUUACGUUGUAUUCGAUUUUACAGAUAGUAUGUAUUCAUAUAAAAUAUGAAUACAGUCCCUAUUUAGUCGCGCUAUAAAUGGAAUUCAAUAUUUUUAAAAAGAAAAAAUCUCAAUCACGCUUAUCUCGUUAAACUGAAUAUUUUCUUGUCUAACACUACCAUUAUCUUUUUAUUUUUAUUUUUUGUGCUUUCCCCUUUUUUCUUCUUCUUUUUUCUAUUUUUUCCUACUUUCAUUUUUUUGGUUUCUUUCUUUCUUUUUUUUUUUCUCUUUUUAAUCUCUAACUUCUAUUUCUCUCUCUUCUUUUCUUUUUUGAUUUUUUUUAUUUUCUUUUUUGUACUUAUUUUUUUCAUUAUUUUUUUGUUCUAUUUUAUAUUAUUUUGUAUUUUUAAAAAAUAUGACUAGUUGAGCACAAGUCAUAGAUGAUAACGAAAAUACCAUAAUUUUUUAUCGUAUUUGUAGCCACACCGUCAUUUAUAUUUUUGUAUUUAUUGAUACAACUGUAAUUAUAUUUGUAUUUUAAAGUUUGCACUUGUAUUUAUAUUUUAGAGUUAUUUGGAUUUAUAUUUAAUAGUUCACACUUGUAUUUGUAUUUGGUAGUUUGCGCCAUCAUUUAUAUUUUAUAUAAUUCACACUUGUAUUUUAAAAAACUAUUUUGUAUUUGUAUUUUAUAAUUGAUUGCAUAUUAUAUUGGAUUAUAUUUAUAUUAUGGUUUUAUUGUGUUUGUAUAGUUAGAUUAUAUUUGGAUUAUACUUAUAUUUGUAUUCUAUUUUCUUCAUUACUUUUUAUUUUUAAGAAAUUAUUUUGUAUUUGUUGUAAGUUGAUUGCAUAUUGUAUUUAGUCGUGACUAUGUACAAUUUAUCAUUUGUAUUUGUAUACAAACAAGUAAGUGCAUUAAUUAUAUUUUCGUGAUUCUAAAAUAUAUAAAUAUGUUAUGUAUCAUUUGAUACAAAUGUGCCAUUUUGUAUUUGUAUAUCAAAAUUAUCAUUCAUAUUUGUAAAUAAACAAAUAUCACUUUAUACAAAUACAAUGACAAACAAAUAAAACAAAUGAUUUUACAAAUACAAAUACAAUAUAUAUUUGUAUAUAUUGUAUUUGUAUAAAAAUUUGAGUAGUAUUUAUUUGUAUAAAUAAAUGCAACUAGUAUCAAUAAAUACAAACAAGUAUUCGUAGAAAGAAAAUUAAUCAUUCCUUUUCAAUAAUUAAAAAAUACAAAUGAUAGUUCACGCCUGUAUUUAUAUGUUAUAGUUUGCAUUUGUAUUUGUAUUUUAUAGUUCACACUUGUAUUUGUAUGUUAUAGCUCACAUUUAUAUUUGUAUUUUAUAGUUCACACUUGUAUUUGUAUUUGCUAGUUCGCACAAAUGAAAAGAAGAAUAGAAGUUGAAAACAAAAAAGAAGAGGGAGAAAAAUGAGAGAAAAAAAAGGAGAGAAUAUACAAAAAAAAAGAAGAAGAAAAAAAAGGAGAAAAAUGAAAAGGAAAAAAACAAAAAGAAAAAAAAUAUAAAGAAAAAAGAAAAAAGUGAAAAAAAUAAAAAAUAAAGAGAAAGCAACAAAAAAAAAAAAGAAAAGAAAAACUGAAGAAAAAAAACUGAAAAGAAAAAAAAAACAAUAAUAGAAAAUAGAAAAAGAAAGAAAAUGAAUGAGAAAGACUAUGAAUUGUAAUUAGGAAUAAUUAAUAGGCAAGAGGGGGUUAUGAAUUGUAAUUAAUUAAAAAUUAGGCUAUAAGUGGUAAUAAAAGCCGAAUAAUGACUACUCCGGGUAAUUUUUCCUAUAAAUAUACCAUAUUAAUAUUGUUCUUAUAUGCUCUGCAAAACGAUCCUUUGAGGCUUCCAUUCAAUUGAUCCAAAAUAUCUCUGUGAUUUUGAUGUUCAACUAGUUGUACUUGUGCUAUGUCAUGUCAUGCCAAAUUUUAUGCUAUAAGAAUCUUUUCACCCUUGAACUUGUCCGUUCAACUUACUCUAACAUUUAAACUUAAAUUUCAUUUAUUUAUCCCUUAACAUUUUUAAAGUAAAUUAAUUUCAACCUUAACGUUGACGUGACAUUUUUGUUAAAAAAGAAAAAAAAUAAAAAUUUCCCUUCUUCUUCUUCUAACCCCCACCCCCACUCUAAUUCUCCUCCUCAAAUCCGCCAACCCCACCUCACUCCUCCUUCAACUACCAAAUCCAUCACCACCAGUCCCCCCUAACCCUAAUCUCAAUUUCUCCUCCAAUUACCAAACCUUCCACCCCCACCUUCAAAUUCUCCUCCUUCAACCCCUUAGAUCAAUAAAAAAGAAUGAAAUUGAAUUUAAAAAUUUAAAAAUAUCUUUGUGGAUUUGAAAAAUUGGAAUGAAACUGAAAUUAAAGGAGAGUCAAUAGUGGUGGUGUUAAUAAUGGCGGUGGUGUUAAUUUUGUGCGUAUAUUCUCUUGUGAGUCUGUUUUGAUUGUUUUUCGGUGAGUUUUGCCGGAAUAUGAGAGGAGAAUAACAUAAAUUGUUUUGUCAAUAUUUAUAUCGGCAAAAUAAAGUGAGAUAUAGCUGAUAAAGAUUGCUUGCUACAUGAAAACUCUUCCAACGUUGGCUUUGUGCUAUUCAUAUAUCAUGUUAAAAAAUCGAAAUGAUUUGAAUGUUUAUCGAAGAACUGGCCAAAAAUCAUAUUUACAAAUAACGAUCUUCUGCUUGGAGGAACCUUACAUAAUCGUCACUUGUACAUGGUAGGUCAAGUUCUAGGAAAAAGCAUAAAUAAAAUCUUGAUUGAUGAGGGAUCCAGAGUUAACAUUCUCCCUAUUCGUACAAUGAAGGAACUUUGCAUCGCUACCGACGAACUGGACGAAUCUGUAUAAUAAUCCAAGGCUUCAACCAAGGGGGCCAGAGGGCCAUGAGAGCUAUUAAUUUGGGGAUUCAUAUGGAUAAUUUUCAAUCAAAUGCAUUGAUGCAUGUAAUCGAUGCCAAAACUUUACACAAUAUAUUACUUGGUAGGUCUUGGGUACACGAGAACAAAAUUAUCUCAUCCUCUUACUAUCAAUGCUUGAAGUACCUCAAAGGCGGAGUGAAAAAAAAGAUAGUUGCCGAUGACAAGCCAUUCACUGAAGCUGAGUCACACUUUGCCGAUGCAAAAUUCUACUUAAAGAAUUAUGUUGUGAAUGAGAAAAAGAUUGAAUAUGUCUCCAAGAACAAGUGUGAUGAUCUUUCAUCUAAGAAGGUCUCGAUGACUGUCGAAAGAGUCGCUAUUAAGAAGCCCUCUUCACUUUUUUUAAAGAAAGUGUCGCACCUACGAAAAAGAAGACAUAUCAUGUUCUUCGCUACAUACCAAAGGUAAAGAAAGAGAAAGAUCACCCAUCUGAUGCCCAAGACAAGGUGCUAGAGGGUUUAACUUUACCUAUCAUGAGGAUUGACGCAAUAAAUUCAUCCUCAAGGCUACUUGAAGAGUCUGACUAAUGUUAGAACUCUAACAGAAAUUAAAUUUUUCUUGUAGAGUCCACAAAUUUUGAUGUCUACAAAUGCCCCCUACUUCAAGGCUCGUAGGCAUGUAGACUUGAUGAGACUCAAAGACGAGUCUUGAAGUACCCAUAUAGCUUCUAUUUUUAUGCCUUUCGGCUAUAGAUUUGCAUAUAUGAUUUAUGAGAGAAGAGAUGAAGGACAGAUUUAGUCCCACUGGGCGUGCCAAUUUAUUUUCAACAUAAUUUAAUUCAUCAAAAAUAAACUUCAACCACAAAUAAAAAUAUGAAGAAACAAUAAUUUUUAUUGAUAAACGAUGUGGGUACAAAUCUGUUCCUCCCUUGUUCUUCUCUCUCCAUAAUUCGAGGGACGUUAGUGGCAUAUUUCUCGAACAUAGAAACAUUUGGAUUGAUAUUUCAUUAAUUCAAGGGCCGUUAGUGGUGUAUUUAUCGAACAUAGGAACAUUUGGAUUUGAUCUCCAUGACAGGAUGACAGGAGGGUUCAAGAGAGGUUCUGAUCCCUUUAUGAAUAUCCCAUAAAUUUAUUAGGACUUUCGAGAUGCCUCUUUAAAGGGAUAUUUUCCCCUUUAUAUAGGCAGAAUUCAGGGUUUAGGAUAGAGUAGCCUCCAAAAACUCUUAUAGAAUUUUAAUUCUUCUUGAAGAGUCCCACUAAUUUUAGAACUCUAAUAGAAAUUGAAUUUUCCUUAGAGAGUCCACAAAUUUUGAUGUCUACAGUUUGAUUGUUGAUUUUAGAGAAUUGGUAUUGAUUUGGUCGAAUUUAUUAGGUGGGUUGGGUUUUUUGUCACUAAUUUAUGGUAUUUUUCGAUGGGGGUUGAGUUUGACCUUCUAUUUUAGGCGAGUUUGGGGUGGAGAAAUUAAUAGUGAUGGCAUUUUCCGACAGAAAUUCGCCAGAAAAAUUUGAGCUUCUUGACUAUGUGUUCUUAUAUAUAUAGUAGAUUUUGAGGCUUUUUGGUGGGAUAUGCUCGUGGGAGGGUCGCGCUGCUCCUGACAUUGGUCCGUCGCCGUCAAGCUCGCCAGAAUCCAUCAGGGACCUUUUGAUAAAAUAAAUAAAUUUUUCUCCGCCAGAAUCUGCCGUUGCAUCACAUGUCUGAUGUUAAACUUUUUUUUUUUGAUGAGAAGCCAAUGUUUAGUAUUUUUUGUGCCCGAAUGUCUAAUGUGCACGGAUUUUGCCGCCGUCAAACUCACCGGAAUCCAUCUGCAAUGUGCACUUCUGGUAUGAAGAAGAUAAAAAAUGUGGUUGGGUUGUUUCUUUAUUUAUUUUUAACGAAAUAUUUUAUUUGUGUGGCUCCGACGUGGAAUUGAUGUGGCGUUGAUUUAUCGACGUGUGUGGUGCACUCUCCAUUGUGAAAGUGGUAGUACAUCUUUAAGGUUGUAUUUAAUACACUUUAAAGAUGUUAAGGGGGUAAAUAAAUAAAAAUUUAGUUUAAGUGAUAGAGUAAGUUGAACGGACAAGUUCGGGGGAGAAAAAGAGAAUGUAGUAGUAGAAAGUAGUAGGCUAAUAGCCUUUGUUUCUUCUUUUCUGUGGGCAUACUUCCAUUAAUAUUUACAAUGCUUUUUAUAGGCAAAAGGGAUAACAAUGACCUAACAAGUCAUACUAUGGGCAUCCACUAAUAUUUACAAUAUUCUCUUUUGAAUGUUCAUAUGGUAGAAAAAUUCAUUGAAAGAAUUAGUAUAAAAUAGUAACUCAUAAUAGUUUAUUAAUUUCACAACACUCAUUUUUGAAUGUUUAUGUCUUUAUUGAUAAUGUGUCUUGUUAAAAUUUUAUUAGUAAAAAUUCAAUGAAAAAAAAUCCUAAUAAAGAAAAAAGAGUACACAUAUCUUAAAUACAUAAAAUCUGAUCAAGAUAAAAAAGUACAACAUGUAUUAUACCCUCUCCUAUCUCUAAUUAAAUCAUCACUUAAUUCUUGUAAUAAUGUCUUGUAAUCUUAUAUAUAAUGCUUUUCAAGUGUUGACAUUUGCAAUGACUUUGUGAUAGAAUCACAUUCACAAAGAUGUUGCAGCGUUGAACUCAUCCUAAAAAAUUAUUUUCUUAUUUCUUGGAUAUGUUGAGUGCUUGAGCUUAGCCAAAUACAUUCUUUAUAAGCACUUUAUUCGUCAUCUCAUCAUCACAAAUAAAUUGUUCAGUCGACUUAUUUGUAGCAACAAUCAAGUGUUGAACUCUUUCAUUUGCAUGAUAAUAGAGUUAAUUGUCUUGUGAAAUAUCAUCAUUAUGGCGAUAUUCUCAUAUGCACAUAGAUAAAUUCAACUUUAUGUAAAUCAAAUAAUCUUUCAAUAUCGAGUGACGUUUUAUUACCUUUCAGUCAAAUAUUAUUUCGACGAAGGUUUUGUUCAAUGAAACAAAUAUGAAGGAAGAACUGCUACUUUACUAGAUUGGACCAAACUCUUAAAUAUGAUCAUUUAUCAAUUUAAAACUUAUAACUUUCUUUUAAAAUUCUUAUGUGGAUUGUUAUAUGGACAGAAUUAUCUUUUAAAUAUUAUUUAUGUUAUUAUUAGAAAUAUAUUCUUAUUACUAUAUACGUAACUUAAGAUAAAUAAUAAAAUGUGUGACAAAACUUAUAUUUAUUACAAAAUAUUGUCAACAAGCUCGUAUCUAUUGGGAUUGUUAUUGCGACAAAUUUAUAUAACGUGAAGCAAAAAUGUCUACUUAGCUAUAAUACUUUUUAAUUUUCAAGUAAUUUUUUUGUAGUGAUAUAACUAUUGCCACAACAACUCAAAAUGUGUGACGGAAAGCGAAUAACUUAGCUAUGUAGUUUUGUUGUAACAAUAAAAUUGUAGCUAUUUGGGUAAUUAUUGUCACAAAAGUUUAUAAUUUGAAGCAAAAGCACUUAUUUAUCUAUAGUAUUUUGUUUCAAAUAAUUUUUUGUAGCUAUAAGAUUAGUAUUGCUGCAUAACUUCAAACUUGUGGCAAAUGUAUAAAAUAUAGCUGCGAUAUUUACUGUGGCAAUAAAUUUAUAGCUAUUGGGUUGAUUAUUGUCACAAAUUUUUACAACUCAAAAUAAAAAUAUUUAUUUAGCUAUAAAUUUUGUUUCAAGUAAUUCUAUGUAGCUAUAAGAGUACUAUUGCUACAACAACUUUAAACUCGUGGAAAAAAUGUUUGAUUCAGCUACUACAUUUUAUUAAGCAAAAAAAUUAUAGUUAUUUGAGAAUUAUUGCCAUAGUUUCUUAUAACUUGAAGCAAAAAAUAUUUAUUUAGCUAUAAAAUUUUGUUUCAAAUAAUUUUCAGGUUUCCGACCACAUGUGGUCGUUUUUUCUAGUAAUUUUUUUUAAAAGUAACCACUUGUGGCCGUUUUUUUUGGUAAUUUUGCCUUAAAUCGACCAUCCGUGAUCAAUUUUUUUUGGUUAUUUCUAGUAAGAAAAUGACCCUUUUAGAAUCUUAUAGAAAAUGAAGAUUUGUUGUAAAAAGAACACACAUUCAUUUUCAAGUCCUUAGUACACAUUUCAAGUAACUACCCAAUAAUUGUGAACGCAUAUCCAUUUUGUGAGAAUAUACAUUAAAUCGCAGAAAGACAAAAUGAAAAGAGUAAAAAGAUAGGACUAAGAGAAUAUACAUUAAAUCGCAUAUCCUAGGCUUUUCAAGUAUAGCCCGACUAAGAGAGGACUGCACAAAACAUCUAAAGAAAAAACAAAUUUUGAUUGAAAGCUUGGAGGAGUAGUUGUAAGCUUUAGUAGCAUCCUUAUGCCUUAAGAAUUACAAAUAAAACAUAAGAGCUGGUGGUGGUGGCGCUUAGUUCGACAGAGGAAGAGGUAACGAUGAUGAUGACGAGAGUGAGAGAGAUAGGAGAGAAAGAGAGGCGCGGCUGAUGUUUGACAGUUGGUGGACUAGGGUUAGGUUAGGUGAUUUUAAAAGAAAAGAAAGAAAACUCGAUCUCAACCGUUGGAUCAAUUUUGAUCAACGACUGAGAUUUAAAGUUAUGGAAAAUUUAAAAUUUAGUUAAAAUUGAAUUAAAAAUUAAAAUAAAAUUGAGUCUAAUUAGACACAAUUUAGUCUAAAAUUGUCAUUACUUGGACAAAAUUAGGCUAAAAAUAAGUGAAUCAGAAAAAAAUGAAAUUGGCUACUAUUUUAAUGCAAAUAAUUUAAUGCAAUGCAUAUAUAAAUCAGAUUAUUAGUUUUUUUUAUAAUUACAUUAAUACGAGUAGUAUAUUUUCUAAAUCAUAUAAUAUCAUUGCAUUUCGUAAAUUAGGAUGAAUUUUUAAUUAAUUACUGACUAGUUUAUCUUACGUUAUUAUACAUACCUUCAACAACAUAUUAUUACCUAGAUCGAUCGAUCAUAUGAUAUCAACGUAUUCAAUAUAUAGCUAGAUACAUUUAAUUGGCCUUUGACUAUGUACUAUGUGCAUCACUAUAUGAGAUAUACAUACAUACAUAUAGAUGUAAGCUUUGGACUACGUAAUACGUACAUCAUUGCAUAAUAUAUACAUGUAUACAUAUACAGACACACACACUAUCGACUAUCACAUUCCACUACAUACUAUACAGAUCAAAUACAGAGAUAUAUUACUCCAUAAUGCAACGUAUUUCAUAUAUACUCAGAUGAAUUAUCGAUUAGUUUAUCUUACGUUAUUAUAACUUCAACAGAAUAUUAUUACAUCGAUCGUAUUAUAUCAACCUAUUUAAUUUAUAUAAUUGGAUACAUUAGUUAGCUUUUGACUACGUACUUCAUACAUCACUAAAUGAUACACACACAUAUAUAUACAUACACCUACAUACACUUUAUCGACUAUUAGGUUCUACAUACGUAGUAUAUAUAUCACACACACGAGUAUAUUAACCCGUAAUGCAAUGUAUUUUAUUCAUGCUUUGACAAAUUAUCGAUUAAUUUGAUUAACUUACACUAAUAUAACUUCAAUGUAUCACAGUAUAUUAUUACUUAGAUCGUUUUAAAUCAAAGUAUUCAAUAUAUACUUGGAUACAACCAGUUAUAGCUUUUGACCUUUUGUAAUGCAUGAGAUGCACACACACACACACAUACCCCCCUAUAUAUAUAUCAUUUACUAUCAACUAUCAAAGUUCUAAAUAUGUAGUAUAUACAUAACGUAUACAUUAGUAUAUAAUUACCCCAUACACAAUGUAUGCAUAGAAUUUGAUGAAUUAAUAGUAUUAUAUUAAUAUUAUAACUUCAACAGUAUAUAUCAACUCUUGUAUACAUACUAUAUACAUCACAACACGAUUAUAUUACCAUAUAAUACAACGUAUUUAUUAUAUUUUUAUGAAUUGUCGCUUAUUUAUGUACCUUACAAUAUUAUAACUCCAAUAGUAUAUUAUUACCUCAACUAUAAGAUAUCAACGUAUUCAAUAGACAAAGAUUAUUUUAAACGUAAUUUAGCGUGUAUGUGUAUGUAUGUAUGUAUAUAUAUAUAUAUAUGGAUUAACACACUCGAUGAAAAAUAAAUUUAUUUUAUAUAUUGAAACAUAAGUAAAAAAUAAUGAUUAUGUUUAAUGUAAUUUGUUGAUUUCAUUUAAUAUGUUUAUUAGUUUAUUUUUUAGUAUAGCUUUUUACAAAUUUUAAUUUAAUUGAUUUUAUUUUUAUCAAAUAAAAAUCAACUACAUAUGAUUAGUGUAAUUUAAAAAAAUUUAAUACAUAUUAAAAAUAUAUUUGAUUUUACAUAUAAUAAUUGAAAUAUUUUUUUAAUCAAAAAGCGACCACAAGUGGUCGGUUUUGUAAUAGUGUUUUAAAUUUAUUUUUUUAAUGAAAAAUGAUCACAUGUGGGAAUUCCACAUGCUGGGUCUGAGAGAUGGUCUAGGAAAAGAUUGAUCGAAAAAAAUAAAGCAUUUUUUGUUCCUCUUUCUCUUGUAAAUUUGCCUGUCCACUUCAUCUGAAAUAGUAGUGUCGUACACUUUAUCUUUUUCAAAUCUCACUUUGUGGAAAUACAAUCAAGAUACGGAGCAUUUAUGCAAUAGAAAACUUAAUCAAUUUGGGAGAUUCCUGAGUAUUGUAUCAUUAAAUAGCGGGGAAAGAUCUGUUUUAAUUGUUCCUGAACCAGCAUUAAAUGCAGGGUGGAAGGAGUAAUCAUUUAAGAUUGAAAGUUUCAUUAAAAUCUCAAAGAAGUUGGCAUUAGAAGCCACCCCCAGAUUAAUGGAAAUCAACUACGCCUAUCCUAUUAUAAGUCUAUCCAAAAUAGCAAUGGCAGACAAAGAAUCUCCGUAAAGUAGAGUUCACUCCGUAAAGUAGAGUUCACUGACAAAAGAGGUAACAUUGUCGUCUCUGAAUUUGUUGUUGUGUAUAUGUUUUAUGUGCUGAAGUUUAAUAGUUCAAUCUGUAUUAUAUUAUCUAUAUGUUGCCACUUGCCAUGAUUUCUUAUGUUGUUGAAAACUUGUAUCUAAAUUGUUAAAAAGCUAAUACUGUUGACAACAUUUUUGGCUGAACUGAGAUUCCAUCUGUGACAACUUGAUUCUCCUUUUUGUAUUAUUUGAACAGACGUUAUAUUUUAGUCUAAUAAUUACUUGAGGCUAAUUUUUGAUAACAAUGAUUAAAGUGUUGGCACGGGCCACACCCCCUAGUACAUUUUUAUAUUAUUAUAUUAUAUAAUAACCUUACACGUCAAAAGAUGUAUAACUAAGUGUAUUUUUGAUUUUUGAUAAAAUUUCUGUUGCAAUGUGUCUUUUAACGUGCACCGACAUAGCCAGUAUCUCUUUUGCUCCCUUUAAGAUUAUAAUUCAUUCAUUCCUUUCUCUUUGUCCAUCUGUAUUGCAAUCUAAAAUUUUCUCUGCAUCAGAAAGAUCAAUGCAACAGUACUCCAUCAGAGAACAACACUGAAGUAGUUUUUUUUUGGAUUGGGUUCAAUUUGAAAGAUCAGAGUUUAAUUUUAUGAAGUAAGAGGAAAAAAUAUUGUUCUUUUUUUUUUUUUUUUUUGGUAUUUUGAGUGAUUGUUGUUUAUUCAGAUUUGAAGGAGAUAACAUCGUUGAUUGAGACUAGGGCAUAUGCUCAUGAAGUGAGGAGGAUUUUGAGCGUUGUUGAUAGCAUCGUGUGCAAGGUGUGGGAAGAGUGUGACAAUCGCGUGUUUGGUGUGUGCUAUGAUGAUUUGGCGCCUCAUGCGGCACAAACGGGGCAUCCACAUGGUGCCGAGGUGGAGAAGAUGAGAGGAAAAGUGGGCUUUAAGGAUCAAAUCUUGAAAUUGGGCCAAAUUGCCAUAGUAUUGUAGAAUAAGCUGAUUUAAAAUGUCUUCUUUCUUAUGUUCUUUGGGCUUUCUAAAUUAAUUUAGAUAAUACUUUUAAUAAAACAUGUUACAAAUAUCCGAAUAAAUGACAAAGAUCAUCUGAAAUUAAAAUAUAAAUAUUUAAACAAAGUUGCAUGAUAAAACGAUAAUAUUUAUAAAGAAGGAAGUCGCAAAAUACGUAUUCGAUUGAAAUAAAUAUCUUUUGGCGAAAGUUUAGGAAAUGCAAUGAUAAUUUAACAUAAUAAUAAUAAUAAUAAUAAUAAUAACAAUAAUAAUAAUAAUAAUAAUAAUAAUAAUAAUAAUAUCGAUGAUUCUUAGUUUUAAAAAUACAAAUAGUUGCAGAACUUCCAUAAACUCCUAAUUAUAGAAAUAUCAUAUGUAUAUCAAAAUUAUUUAGAAACGCAAAGAGAUGAUUUGAAAGAAAGGCGGGACAAAAUUGGGUGUCAACAGCUGCCCAAUUUGGUUGGAAAGGAUGAAAGAGUUUUCGAAUAAAGAAGUUGACUACUAACCUAAUUUUGUCCCAGUUGACCGAUUCUAGGAGGAUAUGUAUGAAGAAUGUUAGGGAGGAUUGUGGCCAAACUCUGGUCUUCGAGUUGUCUACAUAUCUUCGGUCUUCGAGUUGCCUACAUGAAUUAGAUAAAAUAAUUAGUACAAAAAUAGUAAGUGCAUUCAGUGGAGCAAUGAAAAUAACGCCUCUCGAGCAUUAGUUUGUGCAGACAUGGUCUUGCAAUGCUGAAAACAAAGCUUAUGAAGUUUUAGGCCGAUGAUUCAUAAGAAUGAUGCUUCUUGGUCAUGAAAAUAAGGCCUUAAGCCAAGUAAAUUAUGAUGAUGAGACAUUUUCAUCCAAAUGAUUGAUGGAUGGAGACUUUUAUAUAAGUCAAUGAUUUAUGCAAAACAACUUUUGCAAGCAAUGAAUUUCUAUAAAGCAUUUGUUUGGUCUAUCCAGAAGUUUUGUGCAAUUAUCAAAAAGCAAUUAUAUGGUGUGUUUGAAAGCAAUUAUGCGGUGCUAUAAAAGAAAUGAAAGCCAUGCAGGGUGCAACAUAACUUAAAGCAAUAGUGCAGUGUGCGUGGUGCAGAUUAACUUAAAGCAAUUGUGUAGUGCAUUUGUGCUUAUGCUGAGCCAAUAAAGUUAUGUGUAAUGGGAUUCAACAUAUAUUAAAGCAUUUGUUCAGUGCAUUUUAGAGAACAUAUGUAAAGUAAUUUGAAAGUUACAUGUGGUGCAUUUCAAAAUAAUUUAAAGAGAUUGUGCAAUGCGUUGGUGCUUAUGCAGAGCCAUUAUAGCCAUGUGCAAUGCAUUUGAACAUAUUUUAAAGCAUUUGUAAGUGAAUGUGCAGUGCAUUUAGAGCAUAUAUGCAAAGAAACUAAAGCCACGUAUUGCAUAUUUUAAGCAUUUGAAAACACUUGCGCAGUAUAUCAAAAGCAUCUAUGUAGACUCGCCAGAAGUCAUGUGCAGUGCAUUUAAACCUUUUGUAAAAUCUUCAAAAUCACUUGAUCAAUAUUACUACAAAAGCAUAAUUUCUUCUAAAUAUUUUUAAGGGAAAUCAAACCGUUCGAGGUAUAAUCCUCUCAAGACUGCAAAUGUAUUAACUUCUACUACUUUGUAGAACCUGCAUUCAAAGAAAGAUUUGUAAGUUUAGGGGAUGGUUGAUUUGUGUUGACUUUGAAAGUCUGGCUCUUGAUACUUCGUACUUUCAGCUUUGCUUGGACUCAUAACCCAAUCUAUUUCAAAUCUUGGCCGAUAAAUUAUGAAAAAUGUUUGAUUGAAAAUUGUUAAAAAUAAAAUAUAAACAAAAGUGUUAAAUAAAUUGGUAACUAAAAUAUGCUAAUAUGCAUAGUAAAAAGAAAUUCAGUCAAACUUUGAAAUUGUGAUAUAUUGUGAAAUAAUGCGAACGUCUUAUAUCCAAAGCGAAUGUCCCUUUUUCCUUUAAUUACUUGGUUGAACCCACAUUCUUCAAUAUCUCUUGAUGUUUUCUAAAUUGUUUUCUUGAAGCGAUGACCUUAAAAACUGUCCCAGUUUUGGUUUGAACGAGAUGCUGACGUUCCAAUAUGAUGAGAUCGAGCCUUGUAUAGGCUGCCUACGUAUCCCACCAAGGGAAUUUGGCCGAGCGUAGUUCAUGAAAUACUCUUAAUAGGAUUCAAAAUCUAAAGGGGUCGAACCCUCUGUGGGUUGCCUACGUAUCCCAUGGGAAUCAGGCCGAACGUAGUUCAUAACAUAUGAAAUAGAAAAAAGGGGGAAAAUAAUUUUACUUCUUAUGUGACCGAGGCCGACGUGGCCGCCUAGGAAUUCAAGUCAUUCGUAGUUCGCAAAACAAGAAAAAGAGAUUUUUUGGGAAAUUCUACUCAAGAGACCAAACCCCUACGUAUUCCCCCAAGGGAACUAAGUCAUUCGUAGUUUCAUUACAUAGAAAAAUAAACAUUACAAAAAAACAAGUAAAGACUUCUAAACAUAGUAUCUCUUAACAACAUCUGCAUUGAUUGCUUUCGAUCACACUUCACCAUCCAUUUAUUCUAGGAUCAAUGCUCUGCCUGUCAAUACUCGGUGAACGAUAUAAGGCCCUUGCCAUUUGGGUGCAAAUUUCCCUUUAGCUUUAUUAUGGUGCGAAAAUAUGUGCUUCAACACCAAUUGUCCUGGAUUGAAUUUUCUCGGUCGUACCUUCUUGUUGAAAGCUUUGAAAAUUCUAUUCUGAUAAAGCUGCCCAUGAAAAACUGCAUUUAUCUUCUUUUCAUCAAUUAGCAUCAAUUGUUCAUACCGAUUUUGAAUCUAUUGGGCAUCACUCAACUCAGCUUCUUGAAUGAUUCUCAAAGAUGGCAUCUCUACUUCUGCGGGUAACACUACUUUUGUUCUAUAAACCAGCAGAUAAGGUGUUGCUCCAGUAGAAGUCCUAAUAGUGGUGCAAUAGCCAAGGAGGGCAAAUGGCAAAUUCUCAUUCCAAUGUUUAUCAUUAUCAAUCAUCUUCCGUAGUAUCCAUUUGAUGUUCUUGUUGGCGGCCUCAACUACUCCAUUCAUCUGAGUACGAUAAGGGGUGGAAUUGCGAUGAGUAAUCUUAAACUUCUCACAUAUCUCACGCAUCAAGCCACUAUUGAGAUUAGCUCCAUUAUCUAUUAUAAUCAACUCAGGAACUCUAAAUCGAUAAAUAAUGUUAUUAUGAACAAAAUAUGUCACCACCUUCUUUGUUAGAGACUUGUACGAAGAGGAUCCUACCCAUUUGGUGAAAUAAUCAAUAGUUACCAAAAGGAACCUAUGUCCAUUUGAUGCAGCUGGUUCAAUAUUGACGGUAGCAUCCAUUCCCCAAGAUGAAAACGACCAAGGAGAACUCAUCACAUUGAGUUCAUUUGGGGGAACAUGAAUUAAAUCACCAUGAAUUUGACACUAAUGACAUUUUCUCACAAAGCGAAUUCAAUCUGUUUCUAUUUUCAUCCAGAAAUAGCCAGCUCGAAGGAUCUUCUUUGCCAAAAUAAAGCCAUUCAUAUGCAACCCACACAUGUUCCCAUGUAUUUCUUUGAUUAACUUGGUUGCCUCCUAAGUGUCGACGCACCAUAACAAUCCUAAAUCUGGAGUUCUUCUAUAAAGGAUUUCUCCAUUUAGGAAAAAGUGAUUUGCCAAUCUCUGAAGUAUUCUCUUAUGAACACUGGUUAUGCCUUCUGGAUAGUCUCCCUCCUUGAGAUACCUCUUGAUGUUGUAAGUACCAAGGUUUUCCAUCCGGCUCCUCAUCUAUGUGAAAAUAGUAGGUCGGUUGGUUUUGUACAUUUACUUUGAUACAAUCUAUGAAAUUCUUGUCUAGAUGUUUAAUCAUAGAUGACAAGGUCGCCAAUACAUCUGCUAACUCAUUUUGAGUUCUCGAGACAUGUUUGAAUUCAACCUUGGUAAACUUCUUGCGCAAUUCUUACAUGCACUCCAGAUAUGGAAGCAACUUCAUGUUCUUGAAACUCCAUUCGCCUUGUACUUGAUGAAUCACUAAAUCUGAAUCUCCUAUAACCAAUAAUUGUUGUAUGUUCAUAUCAGCAACCAUUCUAAGACCAAGAAUGCAAGCCUCGUACUCUACCAUUUUGUUAGUGCAUGGAAACCUGAACUUUGCUGAGAUGGGAUAAUGCUGGCCUAACUCUGAAAUUAGUACUGCCCCAAUACCGACUCCUUUGAAGUUUGCAGCCCCAUCAAAUAACAUUCUCCAACCUGAAUAUUCUUCUGAAAUAUCUUCUCCAAUAAAUAGAACUUCUUUGUCCAAUAAAAAAGUUUGAAGAGGCUUUAUACUGUUCAUCUACAGGUUUUUAGCAAGAUGGUCAGCUAAAGCUUGUCCCUUGACUGCCUUUUGUGUAACAUAAACAAUGUCAAAUUCACUUAGCAAAAUUUUCCACUUUGCUAGCUUCCUGGUAGGCAUGGGAUUUUGAAAGAUAUACUCGAUCGGAUCCAUCCUAGGGAUGAGAAAAAUAUUAUACGCACACAUGUAAUGUCAAAAAUUUUGUGCAAUCCAAGUCAAGGCACAACAUGUACACUCUAAUAACGUAUAUAGGGCUUCAUAAGGCGUGAACUUCUUGCUCAAGUAAUAUAUAGCUUGUUACUUCUUUUCGGUUUUAUCAUGUUGCCCUAAAACACGCCCAAAUGUGUUGUCUAACACAGAAAAAUACAGUAACAAUGGUCUGCCGUGUUUCGGGGGCACUAAAAUGGGUGGAUUAGACAAAUACUCCUUGAUUCUGUCAAAAGCUUGCUGACAAUCUUUUGUCCACUUGGUGGAAGCAUCCUUUCUCAACAUCUAGAAUAUCGAUUCACAAAUUACCAUAGAUUGUGCAAUAAAUUGGCUGAUGUAAUUGAGUUGACCUAGGAAACUCAUCACGUUCUUUUGACUUCUUGGAGGAGACAAGUCUUGGAUAGCCGUUAUUUUUUAUGGAUCCAAUUCUAUGCCUUUCCUACUCACGAUGAAACCCAAUAGCUUCUCAGUGGGGAUACCAAAUGCACAUUUUGCAGGAUUCAGUUUCAGAUUUUACCGUCUAAGCCUGUCAAAGAACUUCUUCAAAUAUUUUAAAUGAUCUGAGCUCUUUUGUGACUUGAUAUUGACAUCAUCAACAUAGAUUCAAUCUCCUUAUGGAUCAUGUCACAAAAAAUAGUAGUCAUGGCCCUCAUAUAAGUUUCCCUUGCGUUCUUGAGUCCAAAAGGCAUUACCGGAUAAUAAUAUACACCCCAAGGGGUGAUAAAGGCAGUUUUGUUAGCAUCUUCUUCAUUCAUUAGAAUCUGGUGGUACCCUGCGAAGCAAUCAACAAAUGAUUGCAGCUCAUGCUUCACACAAUUAUUAAUGAGUAUGUUAAUAUUUGGCAGAUGAAAAUCAUCUUUUGGGCUGGCCUUAUUGACAUCUCGAUAAUCCACACAUACUUUGAUUUUUCUAUUUUCUUCAGCAUAGGUACAAUGUUGGCUAACCUAGUGGGAUACUUCGUCAUCCGAAUGAUGUUGUCAUUGAAUUGCUUGGACACUUUCUCCUUGACUCUCAAGCUCAAAUCAGGCUUCAUCUUUCUCGACUUCUUAUUUACCGAAGGACAAGAUGGAUCAGUUGUCAACCUAUGUGAAACAAUGUUUGUUCUUAGAAUCGGCAUAUCAUCAUAGGACCACACAAAUACAUCUAUAUAUUAUUUCAAAAGAUCAAUCAAUUCUUUCCUCUGGGACGGAGUCAAAUGAACGCUAAUCUUUGUUUCUCUUAUAAGUUCCAAAUUCCCCAAGUUUAUCGUCUCAAUAUCAUCCAAAUUUGGUUUUUAAUUAUUUUUAAAAUGUUCAAAUUCGUUAGUCAACUCUUCAGACAACAGAUCUUCUUCAUAUUUUGCAAAUUUUUGUUCGCUAUUUGGAAUCGUUUUGCUUGUUUCAUUAUAUGUCACAUUCAUAGUAAUUACAGAUUUGUUAGUUUUCUUGCUGAAAGAGGAAAAAAUAGGAAAUAAAUUAAUGAAGAAGAAUUGAAAUAAAAAUAGCAAAACAUAGUUUGGAUUUGGCAUUUAUACUUUCAAUAGUAGAGGCAAAACACAUAAAUUCAUACACAUGAUUCAGGCCUCAAUUUUGAAUCGUACUGUAAAUACUAAUACAAUUAUCUACCAAGAUUCCUGGAGAACCGGAGAUGGGGUAUAAGUCCAAUUGUUCAAAGCAUCUCCAGGCUUAGCACCCCAGAUAGUUAAGGUCUUGAUGCAUUCCUCCAGAAUCACAUUGCACUCAACUUCUUCUUCAGUAAUGAACAAAUUUUUGACCCUUUUCACGAGGUCUUCUUCAACAUCUUCUUAUGAUAUUUGGGCAACAAACACUUUGGAAAAUGACUGGUUCAGGAGAGGAAUAGGCUUUGGCAGGAGAAUGCCAUGUUUUCUUUUGAGAUUAGGCGAUGAGACUUCUUUAGUGGUGGGCUCAUAUCCAUGACCAAAAGUGCUCUGCUGUCCAAACAAUUGAAUUGGCUUUAGUAUUCCAUCCAAUUUCACACAAAGACCUUGACCAGGCACAAAACCAUUCUUCAACAUUUCCAAGGCCACUAUGAUAAGUACCCAUUGCAACUUUAAACUUUCUACCUGAGCAGUACACAUGAUCUCCUUAACAUGAAAAAUAUAUCCAUCCAGGUGUUUUAUUCAUUCAAUAAUAGGGAUUGAAUUCCAUUGGUAGAUUGGACUAUAUUUCUCUCCACGAAUCAUAAUCUCAUGAUAAUCCCAAAUAAAUUUCAAAGUCUGGUGUAGGGUAGAAGGGACUGUGCUAAUACUAUGGAUCCAUAGCCUUUCGAGUAACAAAUUGUAGCAAGAAGAAAUGUCCAACACAUGAAAUUCUAUUGUAAACUCCACAAGUCCAAUUUGUAGCGCUAAAUCAAUUUCUCCAAUAACUCCUCUUUGAGUACUAUCAAAGCCUUUAACCCUUACAUUACUUUCACGCACUUUUCUAAUGUUAAUUCCCAAAGCUCGGAGGGUACUAAAAGGACAAUUAUUAAGCGCUGAGCCGUUGUAAAUGAGAACUUUAGAAACAAACUUGUCCCUACAUCUGACAGUGAUGUUCAAUGCUCUAUUAUGCCCCAAUCCUUCAGGCAGAAACUCAUCUUCAUGAAAUGAGACUGUAUUAGCUUCCAGAACCUGUCCCACUAGUGUAAUACCCCGUAUUUCUCUAGCAUAAUUUAAUUCCUAAUACAUGAGUAUUCAUAUAUAAAAUUUUGAAAUACUUAUUAUUUUCAGUUUAGAGCCUGCCAUUGCGUAGAAAAUUGAAUUAGCUUUCCAAUGAUAUAAAAUUUGCCUAAAUUCGAUAACCGAGUAAGAAGUUAUGGAGAUUUUAAGUUUCAGUAGUUAAACCCCGUCAUUUUAACCCCUAGCAUAUCCGGAGCAGGCCAAUUUCCUAUUUGGCGAAUUCUAGUGAGGGUCCACGAUCCUGGCGUGUCGCGUCAUAGGCCAAAUUGUCAUUUAUCAUUUUUCAGUGUUGAAACGCGAUAUCACCACGUCGUGGAGACCUUUCAGGUCGCAAACAAGGUGGAAACGCAAUUACACUGCAUCGUGCCACUAUACAUUUUCCCAGUUGUCCAAUUCCAGUGACACGGUGCGACAGCGCCGCAUUGCGCCAGUGGUGUUUUUCGAAAAAAUUCAACAAAAAUUAAAGUGUCGCCUAGGGUUAAAACAGUCCUUUCCCAGUAUUUUAAUCCACCCAGGUGUGAUAUUUAAGCCCUAAAAAUAUUUUAAGUUCAUUAUUCACUCAAUUUUCCCCCAAAUUUCAAGAGCUUUCUCUCUAAAAUACAAACCCUAACUCUCAAAUUCAAGGCCAAUCCUUAAGAAUUCACCAAGAACUUUAAGAAAUUCAUCAGUUAAGGUAUGUUAAAUGUUCAUCCAUGGGCCCCUUCCACCCAUGGAGUCCAAGUAUCCCAUUUUAAUUAACAAGUUAUAAUCUUUCCAAGUUAUUAUGUUUAAAAUUAUGAUUUCACCCAUGAAUCUCCAUGAACUAUGAUUUUAUACCAUGUUUCAAUGAAAUUAUUGUUGUUAUUCGAUUCUCCAUGUUUUAAUGUUAUUAUUUAUUGAAUUAAACCAUGACUUAGUGCUUUUCAUGUUAAAUUCAUCUUAUUUAUACAAGUUCCAUAGUAUUCCAAUGAUUUGACUAAGCUACGAACUACAAGUGUUUGAUAAAAUGCCUACAAGAGUUAAUGUUUUAUGAAAGCCUUCAUUCUAUGUCCCUUAAGAUUCAGUGCUAUUUUUCUAUUAUUGUUUUGAGUCCUGGGAGUAUUUAAUACACAAAAACCAUAACUGUUUAUUUGGUCUAGUCUCAGUACAUUAUAGAAUAAUCUUCAGAACAUACUAUGAGCAUUAUCAGAAUAGUCAGAUAUCAGUUACUUAAACUCAGGAUAGUCUAGUAUUUCAGUGUCAUUCAGUUGGGAGUAGGAUUUAGCACCGAGCGAGUGUAGAGAUGGCGGCUUCCCUAUCAGAUAGGCAGAGUCAUUAGUAGCAGUCCCUAUACUCUAGAGCUACGUAGCCAACGUAGGAUAUAAGUAGUCACCCAUCAGAUUAGGCUUGACUAACUCGCUGAGGUCACUCAUCAGUUUAGGCUUGAUACCCUUAGUCCUUUGGACAAUAUAUCAAUUUAGUGGAUCCACAUAGCCAGUGUUAGUACCUGUGGUACGGUAUUAACACCCUUCCAGCUGAGGUAACAGGUUGGACCCCAAUUAGCUCAGAUUGGGGCUUAUCGGUUAUAUGAUAGCUCCUACAGUCUCAGAUACAAUCUUAGUUACAGUCCUAAUUCAGUUAUUCAGUCUUAGUGUUAUUUGACCAAAGCAUACGGAUAUUAGUUAUUUCAAUAUUUUAGUUUACAGAUUUUACUCAAUUCAUGUUAUAUGCUUGGUCAUGCAUCCUCAGUAUCUACAAAUUUGUAUAUAUCUUCAGUAUUUACAGAUUUUAAUGUAUAGUCAGUAUUUACAGAUUUCCAUAUAUUCCCAAUACUUACAGAUUUCAUUCUCUUUAUUUAGUACUCCAUGAUUUACAUGUAUAUUCAGUUAAUUAUUAGUUUUGUUCAUGAAACCAUGCAUAUCAGCCUACCUCAUUUAGCAUACCAAUACAUUCAAAGUACUGAUCACAUACCUUUUUUUACGCUAUGAUAUAUUCUAUCAUAGGUUUUGACGCUCAGUUUUCGGCUUGCGAUUAAACUUAUUAGAUCCUCAUCAGUAGCAGUGGUGAGUCCUCAUACUUCGAGGACAGGCUUACUUUAUUUCAUGUCUCAGUUUAGUUGUUUGUUGGAGUUAGUUGGGGCCUGUCCCAUCAACUCUCAGUCAUUCAAUUUUAGAGGCUUAUCAGACAUUAUAGUCAGUUAUUCAGUAUUCAGACAUUACAGUUAGUUAUCCAGUUUAUGAGUAUUUUAUUAGAUUCAGUUAGUUAUUUUUAUGGAUUCAUAUUUCAAUUUUGAUUUAGUUAUUAAAACCAUAUAGCAUGUCAGUAUUUUUCCACAUCUAUGACUAUGUUAUCUAGUGCUCACAGCAGGUAAUAGCUCAUGGGUUAGUUUGUAGUCCCUCAGGACUAUAUGCACUGUGUGAUGCCCAGGGUGUACUCUCAAGUCAUUACAAACUUGGUAUUAGAGCCUAAGGUUUUAAAGUAUCCUAGGAAGUCUGAAAGCCGCAUCAAGUAGAGUCUUUUGCAUGGGUGUAUAGCAUUCCACACUUAUAGAUAAGAGGCUAUAAGGCGUUUAGUAAAAAGUUUCCCUUUUUUCAGUAUUCAUGUCGUGUGAGUGAGCAUGAGCUCAAUUUAAACUCCCUGUCUAAUCUAUUUCUCCCUUUCAUUUGCAGAACAUGCCUCCUAAAAAAGCAAAAAACCAGCCAACCCCUCAGCCUGUCCAUGUAGAUCCUCUGGAUGCGCAUGUCUCUCACAUAAAAUUUAGAGCUGCAUUCACUACUCUAGCAAACUCUAUAGCAGCACAGAAUGAAUGGCCAGCUGCUGUUCUGUCUAACCCAGUGGCCAAUACUGUUACAACCAGAAUUUGGGAUUUUAUCUGAAUAAAUCCUCCUUCUUUCACAGGAUCCAAGUCUAAAGAGGAUCCACAGAAAUUCUUAGAUGUGGUUCAGAAGGUCACGGAUGCUAUGGGGGUCAUAUUUAGUCAGAAUGCUGAAUUGGCUGCAUACCAGUUGUUGGAUGCAACCCAUACUAGGUUUAAGCAGUGAAAGGUUGAUAGGGGUGUAGAUGUAGGGCCUGUAGAAUGGGAAGAGUUUGCCACAACUUUCUUAGAUAGAUUCUUCCCAUUAGAGUUAAGGGAGGCCAAGGUGUUAGAGUUUAUUAACUUAAGGCAGGGAAGCAUGAGUGUAUGGGAGUAUUCCCUCAAGUUCACUCAGUUAUCUAGAUAUGUUCCUUAUGUGGUAGCUGAUAACAUGUCCAAGAUGAGUAAGUUUGUGUCUGGCGUAUCUGAUAGUAUGGUCAAGGAGUGUAGGACCACAAUGUUGAUUAUUGAGAUGGAGAGGGUGAGAUGAAAUAAGAGGGCUAGGAUGGGUAGUUUUAACUUUAGUCAGCCAAAGUUAGAGGGUGGUAACCGUUCUCAGCUUUAUCAGAGCCCUUUAUCCCCAGCACCCUCACCAGCCAGUGCUCUCGUACCCAAAUUUAGAAAUGAUAAUAGGGAUAGAGCACUAGGCUCUAAGUCCUAGGUCAGUGUUAUCAGUGCUCGUACAAAUCGUCUAUGUCAGAAAUAUGGCAGACAGCACAGGGUGAGUAUAGAGCGGGUAGUGAUGUGUGCUUCGAGGGUGGAAAGGCAAGACAUCGAAUUUAAGAGUGUCGGGUAGUUGCUCAGAAAGGUAGGGAUGUGUACCAAUAGGUCCAGUCCCAUCAGUCAUCAGUUCCAUCCGGUCGCCCAACUCAACAGGGGCCAGUGCUACUAGUGCUCAGCGUCCGAAAAAAUUAUAUGCUCGUCAGUCUUGCCAAGAUCAUGAAAAUUCUCCUAACUUAGUUACUAGUACAUUGUAGGUCUUUCACUUACAUGUUUAUGCUUUACUAGACUCUGGAGCUUCUCUUUCUUUUGUAACUCCAUAUAUAGCUGACAAUUUUAGAGUCAGUCCCGAAACUCUAGCAGAGCCCUUUUCAGUGUCUACCCCAGUAGGUUUUUCCAUUGUAGCUCGACAGGUAUAUAGGAACUGUCCGAUCAUAAUAUCUCAGAAAGUUACUUUAAUUGAUCUCGUGGAGUUAGAGAUAAUAAAUUUUAAUGUCAUUCUUGGCGUGGAUUGGCUACACACAUGCUAUGCCUCAGUUGAUUGUAGAAACAAAAUAGUUCAUUUUCAGUUCCCAAAUAAACCAGUUCUUGAAUGGAGGGGUAGUACCACAACUCUUAAGGGUCAGUUGAUUUCAUACCUUAGAGCGAGAAAAAUGAUAUCGAAGGGGUGUAUUUACCAUCUUGAGUGAGUCAAAGACUCUAACUCAGAAACUUCAAUUCUUGAAUCAGUUCCAAUAGUAAAUGAAUUCUCAGAUGUAUUUCCUGAAGAUCUUUUCGGAGUUCCACCCAAAAGGGAAAUCGACUUUGGAAUAGACCUUCUUCAAGAUACUCAGCCCAUAUCCAUUCCACCAUACAGAAUGGCUCCAGCUAAACUCAAGAAGUUAAAAGAACAGUUAAAGGAUCUUCUAGAUAAGGGAUUCAUCAGACCCAACAUCUCCCUGUGGGAUGCACCUGUUCUAUUCGUGCGUAAGAAAGAUGAUUCUCUUAGAAUGUGCAUAGACUAUCAUCAGUUAAACAAAGUCACCAUUAAGAAUAAAUAUCCACUACCUAGAAUCGAUGACUUGUUUGAUCAACUUCAGGGUUCCAAUUAUUUUUCAAAGAUAGACCUCAGAUCAGGCUAUCAUCAACUUAGAGUUAGGGAAUGUGACAUUUUGAAAACAACUUUUCGAACUCGGUAUGGUCACUUCAAAUUUCUUGUCAUGUCCUUUGGUAUCACGAAUGCCCCAGCAGGUACUUGAUAAAUCGAGUGUUCAAGCAGUACUUAGAAAUGUUCGUCAUAGUUUUCAUUGAUGAUGUUUUUGUUUACUCCCGUAGCAAAACUGAUUAUGCAGACCAUCUCAGAAUAGUGUUACAAACUCUUAGAGCUCACCAGUUAUUCGCUAAGUUUAGUAAGUGUGAAUUCUGGCUAAGAUCAGUAGCUUUCCUUGGCCAUAUUAUUUUCGGUAAUGGAAUUAGAGUUGACCAUCAAAAGACUGAGGCAACAAAAAACUGUCUUAGACCUAUCUCUCUGUCAAACAUCAGGAGUGUCUUGGGUUUAGCUGGCUAUUACCAUCGGUUUGUUGAAGGAUUUUAUUCUAUUGCAUCCCCCAUGUCCAGAUUGACUAAGAAGAAAGUUAAGUUUCAGUGGUCAGAUUCCUUAGAGAAAAGUUUUUAGGAGUUGAAAACUCGACUCACCUCAGCCCCAGUUCUUACCCUGCCAGAUGGUUCAGAUAGGUUUGUUGUGUACUCUGAUACAUCCAGAGUAGGUUUAGGUUAUGUACUCAUGCAUAGAGGUAAUGUCAUAGCCUAUACCUCUAGACAACUUAAACUCCAUGAGAAGAAUUAUCCGACUCAUGAUCUUGAGUUAGCAGCAGUAGUAUUCGCCUUAAAUAUUUGGAGACUUUACUUGUAUGGGGUGCACGUUGAUGUGUUCACUGACCAUAAGAGCCUGCAGUAUGUGUUCUUUCAGAAAGAUUUAAAUUAGCAUCAGAGAAGGUGGUUAGAGUUAUUGAAAGAUUAUGACAUGAGUGUUUUGUAUCAUUCGGGCAAAGCCAAUGUAAUGGCUGAUACUCUCAGUAGGUUGUUUAUGGAUAGUGUCUCUCAUAUUGAUGAUGGUAAGAAGAAGUUAGCUUAGGAAGUUCAUCAGCUUGCCCGACUAGGAGUUCGCUUACUCAAUUCAGCAGAAGGUAGUGUAUGGGUGCAGAGUAGCUCAGAAUAAUUUCUAUUUAUCGAGGUAAAGGAAAAACAAGAUAGAGAUCCUAGUCUAGUUAAGUUGAAAGAAUCAGUCAAAGAUUAGAAAGUAGAGGUUUUCUCCCAAUGGGGAGAUGGUGUUUUGCAUUGUUAGGGUAGAUUAUGCGUGCCUGGUGUAGAUGAUUUGAGAUAAUGAAUUCUUACAGAGGCGCAUGGUGCGCGUUACUCUAUUCAUCCUGGGGUUACUAAGAUGUACUGCAAUUUAUGGGAGAUCUAUUAGUAGAGUGGGAUAAAGAGAGAUAUUGCAGAGUUUGUGGCUAAGUGCUUUAUAUUCCAGCAAGUUAAGAUUGAGCACCAGAAGCCUAGUGGGUUCAUGCAGGAGUUCAGUAUUCCCACUUAGAAAUUGGAGGAAGUUAACAUGGACUUUGUGAUGGGUUUUCCUCAUACUCGUCAUCGACUUGAUUCUAUUUGGGUUUUCAUAGACAGGAUGACCAAAUCAGCUCAUUUAUUACCAGUCCAUAAAUUUUAUUCAGCCAAGGAUUAUGCCAAACUCUAUCUCAGAGAGUUAGUCCGCUUGCACGGUGUUCCCUUAUCUAUCAUCUCAGAUAGAGGUACCCAAUUUACCUCUUACUUUUAGAAAGCAUUCCAAAAGGUUCUUGGUACCUAAGUCCACCUAGUACAGCCUUCCACCCUCAGACAGACAGCAAGUAGAAUAGACCAUUCAGACUCUUGAAGAUAUGUUGAGAGCAUGCGUAGUUGAUUUUAAAGGUAGUUGGGAUGACCACUUGCCUUUGAUUGAAUUUACAUAUAAUAACAACUAUCAUUCCAGUAUUCGUAUGGCUCCAUUUGAGGCUCUCUAUGUAGAUCUCCAAUUGAUUAGUUUGAAGUAGGUGAGGCUGCAGUAGUGGGGCCUGACUUGGUAUUUGAUGAGUUAGAGAAGGUUUAAUUGAUCAGAGAAAGGCUUAGGGCUGCCCAGAGCCAACAGAAAUCAUAUAUAGAUGUGAGGAAAAAGGAUCUCGAGUUUGAGGUCAGUGAUUUUGUGUACUUAAAAAUCUCUCCCAUGAAGGGAGUGAAGAGAUUUAGUAGGAAAGGGAAACUCAGUCCCCGAUAUGUCGGUCCCUUCUGAGUUCUUAGUCAUUUUGGAAAGGUAGUUUACGAGCUUGAGUUGCCUUCAGAUCUAGCCUCAAUACACCCAGUGUUCCAUGUCUCAUUGUUGAAGAAGUGUAUUGGUGAUACAACUGUAGUUGUUCCCUUAGAAAGUGUAGAUAUUCAAACCAGUCUUUCCUUUGAGGAAGUUCCAUUCAACAUUCUUGAUUAUCAAGUUCGUAGACUAAGGAACAAAGAAAUUCCAUUGGUUAAAUUUCUUUGGUGGAAUCAUUCCGUUGAGGGAGCUACUUGGGAAGCAGAAGCAGAUAUGUGGACCAAGUACCUUCAUCUUUUCUCCGCGAAUUCAAGUUCGGCUUAAGGUAUUAAUCUUUUUGAGAUUUCUCUCUAUCAUGCUCAGUUUCAGUUGAAUAUCAUGUUCAUGUCAUUUGUGCAUUCAUGAGUCAGUUCAGUUAUGCAUUCCACUAUCAGAUAUGCAUGUUCAGUAUGUAAGCUCAGUCCAUCAAUUUUCCCUCAGCUUAACCAGUCUCAUUCGAGGACGAAUGAUCCCAAAGGAGAGAUAUUGUAAUACCCCAUAUUUCCCUAUCAUAAUUUAAGUCUCAAUACAUGAGUAUUCAUAUAUAAAUUUUUGAAACACUCAUUAUUUUUUAGUUUAGAGUUGCCAUUGCGUAGGAAAUUGAAUUAGCUUUCUAAUGUUAAAAAAUUCGCCCAAAUUCGAUAAUCGGGUAAGAAGUUAUGGUGAUUUUAAGUUUCAUUCGUUAAGCCCAUCAUUUUAACCCCUAGCACAUUGCGGAGUAGGACAAUUUCACAUUUUUCAAAUUCCAGUGCGGGUUCGCGAUCCUGGCGCGUCAUGCCAUAGGCCAAAUUGGCAUUUAUUAUUUUCCAGUGUUGAAGCACGAUAGCACCGCGUCGCAAUGAGCUUUCAGGUUGCAACCAAGGUGGAACUGUGAUUACACCGCAUCACGUCACUGUUCAUUUUCCCAGUUGUCCAAUUCCAGUGACACGACGCGAUAGCGCCGCGUUGCGCCAGUGGUAUUUUUCAGAAAAAAUCGAUAAAAAUUAAAAGUGAUGCCCAGGGUUAAAACAUUCAUUUUCCAUUAUUUUAAUCCGCCCAGGUGUGAUAUUUAAUCCUUACAAAUAUUUUAAGUUCAUUAUUCACUUAAUUUUCCCCCAAAAUUCAAGAGAUUUCUCUCUAAAAUACAAACCCUAGCUCUCAAAUUCAAGGCCAAUCCUCAAUAAUUCACCAAGAACUUCAAGAAAUUCAUCAUUUAAGGUAUGUUAAAUGUUCAUCCAUGGGUCCCUUCCUCCCAUGGAGUCUAAGUAUCCCAGUUUAAUUACAAAGUUAUAAUCUUUCCAAGUUAUUAUGUUUUAAAUUAUGAUUUCACCCAUGAAUCUCCAUGAACUAUGAUUUUAUACCAUGUUUCAAUGAAAUUAUUGUUGUUAUUCGAUUCUCCAUGUUUUAAUGUUAUCAUUUAUUGAAGUAAACCAUGAUUUUGUGCUUUUCAUGUUAAAUUCAUGUUAUUUAUAAAAGUUCCAUAGUAUUCCCAUGAUUUGACUAAGCUACGAACAACAAGUGUUUGAUAAAAUGCCUACAAGAGUAAAUAUUUUAUGAAAGCGUUCAUGCUAUGUUCCUUAAGCUUCAGUGCUAUUUUUCUAUUAUUGUUUUGAGUCCUGGGGGUAUUUAAUACCCGAAAACCAUAGAUGUUUAUUUGGUCUAGUCUCAGUGCAUUACAGAAUAAUCUUCAGAACAUACUAUGAGCAUUAUCAGAAUAUUCAAAUAUCAGUCAGUUAAACUCAGGAUAGUCUAGUAUUUCAGUGUCAUUCAGUUGGGAGUAGGAGUUAGCACCGAGCGAGUGUAGGGAUGGCGGCUUCCCCGCCAGAUAGGUAGAUUCAUUAGUAGCAGUCCCUAUACUUCAGAACUACAUAGCCAACGUACGAUAUAAGUAGUCACCCAUUAGUUCAGGCUUGACACCCUUAGUCCUUUGAACAAUAUAUUAGUUUAGUGGAUCCACCCAGCCCACAUUAGUACUUGGGGCACGGUAUUAACACCCUUCCAACUGAGGUAACAAGUUGGACCCUGAUUAGCUCAGAUUUGGGCAUAUCGGUUAGAUGAUAGCUCCCACAGUCUUAGAUACUGUCUUAGUUACAGUUCCAGUUUAGUUAUUCAGUCUUAGUGUUGUUUGACCAAAGCAUAUAGAUAUCAGUUAAUUCAGUAUUUUAGUUUACAGGUUUUACUCAGUUCAUGCUAUAUGCUUGGUCAAGAAUCCUCAGUAUCUACAGGCUUUCACGUAUCUUCAGUAUUUACAAAUUUUCAUGCGUAUUAGUCUUUAAAGAUUUCCACAUAUUCCCAGUACCGACAGAUUUCAUACUGUCUAUUUAGUACUCCAUGCUUUAUAUGCAUAUUCAGUUAAUUAUUAGUUUUGUUCAUGAAACUAUACAUAUCAGUCUACCUCAUUUAGCAUACCAGUACAUUCAAAGUACUGAUCGUAUAUAUUUUCUUUUGAGCUAUGAUGUAUUAUAUCAUAGGUUCUGAUGCUCAGUUCUCAGCUCUUGAUCAGACUUAUCAUAUCCUUAGCAGUAGUAGUGGUGAGUGCUCAUACUUUGAGGAAAAACUUAAUUUAUUAUGUCCCAGUUUAGUAGUUAGUUGGGGCCUGUUCCAUCAACUCAUAGUCAUUCAUUUUAAGAGACUUAUCAGACAUUAAAGUCAGUUAUUCAGUAUUCAGACAUUAUAGUUAGUUAUCCAGUUUAUUAGUAUUUUAUCAGAUUCAGUCAGUUAUUUCUAUAGAUUCAUAUUUUAGUUUUGAUUCAGUUAUUAAAACCUUAUAGCAUGUCAGUAUUCUUCCGCAUCUAUGAUUAUGUUAUCCUAUGCUAAUAGCCGGUACCCGCUCAUGGGUUAUCUUGUGGUCCCUCAGGACUGUAAGCACCGUGUGACGCCCAGGGUGUACUCUUGGGGCGUUACAACCAAAGCUAGAAGAUUCUCGCUAGUUAUCUUAGUUGGCAGAUAAGCUUCAUUCAACACCUUUACCAGAGUGCUCCUAUGAGUUGUACAAUUCAUCAAUAAUGACUAUAAUGAGAUUUGGGUAGGAGUUUGUUUUAUUUAGCUGCUCCACAAUGGAAUACUCCUUAGUCGGCAUCUUCCUCUAGAAAUCCUCUACCUCAGCCUCUGUCAUAACUUUUUUUUUGACUAUUCUUUUUAUUAGGCACUCUUUGCACAACUCCUUCAGGGGCAUAACAACUCCCAGAUCUUGUCAUUUCCCCAGCAGCAUCUUCUACAACCAAUUUUCCUUUUCCUUGGUCCCUUGCAUCAGUUGAGUAAUUCCAAGGAACUGCCUUAGGAUUUGAAGGUGUUUGAGCAAAUAACGCUGUGAUCUUAGGUUUGGGAACAACAACUACUAUUUCAAUUGGGGCACGAUCUGGACUGUAAUUAUAGGUGUGACUAAAGUUGAUGUUUCCACUUUUCUUUAUUACCGAUUGAUACAAUAGUUCCUUCAAAACUAUAUUCUUCAUCAAUGGUAAUCAUGUUCACAUGGGCACCCCCAUGAUUUGGGAAGGAAUUGUUGUUCACAUUGGGAGAGAUCCUUUGAGCUGAAUAACUCCUUUGAUUAAUGCCUCAAUCUUAUCCUUGAGAGUAAGGAAAUUCUCAGUGUUAUGCCCAUCAACCCCUGAAUGGUAAGAACAAUGCUUUGUCCUAUCAUACCAUCCAGGAAAGGGAUUAGGAAUUCUACCUUGGAUCAGUUGGAAUGCUCCUGCAGUUCUCAUCUUUCAUACAGUUGGGAUAAGGGUUCGUCUAGAGGUGUAUAGGUUUUGGCUAGCCUUUUUUCAUAAUUCGAAUGAGGUCUAGGUGAACUUGGAGGAUGAUUUUAUGGUUGGUAGUGGGUUUAAGGAGGAUAGGUAGGUUGAUAUUGUGGUGGGUUUUGAUACGUUGUUGCUCGAGAUGGGCAAUAUAUUAGUUGGGUGGCAUAAAUUGGAUACGAGGUAUGUAAAGGUUGGCAAUAUGGAAGAGGAGUUUGAGAAUAGUAAAAAGGUUGAGGUGGUGGAUUUUGGAAUGUUAGCAUUUGGUUGGGUCUUGUUUCCUGAAUGGUCAUGCCAGCGGAAACUCCAUCCUUUUUCUUUUUAUUCACUCCCCCAGUUGGAUCAGAAUGCAUUGCCUUACUUGUCGCUUGUAAAGCUGCCAGAUUAGUGAUUCUCCCCAUCUUGAUACCUUCGUCAACAAAUUCUCCUAUCCUAACAACCUCAGAGAACUUCUGUGCAGCUACGCUUAUCAACUUGUCAUAAUACGUCGCAUCUUUUUGAGACUGCAUAAAAAGAGAAGUCAUCUCACUUUCCGCCAUAGGAGGUUGAACUUUCACGGCGUCUGCUCUCCACCGCAUGGCAUAUUCUUUGAAGGACUCUAUCGAUUUUUUCUCCAUCUUCAUCAAGUGGAAUCGAUCUGGGAUGACUUCAGUGUUAAACCUGAACCUAUCCAUAAAUUCUUGUGCCAAGGCAUUCCAACUACACCAUUUUUAUGGGUUUUGGUUCGUGUACCAAUCUAGAGAUUCUCUCAUCAAACUCCUUAUGAACAACUUCAUUCUAAUGUCCUCAUUCUUCCCUACUCCCACUAGCUUGUCACAAUACAACCUGAAAUGAGCUCAAUUAUUCCCUCUUCCAUCAAACAUAUCCAAUUUUGGUACCUUAUACCCUACCGGUAACUCAACAUUUGGAUGAACACAUAAAUCUUCAUACUCAAGUCCUUCACAUCCUUUCUAUUGUUGGAUGGCUUUGAAUGCUUCUUUUAAACUACGAAUCUCAUUUGCUACACUUUCGUCUACUUUGGACCUUGCCUCUCUUUCCAUCUCUUCAUAAGGAUCAAAUUCUUAGGUGGUUGGCAUCAGGAUAGUAAAAGGUUGAGCUCCCACUAUAUGUACUUAUGGCACAUAGUGCGUGUUAGGAAUUGCAACAUGUGCCACCUAUAUAUAUGGGGCGGUUUGGUAGUUUUGGAUGACUGGGGUAGUUUGUGCAAGUGGGAUAUUUUGGGUGUGUGGAUCUUGGGUAAAUGGAGUUUAGUUAAGAGGAGCUUGAGGAACAUAUGGAGUAGUAAAGGGUAAUGGGUUUGUUUGUUGUGAUUUGACUUGUUGCGGGUUAUUUUCUUGUGGGUUAGCAGGAUAUUUGGUAGGAAUAGGGUUGUUUUGGUGGACUGAUGGAUUUGGUGGGAAGCGUUGGAAGGCAGGAGAAUAAACAGGAGGAAAAGAAGAUGGAAUAAUGGUAUUUGUUCCAUGUUUAUGAAGUGGAGUAUUCAUUCUAAUGGACAUCUUAGUGAGGUUUCAAAGUCAAUCACUUUCACUUUGCAUGUUAGCCAUUUGUUGCAUCAUAUGAGCUAUAUGUUCAUUAUGAAGGGUUGCAUCCCUCUCCCUCAAAGUCUUGGGUUCACUUCUUGCGACGGUGACAAGUCCUAAGCCGUCGGGUGUACCUAAAAUAGUCAUAUUGGUGUUUUCUCGUGCUUUUGAUAACGUAAAGUAUGGGUGAUUAGACAGUUCGUAGUUAACACAAAUCAACCAUUGGAGGGAAUAAAUUAAAAGAAAGAAAAACCUUUAAAAGAUAGAAAUAUAUCAGUAUGAGAGAAUAAUUUUGCAUAAAUAACUCACAAUUAAGCAAACAACAUUGGAAAAGAAAGCAUAUUUCAUGUUGCAAACAAAGCACAUAAAAAAGAAAACUUCAAUAAUCAAGACACAUCCUAUUAUGCACGGGACCUCUUUUGUGCAAAGAGGUGGACCUAUGCGUCAAGCAAUUGAGAUUAUGAAAAUUGAUCCAAGCUUUAAUUAAUGACAUUGCUCGAGUUUGGAGUUAGAAAAUGAGAAACAAACCACUUCAUUUGAAUAUCAUCAUUAGACCAUUACACUGAUUUCAAAAACAUAAAAAGAGCACAUGAUAAUAAAAUGAAAAUCCUAGCCAAAACAUAAAGAAAGUACAUGAUAAGAGAAAUUCUAGGCACUAAAGUAAAUCCUCAUGCUCCAAAGGGUGCCAAAGAUCCGGAAAUGACUUGUUCCCACAUUUCAGGUAGGAUGACAAAGAGGUUGAUCAGGAUUCCAUGUGCCCAUUCUGUUUCUUUAAGAUCUUCAUACCCAAUGGCUUGUCCUUGAUGGAUAAAGCCUGCAUCCUCCAUAGUUGCUAAUAACCACACAUAAUACUCUGGAGUAAAGUAAGCUUGCUCGUUAAGAACAUCUAUUGUCAUCAGAUUUCUCCAUUUUUGAAGUAACUCCAUUGCUCUAUGAAUCUCAAAGCGUGGCCCAAAAUAAACCUCAAAUUUGGUCAUAUCAGAAUGAAGUGGAAUGACUUGAUAAUGUCCAAAUUGCUGAAGCACUCGUGAGGAAACAUAUGGUUAAAGACCUUCCAAGCUAAUAAGUUCAAUAUAGUAUGUCAUACGACCCCUGAUGAUGGCAACGUGAGGUGAAAACCAUGGGUACUUUCAUUGGAUUUGAUUGCCAGUGACCACCCUUAUGUACGCAUACCAAUUAUUUGUACCCACAGAAGCUACAAAUUUUGCCAUCCUUUAUAGAUGAGAGUAGAUCUUGUUAGGUCUUAUAAAGAGUAUGUCGACCAUGGCGUUACGUCUAUAGAAAUAUUUUAUAGCCCAAAUCUGAAGAAAGAGAUUGCAACCUUCAAAGAACCUUCUUCCUCUGGCAUAUUUGGCCAAUGCUCUUAUUAUUUCUGCUACAAUCAUCGAAAUCGGUGUAACCUCAACAUUUUCAACCCCACGAAAAAGAUCUCGAACCACGGAACUAAGGCAAGUGUCAAUCCUUCCAUGCUUCAAAGAAAAGACUAGAAUACCUAGUAAAGCAAUGGCAAAACCUAUAGGACAUUUCUUUCUCCAACUCUCAGUAGAACAGGAGAAUUCCAUGCUAAAGACCUCGUGACCAUCCUUGCAACCAAUCUUUCAUACAAGUAAUCAAGAGAAAUCCAUUCACGAUCCAAACAGGCAAGCUUGGGGUUGUUUCUGAGCCCAAGAAGAUGCAAGAAUUUCUUUCCUGACUGUUUAUGAGGUAAGAUCAUACCCCGUCCUUGAUACUUAAAAUCGGUAAAUCCACCAAUUUCUUCAAUUGUGGGGGUUAAUUCAAAAUCCUUGAAUUUAAACACGACUCUAGUGGGAUCUCAGAAUUUGAGCAAUGCUUUGACUAUAUGUCUGUCAGAAGGGAUGUAAAUCAAUGAUGUCAAGAAAUCCAAAGUUCUCCUAAUCUCAAACCUAUGCUCCAUCUGGAUGUUCUCCCACCAUAUCCCUAGAUUAAGUGGCAUACACACAACCAUUUAGUUGUUGGCAAAAUUAGGCAAGUUAUUCAUUCUAGCAACCUAUAAGAAGACAACAUAAGCAAAUGCUUUCGAAACUUAAUUUUGUCAAAUUUUAACUUGGAUCAAUUUAUCAUUAUCUUUGCAUAUAAUAUGAAGAUCGUCAUCGGGUUGUGAACCCUUUUGACAUAAAGGCGUUUCAUAAAUUCUUGGAAUGACACCAUGGGUUAAACCACCUACGGCUUAUGCAUGCAUGGUCGAAAUCAAGGGUGGCAACGCUCCAUCUUAAGUUUUUCUAAGAUUUGGGUAAACACGAACUUGGAUUUCCUAUAUGAGAAGGCACGUGGUCCCACGAUAGUAAAACUCUCACUCACUCCACGUAUGCGCCCACUCUCUAAAAUUGGUGAUUUAAAAGAAUUUUGGGAAAGUACAAUGUACAAUCCGCGUGUACAACGUGUGUGAGUGUUAAUUUUUUAAAGUGGAGGAAAUAUGAACGGAAUGUCAAUUUAUAAAGCAGUAAACAAGUAAGUAAUUUAUACAAAACUAUAGCAAAUAAAUAAUUUAUGCCAUGAAAACAUGAUAAAACAAGACAAUUAGUGUGAAACAAAAAACAAAAUAUAAAGACUUAAUUAUUAACCUAAGUUUGUUAUGGUUAAGAACCUAAUAAUUUUCCAGUGAAGUCGCCAAGAUGUUAUACCUCAUUUUAAUACGAGGUCAAAAUAGUGUACAACAUAUUGGAAACCUUUGAUUAAAUUAAAGGAAGUCACCACCUAAUUAAUUCUACGGUGAAUUAGGAUACCUAUCCUAAGCUAAGUGAUUAAAAUAUAUUAAGACUUUAUUUUAGGAUCUACUUAACUAGCGAUUCUAAGUAAGGGUUCUAAUUAUCUUAAAGGGAAGGAAUUAGACAUCAUAAAAAAUCCGCUAGCUACGAUUAACCAGCCAAACUUAGGUUAGAUAAAGCAAUCGAUAUUAAAUUAAGAAAGACAUAAGUGAGGCAUUAUAUAUCUUAUUUUAAAAUAAUCUAUAUUAAUCAUUUAUAAGACAAAGAUUUAAAAUAUUAAAAAUCCACUCAUUUGCAAAAAUAAGUAAAGAGAGCCUUUAAAGUCCUUAAAAAUGACGCAAACUUCAUUGUUGUUAAAAGGAAGUCAUUUUAAAUCAUUUUAUAGAAAAAAUUUACAAAGGUUCCUAACUAGUAGUUUAAACAAAAGAUUAGUCGUGUUAUAAGAGUUGCGCAUUUUAAUUCUAUAAAUAAUCUUUUGUCCUUCCUUUAUCAAUUUUAUAAAAUAAAUGUAAGUAUAAAAUUAACCACACCAUACAAAAUAGAUUAUUGAAAGAUAGCUUUGAGGAUAUAUAACUGCUUAAAUCUACUAGCGACUUGAGAUUUUAUUUUUAUCAAGAAAGACAAACAAUUUACAAAAAUAAGUUUUUUUUUUUUGCCAUUAAAAUUCCUAUGAAUGCCUCGUGAAAUCAAAUUGGCAUAGUUGCCAUCUUUUAUUUGAAACAAAAUUAAUUACUAUAUCCAACAUAGAUAAAGCCGACUAUCAAGUUUAAUGGUAAUAAAUUUUCCUACCACCAAAACCUAUGUUUAAUUAAAUCAAUAUUACUAAUUACUUAAGACUAACUUUGAUUCUAAAGAUAAAAUCGUUAUUCUAUAUUAAAUCAUUAAAAUAUUCUCGUUAUUCUAUAUUAAAUCAUUAAAAUAUUCUAACAACUCGACCAACUAUUCAAAAGGAUGUCUUCUACCUAUCAAAUUUUAAUUUUUUUAGAUGCUAUAAAUUACUUCUAAAUCUAGUGAUUAAGCUAAAGUCGAUAUCUAAAGGUUAAAAAAAAAGACGGCCACAUUUGCUACCAUAAUAAUAAAACUUGUACUAGUCCAAACAUAUGCAAACAAGAUAUAAAUUCCAACAUUAAUGUGUAAUAAAAAGUUUCGAUGCAAAUAAUUAUAGGCGUAUACAAAUAAGAAAUGAAACUUGGAAGAGGAAAGGGCACUAGACUAUUGGCGGGUUUGACUUAAGAUUAUGGAGUAUAACUCCUUUCUCGGAUGAAAGAUAAUGUUGAUCUCGUUCUGAGACUCCAUGCGGCUAUGAGAGUCUAGCCUUAAGACUCCAAGAUUGUUUGCUCCCGAAGUUCAUUAAAAAAAGAUAUUUCAACUUAAAAGAAUCAAAUCAAGUCUCAUAUUAAAACAUUAUAUCCAAAGAUGAGAUGGACAACGCUGAACAAAUAACUUCUUAAUGCGCACAAUAUAGAAGAAAAUGUAAUACAUCUCUUUAAAAAAUAAUAAUAAUAAUUUCCAAGUCCAUCAAAUUUCCAACACGGUUCAAUCACUUUUCAAAAUGCAAUCCCCUUCUAAAUCAAAAAGAUUAUAUUUUCCAAAUCUGUAAGGAGUUAUAUGACACCCUUUUAAGAUGACAAUCUACACAAAUACUUCAAUUAACGAAACAUGUGCCGAGAUGAAAGGAAAAGAUAUGCAUGUGGGUGAAGGACGUGAAGUAGGAGCUACAAAUAGGCUAACAUUCUUUCUUGUUACUUAAACGCUCCAGAAACCAAACCGAUUGAAACCACAGUAAGGUAUAUGUUGAAACUUAAGCGAGAGACAAGCAACCACGAGAUGCAUUUAUACCUUUUAAAAAAAAAAAUUAUGUUUAGCUUUGUAAAUGACAUAUUCAUAGGUGCUGAUGCAUUUUUAUAUAUAUACAUGCAGCAUGUUUUGGAAGUAACGCAAACCAAGUACCUUUCAAGCUAAUAAAGGUGGUAAUAUAUGCAAUGAACAUUACAUUUUUGACAUGACAAGAAGGUUGACAUGAACGUUACAUUUUGACAUCACAAGAAGGUUUAAAUUAAGCAAAGUAAACUUUAGUCUCAAAACGUGCUUUCCUAUUAAGAUAAUCGUGAUAGCCCGAAACAAAGACGUGAAACGGGGAAGGGGAGAGGACUAUCGCUAAUAAAUAUUCAUUAAAAAUUAAUAAAUAUCAAAGGCAUUACCACAUACUGAAGAUAGUACCUAUGACGCACGUAUAACCUGUGCCAAACAAACACCGAGCAAGAGAAUGAACCUUACUGAUUUUGGAAAAAACAGGAACAACAUAAUUCAACAUAACCAUACUUUAGGCCAUCCACGAAAAUGUUUAAACGACUGCUUUCUAUUCAACCAGAUAAGUGGAAUUAAAACAAAGACGAGCGCAGAUGGUCUUAAUCUUGAAUAUAACAAAAUGACGUAAAAAAACAAUUCGAGAUGAACACUGACUUAAUCUUCCAUCAGGUAAGGCGAUGCAAAAGAUUAAGUUUAAAUAAACAUUUCAAGCUUCCACAUAUCUAUCUUCGGAACAAAGACGAGUAAACAGAUCGUGAUUAAUCUUACAAAACGAAGGGAGUAAAUGGGCGGCAGAUUGAAAGAUACGAUCGACAAACUAACCAAACCACGAUUGCAAGAUAUUUGUUAUUUUGCAUAAUGAUCACGAUUUUUUAAUUCUACUUGCCUAAUGGGUUGCUUGGAAUUUGAUGUUACCGUUUGACAAAAUUCGAAUUCAGGAAAAGGAUUGCUUUGCUAUUUUUCCGGUGACAGCUUGUCUCUUUCACUUUAAUUUAGGCCAAGCAAGGAUAAGUUGACUUUUCUAUAAUUUGUUAUAAUGAAGUCUUGUUAUUUUUCAUAUUGAAGUCUAGUGAAGCCUCGCCAUGUUCGAUUCACUAGCAUUGUUGUUAUCUUCUUGUUAUUGUUCAUAUUGAAGUCUAGUGAAGCCAUUUGUGGCCUUGUGCGAUUCACUAGCAUUGUUGUUGACAUAUUAUUGGUCUUGUUAUUGCUUGUUUCUUGUAUUGUGAACUUGCUCUCAUAUCAUUUGGUAUGCAAAUUUGGUGACUUAGUUACUUGAAAAUGGUUAAGUGUGUGGAAUUUAAAGAUGAUUUUUUGUUUAGAAUGUGACUUAGUUGGUGAUUUAGUUACUAGAAAAUGGUUAAGUGUGUGGAAUUUAAAGAUGAUUUUUUGUUUAGAAUGUGACUUAGUUGGUGAUUUAGUUACUAGAAAAUGGUUAAGUGUGUGGAAUUUAAAGAUGAUUUUUUGUUUAGAAUGUCACUUGGUUGGUGACUUGGUUGGUUAAAAAUGAUUAAGAGUAGGGAAUUUAAAGAUGAAUUUUUUGUUUAGAAUCUGACUUGGUUGGUGACUUUGUUAAUUGAAAAUGGUUUAGUGUAGGAAAUUUAUAGAGGAUUUUUUUGUUUAGAAUGUGACUUGGUUGAUGACUUAGUUGGUUGAAAAUGGUUAAGUGUAGGAAAUUUAAAGAUGAAUUUUUUGUUUAGAAUGUGACUUAGUUGGUGACUUUGUUAGUUGAAAAUGGUUUAGUGUCGGGAAUGUAUAGAUGAUUUUUUUGUAUAGAAUGUGACUUGGUUGGUGACUUAGUUACUUGAAAAUGGUUAAGUGUAGGGACUUUAAANNNNNNNNNNNNNNNNNNNNNNNNNNNNNNNNNNNNNNNNNNNNNNNNNNNNNNNNNNNNNNNNNNNNNNNNNNNNNNNNNNNNNNNNNNNNNNNNNNNNNNNNNNNNNNNNNNNNNNNNNNNNNNNNNNNNNNNNUUGUAGAAACCUUAAAGAUGAUUUUUUUGUUUAGAAUGUGACUUGGUUGGUGACUUUGCUGGUUGAAAAUAGUUAAGUGUAAGGAAUUUAUAGAUGAAUUUUUUGUUUAGAAUGUGGUUUGGUUGGUGACUUUGUUAGUUGAAAAUGGUUAAUUGUAGAAACCUUAAAGAUGAUUUUUUUGUUUAGAAUGUGACUUGGUUGGUGAUUUUGUUAGUUGAAAAUGGUUAAGUGUAGGAAUUUUAAAGAUGAUUUUUUUGUUUAGAAUGUGGUUUGGUUGGUGACUUUAUUAGUCGAAAAUUGUUAAGUGUAGGAACUUUAAAGAUGAUUUUUUGGUUUAGAAUGUGACUUGGAUGGUGACUUUGUUAGGUGAAAAUGGUUUNNNNNNNNNNNNNNNNNNNNNNNNNNNNNNNNNNNNNNNNNNNNNNNNNNNNNNNNNNNNNNNNNNNNNNNNNNNNNNNNNNNNNNNNNNNNNNNNNNNNNNNNNNNNNNNNNNNNNNNNNNNNNNNNNNNNNNNNNNNNNNNNNNNNNUGAUUUUUUUGUUUAGAAUGUGACUUGGUUGGUGACUUAGUUACUUGAAAAUGGUUAAGUGUAGGAACUUUAAAAGGGAUAUUUUUUGUUUCGAAUGUGCUUUUGUCGGUGAAUUAGUACCUUGAAAAUGAUUAAGGUGACUUGAUUGAAUUUUUGUGACUUGAUCUAAUUAGUUAAAUCUGAUUGACUGCAUAGAUGAAACCUGAUUAUAGCUGGAUAUAUCUACAGAACAAUGAUAACAGAAUGAGUAUUAGGGAGGAAUUUUUUGAAGGUGUCAAAAGAUUUGUUGAACAUGCUAAGACACUUGAUGUUUGGACAUUUUUUGAGGUUAUUCAUUGUCCUUAUGUUAGAUGUGAUGGUAUAAAUCUUGUAAGUGAAGAAGUAGUAAAGGAACAUCUUUAUAGAAAGGGGUUUCAUGAGGACUUUUUAAGAUUGUAUGGUAUUCAUGGUGAUGUUGCUCAAAAUAACUUUGUUGUUGGAGAAAGUAGUAGGUCUACAGCGCAUAAUGAAUAUCAAGAUACUAGGAUAACAGAAAUUGUGCACGAUACUUUUUGGAUGGAACACGGGGGCGACUUUAGAAAAAAUAUCGAAGAUGUUCCUAAUAGCGAAGUGGGCAAAUUCUAUGAACAAUUGCAUGCUGCUAGUCAUUCUUUGUUUGACGGGUGUUCGCACUCUCAUUUUUCUAUUGUUGUUAGAUUAUUAAGUAUUAAGUUUGACUGGAAUAUUGCUGAAGGAGGAAUUGACUCAAUGAUAGACCCAAUUAAAGAGUUAGUUGACCCGGCUUGGAGGUUUUCGAUUCUUUCUAUAAGACAAAAAGAUUGGUAUCAAAGUUAGGUCUCUCCUCAGUUAGAAUUGAUUGUUGUGAAAAUGGUUGCAUGUUAUACUUUAAGGAAGAUGCUAACCUAGAGUCCUGUAAGUUUUGUCAGCACCCUCGAUAUAAGCGUGGUUCUACUGGAAAUCAAAUUGCUAUUAAGGCGAUGCAUUAUUUACCUCUAAUACCAAGGUUACAGAGGUUGUAUGCUUCAAACAGCUCAACUCCUCAUAUGAGAUGGCACAGUGAAAAUAGAAGGCCCACUGGUGUUAUGUGUCAUCCAUCUGAUGGAGAGGCUUGGAAGCAUUUUGAUGCAGCUUAUCUAGAUUUUGCAGCUGAGACACGAAAUAUUCAUUUGGGAUUAUGUGCGGAUGACUUCUCUCCUUUUUCAGUUGGUGCUGUAUCAUAUUCAUGUUGGCCUGUAUUUAUCACCCCUUAUAAUCUUUCUCCUGAAAUGCUGAUGACUAGUCCCUAUAUAUUUCCGAAUUGUGUUAUUUCUGGCAUGCGUAAUCCAAAAAGUAGAAUAGAUGUUUACUUACAACCUUUGAUCGAUGAACUUCAAAUUUUAUGGCAUGAGGGGGUUGAAACUUAGGACAUCUCACUUAAACAGAAUUUCAAUCUACGUGCAUAUAUAAUGUGGACUAUUAAUGAUUUUCCUGCUUAUGGAAUGUUGUCUAGGUGGAUGACAGUUGGAAAGCUGGCUUGUCCAUACUGCAUGGAAAAAAUAAAAUCUUUCACAUUGAGACAUGGCAGGAAAAAUUCAGGGUUUAAUUGUCAUUGUUGUUUCUUGCCACCUGAUCAUGAAUUUAGGAGACUAAAAAAAUGCAUUCAGAAGGAAUAAAAGGGAAUAUGAUGGUCCACCUCCAAGGCUAUCUGGUUAUGACGUCUGGGAGAUAGUUUAGGAUUUUCCUAAAGCCAGUGAGGAACGAUUGUACAGGCUUGAUGGAUAUGGUUUUUUGCAUAACUGGACUAAGCAAAGUAUAUUUUGAGAGUUAGAAUAUUGGCUAGAUAAUUUACUUACACAUAAUGUUGAUGUCAUGCAUACUGAGAAGAACUAUUUUGACAACUUGUUCAACAUAGUUAUGGAUGUCACCGGCAAAACAAAGGAUAAUCCUAAGGCCAGACUUGACUUACCAGAAUAUUAUAAACGCAACGAAUUACACUUACAGAAGGGGCCCAAUGGCAAUGUUCUUAUGACCAAGUCUAGUUUUACGUUCAAGUUGGACUAAAAGCAUCAAAUAUGUGAGUGGUUUCAAAGUUUGAAGAUGCCCGAUGGAUAUGCCUCAAAUUUGGAAAAAAGGGUUGAUAUGGCACAAGGAAUCUUGCAUGGAAUGAAAAGCCAUGAUUGUCAUGUUUUCCUGGAACAAUUACUUCCAAUUGCUUUUAUUGGUUUACCUGAAAACAUAUGGAAACUAAUAACAGAGAUCAGUUUGUUCUUCAAAGACUUAUGUGCUACCACAUUAAAAGAAGAAAAUCUGGCGCGAAUGGAAAGUAAUAUUGUUGUUAUCACCAACAAGCUGGAGAAGAUUUUCCCACCAUCAUACUUCAAUGUGAUGGAAUAUCAUCCCAUUCACCUUGUGCAUGAAGCUUGGCUAGGCAGUCCAGUUCAAACUAGGUAGAUGUAUCCAUUCGAACGGUAAGCAUUUGCAACAUAUUUAAAUUCAUACAUAUCUUUUUUAAAUAUAGUAAACAUCUAACCUUAAGAUUGUACAGGGAAAUUGGAAAAUUGAAAAGGGGUCCCAAAAACAAACAUAGGGUGGAAGGCUCUAUAGUUGAGGCAAACCUUGUAAGAGAAAGUUCUUAGUUUUGUUCAUACUACUUUCGUGAUGAAGUUUCUUGUUCAAAAAAAUGACCGAAUCAUCUUCAGGACAAUGCGAAUGAGCCUCAUUUGCAACCAAUAUCAAUUUUCAAUCAAUCUGGUUUUAAGGCUAAAAAGACCAUACCUCGUCGGCUCACUCCCACAGAGCGCAAAUCAACAACUUUGUAUGUCUUGCUGAAUUACCUAGAAAUUGAGCCCUUUCUGAAGUAAAGAGAUUAAAAUUUUAACAUAUCUUAUUUGUUUACUCAUUCCCUUAAAGAAACUAAUUGUGUUUUGCAUGUUGGAUGUUCAGUUCAUUUGAGAUUAAAUUCCACAAAAAUCAAGUGUAUGCAUCCUUUGCAACAUGGUUUAAAAAUGAAGUUCGUAAGUGUAUUAAUAUUUCUACAAAGUUUAAAUAUUUACACAUUCCUCAACUAAAAUAUAUAUAUGUAUAAUAUUUUUAGGUACACCAUUCACCAGAUGCAGCCACAUAUGAUCAACUCAUUAGAGAUAUUUUUUUGGGUCUAGUUGAAUCUAAUGCAAUGUCCCAAUACAAAGUAAAUGGAUUUAAAUUUUCCACCGAACAAUACUCCAGAACAAGGAAAACAAAUAAAAGUGGUGUUUGGGUUAAGGGUGAUGAUGAUGUUGAUUACUUUGGCAUCAUACAUGAGAUCUUAGAAAUGGAGUAUGCUGGUUUUCCAAUAAAAAAAUUGUCCUCUUUUGAUGUAAGUAGUUUGAUCCAAGCACAAGAGGCACAAGAGUACAUAAGGAGCAUAACAUCAUUGAAGUGAAGCACAAUAAGUCGUAUCCUAUUUACGAUCCAAUUAUUCUAGCGCAAAUGCUAAAUAAGUGUAUUAUGCUCCUUAUCCGUUGUGCAAUGACAAGUUUGAUUGGUGGGCUGUAAUCAAACAAAUCCUAUAGGCUAGGUGGAAGUUGAGAAUGUGCUGGAGACUGCGUAUCAAAAUGAAAUGCAGAUUGAUCACCAGCUAGUAGACGUUGAAUUAGUGGACGGUUUGAAUUACCCAGAAAAUAUAUUUGAAGAAGCUAAUAUUAUGAAAGAAGAGGCUGAGUGGGUAGGAGAUGAGGAAACCUCCAAAGAGGGUGAAUGGUUUAGUGGAGAGUCUUUAGAAGAGGAAGAUUAGUUGUGUAGGUUGUAUUUAUUAUGUAUUGAUGUCUUUAUGCUUUGUACUAUAUAUUUACCUUUAUUUUUUUGUUUAAGACUAAUAUGUAAUAUACUGUUUAAGAUUGUUGUUUUCACUUUUUCAUGAUUUAUAUAGUAAUAAAAAUAUACUUGUCUAUAUCUCGUGUUGUUGGAGCGAUUUGAAAUGUGAAUUAGUAACUUGAAAUUAGUUACUUGGAAUGUUUUAUUAUAUAUUCAUUUUGUAGGAACUAACUACUUGUUAACUUAACAUAAUUUAGAUGUCAAACAGAGGUGACAUGGUUAAGGGAAAAGUUGAUACUAUGAAACCAAAAAAGAAAAGACAACCUCCGCCUUAUAGACGACCGACAGGUAUUCAUAUAUCUGAGGGUUGAUUUGCUGAUGCGACAGCACGACCCUCAUAUUCUAGGUCGUUCGAGGAUUCGAUACCUACUCCUACGCAUGUGGUGAUACUUCAUGGGUCUACACUGACUCAUUUUGCUACUAUGACUAUGCCACUGCCAGCACAGUACUAUAGGACAGCCGCUGGCCCAUCCAGCAUCUACCAUCAUUGAUACCCUCUUGCAGCAGUCACGCAGCUUCGCAGAGAUUUUGCUGGAUCUAUUGGGUUGUCGGAUCUUCAGCUUGGAGGCACUCCAUAUGGUGCUUCAUAUCCUCCCACACUAGUGUAUCCACCAUCACUUACUAGGUAGCUAGGAGACAAAGAUGAUUCUGGGAGGAUUUAUUUUGUUCCAUUUGCGAGAGGGUAAGAUUUCUAAAUAUAAUAACAUUAUUCAUUUUUCAUUACUAUGUUAUUAUGCUAUAUGAAAUUACUGUUUGAUCUUGUAUUGUAGGUUUAGGCCGGAUGCUGAAGUUAGACAAAAGACGCGAAUAUACAUUUUUCGGCACUUUAGCGGCUACUGGACUAGCUGGCAAAAUGUUUCAGAAAUUGACAGGAAAAGAAUGUUUGAAGAAUUUAAGGUAAGCAUUUAACUUAUCGACUUCUUAUUAACACUUUGUUAGAACAAAAGAUUGAAUGUUAUAUUUUCGUUGUACAAAUUUUACUGGUGGGAUGAUGCAAAUACAUUUCUUAUAAAGAGGGACUUUUUCAUAAGAUAUAGAGUCAGAUUUAACGAUCUCUUGGAUUAUGCCUGAACCAAAUUGGUAAAACCUAAGUAGAUUUUUGAAGCCGCAUGGCAACAGUAUCUUCGCCAUUGGAGUAGCGAAGAUUACCAAUUGUUGAGGAAAAAAGGAAAGAAAGCCCGGGCAUCAUCCAAGAGUGGCUCCCUACAUACUGAGGGUGCCAGAAGUAGUCUUGUUGUGCUAGAAAAAAUGGUAUGUAACUUUUACAGUUUAAAUUGGUUGUUUCUAUUUAAAUUUUUUUAUUAUUUGAACAUUGAUAAUUUUUUCAUAUGCAGGAAAAAGAAAAGGAUAGACAAAUACCAACUGAUGAGCUAUUUGAGGAGACUCAUCUAAAAAAGAAAAAGAACCCGACUGAUGAAGAUGUCUGGGUUGAAGCUCGUGCAAAAGUUGUCCACGUAAGAAACAAAUUUUGAAUUUAUGAAUCUUUUUCUCAAAGUUGGUAUUAUUCAGUUAUAACUACUUUAAUAUUUUUUGACUUUUAUUAUUAACUUUACUUUGAAUAUAGGACGAAUAUACGCGUCUUGUUGGUGAGUAUCGUAGUAGUCAGCCUCCUAAAAGUCAGGCUGACCCAAUACCCCAAUAUUUAGAGGAGGAGUUAUGGACAAAAGCUAUGGGUCCUGAAAAUAGAGGCCAUUUCUAUGGACACCACACAAAAUUUUUUGACAAUAAUAUUAGGUGUUCAUCCGACGCUGUAUACGCUCUUUAGUUGAUAGAGAAACCAUUGAAAAACUAUAAAAUAUGAUUUCUCAACUCACUCAAGAGCUUGCUGAAUAGAGAGAGGUUUUUUGAAUAGAGAGAGAGGCAGAAGAAGAGGGAGAAGGAAACAACAUCACAAAUCAAGAUGCAGUAGCAGCAAUUCAGCUCUUUCAUUCAGACUGCGGGGGUUAUUCCUCCGUGUCCUGAUGAUGCAAUUUGGGUUGCAAAAGGUCUAGGCCCCCUGGAUGAUUUCAACACGGAUGAUGAUAUGGAAGACGAGGACGAAUUCGAUGAUGAUAACUUUUAGUUUUUUGAUUUUUGUAUGUGUUGUACUUUGAAUUUAGACAUUUUGUUGUUUGAAACUAUUGUUGUAGUUUUUUUCAUGCUCACUUUUGUAUGUGUCGUAAACUUUUGAAAGUAUUUACAUUUGGUUUUUGGUUGUUGUUGCUGCUGUAUUUGAUUUGGUUAUUGUUGUAUUGCAUUGUUGUUGUUGCAUGCUGUAUUUGAGUUUUAAUUUUUAUUUUUUUAAAAUUUCCAGAAAAAUCGACCACAAGUGGUCGAUUUUAUAUUAAAUUUAAUUAAUUAAUUUAAUAAAAACUGACUACUUGUGGUUGGUUUUUUAAUAAAUAAAUUAAUUAAUUUAAUAAAAAAUCGACCACGGUUUAAUAUUAAAAUUAAUUAAUUAAUUUAAUAAAAAACCGACCACUUGUGGUCGAUUUUUUUCCUAAAAUUAUUUUUUCCAAUUUUAAUAAAAUAAUAAUGAAUUUUUUUUAAAAAUAUAUAUAUAUAUAUAUAUAUAUAUAUAGAUAUAGAUAUAGAUAUAUAUUUAAAAAAAUCUAUCACUUGUGGUCGGUUUUUAAAAAACUACCACUACUUUACCAACCACACAUUUUGAUCAGUUUUGUGAUCGAAAAUUGGAAAAAACUGACCACAUGUGAUCGGUUUUCGUGGUCGGUUCUCACCUUUUUUAAGUAGUAUAAUUUGCUAAAUUAAAAUCAAUGAGUGACAGUAAACAAGGAUUAUGAUCACCAAGGUGUUUCAACUAUAAGGGUUGUGGGUUAUUUCAAAUCACUAUUUAACUAAUCCAAUUGCAAGGCUAAUUAUGCAAUAAAGUCCAUCUAAUUGUUUCUCAACCCUAAAUGAUGGUUAAACUUUAAUUCUUUCGAACUUAAAGAGUGAAUUUGAUUAAUCAAAUAAAUCCUCCUGAAGUUGAUCUUGUUAAGGCAUCAACCAUUAAAAAAAAAAUUCUCAUCUGGUGUCCUGUACCUGCAUUGGAGUCCGACUAAUCUGGAUUCACGCCGCGUAGGGCCCCAUUCGAUGGGAAGAGCUCCCUACCAAGGAUUUUUUCAUACCCAGUACUCAAACGCAACAUCAACCAUAAAACCAAAGGUUAAUUACUCUAAUUUUCUUGUGACUCUUCUCUUUUUCUAACACCAACUUUUCUACUCAAACACGUGGUGUUUAUGGGCACAUCUUUUGAGAUUGCAACCAAGAAGAAUCAUUAAACUAAAAAGAAGGUUAUGCAAUUAAAUUAAUCUACAAAAUUUAAUCAUUUCCAUAACCCUAACAAUGAAUCAUACCAAGGCUCCCAUAACCCUAGUUAUGGAGUUUUAGCCAUACAUACUUAAAGAAAGAAAUUCCAUUGUAUAUUUCAUAAACAAUUCAGAAAUACUUACAAAAAUACAAGAGACUGUUCCAAAUCUUAGAUUGAUGGUAAAUAAAAUGAAAUCCCAAAUUGUCAACUUGUUUCUCAGUGAAUUCUAUGUUACAAUUGUUUUCAAUAGCCAAAAGAUGCGUAAUCUAACCCUAAGCUGGGUAUUUAUAGACUCUCAGAAAGUGAAUUUAAAAUUCAAAUAAAAGCUACUGCAUCAUCGGUUGAUGGAUAAAGUGACAAUCCGUAGCAAACCUGACGGCCUGUCUCUAGGAUCAUAAAGUCCAUGGUUUCUGUUUAAGGCUAACGGUCAAAGAGAUAGUCCGUCGCAAGACUGAUGGUCCGUCAGUGGAGGCCUUGAUGUCUCAGAUUCCACUUUAGCUUGACGGCCACAACGAUGACCCAUCACAAGCCCGACGUUUCGUCAGUUGGACCGUUGCUGACUUCAAGUGUAUGAAAUAUUCUUCCCAAGGUUGACGGUUGAGAUAACGGUCUGUCGACAAGGUGAUGUUCCGUUACAUGAAAUUAGUUUUUACUUUUCCAAGUUAUUCCUACUUCUGAGUCAAUUUCCUGAGAACAAGUAAAACCCAACAUCAAAUACUUCAAUAGUUGCUUAAAAACAUACAAUUAUCCCUUGUAAAAGGUGAAAAAUAUUCGUUCAAAUGUCGGAACAUCAAUAUUCAUCAGUCGUUAUUGGGAUUUUUUUCUUGACCUCAUUGUACUGACUAAUUUUUUGGAUUUCUUUUUUGCAUGUAGUGCAAAAUUUAGGAUUUGAACUAUUUUACGGUAUUGAAAACUGCAGGUAUGGGUCUCUUAAUUUCGCUAAUUGAAAACGGGAGUGAGAAGCAAAUGGUGAGUUCUGUCUCCUCUCUCUCUCUAGAUUUCUGGUUCUCUUUCUUUGACACACAAGUAAGUUGUUUUAUGUUAAACAGAAAUGUGUAUAUACUGAAGUUUCCUUGCCUGGAUGUCUAUUGAAAUGAUUUCCUAGUUGCAUAGUGCAAAUUGUGACUCAACAUAAAUGUUCUUUUACUUAUAUUUUUCAAAGAUGUGUUAUAGAGAGAAUAUCUUGAAUAGAAAAUAGAAUAAUACUCACUAAAUUGGUUUUCUUCUGGUGACGGAAGAGUAUUUAUUGGGAGUUUAGAUUCCAUCUGGUGGGGGUAUUACUCUUGGUAUAGAUAUUAGAACACAUUUUCUCUUAUUGUCUUCUCUUAUUUUGUAAUGACGUUCAACUGUUCCUUCUUAACAACUUGAUGCUAUAAUUGAGUCAUUGAAUAUCAAGGGUGAAAGAGACGGGCUCUUCAAAAGUAACUAGAAAAUCUCUACCACAAAAUAAGGUGAGUCGAACUUUGAAUGAAAUACUUUAGCUUGCCUAAGGUAUGCCCGCUGCAAUAAAGCUCCUGUUGUGCACAGGUUUCGGGAAAAGUUUGACCACAUGGGUCUAUUCUAUUGUACCAGAGAUAAUUUUCAAUGCUUGAACCUUUGCUUAUAUUCUUUAAUUGAAAUCUUUGACGGGGCUUUGAAGAACAUCACAACUCCCAGAAGAAAAAAAAUCAUGUAAUUGAACUUUGUGGUUGAUAUUAGUCUCGAAUCAUGAGGAUUACACUCAGGUGGGCUGAACUUAGCAACCAGUAUGGUCUGCAGCCAUGGCGGAUGUGUUGUUUCUUUUUGCCUUACUUAUAAUAUCUGAGUCUUAAAUUGGAAGUUUUUGCUGAAUGUAUACAUACACACAUUCAUCGUCCAUUUAUCCUUUAUGUUUCUUUUUAUUUUUAUUUUAUAAUUAUAAUUAUAAUAUUAUAGAAACAGUGGUUUCGACAUGUGUGCUUCAUGUGAAAAAAAUUUAUAGCAAGGGUAUUGUAGACAUUCACCUUACCAAGAUGAUAAUGUUUAUAUGUGUACCUUUUCUGUGAUAUGAAAAUAUCAUAUCCAUAUGGGAAGAUGGAAGGUGGUUGGCAUCAUCUUCUACACCUAGGAAAAUAAUCAAUAAAUCAAGCAAUAUGACAAAGCCAAAAUCUCAAGCGGCGGUAUUGGAUUAGGACUGUUUGGUUCCAAAAUUUUGUGUGUAUGGAUUUGAUUAUAUAACCUUUUUGGUUCACAUGUAAUGUUUCUCCCUAUACCCUCCUUUUUUGAGGGCUAUAAGUCGGCAUUUUUCCAUGAUAAAGGAAUGCCACAAGAAAAGAAGUCAUUAUUCGGGAAAAAAACAUGUCGCAUGGGAAAAACUUUGUCGAUGACUUAAUGUCUUUUGGAGGUGACUUUAUCUCCAUAAAAUAAGGUAUCAUUCUUUUCUGUAGGAAUUAAUGCAGUAGAAUCUAUUGAUGCCAAAAUUUAACUCGUCCCUCCAAGAUGGAGCUGAACUUAACAAUUUCAGGUCAAGGACCAAAUUGAAAGUCUCUUUUAUUUCACUUCACUCAAUUUUCAGAGGCCAUCGGGUGGUUUUGGAGGAAUUACAAUUAACAAUAGGGAUGAGAUUCCAAUCCCUUUUAAUUUUCCAGAUGGUCAUAUUACUAUUAUGAUUGAUAAUUGGUACACAAGAAAUCACAAGAUUAGUCUUUACGCAAUGAUGCAACGAGUGUAUGGUUUAAAAUUAAAAUUGUAUAGCUUAGUGUGUAAUGCAUACCAUUGGUUGUUGUUGGAUGUAGUCUUUGAGGAGCACCCUUUUUGCUGGAAAAGAUUUGGGCAAACCAGAUAGUGUUUUAAUUAAUGGGAAAGGUACCUGUUUCCCUUCCUUUCUGUAUGCCGAUCUACUUGUCCUGUACGAGGAAUGGUGAGCGCUGAAGAUAACCCUUUUCUGGAUAUAUAAAAUAACCUUGGUAUACCACACUCCCAAGUAGAGUUAUUUGCACCUAGCAUUUUCCAAGAAGCAAAGCGUCACUAGAUGAUUAUGUACAACAUAUUCAUAUAAAUAAUAAAAUUCAGUACAUUUUGAAGUUGAGAUCUUUGCCUGUUACAUUCUCGAGGUACAAUAUACCUGACUAUUAUAAACUUUUAGCAUUUCAAUCUUCAAUCUAACUCUAAAGUGGAGUUUGAUUGUUACACUUGCUCAUUUGUAUUGGUUUUUAACAGAGGAUUGCUAAGGCUGCUGGAGUUGUCGUUUCAUUUGACUCGAAACCUAUUCCUGUGAGCUUUCUGCUACAUAUCUUCUUACUGUUAGUUCAGAUGUUGGUUGAUCUGCUCACUGAUAGUUUAAUAGUACUUGACACAUGCUGAUUACUCUCGAGUGAAGCUUUGCAUUUACGUCAUGUUUUUUCAUGGUUACUGUUAGGGCGAUUGGAAUGGUGCUGGUGCUCACUUAAACUAUAUGUAUUGAGUGAUCUUUUUAUUCUUCUAUAGAAUAUUAGCCUGUCUAGAUAAAAUAAUUAAAAUAGCUAAUAAGUAUCAAAUAUUGAAAUGGAUUUUAUGAUUAAGUAGUUAUUUUGUUUGGAUAAAAGUUCUUAUAUAUUUCAUCAAACUACCAUUUUCCUGCUCUCUCUCAGCUCGCCCUUUGUCUACGUGAGAAUAUUGACGCGGAAUGUUUCUUUUAGCACCAAGUCUAUGAGGGUAGCUGGAGGCUAUGAAAUCAUAAAAAAAGCUAUUGAGAAGAAGGAUUAUAAAUAGCAAGCUAUUGAGAGCUAUUGAGAAGAAGGAUUAUAAAUAGCAAGGGUUAUAAAGGCAAUGAAAUCCUCAAAUAUUGUGUCUAAAGAGAAAUAAAAAACAAGUAAAUUCAUAAGUCACAUAAAUGAUACUCUUGUAACAAUUAUCAAUUAUUAGGUAACAUAACCAUUAUGCUUUGAGAACUUCUCUUUUAAGCCAAGUGUUUAUUAGAAACGCUUGUUCUAUCUUUCUCGUCAGAAUGCCAAUUUUCUGAGAAAUUUAUUGAGAAGAAAGGACAAAUAAGUACACAUGUUAUUUCCUUUAUCUAAUAUUCACUAAAGCCAAAAAUGAUGGUAGCCUUAUUGGAGAAUUACUCUAUAUCUGGUUUGACAAAGCCAUGUGACGUUGUCGUUCCUAUGUGAGAGGUCAUGCUUAGCCGAAGAAAAUGGUUGAGCACAUUCAAUCACAUGAAUAAGUUGAUAUCUUGAGCAUCAUUCACUCAACGCUGUCAAAGUUUGAUGUUGGAAUAAUUUUGAGAAACUAGAGUCCAUAUUCCUUUGUUCUUAUAGAAUGCAUCACUUAAUUGAUUUCUGUUUAACUGAUAUCAUGAGUUUUGUACGCUUUUAUGCUUAAGAUUGUGAAAUUUUGAUAAUUAUUUGCCAUAUUUUGUCCCUGUUGUCUCCUGAAUUGUGUGUGGCAGCCAUGGAACAAGGGGAACUAAUCUUAAGGAUAUAAUAUACCUGGUCUUUGUAGGGUGUGAUUGCAGAUUGUGAUGCUUCAAAAUAGUCUUAUGGGAGGAAGAACAUAUGGACUUGAUCGAUACCAGAACUAGAGAAAUGCCUUGUAAAACUUGAUUUUUUGACAAAUAAGUAAAUAGUUUGUUUCAUGCAUUUAUGCAUUGCAACUAAUUCUUCUUUACCGACACCAAGUUGGGCCCGUGCUAACACGGCCCCUUCCCCCCAUUCUAGUUUGCGUUGGCCCACCAACAUCUGCACCACCUCGUGCAAUAUUUAACUCUCUUUCGUGAUUAUCACUUAUAUGUCUCACUAACGUACCCGUACCCCCUUGCUUGCCUCCUCUUUUAUGCUUAUAUAUUUGUUGACAAAUAUUGCAUUGCACCUCAAUAUCUGAUAUACGUUCAAAAAAUUGCCAUGCAAUACUAGUUGGUUUAUGAGCUCUUGGGGUACGGGGAGGACGGAGAGGGAGAUUAACCGAUUUGGAUCUAACGUUAGCAUUUCCUACUGUGGGUGUCUCACCAAUAUUUUUAUCAUCUUCUUCUAAAUUAACCGUAUCUACUUUAUUUUCUUCUUCUAUACCGUCAUUUUCCUGAGCUUCUACAUAAUCCAAAUCGUGGGCACCUACACCUAAAGGUACACCUACUUCUUCUUCAAAAGGAUGACUAAGCGGUGCCGGAGGCACACGGGUAUAUCUACUGUUGAACUACCUCUAUCGCUAGUAAUUUAUUUUUUACUACCACUACCACUUUCGGGAAAAUUUUUUUUAACACCUUUACUAGCGAGGUUUCUUAAUUUAUCCAUAAUAUAAAUUAAACUAAAAAAACCAAAUUUUGAAAGUAUACGAAGGUUGCGACUUUAGAAACUUCCACUCGUACUUUGUAAUUACAAAAUUAAAAAAUUAAAGUGAGCACUUUAGGAAAUAUAUAGAAUAUUUGAGAAUUGAGAAUUGAGAUCUGAGAGAAUGAAAAAUUGUGUGGAAAAUGAUUUGAAAGAGUAGGGUAUUUAUUGAAAUUUUUAUGGAGUUAAAAAAUAAUUUUAAAUGUAAUUUUUUUUAAUUAAAAGGGCCAAACUAGCCGUUUGGACCCCAAAAUGGCUAUAUAGCCGUUGGUUUCCUUGAGGAUGAAUUUAUUGCGUCAAUCCUCAUGAUAGGUAAAGUUAGCCCCUCUAGCAGAUUGUCUUGGGCAUCAGAUGGGUGAUCUUUCUCUUUCUUUACCUUUGGUACGUAGCGAAGAACAUGAUAUGUCUUUUUUUUUUUUUAUAGGUAGGACACUUUCUUUAUUUGAAGUGAAGAGGGCUUCUUAGUAGCAACUUUUUUGACAGUCAUCGUGACAUUCUUAGAUGAAAGAUCAUCACACUUGGUCUUGUGACAUCUUUAACCCUUUUCUCAUUCACAACAUAAUUCUUUAAGUAGAAUUUUUCAUCGGCAAAGUGUGACUCAGCUUCAGUGAAUGGCUUGUCAUCGGCAACUACCUUUUUUUCCACUCUGCCUUCAAGGUACUUCAAACAUUGAUAGUAAGAGGACGAGAUAAUUUUGUUCCCGUGCACCCAAGUUCUACCAAGCAAUAUAUUGGAUGAAAUUUUGGCAUCGAUCACAUGCAUCAAUUAGUUUGGUUGAAAAUCAUCCAUACGAAUCCCUAACUUGAUACAUCCCAUGGCCCUCUACCCCCCUUGGUUGAAGCCUUAGAUCAUUAUACGGAUUUCAUCCAGUUCGCUAGUAGCAAUGCCAAGUUCCUUCAUCAUGUGGAUAGGUAGAAUGUUGAAUCCAGAUCCCUUAUCUAUCAAGAUUCUAUUAAUCUUCUUUCCUAGAAUUUGACCCACCAUGUAUAAGGGAUGAUUAUGUAGGGCCUCACCAAGCAGAAGAUCGUUAUUUGUGAAUAUGAUUUUUGUAUCACAUACACGUUCUUCUUCAUCAAGAGUUUCAGCAAGCUUUUCGGAAGAUGAAGAAACUUCCAUGGGUAGUUUCUCACCCUUUGCCCCCUCUUUCACAGUAUUAAAAUAAGACACCUCAAGGUUGCCUCGAGCAGUCUUCGCACAAAACCAACUUGGUAAGAAUUUCUCCAAUGUUACUGGACACCGUGAUUUUUGAAGGUGAAGCUCUGUGAUGGUCGUUCUUUUUAGAAGUUCAACCAGCUUUUGUUUCCUUGGUUUCUUCACUUCUAUUUCUGGUUGGCUACUCGACCGACUCCUUUCACAAACUUGUCCUCCUGUGUCUACGCUAGUCACUAGAGUCCAACCAUCAUCAUCGACUUUAUCAACUGAAGACUUGUUAGGCUCUAAUAUUUUCUCAUUAUGAUCUUCGACAUAUAUUUGUACUGGAUCAAACGAGCCAAAUAUGAUAGAGAUUUGAUGAGAACUGGCCAUCUCAUCGUCGAAGAAGAUCUUCUUCUCAUUUGCCAGUUGCAUGACUUUAUCUUUAAAGACAAAGCACUUUUCCAGAGGGUGACUUAUGAGCCUAUGAUACUUGCAAUAAUUAGGGUCAUUGGUCCUCCCAUCUUCUUUAUAACGCUUCAUCUCUAGGAGUUCAAUAAGCUUAUGCUCAAGGAGUUCAUCAAAAAUCUCAGCAACAUCAGAAUCAAGGAAGGGAUAUUCCUUUUUUUGCAUCUCCUUUAAAGUUUUCUGAUUUGGACGUGCUCCAGAAGUCGUCUUCACACUUUGCUUCUUGCUCACCUUUGUGGUGACCUUCACAGGAGACACAUCAACAUUCAUGGACUCCUUGAUGUCAUUUUUGGGGACAAACUUGCCCCAUCUUUUGGGUUUCUGAUUCCUUUCUUCUUCGAGGGUUAUGGAUAGGCGUUGAUCUUUUUCCAGAAAAAGACAUUCUCAACUCCAUAUCGUGAGCACGGUUAGCUAGCUCUUUAAAGGAUUUAGGCUUAAUGCCUUGUAAGAUGUAGAGAAGUUCCCAGUGCAUUCCUUGGACGCAUAUCUCUAUUGUAGAAGCUUCACUGAGCCUAUUUUUACAGUUUAGGCUAGCAUUUCUUCAUCGAUUAAUGAAGCCAAUGACUGGUUCAUUUUUUCUUUGCUGACUAUUCGUGAGCUCUACCAUGCUAACUAUACACCUUGUGCUAUAAAAGCGAUUUAGGAACUCGUGCUCCAAUUGCUCCCAGCUAUCGAUGGAAUUAGUCUCAAGGUCUGUAUACCAAUCAAAGGCAUUUCCUUUUAGGGAACAAACAAACUUCUUGACAAGAUAGUCGCCGUAGGUUCCAAAAUUUUUACUUGUCUCAAUAAAGUGUGUGACAUGCUGUUUUGGGUUCCCUUUGCCCUCAAAUUAUUGAAAUUUGGGGGGUUGAUAGCCGGCAGGCAUUUUGAGGCUAUCUAUACUCGUAGUGUAAGGUUUGGCAUACGUAAGGGAAGAUUUGGUGACAACAUCAUACUUGUCUUUGAGGGUCCCUUCAAUGAAUUCCCUCAAUUGCCCAAUCGAGAUCAUUCCCUCAGAAAAAACUUGCACCUCUUUAGUCGGUGGUAUUUUUUUCACAGGAUUUUCUAUCUCAUGAGCCUCUGGAAAUUUUCUAGGUGCAUGUCUAGACUCUCCGUCUAUCAGACCUUCCACCUUAUCCACUGUCUUAUCAAUUUGAGUAUCUUGAUUUUGAACAUAUUUGUUCAGGCCCUCAAUUUCCUUUGCCAUAUUCGCAAGUUGGUCCUUCAUAGAUGAGGCAUCAGUCACCAUCGCUUGCAUAAUCACUGGAGAUGUUGGAGAGUAGCAUAAAUUAUCGCACAAGUUGAUCUUUGAAGUGCUCAACUUAUGCGGUGUAGUCGGAUAUGAUGAGUUGCUUGAACGACCAUCACUCUUUGCGCUAGAGUAUUUGGAACCAGAAUGCUCAAGUAGAUCUAGAGUAUUCUUAAGCGAUUCUGCCAUAUUUCUUCGUCCUUCCGAAGCACUUGCAUUGGACUUCUUUUCUUUUGGGGUUGAAGAUCCAAAAAUUUGAGUUGGUUCAGACCACACUGGAUAUGUUUGUUGUCCUAGCAAGCCUGCCUUGCUCCUUGAAACAACUCCUAAUCUUCUGAAAGUAACACCAAGGAUUCUCUCUACUUCAGUAGAGAACUUUGAGUCAGCAGCCUUGGAAGCAGUUGAUUGAGAGUUGACUUUCUUGGAAGACAUUUCAGUGUUGUUGAACUUUACAAUUGGAAAAAUUGAGAUGAGAGAUAGAGAUUGUCCCACUGGGAGUGCCAAUUUGUUGGACAAUAAAAUUUUUGAGACCGAAAAAUAAAUAAUCGAGACAAGAAAAUAUACUGCAACAAUCAAUUUAUUGAUUUCAAUAUGUGAAUGUUACAAUUUCUAUGAAUCCUCUGAUUUGCCCUUUCAAAUAUCAAUUCAAGGGCUUAAAGCUUGAUCUUGAAUUUGAAUACUUUGAGGGACUUGAUCUUUACUUGUGCUUGAAUUCAAGGGUUUUUGAGUUUGUUCUUGAAUAUUGCGGUCUUGAUCUUGAAUCUUGAUGAACUUGAUUUGAAUGCUUGAGCUUUUUAGAAAAAUUGUGGCGUUUGAUCCACGAGCUUUCUCUUGCUACUUGUUAGAGUUCUGGGGGUCUUUUCUAAAUUAUGAGACCCCUAUUUAUAGUUGUGGAAAGAGGGAGAGGUCAUGAUGAAGAUGGACUUAUUUUGACCAAUUAGAUUUGAGUGAUGUGGCGCCUUUUAUGGGCUUUGAUUUCAUGGACCUGCUACAUCAUUUUGACAUGUGGCCUAGUCCUAUUGGAUCUUUCCCUUGACUUGGCAAGCCACAUCGUUUAACAGGUGGCACUUAUUUAGGCCUCUAGAAUAUAACAAUAUCUUGGGCUUAACAAAUUGGGCUCAUCAUUUGUAUCCCAAAUUAAUGGGCUAGCCCAAUAAAAAUUGGACUUUAAUUAAUGGGAAAAGGAAAAAGAUAACACCUAAAACUAAAAUAAUUCCACAAAACUAGCACCUAAAUUUAAAAACCCGGUAAAUAGCCAAUGAGGGAUGCACGCAAGAAGCUGGGAUACAUUUGUCAUUGUUCCACGUAUUCCCCUAUACUUUUACCAUUCAUGAAACCACUAUUCAUAGUCCACCAUUAAAGAUCAGUAGUUUUCUGUUAUCUUCGUCAUUUUCUCUAUCCCAUAAACUUCAUUAAAUCCUUCAUAAAAAAACAUGUAAUCAACCUAAACACCAUUAACAUCGGCUGACUCCUUCGAUACCCUUCCACCAUCGUCUUUCACCAUUAAAAUGGACAAUAGCUGCUGCUAAUAAACCAACUGUGUGACUAGCAUCAAACCAAGACCCUAAACAACAUCUAAAUUUGAAUUGUUUAUCAUCCAAAGAGAACACCAUAAAACACUUUGAUUUUUCUUUUUUACAUCAUAAGCUCAUAAAUAAUGAAAGAACAUCGAGCUUACAACAGAGGAAAAUCAAGAAGAAAAUUUGGGGUAAAUGGAAAAAUAGCAUAUAGAUCAAUAAAAAAAAUGGAGGAGAAAACCUGUUUUGAAAAGAAAAUGACAAAAGAAAGGUAUACAUGCAAAAGCUACAAAAUGGAGUUAAUUAUAGACGAUAGGCUACACAAUGGAAAUAAAAUGGGUCGAGGAUAUACUUUAUGUCCAAUUGAUCAAACUUGGACCAUUAUCUUUGCUAUUAUCCAGCGGAUGUCUUUUUCUCUUCUAAAAAUAUAUCAAUCUAGUAAAAAAGAGUAUGAAUUGAGUAUAUGAAAACUGUAAGUGUAUCAGUGUAGUAUAAAAGUGUAUUAAUAUGGUAUAAAAGAGUAUCAAUUAGGUAUAGAGACUGCAUGUGCUUGCAUAGAAUUUCCUUUCUCUUUUUUAGAAAUUGUAUCAAUAUGGUAUAAAAGUGUAUCAAUUGAGUAUACAGAUUGCAUGUGCCCAAUUGAGCCAAAUGGCUAAAAAAGUGAAUUAAAUUGGGCCGAUUGGCUAAGGUUGUGCACCUUUUUAAUUAUGGGCCCUUUUUGGUUAAAAUGAUCAGCCCAUGUCCUUUUUCCUAUUACUUAUGUGUAUUAACUAACACUUUAAUUAGUUAACCUAGACAAAUUCCCUAAAGUGUUGUCAUUUUUAUUUUAUCUUAGUUUUCUUUUACUUAAUUCAUAAUUUCUUCACCUAAUUUAUAUUAUCUAAAAUGGAUUAAAUAUGUUCCUUCGAUUUUCUCCUUAAAAUAAGUCUUUUAAAGAUUAACUAUUUUAUUCCAAAAUGGCAUUUGUUAUGUUCAUAUAACUAAUAGUCUAUUUGGAUUAAAGUAACUUUCUUCAAAUUCAAGAAACUAAUUUUUCUUGUAAAUUUUAACUUUUCAUGAUUAAUAAGCACUUUUAACUUAACACUCUCUUAGCAUUUCUUCCAAAAGAAUUUUCUAUAACAUAAUCAUCUUUUCUAUAAUAAUUAAUAAUAAAAAAAUAAUUUCAUAAUCUUCUUCUCCUACAAAAGCAAAAUUCAUUUUCCUUGUAAGUCAGGAAAAUUACAAUCUAGUUCAAUUCAAAUAAAUUAUUUUCUUCUUUGAAUAAAUAAAUGUCAUUUUUAAAUGUUUAAAUAAAUAAUUUUAAUAUUUUUUUAUAAAAUCAAGUUUUUGCAAAAAUUAUUCACUUUAAUUAGACAAGUUAGUUCUUUUUGGUAAACCAUUUUAAACAAACGUUUCUAAGUGCCUUAAAAAAAUUCUUAGGGUGUUAGUUGAACCCUUACCCAAUUUCUCUUGUUUUAAAGGUUUAUUUCUAUUUUUGAACCUUUGAAGCUCUUUUAAGUUUUUUUUUCUUGAUUUUUCAAUAAAAAUCAAGUGGUGACUCUGUGAAUUUCUUUAAAUUAUUUUGGAAUUUCCUUGAAUCUUUUGAAAUAGUUUUGGAAGAGGUCAAAAUCAUUUUCUUUUUAAAUAAAAUCCAUUCAAAAUCCAUUGGUGAUAGUAAGCAUUUAAACUCAGGCUUUUAAAUCAUCCAAUUGAACAACCCAUAACAUGUGAAGACAAUAAAUUUCAUCAUUGCAUGGGGAAUUUCGUAAAUCAUGCUCUUAAAUCACUUUUCAAAACUCAUAACAUAUGAACACAUGAAUAUAACUCAAGUUCAUGGAAAAAACCCUUAGUAAUUUCAUAAUUUCAUCAAACAUGGGUUCAUGAUGCAUUUUCUUCAAACGAUUUCCAAAAACCCUUUACAUAUACCUAAUUAUAAAUCUUUAAAACUUGUUAAAAUGAUAAACUUAUGCCUAUGAGAUUUAGGACAGUCCCACAUACCUUUGAUGGAGAAAAAUCGAAGAAUAACCUUGAGUUUGGAAUCUACAUGCUUUACAAUAAGAAAUCCCUCCUUGAUGUUCUUGAGAGAAAGAGAAUAAGGGCCUGGGGCCUUCAAUUGGUCUUGGGACGAUUUUAGGUUUAUAGGACGGAUUGGGGAAGUUAUGGGGGGUUAAAGGACCCUUUUGACCUUAAAAUAAAUCAAAACAAACACUUUUUGAUGCCCGAAAGGGGGUUUGUGACGCGGAAUCAUCCUGGACCUGAGAUAAUGUCUCACUGAAACACUUAUAACUUUAGAUUCAAAGGUCAGAUUGACGAACGAUCAGUUGGAUUGGAAAGAAAAUUGAAAGGAAUUUAGUUUGAUAUAUUAUGGUCAACAAAAAUCCUUAUAUUCUAUGAGUAAUGAUCAUUGAAAGUUGACCCAAGAAAAAUCAUAUACGAAUAUUCAAUGGAUAGGAAAGUGCUCAACUUAACUUUGAGGUAGGUGAUAUUUACAACUUUAAUCCAUAUCCGAAGAUGUUCCCACCCUAAAGAAUCAUUAUUCACACUUAUUUCUAAGUAGAAACCAUCUGGUUUAGGUCUGUAUACAUAGAAAAAAAUGGUUUAAACCUUAGGCAGAAAAUGUGGGGUGUUACAUUAUCUCUCUCUUAGGAUUAUUCGUCCUCGAAUGACGGAUAGGAACUUGUUUAAGAUAUAAAAUUAUGGAAAAAAGUAUGUAUCCUUACUUUAGGAACUUUACCUCAACAAAACAUGCAUAGGAAUUCAAGAUGAACUUGAUGAAUCACCAAGCGAAUUAUGUAAUGUAAGCACGAAGUGUGGGAUAAUGAGAAUUGACAUAUAGAUGAUCUUGAGCAUGAGUUCCAGGGAUCAUAAUCAUCACAACAUAAGGCAUGAGUUUAUUUGGUAUUCAUGGGUCUUGAUUUAAAUUGACACUAAAUAUGGGAUAAGAUUCCUCGAAACAUAGGAAUAGAGGUAUCCUCCAUCUUACAUGAUACGACCGAUAGACCUUACGCUUAGGGACACUACUUGACUAUUCCCCAAAUAAUAAAUAAUGUAUUUCAUCAUUUCCAACUUACAAUUUCUCCCACAACACACCUAAAUACAAGAGUUUGAUUCCUACUACAUAGUAUUUCCACGCUGAAGCCUAACCUGAAGUAAAAAGGUGCUAGCUUAAGCUAUGGAACCCUAUACUCUAUAUCCCUUUAAUAAUAUUACUUCACCUUAUCAUUAUAAUCAAACAUUCUCAAGUCUUAAAUCAAGAAGUACUAACCACAUAACAUAUUGGUUUUUGUUUUCAUAAAUCACAACAUUCAAGCCUAUCUUUACUACACCAACUUUAUGGAUCUUCCCAUUUAAACCAACAACUUAACUCACUCUCACAAAGAUUUUCUUGUUACAUAUCCCCCUUCCUAACUGUUUCACAUAAAAAAAGUUCAUCUCCUUCUUCUCUCUUCAACUGUAACCUUAGCUUGAGUAGUUACACAAAAAUUUAACACCAUAAGAAACAUCUACUCUUUUAUCUAAAACCUUACUAUGCUUUCAUAACCACUAACCUACUAACAUUUGGAAGGUCAGUGAGGGACUAAAGUGCAAGCAUCACGAAUAAGAGUAACACUAUUCAAUUAUAUAUUAUAUUUAUUGUACUAUUCAAGGUGCAAUCCAAGAUGUAAGAUACAAUACUAUCUACUCAAGGUGCUAUCCAAGAUGUAUGAUACGAUACUAUAGGCAUGAAGUGCUUCAUAUAUCAAAUGCCUAGAUCAUAAAUAGAGCGUCGUUCAUGCUUAAACAUACAUAACAUGAGUUCUUAGGGUUGAGUAAAAUGAGAAACAUGUGAGCAUAUAUCAUAAGCUGUAUAGUAAAAAGGAGGAAUUUAUGUAGGCGAUGAUUGAGACAAGGAUUGCCACUUGAAGCUAUUACUCCUUAGUUAAGGAAUUGAAAAUGGCCAUGAGUUUGCAUAAACCUUAUCACUUUGGGCUAAACCCAACAUUAAAUAAAUCAGUGACAUAUAGAAAACAUAGUCUCUUAGAAACAAGCAUGAUGUGAGACAUGGAUUUAUGCAUCAUGAGUAUCAUAAUAUGGAGCUCGAAUCGUGUAAGCUUGGAUUGCUAAGGGACAUUAUUACUUUUAGUUUGGAGGUCGAAACAUAGACAUAAGUUGCAUAGAGAACUCGAACCUUAGGCAUGUCUUGAAUACAUAAAACAUCAGUAGAAUGUCCUCAUUAAAUUAAAGUAGGAGUAGUUUAUUAGAAUAGGAAUAGAUUUAUCAUGACUCUUCUCUGAAACUUGACAUAAUGAGAAAAUUCAAGAACUACCUUAGUCCAUCAUCUCCCUCGUAGAUUAAAGUCACACACAAUCCUAGACUUGUGGAUAUAACCUCUUAUCAAAUCAAUAACCAUAACUCUCACCUCAAAGGGGUAUCACUAUACACAUGAAUUCUACGCUCGACCUAACACACUAUUAUAGGAAAAACACUAAUGUCUUUCUAUGACAAUCCUUCCAGGUGCACUACUCUUAACUUCUUUUAGCCUCCAAGCUUGAAAUCAUACCUCAUUACCUUUCAACCUUAGUUUGGAAAUAAUGAGUGCGGAAUUUUUAAGGCUUAAAAUUGGGUUAUAAAAAUAUUGGAUGGUCUAUAGGACAUAAAAUAACCUUAAAACUCUUUUAAAACGAAACCCCAUCGAUGAAAGAAGGGAGGUCCGUGGCGCGAAGCCAAUGCAAACUCACCCCUACAAUGCACAACCUAUCUUCCAUGCCCAAGUUUUCCCUAAUGUAUUAGAACCUAUCCCGGGAUGUCCUAUACUCAUUCUAAGGAUCACGUAAGCUCAUUUUAAGCACAAUUUAGACUCCACAAACACCCAGGAUGUUACCAGCUCAUUGCUCCAACACUAAGCCCCAUAUACACAUAUACAUCACAUUUUCCACUCAAACUUUCAUAAGUUAUCAACCUAGGCUUUUUCACUCAUCACAUUAUGUCAAACCUAUUAAUUCAUUCCCACAAUACAUGUAUCAUUAUUAUUAAGUUAACAUUCUUAUCACCAUAAUUCACAUAUAAGUUAAAACUUAGUGCCUAGCACCUAUCGUGUACCACCAAUGAGGCAUACCACAUACUAUACUAGUCCAUCAAAUUGGGAAGUCAAUCUAAAUUUCUUAUCUCACUUUACUACGGGCUACAAGUACAUAUUCUUCACAACGUCAUUAUUACACCAUAAAAUUUACUAUACUUCUCCUCACAUAUUAUACUAGUUUACCACCAUUAGCAAUAAAGAGAAUCACAGGGGAUAAAGUCUCAUAACAAGGAUAGUAGAUCUUAGUCUUAUAUCAUGAUCCAUUAGGAUCUAUUAGCAUAUUCUACUUUCUCACAUCAUAUCUACUUACCCAUGCAUGCAUCACAACUACUUUCAAAAAUUCUAUAAACAAUAAUGUGUCUAGGUUUUCCCCCAAGUUAGUCUAAAUUAAUAAUUAUUAGCCACUCUAUAUUUCCUUUUCACAACCUAUAAAUACUUUUGUGAUCAUAACUUUCCAUCCUGAGCUCUUUCCCCAUUUUAAAUAAAUAUAUCAUAGCCAAUCACUUCCUCCAUGGAAUACCAUACAAUCUAAAAAUCUUGCUACAAUAUUAAUCAAUCACCAUAAAAGGGAAAACCACCCCUCAGUCAAGGGUUAUACAACUAAAACUAACUUCUUUACGCCAAAGUUACCCUCACUCUUACUUCUAAACUUAUGACUUCAUAUCACUAACUUUGGGAUCACCUUACUACAAAUAAGUUAUGACAACGUAACAUAUACUACUACUCAGGUGGAAAUACUAUUCCAAUAUUCUUCUACAUAUCUCUACCCUUAGGCAUGACAUUUGUGACAAUGAUUUUGAAAGGGACUGAAUACACUUCAUACCUCAGGCUCAAAUGCAUGGCAGAUAUAGAUAGGGGUAUACACUUGAAUCAACACACUUGAUGCACUAGUGGAAUCCUCUUAAGUCCUUGUGCUUUUUCAUACCUUUAUGGAUAACUCAAUUAGGAAGGACCACAUCAUUAGGAAUCUGAACUCUUAAACUUAUAUAACCUCAAAAACGAGGCAUGACCCAUAAAAUUAGAGCAAGGAAAAAAUUCGGAUAACUUUCAUAUGGAUGGUGCUAUAGCACAAACUAGAGCAUGAAAGAAUGGAAAACAUAUUCUAAAUGCCCGAUAGCCUUCUGAUUAUAGGUGUGGUGCACAACAUACCCAUAAGCAAGACUUUACUAGACACGACUUUGUAAAUAGCCUGGGACCAUCAACCAUGCUCUAACACCAAGCUUAUUAUGAGUGGGUUUCAAACCCAAGACUAUCAGGCCCUGUGCAUGCAAAGUUUGAACCCCCUUUGCCACUGAACCAAAUUUUUUUCUUUAAUUCUGGGAUAGAUGGUACACCCAACAUUUCUAAAAUCCCAUGAGCUAUAUGGAAUUCGCCUUUAACUCAACAUCCAAACCCCCAAUAAGGUUUGAGUAUCAGUAAGGGAGACACGCAAGAUCUUAAAGCAGGGUUCCAUAAUCCCCAAUCAAGUCAACAUGUCAUGGUAGUGAACAAGGUCACAAAGCAUGGCUCUGUAAUGCCCCAAAAUCUAGUUCCCGGGAUGCCACAUGGUGCUUCGAACUACAAGUAGUCCUGAGCUAAGCCUAGUUGCUUUCUACUAAGUCUGGAUAUCAACAUAGGGGAAAUAUGAAUAUAAAAUCAUAAUAAUGUGGAAAAUCUUAUCUGAAACAUACUAGAAGUCUUGGUAAAACAACACUGAAAAAUCUAAAUUCUGAAUCAAAUAUCUAAAAUUGAAUAUAGUAGUCCAACAAGCCUCUACUAUCUGAAUAUAGAGAGUCACUAGGAUAGGCCACCAACUUCUCAAACUGUCUAAAAUAAAUAAAGGAACAACUACUAAUAAACUAAAAGUAUGAAUAACUAAGUCCCCAAACAAUGAGGAUUCACCAACUGUAGGGAUGUAGAUGAUAUACUCAGGAAUUACUCACGCUGUUGAGAAUGAGCACCUGAACCUACAUUAUGAGACAAUGUAGCACAUAGACAUAUAUGUGUAUCAGUACUUUGAGAAUAUACUGAGUAUAUGGGGGUUCAUGCAAUAAGUAAACAAUAUCAUCACACUUUAUAAAAUCAUGCAUGCUAAAUGUAAAUGACUCACACAGGCUUGAGUAAUUUGAAAUCUGAAGAUCAUAAAUCAUAAAUGAUAAAACAUAUAAUGUAAAUCUUAUAAUCCAUUACACUUAGUUAUGAAGUCUGUAAAAUAUCUUAUCUUAUGGCUUAAAAUCUUAAAACUAUAACUUACAAAACAUAUGAUUUUAUCUUAAAUCUUUAAAUUAGGAGACUGUUGAAGAGUGGGGGACAUCAGUUGGGAGGUUCUUCUAACCGACAUACAGCAUGUGAGCAUCUAUGGAGUCCUACGUCUGGCCCUCAUUAGGUAGGGUUGUUCUACCCUUUCCAUUAGAAUAGAACUUCUAUCUUAGUGAUUACAAUCUGAGUCAUCCAUGUAGAAUUGGGUAUAAAUUUGAAUCCUACGUUGGCACGUAGUUCUAGGGUCUGAAAUCGUAGUAAUCUACCCAUCUCGGUGCUAAAUACUACUCCCAUUCUUAUGAUCAAGAUCUUAAGAAAUCCACUUAAAAAAAUAGCACAAGGGUUUACAAGAAAACCAAUUAUGCUUUUCUUUCUUUAAAUCUCUAGUUAUCUGAACAAAGUGGAUUCUUUAUCUUAGCUUAGGACCCAAAGAUCAAAUAUUUAUCAAAAUCUGAGAAUAAUCUUAUCUGAGGGUGCUCAUGGCACAAAUAAUCUCAAAAUAGCAAAUCUUAAUUAGGAUGUAGAGACCCAUGUAUUAAUCUCAUGUUAAAAGAUCUAAAAAUUCAUGCUUGAUAAUGUAAACACGAAUGAUUCAUCAUAAAAUCUGAAAAUUUCAGCAAUACGCAUGAAAAUAUAAACAGUCAUGUAAUUCAACUUCUAAAUCAAUGAAAAUCUCAUAAUCUUGCAAAUAAUGAUAAUAGGUAUAAACCCUAACUUGAAUUUCAUGGGAAAUCUUGUAAAUUGUAGUAAACUUGUAAUUAAAAUAAAGUUUAGGGAACAAGGAUGAAAGAAUUAUCCUUGUUCACACCCCUCAUACCUUAAUUUGAUGAUCUAGAUGCUAGAACUUGAAUCUUGGAUCUUUAUUGAUGUUUUGGAGAUGACUUCUUAAAGUUCUUGGAUUGGGAAUUCUCAAUCUUGAAGAGUCUUGGAGAGUUAAUGGAGAAAUUUUGGAUUUCUUGGGGAAAAAGUAUGAGCCUUAGGGUUUUUGCUUGAGAGAGAAUGAUGAAUAAAACAUAAAGUGCUUUGAAAUAUGGUUAAUAUUUUAUUUUUGGAUGGAUUGGGGGUUGGAGAUUUACCAAAAUACUCCCUUUAAACUUUUAUACAAAAUGGGAAAACGUACAUUUUCCCGAACUGGGUGGCCACCGCGACCCGCCACUAUCGUGGUGGCUCACUACAAAAUUAAUGAAUGGGAACUGGGCUCCCUUCGCAACGCACCACAAUCGCGGAGCCCUUUAGUUUAUCAUUUUGACCACUGGCGCGAUGCGCCAGUAUCGCGAGAUCUCACUGGAAAUUUUCAAACAAAAAAUUGGCCUUCUCCGCGAUGCGGUGCUAUUGCGGAGGGGCCAUAGAAAAAUGACAAAUCAAUAUUUUACACUGCACCACGAUGUGCUAAGGGUCCAAAUGACGGUGUUUUCCGACAGGAACUUAAAAUAAUCAUAACUUCUUACCCGGUUAUCAAAUUUAGGCAAAUCUUAUAUCGCUAGAAAGCUAAUUCAAUUUUUUAUGCAAUGAAAAGUUCAAAUCUAAGGAAUUCCACACCAAAUAAAUAGUAUUUGUUUUGGAAGCUAUCCCUUAACACUCUAGGGAUGAAUUAAACUAGUAAAAAUUGUGGGGUAUUAAAAUAUCUCCCCCUUGGAAACAUUUGUCCUCGAAUGUUGCUAGUUAAGAUGAAAUUUCUGAGGAAUCUGAGAAUAUAAAGUAGCAUGCACAACUAAAAUAAACUGCGAGUCUGAAUCUAAAUCAUUUUGAGCUUUUGAGUAAUCUGUGAGUGCAUGAACUUACAUGCGGAAAACUAUAUAGCAGAAUAUAUGAGUAGAAAAGAACUGUACCAAAGAAGAGUAUUACCUUCGGCUACAUUUGAGUAUGCGAAGAAAAGGCGAGGGUACUUGGCUCGCAUAUCUGCUUCUGCUUCCCAAGUGGGAGCCUCAAUAGACUAAUUCCGCCAAAGAAUUUUGACCAAGGGAACUUCUUUGUUGCUUAGUCUAUGGAUCUGAUGAUCUAAAACCUCAAUUGGAAUUUGUUCAUAUAAAAGAUUGUUCUGAAUAUUUGAGAUUUCUGAGGGAACUACGACAGUAGAGUCACCAAUACUCUUCUUAAGCAUAGAGAUGUGGAAUACAGGAUGAACAGUUGACAAGUCUGUGGGCAAAGCAAGCUCAUAAGCUACUCUCCCAACACGACUCAGAAUUCUAAAAGGGCCAACAUACCUGGGACUAUGCUUUCUCUUCUUGCCAAUUCUCUUCACCCAUUUCAUAGGUGAAAUCUUCAGAUACACUAAAUCCCCAACCUCAAACACGAGGUCCCUUCUUCUCACAUCUGCAUAGGAUUUCUGUUGACUCUUCUAGGCUAUUUUCAAUUUUCUCUAACCAACUUAACUUUCUCCAUAGCUUUAAACACUACAUCAGGACUAAUCAAAGUGGCCUCGCCCACCUCAAACCAACCUAUGGGUGAUCUAUAUCUCAUCCCAUAAAGAGCCUUAAAUAGAUCCAUCUGAAUGUUAGCAUGAUAGCUAUUAUUAUAAGAAAACUCAAUCAAUGGAAAGCGCUCAUCCCAACUACCCUUGAACUCAAGAGCGCAUGCCCUCAAUAUAUCUUUAAGAGUUUGGAUGGUCCUCUCUGUUUGACCAUCUGUUUGAGGGUGGAAAGCUGAAUUAAGAUGGACUUGGGUACCAAGACCCUUCUGAAAACCUCUCCAAAACUGGAAAGUAAACUGAGUACCCCUAUCUGAGAUGAUAGACAAGGGAACCCCAUACAAUUUGACUAACUCUCGGAUAUACAACUUAGCAUAAUCCUCAGUUGUAUAAGAUGUGUGAACUAGAAAGAAAUGCGCUGACUUAGUCAAUCUGUCUAUGAUAACCCAAAUCAAAUCAUGAUGAUAUCACGAUUAGGGCAAACCAGUCAUAUAAUCCAUAUUCACCUCUUCCCACUUUCAAGUGGGGAUACCAAACUCUUGCAAUGUACCACCAGGUCUUUGGUGUUCCACCUUAACCUAUUGACAAGUUGCACAUUUAGCUACGAACUCUGCUGUAUCUUUCUUCAUACCAUUCCACCAAUAGAUUUCCUACAAGUCGUGGUACAUCUUGGUAGCUCCUGGAUGAAUAGAAUAACGUGCACUAUGCGCUUCAGCCAUAAUUCUCUGUCUUAACUCAUCCACACAAGGAACACAUAAUCUAUUCUGGUAUAUCAACACGUCAUCUCCCCCUGGGAGAAAACCUCUACUUUUUGGUCUUUAACCGACUCCUUUAGUUUGACCAAACUAGAAUCCUUAUCUUGCUUCUCCUUCACUUCCAAAACUAGGGAAGAUUCGAAAUUACUCUGAGCCCAAACAUUCCUUUCAGCUAAAACAACCAACCUAACCCCAAAUCUAGCCCAACGAUGAACUUCUCAAGAUAACUCCUUCUAUCAUUCUCCAUAUGAGCAACACUGCUCAUAGAUAAUCUACUAAGGGUGUCUGCCACUACAUUGGAUUUGCCUGGAUGAUACAACACACUCAUAUAAUAAUUCUUCAACAACUCCAACCACCUUCUCUAAUAGAGAUUUAAUUUCUGUUAAGUAAACACAUACUGUAAGCUUUUGUAGUCUGUGAACAUAUCAGCAUGCACACCAUAUAGAUAAUGUCUUCAUAUUUUCAAAGCAAACACAACAUCAACUAGUUCAAGAUCGUGGCUUGGGUAGUUCUUUUCAUGAGGCUUCAACUGUCUAUAGGCAUAGGCUAUGACCUUACCACCUUGCAUCAAUGCACAGCCCAAACCAACUCUAGAGGCAUCACAAGACACCACAAAACCAUCUGUACCAUCAGGUAAUGCUAGGACUGGGGCUGAUAUGAGUUGAGUCUUCAACUCCUGAAAACUCUUCUCGCAGGCAUCUGACCACAGAAACUUGACUUUUUUUUUGGUCAAGCUAGACAUCGGAGAUGGAAUAGAUGAGAAACCUUCAACAAAAUGGCGGUAUUAGCUAGCUAGAACCAAGAAACUCCUAAUAUCUAAUGGCGAGAUAGGUCUAGGCAAAUUCCUUACAGCUUCUGUCUUUUAGGGAUUGACUUUAAUGCCAUCAGUGGAAAUAAUAUGACCAAGAAAGGCUACUGACCAUAGCCAAAAUUCACACUUGCUAAAUUUAUCGAAUAAUUCAUGAUCUCUAAGAGUUUGCAAGUCAAUUCUAAGAUGUUCUAUAUGGUCAUCCUCACUAUGGGAGUACAUAAGGAUAUCAUCUAUGAAAACAAUGACAAAUAUGUCUAGAUACUGCUUGAACACUCGAUUCAUAAGGUCCAUAAAAGCUGCUGGAGCAUUGGUUAACCCGAAAUACAUACUAGAAACUCAAAAUAACCAUAACGGGUUCUAAAAGCUGUCUUUGAAAUAUCACAUUUCCUUACUUUAAGCUGAUGAUGGUCGGAUCUAAGGUCUAUCUUUGAGAAAUAACUUGCACCUUGGAGUUGAUCAAACAAGUUAUUAAUUCUAGGAAGGGAAUACUUGUUCUUGACUGUGACCUUAUUUAGCUGAUGAUAGUCAAUGCACAUUUGCAAAGAACCAUCUUUCUUUCAGACGAAUAGGAUAGGAGCGCCCCAUGAAGAAACACUAGGCCUUAUGAAACUUUUAUCUAGAAGAUCUUGAGUUGCUCCUUCAACUCUUUAAGCUCUAUAGGAGCCAUAUGAUAAGGAGGGAUAUAAAUAGGCUUAGUAUCUAGGAAAAGGUCAAUACCAAAUUCUAUCUCUCUAUCGGGAGGUACCCCUGGGAGAUUUUCUGGAAAAAUAUCAAGAAACGCGUUGACCACUCAGACGACCUGAAGUGUUGAAGUCUCAAAAUUUUUGUCCUUGACUCGAACUAGGUGGCAUGUGCAACCUUUGGAUAUCAACUUUCUGGCCUUAAGGUAAUAUAUGAAAUGACUCUUGGGAGAAACUGAAUUACCUAACCACUUAAAGAUUGGCUCAUCUUGGAACUGAAACUUUACCACUCGGGUGCGACAAUCUAUAAAAGCAUAAUGAGAAUGAAGCCAAUCUAUACCCAGAAUAAGAUAAAAAUCAACCAUGUCUAACUCUAUCAGGUAUGCUAACAUGACUUUAUGAAGAACAAUGAUAGGACACUUUUUAUAAAUCUGUUUAGCAACAACUGACUCACCUACUAGAGUAGAAACCAAAAAGGCUUAGGGAUCUUUUUAGAACUCAUCUCAAAAUUCACUGCACCUAAUGAGGUCACAUAAGAGAAACUCGACCUAGGGUAUAACAACACAUAAACAUCAAAAUAAAAGAUGUGAAUUAUCCCAGUCACAACAUCGGGUGAAUCCUCCUAAUCCUGACAGGAUGGUAAAGUAUAAAACAUUCUGGCGUUGACCACCACUGGUACUAGACGAUGCACCCUGGGGAGGAGUUGGGCGACCUAGAGGAGCUGGUGCACUAUUUGCCUGAGUUUGAGGAUGAACAUCUUUAUUCCUCCACCUAGCAUGCAGGCACUCUUUGAUUCUGUAAACUGGAUUGCCACAACUAUAACAACCUUUCUGACCCCACAAACAUUCACCUCCAUGAUUCUUAGCACACUUAGAACAUGGGGGAUAAUUAGGCUUCCCACUCACACUAUUCUAAGAUCUGGACAUAGAAUACUUACCCUACUAUUCCUGCUUAUUUCUAGGUGUAGGAGCAUUGGCUGGAGAAGGUGCUGGCAUGGAUGAAUGAUUUUGAAACUGCAGACGAUUUCCUCUUCCAAACCUACUCUAACUAUGAUCAAACUUUCCUAUUCUAGCCUGCUUAUUUACUCUCUCUUAUUUUUUAACUUUCUCUGCCUCAAUCUGCUGAGCAUGCAUAAUCAAUCUAGGAAAAUCCAUGUCUCCAAUAAGCAUAGUAGUCCUACACUCCUUAGCUACAAACUCGGACACACUGGUCACAAAUUUACUCAUACUUAACCUAGAGUCAGCCAUCUGAUCAGGGGUAUACUUAGACAACUAGUUGAAUUUGAGGCAAUACUCCUUCACAGUCAUUGAGGCUUACCUCAGGUUCAUGAACUCUUCUAUCUUAGCUUCCCUCAUCUCACAUGGGAAAAACUUAUCUAAGAACGCAUCCUAAAAUAUCUGACAAGUCAUGGGAGCUGCAUUCUCUCCUCUACUUUUCUUCCACAUCACCACCCAAUCAUAUGUAAUAUCCUUAAGCCUAUAGGAUGCCAAUUCUACACUCUCCUCUUAAAAAAUAUGCAUAAUUUGGGUGAUCUUCUUUACCUCAUCUAGAUACAACUGUGGGUCCUCACCUGCCGUUGACCCAAAGAAUUCUGGCAGAUUCAUCCUCAUAAAAUCUCAAAUUCUAGCUAUUACUAUGUCCCCAUCUUGCUGAGGUGGGACUGCAGCUUGACGGUUGCCCUGAACAUUAGCUAUCACAGCUUGGGCUAGUGCCUGAAAGGUAGCCUGAAACUUUGUCUGUGACACGUUCUCAUUCAAAGGAUCUACAAGCUAAGGUGGCAUGUCAUCGUUUCUAUAGGUGUUAGCUCGAUGAGGAGGAAUUUUUUGUCAUGUGAAAGCAUGAGUUACAAGUAGAUAAAGACACUGACUGCACGAUAGAUCAUGAAAGAAGAGAUAAUUUCCUAAAAUGCUCCAUAGCUUCUUGCUCAUAGAUGUGGUGCGCUUCAAACCGAUGAUCAAGACUCCAUGUAAUGCGGAUUGUCUGACUCCCUAGGACUCUCUACACCUUAGGCUCUGAUACCAAGUUUGUAACCCCCCAAAAUCUAGUUCCCGAGAUGCCACAUGGUGCUCCAAACUACAAGUAGUCUUGAGCUAACCCUGGUUGAUUUCUACUAAGUAUGGAUCUCAACAUAGGGGAAAUAUGAAUAUAAAGUCAUAAUAAUAUGGAAAAUCUUAUCUGAAACAUACUAGAAGUCUUGGUAAAACAACACUAAAAAAUCUAAAUUCUGAAUCAAAUAUCUAAAACUAAAUCUAGUAGUCCGACAAGCCUAUACUAUCUGAAUGUAGAGAGUCACUGAGACAGACUCCCAGCUGACUCAAACUAUCUGAAAUGAAUAAAGGAACAUGUACGAAUAAACUGACAGUAUGAAUAGCUAAGUCUCCGGACAAUGGGGACUCACCGACUGUAGGGAUGCAAAUGAGAUACUCGGGAAUCACCCACGCUGCUGAGACUAAGCACCUGAACCCACAUUAUGAGACAAUUUAGCACAUAGAUAUAUAUGUAGAUCAGUACUUUGAGGAUGUACUGAGUAUAUGGGGGUACAUUCGAUAAGUAAAUAAUAUCAUCACAGUUUAUAAAAUCAUGCAUGUGAAAUGUAAAUGACUCACAUAGGCUUAAGUAAUUUGAAAUCUGAAGAUCAUAAAUUAUAAAUGAUAAAACAUAUAACGUAAAUCUUAUGAGCCAUUACACUUAGUUCUGAAGUCUAUAAAAUAGCUUAUCUUAGGGCUUAAAAUCUUAAAAUCAUAACUUACAAAACAUAUACUUUUAUCUUAAGUCUUUAAAUCAGUAGACUGUUGAAAAGUGGGGGACAUCUGUUGGGAGGUUCUUCUACCCGACAUACACCCUGUGAGCAUCUAUGGAGUCCCACGUAUGGCCCCCAUUAGGUAGGGUUGUUCUACCCUUUCCAUCAGAAUAGAACUUCUAUCUUAGUGAUCACAAUUUGAGUCAUCCAUGUAGAAGUGGGUAUAAAUCUGAAUCCUACGUUGGCACGUAGUUCUGGGGUCUGAAACCAUAGUAACCUAUCCAUCUCGGUGCUAAAUCCUACUCCCAUUAUUAUGCUCAAGAUCUUAAGAAAUCCACUUCAAAAAUAGCACAAGGGUUUACAAGAAAAUGAAUUAUGCUUUUCUUUCUUUAAAUCUCAAGUUAUUUGAACAAAGUGGAUUCUUUAUCUUAACUUAGGACCAAAAGGUCAAAUCUUUAUUAAAAUCUGAGAAUAAUCUUAUUUGAUGGUGCUCAUGGCACAAAUAAUCUCAAAAUAGCAAAUCUUAAUUAGGGCGUAGUGAUCCAUACAUUAAUCUCAUGUUAAAACAUCUAAAAGUUCAUGCUUGAUAAUGCAAACACUUAUAAUUCAUCAAAAAAUCUGGAAAUUUCAGCAAUAUGCAUGAAAAUAUAAACAAAGCCAUGUAAUUCAACUUCUAAAUCAAUGAAAAUCUCAUAAUCUUGCAAAUAAUGAUAAUGGGUAUAAACCCUAACUUGUAUUUCAUGAGAAAUAUCAUAAAUUGAAGUAAAUUUGAAAUUAAAACAAAGUUUUGGGCACAAGGGUGAAAGCAUUAUCCUUGUUCAAACCCCACAUACCUUAAAUUGAUGAUCUAGAUUCUAGAACUUGAAUCUUGAAUCUUUAUUGAUGUUUUGGAGAUGACCUCUUAAAGUUCUUGAAUUGGGAAUUCUCAAUCGUGAAGAGUCUUGGAAAAUUAAUGGAGAAAUUUUAGAUUUCUUGGGAAGGAAGUAUGAGCCUUAAGGUUUUUGCUUAAGAGAGAAUGAUGAAUAAAGCAUAAAGUGCUUUGAAAUAUGGUUAAUAUUUUAUUUUUGGACGGAUUGGGGGUUGGAGAUUUACCAAAAUACCUCAUUUAAACUUUUAUACGAAACUGGAAAACGUACAUUUUAUCGAACUGGGUGGUCACCGCAAUGCACCACUAUAGCGGUGGCUCACUACAAAAGGGACGAAUGGGAAUUGGGCUCCCUUUGUGACGCACGACAAUCGCAGAUCCCUUUAGUUUAUCAUUUUGACCAUGACGCGACAGUAUCACGAGGUCUCACUGGAACUUUCCAAAUAGGAAAUUGGACCUCUCCGCGAUAUGGUGCUAUCGCGGAGGGCCACUAAAAAAUAACAAUCGGGAUUUUAUACUGCUCCAUGACGCGCUAAGGGUCCAAAUGAUGGUGUUUUGUGAUAGGAAUUUAAAAUAACCAUAACUUCUUACCCGGUUAUCGGAUUUAGGCGAAUCUUAUAUCGCAUGAAAGCUAAUUCAAUUUCCUACACAAUGAAAAGUCUAAAUAUAAGGAAUUCCAUACCAAAUAAAUAGUAUUUAUUUUGGAAGCUAUCCCUUAACACUCUAGGGACGAAUUUAAUCUAGGAAAAAUCGCGGGGUAUUAUAGGCUCCUAACCAUAACCUUAAAUUUGGACGACAUGAAUCAAAGUACAUAAGAUCACAAAGCCAGGUACCAUAAUCCUGUGCUAGCAAAAUACAUUUUCCAACAAUGAGCCUUUCAGCUCGUGCUUUCUUCGGGUAACCAUCUAACUCUCUUUAAGCCUAAUUUUAGUCUCCUAAAAUCAUGUUUCAUUCUUAAUGUACUCAUUUAUUUUAUAUUAAGGGCAUUCCAUAAUAGGUAUUGUCAUAUCUAGACUUGCAACCCAUAUCAUAUCAAAUAAUGUCCAUAACCCUUUUUAUUCAAAAGCAUGUUAAUGACCACCAAAAGAUUUGCAUAUUAUAUGAGAGUUCUUACUUCAAAAGCAUAUGAAAACUUAUGCAAAACACUCUUUUUUCAAUACUUUAAUACAUCGGGGCUUAUUCUUUCAUCAAUUACAUUCAAUUUCUUCAUUAGGACACAAGAACCUUAAGUAUGAGAAAUACCUCUUUGAAAAUGUGCAAAAGCAAUAGUGCAUGAUAAUUAAAGAGACAUUUAAAACUCAAGAAUUAUCAUUAUUCAUAAAAUAACCGCAACACUAAUCACACAUAAAUCUCAUGAUCGAAAAAAGAAACUUAUAGUUCAUGCUCUCAAACCUAUUUCCCAAUUCAUAACAUAUUAAGAUCAUAAAUUUCAUCAUGCUUUCAAAUCCACUUUAUAAUCCAUAGGUGAUAGUAAAUAAUUAAACUCAAGAUUUUAAAUCUUCCAAUUGAACAAUCCAUAACAUGUUAAGACAACAAAUUUGAUCAUUCAAGGGAAUUUCAUAAAUCAUGCUCUUAAAUCACUUUUCAAAACUCAUAACAUAUGAACACAUGACUAUAACUCAAGUUCAUGGAAACUCUCCCUAGUAAUUUCAUAAUUUCAUCAAACAUGGGUUCAUGAUGCAUUCUCUUCAAAUGAUUUCCAAAAACCCUUUACAUUUACAUAAUUAUAUAUCUUUAAAACUUGUUAAAGCGAUAAACUUACGCCCAUGAGAUUUAGGAUAGUCCCACAUACCUUUGACGGAGAAAAAUCAAAGAAUAGCCUUGAGUUUGGAAUCUACAUGCUUUACAAUUGAGAAAUCCCUCCUUGAUGUUCUUGAGAGAAAAAUAAUGAGGGUUUGGGGGCUUUCAAUUGGUUUUGGAAUGAUUUUAGGGUUAUAGGAUUGAUUGGGGAGUUAUGAGGGGUUAAAGGACCUUUUUGACCUUUUUGACCUUUAAGACUUCAAUCCAUCUCCGAAGAUGUUCCCACCCUAAAUAAUCAUUAUUCAUAUUUAUUUCUAACUAUAAAUCAUUGGGUUCGGGUAGUAUACGUAGAAAAAAUGGUUCAAACCUUAGCCUAAAAAAGCGGGUUGUUACAACUAGGUAUUUGCUGGAAACUAGAUGGACUACAUGACUUAAUAGGAGGAAAAGAGUGGCAAAGUGCAAUUACUAUUAACGGGUACACAAUAGAAGAAGAUGCAGAAGCAUGGUGCGCUGAUUAAAUUACCACAAAGGAAUAUAGAAAUAACUAUUCAUCAAAGACAAUAUGUCUUGAGAUAAAUUCACGACCUGUAGGCACAUUGAGACACUUAUAACCCUUGUGUUGAUUACUAUAGACUAAUAAAAUGCAUUAAGAAGAUCCAAAGACUAAUUUAUGAGAAUAGUAAGGCCUAGAUAAGGAUAAGAAGCACAACAAAAUACCUUUAAAAAUUGAAAAAAUUACAUAACUCAACACCUUAACUUUUCUAUAUUACUUAAAAUACCAUGCUACUAAAUAUAUUACAAAAAUCCAUUCUAAUUGACAACACACACACUUUUUCAGAUACAUUACAAAAUAUAGCUCAACACAAUACACAACUACUGUUUUGUAGCCUAAACUCAUGGUAAUAGUGGCGAAGAUUAUGCCAAAAUCCAAUCUUGAUGCAGCAACUGUAUCCUCCGUUACAAUUACUUUAAAGUUACAACUUACACACUUUUACUCCAUUAACUUAAUUAUUCAAUUGGAGGUUACUUUUUUUUCCAGUUGAUGAUUUUGUUUAUUAGUUUAGAAAUUGAAGAAAUUAUUUUUUAAUUUUAUGCUCUUUAAUCAUUAUAACAACAUUAAUGGAGUCAAGAUCAUCUUUUAGUUUGGGAUUUACUCAAUUUCUUUCAACUUCUACUGAAAUUGAUAUAUCUGGGUUUGUUCCUGGUAACUUUAAUAAUGAAGACAAUGGUUUUCAUGAAAAUAGAUCUAAGCAUCGGAACGAUCCUAUAAUCAUAAAAAAGUCAUAGGAUGCUGCUAGUGCUAAAGAAAAAAAGCCUCCUGCUGCUAUUUCAAAUGGAAGAAGAAAGAAAGUUGUGAAAAGAGACCCAUUACCAAAGGUAUGUUAUUUAUGUAUUUGAUAGAUAAAUUUCUCUAACACAAAUUUUUGUUAUGUAUCAUAAUAUAAAAUGUAACAAAUGUUAAUGUUAAUCAUUAAUCUGAAACAUAAUCAUGAAGAUAUUAUCAGUGCAUACGUUAUAAUACAUCACAAUUUUUUUGAGUAUGAUACUUAUGUAUGAAAUAUAUCAUGAUGUCUGAUACAUACGUUAUAGUUAUGUAUCAUAAUACAAAAUGUAAUAAAUGUUAAAGAUAAUCAUUAAUCUGAUACAUAAUUAUGAUCAUAAGGUCAGUGCAUGCGUUAUGAUACACCACUGUUUCUUAAUGCAGGAGAUGAAAUAUGUGAUCAAAACUAUUCCACCUCAUACAAUGAGGUUUGACAUUUUGUGCAACCAUAACUUUACGACUGACGUUGAGAACUUUGUGGGUAAAAAAGUACUUAAUAUGUUUAAGGAGACAUGCUUUGGUGAUGUUUAUUGAUAUGCCCAAAUCAAAUAUUCAAGGUCAAAUAACCAAAUUCUUAUUGAUGCUUGAGUUUCUACAAGAUAACCCAAAUGAAUUCCAUGUAUAUGUCUAGGGAAGGAUGCUAAUUUUUUCUCUAUUUGAAUUUGCCCUCAUUAGUGGUCUGAAUUGUACCACAAACACUGAAGAGUUUCAGUAUCCAACUUUAGAGCCCUCUAUGUUAUUGACAAAGUAUUUCCCAGAGGCAAAAAAUGGAAUCUCCAAAAUAAAAUUGGUUGAACGGUAUAAGAUGGGAAAUUUUGACAAUAUCAGGAUGCAUUACGGAUGACCAUAUUGUUUUUCAUUCAUACGUAUUUGUUAUCUGAAUCUAAUGAUGCAUAUUUUAGUUUUUUAGAAUUCAAGAUGGUAGAGGAUGGCCGAUAUAAACAUUAUCCAUGGGGAAAGAUUGCUUUCAUUAAGUUGAUGAAUUCAUUGAGACAGACUUCUUCAUUGAAAAGAAGCUUUAUCUUUUAGGAGAGAUGCCACAUGUUCUCAAUGUAUGGAUCUACGAAUAUUAUUCUAAAGUAGAUAAAGACAUUUAUUACCGUAUUGGUAAUCGUAUACCGAGGAUAUGUAACUAGUUUGUCAUUGGAACAAAGCCUAAAUUCGAGAAGUUUAUGAAUGGAAUGUUUAGCAAGGUAAUUUUUAGUUAUGUUUAAUCUUUUUUUUGUAUUUUAUGUUGCAUACAUGGAAGUUUUAUUUAUGUUUCCAUUAUAUAUUUUUUUGGUAAAUAUAUGUUGAAGCAUGUAACUCAUUCAUACAACAAUAUAUUUAUAGAACAGACAUCUUCAAUAUCAAUCCCUGCAUUUUUUCACUGUUAUAUGAUACAUUAUAGUACUUGUAUCAUACAUUACUGUACAAUUUAUGGUACAUUACUAGAUGUUAUGUAAAAUAAUGAUAGAUUAUUGCUCUUAUAUUCAUUUAACUAAAAUUGUUAUGUUUUUCAAUCUUAAUUAUAGUAUGUGUAUACCAACCUAAGUCCUACUGUUAAUGAGCUGAACUGUCUUCAAUUGUCAAAUCAUGCUGGUAUGGAUUUAAAUGAUCCUGUCAAUUCAACUUUACUGUCCACAUCUCGUGGUGAGCAGAAAUAAGUUGAUCAUAAAGCAAUGAUGACAGCUAGUUCAUUAUAUUCGAAUGAUUUUGAUGAUUUUACUACCCUACCACUGGUCGAAAUGGUAACUAAGUCAAAGACUAGGUCUGAUAGAUCAUUGGCACUGCCUUCAAAAAGAAAAAAGACAUACGCUGAACGAAAAAAAUUAGUGACAGUUCAAGAAAAGAUUAAAGCUCACUCAUCUGUUAAAGAAGUCAAUGUAUCUCCUCCUGGCACAUCAAAAUCAUUUGCUGACCCAAUCAAUGAAGAAGCUCAACACGAAUUAUCUCUAAUGGACUUUGGCAAACAGACACCACCAGUUGUCCCACAUAUGCGUGAGUCUACACAGUAAAUUAAUGUGUAUGGAGGCAUGCAUCAUGAACAAGUUUUUCUUAAAGUUGAUAUGGAUGUAAUUGAAUAAUUUGUCAAGACAUAUGUAAGUGUUGCAUGUAUUUUUAUUUUUAAAAUUGGCUAGCUUGACAUAUCUAAUAUUCUUUGUUUAACUUAUGAAGGUUGACAAAAGAUUUGAUCAUAUUGAAGCAUUAAUGAAAAAAUAUCAUAAAGAGAUGAUAAAACAACUUGCAGAGAUGAUGUCCGAUGUGAAAGAGAAGCAUGUUGCUCCUCAAAAAGUAACUUUUAAUUUAAUUACCUUAAAUUUUAUAUACAAUUAUCUUAUUAAAAAAUAUAUGUUUUUCAGGUUGUUACUGACAUCAACUAUUCAAAUAGUGAUGUGAAAAAGAAUGAGACAGAUAGUGAUGAAUUGGGAACUCCGAAAGAACAGCCAAAGGAUAUACUUGACAAGGUAGCUAGUAAAAAUUUAAAAAAUGAGUAUUGUAUAUUAUUUUUAUAAUAUAAUGCUAUUUUUUGUACCAGAAUGAUGAUGGAAAUGCUAGAUUUAAUGGAGAUCAUAAGCUGGAUAAAAAAACUAAUGUUGAGUCUUCUCUGAAAUUUAUUUUUGAUGAUCCAGCUAUACCGACGGAGACCAUUGAAGUUCAACACGAAUAGAAGGUACAGAUAAAAAACUAUUUUGUGGAGUGUAUGUUAUUAAUGGGAAAUAUCAUUCUAUUAAAUAGGUUUUGCAUGAUAUAUAGUACAAUUGACACAUUCAAUGUACAAAGUUUGAUAUAUCGGUCAAAUGUAGCUAAAAUAUGAUAUUAUGAUACAUAAUAACAUUUGAGUAAAAAUUAGGUUCCAUUAAGGCCAUAUUUAAAGAUGUAAUGUUAUAGAUCUUUCAGCCUAUAUAUGUCUUAUAGGGUCUUUACAUCUAACUAAUUUUGAAAUUUUUGAUAUCUAAUCAUUUUCAUCUUUCAGGAGACUAGCACUGAGAUUAAGACUACUGCAUUUCAGGAAUCAAUAGAUAACAUCAUAGUUGAAAUUUUCUCAUCAGUCAUUGAAAUACAGUCUGUUGAGAUUUUACAAAAAGUAAAUCUCCCUGAUCUAUCUUUACCAACAGAAAAUACCAAAGUUCAAAAUGAACCACAGGUUCGUAAAAAACACGAAUUGUGGAUUAUAUGUUAACUAGAAAUAUCUUUUUGUAAAAGAGAUUAUGCAUGACAGAUAAUUUAUCUGAUUCAUUAUAUAAAUAAAUUUUUUUGACUUUAUAAAAUGUAUCAGACCUAUAUAUUUAUUUAUGAUACAUAAUAUUUUUUUGCAUCAUAUGGGUUCUUUCUUUUAAAUUCCGACACAUGAAAAUAAUUUUAAAGAUUUAUUACACUAUAUUUCAUAUGGGUUCUCUUACAUAUAAUUAAUUUUGUAAAUGUUGGUUCGCUAUUUCUAAUUUUGUAAUCUAUCCAGUUGUAAAGGCAAAGAAACUGCCGCAGAUGAUUUUCCUCAAAAGCAUCCAUUUGAUGGUUAUCUUAUAUCCCAAGAUGCGCCGACCGGACUAAUCAAAUAGUACUAUGAAUGGAUUGUCGAAGGAUUACUAAAGUAUUAUGAAAAGAAGUAAGAUAUUUUACUUUUUUCCUUAUUAUAUUCUAAUUUUGAAAUUGUGAAGAUUUAAAACAUAUCAUUAUUACUCAUAUAGGAAAUUCAAGCACAACUUUACAGAGCUAAUAAAUCUGGACUUGGUUUUAGUUUGUUGGAUUUUGUUGUUGCACAACCUGAUCCAAAGAUCUAAAUUUACACAAUGUCCCAGGCCAACACCUGCUGAAACUAUAAGGUAUUACAAAAUCAUUACAUACAACUACAAUAACUAUUCUGAUACAUAUAUGUACAUUAUGAUAUAUUCUAAUACAUAAAUAUACACACAUAAAUAAGAUAACUAUAAAUCUCUAUUAUUAUUUGCCAAUUGAAUUUUUCAUUGAGAUUCAAAUUUCUUGAAAUCACUAACUCAUCUAUGUUGUUAUUUUGAACAGCAUGUAGAUGUUAUAUUCUUCUACCUUUGGAAGAAAUCAACGCAACAUAUGGAUCAAGAAUACAGAUACACCAUCAUGAAUUGCUUGUUCAAAAUAUACAUUGAUGUCAUAUACAAAUGAUAUUUUGAAGAUGCAGCAGGUGAUGCUCUCUUAAGUCAAGAUGAUUAUAAAAGGUUGUACAUUGUUGCAAGCAAUGAAGAGUCAUUGAUAAACAUCAUAAAAGUUCAACAUACCAGUUGCUUUGCCUUCGCACUUGGUCGAUGAUGUAUACGUCCCUAUAAACUGUGAUAGAAAAUUUCACUGGGUACUGGCUGUGAAAUCUCUAAAGAAAAGAUGUAUCUAGGUGUAUGACUCAAUAUUGUCAUCACGUCAUCGAGAGACAUCAUAUGAGAUACACAAGUUGUCUAUGAUGCUGCCAAUAUACCUUUGUGAUAGUGGAUGUAAUAUCCCGAGUCUGUACCCCGGACGCUACACAGAGCUACAACCCUAAAAGAUCACCAGCUAACCCAUGUCUGGUACAUGCUGUGAGCACUAAAUUAUAACAACACUACAAUGAUAAUACAUAUAUAUUAAAUAAAUACAGAAAAUAGGUUGAAAAUCACUGUAAGGUUUAUAACUGAAACAAAUACUGAAUACUAAAAAAUGAAUACUAAAAUAUCUGUCUAAAAUACUCUAGUCUGAAAGCCUCUAACUAUCUGAAUAUGGAGUUAAUGGGACAAGCCCCUAACUAACUCUGACUACUGCAUACUAAAAUGAUAAAAUAAUGUGAUACUUUAUCCUAGAACUAUGAGGACUCACCACUAAGUCUGCUGCUGAUAGAUGGGUUUCUAAGUGCUGUCAGGAGCCCAUGCAUCUGAACUUAUGAUAUAAUACAUCAUAGUGCAAAAGAAAGGUAUGCAUUAGUACUUUGAAUGUACUGGUAUAUAAGUGAAGUAGGUUGAUAUACAUGGGUUCAUAUGUAUGAACAAAUAACUGACUAAGUUGCAUGAAUAUAAAUGAGUGAGAGUACAUGAAGGAUACAUAAAUUAUAACUGAGAUCAUUUCAAUACUGGAUACUUAGUUCUGAAUGCUGAUUAACUGAUAUCUGAGUUUAUUAAUACUGUAAUACUGACAGUUGAGUGACUAUUUCUAAUAGUCCUACUUCUGUAGAACUGUGCUAAGUUUCAUACUAAGCUGAGUAAUUGUAUCUGACAGUACUGAUUCUAUAGAAUUAAACUGAGUUCUAUUCUGAGACUGAAACUGAAACUGAAACUAUGAGAGGUAAUCAUCUAACUGACAUGCCCCUUUUCUGAACUGAUUUGGUGUCUAACCUAUAACCUCAGUUGGAAGGGUGUCAGUACCAUGCCAUGAGUAAAGACAAGUGCUGAUUCACCCUCAUCUGCCAGGUGCUUUGAAUUAGAAUGGUGGUACCCUCAACUGACAGGUAAGACACCUCAUCAACCCUCAACUGGUAGGUUGAUGUCUCAACCUAUGCUGGCUACUUAGUUAUGAAACACAAGAACUGCUUCUAAGGAUCAUACGCUCUACUGGCAGGUGAGUCCCCAUCCUUGGGUUCACUCGAUGCUGAAUCCUACUCCCAACUGAGUAGACUCUGAAUGAAUUUCUAAACUGUACUAGGCUGGACUGAACAGUUACUAAUCAUGUUGUCUAACUGAACUGAACUGAGUUCACUGGGUUCCAUUAACUGACGGAGUACUACUGAGUUUUAUUAACUAACUGAGUUUACUGAGUUCUGAACUGAUAACAGAAAUAAGACCGUGACUGAUUUCUGAAUACUAUUAUUCGUGACACUACUAAAACUAUUUUGUAACUACUUUAGUUCUAGGUAAACAACUAGAUUUUUAAGUAUUGAAUACCCCCAGGACUCGAUAGCAUAAAAUCAAUACAUAGCAUAAACUUGAAAAGCAUAACGAUGCGCACUUGAUCAUAACUCAUUCAUAGAGAUAUUUCAUCAAAACUUGUGAAAUAUAAUUUUGCACAUUUGCUAGAAUGUCAUGAUUUUCACCUUUAAUUCAUAUGAGCAAUUUAUCAAGCACUUGGAGAUCAAAAUCUAUACACAUUGAUAUUAAACAACAUGUAAGCAUCAUAAUUUUAAAUCCCAAUUUACCAAAUCAAAAGUUUUAACAUGAAUUUACAUGAUACUACAUACAUGUUAAGUAAUUUCAUAUGAACUUUGUAAUAAAUCAUGGGUUAGAAACUCAAUUAACAUCACAGUCAUGAACAUACUUAAAUCCAACAUGGAAUUUAUGAAAUCAAUUAACUUGAAGUUUUAAAAGAGUUUCUUGAACUCCAAGGGUGGAAUAAAACCUUUCGAUGAACACUUCACAUACCUUGGUACUUGAAUUAAUGAAAACUGAAGAAGUGUUCUUGAAGAUUGAGCCUUGAAAGUAGAUUUCCUAGGGUUUGUUCUUGAGUAAUUUAAGAGAAAAUAAUGAAUAUUUUACCCUAGGAAUGAUUAACCUCAUAUUUUUUUAGGCUGAAUAGGGGUGGGAAAAUGACCCAAUUACCCCUAUAGAUGCAGCUUUUAAUGAGUAGAAACCGUGCCCAAUGAUGCGCAGACCAACACAUCGCAUCGAUGAGGUCGACGCACCGCACCGAGUCUGCGUUGACUCACUGGAAUUUGACACUGUGAACUGGGAAAACAUUUAUCAACGUGAUAGGAGAUGUAACGCAUUGAGAUCACGCUGAUCCACUGGUUUGGACUUCCAAACGUGCCUCAAACGAGGUCCAAAAAAUUUAAAACUUGUCCGAGAAUAACUACUGAUAUUUCUGGUCAUGAAUCAACCUAAAAAUUGAUAUUUAAAGGUCGUAAGGGUCAUGAAAUGAGAUUUCCAACUUAUGAAGGCUAAAAUAAUUCUAAGUGUAAACACUUAGCUAAAAUUUUCUAAGUAUGGGACCCCUUAUCAAGCUCUAAGGGCUGAGUUAAGCUUAGAAUUUUGUGAAGUCUAACAGUAGAUUUCUGAAAACCACUGAACGAAUGGUAUGGUCAAUUCUUGAAGCAUACAUAGAUAAGAUGAUCCAAGGCAUCAGUGUUGCGAACCAAAACUCAUUUGAUGUUGAAUACGUAGAAGAUAUUGCACAAAAAGUUAAUGAAAGUUUGUAAGUAUCUCUUCACAGUUUUAUAUAUACAGAAAGAGUUCAACUCAUUUCUAUUAUUAAAAAUUUCCUAACUAUACACAAUUUAAGCUAAUACAUUAUAAUAUAGUUAUUAUCUGAGUGCAUAUGUUCUGAUACAACAUAAAUAACCAUGUGAUUUAGUUUCUAACUAAAUGAUUACUCAUGUUUAGGGACUGUGGAGUUUUUGUGGCUGCUUAUGCUAAAUUUCUUAGCGAUUGAAUGUCGAUUUCCUCACUAAAUGUUCAUGUAGAGUAUCAUCAGAAGAGAUAUGCAACACUAUUAUGAAACUAUGGAGUAAUAAAAGCUAAAAAAUUUAUUCUAGUGACCAUGGUGAUCCACCAAGACCACGUCCAAUAUAUUUCCCUCCGGUUGAUGAUUAUACUAUUAUUGCCAUAGAGUAGAUACUAAGUUGGUGCAUAGCUAUGUUCUGAACAGUGUUUUUAUUACUGUCUUAUUGGCCUCUAUUAUUGUAAUUUCAGAUACUAAGUUUAAUAGUGUUGUUUUUUGUUGAACAAAAUUAUCAUCAACUUUUUGGAUCAAUUAAAAUUUGUGAUAUGUUUUUUAUCAAUAUUUAUUUUCAUUCUAUUUGACACAUGCAAAUCUAUGUAUUAUAUAUAUAAAAAUUGUUGACCAGUACUUCAAAAUGUCCCCGUUCAAAGUUUUCAUACUAAAUAUUCAUGUAUCAUAUAUACCCUAAUCUAUAUAUAUAAAUAAAGGAGAAAUAUAGCCCUACUGAUAUGGCAUGGUUGAAUGAGCAGCAUUCCUAAUUAUCUAUUUUUUCCUAUUUUAAGUAUUUUCUCCUCAUUCUACUCUAUAUACCCAACCAAAAAAAGGAAAAAACGUAAGCUUCUUACAUUCGUGUACUGUCCUCAUAAAGGAGGCGUUACACUAUUUCACAAUUUCUUCUACUAUUAAUUGAUAUAAAUGCAUAUCAAUUCUCCCAAUCGUAAUCCAUUUUCCCCUUUUUGGCUUCUUCUUCUCCUUUUUCCUUUUCCAUUUAAGUUUUCAAUCUAUUUGUAUUUUUUUCAUUCAAUUAUUUUAGUUAGGCCAUCAUAUUAGAUUUGUGACAUUUUAGGUAUGGAUAGUAGAUUCAUUGUUUUCUUGAUGUUAAAUAUUAUUGAUGAUUGUAUUGUUAAUAUUUUAGCUUUCUGAUUGCAAUAUUUAUGUUCAGAUUUAUCUAAUUUAUUUACUUAAUUGAAGCACUCAUUGGCGAAGAAAAAGGACUAUAGGUUUGGAUUUAAUUAAUUUUCUUAUCUGUCAAGUUGGUUUACUUGAAAGGUUGUUGAUUUUUACAUCCUAUUUUGCAGGUUUUAUACAACAUGAGUCCCAUUCAAGAUUUGAAGCAGCAUUCCCGGCACCUUCUCGAACCCAACCUCCAUACUUUACUACCUUUACUCUUCACUCUUUGUGUUUUGUGUGUGUGUAUUUUACUGGACAUGUUUAUUUGUUGUGUUUUUGUUGUUGUUUUGUGUUUGUAGUGACUUUUUUUGAUAUAAACAUAUAUAUGAUUUGUGUAAAAUUGUUGGGUUUAAUUGAAUGCGUUGAUAAUAUGUUAUGUCGAAUUGAAAUAUAAUGAGUUUAGUUGGAGUGAUUCAUAUAGUCAGCAUUAACUUACCCAAUAGAAUUGAGGCAUUGUCAUUGUUAAUAGCACAUAACGUAAUGUUGUCCCAAUGGUGAAAUCAAGUAGUAAUCCAAGAUUUAACAAAUAUGUAUAAAUGAGUAAAUUUCGACAUAUAUAAUUAGUUGGAGUAAGGUUUGCAUACACACUAUCCUCCCUAAACCCCAGUUGUGGAAUUACGCCCUGGGUAUGUUGUUGUUAUUGUUACUAAUACUAAGUCUAAUUUUUUAUACAUAUCGUAUAAUUUUUCUAUGAAGGGUGUUCAACUGAACCUAGCAAUUCUUAUUCAUAACCUAAUUUGUACGUGAAUAAUCACUAAAAUUUUAACAAAUAUUAUGUUAUGAACUUAUAAUCUAUGUUACCCUAACUCUUCAAAAUCGCUGAUGGAUGAGUCUUGGAUUCUCUAAAAAAAGUAGCGCAUGCUUGGACGAUCGUUAUUGAAGAGUUUGAGUAACAUAGUCUAUAAUUGAAAAUGUGCAAUGGAUGUGGCGAUGAAAACAUAAAUGCUGAAUACGUCAAAUUUAAAUUUUGAAUCCACCUCUUGUUGUUGUUGUAGUAAUUCGGUUCACUUUUUUUGUAGUUGAAGCAACCAAGAAUUUUACUUUUGUCAAAAACAGAAAACAAAAUGGUAGAGGGAGCAAUAAGAAAAGCAUAUAAAACAAAAUUUACAAAAUGUUGGAAUGCAAUAUGGAGAACUUCUUAUAUUAUAAAGUUGGCUUUAUCAGCUGGUAUUGGAGGAUUUCUUUUCAGUUAUGAUACCGGUGUUAUUUCUGGCGUGCUUCUUUACAUAAGGAAAUAUUUUAAAGAAUCUGAUAAGAAGAUGUGGCUGUGAGAAACUAUUGUUAGUAUAGUUGCUGCUGGUGCAAUCUUUGAUGCUACUACUGGUUGUUGGCUUAAUGACACGUUUGGAAGGAAACUUUCGAUUCUCAUAGCUAAUGUUCUCUUCUUUACUGGUGAACUCAUUAUGGCUAUUGCACUGGUUCCUUGGGUGAUUAUUAUUGGAAUGAUAUUUUUUGGUUUGGGAGUUGGAAUGGCCUCAAUGACAACUCUGCUUUAUAUAUUAGAACCCUCGCCUCAUAAGAUCAGAGGUGCCCUUGUCAACAUGAAUGGCUUACUCAUUACUGGAGGACAAUUCCUUUUGUAUCUAAUCAAUCUUUCCUUGGCUGAUGUAAUUAUUAUGAGUUUUAUUUCACUUACUUUUUUCCUUUUCGUAUGAGAUUAGAUGUGUUGUAUCUGUUGGAUCAUGUUCUACUUGUCUUAAGGUGAAAGAAAUAUGGGUUUGGAUGCUUGCAUUACUGGACUUCCAUCAGUUAUUCAACUUAGACUUAUGCUUGUCCUACCUGAGUCUUUAAGAUGGCUUUACAGAAAGGUACUCAAUCAAUGACCAAUGCUAGUAGUAACUAUGCUUGAUUGGUAUUAUAUAACUUUAAGUUGUAUACAUUAACAUACUUUUUACUCUAUCAAUGUAGUUUGACCUGUGAUAAAGCUUGUCAUAGAGAUUUAUCUGUAGUUACCUUAUAAAUGACCUAAUUGUGUACCUAUAUAGUAAGUGCAUAGAGGUUAAGCUCUUUAUAAGCAUUAGUGGAAAGUGGAUGAGGCCAAGGGAAUGACUGUUGGCGAAAAUUUAUGUGCUAAUGAUGUUUGCUUGUACGUAUUAGGGGAAACUGGAUGAAUCGAGCGAUAUCUCAGUGAAAAUUUAUCCAGCAAAGGAAGUAGAGAAUGAGGUGAUAGCUAUGAAGAAGUCGGUUGAAGAAGAAAAGGAACUUGCAGGUAGCAUUGUGAGUAGCACAUUCACUCAAAUCAAGAAAGCAUUUGGGAACUCAACAUGUAGAAGAGCACUAUAUGCCAGUAUUGGUGUUCAAGUGGCUCAACAAUUCGUCGGUAUCAACACUGUCAUGUACUACAGUCCAACUAUCAUGCAAUUUUCUGGAUUUGUAUCUAAUAAGACCGUUGUAGCACUAUCAUUUAUCACCUCUGAUCUCAACGUGGUUAGAUCCAUAGUCAGUAUGGCAUUUAUCCAUAGAUAUGGAAGUAGGAGACUCAUGAUCAUCUGCUAGGAGUUAGACCUUAUUAAUGUUAUAAUAAAUAUUUCACAUUUAUGUAUCAUUAUGGUAGAAAAACCAAUGGUUAUUGAUAAAUGUAACCAUAAAAUCUGAAUGGCUCGUAUGAUUUGUAAUAAAUAAGGAAAAUAAAAUAAUCAGGUGAAUCAUGAAAUGUUAUAUUGAUUAAGAGAAAUUUACUUAAGAGAAUUCAUAAUGCAUAAGACAAAAAAUAAAGGGAUGUUAGGAUGCGAUGUUUUAUUUGCUUCAUUAAUUAAGAAAAUUAAUAAGAAUUACAACUAAUUAUUUUAUUGAAUUGAAAAUCUAAAGGUUUUAAUUUGGAAUUGAUGGUUUCAUGGAGAAUUUAAAACGUUACUCUUAGUGUCGUUGAAUAUUUUAUUUUAUAAAUGAAAAGAAAUGGCCAAAAUAAAAAAAGAUGAUAUAUAUAUAUAUAUAUAUAAUGAAAAUGUCAUAAGUCUUUAUAUGGAUUGAAAACAAUAGUAAGGGGUGGUUUUGUUAAUACUAAAGAUUAUUGGUUAAACAAGUGAGUGCUAUUUUUUCAGAUUUUAUUUUCAAAGUUUCGAAACAUUCUUUUUACGUGUGAUGAAAGCAAGGUAUAUGAUAUGAAGAGAUGGAGGCGAAACAAAGAUUUAAAUUAUGAAAUUAAAGUUUAAUAUUUUUAAUAUCAAGCCUUUAUAUUUUAAAAUAUAUAAGUUCACUUUUAUUAUUUAUUAUAAUUUUAAUGACUUUUACGCAUACAUAAAUUAUGUUUUUUGAGAAUAUACUAAAUAGAUAAAUCGAGUAGGUGACGUCUCAUUUUAGAGCGAUCUAAAAUUCUAUCAAGAUAUUAUAUAUUAUUGUCUUACAAAUAUUUAGUUGAAAUUUCAAUAGUUGAUGUAUUUUUUUAAUUAAUAUUUUACAAUUAUUUCACAUUGUGAGAUACUUUUUAGACAUUCACUAAAUAUAUAUGGUGUAGAUUAAUAAAAUGGGACAAAUUGUUCUUGGGAAAUAUAUCUUAACUUAUUAAUGAGAACAUAUUAUCCCUUAUUUAAUAGAUGUUAAAUUUGUCACGCUUUAUUUUCUUUCAUCAUUUGCAAUCAAAUCAUAUUAUAAUUAAACAAGUGGGAUAAUAUAAUAUUACGAUUGCAUAAUAGAGUGAAUAUAAAAUUAUUUUUUAACACCCCUUGAAGCGCGGGCAAAUUUUAUAGUGUUAUAAUAUAAAUCUCAAUAAGUCAAUUAAUGUAAAGUUAUGUAUCAUAAACAGUUUUACAAGUAAUGCACACAAUGUAUCAUAUUUCAAGCUAUGUUGUAUCAUGAUUCCAAAAUUGCAUCAACUAUCAGUGUAAAGAUUUUAUACCUGUUCACAUAUGAUUUCCUAAAUUUUAGGAAAGUUGCAUGCAAGUUUUAUGUCAUAAAGCUAAUUCUAAUGAAAAAAAUCACGAUAACAUGAAAAACCUUUCAUGAUACAGCUGUUGUCUAAUUUGAACAACGAUUAAAAAACUUGUUGUAAGGUGACAAAUUACUUAAGAAAUAAUAUUAAAUAAUAAAUGAAAUAUAAAAGGAUUAGAAAAUGAUAAAUCAUAAAAAAUAAUUCAACUUAAACAUUGUUCAAACAUUAUUCAACAAUACCCAAAUCGAAAUCAAACUAAUAGAGAACAAUUUAAGAUAGUCUAUCAAAUCAUUCAAUGUAUCAUGUAACUUAGGAAUCAAUUCUCUUUCGGAAAGAAGUUGCAUGUACACCUGUUGUGACCUUCACGACCGUAUUUUCCAUAAAAGUUUGUACUGGAGGAUAGUGUUUCACUUGCUUUCUUACACCUCUACUUCUUCGGUCUCCCAAGUGGUCUUUUGUAUUUUGGUGGUAUGACUUCUUCUUCGAAACAUUGAGGCACAUGUCAAUCCUUCUUAUCUGGCAUAGGAACCACUAGAACUUCUUAUGUAUUGAUUAAUGUCGCAGGCUUAUAGUAAUCAGAGCACCAGAGACAAAACUUCAUAAUAUUUUCACUUUUCAACGUUGCAAUCGCGUACGGACAUGGAAUUUCGUCAAUCUAAAAUCUACCGCAGUUGCAUUUAUUAGCAUCCAAGUCCACAAUGUAUAUUCUCCCAAAUUUAUAAACAGAAUAAUGAUACUCUAAUGCAGGCUUGACCUAACAAAUAAAUAGUCACAAAUAUAUAUAUAUAUAAAGUAUAAUAAAAAAUUACUCAAUUAAUAAAAAGUAAACCAAGUUACUAAUUAAAUAUACCGUCAUUCUGGAAGAUUUCACUCCAUUAAGUGAAGGGAUUUUGUCAAACCUUCUCCCUAAUGUUGUUUCUGUAUAUGAAGCAAUUUCUCUAUUUUUACAGUUCCAUGAUCCAAAUAAUUUUCUAACUUUUUCCAAAAAAUCUAAGAUCGGCAAUUCACGGGCCUCCACUAAACAACCAUUUAUACAUUCUGUAAUGUUAGAUGUCAUCAUUCGACCUCUAUUUAUAGGAGCAUGAACCCUUGACCACUUCUUAUAUCCUGCAUCAUAUAGAUAAUCCUUCACUCGGUGAUCAAUUUUAUCAACCUUGGCCAUAAGGUACUCAAAAUCUUCCUUUCUAUACGCUUUAGCCAUCUAAUAAACAGGUCACUAAGUCUAUCCUUGCUCCUUCUAAAGUGUGUACAAACUUUCCUCCAAAGAUGCCAAAUGCAUGCUAAAUGAGAAUCAUUUGGAUACACAAUGCUGACACUUUUAAUUAUUAUUUCAUUAUGAUUUGAUACAAUACACAUGUUCUUACGCUCCCCAAAAGCAUUCUUAAACUAUUUGAAAAACCAUAGUCAUGUACAAUCGUUCUCUGAGUCAAGAACCCCAUAAGCUAUUGGUAAUAUGAACCUAUAAAGAAUAAUAAAGCAUCAAUUUUUACAUAAUGGUAUUAUAAAAAUUAAUAUGAUACAUUAUAUUUUUCAUAACAGCUAGCAAUGUAUCAUAAAUUACCCUCAGUUAUGUCUCAUGUAUCAUACAAGUAUUGUAAUGUAUCAUAACAUCUAGUAAAACAUUUUUCACAUGAAUUGUCAUACCUGCACCAUCAAGAGUGCUAGUAUAAAGGAAAGUCUCUUUGUACGGUCCACUCAAAUAAGUACCGUCCACUACAACAGCUAGUCUGCAAUGUUGGAAACCAUGCAUCAUUGGCUAUAAAUCUAUAAACAAAUAUUUGAAUUCAUUAUAUAAUGUCAUGCAUCCUAAUGUGUGAUCCCUGAUACUCAGAGUUUAAUAUGUGAAAGUAUCUCAGCAUUUGUCUAUAUCCAUCAGCAGCUCCACCCCUAAGCAUUUCUAUAGCACGCUUCUUGACACAUCAUGCUUUCAUAUAAUUAAUGUCAACACCAUAGACAACUUUCAUUUCUUUAAUAAUGUUUGCUGGAGUGUGUUUUCUCUUGUAGUUUACUAAUUUUGGCUUUGUAAAGUUACUAACAAAUAUAACUUUAGUCAGCAACUGCUUUAACACCUGAUCUCUCAUUGAACAUGUAUAUUUAUCAUUGAAUCUCUAAAUUUGAAAAAGAUCAGAAUCCAUCAAGCAAGAUUCCUUUAUGUAUCAACUAUAAUUUUCAUUACGACAUUCCAACCAAUAGUUGCAUAUAUUAAUAAAUCUUCAUAUGGUUUGAAUAAAAAACCCAAUUUUUUUGGAAAAAUAGUAAUGUAUCGGGUUGUAAAUAAAUAAGACUAUUUCAACAUAUAUGUAUCAUAAUUAAAUUGCACUUCUCUAAAACAUUAUUAAUUCAGCAUUUUGACAUAUCUACGACAACAUCCACUGCACGUUCAUAUCUGAUAUUGUUUAAGAAGAACACGACAGAUACAUAAUUUACAAUGUAUCAUACGAAAAAUAUAAACACCAAAUACACAAAAAAAAAUUCUCCAACAUAGAUUAAAAUAUCUUUGUUUAUCAUAUUUUAUAGCUUUGAAAUUAAAAUAGUGAUCUAACGCAUACUUUUUCACUAAAGCUUUAAGAGUUUUUUUAUCCUUGUACAACUACUUGACCUUAACCUCCAUAUUUUGGCAAUCGGUGAUGAAUUUUGUAUUUCAAUUUAUGGUACAUAUAAAGAGUACUGAUUAUUCAACCCAACAACAAGAAGUGCAGCUGAAUCUGAUUCUGUUCCUUCCACGCACAUCAUUGCACCAGUUUCAACAUCAAAUUCUCUAUCUUCUAUCGAUUUAUCCAUUGUUAUUAAGCAUAAUGGAUACAUUACAAAAACUAUAAAAAAAUUUUAUGCAACGUAAACCUUAACACCAUUUUCAUUUCUAAUAACCAUAGGCACCGUAUUUCCUUCAAUAAUAUAUCGAACAUCAAUCAUUUUCUUUGAUUCAUCUAUAUUAAGUUCCAAAGCAAUAGCAGAAAUCAACCUAAAAUACGGAACACUUUCGCUAACUACAAUUCCAUCACUUUUGUAAUUUUCAUAAAUAAUUUUGCUUUGCCAAAUUAUGUCUCAACAAAAUUAAAAUAUUCAUGAUGGAAAACAGUAUGAAAGAUCGGACAACUAAUUAUUUUUUUGAAGCAAUUCGAUGAAACACAUAUGAAUUAUUUUUUCAAAUUUCAAAAAAAUGAUGUUGUUGCAUUUUUUAUAUAUUAAAAACGAUAAUUCCUAUAUUUAUGCGAUUUUAUUGAUCAGCAUUAUGCUUAAUUACUGCUUAUUUCAUAUAACCGCAUUAAAUAGCUUAAUUAUGUAUCAUACCAAAAUGUAUAAUCUCAUGGAGAAUGUAUCAUAUAAGGGAUUUUAUGUAAUUUUUAUAAAAGUUGGGAGAGAGGGUAAUUAUGUAGGAAACACUUGGGGUUUAUGUUGUUUACACUUAAAAAUUUAUAAUCUGAUACUUUAUUAAUCAAUUUCUCAUAAGGAGAUAUACUGUUCAAGACUAGAGUUGGUAAAUAAUUUAUCAAGUAAACGGAGGUUAAGAAGGCUUUGUCCCAAAAAUAUAAAGGAAGAGAAACAUGAGCUAGCAAUAAGAGAUCGAUCUCAACAAUAUGACGAUAGUUUUGUUCCACAGUCCCAUUUUAUUCAAGAGUGUGCGAACAAGACAAUUGAUGAACAAUUCCAUUUUGAGCAAAGUAUUGAGAAAACUUUGGAUAUUAUCCACCCCAUUUAGAUUGCAAUAUUUUAAUCAAAAAAAUUCUCAACUUGUGAUUUAAAUUGUAGGAACACGUUGAACAAAUCACUUUUUGCUACUAUAAGAAAAAUUCAUGUGUUCUUGCUAAAAACAUCAAUGAAAGAAAUAUAAUAGAGAAAUUUAUUACAAGCAAGAUAAAGAGAUGGUCCCCAUACAUCAGAAUGAAUCAAUUCCAACGGUCGAGAAGAGACUAACAUAGAACUAGGAAAUGACAAUUUAUGACUUUUGCCAUAUUGACAAGAGGAACAAACACUAGAAAGAAAAUGCUUAUUAACUGUUAAGUCGACUAAUUUACAAAUCUACUGUAAGACCCUACAAAAUCCCAGUCAUUUCAGUCAUAUAUAGCAUGAAAAAGAGGCCGCAAACUUAGAAAAAUUUCAGCUACGUGUUUACACUUAGUCUCAUUUUUGGCUUUAAUAUUUUGAUGAAUUUACUUACAAACCUUACAACCCUAAAAUGCCAAUUUAUAAAUUGAUUCAUGAUCAGGGAUGUCAAUAGGUAUUUUUGGAUGAGUUUUAAAUUUUUCGGACAUCGUUUGAGGCACGUUUGGGUGUCCAAAAUAGUGGAUUGAUGCGAUCUCAACGCACUGCAUCGUCCAUCGCGUCAACCGUAUUGUAACCAGCUCAAGCGGGAAAAUUUUAGUGAGAUGAUACAAUCUCAACAUGUUGCGCCGGCCAUUGUGUUUAUCUCAUUGAUGCGGUGCAUCGGUCUAUGCAUCGCCGGGCGCAAUUUUCAGAAAUUAAAUCCACAUCCAGAGGGGUAUUUAGGUCAAUUUCUUCACUUUUAUUCAGCUCUUAAACACGAGAUUAAGACACUAUAGAGGAAAAAUUCAUUCUUUAUUCUCAAAUUCUCUCAAGAACAAAACCCUAGGUCAUUCAAUUUCAAUUCCUAGGCUUAAGAAAUCGCCAACAACUUUCAGAGAAUCAACAAGCAAGGUAUGUUAGGUGUUAAUCCUUGGGUUUCCUUCCACCCUUGGAGUUCAAGAACCCUUUUUAAGCUACAAGUUUAUGAUUUCAUGACUUACAUGUUAGAAUUUGAUUGUGUUCAUGUAUGUAUUGAUGUUUGGGUUUUCAAUUCAUGAUUAAUUGCAAGUUUCAUGAAAAUCAAGAUAGUAUGUCCGUUGAAUUAUGUGAUCCUCAUAUUAAACCUUCUAACUGCAAGUUGAGUAUUGUAUUCAUGAUGCUUAUGUGAUGACGAUUAUCAUGUGCAUUAGUUAUGCUCCCCAAGUGUUUGUUAGAAUGCCUAUGUGAAUUGAAUAGUGAUAUCAUGACAAGUUAGCAUAUGUUCCCAUUCAUGUACAAGUUCAUUUCUCUCAAGUGUUUGACAAAAUAUCUAAGUAAAUGCACUGUUAACAAGCAAUUAUUGUUAUGCUUUCAAGAUUAUACCAUUCUUUACUAUUGACACUAUUGAGUCCUGGGGGUAUUUAAUUCCUGAAAAUCUAGUUGUUUACCUAGGAUUACAAUAGCUAUAGAAUAGUCUCAGUAAUAUCACAAACAGUAUUACUCAGUUAGCUAUAAAAACUCAGUAAACUUAGUCCAGUUCAGUCAGUUAAUACGAUUAGUAACAAUUCAGUCAAGCCUAGUACAGUCUAGUGAUCAGUUCAGUGUCCAUUUAGCUAGGAGUAGGAUUCAGCACCAAACAAACCUAGGGAUGGGGGCAUUCCUACCAACGGAGGGUUUGAUCCUUAGUAGCAGUCCCUAAGUUACAGAACUACGUAGCCAGCAUAGGGUAAGACGUCCUCCUGCCAAACUAGGGUUAACACAACCAUAUAUAUAUAUAUAAAUAAAAUCAUGAGUCUUUCUGCCAGAUUAGGGUUGACCCAACAUUGUUAGUAUCCCUUGGCAAGGUACUAAAAUCGUUCCAACUAGGGUCACAGGUUGGAUCCCAACUCAGUUGAUAAUCGGGGUAUGUCGAUUAGAUGAACACUCUGAUAGUUACAGUUACAUUACAGUUUUAGUUUCAGACUCAGUAUAAACUUAGUUCAGUUCUACAGAAUCGGGACUGUCAGAAAUAGUCACCCAAUUAUCAGUAAUAUAGUUAUCAGUAAUCUCAGAUAUCAGUCACUCAGUUAUCAAAACUCAAUAUUCAAUUUCAGUAUAAUCUCAGACACAAUAUAUAUCUAUAUUUAUAUGCACAAUAUUGUAUAAUCAGUAUUUACUGCAGUUUUAAUUAUUCAUGUACUCACAUUUAGUUAUAUACAUAUUAUCCAGUCAGUUAUUGUUCAUACAUAUGAACCAACGUAUAUCAGCCUACCUCACAUAGUGUAAUGCCCCAAGUCUGCACCCUGGACGCCACACGGUACUUAUGAUCCCGAGGGAUCACAAGCUAACCCAUGAGCUGGUACCUGUUGUGAGCACUAAAUAAUAAUGAUAAAAUAAUGUGAAAUAUAGGCUAGAAUGCCAUAAGGUUCACAAUCUAAAUACUAAAAAAUAAUAAUAUCUGAUAAAACAUCUGAUCUAAAAUACUGUCUGAACUAGUCUAGUCUGAAAAGCCUCUGACUAAACUGUCUGAAUAUGGAGUUGAUGGGACAAGUCCCCUAACUAACUCUAACUAAUGAAAUACUUAAACUACUAUAAUACUGUAAUAAAACAUAUCCUCGACAGAUGUGAACUCACUACUGAAUUUUUUAAAGAAAGAGUAUGUGUCAGUACAUGGAAUAUUCUGGUAUGCUAGAUGAGGUAAGGCUGAAUGCAAGGGUUCAUAUGCAUAAACAGUAACUAACCAAAUGAUAUAGAGUAACUGAAUAUGAGGAUACAUGGACAACUGAAACUGCUGUAAUUACUGAGUAUCCAAUAUUGUGUAUUUAUGUAUGUAUAUACUGUAUCUGAGCUUUAAUUAAAGCUGAGAACUGAUUUCUAAUAACUGAUAACUAGGUUACUAAUACUGAGUGGAUGUUUCUGAUAGUCCUGAUUCUGUAGAACUAAACUGAUUUCUAUACUGAGACUGAAACUGAAAUUGUGAAAAGUAAUCAUCUAAUCGACAUGCCCCUUUUCUAAAUAGAUUUGGGGUCUAACCUGUAACCACAGCUAUAAGGGUGUCAGUACCGUACAACGGGUAAAGACAAGCUGAAGUGUUACCCUCAUCUGGUAGGUACUCUAAUGAGAAUAGUGGAACCCUCAACUGGCAGGUUAAAACACCUCAUCAACCAUCAACUGGUAGGUUGAUAUCUCAACCUACGCUAGCUACAUAGUUCUGGAAUGCAAGGACUACUUCUAAGGAUCAUACCAUUUACUGGAAAGUAAGCCCCCAUCCUUGGGAUCACUUGGUGCUGAAUCCUACUCCCAUCUAAAUGACACUGACUAUUAUACUGGACUGAACUAUUACUGGUCGUAUUAACUGACUGAGUUGGACUGAUACUGAGUUUUUGAGUUCUUCAACUGACUGAAUACUACUGAUCGUGAUGUUACUGAGACUAUUCUAUAUCUACUGUAGCUCUAGGUAAACAAUUAAGAUUUUUGGGUAUUAGAUACCCCCAGGACUCGAUAGACUGAAAAGUAAAGCAUAGCAUGAUCUUGAAAAGAAUAACGAUGUCCACUUGUUCAUAAUUCAUUCAUAGAGACAUUUUAUCAAACACUUGUAAGGCAUAAACUUGUACAUGAUUGAGACCACAUAAUGACAUGUCCUGAUUCCAUUAUUUACUCUACAUAGGCAUUUUAAAAAAGACUUGGGGAGCAUGGAUUAUUUCACAUGAUAAUGGCCAACACAUGAAUAUCGUGAAUACAAUACUCAAUUGCAAAUUCAAGGGUUUAGCAUGCAAUUCAUAUAAUUCAUCACAUAAACUAUUCUAACUUCAUGGAAACUUAUAUUUAAUCAUGAAUUAAAACCCAAUUACUAUCAUGAAUAUGAGUACAAUCAAUUUCAAGCAUGGGAAUCAUGAUUCUAUAAACUUGUAGUUUUAAAAAUGGAUUCUUGAACUCUAUGGGUGAAAGGAACCCAUAGAUGAACACCUAACAUACCUUGGAAUGUUAAUUCUUGAAGGUUCUUGGAGAAAUUUUUGAGUUUGUUCUUGAUUUCUUGAAGCUAGGGUUUUUUCCUUUAGGAGAGAAUGCUUUUAAUAUGGAGAAAAAUGAGUGAAUAAUCAUGUAACUAGGUUAAUUAGGAGUAAAUUUCAUGUUAAAGGUUAAUUUGGGUCUUGGAAAAAUACCCAAAUAUCCCUGGAAAAGAUUUAAAAAUCUUCACUAAAAAUUCCCGAUUUGGGACCUUGGCGCGAUGCUCCAUGCUACUGGAAUUCCACUGGAAAUAGUUUAAAAAGGAUGAAUGGGAAUUUGGCCUGUGGCGCGACGCGGUAAAAUUGUGGAGCCUCAUUGGAAUUUAACAAUUGCAAACUGGGACAUUGGCACAAUGUGCCAUUAUCGUGGAGCUCCACUAAAAACUGACGAAUGCCAUUUGGAUGGUCUCGUGAUGUGGUAAAGUGCCAUUUGGCACACUAUUUUACAAAAAUGGCUCUAACUCUUCACCCGGGUAUCGGAUUUAGGCAAAUUUUAUAUUGUUGAAAAGUUGACUAAAUUUCCUACAUAGUGGUAAGCUCUAAACUAAAAAUACUAAAUAUUUUAAAAAAUUUACAUAGCAUUACUCAUACGCUUAGAGCUAAAAUGAGCUAAGGAAAUACGAGGUAUUACAAUUUCUCGCUUUGGGAACAUUCGUCCUUGAAUAAGACUGAUUAAGCUGAGAAAUACUAAUAAACUGAGUUUACACACUGAACAUGCAUAUCUAAUUUAUGGAAUAUAGUACUGGAAGUAUUGAUAAGAUUAUUUUUCAUUCUGAACAUGCAUAUCUGAUGUAUGAGUACAUGACUGAACUGUUUCAUGAAUGCCUGACUGAUUAUGCAGUGGUAAUGAAUACCAAGUUUAUAACUGUAAUUGAACAUGAAACUGAGCAAUUCUAAGAAAGACUGUUAGCUCAAGAUAAAUCUGAGUUUAUGGAAAAGAGGUGAGGAUUCUUGGUCUGCAUAUCUACUUCUGUUUCCCAAGUAGCUCCUUUAACGGACUGAUUUUACCAAAGAACAUUGACUAAGGGAACUUCUUUGUUUCUCAGCCUAUGAAUCUGAUGGUCGAGGAUCUGGACUAGAACCUCUUCGAAUGAGGGAUCAUUCUGAUGUCUAUGCCCUCUAAGGGAACUAUGACUAUUAGGUUACCAAUGCAUUUCUUUACCAAGGAGACGUGAAACACUUGGUGUACUGAAGCUAGAUCUAAAGGCAACUCAAGCUCGUAAUCUACCUUUGCUAAAUAACUGAGAAUUCUGUAAGGAUCGACAUAUCGGGGACUGAGUUUCCCCUUUUUACCGAACCUCUUCACCCCUUGAAAUCACCGAUCUCAAACUCAAGAUCCUUUCUUCUCAUAUCUGUAUAGGACUUCUCUCGGCUUUGGGCUAUCCUAAGCCUUUCUCUUAUCAACUGAACCUUCUCUAAGGCAUCAAACACUAGGUCAUGCCCUACUACUGCGGCCUCACCUACCUCAAACCAACCAAUUGGAGAUCUACAUCUACCACUAUAAAAAGCCUUAAACAGAGCCAUCUGAAUACUGAAGUGAUAACUAUUAUUAUAUAUGAAAUCGAUCAAAGGCAAGUGGUCAUCCCAACUACCUUUAAAAUCAAGAACGUAGGCUCUUAACAUAUCUUUCUAUGUCUGAAUGGUCCUUUCUACUUGACCAUUUGUCUGAGGGUGAAAAGUUGUAUUGAGGUGAACUUGGGUACCAAGACCCUUUUGGAAUGAUUUCCAGAAGUGAGAGGUAAAUUGGGUACCUCUAUCUGAUAUGAUGGAUACUGGGACUCCAUGUAACCUAACCAACUCCUUGAUAUAGAGUUUGGCGUAUUCCUUGGCUGAAUAGGAGGUAUAAACUAGCAAUAAGUGAACUGAUUUGGUCAUCCUGUCUAUGAUAACCCAAAUCAAAUCAUGCUGACGAUGAGUAUGAGGCAAACCUAUCACAAAGUUCAUGUUGACUUCUUCCCAUUUCCAUGUGGGAAUACUAAACUCCUGUAUGGACCCACUAGGUUUCUGGUGCUCAAUCUUAACCUGCUGACAUAUAGAGCACUUAGCUACAAACUCUACAAUAUCUCUCUUCAUCCCACUCCACCAAUAUAUUUCCCACAAAUCAUCUUAGUGGCCCCUGGAUAAAUAGAUUAACAAUCACCAUGCACUUUUGCAAGAAUUUGUUGCCUCAAGUUGUAGCACCCUUUACUUUUCCUAGUUUAAUUUAGCAUUGAGAAUGUCAAGCAUUGGAUUCAAGAGAGAAUGAACUUUCAUACAUAUAUAAUUUUCCAGAUUUAGACCCUCUAAUGUGUAGAAAAUUGAAUUAGCUUUCCAAUGAUAUAAGAUUCGCCUUAAUCCGAUAACCGGACAAGAAGUUAUGUCAAUUUUAAUUUCUAGUCAUAAAAUGCCAUCAUUUCAGUCACUAGCGCAUCGUAGAGAUAGUUUAAAUAAUAAUUGUCAAUUUCCAGUAAGACUACGUGAUUGUAUCACAUCAUGGAGAGGUCCAAAAUCCCAGUUGUUAAUUUCUAGUAAGAUUUUACGAUUCCACCGCGUCGCGGUGAUGUCCCAUUUCAAAAUUGUCACUUUCUAGUGAGCCUCUGUGAUAAUGGCACAUCGUGGAGGUGGCCAAAAUGGAAAUUUAGAAGUGUAUCAUGAUAGCUCCACAUCAUGGUGAUUUUUUAGGUCCCAGUUGGCAGUUUCCAGUAGUCCACUACGAUAACGGAGCGGCGCACCAUAGGCCAAUUUUGGGAAUUUUCCCAGUCUGAGUAAAAUUUUGGAAGGGACUCUUUGGUCCUUUUCUCUAGCCCCAAGUCAUGAAUAACAGAUCAUUUAACCCAUCCUACGCAUAUUAUACCCACUUUUCACCAAAAUACUCUUUAAAAAACCAUAGAUCAUCAAAGCUUACUCCCCAAGAAAUCCAAUUCCUCCAUUAAUUCUCCAAGGCAAUUCAAGAUUAAGGAUUUCCAACUCAAGAAUUUCAGAAAAAUUCAAGUUUAAAAGAAUCAAUAAGGAUCCAAUAUUCAAGCCUUAGCAUCUAAUUCAUCAAUUGAGGUAUGUGAGGUUAUGAACAACUACAAUCCUUUUGUCCUUGUUCCCAAAAUUAUAUUUUUCGGCAAAUUUCUUAUUAUUUGAAAUUAGGGUUCAUACCCAAUUAUCAGCAUUUGAAGAUUAUGAAUUUACAAGUGAUUGAAUGUUGAAUUGCAUGACUAUUUUCAUUUAUUUAUGUAUGUAAUGUGAUUUUCCAGAUAUUCCAAUUGAGUUUAAGCAUGAUAUUGUGAUUCUUGAUUUUAUUAUUUUGAUAUUGUUGAAGUAUUUUCAAGAAGCAUAUUGAUCAUGAUGUUUUGCUAUGAAUUUGCAUGAGAUUUAAAGCAUAGGAUUUAAGCCCUGGGAUUGAGUAUUGAUAUUUCAAGAAGAUUAUGAUUUUUAGCCUCUUUGGUUAUUGUCUACCAAAAGUUAAGAAAGAAAUUUGAUCUUUUAAUCCUAACCUAAGAUAAGAAAUCCAUAUUGUUUAUAUAGUUUGAAAUUUAAAGAAACAGAAGCAUAAUUGGUUUUCGUUACAAAGCCUUGUAUUAUUUUAAAGUGGAUUUCCUACAGAAUGAACAUAUAAGUAAGGGAAGUGUGGGAUUAACGUGCCCUAUCUUUCAUAGAACUACGUAGCCAACGUAGGUGUAAAUUCAGAUUAUUUCUAUUUCUAUAUGGAUGAUAGAUAUAGAUGUGAUCACUUAGAUAGGUUAUACUCCCUGGAAAAAGUAUGACUCCUCCCCCCAAAGUGAGGAUUCCUCUUUAGAGGGACAAGAACGGUGGACUCCAUGAAUGCUCACAUGGUUUAUGUCAGUUAGAAGAACCUCCCAUGCAGAAUAAGUUUUCAAAUUUCUAAACCCCUAAGAUAAAGUAUUUUCUCUACAACUUUAAAGUUCUUGAAUUUAAAAUAUAGCUUUUAGAAAAUGACAGAUUUUAGAAACUAAGUAUUUUGACUCACAAGAUUUACACUAUAUGCUUUACUAUUCAUGAUUUAUGAUCUUCAAAUUUCAGAUUACUCAAGCCUGUUUGAGUCAUUUACAUUUCGCAUGCAUGAUUUUGUAACUUAUGAUGCUAUUGAAGUAUUGUUUGGCUUAUUGCAUUCACCCCCAUAUGCUCAGUACAUUCUCAAAGUACUGAUCCACAUAUACGUCUAUGUGCUACAUUGUUUUAUACUAUAGGUUUAGGUUCUUAGUCUCAGUAGCAUGAGUGAUUUUUUAGCAUCUCAUCUGUAUCUCUGCAGUUGGUGAGUCCUCAUAGUUCAGGGACUUAGCUAUUCAGAUUUCCAGUUUAUUAGUAGAUGAUUUAGUAUUCAUUUAAGACUGUUUGAGUUAGCUGGGGCCUGUCCCAGUGACUCUUUAGAUUCAGUUAGUAGAGGCUUGUCGAACUACUAGAUUCAAUUUUAGAUUUUAGUUUCAGUAUUCAAAUUUUUAGUAUUUGCUUUAUCAGACUGAUAAUAUUAUUAUUUUCAGAUAUACUCACAUCAUUCAGAUAGUUUUUUGCAUUUAUUUUGAUCUUACAUUCAUAUUCUCCUAUUUUGAGAUUCAGAUUUAGUAGAAGGCAACCAGGGUUAGCUCAGGAGGACUUAUAGUUCGAAGCACCAUGUGGCAUCCGAAAAAUUAGAUUUUAGGGCGUUACAAACUUGGUAUCAGAGCCUAAGGUUCAGAGAGUCCUAGGGAGUUGACAAGCUGUGUUACGUAAAGUCUUGAUCAUUGGUGUGAAACAAGCCACAUCUAUGAGCAAGAGGCUAUAGAGAAUUUUAGGAAAUAAUUUCUUCUUUCAUGAUCUAUCAUGCAUUCAGUGUCUAUAUCUACUUUGAACUCAUGCUUUCACAUGAUAGAAAAUGCCUUCUCAUCAAGCUAACUCACGUAGAAAUGAUAACCAGCCACCUCAGCCCAUAGAUCCUUUGAAUGAGAAUGUGUCACAUGCUGAGUUUCGAGCUGCCUUUCAGGCGCUAGACCAAGCUGUGACUGCUAAUGUUCAAGGAAACCAUCAGGCUGCAGUCCCACUUCAGCAAAAUAGGGACUUAGCCGCAGUUAGAAUUUAAGAUUUUAUGAGAAUGAACCCGUCGGAAUUCUUUAGGUCAAAGGAAGGUAAGGACCCAUAAUUUUAUCUUGAUGAGGUGAAGAAGAUCACCCAGAUUAUGUAUGUUUCUGAAAAGGAGAGUGUAUAGUUGGCUUCCCAUAGGCUGAAGGAUGUUGAACAUAAUUGGGCAGUGAUAUGGAAGAAAAGUAGAGGGGAGAAUGCAACUCCUAUUUCAUGGCAGGUGUUUUAGGAUGCGUUUCUAUAUAAGUUAUUCCCACAUGAGACAAGAGAAUCCAAGAUAGAAGAGUUUAUGAACCUGAGGUAGAGCUCAAUGAUAGUGAAAGAGUAUUUUCUUAAGUUCAACCAGUUGUCUAAGUAUGCCCCUGGUCAGAUGGUUGACCCUAGGUCAAGCAUGAGUAAGUUUAUGAUCGGUGUGUCUGGGUUGGUAGUUAAGGAGUUUAAGACUGAUAUACUUAUUGGGGACAUAGAUCUUGCUAGGUUGAUGAUUCAUGCCCAACAGAUAGAGGCAGAUAAGUUAAAGGGUAGAGAGUGUGGAAAUAAAAAGGCUAGGAUAGGGCAAUUUAAUUAUGGUCAGAAUAGGUCUGGAGGAGAAAAUCAUUCACAGUUUCAGAAUUGGCCAUCUAUGCUCGUACUUUCUUCAGCUAGUGCUCUUAUACCCAGGAACAGACAGGAGCAGUGGGGUAGGUCAUCUAUGUCCAGAUCUUAAAAUAGUGUGAGUGGGAAGCUCAAUCAUCCCUUAUGUGCUAAGUGUAGUAAGAAUUAUGUGGGUGUAUGUUUGUAGGGUCAGAAAGAUUGUUAUGGUUAUGGCUAAAUGGGUCAUGGGGUUAAAGAGUGCUCACAUGAUAGACAGAGAAAUAGGAAUGUUCAUCCUCACAAUCAGGCUAAUAGUGCACUAGCCCCUCUAGGUCGCCCAGCCCCUCCUCAGGUUGCAUCAUCUAGUAUCGAUAGCGAUCAGUGUCAGAAUAGGUUAUAUGCUUUACCAUUCCACCAAGAGCAGAAAGGUUUGCCAAAUAUUGUUACUGGUAUGCUUCGUGUCUUUCAUCUUGAUGUUUAUGUAUUGCUAGACCCUGGGUCGAGUUUCUCUUCUGUGAACCCAUUAGUUGCAGUAAAUUUUAAGAUAAGUUCUAUAAAUUUUGAGAUAAGUUUUGAAAAGAUCCCUGAGCCUUUCUUGGUUUCUACCCUAGUAGGUGAGUCAGUUGUUGCCAAGAAGAUAUACAGAAAGUGUCCUAUCACUUUCCUUCAUAAAAUCAUGUUAGCAGACCUAAUAGUGUUAGAUAUGGUUGAUUUUGAUCUUAUUCUUGGUAUGCAUUGGCUUCAUUCCUGUUAUGCAGCCAUAGAUUGUCGCACCAGAGUGGUGAAGUUUCAGUUACCAGAUAAGCUAGUCUUUAAAUACAAAAAAAAAAUAUAGUGUCUCCCAAAAACCAUUUCAUAUCUUAUCUUAAAUCCAAAAAGUUAAUCUCCAAAGGGUAUAUCUAGCAUUUUGUUUGAUUCAAAGACACUAAGUUGGAGACUCCAAUAAUUCAGUCAGUGUAGUCAGUGAGUUUCCUAACGUUUCUCUCAAAGAUUUACCAGGGGUACCUCUGAUAGGGAAAUAUAAUUUGGUAUUGACCUUCUCCCACAUACUCGGCCUAUUUGUAUCCCUCCAUAUUGUAUGGCUCCCUCAGAGAUUAAGGAGUUGAAAGAGCAACUUACAGAUCUUUUAGAUAAAGGUUUCAUAAGGCCUUGUGUUUUUCCAUGGGGCGCUCCUAUCCUAUUCGUGUGAAAGAAAAAUAGUUCUUUGUGCAUAUGCAUUGAUUAUCACCAGUUGAAUAAAGUUAUGGUCAAAAACAAAUAUCCUCUCCCAAAUAUUGAUGACUUAUUUGAUCAACUCCAAGGUGCAAGUUAUUUCUCAAAGAUAGACCUUAGAUCCAGCUAUCAUUAGCUUAAAGUAAGGGACUAUGAUAUUCCAAAGACAACUUUCAGAACCCGUUAUGGUCAUUUUGAGUUUCUAGUCAUUCCUUUUGGGCUAACCAAUGCCCCAAUAGCUUUCAUGGACUUGAUGAACAGAGUAUUCAAACAGUAUUUGGACUUGUUUGUCAUAGUCUUUAUCGAUGAUAUACUCGUCUACUCUCAUAGUGAGGAUAAUCAUGCAGACCAUCUUAGAGUUGUGUUGUAAAAUCUUAGAGAUCACCAAUUAUUUGCCAAAUUUAGCAAAUGUAUUAGCUAAGGUUAGUAGCUUUCCUUGGUCAUAUUGUUUCCAGUGAGGGUAUUAGAGUUGAUCCCUAAAAGAUGGAAGCCAUAAGAAAUUAGACUAGACCUAUCUCUCUAUUACACAUUAGGAGUUUCUUGGGUUUAUCUGGCUAUUACAGAUGUUUUGUUGAGGGUUUCUCAUUUAUUGCAUCCCCCAUGUCUAGAUUAACCCAAAGAAAAGUUAAGUUUUUGUGGUCAGAUUCCUGCGAGAAGAGUUUUUAGGAGUUGAAGACUCGACUCACUUUAGCCCCAGUGUUAGCAUUACCUGAUGGAACAAAUGGUUUUAUGGUGUAUUAUGAUGCCUCUAGAGAUGGUUUGGGUUAUGUUCUGAUGUAGAGAGGAAAGGUCAUAGCCUAUGCCUCUAGACAACUUAAACCUCAUGAAAAAAAUUACCCAACCCAUGAUCUUGAAUUAGUUGUUGUUGUGCUUGCUUUGAAAAUCUAGAAACAUUAUUUGUAUGGGGUGCAUGUUGAUGUGUUCACGGAUCACAAAAGUUUACAGUAUGUAUUUACCUAGAGAGAGUUAAAUCUCCGUCAGAGAAGGUGGUUAGAAUUAUUGAAAGAUUAUGACAUAAGUGUGUUGUACCAUCUGGGAAAGGCCAACAUAGUGGCAGACGCCCUUAGUAGAUUUUCUAUGGGCAGUGUAGCUCAUGUGGAGAACUAUAAGAAAGAGUUAGCUAGAGAAGUUAAUCAUUUGGCAAGAUUGGGUGUUAGGUUGGUUGAUUCAGCUGAAGGAUAUGUUUGGGUUCAGAGUAAUUCUAAAUCUUCCCUCAUUUAGGAAGUAAAGGAGAAACAAGACAAGGAUUCUAGUUUGGUCAAACUAAAGGAGUCAGUUAAAGACCAAAAGGUAGAGGUUUUCUCCCAAGGGGGAGAUGGGGUGUUGAGAUACUAGAGUAGAUUAUGUGUUCCAUGUGUUGAUGAUUUGAGAUAGCAAAUUAUGGUGGAAGAGCAUGGUGCACGUUAUUUCAUUCAUAUAGGUGCUACCAAGAUGUACCGCAAUUUUCAGGAAAUCUAUUGGUGGAAUUGUAUGAAGAAGCAUACAACAGAGUUUGUAGCAAAGUGUGCAACUUUUCAACAGUUUAAGGUAGAGCACCAAAGACCUGGUGGUACAUUCCAAGAGUUUGGUAUCACCACUUGGAAGUGGGGAUAGGUGAAUAUGGAUUUUGUGACUGAUUUGCCCCAUUCGCGACAUAAAGAUAAUUCGAUUUGGUUAUUGUAGAUAGAUUGACUAAGUCAACACAUUUCUUACCAAUUCACGUAUCUUAUGAAGCUGAAGAUUAUGCUAAGAUAUACAUCAGAGAGUUAGUCAGACUACAUGGUGUUCCCUUGUCUAUCAUUUCAAAUAGGGGUACUCAAUUCACUUUUUAGUUUUGGAGAGCCUUUCAGAAGGGUCUUGGUACCCAAGUCUAUCUUAGUUCAGCUUUUCACCCUCAAAAAGAUAGUCAAGCAGAGAGGAACAUCCAAACUCUAGAAGAUAUGUUGAGGGCAUAUGCUCUUGAUUUCAAAGGUAGUUGGGAUGAGCAUUUGCCAUUGAUUGAGUUCACUUAUAAUAACAGUUACCAUUCUAGCAUAUAGAUGGCCCUGUUUAAGGCUCUUUAUGAAAGGAGAUGUAGAUCACUCAUAGGUUGGUUUGAAGUGGGUGAGGCUGCUUUUCUUGGGCCUGACGUAGUGUUUGAGGCUAUGGAGAAGGUUCAGUUGAUUAGAGAAAGAUUGAAAAUAGCCCAGAGUCAUCAGUAAUCAUAUGCAGAUAUGAGAAGAAGGGACCUCAAGUUUGAGGUUGGUGAUUUAGUGUAUCUGAAGAUUUCACCCAUGAAAGGGGUGAAGAGAUUUGGCAAAAAGGGGAAUCUUAGUCCUCGGUAUAUUUUCCCUUACAGAAUUGUGAGUCAUGUUGGGAAAGUAGCUUAUGAGCUUGAUUAGCUCGCAGACUUGUCUUUCGUUCAUCCUAUAUUCCACAUCUCUAUGCUUAAGAAGUGCAUCGGUGACUCCACUGUUGUAGUUCCUUUAGAAAGCUUAGAUAUUCAGAACAUCCUUUCAUACAAAGAGAUUCUAGUUGAGAUUUUAUAUCAUCAGGUCCGUAGACUAAGGAACAAAGAAGUUCCCUUGGUCAAAGUUCUUUGGUCGAAUCAGUCUGUUGAGGGCGCCACUUGGGAAGCAGAAGCAAAUAUGCGAGUCAAGUAUCCUCGCCUCUUCCGUACAAAUUUAGAUUUAUUCAAAGGUAAUACUUCUCCUUAAUUCAGUAUCUUUCCAGUUUCAGAUUCAGUUAUAUUGUCAUCCUCAUUGAAAAUUCAUGCACUUACAUAUUAGCUCAGAAGCUCAGUAUAAUUUAGAAUCAGUUGCGCAAUUUGUUUUAGUUGUGCAUGCUAUCAUAUAGCCUUAGGUUCCUCAGUUUCCUAGGUAAAACCAGCCAAAUUCGAGUAUGAAUGUUUCCAAGAGGGAGAUAUUGUAACACCCCGUACUUUUACUAGUUCAAUUUAGCAUUGAGAAUGUCAAGCAUUGGAUUAAAGAGAGAAUGACUUUUCAUACAUAUAGAAUUUUCUAGAUUUAGACCCUCCAAUGUGUAUAAAAUUGAAUUAGCUUUCCAACAAUAUAAGAUUAGCCUUAAUCCGAUAACCAGACAAGAAGUUAUGGCAAUUUUAAGUUCUACUCAUAAAACACCAUCAUUUCGGUCACUAGCGCGUUGCGGAGACAGUUUAAAUGACAAUUGGCAAUUUACAGUAAUACUCCAUGAUUGUACCACAUCGUGGAGAGGUUCAAAAUUGUAAGGCUCCGUAAAAGACUAAGCUUGAUUUAGUCUUGUAAAAGCUAGUAAGGGGUCCCAGACUGAGAAAAAAUUCAGCUAAGUAUUCAUACUUAGAGUUAUUUUAGCCUUUGUAAGUUGAAAGUCUUUUUUCACGACCCUUAUGACCUUUAAAUAUUGAUUUUUAGGUUAAUUCAUGAUCAGGAAUGUCAUUAGGUAUUCUUGGACAAGUUUUGUAUUUUUUGGACUUCGUUUGGAUCAUAUUUGAAAGCCCAAACCAAUGGAUCGAUGCGAUCUCGAUGCGCCGCGUCGCUCAUCACGUCGAUGAAUAUUUUCCUCCAGCUGCCAGAGCAAAUUCUAGUGAACUGUUAUGGACUUGACGCGGCGUAUUAGCCAUCACAUUGGUACCAAUGACGCAGCAUGCCGAUUUGUGCAUCACUGGGUACGUUUUUUAGUAAUUAAAACAACAUCCAGAGAGGUAUUUGGGAUAUUUUCCUAUUUUGAAUUAUCCCCUAAAACACGAAAUUUGGCCCUCACAAAGAAAAUUACACUCUUUUCUCUCAAAAUCAUUCAACAAGAAACCCUAGGGCUAUCAACCCAAGAUUCAAAUCCUAAAGACUGCUGAUGUUGGGCGUAUUUAUACGUCUAAGCACCAUAACUUACCCAUGUUUUAGCUAAGUUUUGAGGAUAAAAUACAUAAUUCUUGUACUUUGUCUAUUUUUAGUUAAAUGAGCUGACCUAUGUGAUUAGCAUGCUUUUCAGGUACUAAUGAGGAAGAUUACGACACUUUCGGGACCUGUGGAUAGCAAAGGAAACUUCACAUAAAAGGAAAGCAGCUUUUGGACUGAAUGUGAUAUAUGGGAACUUUUUCCCGGGCAAACUCAAUAUUUUUAAAUAGUUAAGGAUGCAGUAGAAAUUUAUUAGAGAAGGAUGUUAUUAAAAGCCUUAUGGCUGAAUUUUUAGGGAUUAUUGAUUAUUCUGUAUUAUUUCAAAAAGAAGAGAAAGCGGCUUAGCUUGAGGAGAAAGAGAGAGAAAUAUUUUUCUCUCUUAUGUUCACUAUUCAUCUUCUCCACCAAGAUCGUUCUAAGUUGUGGUAUGAUGAAUAUUUCUAUUGUGAUUUUCAUUUUAUUCAUGAGUAGCUAACUUUAUUUGUUAGGGUUAUGGAAACCUUGUAGUCUACUCUCUAUUGCUAUGGGUUUUUGAAUUUAUGAUGUGUUAAUUCACUUAUAUCCUUACUCUCUUCGUUAUGAUUGAAUUCUCGUGGUUGCAAACAUAGGGAAUGUGCCAUCAUAGCAAUAACUUGUUGGAUAGAAAAGUUACUGUUUAGAAAAGAGAGUAGUGACAAGAAAAUAGGGUUUCCAACCUCUAUUUUACACGUUAAUGCCUUAGCAGGAUUAACUNNNNNNNNNNNNNNNNNNNNNNGAUUUAGAAUUAGAAUACAUCUCUCUAUAAGUGCAUGCAUGUAUAAAUCCUUAUUACUCAUAGUUAAUAGAGAAGUAAAAGCUACAAGGUGGACAUAACCCUAACUUGUCAUUCUCUAUGAUCAAAUAUUAAUACACAUAUUGCUUCAUUGUUAUAUUGUAACUAUCAUUUCAAAUUUAAACCAAAACUCCCCAUUCAGGAACCUCUGACCAAUAGUCUAGUAACAACUACAACACUUAGUAACACAAUAUUCCCUAUAGGAUUCGACACCCAACCUGGUUGGGUUCUAUAUUUGAUAGUGACCGCUUACUCUCUCAUAAGAGAGGUGUAAUUUGGGCAUAUCAAUUGCACCUCCAAUCUUCAAGAAUUCAGGCAUUGAGGUAUGUGAAGUGUUUAUCCAAGGAUCCCUUCCACCCUUGGAGUUCAAGAAUCUAUUUUUAAAACCUCAAGUGUAUUGAUUACAUGAAUUUCAUGUUAGGUGUGAUUAUAUUCAUGAUUAUAAUAAUUAAGUGGGUUUCUAAUCCAUGUUUUGUUACAAGUUUCAUGUGGAGUUAUUUGAUAUAUGUAUAGAAUCAUAUGAAUCCAUACUAAACUCUUGAAAUUAUAAAUGGGAAUUUGAAUUAAGGUGACUAUAUAUGGUUAGUGUCAUGUGCAUGGAUUAUGUUCUCCAAGUGUUUGAUAAAUUGCUCAUGUGAACAAAGAAAAAAUCAUGUCAUGAUCAAGUGCAUAUAGUUACGCCUUUUAAAUUUAUGCUAUGAUUUAACUUUCAUGCUAUCGAGUCCUGGGGGUAUUUAAUACCCAAAAAUCUAGUUGUUUACCUAGAGCUAUAGUAGCUACAAAAUAGACUCAGUAGUAUCAUGAUCAGUAGUUUAGUAAUCAGUUCAGAACCCAGUAAAGUUCAGUCAGUUAACAGAAUUUAGUAGUAUUCCAUUAGUUAGUAGAAUCCAGAGAACUCAGUUCAAUUCAGUCAGAUAGUAUGAAUCAGUAAUAGAUCAGUCCAUCCUAGCACAAUUUAGAAUUCAGUCCAGUGUCGAUUCAAUUGGGAAUAGGAUUCAACACUGAGUGAACCCAAGGAUGGGGAAUCACCUGUUAGCAGAGGGUGUGAUCCUUAGAAGCAUUCCUUGUGUUCCAAAACUAUAUACCAGCGUAGGUUGAGACAUCAACCUUCCAGUUGAGGGUUGAUGAGGUGUCCUACCUGCCAGUUGAGGGUAUCGCCAUUCUCGUUCAGAGCAUCUUCCAGAUGAGGGUGACUCAGAUUGUCUUUACCCGUGGCAUGGUAUUAACACCCUUCCAAUUGGGGUUAUAGGUUGGACCUCAAUCUAUUCAGAAAGGGGCAUAUCGGUCAGAUGAUUAUCUCCCACAGUCUCAAUUUCAGUCUUCAGAAUAGAACUCAGUUCAGUUCUACAGAAAUCUGGACUGUCAGACGCAGUCACUUAGUUUAGUACAAAACUCAGAAUAGUUCCAUAUAAUUAGGAUAGUCAGAUACAGUCACUCAAUUAACAAUAAUACAGUAUCAGUAAACUCAGAUAUCAGUAAACUCAGAUAUUAGUAAACCAGUGAUUUUGAAUAAGUAUCCAGUGUUACCAUGACGUUAGUUCCAGUUUACAUAUUUCAUGCAUGUACUAUCAUGCAGUUAUACUCAUGUUAUUCAGUCAGUAUUGUUCCUGCAUAUGAACCCAUGCAUCUCAUCCUACCUCACUUAGCAUACCAGUAUAUUCAAAGUACUGACGCAUACCUUUCUUUUGUGCUAUGAUGUCUUAUACAUAAGUUCAGAUGGACGGGCUCCCGAUCAUACUUAGCAGCCCGAUCCAUCAGCAACAAACUAGUGGUGAGUCCUCAUUGUUCGAGGAUGGAUUUAUUAUUCCAGUAUUUCAAUACUAAGUUUAUUUCAGUAGUCGGAGUUAGUUGGGGACUUAUCCCAUCAACUCUUUUUUCAGACUGUAUUGGCUUUUCAGACUAGAGUAUUUAUAGACAGAUGUUUAGUUUUGGUAUUAAUGUACCGUACUCAAUAUUUGUUUACAGUUUUGAACCUUAUGGAAAGUUUCCACAUAAUUCCGCAUAAUACAAUAUUAUUAUUCAAUUAUUAUAGAAGGUACCAAUCAUGGGUUAGCUUGUGGUCCCUCGGGAUUACGAGCAUCAUGUAGCAUCCGAGGUACAAACUACGGGCAUUAAAAAAUCCUAAUUGUCAAUUUCCAGUAAGAUUUUGCGAUUCCACCGCAUUACGGUGAUGUCCCAUUUCACAAUUGUCACUUUCCAGUGAGUCUCCACAAUAAUGGCGCAUCGCGGAGGUGGCCAAAAUGUCAAUUCAGAAGCGUACUGCGAUAGCUCCAUGUCGAAGUGAUUUUCUAUGUACCAGUUGGCAUUUUCCAGUAGGCCAUCGCAAUAAUGGCGCGGCGCAGACUAAUUUUGGGAAUUUUUUCAGUCCGAGUAAAAUUUUAAAAGGGUCUCUUUGGUCUUUUUCUCUGGCCCCAAGUCAUGAAUAACAGAUCAUUUAAUCCAUCCUAAGCAUAUUAUACCUACUUUUCACCGAAAUACUCUUAAACAAAACCCUAGAUCAUCAAAGUUUACUCCCCGAGAAAUCCAAUUCCUCCAUUAAUUCUCCAAGGCAAUUCAAGAUUAAGGAUUCCAACUCAAGAACUUCAGAAAAAUUCAACUUUAAAAGCAUCAAUAGGGAUCAAAGAUUCAAGCCUUAGCAUAUAUUUCAUCAAUUGAGGUAUGUGGGGUUAUGAACAAGGACAAUCCUUUCGUUACAAGUGAUUGAAUGUUGAAUUGCAUAACUAUUUUAUAUAUUUAUGCGUGUAAUACAAUUUUCUGAAUUUUUCAAUUGAGUUUAAGCAUGAUAUUGUGGUUGUUGAUUUUAUUAUUUUGAUAUUGUUGAAGUAUUUUCAAGAAGCAUAUUGAUUAUGAUUUUUUGCUAUGAAUUUGCAUGAGAUUUAAAGCAUGGGCUUUAAGCCCUGAGAUUGAGUAUUGAUAUUUCAAGAAGAUUAUGAUUUUUAGCCUCUUUGGUGAUUGUCUACCAAGAGUUAAGAAAGAAAUUUGAUCUUUUGAUCCUAAGCUAAGAUAAGGAAUCCACAUUGUUCAUAAAGUUUGAGAUUUAAAGAAAGAGAAGUAUAAUUGGUUUUCAUUACAAACCUUUGUACUUUUUUAAAGUGGAUUUUCUACAGAAUGAGCAUAUAAGUAAGGGAGUAGUAUUUAGCACCAAGCGGGAAGUGUGGGAUUAGCAUGCCCUAUUUUCGACAGAACUACAUAGCCAACGUAGGUACAAAUUUAGAUUAUUCCCAUUUCUAUAUGGAUGACAGAUACAGAUGUGAUCACUUAGAUAGGUUAUACUCCCUGGAAAGAGUAUGACUCCAUUCUCUAACUGAGGAUUCCUCCUUAGAGGGACAAGAACGUUGGACUUCAUGAGUGCUCACAUGGUUUAUGUCUGUUAGAAGAACCUCCCAUGUAGAAUAAGUUUUUAGAUUUCUAAACCCCUAAGAUAAAGUAUUUUCUCUACAGCUUUAAACUUCUUGAAUUUAAAAUAUAGCUUUUAGAAAAGGACAGAUUUUAGAAACUAAGUGUUGUGACUCACAAGAUUUACAUUAUAUGCUUUACUAUUCAUGAUUUAUGAUCUUCAGAUUUAAGAUUACUCAAGCCUAUGUGAGUCAUUUUCAUUUUGCAUGCAUGAUUUAUAACUUGUGAUACUAUUAAAUUAUUGUUUGACUUAUUGCAUUCACCCCUAUAUGCUUAGUAUAUUCCCAAAGUACUGAUCCACAUAUAUGCCUUUGUGCUACAUUGUUUCAUAAUGUAGGUUCAGGUGCUCAGUCUCAGCAGCGUGAGUGAUUUUUGAGCAUCUCAUCUACAUCUCUACAGUUGGUGAGUCCUCCUAGUUCGGGGGCUUAGCUAUUUAGAUUUCCAGUUUAUUAGUAGAUGAUUCAGUAUUUAUUUCAGACAUUUUAAGUCAGCUGAGACAUGUCCCAGUAACUCUCUAGAUUCAGCCAGUAGAGGUUUGUCAGACUACUAGAUUCAAUUUUAGAUUUUAGUUGUAGUAUUCAGAUUUUUGCAGUAUUUUCUUUAGCAAAUUGAUGAGAUUAGUAUUUUUCAGAUAUACUCAGAUCAUUCAAAUAGUUUUUUGCAUUUAUUUUGAUCUUACAUCCAUAUUUCCCCAUUUUGAGAUUCAGAUUUAGUAGAAGGCAGCCAGGGUUAGCUCAGGACUACUUAUAGUUCGAAGCACCAUGUGGCAUUCUAGAAAUCAGAUUUCGGGGCGUUACACAAGUCAUCUAUACCUGGAACACAUAGACGGCCCUGGUAAUGCAACACACCAUCUCUCCCUUCGACGUAAACCUCUACUUUCUAAUCUCUAACUGACUCUUUCAACUUAACUAGGCUGGGAUCUCUAUCCUUCUUUUCCUUUACUUCAGAAACCAAAGAUUAUUCUGAACUAUUUGGCACCCACACACUGCCCUCUGCUAAAUUGACUAAGCAGACACCUAUCGGGCAAGCUGAUGGACUUCCUGAACUAACUUCCUCUUAUCAUUCUCAACAUGGGAACACUACUCAUAGACAACCUAUUGAGAGCAUCUGCCACUACAUUAGCCUUGCCCGGAUAAUACAGAACACUCAUGUCAUAAUCUUUCAACAAUUUAACCACCUUCUCUGAUGCAAAUUCAAAUCUUUCUAUGAAAACACAUACUGUAAGGUUUUUUGGUCUGUGAACACAUCCACAUGCACCCCACACAAGUAAUGCCUUCAAAUCUUUAGGGAAAACAAUACAACUACUAACUCAAUAUCAUGAGUUGGGUAAUUCUUCUCAUGGGGAUUAAGUUGCCUUAAGGCAUAGGCUAUGAUCUUACCUCUCUGCAUGAGAACACAACCCAAACCUACUAUGGAUACAUCACAGUACACAACAAACCCAUCUGAACCACCUAGUAACAUUAGAACUGGGGUUGAGGUGACUUGAGUCUUUAACUCUUGAAAACUCUUCUCACAAGAAUCUGACCACUAAAACUUGACUUUCUUCUAAGUCAAUCUAGACAUGGGGGAUGUAAUAGAAUAAAACCUAGCUAAACCCAAGAAACUCCUAAUAUAUAUCGGAGAAAUGGGUCUAGGCUAGUUUCUCACCAUUUUGGUCUUUUGAGGAUCAACUCUAAUGCCAUCACCAAAAAUAAUAUGACCGAGGAAUACUACUGACCUUAGCCAAAAUUUACACUUACUAAAUUUGGCGAAUAACUAAUGGGCUCUAAGAGUCUGAAGUAUGAUUCUGAGGUGAUCUGCGUGAUCAUUUUUGGUAUGGGAAUAGAAAAGAAUGUCAUCAAUGAAGACUAUAACAAACAUGUCCAAGUACUGCUUGAACACACGAUUCAUUAAGUCCAUGAAGGCUACCAGGGUAUUUGUAAGACCAAAAGACAUGACUAGAAACUCGAAGUGACCAUACCGGGUUCUAAAAGUUAUUUUCAAAAUGUCACAUUCUCUAACUUUGAGCUAAUGAUAGCCUAAUCUGAGGUCUAUCUUUGAAAAUUAACUGGAACCCUAAAGGUUGUCAAAUAAGUCAUUGAUUCUACGAAGUGGGUACUUAUUUUUUAAUGUGGCUUUGUUCAACUGAUGGUAAUCUAUACACAUUUUGAGAGAGCCAUCUUUCUUAAACACGAAUAGGACUGGUGUACCCCACGGGGAAAUGUUGGGUCUGAUGAAUUCCUUAUCUAGGAGAUCUUUUAACUGUUGUUUUAACUCUUUGAUUUCAGCUGGAGCCAUUUUAUAUAGUGGAAUAGAUAUGGGUUGAGUAUCUAGAAGAAGGUCUAUUCCAAAGUCGAUUUUUCUUUCGGGAGGAACUCUGGGAAGAUCUUUGGGAAAUACAUCUAAGAAUUCAUUUACUGCUGAAACUAACUCAAGACUAGAAGUCUCUAAACUAGAGUCUUUGACUCACAUAAGAUAUAGAUACAUCCCUUGGUUAUUAUUUUUCUCGCUCUAAGGUAUGAAAUCAACUGACCUUUAUGCACUGUGGUACUACCCCUCCAUUCAAGGACUGGUUUAUUUAGAAACUGAAAAUAAAUAAUUUUAUUUCUACAAUAAAUUGAGGCAUAGCAGGAAUAGAGCCAAUCUAUGCCAAGAAUGACGUCAAAAUCCACCAUCUCUAGCUCUACAAGGUCUACUGAAGUGACCUUCUGAAAUAUCAUAACCAAAUAGUUCCUUUAUACCCACCGGGCUAUGAUAGAAUUACCCACUGGAGUAGAAACUGAGAAAGGCUCUGCUAGAAUUUUGGGGCUGACUUUGAAGUUAAUGGAUAUAAAAAGAGUUGCAAAAGACAAAGAAGAUCUUGGAUCUUGAAAAGCAUAAACAUGUAAAUGGAAGAUUUGUAAUGUACCAGUGACCACAUCAAGAGAACUUUCUUGAUCUUGUCUGGACUGAAGUGCAUAGAGCUUAUUUGGGCAUUACCCACUGGUGGCACUGGGAGUGGUACCCUGCUAAUUCGGGCAAUCGGACUGAGCUGAAGAACGGUUAUACUAACCCUGAGAACCUUACUGAGGACAAUCUCUGACUCUAUGUCCUGGCUUGCCACACCCGUAAAAAACAUCACUGCCAGCUCUGCAGACAUCCUAAUGGUUUCUACCACAUUUUUAACAAAGAGGAUUUGUUCGAGCACUGCUGACACUACCCUGAGAUUUAGAUCCUGGUGCCCUAUCUUUGUUACCAUUUAUGAACUUAGGGACUGGAGCACUAGUUUAUGACGGAGCUGGGACCGCAGAUUUUGGAUAAAACUGGUAAUAGUUGCUGCCUUCUGACUUUGGUUGAGUAAAAUUGAAGCUACCUAUUCUAGAUCUCUUGUUCUCCCCCUCUCUCUCUUCUUAUUAUUACCCUCUUCUAUCUACUAAGCAUGGACCAUGAGCCUUGAUAUGUCCGUCUCCUUAAUCAACAUCAUAAUUGUGCACUCCCUAACUACACUCUCCGACACCCCAAAUACAAACUUGCUUAUUCUGGACCUAUUGUCUGCUACUACAUGGGAAGCAUACUUGGCCAACUAAUUAAACUUGAGGGAAUACUAUUUCACACUUAUGCUACCUUGCCUGAGAUUGAUGAAAUCUAACACUUUGGUUUCUCUAAGCUCUAAGGGAAAGAAUCUAUCUUGAAAAGCAAUAGCAAACUCCUCCUACUCUAUGGGCUCUGCAUCUAUGCCCCUGUCUACCUUUUACUGCUUAAACCACUAUGAGCCACAUCUUGUAGCUGAUAGGCAGCUAACUCAGCACUCUCACUAGAAUUCACUCCCAUGAUAUCUGUGACUUUCUAAACCUGAUCAAGGAACUCAUGUGGAUCCUCUUCUGACUUAGAUCCUGAUAAUAGGAGAGAAUUCAUUUAGGUGAACUCUCGAAUCCAGGCUGUAGCAGUAUUGGCCACUGGGUUGGCUUGAACAGUAGCUGGCUAUUCAUUCUGAGCUACUAUGAAAUUGGCUAGAGUAGUGAAUACAACUCUGAAUUUUGCAUGAGAGACAUGUUCGUCCAGGGGAUCUACCUGAACGAGCUGAGGUGCUGACUGGUUUCCUACUUUUCUUUUGUUGUUUAUUAUAGAAGGCAUAUUCUGUAAACGAAAGGAAGAAAAGAAUUAUACUGAGAUUUUAACUUGAGCUCAUGAUCACUUGCACGACAUAAAUACUAAAACAAAGGAAACUUUUCCAAAAAAUGCCUCAUAGCCUCUUGUCCAUAAGUAUGGUAUGCUACACACCCAUGCAUAAGACUUUACUAGACGCGGCUUUCAGACUCCCUAGGAAUCUGUUGAACCUUAGGCUCUGAUACCAAGUUUGUAAUGCCCCGAGUCUGCACCCUGGACCCCACACGGUGCUUAUAAUCCCGAGGAACCACAAGCUAACCCAUGAGCUGGUACCUGCUAUGAACAUUAAAUAAUAAUGCUGAAAUAAUAUAGAAUAUAGGUUGGAAUGCCAUAAGGUUCACAAUUUGAAUACUGAAAAAUAAUAAUAUCUGAUAAAACAUCUGAAUCUAAAAUAUUGUCUAACUAGUCUAGUUUGAGUAGCCUCUAACUGAACUUUCUGAAUAUGGAGUUAAUGGGAUAGGCCCCCAACUAAAUCCAACUAAUGAAAUACUAAACCUAUUGUAAUACUAUAAUAAAACAUAUCCUUGAUAGAUGAGGACUUGCUACUUAAUCUGGGACUACUGACUGAAUUUGUCUAAGUGCAGUCAGGAACCUAAGCGUCUGAACCUAUGAUAUGAGAUAUCAUAGUGCAAAGAAAGAGUAUGCAUCAGUACAUGAAAUAUAUUGGUAUGCUAGAUGAGGUAAGGCUGAAUGUAAGGAUUCAUAUGCAUGAAUAAUAACUAACUGAAUGAUAUAGAGGAACUGAAUAUGAGGAUACAUGGAUAUUUGAAAUUGCUCUAAUUACUGAGUAUGCAAUAUUGUGCAUUUAUGUAUGUAUAUCUGUAUCUGAGCUUUUUCUGAAAUUGAGUACUAAUUUUUGAUAACUAAAUAACUGAUAACUAGGUUACUGGUACUGAUUGACUAUAUCUGACAGUCCUAAUUCUGUUGAACUGAACUGAGUACUCUACUGAGACAGAAACUGAAACUAGGGAAAGUAAUCAUCUAAUUGGUAUGCCCCUUUUCUGAAUAAAUUUGGGGUCCAACCUGUAACCCCAUCUAGAAGGGUGUCAGUACCGUGCCAUAGGUAAAGACAAUCUAAAAAGUUACCCUCAUCUGGCAGGUACUCUAAUGAGAAUGGUGGAACCCUCAACUGGCAGGUUAAAAUACCUCAUCAACCCUCAAUUGGUAGGUUGAUGUCUCAACCUACGCUGGCUAUAUAGUUUUGGAAUGCAAGGACUGCUUCUAAGGAUCACACCUUCUACUGGAAAGUGAGCCCCCAUCCUUGGGUUCACUCGAUUCUGAAUCCUACUCCCAUCUGAAUGACACUGACUAUUAUACUGGACUAAACUGUUACUGAUUGUAUUAACUAACUAAUUUAGAUUGAUACUGAGUUUUUGAGUUCUGUAACUAGAUGAAUACUAUUGAUCAUGAUGUUACUGAAACUAUUCUAUAUCUAUUGUAGCUCUAGGUAAACAACUAAGAUUUUUGGGUAUUAGAUACCCCCAGGACUCAAUAGCAUGAAAAGUAAAGCAUAGCAUGAUCUUGAAAAGCAUAACAGUGUACUUGUUGAUAAUUCAUCCAUAGAGACAUUUUAUCAAACACUUGUAGGGUAUAAACUUGUACAUGAUUGGGACCACAUAAUGACAUGUCAUGAUUUCACUAUUUACUUUACAUAGGCAUUUUAACAAACACUUAGGGGCAUGGAUUAUUUCACAUGAUAAUGACCAACACAUGAAUAUCAUGAAUACAAUACUCAAUUAUAAUUUCAAGGGUUUAGCAUGCAAUUUAUAUAAUUCAUCACAUAAAAUAUUCUAACUUCAUGGAAACUUCUAAUUAAUCAUGAAUUGAAACCUAAUUACUAUCAUGAACAUGAGUACAAUCAAUUUCAAGCAUGGAAAUCAUGAUUCUAUAGACUUGUGGUUUUAGAAAUGGAUUCUUGGACUCUAUGGGUGAAAGGAACCCAUAGAUGAACACCUAAAAUACCUUGGAAUGUUAAUUCUCUAAGGUUCUUGGAGAAAUUCUUGAGUUUGUUCUUCAUUUCUUGGAGCCAGGGUUUUGUCCCUUGAUAGAUAAUGUUUUUAAUUUGGGGAAGAAUGAGUGAAUAAUGAUGUAACUAGGUUAACUAGGGGUAAAUUUCGUGUUAAAGGUUGAUUUGGGUCAUGCAAAAAUAUCCAAUUACCCUUGGAAAAGAUUUAAAAAUCGUCACUAAAAAAAUCCGGAUUUGGCCCCUUGGCGCGACGCGCCGCCAUCGCGCCAUGCUACUGGAAUUCCACUGGAAACUGUUUAAAAAUGACGAUUGGGAAUUUGGCCUGUGGUGCGAUGUGGUACAAUCGUGGAGCCUCACUAGAAUUUGACAAUUCUGAACUGGGACAUUGGCGCGAUGUGCCAUUAUUGUGGAGCUCCACUGGAAACUGACGAACGCCAUUUGGCUGGUCUCCGCGACGCGGUGAAGUGCCAGUUGGCAUACUAUUUUACAAAAAUGGCUCUAAAUUUUCACCUUGGUAUCAAAUUUAGGUGAAAUUUAUAUCGUUGGAAAGCUGACUGAAUUUUCUAUGAAUUGGUAAGCUCUACUUAAAAAUAAUGAGUAUUUAAAUUUUUUUACAUAGGAUUAGUCAUGUGCUGAGAGCUAAAAUGAGCUAAGAAAAUAUGGGGUAUUAUACUUAGCAUACCAGUACAUUCAAAGUAUUGGCGCAUUCUCUUAUAUUGCACUAUGAUGUCUUAUAUCAUAGGUUCGGAUGCUCAGGUUCCUAAUCGCGCUUAGCCAGAUUGAGUUAUCAGAAGAAGAUUCAGUAGUGAGUCCUUAUCCAUUAAGGUUAUUAUUAAUUUCAGUAUUACAGUAGAUUCAGUAUGUUAUUCGUCGAAGUUUUUUGGGGGAUUGUCCCAUCAACUCCACAUUCAGAUAGUUCAGCUAGAGGCUUUUCAGACUAGACUAGUUUCAGACAGUAUUCAGUUAUCAGAUGUUUUUAUUAGUUUCUAUAUUUAUCAGUAUGAACCUUAUGUCAUUUCAUCCUAAUUUCCGCAUUAUUUUAGUAUUAUUAUUCAAUCCUCUUAGCGGGUACUAGACAUGGGUUAUCUUGUUGUCCUUCGAGGUCGUAAGUACCGUGUGACAUUCGGGUUCAGACUUGGGGUGUUACAUCUACUAACAACAUUUAUUGAUGUAUAAACUAAUCGAUUAUGUCAAAUAUCAAUAUGAGACUUCAAGGAAAGUAAUGCUUGAGGGGAUGAGGUAGGUCGACCACGCAAGGAUGCACUUGAAUAUAGCUUGUAGAGGCCCGAUCAAGGAUCCUAUCCAGUAGCAAUUUUCGCGUUGCCUGAUCCUUCACAAGACAAGUAUGAGGGUGAAAUUCAAAAAACACAUUAUUAUUGGAAGUGAAUUGAGCAACACUUAAUAAACUCUUUGUAAUAUCGGGAACAUGAAGGAUAUUACGCAAUUGUAAAAGACGACAAGGGGUGGAAAAACUAGGAUUACCAAUAUGUUUAUUAUUUAAACCUGCACCAUUGUCGAUAUGAAUUUAUUCAUUUCCAUUGUACUCUUCUAUGAUAUGCAUAUUAUUUAAAUCAUUAGUGAGAUGAUUUAUUUCUCCGGAGUUUGAAUACCAAGAUGGAUUGAUGACAGUAGAAGGUUGAGCCACCAUCACAGCCAUUUGUUGCUUAGCAUUAGAUUGAUACACAUGAUCAAACCUAUGUUAACAUGUUAUGGUCGUGUGUCCACACUUGUUACAAACUAGCAUUGAGAAACAUUGGAAAAAGGAUGUGAGUAAUUUUUAUUGUUAUUUUGUGAACUUCAACCUCUUCUACAACCGUAUUUGCCACCAUAGAAUUGAUUUGACGCCUGAUUUAUUUUGAAAAAUGUAUCAUUCUUGUUGGUGUUUUUUACCAUGAGAUUAGCCUGGCCUAAACCUUGUUCAACAACAGUAGCCUGCUCAAGCCAGUAGCUUAACAAUAAUCCUUGAAGAUCAGCAAGCGAAUUGGGAUCAACCCUUAAAGUAGCAGACAUCACUAAAGCAUCAUAUUCUAGUCCUAGACCCCUGAGAACAUACAAGAGGAGAUCAUCAUUUGAUAAAGGUUAUGAAGUGGGUGCCAAAUUAUCGGCAAAACUUUUUAUCUUUUGCGCAAAUAUUCAACCAUGGAUAAUGCACCUUUCUCGUGGUUUAUAACUGUAGCCUAAGUUGCAUAAGUCUUGCUCGUGAAUGCAAAGAAAACAUUGCCUCCAAUUCCAUCCAAACUUCCCUAGGCGUAAAGCAUCCCACAACCUGUGCAAGCACAUAUUCAAUUAAUGGAGACAAGAUCCAAUUGAGCAGUAACUGAUCUUGUUUCAUACAAGCAAGAUACACUUAAUUUAUUUCAGUUUUCAGAGUACUUGGGUAGGAAUUUUUGUUGAGGUACUUGAGGGGACAUUGAAGCUACCAUGUACAUAUCCUUCGAGGUCAUGGCCGCGUAAUGCAGACAAAAUCAGAGACUUCCAUAGGACAAAGUUAUUCCUGUCUAGUUUGAUCAUGUUGGCCUGAGAUACAUUAGUCGAAAAUGGAGAAAAAUUUCUAGUAGUCAUUUAUGUAGUUAAGCUUGGUUUGAGUCUUGGUUUGGCACUGAUACCAUGAAAGGAUUUAAUCCUUGAAUAUAUUAUUUACAUUUAGAGUAUUACUCCAAGUAGGACUCUAGUAUGUGAGUUUAAGCUAAUCUUAUAUCCACUAGAUAAGGGAAUACAACUGCAAACUAUAUAUUUGAAUUUUAAAAUCAAAGAGGUAUCAUUAUCUAUUUGGCAAUUCCUUUAUCCUUACAUUUGUAUUAGAGACAAUGACUGCCUAGUAUCAGACUACCUAAUAUCUUUAUUAGGCACCAGGAAUAUCUUGGGUCAAAUUGAAGUAUAUACUCAUGAUCAAGAAAAAGGACUAGCCAUGAUUACUGAGGUGAAACUAGAUUGAGUAGUCAGUUUGAUAGGUGAAACUAGAUUGAGUAGUCAGUUUGAUCUUCCAGUGAAUUCCUUGUUCACUUGAGAUAUAAUGAACAAUAUUGGUGCCAUGAUCUAAUGGUAAUUGUUUUGCAAUACAUUGGACGUGGAACCAUGUGGUAGACUAAUAUCUUAAUGAUCUCCUUGAAAUUAAUCACAACCAUGAUUGAGUAAUACCUUGCAGCGCCAAGAAAUGUGGAAAUCAAACUUAAACUUGGAUGGGAGGAUAAUCCCUGAAAAUUAGUGGAAAUUCAUCUGGAACCAACUUUUUGAUAUUAGAAGUACCAGCCAGCCUUUUGGAACAACUUUCUUUGUGGCUUCAACCUGCGCUUUUGCUUUACUUCCCUUUCUCAAAGAUAAAGUCUAAUGGUGUUAAAGGGAGAAAAGUAAGUGCUGAAAUCUCCUUGCCGACAUCCACAUUGUGAUUAUUCUCGAGAAUCUCACUAUCGCUCUCUGAUAGUUAGUUUUCUUUGGGACAUUCAUCGAAUAGAGAGACUGUGAUACUAUCAGCAGUUGUAGCUUCUUCACUGGACAUUUCAAUUGGAGUGCGUGACCGUGUCUCACUGAAUACAAUGGGGAAACAACUACUGAACCUUUCGUCAAAUCAGGGUGUCUUAAUAAAAUUAGUCUAAAGUCAAAUUUUAAUAAAAGGUAUUACAUUUAUAAACAUACAUACAAAAAUACUAUUGCAGUAAUUUAGAUUUGUUGUAUUUAUUCUUGCAUAAUAGUUGUUUUUGGUGUAGUAUUUUUAAAAGACACAUAACCUUUAACUUCACAUAUUAAUAUGAUUAUUAAUAAAAGUAAGGAUUAAUGCUAGUUAAUGAGAUGUUGGCCAUUUGUUUGCAAUGUAUUAACUUGGAUGUUGUUGUUAAAACUUUAUUUAUUAACAUAAAGUUUGAGUUGUUUAGUUCAAAAUUCUAAAUAUUUCUUGUAAAAAAUGAGAUAACUUUUUCUCUCUCUUUUUUUAAUUAUUAUUUUUUAGAUAAUUUUUAAAAUGUAUUUCACAAUCUUCAUUAUUAUUUUUAGUGAAGUUGAAAUCAUAGAGUUUACUAUUAAAAUUUUUUAGGCCUCAAAAUUUUGGAGGUCUAAAGCAAAGUUUUUACUAGUCUUAUCCUUGAGCCACCCCUGCAUCAAACACAUUGAUUUUGCUUUUAAAUUCAUAUUUCUCAUCGUAGCAUUGAGGCAAAGGUGUCAUUAAGCGCCACUGUAACAACCAAAAUAUUUAACACAAACACAAAAUGUACUUAUAAUCACUCUACACAAAUUACAAGUUAGAAUUUGAAUAAGAAAGUAAUAGCCACACAAACUAAGAUGCGAUAACAUAACAAGAAGGGGAUGAUAUACUAAAUAUAAAAUAGAGAUAUAGAGAACACUUUAAUUGUUUCUUUCUAGAUCAAUUAGUAUUUAAUCAAUUGAUAAUUGAGCUUAGAUCCCAAAUAAAGGAAUAAAUUACACAAACUUACAAACCUAAAAGACCUUAUUACCUAAAAUCUCUUACCUUUUAAACAACUACUCAAAAUCCCGAAUUUUAUAUUUUACUUUUGAUACAUAUGAAUAAAAAAACCCACCCUACUUUUACUCCACAAUUAAUGCAUGCAAUCUAUUUUUCUUUGGAGUUUUUCUUUUCAAAUAUUUCAUCCCCUCUAAUCUCUCCCAAGUUAUCAUCAAUUGAUACAACUUUCAUUUCCUUUACUACAACUUCUUCACCAAUUUCAUUGUAUUUUUUUUGUUUCUUUUUAUCAAUUUUUCUUUUAUCAAUUUUGAAUUCUUUUUCAACUAUUAAGUCAGUACCCAUUAAGGAAAAGAGGAGAAAAUAAAAAAUGUGAUAGUGACAUAUACUUUGUAAUAGUGAUUCAUAUUUUUAAUUUAUUUAUAAAUAUUUGAUACAUUUAACAUAUGUUUGACAAAUGUAAAUUAUUUAUUUUGGUGUGAGAUUAAAUUUUUAAUGGUUAGUGAGUAAUUUCACGAAAUAUAUCAUUGUGAUACAUUUGGAACCAGAUGUAUCAUUAUGAUAUAUCUGGAACCAGAUGUAGAAUUUUCACGAUUUGUGCCUAAUUUUACUCCCCGUAAUAAUUAAAAAUUUGUUACUUCCUUAUUUAACUAACCACUAAAUUACAAAUGUAUCACAAUGCAUAUGUAUCAAGGCUAAAAAUAUGAAUAAUAAAUUUAAAAAACCAUAAUCUGAUGUAAUUUAAUAAAUUGUUGGGAUAAAGUGUUAUAACCCUUAAACAUUCUGGAAUUUAUGUAAGUUACCCCAAAUAAAACCCUCUAACAUUUUAGUCAGCCCAAUAGUUCCAAAUGAAUCAACCCAUUCACUGUUUCUACCCCAUAGGCCCAUACAAAGUGGGCUUGGUUCACAAUAUACUAAAAGUAGUUGUUUCAAUUUGUUUGUUCAGUUCAUGAAAUGAAAUGAAUUUUAUUAUAGUUUUUUUUUUCUACCCUUAUUAUUAAAUAAUUAUAUAAAAUAAUAGUUCAUCCAAUAAUACUUAUCUACUAUUGACUUGACACGCAUGUUAAAAAUAAUAAAUAAUAGGAUAAUUUUACUAUAUCAACAUUUGAAAAUACUUAAUUCAAUUCUUUGAGAAACAAUAAACCGAUGAUUUAUGCUAUGAUUAUCUUUGAGUGACAUAGGAGCAUGGUGCAAGUAAAAUUCAUUGAAUUCUACACAAAAUCACAGCAUUGAAAUCACAAGAUCCCAAAUAAAGGAAUGAAUUACACAAAAUCACAAACCUAAGAGACCUUAUUACCCAAAAUCUCUUACCUUUUAAACAAUUUCUCAAAAUCCCGGAUUUUACGUUUUACUUUUGAUACAUAUGAAUAAAAAAACUCACCCUACUUUUACUCCAAAAUUAAUGCAUGCAAUCUAUUUUUCUUUGGAGUUUUUUUUUCCAAAUAUUUCAUCCCCUAUAAUCUCUCCCAAAUUAUCAUCAAUUAAUACAACUUUCAUUUCCUUUACUACAACUUCUUCACCAAUUUCAUUGCUUUUUUUUUAAAAAAAUCUUUUUAUUAACUUUUCUUUUAUCAAUUUUGAAUUCUUUUUCAACUAUUAAGUCAGUACCCAUUAAGGAAAAGGGGAGAAAUUGAAUAAUCUGAUAGUGACAUAUACUUUGUAAUAGUGAUUCAUAUUUUUAAUUUAUUUAUAAAUAUUUGAUACAUUUAACAUAUGUUUGACAAAUGUAAAUUAUUUACUUUGGUGUGAGAUUGAAUUUUUAAUGGUUAGCGAGUAAUUUCAAGAAAUAUAUCAUUGUGAUAAAUCUGGAACCAGAUGUAUCAUUAUGAUAUAUCUGAAACCAGAUAUAUCAUUUUCACGAUUUGUGCCUAAUUUUACUCCCCUUAAUAAUUGAAAAUUAGUUACUUUCUUAUUUAACUAACCACUAAAUUACAAAUGUAUCACAAUGUAUAUGUAUCAAGGCUAAAAAUAUGAAUAAAAAAUUUAAAAAUCUAGAAUAUGAUGUAAUUUAACAAAUUAUUGAGAUAAAGUGCUAUAACCCUUAAACAUUCCGGGGUUUAUGCAAGUUAGCACUACUAAAAUCCUCUAACAUUUUAGUUAGCCCAAUAGUUCCAAUUGAAUUAACCCCAUUCACUGUUUCUACCCCAUAGGUCCGUACAAAGUGAGCUAGGUUCACAACAUAUUAAAAGUAGUUGUUUCAAUUUUUUCGUCCAGUUCAUGAAAUCAAAUGAAUUUUAUUAUAGAUUUUUUUUACCUUUAUUAUUAAAUAACUAUAUAAAAUAAUACUUCCUUCAUACAAUAAUACUUAUCUACUAUUGACUUGACACGUAUGUUAAAAAUAAUAAAUAAUAGGAUAAUUUUACUAUAUCAACCUUUGAAUAUUCUUAAUUCAAUGCUUUGAGAAACAAUAAACCGAUGAUUUAUGUUGUGAUUAUCUUUGAGUGACAUAGGAGCAUGGUGCAAGUAUCUAUUGUAGAAGUCAUCUUUAUUAGAGAGAACUUUACCUGUAACGCCCCGAAAUUUGAGCUCUUGGGAUGUGGUACUCCAAACUACAAGUAGUCCUAAGCUAACCCUGGCUGCUUUCUACUAAGUAUGAAUCUCAAAAUAGGGAAUAUGGGUAUAAAAACAUGCUAAAUGCAGAAGUAUUAUUUGAAACAUACUAUUCUCACAAGUCUUGGUAAAACAAUACUGAAAAUCUGAGUAAUAAAUCAAAAGUCUAAAACUAAAUCUAGUAGUUCGACAAACCUCUACUAACUGAAACUAGAGAGCUACUGGGACAGGCCCCCAGCUGACUUGAUCUAUCCGAAAUAAAUACAGAAACAUCUAUAAAUAACUGAAAAUAUGAAUAGCUAAGUUCCCAAACUAUGAGGAAUCACCAACUGAAGAGAUAUAGAUGAGAUGCUCGAAAAUCACUCACGCUGCUGGGAUUGAGCACCUGAACCUACAUUAUGGAGUCUAACGUCUUAACCUCCUAAGGAAGAAACCUCAGGUUGGGGAAAUGUGUCAUACUCUUGCCAGGGAGUAUAACCUAGUCCAUGUGAUCGAUCACAAGCUAAAUCUGUCACUCAUAUAGAAAUAGGAAUAAUCUAAUAAUCUGUACCUACAUUGGCUACGUAGUUCUGUGGAAGAUAGGGCAUGCUAAUCCCACACUUUCCACUCAGUGUUAAAUACUACUCCCUCAUAAAUCUGUAUGCUCAAACCAUUGGAAAUCCACCUUUUAAAACUAGCAUAUGGGUUUAUAUGAAAAACCAAUUUUUCAUUUAUUGCGUAAAUAUGUAAAUAAAGUUGUACUGAGUUCUGUAAACUGUAAUAAUCUGUAAUAUGGAUUCCAAAGCUAAACCAAUGAUCGAAAUAUCAAAGCUUUACUGAAACUAUAAGAAAUAUUUCUCAUAAGAUGCUUAAAGCACUAUUUUUCUUGAAAUCAAAUUAAUCAAUCUUGGGAUAAUAAUCCAUAGUUCAAUAAUAUUAAGAUAAUGGCUUUAAAUCACAACAUCAUGCUCAAUUCAAUUGAGAAGAUGUAAACAAUAUAUUAAAUCAUGCUUAUGGUUGCUAAAAUCAUAAAAGAGAAUUCUUUAACUCAAAACAAACAUGGAAUUUCAUAAUUCAAUUAUCUCAUACUCAAAAUUCAUCAAUAAGUUACUUUGGGUAUAAACCCUAACGUAAUAUCAUAAGAAAUUUGCUAAAAAUAUAAUUUUGGACAUUACGACGAAAUGAUUGUCCUUGUUCAUAACCUCUCAUACCUUGGAUGAAGAAGCUUGGUUUUGAAGAUUCUAUUUGCAUUAUUGAAGAUGGAUUCUUGGGAUUCUUGGUCUGAAAAUCUUGAAUCUUAAACUUAUUUGAAAAAAGGAGGGUGAAAUCUUGGGAUUCUUAGAGAUGAAUGUUGAAGAUUAGGGUUUCCAGUUGAGAGAAUUUUGAUGAAACUUAGCCUAAUGUGCUUGGAAUAGGCUUUAAUCUUGUGUUUGGGAGGAAUAAGAGUGGGGAAAAUUGAUCCAAUUACCCCUUUGGAUGCGGAUCUUUAAUGACUAAAAAAUACGCCCAGCGAUGCGCAGGACGAUGCUUCGCAUCGAUGGUACUGACGCGAUCUCGAUGCACCGCGUCGAGUUUGCAUUGGUUCACUAGAAUUUGCACUCUGAUGCUAGGGAAAAGGUUGGUCGAUACGAUGGACGAUGUGAUACGUCGAGAUCGUAUUGACUCACUAUUUUCAACAUCCAAACAAUCUUCUAACGAGGUCUAAAAAAUCCAAAACUCGCCCGAGAACACCCAUUGACCUCACUGGUCAUGAAUCAACUCAAAAAUUAACUUUUCGAGGUCGGGAAGGUUGUAAAUAAAAUCAUCAAAGUUUGAAGGCUUUAGGAAGGACUAAGUCCUAACACUUAGCUGAAAUCUUUCUAAGUCUGGGACCUCUUUUGGCAUUCUUUAAAAGACUUAGAUGACCAGGAUUUUGCGGGGUCUUACAAUAUCUCCCCCUUGGGAACAUUUUUCCUCGAAUGUCGCUAGUUAGGCUAAGAAUACUGAGAAAUCUAAGGAUACGUGAUAGCAUGCACGACUGAAAUAAAUUGCCAAACUGACUCUAAAUUAUUAUGAGCUUCUGGGUAAUUCUGUAAGUGCAUGAACUCUCAAUAAGGACAAAUUUAUAGCUGAAUAUAUGAUUAGAAAAGAACUGAAUCAAGAAAGAGUAGUACCUUCGGAUAAAUCUGAGUUUGCAGGGAAGAGGUGAGGGUACAUGGCUCAUAUAUCUGCUUCUGCUUCUCAACUGGCACCUCAACAGACUGAUUCUGCCAAAGAACUUUGACCAAGGAAACUUCUUUGUUCCUUAGUCUACGGAUCUAAUUAUCUAAAAUCUCAACUGGAAUCAAUUCGUAUGAAAGGCUGUUCUGAAUAUCUGAGUUGUCUAAAGGAACUACAAUAGUGGAGUCACCGAUGCACUUCUUAAGCAUCAAGACAUGAAAUACAAGAUGAACAGCUGACAAGUCUGUGGGCAACUCAAUCUCAUAGGCUACUCUCCCAACCCAACUCAGGAUUCUAUAAGGGCUAACAUACCGGGGACUAAGCUUCCCCUUUUUGCCAAAUCUCUUUACCCCUUUCAUGGUUGAGAUCUUCAAAUAUACCAAAUCAUCAACCUCAAACUCGAGGUCCCUUCUUCUCACAUCUGCAUAUGAUUUCUUACGACUCUGGGCUAUUUUCAAUCUUUCUCUAAUCAACAUAACUUUCUCCAUAGCCUCAAACACUGCAUCAGGCCUAAGAAAAGUGGCCUCACCCACUUCAAACAAACCUAUGGGCGAUCUAUACCCCCUCCCAUAAAGAGCCUCAAACGAGGCCAUUUGAAUGCUAGAAUGAUAACUGUUAUUAUAAGCAAACUCAAUCAAUGACAAAUGCUUAUCCGAACUACCCUUGAAAUCAAGAGCACAUGUCCUCAACAUAUCUUGUAGAGUUUGGAUGGUCCUCUCUGCUUGACAUCUGUCUGAGGGUGGAAAGCUGAACUAAGAUGAACCUGGGUACCAAGACCCUUCUGCAAGACUCUCUAAAAUAGAAAAGUAAACUGAGUAUCCCUAUCUGAGAUGAUAGAUAAGGGAACUCUAUGCAGUCUGACUAAUUCUCGAAUAUAUAACUUAGCAUAAUCCUUCGUUGUAUAGGACAUAUGGACUGGCAAAAAGUGCACUUAGUCAAUCUAUCUAUAAUAACACAAACCAAAUCAUGAUGACGAUGUGAUUGGGGUAAAUCAAUCACAAAAUCCAUAUUCACCUCUUCCCACUUCCACAUAGGAAUACUGAACUCUUGCAAUAUACUACCAGGUCUUUGGUGCUCUACCUUAACCUGCUAGCAAUUUGCACCCUUAGCUAUAAAAUCCAUUAUACAUCUCUUCAUACCACUCCAUCAAUAGAUUUCUCGCAAGUCACGGUACAUCUUGGUAGCACCGAGAUGAAUAGAAUAACACACACCAUGCACUUCCGCCAUAAUUCGCAACCUCAAAUCAUCAACACAUGAAACACAUAAUCUACUAUGGUAUCUCAACACGCCAUCUCCCCCUUGGGAGAAAACCUCUAUCUUUUGGUCUUUAACUGACCCCUUCAGUUUGGCAAAACUAGGAUCCAUGUCUUGUUUUUCCUUUACUUGCAAAACUAGGAAAGAUUCGGAACUACUCUGAACCCAAAUGUUACCUUCAGAUGAAUCAACCAACCUAACACCCAAUCAAGCCAAAUGAUGAAAUUCCUGAGCUAACUCUUUCUUACAUUUUCCACAUGAGCAACACUGCCCAUAGACAACCUACUAAGGGCAUUUACCACUACAUUGUCCUUACUCGGACUAUACAACACACUCAUAUCAUAAUCCUUCAGCAACUCUAACCACCUUCUCUAACAAAGAUUCAAUUCCCUCUGGGUAAAUAUAUACUGCAGUUUUUGUGGUCUGUUAACACAUUAACAUACACAUCAUAUAGAUAGUGUCUCCAAACUUUCAAAGCAAAUAUCACAACAGCUAAUUCCAAAUCAUGGGUUGGGUAACUCCUUUCGUGAGGCUUCAACUGUCUAGAGGCAUAGGCUAUGACUUUACCUCUCUAUAUCAACACACAACCUAAACCAACCCUAGAGGCAUCACAAUAAAUAACAAAACUAUCUAUACCAUCAGGUAAUGCUAGGACUAGGGCUGAAGUGAGUCGAGUCUUCAACUCCUGAAAACUCUUCUCGGAAGAAUUUGACCACAUGAACUUAACUUUCUUUUGAGUCAAUCUAGACAUAGGAGAUGCAAUAGACGAGAAACCUUCAAAAAAAUAGUGGUAAUAGCCACCUAGACCCAAGAAACUCCUAAUGUCGGAUGGAGAGAUAGGUCUAGGCCAAUUUCUUACGGCUUUCAUCUUUUGGUAAUCAACUCUAAUGACAUCGGCGGAAAUAAUAUGACUAAGAAAAUCUACUGAUCUUAGCCAAAAUUCACACUUGCUGAAUUUGGCAAACAAUUGAUGAUCUCUAAGAGUUUGCAAGAUAGUUCUAAGAUGAUCUACAUGGUCAUCCUUGCUACGGAGUAUACAAGGAUAUCAUUUAUGAAUACUAUGACAAACAUGUUUGGAUACUAUUUGAACACUUGAUUCAUUAGGUCCAUGAAAGCUGUUGAAGCAUUGGUUAGUCAAAAGGACAUGACUAGGAAUUCAAAAAGACCAUAAUGGGUCCUGAAAGAUAUCUUUGGAAUAUCACACUCCCUUACUUUAAGUUGAUGGUAGCCAGAUCUAAGGUCUAUCUUUGAGAAAUAACUGGCAUCUUAUAAUUGAUCAAACAAGUCAUCAAUUCUAGGAAGGAGGUACUUAUUUUUUACUGCGACCUUAUUUAGCUGACGAUAGUCAAUGCACAUUUGCAAAGAACCAUCUUUCUUUCACACGAGCAGGACGGGAGUGCCCUAUAGAGAAACACUAGGCCUUAUGAAACCUUUAUCUAGAAGAUCUAUGAGUUUCUCUUUCACCUCCUUAAGAUCUGUGAGAGCCAUACGAUAUGGAGGGAUAGAAAUAGGUUGAGUAUUGGGAAGAAGGUCAAUCUCAAAUUCUAUCUCUCUAUCGGGAGGUACCACUAGGAGAUCUUCUGGAAAAACAUCUGGAAACUCAUUAACUAUUCUGACUGGAUGAAAUGGUAGAGUCUCAGGCGUAGUGUUUUUAACUCGAACCAGAUGAUAAAUACAACCUUUGGAAAUUAACUUUUUGGCUUUAAGAUAAGAUAUGAAAUGACUUUUGGGGGACACUGAAUUUCUCGACCACUCAAAGGCUGGCCCAUUUGGAAAUUGAAACUUGACUAUACGUGUUCGACAAUCUAUAGAUGCAUAACAGGAAUGAAUCCAAUCCAUACCAAGAAUAAGAUCAAAAUUAACCAUAUCUAACCCUAUCAGGUCUGCUAACAUGACCUUAUAAAGGACAGUGAUAAGACAUUUUUUAUAGACUCAUUUAGAAACAACUAACUCCCCUACUAGAGUAGAAACCAAGAAAGGCUCAGGGAUCUUUUCAGAAUUUAUCUCAAAAUUUACUGCAACUAAUGGGGUUACAUAAGAGAAACUCGACCCAGAGUCCAACAACACAUACAUAUCAAAAUGAAAGAAACAAAGCAUACCAAUAACAAUAUCUGGUGAAUCUUCCUACUCCUGGCAGGAUGGUAAAGCAUAGAAUUAAUUCUGGCAUUGGCCGCCACCAGUACUGGAUGAUGCACCCUGAGAAGGGGCUGGGCGACCUAGAGAAGCUGCUACACUAGAAGUCUGAGUCUGGGGACGAUCAUUUCUAUUUCUCUACCUAGCAUGCGGGUACUUUUUGAUUCCAUGGCCCGGCUGGCCACAACCAUAACAACCUCUCCAUCUAUCUAAACACUCACCAGGAUAAUUCUUACCACACCUAGCACACCGAGGAUAGUUAGGCCUACCACUCACAUUGUUCUGAGAUCUGGAUAUAGAAGACUUAACCCACUGUUCCUGCCUAUUUUUGGGUGUGGGAGAACUAGCUGAAGAAGGUGCGGGCAUACACGAACGAUUCUGAAACUGCAAACGAGGUCCUCUUCCAUACCUAUUUUAACCAUAGUCAAUUUGUCCUAUUCUAGCCUUCUUAUUUACUCUCUUCGUUUCCUUCACCUUCUCUGCCUCAAUCUGUUGAGCAUGCACCAUUAACCUAGAAAGAUCCAUGUCUCUAUUAAGCAUAGAAGUCUUACACUCCUUAACCACCAACCCAGAUACACCAUUCACAAACUACUCAUGUUUGACCUAGGGUCAGCCAUUUGAUCAAGGGCAUACUUAUACAACUGGUUGAACUUGAGGCAAUACUCUUUCACUGUCAUACAUCCCUACCUUAGGUUCAUGAACUCUUUUAUCUUAGCUUCCCUCAUCUUAAGUAGGAACAACUUGUCUAAGAAUGCAUCCCAAAAUAUCUGCCAAGUUAUGGGAGCUAUAUUUUCCCCUCUACUCUUUUUCUACAUCACUGCCCAAUCAUAAGCAAUAUAUUUUAGCCUAUAGGAUGCCAAUUCUAUACUCUCCUCUUCAGAAACAUACAUAAUUUGGGUGAUCUUCUUCUUUUUAUCAAUAUAAAGUUAUGGGUCCUCACCUGUCUUUGACCUAAAGAAUUUUGGCGGGUUCAUUCUCAUGAAGUCUCUGAUUCUGGCUACAGCUAAGUCCCCAUCUUGCUAAGGUGGGGCUGCAGCCUGACGGUUACCCUGCAUAUUUGCUGUCACCACUUGGGUUAGCGCCUAAAUGGCAGCCAAAAACUAUGCAUGUGACACAUUCUUAUUCAAAGGAUCUGCUGGCUGAGGUGGUUGGUUAUCGUUUCUGCGAGCUCAAAGAGGAGGCAUUUUUCUAUCACGUGAAAGAAUGAGUUAGAAGCAGAUAAAUACAUUAAAUGCAUGAUAGAUCACAAGGAAGAGAUGAUUUCCUAAAAUGUUCCAUAGCCUCUUACUCAUAGAUAUGGUGCGCUUCACACCGAUGAUCAAGACUCUACGUAAUGUGGCUUGUCUGACUCCCUAAGACUCUUUAAACCUAAGGCUCUGAUACCAAGUUUGUAAUGCCCUAAAAUUUGAGCUCUCGGGAUGCCACACAGUGCUUCAAACUACAAGUAGUCCUGAGCUAACCCUAGCUGCUUUUUACUAAGUCUGAAUCUCAAAAUAGGGAAUAUGGAUAUAAAAACAUGAUAUAUGCGGAAGUCUUAUCUGAAACAUACUAUUCUCACAAGUCUUGGUAAAAUAAUACUAAAAAUCUAAGUACUAAAUCAAAAGUCUAAAACUGAAUCUAGAAGUCCGACAAACCUCUACUAACUGAAACUAGAGAGCCACUAGGAUAGGCCCUCAGUUGAAUUGAUUUGUCUGAAAUGAAUACGAAAACAUCUAUAAAUAAUUGAAAAUAUGAAUAGCUAAGUCCCCAAACUAUGAGGACUCACCAACUGCAGAGAUACAGAUGAGAUGCUACGAAAUUACUCGCGCUGCUGGAACUAAGAACCUAAACCUACAAUAUGAUACAAUGUAGCACAUAGACAUAUAUAUGGAUCAGUACUUUGAGAAUGUACAGAGUAUAUACGGGUUAAUACAAUAAGUAAACAAUAUCAUCACAAUUUAUAAAAUCAUGCAUGCUAAACAUAAAUGACACGCAUAGGCUUGAGUAAUCUGAAAUCUGAAUAUCAUGAAUCAUGAAUAGUAAAGCAUAUAGUAUAAAUCUUGUGAGUCAUAACGCUUAGUUCUAAAAAUUUGUAUUCUGUUCUUAUUCUUAAAUCAUAAUCUGAAAACUUAUUCUACAAGGAAAUUCUUCAAAGCUUUAGAAAUAUACUUUUGACUGUAGGGGAAUAUAUUCUAUCUCAAUGGAAAAUACUUUAGUUUAGGUAGGCUCUCUUAACCAACAUAAACCAUAUGAGCUACAUGGAGUCCAAAGUCUUGACCUCCUAAGAAAGAAACCUCACAUUAGGAGAGGUGCCAUACUCUUACCAAGGAGUAUAACCUAGUCCAUGUGUUUGAUCACAAGCGAAAUCUGUCAUUCAUAUAAAAAUAGGAAUAAUCUGAUAAUUUGUACCUACGUUUACGUAGUUCUGUGGAAGAUAAGGAAAGCUAAUUCUACACUUCUCGUUCAGUGCUAAAUACUACUCCCUCUUAAAUCUGUAUGCUUAAAAUAUUAGAAAUUCACUUGAGUAAAUCUAUAAAUAAAGUUGUUCUGAGUUCUGUAAAUUGUAAUAAUAUGUAAUAUGGAUUCCAAAUCUAAACCAAUGAUCAAAAUAUAAAAGCUUUACUAAAAACUAUAAGAAAUCUUGCUCAUAAAAUACUUAAAGAACCAUUUUUCUUGAAAUCAUAAUAACCAAUCUUGGGAUAAUAAUCCAUACUUCAAUAAUAUCAAGAUAAUAACUUUAAAUCAUAAUAUCAUGCUCAAUACAAUUGAGAAGCUGUAAACAAUAUCUUAAAUCAUGCUUAUGGUAGACAAAAUCAUAAAAGAGCAUUCUUUAACUCAAAACAAACAUGGAAUUUCAUAAUUCAAUUAUCUCAUACACUAAAUUCAUCAAUAAGUUACUUUGGGUAUAAACCCUAAUGUAAAAUCAUAAGAAAUUUGCUAAAAAUAACUUUGGGCACAAGGACGAAAGGAUUGUCCUUGUUCAUAACCCCACAUACCAGAAGCUUGGUUUUGAAGAUUCUAUUCGCAUUCUUGAAGAUGGAUUCUUGGGAUUUUUGGUCUUAAAAUCUUGAAUCUUGAACUUAUUUGGAAAAACAAGGAUGAAAUCUUGGGAUUCUUAGAGAUGAAUGUUGAAGCUAGGGUUUCCAAUUGAGAGAAUUUUGAUGAAACUUAGCCUAAUGUGCUUGGACUAGGCUUUAAACUUGUGUUUGGGCAGAAUAAGAGAAGGGGAAAUUGACACAAUUACCCCUUUGGAUGUGGAUCUUUAAUGACUGAAAAAAAUACGCCCAGCGACGUUCAGGCCGAUGCCCCACGUCGAUGGUACUGAUGCGAUCUCAACGUGCCGCGUUGAGUUCACGUUGGUUCACUGGAAUUUGCACUUUGAUGCUGGGAAAAAGGUUGGUCGAUGCAUCGAGAUCGCAUCGACUCACUGUUUUCAACAUCCAAACGAGCUUCUAACGAGGUCUGAAAAAUCUGAAACUCGCCCGAGAACACCAAUUGACCUCCUUGGUCAUGAAUCAACUCAAAAAUUUACUUUUCGAGGUCGGGAAGGUCAUAAAUAAAAUCCUCAAAGUUUGAAGGCUUUAGGAAGGACUAAGUCCUAACACUUAGCUGAAAUUUUUCUAUGUCUGGGAUCUCUUUUGGCAUGCUUUAAAAGACUUAGAUGACCAGGAUUUUGCGGGGUCUUACAUUACCCUUAUCUAGACUUCUCAAUUUCCAAUGCAAACUUAUACUACCUCCAUUUUAAAAUAGUUGGUCCUUUUGACUUGACACUCUUCUUAAGAAAAUAUUUAUUAGAAAUUUAUUUUUUCAAAUUAGUCUUAUUAAUUAUGCUUUAAAAAUAUAAAUUUGAGUUUACACACAUUGUUUUGUCAUCUAAUGAUAAGAUUAGUAUUUGAAGAACAUAACAAAAUCUCUUGAUGUCAUAAAACAAACAACUAAAUUGAAAUGAAUAUUUUUUGGAAAGAGGGUCACUAAUUUGAAAAGGAGGAAGUAUUUUAUUCGGGCUCUAAUACACUCUGUUUGGAUAGUUAUUCAUGUUGUUUUAUAAUAUAUGAUAUUAUUGUUAUGAAAUAUAAAGUAAGAACAACAAGAAUAAAUAGAGUGAGAAGAGGGAGACUUCUUUAUUUCUCUUGAGGGAUGACAGAUCAUCUUAAUUGAGAAUACAAUGAACAAAAUCCCUCUAUUUAUAGGGAAAAUACUCCUAGUUUCUGACUAAAAGACGGAUACUUCAAAUCAUGAUAGAUAUCAAUUAGAUCUUGAUAGAUCUUAUUAGAUCUUGAUAGACAUUCACAAUAAUGUAAAUAUAUUUAUAAGACUCCUCCUUGAAUGUCUAGAUAGAUAAUGUGUAAAUACAUUUAUAAGACUCCUCCUUGAAUGUCUAGAUAGAUAAUGUGCCUCCCUAAAACCUUACUAAAAAACCCAGUGGGGAAAAAAUUUAGUGAAGAAAAAAGAGUACACAUCUCUAAAAAGAUGCAUAUAAACUGCCUCAUUAAAAAAUUUACAAGGAAAAUCCAGUGGGAUAAAAUCUUGUAAGGAAAAAAGAGUACAAAGCGUAUUAACUCUCCCUAAUGAGAACAUCCUUGAACCUUUGCAUCCCAAUCUUGUGCUCCAUCUUCUUGAAAGUUGCAAUUGAAGGAGACUUGGUGACUAAAUCAGCCACAUUGUCACUUGAACAAAUCUGUUGCACGUUAAUAUCACCAUUCCUUUGUAACUCAUGUAUGUAAAAAAACUUUGAUGAAGUGUGCUUCAUUCUAUCUCCUUUUUUGAAUUCUCCAUUAAGAUAUGCUAUGCAUGUUGUAUUAUCUCUAGCUAACAAAUUGACUAAAAAGGCUAUAUCUGGCCUUGUAUUAUUUGCAAGAUACAUUAGUGUUGUGCACCAAAUUCACUAAGAUAUGAUACUUCGUAUUUCUCAUUUCAGUAAAUAAUCUAUUGCUUUUGAAAACUAUCCAAGAGUUUCAAUAAUUUUCAAGCUAUAAUCUUAUACAAUAUAAGAAUUUUAAAUAAGUUUCCCAGAAACUUUUAUAAGCUUCAAACAUUUUGAAUCCUUAAAAUUUUUCAUAUAAAUUUUGUCAAGUGACAAUAUUCAACAUUUCAUGUGUGACAUCUUCAAGUUUUGGACUGCAAAUUAAAUAAGGUUUUAUACUUACCAAGAUGCAUCCUUUCAUGUCACUUGAUAAAUAUUUCUACAUCAGCAUGCUCAAAUAAACAUAGAAUUUGGAUCAUCGUAAUCUUUCACAAUACUGCGCCAAUAUUGUCUCAAAGAUAUUAUUGAUGAUAUAUCAUUUUAUAUAGGUUCACAAUGUGACAUAACAUUUUGAUAUCUCAUCACUUCAUUAUUUUUAGGUCCCUAAACCUCUCGUAAGGUUUCAUGAAGUGUUAUGUCGUAGGCUCUUCAAGAGCACAUUGCCUUCUUAUUAUGAUUAUUUACUCCUUAUUCGUUUCAAGGAUUAUUUUAUUUGGAACCAAUUAGUCUACCACGCUUUACGUAUGCGUACACUUUGUCCUUUAAGGAUAUAAAAUAGGAGUACUUGCAGCUUAAUAUGAGAUUCUUUCGACAUUUGACUUGAAUUAUCUUUUGAAUGAGGAUCUGAUCAUAAUUCCUAACAUAUUUCAUAGCUGCUUAUAAUCUCAAUUACUAACCUUUAAUUUAUAAUCUCACUUUGUUUGACACUAACCUUUAAUUUAUAAUCUCACUUUGUUUGGCAGAGUCUCGUGCUGAUAACGUGUUAUGAAAUAUAAAGUAAGAAAAACAAGAAUAAAUAGAGAGAGAAGAGGGAGACUUCUUUAUUUCUCUUGAGAAAGGAGAGAUCAUCUUAAUUGAGAAUACAAUGAACAAAAUCUCUCUAUUUAUAGGAAAAAAUACUCCUAGUCUCUUACUAAAGGACGGAUACUUCAAAUCCUGAUAGAUAUCAAUUAGAACUUGAUAGAUCUUAUUAGAUCUUGAUAAACAUUCACACAAUUAUAUUGUAUUAUAUCGUAUUGUUUUAGUGAAUACAAUAUUUGAAUAGAUGUAUUUGUUUUCAUUGUUACAUAAUCGCAUAUAUUAAUAAUUUGAUGGAUAAUCCUACUAAAAAAUUAGAUACGAAAUAGGGCUACUAGAAAUUAAAUUAACAACCUGGGAGGGGAAAAAAACCCUUUAAUGGUAAAUUAGUAAAAAGACUUUUGACAAAUUCUUUAUGGAGGAUUUGACUCCUAAGUUUUUUAAUUCUUUUAUAAAAACCUUUUUGUUAGGAUUACUGCUACUUAAUCUAUUUUAUUAUUAUUACGUAAUAGUAUUAAAAAUCAGUCUCAACGUUCCCAGUACUACAAAUAGUCCAAAGCAGUAAAUGAUAAAAUAAAUUAAGAUAGAAAUAUCUAUAAUCUAUAAUUUAUAAUAUAUAAAAAGUGUGAAGGUAAAGUGAUUUAAACUUUUUUUUUUUUGGUUUCUCAUUCGGUGUCCGAUGUCUGCAUUGGAGCCCCGACUAAUUCGGAUCGCGCAUUGGAGGGCCCAUUAAGGUGACAACUCUCCCAACAGAGUUUUAUCCAUACCCAGAAUAGAACCCUCGACCUCUGGUUAAGGGUUAAGGGUGAAGCAGCCCCAUCCACUGCACCACAACCCAUGUUGGUAAGUGAUUUAAACUUUUUGUCUUUCAUUAAAAGACUCCUCUUUAAACAAAAUUGUCUUUUUACAUUUGUUUAUUAUUUAAUUUUUUGGUUUUAAAUAUUUCUUUUUCAAUAUUUCCUUAAUUACUUGUUAUUAUUUCAUAGAAAUUUGUUGAUUCAAUUUGUAGUUUUUAUUUUCCUAAUAAUUUAACAAUAAUAUGUAGGCUAUUUUGGUAAGAAUUGUACUUCAAAUAGAUAAAAGAUUUUUAAGUAAAAAUUGCCUCUUUAAAAUUAUAUUCAAAAGGUAAUAUAUAUUAGGUUAAUUAAUGUAGACUCCUAAUAUAUAUGAAAAGAAGAAUUAGAAAAGGACACUUGACCCAUAUUUUAAUCACAAUUUUAUAAAUAUGGGCAUGAAAUUUCUUACUAUAAAUUAUAUUAUUUUUGAUCCGUGAUCAUGCGGCCAAAUAGAUUAAUCAAUUUUUUUACACUUUGCUUGUAUUCAUGAUCUAUAGUUGCAGCUUUUGGGAUUACUUCUGGAACGAAGGCCAAAUCAGAAAGGCAUUUACUUUAGGGAAUAAUUUUUCUUUAUGAGGACUUAAAGGUACUAUGCUUAACAAUCUAUUGAUUUGGUUUGAUUCUUUUGUUCUAUAUCUUUACUAAGUUUAUGAAAGCAUAUGGAUAAUUAGUUUGACCUUUUUACGUGUCUUCUUUCUAUUUUUGUGGUGGCUCAUGGUAAGUGUUGUGAUUUUAAUUACGAUGAUAGUUCUCAUGAAUUAUAUUUGAUUUGCCUACAAUUUUUUUCAUGAUUUACUUUUCCUUUUCACUCUUUUUCUUUGGUUAGGAUUAAGUCAUGUGAUUAUAAAUAAUCAAAGUUAAUGUAGAUUUGGUAGAAUUGAAAGAUGGUGAAGUAAUUAAUAUUUUUUUUCUGAUUUUUGAAUAAAAUUUACAUUAAUAUUUUAAUUGAUUUACAACUAAUAUGACAUUGAAAACAAGGUUGAGAUGGUUCAGAUAUUUGAAAAAGGAGAUGUGCGGAUAUCUUAAUGUGGAAGUUUGAGAUAUUAAUUAUGAUGAUAUUAGAAGAGAUAGAGAUAGCCAUUUAAAAAAUCAAAAAUCUACCUCUUAUUUUUUUUAUUUAAAUAAAAAAUACUUUCCACAGCAAUUUGCUUUUGUAUAUACAAGAAUAGCCAAUUUGUGCCUACAUAUGUUUCCCAUUUACGAGGUUAAUUGGUGAUAAUCUUCUCAUUCAAUUGCUUAUGAAUUUUUCUUAUUUAUCUACCAAUUUAUUUUUUCUAAAAUUCUAUAAAGGUUGGAUGGUUGUUUUCUUUCUUGAGUGUGAGUUAUGCUUUGAUUAUGCAUCUUGUGCCUUUUGACUAGAGUUGUAUUAGCUAACCUCCACAGUAUCUUCUUUUUUUCAAUGAAGUUUAUCCAAGUUUAUUAAAGAAGGAUAUUUUUUUGUGUGUGUUAAUUGCAAAGUACAAUGAUAGUGAAUAUGUCAUAAAUAAAAUUAAUUUUAAACUGCAAGACUUUAGAAUGUUGUAUAGCAAAAUAAGCUUUAGGCUUUAGCUUCUUCAAAUUACUGAGAGUUUAGUGAUGUUUGAUGCAUUGAUAUAACUUAAUUUAAGAAUUCAAGUAUUGUUAACAACCUUUUUUAUCACACUUCACUUAACAUCAUGGACGUUGGCAAAUAAAUUAUGUGUCAAUAGAGUUGGAUACAUUGUUUGUAAGUACAAACAUUAGAAAAACAAUGCACUGAGUAUUGUUCAAAGGUGUUUUUUAUUAGCUUGAUCAACAAAGUAUUUUUUUUUUUUUUGAAAAAUUAAGUUAAAAAAUUUAGCCCCCUCUUUUUUUUUUUUUGAAAAAAUACUUUUAAAAAUAAUAUGAUUUUAGAAAUUUAGGGAAACAAACUAUUAUUUUUAUUUUGUCUAAAAUAAAUUUCAUAAAUAAGGACUUUAAAAUUAGUUAAAAUUUUACUUUAAAUAAACCAAACAAUUAGUUUCAGAUCAAUUAAACAUACAAUUUGUAAUAAUUUUGAUCCAUCUAAAAUUAUGAAUAAUGAAUAUCUUUAAAAGAUAAAUUAUGGGUAAGAAAUCAAUAUCUAAAAUUUUAAAUCAAUUUAAAUUCGUUAUAAAUAUAAUUUUUGGUUGAAACAUCCAUAUAACUAUAAUGUAUGUCAUGAUUUUCUUCUUUUUGUUGGAUCGAUGUGGAAUGAAAAUGCACCCAUCGUAUUAAUGAGAAAUUGAAUCAUUAUGGAAUGAAAAUGCACCCAACAUAUUAAUGAGAAAUUGAAUCAUUAAAUGCUUAUAAAUUAUAUUUUCCACGAUGUUAUUAUACAUGUAAAAUUUAAUAAGCCAAUGGGUCCCUAGAUCUGUAUUGAUACUCAAGAUUCAAGUUUAACUUUUUGAAAUUAAGGACAACUUUAAAAUUCAUUUGCAAAAAAUAAUUUUCCUAUAGAAAUUAACGAUGCAUUAUAAAAUUAAUUUGAAAAAUAAUUCUCAAUAUGUUUACCAUAAUAAUAAAUAAAGCAUAAUGCCAGGCAUUCUCAAAUAAUGUCAGAUAAAUAUAAUGUUGCAUAUACUAUAGCUUCAAUUGCAGUAUUAUACAUGCCAUUUUUUUUGUAAGCAACCAUUUAUAUUAACAUGACAUACACGUGCAAUGCAUAUACACUAAACUAGUAUAUAUAUACACACACGCUGGGGGGAUGCGGCCCGUGUUAGCACGGGCCCAACGUGAAAAAUAUUUUUAGGUUAAUUAUUGUGAUUUAUAAUACUUUUUCCAUAAUUAUUAAAUAACAUAUGUUAUACAUUCUGUCUCAAUUUAUGUGGUAUUAAUACAAUUUUUGAGAGUUAACUAAAUUUUUUUAUAUUUUUUAAAUACUUUAAAUUAUUAAUUAUUAUUAUUUAUUGUGCUUUUUCUUUAAUCCCAAUUUAUGUGACAAUAAUAAAAUUUAGAGAGUACCAACAUAGGUUGUGGUGUAGUGAUGGGGCUGCUCCACCCUUAACCGGAGAUCGAGGGUUCGACCCUGGACAUGAAGAAAAUUCUGUUGGGAGCGCUACCCCCGAAUGGGGCCCUACCCGGCGUGAAUCCAAAUUAGUUGGGCUCCAAUGCGGUUUCCGGACACCGGAUGGAAAACCAAAAAAAAAUAAAUUAAGAAAGUCAACCAAAAUAUUUUACAUUUUUUUAUUAUUUUAAGUUGUUAGUUGUUAUGAUUUAUAAUAUUUUACGUAAUUCUCAAAUAUAUAAGAGAUUAAAAAGAAAAGUAAAAUAAAACAUAUAUCUAUAAUCUAUAUAUAUAUAUAUAAUAUACUAAAAGUGUGAGGACUCUUAUAAAAGUGAUUUGAACUUUUUGUCCCUCAUUAAAAGUCCUUGCUUUAAACAAAAUUUUCAUUUUAUUUUUUCUCUUUAAUUUAUAAUAUAUUGAAUAUAAGCUAUAAUAAACAAAUAAAAAAUAAAUGAAUUGCCAAAUUUAUGGUAAAAAUUUUAUUUGGUGUUUUAUUGUGUGCAUGACUAUUUUUCAAAAAACUAAAAGAUUGUUUUUGUUUUUAGUUCUUCCAAAAAUGAAAAAAAAAAUAUUGGCUAAAAUAUAUGAAAAUAUAAAAAUCAUACUAUAAUAUUAAUUUGUAUACUUUCUAAUUUAUGAAUUCUAUAUUUUAAUUAAAAAAUCAUUAUAAUUUCACAUUCUCUUCUUCGACUAACUUUUACCACGUCAUUUUUUGUCUCAAUUUUGUGUUUUUCAAUUUCAAGUUUUCUUUGUCAUAAAAUCUCCCUUAUUAUUUAUGCUUUAGAUAUGAAGAUUUAGGAUGUAAAAUAUAAUUUUUUAUAAUUUUGGGUUUAAAUGUAAAUCUAAAAUUUUAUAUACUUUUCUCAUUUAAAUGAAUAUAAUGUUGCAUACUAUAUUGUAACUGCAAUUGCAUAUUAUAUAUUUUAUUUUCUUGUAGAUAAAUUUUUAUAUUGACAUGACAUACGUUCAAAACACGUACACUGGAUUAGUAAAAAAAAUAUCUAAGCAGGCAACAUAAGCAAACAUGUCGAUCUGUUACUUGGUUAUCAUCCUUUAUAAGUGAGAUAAUAAAUCACAAAUAUCAAUUUAAGUGGAACAAUGCUUAGAUGAUUAUAAUUACUAAUUAAGCAUAGUAUAGCAAAAUCAUGAUUGAAGCAGCGAAAGAGACGUGUCUUAAAUGACUUACAACAACUAAUUAGAAGCGAUAUAGCAAAAUUACUAUAAAAAAUAUUUGUGAAAAAAAUUAAGUGAGCCUCAUACACUAAAAAAUCAGUAUUUAGUGACAUGCCAUUUUCGUUGCUAUCAUAUGAAAAUCCAUCGCUAAAUAGAAACAGCGACGGAAUAGCAACAGAUUGGCUUCUACGCUAUAUUGUUCGUUGCUAGCCUCACAGAGACGAAAAUUUGAUCUCCGUCGCAAAAUUUUUGACCCCUUAGCGAUGAAAUAUUUCAGUUGUUGAUGUUACCAAAGUAUUUAUCUGUUUUUAUUCCCAAAAAUCAUUUUCGGCGUGGCUAUAUUUACGACUGAAUAUUUUGUCGUGAUCUGUUACAACAUUAUUUGAUCGACUGAGUAGCCAUCUUUAGCGACUAAAUUUAUCCAUCGCUAAAGUUUUCAGUAGCAACGACUAAAGUUAGCCACUAAUUUUUUGUCACUAAUAGCAGCCACCUUUAGUAACUAAAUCAAUCCAUCCCUAAAAUUUUUUAGUUGCAACGACAAAUGUUAGUCACUAAUUUUUUAUCGCUAGUAAUUUUGCAAGAAAAUAAUUGAAACACGUAAAUUAUAGAAUGAUUAAAAUAACUAAUAUUCAUAUUGAUAGCAAAAUUCACAAUAAUUGUGUCCAACACCCACAAUGUCAAGUAUUUUGUCAAACAUAAACUAAUGUCAAACCAACAUCCAUCAAAAUUAGUAUUUGUUACUACAUAAAUAUUUUGUACUUCCACACAAAAUAGUCUAUCAAAAAUUAAUGCAACGAUCAAGGACUACGAAUACUAUGAAGCUAGGAAUCAACGUCAUCAUCAUCAUCAUUAGUAGGAGGAGGACCAUGAUACCACCAACAUGCUCAAUAACUAUCGAAAGAAAAUGAGUAGUAAGUGCCGAAAUCAAUUGCUUCACAAACUCCUCCAUAUUUGUUGUCGGUAAAGAAACCAAAGGUGGUACUGAUGAUGUGGAGGCAUUGCAGGCACAAAGUUUUUCCCAAAGUAACUGUCAGCUUCAGACCCAAAACCAAAUAAUCUUUUCUUCUUUGCUCCUUCCGCAACUUCAUAAUAUGUUUCCAAUUGAUUGAUUUCAGAUUCACACUAUAAUAUUUUUCGUACAAUUUCUUCAUACUUUUUCUUUAACAAGUGAAGUUAUUAAAAUAGACUCAAGUUUAUGUCAAUACAAAAGAAAAUUAAGAGCUUAGUAUCAUAUCAUUAGAUGUAAGUUAUGGACUUAUAUGUUGAAGUCGGGAAUGCCCACCAACAAAAGAUUUUUCAUCAUGAUUAUGUGUAUGGACGUGCAAAUGUAACUCACUUGGAGUUAGAUCUUGACCUAUUUUAAGAGCCUAUACAGAAUUUUCAGGUAUUUAGAAUUAGACCAACAUACAUAUCAGUAAACCAAAAGAGAAUCAUGACACAACCACCAAGUUUUUUUGCCCCAUUCUAAGUAAGAAAAUUUCACCAAACUUCUUGGCAUAGCAGCAAAACAAAGAGAAAAAAGUAAGAGAAACUUGUAGGAAAUAUAGCAGCAAAACAAAGUGGAAACAAAAAAAGAAACUAGCAUAGCAACAGGCAGCUUGCAGGAAAUAUAGGAGCAUCCAGCUUGCAGGAAAUAUAGCAGCAGCUGCUUGACAUAUACAACAACAACAAAAAGAGGAAAAACUAUUAGCAACAACCAAAAUUUCCAACAAAAAAUAUACAGCAGCAGCAACAAUUUCCAGGUACAUAGCAGCAGACCAGAGCAUCAGAUAUAGCACCAAAAGAAAGAGGAAAAACUAAUCACUAGUACUCAGAAUUGGCAUAUAAUAUGGCAGACUUGUGUUUCAGUAUACACCUAACAGUACUUUUGAGCUAUGGAACAUUGACACUAUUUCUUGUAAUGGUGAUAAUUGUUUAGUGUUCUAAAUGUUUUCUAAGUAGAAAAGUAUCAUUCAAACAAGCAUAUAAAGAGUAUUGGAGCUUAUAUUUCAACUUUUUUGGAGUAUAUUUGUAUUGAUAAACAUGGAAAUUGAAAGAGUUUAAAUUCUUAUUUUAGCAAUCUCCCACAAUCUAACAAGAAUAAGAUGUAAACAUAUCACUUAAUAUCUAUCUUGAAAUAUCAUUACACCCCAAAACACAGAAAAAAAUUAUAUUUAAACCUCUUAUGAUAAUGAGACAAUGAUAUCAAUUCAAAGACAAUGACAAAUAUUUACAUCAAAUUAAGUAAAGAUCAAAGCUUUUACACAACACAACAAUGAUCAGAAAUCAACUCUGAAACUCAUAAAAGUUAUCCAAAAUGAAACACAUAUUCAAACAAGGCCAUAGCAACAUACCACAAUUUUUCAAUAUGAUUGUUCACUAAUCAACAAUUUUCAGAUACAUAGCAACAGACCAGAGCAACACAUAUAGCACCAAAAGAAAGAGGAAAAAGUAGCAUAGUAGUAGCCAAAAGGGCAUAGCAGCAGCCCAAAUAAAAUAGCACCAUGGGAAGCUACUUGCUACGCACUUUAGACACAACCAUAGCUACUAAAAUGAUGAAAACAUGGCUGAAAACUAAUCAACUAUUUUAAGGUACAUAAAUACAGACCAAAGCAUCAUAUAUAGCACCAAAAGAAAGAGAAAAAACUAGCAUAUCAGCAACCAAAAGGGCAUAGCAGCAGCCCAAACAAAAUAGCACCACGACCAGCUUCUUGCUAUGCACUAUAUAGACAUAACCUUAACUACUAAAAUGGCAAAGACAUAACAGGAAACUAAUCAACAAUUUUUAGAAAAUAUAGCAGCAGACCAGAGCAUGACAGGCUAAUUAAGUUGGCAUGUAAACUAAGUUGUCUACCUCUAGCUAUUUACAAUAACCAUCACUGGCAACCUCAACCACUGACUAUCAUAACCAUACACUAAUAUCAACAAAAUUUAUCAUCUCCACCAUCACUAUCAAUCACCACCAAAAAAAUAAUCUCCAUCACAAACUAAUAACGUAAACCACAUAAUCAACAAUCACCAAUACUCAUCAUACUAUUACAAUCAUCAAUACUCAUCAGCAAUUACCAAUACUCAUCAAUGUUGAAAAACUGUUCAUGAAAUAUAUACUUACAAGUUUUUUUCGGUGCUAUCCAACUAUGAUAGAGCAAUCUGUGUGUAUCCCAGCAGCUACUUCCCGUCCACCACAAUGAUUUUUUGAAUUUAUCUCAAACUUAUUAACAUAGUCAUCAUUUGCCAAAGUUCUAUCCACUUUUCCCACACAUGGUCAUUUACAAAUUCUGGUUGAAUUGUAGCUCUAUUCUUCUUUAUAUUGGAAAUGAAAUUCUUGUAGCAUAAUGCAGCCUUCUUCAUCCAUUGUUGCUUCAUCACAACUUCACUAACGAAAGCAUCCCAAUAGAAAUUCUUAUGAAAUACAGUUUAAAGUAAUAUAAUUAAGUGUUAGCUGCAAACUCAAAAAAUUUCUAUCGACUAUGAUCUUAAAAAACAUACCUUGAAUUCUCCAAAAUAACCAUUUUUGACAUCUUUUGAGACACCUUUUCAGUUGAUCCCAUAAGGAUCAACUUCACUUUUGAAAGACAAUGUAAUGAAACUGAAGCAUUUGGAAGACGGUUUCAACCUGUACAAUAUCAAAUCCAACACCAAUAACACUACACAACAUUUGUGUACAAAAAUAGUAAACACAAAAACAACAAACACAUAAGUAGUAGGUACUAACCCUGAAGAAGUUAGAAAAAUAAGUCGGCCAUUGCUACAACUAGAAUCACCUGAAGUAGAUACAUUUCUCUGACUAGAUGUUGCCUCAACUUCUAUGUUGCUUUGAGCAUCCAUAUUCUAGCUUGUUGGGUUGCUUUGGUUAGGUGAAGCAAGAUAUGUCUCAUGAAUGAUCGAUGUACUUCUUUGUCCCAAUGUUUGAUUUGAUAGCGUACUAUUCGGCAGUAGUGUUUGAUCGGUUGGCAUACUACUAGGAAUGGAACUUGUAUCAUCCUGUUCAAUCAUUGGAGUUGGAAUAAAAGCAAUUUUUUCAUGAUUAACAGUCUUAAUCCUACCUGAGGAUUUGCCAGCACGAUAUCCACCUCGAUUCAUAUAUUAGAAAAAAAUAACGGUGUCAUUAGAUCAUUACUAUUAAAAGUCAAAUUAAAAUGAUGUGAUAUGAAAAACUAACAGAUUAUUAAAAGAAAAUCAAAAACUAAGAAAAUGAUAAUAUUUUGGAGAAAAAUUAGUACAAACAAAAUACAACAAAGAUAAAAUAGUAAACUUUUAUCAAGCACUUGUCGCUAUCUAUGUUUCUUACUAAAAACAAAAUACAACAAAGCUAAAAUAGUAGAUUCCUCAGUUUCUUACUAAAAACAAAGCUAAAAUAGCAGAUUUUUCUCAAGCUCUUGUCACUAUCUAUGUCUUCUUCAAACUCUUCCUCUUCAUCAUCCUCCUCAGUUUCCUCAGUUUCAUAUUUUUUUCUGUUGAUCCAUCUUGGAUUUCAUGAUGCUCUUCAAAUAAACCAUCACUAAGAGGUUCAUUCAUUUCAAGUACACCCCUAUUUGGAUCAUGCAAUAGAAUAUCUUUAUCUAUAGAAACAGACAUAUCUAUCUCAUGGACUUCAACUUCUUCAAGUUGAAAAGGAACAUUCAGUUCUGAAGUUGUCACCACUUCCUCAACUGGUAAUUCAAUAACAUUUUGAGGUUUGACCUUCAAUACAGCUAGCCAAUUAUCCUUGUCCUUUUUCUUGCUUGGAUAAGGUAUAUGACAUACUUGAGUUGCUUGCAUUGCAAGAAUAAAAGGCUCAUACUUUUUAUACCGACGACGAUGGUUAAUAUCAACCAAUUUGUACCGAUCAUGCUUCUUAACACUGACAUCCAUUGUUGGGUCAAACCAUUCGCAUUUGAAUAACACAGUUUUCUUUAAAGGUGCUUCACGGUAUUUCACUUGUAUGAUCUCUUUUAUCUGUCCAUAGUAAUCCCCAAAAUUUGGAUCCGAGAUACAAACUCCACUAUUCAUUGUUAAUCUUAUGCUACCAUGACAUUCUGUGUGAAAUUUAUAUCCGUUAACAAAAUAAACUGAAUGGGAUGUUGCUCCUAUUAAUGAUCCACGAGCAAGACUAUGUAAUAUUCAUUUUCAAUGGGAUUGCACCGAGGCUAUUUAAAAAAAAUCAAAGAUUUAGUUAAACAUGAGAAGCCAAUUUAAGUACAUGCAUCAUUAUAUGAAAGUUAAUAUUUAUUUAAAUCUUACAUAUUCCUUGAACCAUAUAGCAAAAUUUUCUUCAAGGCUCUCAUCUAUUUUACUUUGAGAGAGAUUCGGAAAUUCUUCUUUCAAACGUUGCAGGUACAUACUUCAUUGCAACAAAGUAAUUUAAAUAAGAGAAGUCAUGAUAUAAGAAUAGAUUUUAUUAUUAUUAAGAGAAUUUGGUUACCUCACAAAUAGCUCAACCUCCUCACAAUUUAAUAAAAUAUAAGUUUAAGAUGCCUUGAUUUCAUCUAAGGUUAAAUCUCUUUUCUUUGCUUCUCCCCAAAGUCGACCUGGAUGGAAGAAUAUUGAAAGAUUUCCUUUAAGAUCUUCCACAACACCACCAUCGCCAUUACGAUCCACAUUAUGAUUUUGUGACAUGACAUGAGGUUCAAAAUAAUGAGAAAAUAAUUAUGUUGACUCCAUCAUCAAUACGCUUCACAAAUGGAACCCUCAACGCUAGCUUUAUUCUCAAUCAUCUUUUUAAGAGUUCCCAAAUACCUAUAUACAGAAAAAGAUGUAACAUUAUGUUUUCGAAGGUUAUGUAUUAAUUAACCGUCACAAGUUUAACGUAGAGUUUCACAUUUAUCUUACAAAAGGAUACAUCCAUCUAUAUUGCAUAGGUGCAGCAAUCCUUGCUUCAUAUGGAAGGUGUACAGAAAGAUAUUCCAUUGAGUCAAAGAACCCAGGAGGAAAUAUAUGUUUCAACUUGCACAAAAUUUAUGGAAUGUCUCUCUCUAAUCGCACCAUAUCAUCCACUCGUAGAGUGGUCAAAGUAAGAUCCUUAAAAAAUAAGCUCAAUUAUGUAAGUGCCUGCCACACAUUACUAGGAAGUAGAUCAUGAAAAGCAAUAGACAUUAGUUGUUGCAUGAACACAUAACAAUCGUGACUCUUCAUACCAAAUAAUCUUUUCGCAUUUGUGUAUGGCAACCUACCCAAAUUCGAAACAUACCCAUUUGGAAACUUUAAGCCUUUCACCCAAUUAAACAAGAUAGCUCUUGCUUCUUUGUCUAAUGUAUAGAUAGCUUUUGGAUAUUGUCCAUUACUAUCAUUUCCCAAUUGAAGUUGAUCAUAAUACUUUGCCAUAUCUAGACGUGACUGGGAUUGUCUUUGGUUUUGUCAUUAAAAAUAAGAACAGUGUUAAAUACAUUAUCAAAGAAUUUUUCUCAAUAUUCAUCUGUCACGACCCAGACUAACGGACCGUCCGGACACCUACGUUAUUCUAAAUAUCUAGGAGAACCCUUAUUACCCAACUAAAAAUAUGCGAAAGACAUGUUUUUAAGGAAAUACUGGAUUAAAUAUAAUAAAGUAAAUUAAAUACUAAUAAAUAAACUUUUUCAAAAACUUCUUACAAAUGUCCUUCACUAUCCAAAGAUUUAUUCAUACAUGUACACGAGUUAUCUACUACAGCAUAGGCUGACAAUAAAAUAAAUAAUACAAAGACUCUAACAUCUGUCGGGAAGAAAGUGCAGAAGUUAGUGCUGAAUGUCAUCAUCCAUAUAGUAACUACAAACUAACCUGUAUCCAGUCUACACUCUAAGAAGGAAUGUAGAAGAUUAGAGUCAGUACAACCACACGUACUGGUAGGCAUCAUCGGCCGACCGUGUUAGUUCAUAUAAUCAUAAAAUCAUGACAUCUUGAAUGGAAUAUAAUUCAACUAAGGUUGUAAUAAUAUUAUUACUUUACCUAUAUAACUUACAUCAUCCAACUACUCUUCCAACUCUAUCAAUAUUAUAUUCACCACUAACAUACUCUAGCCUCAUUAAUUCGCACAAUCAACUACAAUCCAACUCUAAUACAUCACUAUUCCUUUUUAUUCACCUAAUAUUUUUUAUUACUCAUAUUCACAGGAAAAAAACUCGUAACCAUAGACAACCCACACUAAACUCUUGGGCUAACAACCAAAUUCUCUCUUAUAAUAUUAAAGAAUGAUAACUAGCCAUUCUAGUAAGCUACGAUUUAAAGUACGUAUAAAUGAAGCAAGUCAAUCAACGUAUAAGUAAGUACAAAGUUUCACUUUUUCAAAUACAUAUCAGACAAUCAAAUACCUAAUGAAUCAGCAAUAUAGCAAUAACAGAUCAAAAAGUGCUCACAAACAAGACACAUAACCAUCAAAAGUAUCAACCAUAUUAUAAACAUCCACAGACUACACAAAUAUGUACACAUAUGCUAUGGGAUUUAUUUUUGCCCAAAUAGUCAUGACCUGCAGAGAAUAAUCUAUGUUUAUGUACCGUACCAGUGUGGUACCCAAUCCAACAUAUACAUAUCCAUACCGGCGUGGUGCCCGAUCCAACAUAUACAUAUCCGUACUGGAAUGGUACCCUAUCCAACAUAUACAUAUCUGUACCGGUGUGGUACCCGAUCCAACAUAUACAUAUCCGUACUAGUGUGGUACCCGAUCCAACUUAUACAUAUCUGUACCGGCGUGGUACCCGAUCCAACAUAUAUAUAUUCGUAUCGGUGUGGUAUCCGAUCCAACAUAUACAUCUCUGUACCGGCGUGGUUCCCGAUCCAACAUAUAUAUAUCUGUACCGGCGUGGUAUCUGAUCCAACAUAUACAUAUCCGUACCGGCGGGGUACCCGAUCCAACAUAUUCAUAUUUGUACAGUCGUGGUACUUGAUCCAAUAUAUACAUAUCCGUACCAGCGUGGUACCCAAUUCAACGUAUGCAUAUCCAUACCAGGGUGUUACCUGAUCCAACAUAUACACAUCUGUACCAUUGUGGUACCCGAUCCAACAUAAACAAGUAAUAUCAAUAUCAAAUUUACACUACCUCACAACAUACAACACGAUGUACAAGAUUUACAAGUACACUUUAAGUCAUAAGACAAUUCCAUUGAGUAAAUUUUCAAUAAUCAUUUAUACACGCAUCAACAAUCCAAACAUCAACAAGUCAUUCAUGGCAUUAAACAAGGAGUUUUCAUUAUCAAACAAGCCUCUCAUAGGCACAUUUCAAUAAAUCAUCGUUAUCACCAAUUUAUCCUAUCAUGGACAUCAAAUAGAUAAAGUGCUUUUAUUAAUAACAAAACAAGAAUAUCAUAAAAUAAAUCACAAUGUAACACAUAAGAAUGCAAGUCACUAUUGGAGUAUUACUUACUCAUUAAUUAGUAAAAUCUCACUACCUCUUUUCAUAUAAUACAAUCAUCACACUAAUUCAAGUCAUCUAUCCUUUAAAUAUUACUGUGCUCAUCAGUACUUAAUCCUAGCAUGGUUCUCCUCACCAUAUUAUUUUCCAACAAAUACAACUUAAUAUCAUUAUAACUCAACUAGGUUCAUCACCAGAACAACUAAGAACUAUCAUGUCCAAAUCCUUGAUUCACAACAAUCUCAUUGCAGCACAUAACACAUAAUAUCACAAGUAUCACAUAAUUAAUUAAUAAUAUAGUUUUCGGGAUUAAAAGUUCUCGUGUCUUUAUCUACCUCAACUCCAUGCCCACAGGUCUAAACAUGCUUUCUCCCAUCAAUUCUAAAUUAUAAAAAUAUAAAAUAACUCAAUCUUCUACUCAUUAAACCUAGCCUACCUGGACGCCAAGCUUUGGGAAGAAACAAGCUGCAACAAAGAUGCUCUUUCCUUUCCUUCAUGCCUUGGAAUAAUCAAACAUCUAAAUAUCAAGCAAUUAUAAGAGUAAUAAGUAAUUACUCUUCAAUCAAAUAUCUUGGGGAUUCAAAUCCACUAAUUCUACCCUUCAUUCAAGGUCUAUAUGAUCCCCCAAAAUUCAAUUAAUCAUUAAUUAGCUCUUUCAAGCUUAACCCACCUCAAUUAAUGGAGUUCUUAUAUUAAAAGUCUCAUCUUUACGAAAUUCAAGGUUCCUAACCAUCAAAAUUCAUAAUCUAAUUUAUGAAAUUCAUGUUAGGAAUCUUUAAUUUAUAGUUUAGAAUCAGAUCUAGGUCAUAUUAAAGACACCCCUGAGUAUUCUCCAAAAGAAUUCCACCAUUAAAGGUUUUUCUAAGGAUUCUAAGAUAUUAAAGGAUUAAAAGACGAAGAAAAUAAUGGAAAAACUUACCUCCACGAAGGAAUUUCACCUUAAGCUUUGGAAAAUCACCUCUCUAGGGUUGGAGAAUGAAAUUUGGGAUUAUUAGACCUAAAAUACGGAUGAAGCUGAUUUAAAUACAACCAGAAUUUUGCUACAGCGAAGUCUCGUUUCAGCCCGGACAGUGCUCAGUAAAAUAGUCAUAACUUUUUACUCCAAAUUCGAAUUGAGAAACGGUUUGUUGCGUUGGAAAGACGACUCAAAUAUAUUUUAUUUGACAGGUAAUAGGACCCCUAACUCCUUAUAUUCUAUCAGAUAUGAUUGUUUGAAGUUGACCCUAAUAAAAACCCAUAUCGAAACUGUAUCAAAAAGAAAGUUUUAUACUUAACUUUCUGUUGGGGAUGUUGUACAACCUUAAUUUAUAUCUAAAAAACUUUAAAACUAAAUUAUUGAUAUUAGAACUCAUGAAUAAUUAAAUUCAUCAAGCUUGAGUCUAUCUAGACACAUUCAAAGGCUAAAAUCUUCGCUGAAAAGUUUGAGGUGAUGUAUAAAUAAAAUAUUGGCUAUUUGGACACAAGUUAAUAAUGAGGAAUGAAAAUUAAGAAUUUUCAUGAAUUUAUUACGAAUAAGUUAAUAACAAAGAAAUGGAUCGUUACAAUCAGAUACCAAUUUACCAUCCGUUCGUCCCCAAAUGGACAUUUCGUGGAGAAAAGCACGAGAAUGGAAUUAGAGAGACAUUACUAAUAGAGUUGCUUAUACUGCACCCUAUUCACUCUCUUGAUAUCCUUAUCGAUCAACCCACAUUCUAUACUCAAUCAUUCAAGUAAGUUUUUCAUAAUACGAACAUGCGAAGCAAAAUAUUUACACACGGAUCACUUAUUCUCCUUUCAACGGACUAAGUCUAAACCUUGAGUUUCACGAAAGCAAGAUAAAGAUGGUUAAAAGAUUCACCUUGAUGAAGACAAACAUUCAAAAACACCUCUUUUUCACUAUUGAAGCUCCAGAGUCCCGAAUUCAAUUCUGAAAAGUGCUUCGAGAUGCUACAUGAAUCAACUAUUCAAAUUUCAACACUAAACAAGUCACACCUAAUUCACCCAACACACAAGCUCUCUCUGAGACUCCUGACUUAGUUUCUAGCCAAGACUACCCUAUGGAUAAUCUAUAUUUGAUCAUAUUUAAGCCACCACACUACUUGCAAGUUACAUAACUUAGAUAUCCGCAUGAACUCAAUCAAGACUAUUAAAUUCAUUCUAUAAAGUUAGCUUCAAUAUUUCAUAAACACUAUUGUUUUCACCUCAAGAUCACCCAUGGUUCAAGCUUAGUAUUUACUACUAUACAGAGAUGACAACAUAACCUCUCACUCAUUACAUAGGCUUAUAACAAUUGGUUAUAAAGAUCCCAAAGAAUUAUACUACAAUACAUUCUCCUUCACAACAUUGUUAAAAUUCAUCUAAUCGUCAUACUUUAAUCACUCAAUAAGUAAUAUCCACCAACUAUCACCCAAGGAAAAAUCAAUCAUGUCAUUUAACAAUGCACUUAUUCUCCCAUUCAGGGUCAUUCUUAAUUAUUUUAUGAGUGUAACUAAGCCAUAUGAUUUUGCAUUGUCACCAUCAUGGGAAUUACUAUCCUCUAAAAGAGUCAUACAUUAACUAACUCUACGGGACAUGUAAGUGCAUAAUUUAGCCACAAGGUCAAGUCAAUAAUAAUUUAUCUUCUCAAGAUUUUUCCUAAUGCACAAAUCCAUAGCUAAAAAUUAUGCCCAAGAAAUCACUAACUCAACAUUUUUCACACGUCAAAUACUUCAUUGUCUAGCCAAAACACCCAAAUAUCACUAAUGCCAAUUUAAGAUAUACAUAGUCAAUCUUAUUUCUACCAAGCAAUAUUUUUAUUACAGGCUUCACUUAACUCUUAAUCACCUCAAGAGUAGUCCCCACACCACUAGCACAUAAGAAAAAACAAACAAAAUAAAUCAAUUACAGGUCAUUAACAGUCUCAUCACCAAUAUCACAUUCCAGACAAGUUAUCGAUCAAAUUUUAUAGGUAUCAACAACCUCUACUAGUUUUUGCCACUUUUAUUUAAAACUCAUUAUUUUACCAAGCAUUAAGAAUCCAUUCACAUAAGGAACACAAAGAUAAUGUCACUUAGCUAGUCCUCACAAGGAACCCAUUAUAAUUUCAAAAAUAGAACUGCACAAAAAUUCUGAAUAUAGUCUCAAUUACCAGACCACACAAGGAUCCUCACAUAAUAUAAAAUAAUCGAACUACACAAGGAUCCAUCCACAUAAUUAACAAGAACCUCUCAUUAAGGAAAACACAUGCCACUUCAAUCUUUUAUUCAUGUCACUUUUUCACCAACUUUUCUUGACAUCAUGUUCUCAUAUCAUCCUCUCAAUUCUCAUACCAUCAAUUUCAUCACUAUAAUAGUACCAAAAAUAAAUAAGCACCAUAGAAUUGCUAGUUUCACAAUAACAAAAAAUUAAAUAAUCGCAUCAUAAUUAUCAACAGAAACAACUUAGUCAAUUUUCAUCACUUAAAUUCAAACAAAAAUAAUUCACAACAAUGACAAAAAUCCAGCAAUACAAAUUUAGUCAAAUAUCAAACACAAGCAACCAAUAAGUUCACAACUGUCACAAGUCUUUACCUAUUAACAAUAACUUUUAGACCUUAUUAACAGAUACUAAUUGAAAUUACCUAGAUUUCUAUUCAAAACUACUAAGAUACCAAUUGCAAUCAACUACAUUCCAAUUGAGCUUUGUUAAGAUACCAAUUAAAAUUAUCUAGAUACCAAUUGGAUUCAAUCCAAUAGUCCAAGAUUAGAAGGCAUGAUGGAGAGAAAGAAAGGAAAAUGACUUCUACAUGCCUCAUAGCCUUUCAAAGAUUGGUUGUGGGGCCCUACACACCAAUCUACAAAACUCUACUUGACAUUUCUCUUAUACUUGUAGGACCGAUGAACCUAACUCUUUGAUACCAAUUGUCACAACCUAGACUAAUGGACUGUGCGGGAACCUAUGCUAUUCUAAGUAGAUAGGAGAACCCUUAUUACCCAACUAAAGAUAUGUGGAAGACUUUUGUUUUGUAAGACCCCGCAAAAUUCUAAGCUUAACUCAUUCCCUUAGAUCUUGAUAAGGGGUCCCAGACUUAGAGAAUUUUAGCUAAGAAUUCAUACUUAGUGUUAUUUUAGCCUUCAAAAGUUAGCAACUCUAUUUUACGGACCUUAUGACCGUAAAGUAUCGAUCUUUAGGUUGAUUCAUGAUUAGGAAUGUCAUUAGGUGUUCUUGGGAAAGUUACGGAUUUUUUGGACUUCAUUUGAAACACCUUUGGAAGCCCAAACCAGUGAAUCAAUGCGAUCUCAAUGCGUUGCAUCGCCUAUCGCAUUGAUGAAUAUUUUUCCCCAGCCCUUAGUACAAUUUCCAAUGAACCGACAUAGAGUCAAUGCGGUGCAUCAGCCAUAGCGUCGACCCCAUUGAUAUGGCGUGUUGAUCUGUACGUUGCUAGGCCAGUUUUUAGUCAUUAAAAAGUCUCAUCCACAGGGGUAUUUGGGUCUUUUUCUCCAUGUUUAUCAGCCCCCAAAACACGAAACUAAACCCUUCUAAGAGAAAAAUUCAUUCAUUCUUCACAAGUUGCUCUCAAGAACAAACCCCAGGAGAUUUAAAUUCAAAUUCAAGACUCAAGAACUUACCAUCAAUCCUUUCAGAAUUCAAUCAUUAAGGUAUGUUAAGUGUUCAUCCAAGGGUUCCUUCCACCUUUGGGGUUCAAGAAACCUUUUUAAACUACAAGUAAAUAGAUAUGAUGAAUUUCAUGAUUUAAUUUGAUUGUGUUCAUGACUAUUAUGUUAAUGGGGCUUCUAGUUCAUGAUUUAUUUGCAAGAUUCAUGUGAAAUUAUUUAUCAUAUGUGUUGUAUCAUGUGGAUUCUUGCUAAAAUCCUUAAAAUUGUGAAAUUGGUAUUUGAAGUUGUGAUGCUCUCCUAUUGUCUAGUAUUAUGUGCAUAUGCUAGGCCCUCCAAGUGUUUGAUGAAUUAUUCAUGUGAGUUGAAUAGUGAAAUCAUACUUUGUUAGCAUGUAUACAAGUUAAUGUCAUGCAAGUGUUUGUCAAAAUUCCCCAAUGAAUGAAUGGUGACCAAGUAAUUAGUUAUCUUGUUUCAAGAUGGUGCUAUGUCUUAUAAUUUAUGCUAUCGAGUCUUGGGGGUAUAUAAUACCCAAAAAUCUAGCUGCUAUCUAGAGCUAUAGUAGUUACGAAAUAGACUCGGUAGUAUCAUGCUCAUUAGUAUAGUAAUCAACUCCAUCCUAAGUCAACAAUCAGUUCAGAAUUCAGUUAGUAAUCAGUUUAGAACCCAGUAAAAUCAGUUUAGUUCAGUUCAGUUGAAUUGUAUGAUCCAUAACAAUUCAGUCCAGCUUAGAGUAGUUUAGAAAUCAGUCCAGUGUCUAUUCAAUUGGAGUAGAAUUCAGCACUAAGUAAACCCAAGGAUGGGGACUCACCUGCCAGUAGGGUGUGAUCCUUAGAAGCAGUCCUUGUAUUCCAGAACUACGUAGCCAGCGUAGUUUGAGACAUCAACCUACCAGUUGAGGAUUGAUGAGGUGUUUUAACCUGCCAGUUGAGGGAACCACCAUUCUCAUUCAUAACACCUGUCAGAUGAGGGUGACUCAACACUUGUCUUUACCCGUGGUACGGUACUGACACCCUUCCAACUAGGGAUACAGGUUGGACCCCAAAUCAUUUUAGAAAAUGGGCAUGUCGGUUAGAUGAUUACCUCCCACAGUCUCAGUUUCAGUUUUAUUUCCAAUCUAAAUAUAGAACUCAGUUCAGUUCUAUAGAAAAUUAGGACUAUCAAACACAGUCACUCAGCUCAGUAUGAAACUCAGCACAGUUCCAUAAAAUUAGGACUGUCAGAAAUAGUCACUCAGAUAAUAGUAUUUCAAUUAUCAGUAAACUCAGAUAUUGGUUAAUCAGUACUCAGAACUCAGUAUUUAGUGUUAUCAUGAUCUCAGUUAUAGUUUAUGUAUUUAUGUAUAUACUCUCAUUCAGUUAUCUUCAUGUUAUUUAGUCAGUUAUUGUUCAGGCAUAGGAACUCAUGCAUAUCAACCUACCUUACUUAGAAUACCAGUACAUUCAAAGUAAUAAUGCAUACCCUUAUUUUAUGCUAUAUUGUCUUAUAUCAUAGGUUCAGACGCACAGGCUCCUGACCGCUUUUAGUAGCCCAAAUUAUUAGCAGCAGUUUUAGUGAUGAGUCCUCAUAGUUUGAGGACAAAGUUCUCAUUUUAGUUGUUAGUAUUCAGUUUGUUUUAGUAGUCGGAGUUAGUUGGGGACUUGUUCUAUCAACUCCAUGUUCAAACGGUAGAGACUUUUCAGACUAGAGUAUUUUCAGACACAUGCUUAGUUUUAGUAGGGAUGUCCAGUAUUUAUUUUAGAUUUGAACCUUAUGGAAUAUUUCCACAUUUAUUUUAGUUAUAUUGUUAUUACAGUAUUACUAUUAUUCAGUGCUCACAGCAGGUACCAUUCAUGGGUUAACUAGUGGUCCUUUGGGGUCGCUAGCACCGUGUAGCAUCUGGGGUACAGACUCGAGGCAUUACAAACUUGGUAUCAAAGCCUAAGGUUCAAUAAAGUCCUAAGAAGUCUAAAAUCCACAUUAAUUAGAGUAUUGUGCAUGAGUGUGUAGCGCGCCACACUUGUGAACAGGAGGUUACAAGAUAUUAUACGAAAAGUUUCCCUUCUUUUAGUAUUCAUGUCGUGCGAGUGAGCAUAAGCUUAAAUUAAACUUUCAUUAUAAUCCUUUCUCCCUUAUGUUUACAGAACAUACCUCCCAAGAAGAAUGGAAGAAGGAAAGGAGAUCAGCCAGCCCCUCAGCACAUCCAGUCAGAUCCUCUAGACGAGCACGUCUUCCAUGCAAAAUUCAGGGCUGCAUUUACUACUCUAACUAAUUCAGUAGCAGCUCAGAAUGAACGUCCAACUGUUGUUCCGGGCAAUCUAGUGGCUAAUACUAUUGCAUCCAGAAUUUAGGACUUUACUCGAAUAAAUCCCCGAUCAUUUAUAGGGUCUAAGUCAGAUAAAGACCUACAGGAAUUCCUUUAUCAGGUACAGAAGGUCACAGAUAUUAUGGGGGUAAUCGCUAGUGAGAGUGCCGAGUUGGCCACAUAUCAGUUGCAGGAUGUGGCUCACUCAUGGUUCAAGUAGUGGAAGGCAGAAAGAUCCGCAGAUGCAGGGCCCGUGGAAUAGAGAAAUUUGCCACUGCUUUUCUUGAUAGGUUCUUCCCACUAGAGUUGAGAGAAGCUAAAGUUCUGGAGUUCAUUAAUCUGAAGCAGGGAAACAUGACAGUGUAACAUUAUUCUCUUAAGUUUACUCAAUUAGCUAGAUAUACCCAUCAUGUGGUAGCAGAUGGUCGAUCAAAAAUUAGUAAGUUUGUGUCAGGUGUGACUAGAAGUAUGGUCAAGGAGUGUAGGAUCGCAAUGUUGAUUAAAGAGAUAGACAUAUCCAGGCUUAUGGUCUAGGAUCAGUAGAUAUAGGAAGCUAAUAAUAGAGAGAAGAAAAGAGAGAAUAAGAGAGUUAGAACAGGUUGCUUCAACUUCGCCCAGCCUAAGUCUGAGGUUAGGAAUCAUUUUUAGUUCCACCCAAAAUCUUCAGUUCCAGCUCCGUCCUCAGCCAGUGCUCCAGUACCAAAAUUCAUAGAUGGCCCCAAGGAUAGGUCUCUAGGUCCUAAACCUCAGGGUAGUGUCAGCAGCACUUGAACCAACCCUUUUUUCCAGAAGUGUGGUAGAAACCACCAGGGUAUCUGCAGAGCUGGUAGCAAUGUGUGUUUCGGGUGAGGCAAGCCAGGUCACAGAGUCAGAGAUUGUCCCCACUCAGGUUUCCAUGGUCAAUAUAGUCGUCCCCCAGCUCAGUCUGUUCGCCUAAAUCAGCAGGGUGCCGCUUCUAGUGCAAUCAGUGGGCAACGCCCAAACAGACUCUAUGCAUUUUAGUCCCAACAGGAUCAGGAAAUUUAUACUAAUGUGAUCAAUGGCAUGUUACAAGUUUUCCAUUUAUAUGUUUAUGCUUUGCUAGAUCUAGGAGCUUCUUUGUCUUUUGUAACUCCAUAUAUAGCUGUUGACUUUGCAGUCAGCCCUAAAAUCCUAGCAGAGCCUUUCUCAGUCUCUACCCCAGUGGGUAAAUCCAUCUUACCCCGAUGGGUAUAAAGGAACUUUCCAAUUAUGGUAUCCCAGAAAGUCACUUCAGCAGACUUAGUAGAAUUAGAGAUGAUCGAUUUUGAUGUUAUUCUAAGCAUAGAUUGGCUUCAUUCGUUUUAUGCCUCAGUUGACUACAAAAAUAAAAUUUGUCCAUUUUUGGUUUCCGAAUGAACCUGUCUUAGAGUGAACAGGUAUUACUUCAGCAAUUAGGGGUCAGCUUGUUUCCUACCUAAGAUCAAGAAAAAUAAUAUCUAAGGGAUGUGCCUACCAUUUUGUUCGACUCUAAGAUUCUAGUUCAGAAACUCCUAUUCCUAAAUCAGUGUCAGUAGCAUGUGAAUUCCCAAAUGUGUUUCCUGAAGAUCUUCCCGAAGUUCCUCCCAAGAGGGAAAUUGACUUCAGAAUCGACCUUCUCCCAGAUACUCAGUCCAUCUCUAUUCCGCCAUACAGAAUGGCUCCAGUAGAACUCAAAGAAUUAAGAAAGCAGUUGAAAGAUCUCCUAGAUAAGGGAUUCAUCAAACCCAGUGUAUCCCCGUGGGGUGCACCAGUUCUAUUCGUGCGUAAGAAAGAUGAUACUCUUAGAAUGUGUAUAGAGUACCGUCAUUUAAAUAAAGUCAUGAUCAAAAACAAGUAUCCACUUCCCAGAAUUGAUGACCUGUAUGACCAACUUUAGGGUGCCAGUUACUUCUCGAAGAUAGACCUCAGAUCAGACAAUCAUCAGCUCAGAGUCAGAGAAUGUGACAUUCCAAAGAUAGCCUUUAGGACUCAGUAUGAUCACUUUGAAUUCUUAGUCAUGUCAUUUGGUCUUACCAAUGCCCCAACAUCUUUCAUGGACUUGCUGAACCAUGUGUUCAAGCAGUACUUGGACAUGUUCAUCAUAGUCUUCAUAGAUGACAUUCUUGUCUACUCCUGCAGUGAGCAUGAUCAUACAAACCAUCUCAGAAUAGUAUUACACACUCUCAGAAACCAUCAGUUGUUCGCCAAAUUUAGCAAGUGCAAAUUUUAGCUAAGAUCAAUAGUUUUCUCGGCCAUAUAAAUUUCGGUGAUGGCAUUAGAGUUGAUCCCCAAAAGACCGAAGCAGUGAGAAACUGGCCCAAACCCAUCUCUCCAUUAAAUAUUAGGAGUUUCUUGGGUUUGGCUGGCUAUUACCGAUGGCUUGUUGAGGGAUUUUAGUCUAUUGCAUCCCCUUUGUACAAAUUGACUCAGAAGAAAGUCAAAUUCCAAUGGUCAGAUUCUUGUGAGAAGAGUUUUCAGGAGUUGAAGACUCAAUUCACUACAGCUCCAGCCUUGACUCUACCAGAUGGUUCAAACAGGUUUGUGGUAUAUUGUGAUGCUUCCUGAGUUUGUUUGGGCUGAGUUUUGAUACAGAGAGGCAAGGUCAUAGACGAUGCCUCUAGACAUCUAAAGCUUCAUGAAAAGAACUAUCCAACUCAUGAUAUUGUGUUAGCAGCCUUGUAUGGGGUGCACGUUGAUGUGUUCACAGACCAUAAGAGCCUGCAGUAUGUGUUCACUCAAAAAGACCUUAACCUCUGACAGCGCCCAAGCGCACACGCAAGUGUGCAUGGUCUUAUCAAGUAGUAAAAUGGCUUCAAGAAAGCCCAAGUAUCGAUCUCUUAGGGACUUGCGUUUGCCGUCUAUCUAAUUCUAGUCUAAAAAUUUGAGAAAAGUUAACAAAUAGAGUUUUAGAAAACUAAAAAGAAACUAAACUAAUACGGAAAAAUAAAGACUUAGGACAAUCAAUAGAUAGAAACGCAGGGUUAAGGAUUACGAACAAUCAUUCUACGUUAUUGAAAUUCAUUCAUUACAUUGCUUAUCGUUGUUGUUGAUUUGUAGGGUUAAUUGCAUGAUCAUAGUUUCCCAACCUCUAAUCCUUUAUCUAAGUUGAACCUUGCAAUUACAUCGUUGAGCGGGGAUGUAAUAGUCCACUUAAGUUCUUUAAAGCUAUCAUCCUACGUGUGAAUCAAGUAAGGCAUCUAACUACAUCCCUGUCCUAGAUACUAAUUCAAAUUCCUUAUUUUUUAAGGAAACAAGAACCAUACUUAAGUACAUCCCUGUUCUAGAUACUAAUUCAAAUUCCUUAUUUUAUAAGAAAACAAGAACCAUACUUUGCUUAUUCCCAUAUUCUCCCUAUUCCCUCUCCCGAGAUCACAAGAUUGACAAUUGAUGUAUUCUAAGGGUAGCUAAUCCUUAAAAUAGUUAAAACAAGAAUAAACAAACAACCAAUAAUGAUAAGAAAAUUAACAAACUUAAUUCAAAACUAAAGUAAUCAUGAUCAUGGACUUAACACUGGAUAGGAGUUUUAGCCUUUAAUGGAGAUAUUCAUCAUCCAAUCCCUUGGAUUGAUUGUACAAACCAUGAAAGAAACUAAAAUAAAAGAAUGAUAAAAACCCUAAAAAGAAGUUGUGUAGCCUCCAAGAUCUUCCAACAAUGUCCAAAAGUAAGUAAAAAAAUGUGAAUAAUGUCCUAUUUAUAGUGGAAGAAAUGGCCCACUCCUUGUUGAACAAGGAAACAGUUUCUGGUCGUCUGUGAACCCAGUGACGCGCCGCGUCGAUUAUAGCGUUUAAUACAUCGAAGAAACACAUCGACAUUGGAUUGGUUCACUGUUUUGGGUGCAUUCUGAAUCCAUUGAUGUGCUUCACGCACCAAUGUUUCUUCUUACGCGCUGACACUCUCCCAAUAGUUUUCAGGUAUCCAAAUUGGCGUUAAGCUAUGUUUUGUUCUUCCGUGAUCCAUUCAAAGCCUUUUUGAGUUGUUUCCAUUUGAUUUGAAGAUUUUAUAUCCUUCAUAUAUCAUCAUUAUCCAUUCACCAAGCAUCCUAUAUCAUUAAAAACCAUAAUUUAGAUCUCAAAACAACACAACAUCCUCAACGAUGAACUAGAAACACGAGCUAAGCAUAGGCUAAAUUCACAUUGAGCUUUAACUUAUUGUUUUGACUCUUUUCUCCAUCCAAUUGACCCUUGAAUAUUAUGACUAAGUUUUUUCACAUAUAAAUAUAUAAUAACAACCUUAGUAGCUCAUUAAAACACAUUAGAACCCAACACAAUAGACUAUAAAAACACCUAGCUCAAGCUAUUUACACUAGUUGACUCGGUUGAACUCUAAAUGCUCAAAUUGAAUCAAAACUCAUGUGAAACCACCACUAAACAUUGUAAAAACAUACUUGGACACAUAAAUGAUCAUUUAUAUCAUUCUCACCCCAUUAAUCGAAUGAAUCAUCCUCAAAACAAGGCUAAGUAGGCUAGAAUAGUAGCGCUAGAAUGCAUAAAUACACCCAACAUCACCACUCCACACUUAAAGCCUUGUUCAUCCUCGAACAAAUCUUAACUAAAAGCAUCAUGAGCAGGAAAGACUCCACACUUCUACUACAAGCAAGAAAUUCAAGCUAGCACUACAAUGACUAUAUGGAAUGCAAGUUUACAAAACUAAGCAUGUUAUACACAAUUGAAAGCUCAAGAAUCCCACUCCAAAACAUCCUAUCCUCAAGAAUUUACUCAAUACAUGGCAAACUCAUGCAUAUUGCUCAAUCAAGGACAUCAUACAAAUCACCCACAUUCAUCAAACUUAUGCCGUCACAACAAGAGUUACCUACAAUCACUCACAAUAAUGCAAUUUAUAACAUAAUGCAUACAAGAAUCAAAUUAUGCUCACUUUCACGAAGAACCAUAGGCUUUCCCUUAGUGUAAUGCUCCACUAAUAGUCGAAUGUAAAACUUAGGAUCAAUUAGGAUUUUUUCGGGUUAUAAUGUAGGCUGAGGGACGGGUAGGAACUAUUUUGUCCAAGAAUAGUGACUAACCUCUCUAAGCGCUAUAAUACACUACAUCAUACAUUUAAAUCAAAUCUCUAACAACCAAAUUACACCAUUUUUGUCUACCAUCUCUUUUAUUUUUUCCCCAUCUCUUUUAAGAACUUUCACAAACACUUGGUGGACGCAUAGUUUACUACCACACGAAUCAAUUUUUCUCUUUUUUCACAACCAUGGUAAUAUUUCUAUAAAUUAUAUCACACUCAUCCACCAAACAUUAAUUAUAAACACCAAUAACUAUUACCUUGGAGCCUUAAUUUUACCUUUUUUUCUUCAAUUUUCAAACUCCUUACUAAUUCAAUUUUUUUUUCAAUUAAAGCACUUAGGAGCUUUUUGGAUCAAAUUAUAGUCUCUCAAAAAAGGAAUUAGGCUACAUAUGAGGCUAUCAAAGAAAAGACUAAAGGCUCAAUGGGGGUUAACUAGGAUAAUGCACAAGGGUAGGAUAAUAAAAGGUAUAAAAAUAAGGCUAUCAAAGAAAUGCCUAUAUCAUCUCCUAAAUUCACAUUCUUUAUUUCUUUUUACACACACCAGGCAAAUUCUAGACAUCAUAUGCAACAAGGAAUAUACAAAAAUUCUCACAUACACAUGGAACAUGCUCAACUCAAUAGGAUCAUCAUAGACUCCCAACCAACAAUAGCAUAAAUUCAAAAUUAAGCCCAAAAAGUACAAGAGUCAUAAACUUGAUUCUAAGAGUCCCAAAAAUAGCAAUUCGCUCAAUUCAACAUGCUUUUACAAACAAACCCACUUGCAUCAUGUAAUCAAAAAUAGAAUUAACAAGAAUAUCUCACUUAUUCCUAACCCUAAAAAAAGUUAAUUGAGCCAAAAUUUGAGAAUCUGCCCACUCCAUACUUAAAAAUCUACUUUGUUCCCAGAGUGAAUUUAAAGGUAAGAGAUAGACAUACUCCCUGAGGCCUCUAGGCCUAGCUAGUAGCAUCUUCACAUAAAAAGGGGAUCCAUGGAACGCCACACUCAAUCUUUACCAUUCUUCGAGCUCAAGUUUAUGGUACUCAAACUUUCCAUUAACCUGUGACUCAACCAUAAAUAAAAACUAUGUGAAAUAAAAACUACAAAAAAACUAAAAAGAAAACAUACCUAAUUAACUUGGGUUACCUCCAAAGAAGCGCCUAAUUUAGUGUCGCGGCACGACCCAAUCAACUUUUUCCUCCACCUUGAGGAUAUAAAUUUCUCCCCCAACAUUGCAUCCAUCUUGUUUCCUCGAUCAUAGGGAGAUGGUACAAAAAUUAAUGAACUAAGUAAUAGAAUGUGCAUGAUAAACCACUCGUCCUUCAAGUGAUGUGUGUUUUUAUAUUGCUUAACCAGUGCAAAAUCAAGAAUAUAGGAUUCUUGUUCCUCAUCUUCACACUCUUCCACUAUUUUAAAUGAUUCCACAGAAAAGACAUCAUCUAAACAUAAUGUAGAAAAGUGCUUUGAGGGAGGCCCAAAAAAUCCUACUUCAAAAUUCACACUAUCCUCAACACCUUCACUUAUAUUGACCUUCUCACUUUUAGUUUCAAGAUAAAGAUGACAAUCGAGUAGCUGCGAUUCUUGUGUUUGCUCCAUAAAUUGGCUAAUAUCCUCCUAAUAUAUUUCUUUACUUAGCCACUAUAGACAUGGUGGCAGUGGUAUCUCCUCUACCUGUUUAACAAUUUUAGUUUUCGAGUACUCAGACUUCCUCUAAUUAUCCACUUCAUAUUGUAAAGGUCCCGUCCACGCACUUCUAUCAAAAUCUGGACAAUAAGCCGCUUGAUGUGGUCCCACACAGAAACAACAAGAAUCGUCAUCACUUGAAAACCAUCUAUCCCAAGCUGCCAUGUCAAGAAGUGUGAUAAAAAGAAAAAUAAAAGAACAUAAAAAGAAACUAAACAAAAAUUAUUUACAACUCAAUAUAGCUAAACUAAAAAUAAGAUAAUUGCCUAAUUACAAGUCCCCGACAACGGUGCCAAAAACUUGACAGCGCCCAAGUGCACACGCAAGUGUACGUGAUCUUAUCAAGUAGUAAAGUGGCUUCAAGAAAGCCCAAGUAUCGAUCUCUCAGGGACUUGUGUUUGCCGCCUAUCUAAUUCUAGUCUAACAAAUUGAGAAAAGUUAACAAAUAGAGUUUUAGAAAAAUAAAAAGAAACUAAACUAAUGCGGAAAAAUAAUGACUUAGGACAAUCAAUGGAUAGAAACCCAGGGUUAAGGCUUACGAACAAUCAUACUAUGUUAUUGAACUUCAUUCAUUAAAUUUCUUAUCAUGGUUGUUGAUUCAUAGGGUUAAUUGCAUGAUCAUUGUUUUCCAACCUCUAAUCCUUUACCUAAGUUGAACCUUACAACUACAUCGUUGAGCGGGGAUGUAAUAGUCCACUUAAGUUCUUUCAAGCUAUCAUCCUACGUGUGAAUCAAGCAAGACAUCUAAGUACAUCCUUAUCCUAGAUACUAAUUCAAAUUUCUUAUUUCAUAAAGAAACAAGAAUCAUACUUUGCUUAUUCAUAUAUUCUAUCUCCCUAUUCCCUCUCCCGAGAUCACAAAAUUGACAAUUGAUGUAUUCUAAGGGUAGCUAAUCCUUAAAAUAGUUAAAACAAGAAUAAACAAACAACCAAUAAUGAUAAGCAAAUUAAAAAACUUAAUUCAAAAUGAAAGUAAUCAUGAUCGAGGCCUUAACCUCGGAUAGGAUUUUUAGCCUUUAAUGGAGAUAUUCAUCAUCCAAUUCCUUGGAUUGAUGAUACAAAUCAUGAAAGAAACUAAAAUAAAAGAAUGAUAAAAACCCUAAAAAGAAGUUGUGUAGCCUCCAAGAUCUUCCAAGGAUGUCCAAAAGUAAGUAAAAAAAUGUGAAUAAUGUCCUAUGUAUAGUGGAAGAAAUAGCCCAUGCCUUGUUGAACAAGGAAACAGUUUCUAGUCGUCUGCGAACCCAGUGAUGCGUCGCGUCGAUUAUAGCAUUGAACACAUUGAUGCGACGCAUCGACUACAUAUUAGUUCACUGUUUUGGGUGCAUUCUAAAUCCAUUGAUGUGUUCCACGCCCCAAGUAACUUUAUCACACGCCCACACUCUCCCAAUACUUUUUAGGUAUCCAAAUAGGCGUCAAGCUGUGUUUUGUGCUUCCGUGAUUCAUUUCAAACUUUUUUGAGUUGUUUCCACUUGAUUUAAAACUUGUAUAUCCUUCAUAAAUCAUCAUUAUCCAUUCACCAAGAAUCCUAUAGAAUUAAACACAACAAUUUAGAGCUCAAAACAACACAACAUCCUCAACGAUGAACUAGAAAUAGGAGCUAAGCAUAGGCUAAAUUCACAUUGAGAUUUAACUUAUUGUUUUGACUCUUUUCUCCAUCCAAUUAACCCUUGAACAUUAUAAAUAAGUUGUUUCACAUAUAAAUACAUAAUAACAACCUUAUUAAAUCAUUAAAAAACAUUAGAACCGAACACAAUAUACUAGAAAAACACCCUGCUUAAGCUAGUUACACUAGUUUUCUCGGUUGAACUCUAAAUGCUCAAAUUGAAUCAAAACUCAUAUAAAACCACCAUUAAACAUUGUAAACACAUACUUGGACAAAUAAAUGCUCAUUUAUAUCAUUCUCACUCCAUUAAUCAUAUGAAUCAUCCUCAAAAUAAGGCUAAAUAGGCUAAUUUAGUAGCGCUAGAAUGCAUAAAUACACCCAACAUCAACUCCAUAAGAGAAGGUGGUUGGAGUUGCUGAAAGACUAUGAUAUGAGUGUUAUAUUUCAUCUGGGAAAGGCCAAUGUAGUGGAUGAUUCUCUCAUUAGGGUGUCUAUGGGUAGUGUUGCUCACGUAGAGGAUGGUAAAAAGAAGUUAGCUCAGGAAGUUCAUCAGCUUGCCUGACUGGGUGUCCUCUUAAUCGAUUCAGUAAAAGGUAGUGUAUGGGUAUAUAGUAGUUCAGAAUUAUAUUUGGUCUCUGAGGUGAAGGAAAAGCAGGAUAGGGAUCCCAGCCUAGUUUAGUUAAAAGAAUCAGUCAAAUAUCAAAAGAUAGAUGUUUUCUCCCAAGGGGGAGAUGGUGUAUUGCAUUGUCAGGGUCGGUUAUGUGUGCCAAGUAUAGAUGACCUGAGAUAGAAGAUUCUUGCAGAAGCGCAUGGUGCGCGUUACUCUAUUCAUCCAGGGACCACUAAGAUGUACCAUACUUUUCUAGAAAUCUAUUGGUGGAGUGGAAUGAAGAGAGAUAUUACAGAUUUUGUAGCUAAGUGCUCAACAUAUCAUAAGGUUAAGAUUGAGCACCAGAAUCCUAGUGGGUCCAUGCAGGAGUUCAGUAUUUCCACUUAGAAGUGGGAAAAAGUGAAUAUGGAUUUUGUGAUUGGUUUGCCUCGUACUCAUCAUCAACACAAUUUAGUUUGGUUCAUUGUAGACAGGAUGACCAAAUCAACUUAUUUUCUACCAGUCCAUACCUUUUACUCAGUCGAGGACUAUGCCGAGCUCUAUAUUAGGGAGUUGGUCAAAUUGCAUAGAGUUUCGUUAUCUAUCAUUUUAGAUAAAGGUACCUAGUUUACCUCUCAUUUCUGGAAAGAAUUUCAGAAAGGUCUUAGUACCUAAGUCUACCUUAGUACAACCUUUCACCCUCAGAUAGAUGGUCAAGCAGAAAGAACCAUUUAGACUUUAGAGGAUAUGCUGCGAGCAUGUGCAAUUGACUUUAGGGGUAGUUGGGAUGACCAUUUUCCACUGAUUGAAUUUUCAUAUAAUAACAGUUACCAUUACGGCAUUCAAAUGGCUCCGUUUAAGGUUCUCUAUGGAAAGAAAUAUAGAUCUUUCAUUGAUUGGUUUGAAGUGGGUGAGGCUGCAGUGAUGGGGCCUGACUUGGUAUUUUAUACCUUAGAAAAAGUUAAGUUGAUCAGGAAAAGGCUUAAGACAGCUCAGAGCCGACAAAAAUCGUAUGCUGAUGUGCGUAGAAAGGGUAUCGAGUUCGAGGUUGGUGACUAUGUGUACUUGAAAAUCUCUUCUAUGAAAAGAGUGAAGAGGUUUGGCAAAAAGGGAAAACUCAGUCCCCGAUAUAUCGGUCCUUACCGAAUUCUCAUCCAUUUUGGAAAGGUAGCUUACGAGCUCGAGUUACCUUCAGACUUAGCUUUAGUGCAUCCAGAGUUCCAUGUCUCCUUGCUAAAGAAAUGCAUAGGUGACCUAGCAGUCGUAGUCCCCAUAGAGGGCAUAGAUAUUCAGAAUAGUCUCUCUUACGAAUAGGUUCCAGUCGAGAUCCUUGAUUAUCAGAUUUGGAGACUGAGGAAUAAAGAAGUCCCUCUAGUCGAAGUUUUUGGUGGAGCCAGUCUGUUGAGGGAGCCACUUGGGAAGCAAAAGCAGAUAUGUGGACCAAGUAUUCUCACUUUUUCUCCAUAAACUCAGACUCAGCCCAAGGUAAUAUUUUUUCCUUGAACUACUCAGUUCCAUGCUCAAAUUUCCCUUUCUAGACUUGGUACCAGUUACCAUUGCAUAUUUAGUUGUGUAUUCAUGCAUCAGAUAUGCGUGUUAAGCAUGAGAAACCCAGCUAGUCAGCAACCCCAAUUAUGCAUUCAUGAAUCAUGUUCAUCUACAUACUCAUGCAUCAAAUAUGCAUGUUCAUUAUGAAAUUUUAGCAUAUCAGUAGUGUCAGUCAUAAAAUCAUGUUACAGUUAUGCAUGUCCAGUAAGCAAGUUCAGUCUAUCAGUAUUCCCAGCCUCGUCAGUCUCAUUCGAGGAUGAAUAUCCCCAAGGGAGAGAUAUUGUAAGACCCCGCAAAAUCCUAAGCUUAACUCAGUUCCUUAAAGCUUGAUAAGGGGUUCUAGACUUAUAGAAUUUCAGCUAAGUAUUCAUACUGUGUGUUAUUUUAGCCUUCGGAAGUUAGCAACUAUUUUUCACGACCCUUAUGACCUUAAAGUAUCGAUCUUUAGGUUGAUUCAUGAUCAAAAAUGUCAUUAGGUAUUCUGGGGGAAGUUACGGAUUCUUCGAACUUCAUUUGAAGCACCUUUAGAAGCACAAUUUAGUGAAUCAAUGCGAUCUCAAUGCAUCACAUCGCCUAUCAUAUUGAUGAAUAUUUUUCCCCAGCUCCCAGUGUAAUUUCUAAUAAACUAAGGUGGAAUCAAUGUGGCGUGUCGGCCAUAACGUCGACCCCAUCGAUGCGGUGUAUCGAUCUGUACUACACUAGGCUAGUUUUCAGUCAUUAAAAAGCCGCAUCAACAGGGGUAUUUGGGUUUUUUUUCAACGUCUAUCAGCCCUUAAAACACAAAAUUAAACCCUUCUAAGAGAAAAAUUCAUUCAUUCUUCACGAGUUUCUCUUAAGAACAAACCUAAGCAGAUUUAAAUUCAAAUUCAAGACUCAAGAACUUACCAUCAAUCCUUUCAGAAUUCAAUCAUUAAGGUAUUUUAAGUGUUCAUCCAAGGGUUCCUUCCACCCUUGGAGUUAUGAAAACCUUUUUAAACUACAAGUAAAUGGAUAUGAUGAAUUUCAUGAUUUAAUUUAAUUGUAUUCAUGACUAUUAUGUUAAUGGGGCUUCUAGUUCAUGAUUUAUUUGCAAGAUUCAUGUAAAAUUAUUUAUCAUGUGUGUUGUAUCAUGUGGAUUCUUGCUAAAAUCCUUAAAAUUAUGAAAUUGGUAUUUGAAGUUGUGAUGCUCUCCUAUUGUCUAGUAUUAUGUGCAUAUGUUAGGCCCUCCAAGUGUAUGAUGAAUUGUUCAUGUGAGUUAAAUAGUGAAAUCAUACCAUGUUAGCAUGUAUACAAAUUAAUGUCAUGCAAGUGUUUGUCAAAAUGCCCCAAUGAAUGAAUGGUGACCAAGUAAUUAGUUAUCAUGUUUAAAGAUGGUGCUAUGUCUUAUAAUUUAUGGUAUCGAGUCCUGGGGGUAACUAAUAAUCGAAAAUCUAUCUUCUACCUAGAGCUAUAGUAGUUACGAAAUAGACUCGGUAGUAUCAUGAUCAGUAGUACUGUAAUCAGCUCCAGUCUCAGUCAGUAAUCAGUUCAGAAUUUAGUCAGUAAUUGUAAUACCCUGAAUCUGGUACUCGGAAUGCUACACGGUGCUCAUGAUCCUGAAGGACUACAAGCUAACCCAUGACUGAUAUCUAUACCUGAACACUGCAUAAUAUACUAUACAAAUACUAUAUAAAGUGUAUCGAUGAAUAUUUAUUGCUAAAUCCAUUGCUACGAAAUAAUUAAUAUAACGACCAAUAUUUCGUUGCUAAACCGUCACUAAAUUUAGGCAUCAAUUUUUUUUGCCAUUAUUUUAUGACGAAAUUAAAAUUCCAUCACUGAUUCAUUGCUAAUAGCAUACAUAAAAAUUGAAUUGCUAUGCAUACAACCAAAUUAAAAGUUCUGUUGCUAAUCCGUCACUAUAUAGUGAAGGAAAGUGGUCUGUCGGUAAAUUUCGUCUCUAAACACAUUUUUUUUGUAAUGAUAUAAGACAUUGAGUUAAUUUAAAACACCAAGAGUUAAUUUAUUAUUUUUUAACAAUUUUAUCCUUUUUAAUAAAUAUUAUUAAAUUUUUAAUACUUAGAUGAUUCAUAAUAAAAUUAGAAGUGAUAUUUAGUAAAAUAACGAUUGAAGCAGCUGAAGGAGACAUGUCAUAAAUGUCUAUUUUUCUUUUUGUAAAUAAAUAUUAUUAUUUUUCUAAUACAUAAAUGACUUAUAAUAAUUAAUUAGGAGUGAUAUAGUAAAAUUACGGUUGAAGAAACAUCAAUUAUGUUUAGAAUAUUUUAAAAUUAAAAAGUAAAUAUUCUGUAAUGCCCCGAGUCUACACCCUGGACGCUACACAGUGCUUACGACCCCGAAGGACCACAAGCUAACCCUUGACCGGUACCUCUCGUGAACACUGACUAGUAAUACUGAAAUAAAUGCAGAAGUUAGGCUGGAGUUGCCGUAAGGUUCAUAACUAAAAGCAAAUACUGAAUACUGACAAAUAAAUACUGAAAACUGGACAUCUGUCUGAAAUAAUUUAGUAUGAAAGCCUCUAAUUGUCUGAACAUGGAGUUGAUAGGACAAGUCUCCAACUAACUCCUACUACUGAAUAUACUAAAUACUAAAAUGAUAACUCUGUCCUUGAACUAUGAGGUUUCACCACUAAAUCUGUUAUUGAUAGUCUGGGCUGCUAAGUACGGUCAGGAGCCUAUGCGUCUGAACCUAUGAUAUAAGACAUCAUAGCGCAAAAGAAAGAGUAUGCAUCAGUACUUUGAAUAUGUUGGUAUGCUAAGUGAGGUAGGCUAAUAUGCAAGGGUUCACAUGCAUGAACAAUAACUGACUGAGUAACAUGAAUAUAACUGACUGAGAGUACAAGUAUAUCUGAAUUGCUGUAAUUACUGAUUAUACAAUACUGCGUGUGAAUCUACUUUACUGUAACUGAGAUCACUGAUAACUGAAUUACUAAUAACUGGGUGACUGUUUCUGACAGUUCUAAUUCUGUGGAACCAAACUUAGUUUCGUACUGAGCUGGGUGAAUGUGUCUGACAGUCCUGAUUCUGUAGAACUGAUCUAAGUUCUAUAUUGAGUCUAAAACUAAAACUAUGGAAAGUAAUCAGCUAACCGACAUGCCCAUCUCUAAAUGGAUUGGGUCCAACCUAUAACCCCAGUUGGAAGAGUGUCAGUACUGUGCCACAGAUAAAAACAAGCUGAAGAGUCACCCUCAUCUAUCAGGUACCCUGAAUGAGAACGGUGGUACCCUCAACUGGCAGGUAAAAAAACCUUAUCAACCCUCAACUGGCAGGUUGAUAUCUUAACUUACGCUGGCUAUGUAGUUUUGUAAUGAAAGGACUGCUUCUAAGGAUCAUACCCUCUACUGGCAGGUGAUUCCCCAUCCUUGGGUUCACUCGGUGUUGAAUCCUACUACCAACUGAAUGACACUGAUUAUUAUACUGAACUGAGCUGGAUUGAGUUUCACCGAGUUCUGUAACUGACUGAGUAUUACUGAGCGUGACGUUACUGAGACUAUUCUGUAACUACUAUAGCUCUAGGUAAACAACUAGAUUUUUUGGGUAUUGAAUACCCCAAGACUUGAUAGCAUUAAAGAUAAAGCAUGAAAUGAUCUUGAAAGCAUAAUACCUCUUUCUUGUUAACAAUGCAUUCAUUUAGACAUUUUGUCAAACACUUGAGAUACAUGAACUUGUACAUUAAUGGGAUCACAAGAGUUUUUUUAAAAAAAAUUGGUGGUCUAUUCAGACCAUUUUAAAUAGGACCACAUGAUAACAUGUCAUGAUUGCACUAUUUAAUUCACAUAGGCAUUCUAGCAAACACUUAGGGAGCAUGAUUAUGUCACGUAAUAAUAGUCAACACAUGAACAUCAUGGAUACAAUAAUCAAUUGUAAUUUUGAGGAUUUAACAUGCAAAUCAUAUAAUUCACCACACAUGCUAUUUUAAUUUCAUGAAACUUGUAGGAAAUCGUGAAUUAAAACCCACAUAAUAUCAUGAACAUGAAUACAAUCAAAUUCAAUAUGAAAUUCAUGAAAGCAAUCAACUUGUAGUUUUAAAAGAGGUUCUUGAACUCCAAAGGUAGAAGAAAACCCAAGGAUGAACACCUAACAUACCUUGGUAAUCAAAUUCGUGAAGAUUGAUGGUUUGUUCUUGAAGCUUGAAUUUAAAAUUGGAUGCUCUAGGGUUUUGUUCUUGAGAGGAAUUGGGAGAAAUAAUGAAUUUUUGCCUUUUGGAUGACUUAAUUACGUGUUUUGGGGAUGAAUAGGGUGGGGGAUUAACCUAAUUGCUCCUCUGGAUGCGGGCUUUUAAAUUACUGAAAACGUGCCCAGCAACGCGCAGACCGACGUGCCAUGUCGAUGGUGUCAACGCGAUGACCGACACGUCGCGUCGAGUUCGCGUUGGCUCACUGGAAUUUGCACUGAGUGCUGGGGAAAAUAUCCAUGACGCGACGCGUCAAGAUUGCGUCGACCCACUGUUUUGGUCACUCAAACACGUAUGCUUCAAACGAGGUUCGAAAAAUUUGAAACUCACCCGAAGUGACCUAUUGACACACCUGAUCAUGAUUCAAUCCAAGGAUUGAGAUCUUAAGGUCAUAAGGGUCGUAAAAUAAGAUUGCCAACUUAUGAAGGCUACAAAUAAUUCUAAGUAUAAACAUUUAGCUGAAAUUUCUAACUCUGGGACUCCUUUUCAUGCUCUAAAGGUCUGAGUUAAGCUAGGAUCUUGCGGGAUCUUACAUAUUCAAAAUUUGAUAUCAAUCAGAUGCUAAAUUGUAAGAAUAUAUGAUAAGUUGGUAUAUAUUUUAAGUUGUUAACUAUUGUAAUUUCAGAUAUUUUUUAUGUAAUUUUCAAAUAAUAUACAUUAUUCUCCUUGUCCAAACUUUUGUGGCAUUAGUGGUCAAUUAUAUUUUCAAAAUAAUUUGAACUUUUUAAUUUUUUUAAAAAUAUUUUCAAAACUUUUGUGGCAUUUCUUCAAAACAAGUUUCUUGAGGCAAGUGAAGUCGAUCGUCUAUUAAAAACAACUUGGCUAUUUCUAAAGUCCGAACACCCACUAUGUUGAUGUUGUUGGCAUGUUAUAGCGGCAAAUAGGACAAUAAUGACUCCUGUUUAACCAGGUUGAAAUGCAAUCUCCAUGAAAACAAAUUCGUUAUUCCUAGAGUCCAAACAUCCACCACGUUGAUGUUGCUGGCGUGUUAUAGCAGCAAAUAGGACAAUAAUGACACCUGUUUAACCUGGUUAUAAUGCAAUCUCCGUGAAACAUAUGCAAACAAGGCAUGCAUGGACACGAUCUUUACCCCAAGUUGUUUAAGACAUAUGACAGAGUCGUCAUUUAAACAUUAAUCCUCAUCAAUCUCUCCAUCCUUUCUAGUUGAUCAUGUCUUAUUAACAGUUACCAUCCCCCAAUUAAAGCGCGAGGGCAUAGCCUCCCAUCCUAAAAGUCUUUCGAUUUUCAAAGUCAUAUCUAUCACAAUCUCCAUGUUUGGCAAUUAACCUUGUUCACCACAUCCUCAACAAGUUUUCGUAUACAUGCAACAUAUCAUUUCAUACCAUCGAUGAAAACGUGGCUCACCACCCCAGUUGUAGACUUUGUUCAACGACAUAUAUUGUAGAACAAGUCAUAUGACAUGUAUUCACAACGCCAUAGUUCGAGAUGAAAUGAUUUAAUGUUAGCUUUAUGAUAAUAAUUAGGCGCAUAUAUGAGUUGUGAAGGGUUAUGAUCAAGUGUUAAAUAGUAUAUACCAAAAGUCACUUUGAGUAACAAGGUGAAAUUGAAGCACUAAAGUUGGUAAGUUGUUACUCCUACAAUUACUAUUUUCGGGUUUGAACCAAAAUUAGUAAAAGGAAAACAAACACAAAAGUAAUAAAUAUUUAGUACUCUCACACCGUUUACUUUUACUUAUCAUGUUUCAUUUUAUGAAAGUCAGUUUGACUAAACUUAACAGCUAAAUUGAGGUAGAUUAAUUUAAUAUUGUAAAUUUUAAAUUUAGAUGUUCGAAAACUAUAUAAAAAAUGUUAUUAAUUGCAAUCCUUCUUGUAUUAAUAUGAUGAAAAAAUAAAUCUUAAAAAGUUGGUCAAAGUUCAUGAAAUUUGACUCUUGAAAAGCCAAAUAUGAGAAGUAAAAAUGAAUGGAUAGAAUAAAAGAAAAACAUUCAAAGCUCAAAAAUUCGAUAAUCCUGACAAAUCACAAUUUCAUCAUCAUUCUUUAGCUAGUGAGGGUUAUUGCUCCUCACAAUCUCCAUAUAAAAGAUGCCUAUUGAAUCAAGAAAAAUGAUUAGUGUCAUCUACAAAAAGAUUAUGUGGCUCGGAGUCUUCAAAAAUAUUGAUAAAUGCGUGUAGAAUCUUUCAAAAUAAUUUUUGUAGAGCAUAUUCAACACUAGUGCGGAAACAUUUUUGAAGAUCACAAAAACGAAGCUCGUCAAACAAAAGACCAAAGUUAUAGAAUAUAUUCUUAAUUAUAUAUAUAUAUCUAAGUUUAAUUUUUUUACUAUUUCUUAAUUAAGUGUUUUGUUCUCUUAAUGGGAUUAAUCAACUUUGAUAUGUAAGAACUAGAUAACUUGACAUUUAAAAAAUAUAGGAGCAUUGAAAAUUAAUUAUAUCGUACCAACAAAGAACAGAAACUGAAAUGAUUUGAAACAAUUUCUACAAGUUUAAUUUUGUUCAUGCACAAUAAGAGUAAUCGAAAAGAAAGUAUAUAUCGUAAGUAGGCCAAGUACUCAAAUUCUCAAAAUAAUAAGGUCUUUACAUCAAAUAAAAGAGUUUGUAAUUUGGCAACAUGAAUAAUGAAUUUAUUUCACAAAUUAUCAAUAUACAAACAACAUACACCAAUGGGAGAGCUUGGAAGGAUUCUGCUCCUCUCCAUUUUCACCAAGUUUCUAUCUUGAUUGGCGACAUAUGACAUAAUUCAAAUUAAAUAGGUAAGAUUUAAUUAUUUUAAAGUAAAUCUCAAACUAUAGUUUAGAUAAUAAAUGCAUUAUAUAUUUAGAUUUAAAAAAUAUUGUGAUCCCACAACCUUAGCAAUGUGUCCUUAAAUAAAGCUACAAAAAGUUUCCUCCUCCUACUUUUUUUUUCCUCGGCAAGAAGUCCAUCUUUUAAUUUCUUUGUAAAUUGAUUUUUUUAUUAUCUAUUUUUUUUGAAACUUUUUCUUUAACAAUUAGCUAUUUUAUUUUCUUUAAAAUAGGUGAAAUAAAGUAGGAGAAAUAACUGGGUCUUCUAUUUUAGAUUAAUUUUUUAUCACUUUUUAUUGGAACUUUUUCUUAAAAAUUAAAUAUUUUAGUUUAUUUAAAAUAGGUGAAAUAAAAUAGGGAGAAAAUUAGUGAAAUAUUCGAUUCUCAUAUUCUAAAUUAUUUUUUUUAUUGCCUUCUUUUCUUAAAAAAUUUUCCUUAACAAUUAUCUAUUUUAUUUUAUUUAAAAUAGGUGAAAUAAAAUAGGGGAACAUAGGUAAAAUAAAAUAGGAGAAAUUAUCAACUCUCCUAUUUUAUUUCACCUAUUUUAAAGAAAAUAAAAUAGCUAGUAAUUAUUAAAGAGAAAGUUUCCAAAAUGCAAUAAAAGGGGUUAAUUUAAGGGAAAAAUUCAGAAAUAGCAACUUUAUAGCCUUAAUUAUAACUUUUAUAGCAACAGUUUCAUAAUUACGAAAAAUAGCAAAUUGUAUUUGUAUUUAAGUAAAAUGUUGCUAUAUAAAUACAUAUACAAAUAUAUAUAUGUAUUACUCAUAAAUACAUAUGCACAACUGAAAAAUACAUAUUCUUCUAUUACUAUGAAGUGAGUAAAAUAUUGCUACUUUUGCUAUAAGUUGUAAUUUUGAAAAAGUGUUGCUAUUUAUUAUAAUUAUAAUCUUAAGAUUGCUAGUUUCUGUCAUUUUUCCUUAAUUUAAAUAGAAAUUUAAAAACGAACAAUGAAAAAAAUUUAGGUAGAAAAGAUAUUUUGUUGCUAUAUUUAUGGACAAAAUAACAUGUUGCUAAGAUUGUGAGAUUACAAUAAUUUUUUAAAUUAAUAUAUAAUAUUAAAUCAUGGUUAGAUAUUUACUUUACAAUAACUAAAUCUAACCCGUUCAACUUUGAACAAUGUCAUGUAUCAUCAAUCAAGGUAGGGACUUGAAAAAACGAAGAGGAUGAAAAGUGGUGCGGGAGUUAGAUCCGAGCUUGGAAUUCGAAACUACUUAUAUUUAACUCACCUUCCUUAGUUACAUCAACUAUAGAAAAAAUAAAUAAACAUGAUUCAUGAAGCUAGGAGUCUAACAUACAUCGUCAACAAAUUUACGUAUCCAACAUAUCCCAUGCGUCUCAUUUGAUGUGUCACACUUUUCUUUUUAAUUCAUUUCGAAAAGAAUGUCACUUUACUAUAAUUAAAACUCAGUUAUUUUUAAAAUUCUCCUUUUGCCCUUACUGAAAUUAAAUAAUUUACACCAAUACAAAUUUCUAAGAAUUCUUUUAGACCUUAAAUUUCAAAAAAAAAAAAAAAAAAUUCUUUAAACACCAUGCCAAUCAAAGAAUAUCGCAUAAAAUAACACAACACCAAAGGAGUAUCAUAUUAUGAUUACAAGGUAUGGGUGAGUAUUGUCACACACCCCCUUGUUUUUCACCGCGUCCAACCCCGCUAGGGAGUUGGUUUUAGAGAAAAAUGGGGUUUUCCAAUUAAAGUGACGUUUUGAAAAGGAAUUACUUUACUUACAGAGUCGCCACUUGGAAUUGAGUUUGGGUGUUCCAAGUCACCUUGUUGAAUCCCUAUUCAAAAGGAAAUGACUCUUCAAUUUUUAUUUUUUUUCGUCUGCGAACUAGAAAUCCGGAUAAGGAAUUCUGUUGACCGAGGGGAAGGUGUUAGGCACCCCUCGAGUCCCGUGGUUCUAGCACGAUCGCUUUAAUGACUUAUGCCUAAAACUAAAACUAUUUUGACAAAUUAUGUUAAGGCCUAAAUUCGUUCAUUUUUAAUGUCUAAUACCUAUCUCUAUCUCUUAUAUUAAGCUAGUAGAAGUUCAUUUUAGGACGAUCUUUGUCGAAGUGCAAUAUUGCAUCCUCGAAUUAUUUUAAACGUCUCAAAAGAUGUGUACGCCGCAUUCUCAAUCGAGACAAAUGUUUUAAACAUGCCUAAAAUUUACUUAACAUUUAAAACAUUGAUUUUUUUUUAUUUUUUAUUUUUUAUUUUUUGUAAACUCUUAAAAAAAAAAUUCUUAUCGAAUAUAACGAGUCUUGAAUAAGUCCCGCAACCCAUUCUAUUUUAUCUCACGUUAAAAACUAAUUUGUGAUUUUAAUAUAAUCUAGAAUUAAAAGCUUUCCAACAAAAAAAACUAAUAGGAGUAUAAAGCAAAUUGAAAAGCAUGGUUCCAUAUCAACUAAAAGAAAAUAGACAUGUGACAAAACCCUUAAUCAUCCAUGUUGAGUAAAUUAAUGUUGCAUGAAACAGUGAUCGAAGCAACUUUAUUAUUAUUUUUUUUUUUUUACAAAACCAAAAAAAUCUCUUACAUUUGCUUAAUGUCAAUCAACUAUAAAACGAAAUCCGAAUUCAUAAUAAACUUACAAGAAAAAUAAAUAAAUAAAAUAAAGCAACAUUGUAUGAACAANNNNNNNNNNNNNNNNNNNNNNNNNNNNNNNNNNNNNNNNNNNNNNNNNNNNNNNNNNNNNNNNNNNNNNNNNNNNNNNNNNNNNNNNNNNNNNNNNNNNNNNNNNNNNNNNNNNNNNNNNNNNNNNNNNNNNNNNNNNNNNNNNNNNNNNNNNNNNNNNNNNNNNNNNNNNNNNNNNNNNNNNNNNNNNNNNNNNNNNNNNNNNNNNNNNNNNNNNNNNNNNNNNNNNNNNNNNNNNNNNNNNNNNNNNNNNNNNNNNNNNNNNNNNNNNNNNNNNNNNNNNNNNNNNNNNNNNNNNNNNNNNNNNNNNNNNNNNNNNNNNNNNNNNNNNNNNNNNNNNNNNNNNNNNNNNNNNNNNNNNNNNNNNNNNNNNNNNNNNNNNNNNNNNNNNNNNNNNNNNNNNNNNNNNNNNNNNNNNNNNNNNNNNNNNNNNNNNNNNNNNNNNNNNNNNNNNNNNNNNNNNNNNNNNNNNNNNNNNNNNNNNNNNNNNNNNNNNNNNNNNNNNNNNNNNNNNNNNNNNNNNNNNNNNNNNNNNNNNNNNNNNNNNNNNNNNNNNNNNNNNNNNNNNNNNNNNNNNNNNNNNNNNNNNNNNNNNNNNNNNNNNNNNNNNNNNNNNNNNNNNNNNNNNNNNNNNNNNNNNNNNNNNNNNNNNNNNNNNNNNNNNNNNNNNNNNNNNNNNNNNNNNNNNNNNNNNNNNNNNNNNNNNNNNNNNNNNNNNNNNNNNNNNNNNNNNNNNNNNNNNNNNNNNNNNNNNNNNNNNNNNNNNNNNNNNNNNNNNNNNNNNNNNNNNNNNNNNNNNNNNNNNNNNNNNNNNNNNNNNNNNNNNNNNNNNNNNNNNNNNNNNNNNNNNNNNNNNNNNNNNNNNNNNNNNNNNNNNNNNNNNNNNNNNNNNNNNNNNNNNNNNNNNNNNNNNNNNNNNNNNNNNNNNNNNNNNNNNNNNNNNNNNNNNNNNNNNNNNNNNNNNNNNNNNNNNNNNNNNNNNNNNNNNNNNNNNNNNNNNNNNNNNNNNNNNNNNNNNNNNNNNNNNNNNNNNNNNNNNNNNNNNNNNNNNNNNNNNNNNNNNNNNNNNNNNNNNNNNNNNNNNNNNNNNNNNNNNNNNNNNNNNNNNNNNNNNNNNNNNNNNNNNNNNNNNNNNNNNNNNNNNNNNNNNNNNNNNNNNNNNNNNNNNNNNNNNNNNNNNNNNNNNNNNNNNNNNNNNNNNNNNNNNNNNNNNNNNNNNNNNNNNNNNNNNNNNNNNNNNNNNNNNNNNNNNNNNNNNNNNNNNNNNNNNNNNNNNNNNNNNNNUUAUUUUUUAUUUUUUUUAAAAAAGAAAUAAAUAAAUAAUAAAAUAAAAACUUAUUUAAAAUGUGACUCUAUUUUUGUAAUUUUCAAAAUUUUUAACAAACUUCAAAAAGUAAGAUAAAUUAAAAAAAAAAUUAAUUGAACAUUGAAAUGAUAAAAAACAUUAGGUUUCGGUCAAAAUUAGGUGUUUAUAGAGUGCCCCUCUUUGCUUGGAAAUUUGAAGGAUUUUCAAGCAAAGAAGUAAACAUGACUAAUUUUGGCCUAACCCUUUAUUCAAUAUUAAUACGUAAAUAAUUGGGAAAGAGGUGUGACCGAGCCCUGGCUUUGGGCAUCCUACAUAUCUCGGGUUAUAAGAGAAUCAGAUCACGUGUAGUUCCAAUGGGUGUAGAAAUGAGUGAAAGAAUUGGAGAAUCGAGUUGAGGUCCCGUCGAGUUUCCGGUUCGUUUCUUCUUUUAUUACAUCAAAAAUAAAACAGGAAACAAAAGUACAAGGUCCUAUCUAUUCUAUUUGUCUUGAUCCUCUUGCUUCCGAUCUUCCUCUUGGAUCUUCAGUUAUUGCCUCACCUUCUUCUAGUGGAUACCUUGAUCUUGAAAUUAAGAUUUGAGACUUGAACUUGAAACUUUAGAUUGAGUCAUUGAUAUUCUACCAAAGAACAGUUCAUAGAAUACUUUGGAUGCUUGUUCUCAUGAUCAGAAGCCGAAAAAAUGUCUCUUGAGAUAUUGGGCCGCUAUGGAUGCAAAGCUGACUCUAACUAUCUUCAAACUGACCAUUCUUCUAUAUUUUAACCGGAGAUGAAAUUCCGUUCUUGGAUAGACCUGUGCUUUGCAGAAAACCUGCAAGCCAUCAAAGAAGACGAAACAAACGAACAAAAUUUUCUGCUCCAGUUUAUACUAAGAAAAUUUUGAAGUUAUUAGAAAAACUAUAAUGUAGUUUAAAAAUAAAUAAACGAAUGGAUAGAAACUUAGGCUAGGAGUGCGAUAAAAUAAGAACCCUAUUCUUAACAACAUGACCAAAGGAGUUAUGCCUAAUGGAUGCAUGAAAAAGAAUUGGGAUUUUUGCUUCUGAAAAUGUGACUAGGGAUUGUCAUGCCAUAUGAAGACAUAAAGAAGAAAAAUAGGAAGGUUUAAUUCCCAAAAUGUCAACUAGGGGAUGGCGCCCUAUGAAGACGAAAUAAGAUGUCGACUAGGGGAUAGUGCCCUAUGAAGACGAGUAAGAUGUCAACUAAGGGAUAGUGCCCUAUGAAGACGAGAUAAGAUGUCAGCUAGGGAAUGGCGCCCUAUGAAGACGAGUAAAAUGUCAACUAGGGGAUGGUGCCCUAUGAAGACGAAUAAGAUGUCAACUAGGGGAUGGCGCCCUAUGAAGACGAAAUAAGAUGUCAACUAGGGGACGGCGCCCUAUGAAGACAAAAUAAGAUGUCAACUAGGGGACGGCGCCCUAUGAAGACGAAAUAAGAUGUCAACUAGGGGAUGGCGCCCUAUGAAGACGAGUAAGAUGUCAACUAGGGGAUGGCGCCCUAUGAAGACGAAAUAAGAUGUCUACUAGGGGAUGGCGCCCUAUGAAGACGAAUAAGAUGUCAACUAGGGGAUGACGCCCUAUGAAGACGAAAUAAGAUGUCCACUAGGGGAUGGUGCCCUAUGAAGACGAAAAAGAUGUCGACUAGGGGAUAGUUCCCUAUGAAGACGAAGUAAGAUUAGGAUUUUUUUUUCUUUUAUUAUUAUUACUUUUUUUAAAAAAAAAAUGCCCCAGUCUUGAAUACGAGGGGUUUUAUUAGUAUUAUAUUGGUACAGACUUAGAAUUAUAGGAGUAUAACAAAGAGAGAAAAUUCAAGAAAACUUAACUUUGCUAUACUUUUUUUCACUAAACUUCACAAGAUUGCUUUGCCCCUGUUCAAGCAAAGAAGAAAAAAAAAUUGUGAGUUUUAGAAUUGGUGGUUGGUUUGUGGCCUUGAAUUCUUUAGAGGUUUUUCUUAUCUCUGCCCCGACUUGAUACAGUUGUUUCAACUAAUUGGUUGACGAGCUUGAUUCUUUGUCUUUCAAAUUCUGUUGCAUCUCUAUUUGUUUCAGUACGAUUCUUCUCUUCCUUUUCAAAUGCUUCACUCGUAACACUUAUCUUAACUGGCUCCCUGUCCUUGUCAAGGUGGUGACCGCCCAACAAUCACUGCUCAAUUUCACUGGGAGCCGUGGUCAAUUUUGCGCGUCUUUCCUUAUUUUGCAUUUGAUGCAAAACUUACGCAUAAAAACAGAGCGUGUAAAAANNNNNNNNNNNNNNNNNNNNNNNNNNNNNNNNNNNNNNNNNNNNNNNNNNNNNNNNNNNNNNNNNNNNNNNNNNNNNNNNNNNNNNNNNNNNNNNNNNNNNNNNNNNNNNNNNNNNNNNNNNNNNNNNNNNNNNNNNNNNNNNNNNNNNNNNNNNNNNNNNNNNNNNNNNNNNNNNNNNNNNNNNNNNNNNNNNNNNNNNNNNNNNNNNNNNNNNNNNNNNNNNNNNNNNNNNNNNNNNNNNNNNNNNNNNNNNNNNNNNNNNNNNNNNNNNNNNNNNNNNNNNNNNNNNNNNNNNNNNNNNNNNNNNNNNNNNNNNNNNNNNNNNNNNNNNNNNNNNNNNNNNNNNNNNNNNNNNNNNNNNNNNNNNNNNNNNNNNNNNNNNNNNNNNNNNNNNNNNNNNNNNNNNNNNNNNNNNNNNNNNNNNNNNNNNNNNNNNNNNNNNNNNNNNNNNNNNNNNNNNNNNNNNNNNNNNNNNNNNNNNNNNNNNNNNNNNNNNNNNNNNNNNNNNNNNNNNNNNNNNNNNNNNNNNNNNNNNNNNNNNNNNNNNNNNNNNNNNNNNNNNNNNNNNNNNNNNNNNNNNNNNNNNNNNNNNNNNNNNNNNNNNNNNNNNNNNNNNNNNNNNNNNNNNNNNNNNNNNNNNNNNNNNNNNNNNNNNNNNNNNNNNNNNNNNNNNNNNNNNNNNNNNNNNNNNNNNNNNNNNNNNNNNNNNNNNNNNNNNNNNNNNNNNNNNNNNNNNNNNNNNNNNNAAAUAGGGCUCGAAGGGUUGACGGGGGAUUGAUGACAUUUAGUAGAACGAUGGCCUUUCGUCAUCUCAACUUGAGAAUGUUAAGCACAAGUGUGUCAAAUAUAAUAUCUUUUGACUGAAUCGGCAUUGAUAGCUUUUUCUGUCAUUUUUCCAUCCAGAUCCGUAAGUUGCAAAGCCCCAUUUGAUAAUACUUGUCUGACUAUGUAUGGACCUUGCCAGUUUGGAGCAAACUUUCCUUUAGCCUCUUCUUGGUGUGGAAGGAUACAUUUUACCACAAGUUGACCGGCCUCGAAUUUUCUAGGACGUACCUUCUUAUUGUAAGCUCGCGCCAUCCUUUUUUGGUAUAAUUGACCGAAGCAAACUGCCGUCAACCUCUUUUCAUCUAUUAAUGAUAAUUGUUCUAGUCUAGACUUGACCCAUUCAGUAUCGUCAAUUUCGGCUUCACUAAUGAUUCGAAGCGAGGGAAUUUCGACUUCUGCGGGUAUUACAGCUUCGGUCCCAUAGACUAGUAAAUAAGGAGUUGCGCCAGUCGAUGUACGGAUAGUUGUGCGAUAUCCUAAAAGAGCAAACGGUAAUUUCUCAUGCCACUGUCGUCGAGAUCCUUGGACCAUUUUCCUAAGAAUCUUUUUAAUAUUCUUGUUUGCUGCUUCAACGGCUCCAUUUGCUUUAGGACGGUAAGGGGUAGAAUGAUGAUGCACGAUCUUGAAUUGCUCACAAACUUCCUUCAUUAGAUGACUAUUGAGAUUGGUUGCGUUGUCUGUGACAAUGGACUUUGGUAUACCAAAACGACAUAUGAUGUUCGUAUGAACAAAAUCCACUACUAUUUUCUUCGUGACUGAUUUGAAAGUAGCAGCUUCUACCCAUUUAGUGAAAUAGUCGAUAGCGACCAGUAUGAAUCGAUGCCCAUUAGAAGCUUUUGGUUCUAUUGGACCGAUUACAUCCAUGCCCCAAGCAACGAAUGGCCAAGGAGAAGACAUAGGGUGCAGCUCUGAAGGUGGCGAGUGGAUCAAAUCACCAUGAAUUUGACACUGAUGACACUUGCGAACAAAGCGAAAGCAAUCUCGCUCCAUAGUUAACCAAUAAUAUCCUGCCCGCAUGAUCUUCUUUGCCAAAACAUAGCCGUUCAUAUGCGAACCGCACACCCCCGAAUGUACCUCAUUCAUGAUUCUUUCAGCUUCCUGAAUAUUAACACAUCUCAACAAGUUCAAGUCUGGGGUUCGUUUGUACAAGAUCUCCCCACUUAAGAAGAAACCAUUAGCAAGUCUCCUAAUGGUUCUUUUUUGAUCUGCUUUGGCGUGUAUUGGAUAUUCUUUUGACUUUAGGAAGCGUUUGAUAUCAUAGUACCAAGGUUCAUUAUCUGGUUCUGCGUCAAUUAUAUUGCAAUAACCAUGUUGAUCUCGUAUCUGUAUCUCUAAUGGGUCGAAAUGCGUAUUUCCUGGGUACGGGAGCAUAGAAGCUAGGGUAGCCAGGGCAUCAGCCAGCUCAUUAUGGGAUCUGGGAAUAUGUCUAAACUCGAUAGACUCAAACCUUUUGCUAAGUUCCUCUAUGAACUGUUUGUAUGGAAUGAGCUUGAUAUCUCUCGUUUCCCAUUCACCUUGAAUUUGUCGAAUGAGUAAUUCGGAAUCUCCCAACACCAUUAGCUUGUGCACAUCCAGAUUUAUUGCCAUAUUUAACCCCAUGAUGCAAGCUUCAUAUUCUGUUGUGUUAUUAGUACAAAAGAAACAGAGUCGUGCCAUGGCGGGAUGAUAAUGCUCGGUUGGGGAGACAAUAACCGCCCCAAUUCCUACUCCUUUGACAUUGACUGCCCCAUCAAAAUAUAAUUUCCAUGCAUUCAUAUCAUCUUGAACUUCUUCCUCAAUUGAAUUUAUCUCUUCAUCAGGAAAGUAAGUUCGCAAAGGCUCAUAAUCAUUGUCAACUGGGUUCUCUGCCAAAUGAUCGGCCAAUGCUUGCGCUUUCAUAGCGGUACGAGUAACGUACACAAUGUCGAAUUCUGUAAGUAAAAUCUGCCACUUCGCCAAUCUGCCUGUGGGCAUAGGUUUUUGAAAAAUAUACUUUAAAGGAUCCAUUCGAGAUAUGAGGUAGGUUGUGUAGGACGAAAGAUAGUGCUUCAACUUCUAAGCAAUCCAAGUUAGGGCGCAACAUGUCUUUUCUAAAAGAGUAUAUUUCACCUCGUAACUUGUGAACUUUUUGCUCAAAUAAUAGAUUGCUUGUUCCUUUUUGCCUGUGACAUCAUGCUGUCCUAAAACACAGCUAAAAGAAUUGUCCAUCACUGACAGAUAUAAAAAUAAAGGCCUACCAGGUUUCGGUGGGACCAACAUAGGAGGAUUUGCCAAAUAUUCUUUUAUCUUAUCGAAUGACUCUUGACAUUCGUCUGUCCAUUGGAUAGCAGCAUCCUUUUUUAGCAAUUUAAAUAAUGGUUCACAUGUAGUGCUGAGCUGAGCGAUGAAUCUGCUUAUAUAAUUCAGCCUUCCAAGAAAACUCAUGACCUCAGUUUUAUUCUUCGGAGGCGGCAAUUCGCGAAUAGAUUUUACCUUGGCGGGGUCCAAUUCAAUGCCUCUGCGGCUAAUUAUGAAACCCAAAAGUUUCCCGGAUGGAACGCCAAAUGCACACUUGGCUGGAUUGAGCUUAAGAUUAUACUUUCGCAAUCUUUCGAAGAAUUUCCUCAAGUCAUAUACAUUAUCGACUCGUGUCUUGGACUUGAUAUUGACAUCAUCAACAUAUACUUCUACUUCUUUGUGCAUUAUGUCAUGAAAAAUAGUGGUCAUAGCUCUCAUGUAUGUAGCUCCCGCAUUCUUUAAACCAAAUGUCAUGACCCUAUAGUAGUAAGUACCCCACGGGGUGGUGAAAGUAGUCUUUUCUGCAUCUAUUUCAUCCAUCAGGAUCUGGUGAUAUCCGGCAUAACAAUCCACGAAAGAUUGGAUCUCAUGUUUAGCACAAUUAUCAACAAGGAUAUGAAUAUUGGGUAGCGGAAAGUUAUCUUUAGGGCUUGCUUUGUUCAAAUCCCUAUAGUCAACACAAACUCUGAUUUUGCCAUCUUUCUUCGGUACGGGAACCACGUUAGCCAACCAUGUGGUGUACUGAGCGACCCUGACCACGUUCGCGUUCAAUUGCUUCAUGAUUUCCUCUUUGAUUUUAUCGCUCACGUCAGUUUUAAACUUUCUUUGCUUUUGCUGGACCGGUGAAAAAUCAGGGUAUGUAGGCAGUUUGUGGACCACCAAAUCCGUGCUUAGACCCGGCGUAUCAUCAUAAGACCAAGCAAAAACAUCCUUAUACUCGAUCAAAAUCUGAACAAUAUCAUUCCUGAUAUUCUGAUCCGCAUGAAUACUUAUUUUUAUUUCUCUAACCUCCUCACCAGUUCCCAAAUUUAUUAUCUCGGUGUCAUUUAAAUUGGGUUUGGGCUUAUCCUCAAAUUGAUCCAAUCCUUUUUUGACUUCCUUAUCAGCUUCACCUUCAUCGUAUUCAUCUACCAUUUGGUUUACUGAUUCGAGAUUAGACAACUUUUUGGGGUCUAAAUGUGAACUCCACGUACAUGCCAUGUUAUUGGAGCCAGUAUUAACAUAACUGAAAUAAGAUAAAAAUAAAAAUUAAAAGAGGGAAGAAAAGAUAAAUUUACUAGAAAACUUGAAUUUCAUUUAGUUGAAUCGGAAAGGAUAGGAGGGUUAACAUGAAAGCAGGGCAACUAAACUAUGUGGACUACAACCCUAAGAAUAGUCCAAAUACAAAAGAAAGAAAAACGAAACAACAAAAUAAACUACCAAGACUCCUUCCUUGUGGGGAGAGGAGUGGCUUCCCAGUUAGUGAGCUUAAUAUUUGGCCCGACGAACUGCACAUCUGCAUGGCUAGGGCCUUCACCCAUCUGAGCCAUGUUUACUUCAUGAAACAUUUCCUUGAGACCUUGACAUAUUUCAUCCACAUCCUUGUUAGAGUAUGGGUAUUGAUUUUCUUCCUUUUGAGCUUUCGUGAAAGAUUGGCUGAUGUGUGGAACCAGACUUGUCAAUUUCCAAUCCUUCUUCUUCUACUCUAUAUUCUGAUCCGCAUGAAUACUUAUUUUUAUUUCUCUAACCUUCUCACCAGUUCCCAAAUUUAUUAUCUCGGUGUCAUUUAAAUUGGGUUUGGGCUUAUCCUCAAAUUGAUCCAAUCCUUUUUUGACUUCCUUAUCGGCUUCACCUUCAUCGUAUUCAUCUACCGUUUGGUUUACUGAUUCGAGAUUAGACAACUUUUUAGGGUCUAAAUGUGAACUCCACGUACAUGCCAUGUUAUUGGAGCCAGUGUUAACAUAACUGAAAUAAGAUAAAAAUAAAAAUUAAAAGAGGGAAGAAAAGAUAAAUUUACUAAAACUUGAAUUUCAUUUAGUUGAAUCGGAAAGGAUAGGAGGGUUAACAUGAAAGCAGAGCAACUAAACUAUGUGGACUACAACCCUGAGAAUAGUCCGAAUACAAAAGAACGAAAAACGAAACAACAAAAUAAACUACCAAGACUCCUUCCUUGUAGGGAGAGGAGUGGCUUCCCAGUUAGUGAGCUUGAUAUUUGGCCCGACGAACUGCACAUCUGCAUGGCUAGGGCCUUCACCCAUCUGAACCAUGUUUACUUCGUGAAAUAUUUCCUUGAGAUCUUGACAUAUUUCAUCUACAUCCUUGUUAGAAUAUGGGUAUUGAUNNNNNNNNNNNNNNNNNNNNNNNNNNNNNNNNNNNNNNNNNNNNNNNNNNNNNNNNNNNNNNNNNNNNNNNNNNNNNNNNNNNNNNNNNNNNNNNNNNNNNNNNNNNNNNNNNNNNNNNNNNNNNNNNNNNNNNNNNNNNNNNNNNNNNNNNNNNNNNNNNNNNNNNNNNNNNNNNNNNNNNNNNNNNNNNNNNNNNNNNNNNNNNNNNNNNNNNNNNNNNNNNNNNNNNNNNNNNNNNNNNNNNNNNNNNNNNNNNNNNNNNNNNNNNNNNNNNNNNNNNNNNNNNNNNNNNNNNNNNNNNNNNNNNNNNNNNNNNNNNNNNNNNNNNNNNNNNNNNNNNNNNNNNNNNNNNNNNNNNNNNNNNNNNNNNNNNNNNNNNNNNNNNNNNNNNNNNNNNNNNNNNNNNNNNNNNNNNNNNNNNNNNNNNNNNNNNNNNNNNNNNNNNNNNNNNNNNNNNNNNNNNNNNNNNNNNNNNNNNNNNNNNNNNNNNNNNNNNNNNNNNNNNNNNNNNNNNNNNNNNNNNNNNNNNNNNNNNNNNNNNNNNNNNNNNNNNNNNNNNNNNNNNNNNNNNNNNNNNNNNNNNNNNNNNNNNNNNNNNNNNNNNNNNNNNNNNNNNNNNNNNNNNNNNNNNNNNNNNNNNNNNNNNNNNNNNNNNNNNNNNNNNNNNNNNNNNNNNNNNNNNNNNNNNNNNNNNNNNNNNNNNNNNNNNNNNNNNNNNNNNNNNNNNNNNNNNNNNNNNNNNNNNNNNNNNNNNNNNNNNNNNNNNNNNNNNNNNNNNNNNNNNNNNNNNNNNNNNNNNNNNNNNNNNNNNNNNNNNNNNNNNNNNNNNNNNNNNNNNNNNNNNNNNNNNNNNNNNNNNNNNNNNNNNNNNNNNNNNNNNNNNNNNNNNNNNNNNNNNNNNNNNNNNNNNNNNNNNNNNNNNNNNNNNNNNNNNNNNNNNNNNNNNNNNNNNNNNNNNNNNNNNNNNNNNNNNNNNNNNNNNNNNNNNNNNNNNNNNNNAAUAGCUCGAAAAAUCUUUCGGAAGUGACAUGUUUUGGUAUCAUGAGUUCUCCUCGAUAAAGGUUCUUUCCCUUUCCAAUAAAGGCCCCUAUUUCCUCCAGCGUGGGAGUAAGCUCAAAGUCAGAGAAUCGGAAUACGUUGUUUGAAGGAUCCCAAAACUGUACCAAAGAUUCUAUCACGUCUCUUUGUGGUUAACAUUCAACAGACUCCUUAAAAAUCCCAAGUGUUUAUAUACCUCUCCCUGUUCAUAAGUCAGUCAUAUUGUANNNNNNNNNNNNNNNNNNNNNNNNNNNNNNNNNNNNNNNNNNNNNNNNNNNNNNNNNNNNNNNNNNNNNNNNNNNNNNNNNNNNNNNNNNNNNNNNNNNNNNNNNNNNNNNNNNNNNNNNNNNNNNNNNNNNNNNNNNNNNNNNNNNNNNNNNNNNNNNNNNNNNNNNNNNNNNNNNNNNNNNNNNNNNNNNNNNNNNNNNNNNNNNNNNNNNNNNNNNNNNNNNNNNNNNNNNNNNNNNNNNNNNNNNNNNNNNNNNNNNNNNNNNNNNNNNNNNNNNNNNNNNNNNNNNNNNNNNNNNNNNNNNNNNNNNNNNNNNNNNNNNNNNNNNNNNNNNNNNNNNNNNNNNNNNNNNNNNNNNNNNNNNNNNNNNNNNNNNNNNNNNNNNNNNNNNNNNNNNNNNNNNNNNNNNNNNNNNNNNNNNNNNNNNNNNNNNNNNNNNNNNNNNNNNNNNNNNNNNNNNNNNNNNNNNNNNNNNNNNNNNNNNNNNNNNNNNNNNNNNNNNNNNNNNNNNNNNNNNNNNNNNNNNNNNNNNNNNNNNNNNNNNNNNNNNNNNNNNNNNNNNNNNNNNNNNNNNNNNNNNNNNNNNNNNNNNNNNNNNNNNNNNNNNNNNNNNNNNNNNNNNNNNNNNNNNNNNNNNNNNNNNNNNNNNNNNNNNNNNNNNNNNNNNNNNNNNNNNNNNNNNNNNNNNNNNNNNNNNNNNNNNNNNNNNNNNNNNNNNNNNNNNNNNNNNNNNNNNNNNNNNNNNNNNNNNNNNNNNNNNNNNNNNNNNNNNNNNNNNNNNNNNNNNNNNNNNNNNNNNNNNNNNNNNNNNNNNNNNNNNNNNNNNNNNNNNNNNNNNNNNNNNNNNNNNNNNNNNNNNNNNNNNNNNNNNNNNNNNNNNNNNNNNNNNNNNNNNNNNNNNNNNNNNNNNNNNNNNNNNNNNNNNNNNNNNNNNNNNNNNNNNNNNNNNNNNNNNNNNNNNNNNNNNNNNNNNNNNNNNNNNNNNNNNNNNNNNNNNNNNNNNNNNNNNNNNNNNNNNNNNNNNNNNNNNNNNNNNNNNNNNNNNNNNNNNNNNNNNNNNNNNNNNNNNNNNNNNNNNNNNNNNNNNNNNNNNNNNNNNNNNNNNNNNNNNNNNNNNNNNNNNNNNNNNNNNNNNNNNNNNNNNNNNNNNNNNNNNNNNNNNNNNNNNNNNNNNNNNNNNNNNNNNNNNNNNNNNNNNNNNNNNNNNNNNNNNNNNNNNNNNNNNNNNNNNNNNNNNNNNNNAUUUAAAAAAUAUUUUUAAAAUAAAAAUAAAUUUUCAAAAAAAGACCGACCACAUGUGGUCGAUUUUAUUAAAAUUAAUAAAAUAAUUUAAAUACAAAAUCGACCACACACGGUCGAUUUUAUUAAAAUUAAUUAAAUAAUUAAAAUAAAAAACCUACCACACGUGGUCGAUUUUAUUAAAAUUAAUUAAUUAAAAUAAAAAUCGACCACAUGUGUCGUUGUUUUUUUUAAAUAAUUUAUUUAAUAAAAUAUUUUAAAAAUAAUUAUAAUAAAUUGACCAUGUAUGGUAAGUUUUUAAAAAAUUUCUAGAAAAUCGACCACAUAUGGUCGAUUUUUGGGGAUUUUUUUUUAAAAAACCGACCCCAUGUGGUCGAUUUAUGUAAAAAUUCCCUAAAAAACAAUUAGAUCUGGUCGGUUUUUGUAAAAUUUUCCAGAAAAUCGACCACACGUGGUCGAUUUUUGUAAUUAUUUUUUUAAAAUAACAGCAUAUAUAUGCUACAUUCCAUUUUUCUGCCAAACCAACGAGCAUACAAUAUAUAUGCUACAUUUCAUACAAACAACCAACAUACAAUACAAGCAUUUAGAAUCAAGUUAUUUACAAAAUUUAUCAAGUAUCUAAAUCCAAACUACAAACAUAAAAAUGUCUAAAAACUACAACUCAUCAUCCUCUUCGUCAUCCGCAUCCUCAACUGCACACAUAGACUUUGAUUCCUUAGCUGUGGUGAUAUCAUCCAGUGGGCUUAGACCUUUUGCAGUCUGAACUGCAUCACCAGGACAAGGAGGAAGAAUCCCUGCAGAUUGAAUAAAAAAGUUGAUCUGCUCCUGCAUCAAUCUCAUUUGUUUUGUUGUUUCCUCCUCCUUCUUCUUCUCCCUCUCAGUCUGUGCAGCAAGGUCUUUAGUGAGUUGAGAAAUCGUAUUCUUUAGUAAAUCAACGGUUUCUCUAUCAACUGGUGAGGGAUAGGAUGUAGGGCCGGACGAAGACCUAACAUUCUCGCUAAAAUAUUUUCUGUGAUACCCGUAGUAUUGGCCUCUAACUGAAGAACCCACAGUUUGUUUCCAUAACUCCUCCUCUACAUCUUUAGGUAUUGUGUCACCCUGACUUUCAGGAGACUGAGUACUACGAUACUCAUUAAGAGCUGCAUAUAUUUGUCUCAUAUUCAAAGUAAAGUUAAAAUUAAUAGUAAAAAAAUAUUAAAAUACUCAUACUUGAAUAAUAUCAAAUUUGAGCAAAAGAUUCAUAAACACAAAAUUUGAUUCUUACAUAGGUAGCUUUUGCAUGAGGCUCAACCCAGACAUCUUCAUCAGUUGGGUUCUUUUUCUUCCUUACAUGGGUCUCCUCAAAUGCCUCAUGUUGUUGUAUCUUCCCACCCAAUUUUUUUGCCUGCAAAUGAUAAAAUUAUUAAUCUUCAAAUAAUUACAAAUUAAAUAGAAACAAAUAACUAAACCGGUAAAAGUUACAUACCAUUUUUUGCUCCAUAGUAAUCCAACUAAUUGCUCCCGCAGUAUGUAGAGAACCACCCUUGGAUGAUGCCUUGGCUUUCUUUCCUUUCUCACUCAAGACUUGAUAUUCUUCGCUACUCCAAUAACGAAGAUAAUCUUGCUACAUGGGUUCGAGUAUAAACCCUGGUCGUGCCCUGUUCAUUUUGACAUAAUCCAACAGACCGUUCAUUCUGACCUAGCUCUUAUAUAAAAAUUCCUUCGUAUAGCACAGUCAUGUGUGUCAUCCCACUAGUAAUAUUUGUACAACAAAAAUAAAAGUAUAAUAUUUAAUUUUUUGUUCUAACAAUGUGUUAAGUAGUCGAUAAGUUAAAUCUUUACCUGAAAUUCUUUACAUUACAUUUCUAUCAAUUUCUGAAACCUUUUGCCAACUGGUCCAAUAGCCGUUGAAGUGCUGAGUAAUGCAUUUAGUCGUAAUUUUUCCAAUUUCAUCAUCGGGUAAAAACCUACAACACAAGAUCAAAUAUUAAUUUAUAGAUCAUAAUAAUAUAGUAAAUGAAAAAUGAAUAAUUUUGUUAUAUUUAGAAAUCUUACGCUACUCCAUAUGAAAUGAUAUACCACCUCCGAUAAACAUCUCUGUCUCCGAGCUGCGAAACAAGUGUUGAUGGAUGCAUUGGCGUGGGCGGAUCUGGAGCACCAGAUGGAGUGCCAACCACUUUUUAAUUAAAUUUUUUAAAUAAAAUCGACCACAAGUGAUCGAUUUUUUUUAAAAAAAAAUUAUUUAAAAACUGAUCACUUGUGGUCAGUUUUAUUUAAAAAUAUAAUUAAAAACUAAGUUUAAAAAUUGACCACAUGUGGUCGAUUUUUAAAAAUUAUUUUAAAUUAUAUUUUUUAAAAGAAAAUCGAUCACAAGUGGUUGGUUUUUUUAAAUUAUUUUCACAUCCAAUUUUUUAAAAUCUAAAAGCGACCACAAGUGGUUGAUUUUUUUUUAUUUUUUUAUUUUUUUAAAAGAAAUAAAUAAAUAAUAAAAUAAAAACUUAUUUAAAAUGUGACUCUAUUUUUGUAAUUUUCAAAAUUUUUAACAAACUUCAAAAAGUAAGAUAAAUUAAAAAAAAAAAAUUAAUUGAACAUUGAAAUGAUAUAAAACAUUAGGUUUGGGUCAAAAUUAGGUGUUUACAAGUAUUAAAAUGCACACCACCACCCCAGUAGUCAAGAUUGAGAAGGCCAUAAAUACCAAUUGUCACUUUGAGUAACAAGGUCAGACUGAUUUAUUUUUUUUACCUAAUUUUCAAACAUAUAAAUUUUAUUUUUAAAAAUUUAAAAAUUUCAUGUCAAAAUUAAAAUAUUAAAAUCUCAAAAUCUGAACUAUACUAUAUAAAUUGAUACAUAGAAAAUAGUAAAAGUAAAACAAACACAAUGUAGUAGUAAAUCGAAUGAAUUUUUUUUAAUAGAAAAUCAAAUAAUUAUAAUGUAUAAUCAAGAUCUCUUUUUCUUUUAUGUAUAUACAUUAUAAUUAUAUUCCAAGUUGAGAAGGUUAAAAAGAGUGUGUUCCAUUAAUUAUAUUCUAGAUUAAUGAAAUAUAAUUACCAAUAUAUUUAUCAUCAAUUGCUACCUGCCAUUUUGGUAAAUACGUUCUUAUACAGUGAAGUAAGUGAAGCAUAAAUUACCAAAAUAUCAUAAUUAGACAGCUUGAAAUAAGUGAAAAAUUACCAUAAUGUUAAAACUCAUUAAUACUUCCUCCUUUUCUAUGUGUCAUCCUUUUCCAUUUAGUCGUCACAAAAAGAGUGUUAUAUUUCCUAAUUUGACAACUAUUUAACGGUAUCAUCCCCAAUUUAUUCUUAUUUAGUCACAUUUAAUAAGAAAAGUCAACUAAAACGUUGCAUUAAUAUUACUUUAGCAAGGUUAAUUUUGUAAACAUAACAAAGUUUUUUCUUAUUUCUUAAACUUUGCCCUGAUUAAAUAAUGUCAAUCAAAAUAAAGUUUUUACAAAAUAAGGUAUUUUCAUGGAACAAAAGAGUUUGUAAUUCAUAACGUGAAUAAUGAAUUUAUACCAUAAAAUAUUGAUGCACAAAAAGAAAAAGAAGACACUAAUGAGUGAGGUUGAAAUUUUAAACUUGCUCAAAACUGUUCUAUUCAACUCACGUUCCUGAUCAAUUACAUCAGAAAUGAAUAAAUCAAUUAAUAAAUACAUAAGGAAACAUGAGUUAGGAGUCUAAUUGAGAAGUCUUCUACGCAGAGGCAAAUCAAGUAACCAUGAAAUAUUUUAAAAUUCUGAAUAAAUUAUUCAACUCUUUACAAUAUUAAUAAAUAGAACUGUUAUAAUACUAUCUAAGGUAAGUAUUACAUACAUAUAAUUAUAUCUCAUAACUUGAAUUUAUUCUUUUUUAUUAUUAUAUAAAAUGGUGUUUGUGUUAUUCAUUACCAAAAAAUGUGAAUGACAUGAAAUUCCACGAGAAAAAAAAUAAAAAUUCCAAGGUAAUUGGAAAGAAAUUUAUUUGCAAUUUAAUUUUAUAGGGGGAAUCAUAUAUGUAAUCGGGGCGCAAUGUCGAUUUAUAAACUUUUUUUUACGUAGAUGUAAAUUUAUAAACUGGCAUAUGUCCUGGUACUUUUAAAUGUAACACUGAUGUUUUAUCGUAAUGUUGGUUCUAUUUUAUAAUCUUGUCGACAGACGAUAAUCUUGCUGUCAGUCGCGUAUGACGGGAAUAAUUAAUGUAGUAGAUGAAUGUUGGUCCUAUUUUAUAAUCUUGUCGCCAGCCGAUAAUCUCGCUGUCAGUCGCGUAUGAUGGGAAUAAUUAAUGCGGUAGAUGAUGGGAAUGAUUAAUGGUGUGAGAGUGAGUAUAGAUGUUGUCAUCAUCAUAAUUAGUGUAAGGGGUGGGUGGGGAGGAGAUAUGUAAUGUUGGUCCUACUUUAUAAUCUUGUCGCCAGUCGAUAAUUUUGCUUCCAGCCGCGUGGUUGUAGUGUCGCCAGCCGAUAAUCUUGCUGCCAGCCGUGUGAUUGUAGUGAUGAUGGGGAAUGAUUAAUGGUGUGAGAGUGUGUCGUCAUCAUAAUUAGUGUAAGGGGUGAAUGGGAAGGAGAGUAAAAAGGGCGAAAAUGAGAGUAGCAAUAGCAAUGCCUGAAAGCGAAUAACGGUUAGCCAUGGCUUAUGUGGUUGUGAUUUUGGGGUAAGCAUCAAUAACAUCAUGAUAUCCAUCUUCUCCACUUCUUGCUUUCUGUACUUCCUUUCUGUAGGUAUUGAAUUGAAGUAAAAGAAAAUUCGGUCUCUCCCGCAUUUUGUACUUAUUUAUUAUUAUUAUUAUUAUUAUUAUUAUUAUUAUUAUUAUUAUUAUUAUUAUUAUAGUACGUCCCUGCUUUCUCUUAGUACCGUUUGAUUUACAAAAAUUCCUUACUUUGUACUACCUCAUGAAUUACAAUCCAUCAAUAAUUCAAUAUUCGCGUCCCUAUUGUUUAUCGUCAAAUAAUAUUUUAUUCAUCCAUUUUAUAUUGUGAUAUAGUAACUAUUUCCAUAAUUUUUUACACAAUUUAAAAUCAACUGACAGACUAUUUAACUAAAAAAAUUUGUUGAUUUUACCGGACCAUUCAUUUUCAUAAUGGAAGAGAUCUACUAAUAACCAGAAGAAUACUCAAUUCAGAUAAAAAUAGAUGCCAACAACGGUACAUUAAAUAACCUACAUCAAGAACUAAAGGUCACAACUUCAAUGGACAAUUCACCAAAUCAAUACACAUAUUACGACAAUUUAUGUAAUCUUAAGCUUCUACAAUCCCAACACAUUUAGGAAUUUAAAGGUAUUGUUGAGAAGAUGUUGGAACCUUGAAGUUUUGAUGAAUGACAAUAUAAAUGAAACAAGUUGAAUUUGAUUCAAACACUUGAUGAUAAGGGAAAUCAAGUUGAGUUGAAAAAGGAGUCCUAUAUGAAGAAGGAGUUUCACUUCUAAGCAUAUCCUUAAGAGACCAAUGUGUGGAACAAGAAAGAUUCUAAAAAUUGAAGAAUUCAAAAGAGUUGGAGUUUUACUACAACACUAAGGAGACAAGAGUUGGAAUUGAAGAAGGAGUCUCACUUGAAGUAGAACUCUAUGCAAUAAGAUACCUAAUUAAAGUAGGAGUUUGAAAUAAAGAAUGACUCUCUGGAGAGUUGUGCUUAAAUAGAAGAUGCAGCAGCCAGAAUAAUUCACGCACUUAAAAGGCAGAAAAGCUCAAUCGACAAAUUGACUUCACGAAGUGCUACUCAAUUACUGAAGAAACACGUUGAAGAACCUGGUCCUCAGUAUAGAAUCCAACUAAGAGUUUUAGCGUUGAUUUUUAGAUUUGUUCAUUGUGUUUGAGCUAUUCAUGUAAUAUUAGUUUCAGUGUGUUAUAAACUGAAUUAGGAACUAAUCUUCGAGUUUGGGAAAACUCAGAGACUUUGGGAACACAUACCUUGGAAGGUGUGUAUGUAGUUAGGAAUUAGAGUUGAUAAUUCCUAGUUAUUGAGUUAUACGGAUUAGAGUUUAUAAUUUCUAGUUGUUGAGUUAUAGGAAUUAGAGUUUAUAAUUCCUAUUUGUUGGUUAGAAGAGUUUUGUAAUCAGUCGUUGUUGAGGCUCAGAGUUUUUUAGUGAAGUUGGGGUUNNNNNNNNNNNNNNNNNNNNNNNNNNNNNNNNNNNNNNNNNNNNNNNNNNNNNNNNNNNNNNNNNNNNNNNNNNNNNNNNNNNNNNNNNNNNNNNNNNNNNNNNNNNNNNNNNNNNNNNNNNNNNNNNNNNNNNNNNNNNNNNNNNNNNNNNNNNNNNNNNNNNNNNNNNNNNNNNNNNNNNNNNNNNNNNNNNNNNNNNNNNNNNNNNNNNNNNNNNNNNNNNNNNNNNNNNNNNNNNNNNNNNNNNNNNNNNNNNNNNNNNNNNNNNNNNNNNNNNNNNNNNNNNNNNNNNNNNNNNNNNNNNNNNNNNNNNNNNNNNNNNNNNNNNNNNNNNNNNNNNNNNNNNNNNNNNNNNNNNNNNNNNNNNNNNNNNNNNNNNNNNNNNNNNNNNNNNNNNNNNNNNNNNNNNNNNNNNNNNNNNNNNNNNNNNNNNNNNNNNNNNNNNNNNNNNNNNNNNNNAAGGAUAAGUCACCAGCAUUAAAGGCGUCUGACAAAGAAGAAUCAGAUAUGGAUGAUAAAAAGCUUGUCAAGAACUUUAAAAAACAAUUUAAGAAAGACAAGUAUCAGAACAAAAAAGGAACAAGUAGAAGGUGUUGUUCCAAUAAUAAGUCUCAAGGUGGUUGCUUCAAGUGUGAGAAGAUAGAUCACAUGAUCAAAGAUUGUCCAGUCUGGGAAAUAGAAUGGAGAAAGAAAAUGGUUGAAAAGGAAUUGAAAGAAAAAAAAACAAAAGAGGGAAGAAUAUACAAUGGUAGCAGCUUGGGGAUUUGACUCAGAUGAUGAUGAAGUUGAUGAAGCAGCACUCAUAGCUCUUGGAGAUUCAGACUUGGAGGAAGAAGAUGAUGCUUCUGAGGUAAGUAUACUUGAACUUAAAGAAAAGUUGCAUUUGUUUUCUAAAACAAAACUUAUUUCAUUGAUGAGUGCACUAAUUGAUGACUUCCAAUAAUCAACUUCUGAUAGGGAUGAGCUAUUCAACAGUCUUGCAAGCAUCAAAUUUAAUUUUAUUGAUUAGAAGCUUGCAAGAACAUUGUCGAACAGGAAAACUACACUCUCAAGAAACAGGUUGAGAAACUUGAUCUUAAGUCUGAAGUUAUAAAAUUGACACUCUCUGAAAAGGAAAAAAAGACCAUGAGUAAAGAUCAAGAAAAUACUGAACUUGAGCUAGUUAGAUACAAACAAGAAUGUCAUGAUCUAACUGAAAAAAUGAAUAAGUUGAGUCAAGAAUUUUCUAGACUAAAACUUGAUCUUGAAAAGGCAAAUAGGUGGACAAACUCCUCAAGAAUUGUUCACAAAUUGGGAGAAAAAAAUUACAGUGAAAAGGCAGGAUUAGGAUUCCACAAAAAUUUUGAUGUUCCUAAAGAUUUAUGUUAUAUUUGUGGUAACCUUGGACAUCCAACCACUGAAUGUUCAGUUGCUGCCAAAAGCAGAUCUAGCAGUCUAAAUCUGGCAAAUAAACUAUCUCAAACCAAGAAAAGGAUAAGUAAACCUGGUCAGAGAAACAGGUCACGUAACCUGUUGUAUGCAUGGGCUAGAAAAAAUCUGAUUCAUCCAUUUACUCAUAAGAAAGGACCCAAGCUUGUCUGGGUGCCUAAAUUUAACCCCUAAUUUGUUUUGCAAGUGAGAGUGAAAGGAGGCAAGCAAAAUUUGUACAUGGAUAAGGCUUGCUCAAGGCAUAAGACUAGAAGAAAAUAAAAUUUCUUUCACUCACCACAUUUAAAGUGGGAAUGGAUCAUUUGAAAGAUGGCCAGAUUUGUAGUGCUCGUGUAAGGGGAAAGCAAGAGAGGUUUAAAAAAAUGAAAAAAGAGGAUGACUAUGAAACUGAUGUGCAUGCACAGAAACAUGUUUUACCACCUGGUUCAACUAUUGUACAGACUGAGGGCAUAUUGACAGGGGGAACAACAAAUCAAGAAAUUGAUGCAUCAAUAAUACCAACAUAAGCUGAUGAUAAUUUUGUUGGUAAUUCAUAAGAAUUGGUGUUGUCACAAGAAUCUUGAGAUAUCUCAUGGAAAUCAAUGGCUUAAGACUGGUAUUUAAAUGAAAGUAAUUUCACUUUUGAGGGCUAUAAAGAUGUUGAUUAUGUAGAUUACUUAAUUGACUGAAAAUGCACCACUAUCACUAAGUAGAUAGCAUUUAAAAAGAAUAGGUUAGACUUGAGGAUGAUUAAAAUUGAAUGAACUUCCCUCAAUGAUUGACUAGAAUAACCAUUUUUCUUUUUGAUCUUAUUAGCUAAAAAGUUAUUCUAUUCAGUCUUGCACAUUUAGCUAUGUGUCCCAAUUCCAGAUUUAUGAUUUUUCUAACCUAAUUUUGUAUUAGAUUGUGCAGAAAAAUAGGUACAAAUAAGUAAUUGUGACCACAAAGUUUUUCUUAUCAGGUAUGUUCUACACUAACAUAAGCAUAGGCUGUCUAAGUUGAAACAGUUAAGCACACCUAUUCAAUUCCAUACAGUUCAGCCUCUCAUUGUCUAAUAAAGCUAAUGAAUUGGUUGACCAAACUUUCUUUGAUUCUCUGCAAAUGGUUGUGCACAAAUGUUUUAAUUCUACACCAGAAAUUCCUUCUUCUCUCUCAACCAAAAUAUCAGUUUUUGGAUCAUGUAUUUGACAAAGUUGAUCAUUAAUCACAUGCAGCAUAUGUUUCUGAAGAAUAAAUAGGGAAUGUUCUUCCUUUUAGUUCCUAAUUGGCUAUUUUUGGGGACUUCUCAGUCCUAGUUUAGGUUUGAUUUAUAUAAAAAAAAAUAAUAGAUGUUCUUGAACAAAUGAAUCAUGUUGCUCUACCUGUUUCAAUAAGGAGGGAUAAUACUCAUUUAAAAAAGGGAGAUGAUUUAGCUAACAAAAAUUUGAACUAGAAGCUGCAUAAAACAGUCAUAAAGUGUAAUAAGAGGUUUGUACGGCGAGGAUCAUGACUUUGAAUCUUGACCUAGAUUGAAGGAGGGAUGAAAAUGUUGAAGACAUUCGCCAAUUGACACAGUUGAUAUCACCUUUUCCACCUUCCUCAUCAGCUCUUCACUAAAUGUAUCCUUAGCCAUGUCCCAUUUUUAUACCGUAUUUUUUUUAUUAAUGCUCAGUUGUUUUUCCCUAUUCAGUACUAUCUUAGGUUUAAUGAGGAACAUGCUCUGACAGUUAAAUGGAAUGGUUAUCUUUGCUAAUUGACUCAUAUUUUUGCUCUUUUUAAUACAUUACUAUGUUGGCUAAAGUCUUUGUCUGAUUAUUUUGGUAAUUACCCCAGUGGCCAUGAAUAGCAUAACAAAUCACUUUGGCUAGUAUAUUAUUGCAUUGAAAUGGUUUUCAAUGAUGCCAAAAGGGGGAAGAUGCAAUGUUUAUAACCCAUUGACUAAUUUAUUUCAUUCUAGUGUUUUAAACUUUAGUGCCAACCGGUGAAAAUGUUUGAAUGCACAAAGUCAAAAGGUUUGUUAUCAUCAAAAAGGGGGAAUUUUUUGGAACCUUGAAGUUUGGAUGAAUGACAAUAUGAAUGAAACAAGUUGAAUUUGAUUCAAUCACUUGAUGAUAAGGGAAAGCAAGUUGAGUUGAAAAAGGAGUCCUAUGUGAAGAAGGAGUUUCACUUCUAAGCAUAUCCUUAAGAGUCCAAUGUGUGGAACGAGAAAGAUUCUAAAAAUUGAAGAAUUCAAAAGAGUUGGAGUUUUACUACAACACUAAGGAGACAAGAGUUGGAAUUGAAGAAGGAGUCUCACUUGAAGUAGAACUCUAUGCAAUGAGAGUUCUAAAUAAAGUCGGAGUUUAAAAUAAAGAAUGACCCUUUGGAGAGUUAUGCUUAAAUAGAAGAUGCAGCAACCAAAAUAAUUCACGCACCUAAAAAAGCAGAAAAGCUCAAUCGAUAGAUUGACUUCACGAAAUGCUACUCAAUCACUGAAGAAACACGUUGAAGAACCUGGUCCUCAGUACAGAAUCCAGCUAAGAGUUUUAGCGUUGAUUUUUAGAGUUGUUCAUUGUGUUUGAGAUAUUCAUAUAAUAUUAGUUUCAGUGUGUUAUAAACUGAAUUAGGAUCUAGUCUUCGAGAUGGGGAAAACUCAGAGACUUUGGGAACACAUAACUUGGGAGGUGUGUGUAGUUAGGAAUUAGAGUUUAUAAUUCCUAGUUAUUGAGUUAUAGGGAUUAGAGUUUAUAAUUCCUAGUUGUUGAGUUAUAAAAAUUAGAGUUUAUAAUUCCUAUUUGUUGGUUACAAGAGUUUUGUAAUCAGUCGUUGUUGAGGCUCACAGUUUUUUAGUGAAGUUGGGGUUAAAUCCUGUAGAGGUGCAGGUCGUGGUUUCUUACACCUUUUGAGUUGGGUGUUUUUCACGUAAAAAUCAUUGUGUUCUUUACUUUCUGUUUACUGCUUCCUUGAAACACGUCAGUGGAACACGUCAGGCAACACGUUCCAUCAAUAAGCAAAAUUUAGGUGAAAAUAAGAAAAUCAGUAGGGCACGAAUUCUUAAUAGUAGACCUUCUAGUGGUGGUAUUAAUCUUAUUGAAGAUUUAAUCCAUUAGAGAAAAGCUCGAUUUUUAUUUAAAAAUUUCUAAUAUGUGGUUAUAUAGUUCUAUUUCUGGAGAAUCUUGGCUACGGACUUACCGAAGAUCUCCAGUAACUCAAGCUAGCAUUAAGCGAGUUGAAGAAGUCUUCGAUUCGGACAGAUAUCAUAGCACCUGGUAAGAGCUUUGGGGUGUCUUGAGUGUGAUCUACCAAAACUUGUAACAAUGUAUAACUAAGCUUAAGUUAAGUCCUUCGCUUUGAUGAUUGACAAACGAACCUUGGGACUAGGUUCAUGUAUAUCCAUACACAGCCAUUUUGAUGAUAAAGUUGCAACUACUCAGGGACCAGAUUGAUCAGGUUUAUGCCUUCUGCAUCAAGUCAGCAUUAGAGCUGAAAAUAGUACUGGUGACAGAAAGUUGGUGGAAAAGUUGCAACAACCUUUUUGCUCCAAUCAAUCAAAAGGAUCCUAGAUUUUCUUGUCUAAUAUAUACAAAAUAUGUUACAAUAAGAAAACCUAAGCUUCCAUAUGCAGAGAACAUCAAAUUUCUCUUGAAACAAAUCUUUCAACCAAAGCCUCACUUACAACAGGGACCUACUCAGUUGUCACUUUUGUCUUAAGCUUGUGUAGUAUUUGAGACUUUGUUUAGUGAUUUAUAAACACUUCACCUACUGCUCUAGUCCAUAAAUUAUUGGUGUCUUCAUUAUUUGUUCUCUUCAUGUGCGUUGAGUCCGCUAGAGUUAGUUGACAAUUGAGGCUACAGUUAGCCAAUGUUUGAUUCAGUUAGAGUUAGCAAUUUCAGAGUUAGCAAUAGAGUUAUUGCUUUGAAGUCUUGUAGUACAGCUAUUGCAAGUUGCUGAGGAUUAAGAGGUUAAUCCUUGAACUAUGGAGUCUGCAUUCAAGACUGGUUGAAGAUAGUGAAGUGGUUGAAAAUCCUACGUGGUAGGUCGUGAUUUUACGUAAAUAUCAUGUAUGCAUUAUUUCUCUUACGCUGCAUUUCCUAUUUACUUUUGUUCAUUACUACAUACGUUGAGUAGGGACCACGUCCCUAAGUUGGUGGGCUAUUUGUACAGUUUUUCAUCUUAGUAGCUCAAAUGAAAAAUAAAUAGUCAGAGACUAAAAGAGAUGGACUCCCAUUCAGGGGCAGAUUUAGGGGUAUAAGCGGGGGUUUCGGGGAACUCAGUAAUUUUCGUAUAAAUGUCGUAUUUUUAUUAAGAAAUUUAGUAAAUAUAUAAGAAUAAUAAGUUGAGAACCCAUAAACAAAGUGUGUUGUUGGUCUAGUGGAAGAGAAGACAUUGCUAAAACUUUGUAAGCUUCUUUGUUAUGGGUUCUAACCCCAUCAAUCACUAUAUUAAAUUUUAAUUUUCUCAUAGAAAUCCAAACUUUAAAUUCUAAAUCCGCUCUCAUUAGCUUACUUUGUCAAAUUUCUCUGUGAAUUUUAGAAAAUCAUCACACCGGGAUUUUACUCUGAUGUGUGACAGAUUUAGCUGCACUUUCCAUUUCUAGUUUUUUUUUUUAGCUUUAGUAUCUUUAUUUUCUUUUCCUUUUGUUUUGUUUCUUUUCUUGGACCUAGUCAUUGUUUGGCUUGGGCCUUUUUGUUUGUACAGCUUUUUGUUUGAUUAAUAAAGGGAAAGGACAAAAAUAGGAUCAAAAACAAAAAUAAUAUCACAAAAAUAGCAUUCAUAAUUAAAUACUCAGUAAAUAGCCACCUGCAAACCUUAACUUAGUCAACCUCUUUUCCCAACAAAAAAAGGUAGUAAAAUAAUACCGAGUACACAUAAUAAAAGGCAAGCGUCAGUACCUCCACUUCCUAUGAUAUACCAAACAUAAAUCUGGUAUUAUCUUUGACCCAUUUUUUAUUUUUUUAAAAGACGUUCCACACCCACAUCAAUCUUUUUUUCUUUUUAUUGCAUGUACCUACCUAUAUGCAAUUCAACUUUUCCUUUUGCAAAGCAAAAUUGUGGAUUUUGCAUGCUAGUUACUUCUCGUUUUUUUCCUUUUUUAAAAAAAAUUGCUAGUUCAUUUUAUUUUUUAAAUUUUGCUGCUUUUUUUUUAUGUUCUAAUUUUUAAAAAAAAAUUGAUAUUUCAUUCUAUUAUAAAAAAAAAUCAUUGCUUUUUUGUGUGUUUUCACUAUUUUUAUACUUUUUUUUUGCAGUUUUUUUUUAAAUCUAUUCCUUUUUAAAAUUAGCAUAACCACAAUUGUUAUACGUUGAAACAUGCAUUAUGUAUAUCUAUGGAAUGAUGACAUUGACUAUCAAAAAAACCAUGUGAAAGCUAGACUAUAAAAAACUUUAUUUGACCAAAACAAAUACAUAGGAUUUUACGGAGCAAAUGAUACAACUCAAACUCAAAAUGAAAAACCUAACUCCAAUUUUCUUCAAUAGAUCAACUGAAAUUCCCCAAAUCCAAAAACCAACCCUCAACAUUAUUGCAAGUUCAAAAGAGGAACUAUAAAUAAAACAAGUCAAACAUCAAGAAGAAAAUAGAUAUACACAUUCUAUACAAUUUUUAACUACAAUUAUUAUUUAGAUACAUAUUUUAUACUACUCUAUAUAGUUUCUACAUGCAUUCUAAAAAUGUAUCAAUCUAGUAUAAGAGAGUAUCAAUUGAGUAUAUGGAGACUGCAAGUGUAUCAAUGUAGUAUAAAAGUGUAUUAAUAUGGUAUAAAAGAGUAUCAAUUGGGUAUAGGGGCUGCAUGUGCUUGCAUAGAAUUUCCUUUAAAUUUUUUUAAAAGUGUAUCAAUAUAGUAUAAAAGUGUAUCAAUUGAGUAUAGAGACUGUAUAUGCCCAAUUGGGCCAAAUAGCUAAAAAGGGAAUUACUUUUGUCGACUGGCUACAGCAUGUCCACCUUUUCAAUUAUGGGCCAUUUUUUUUUAAAAUGGCCAUGCCAUGUCCUUUCCCCAUUAAUAAAUAGCCUUGAGCCACCUUUUAAUUAAGAAAAUUAUUUGCAAAAAUUGUGGAAAAAAAAUAAUUAUUUUAAUCUAUCCAUAUUUAAUUUAUCAUAGUAAUUGUGGAAAAAAAUUAAUUAUUUUAAUCUAUCCAUAUUUAAUUUAUCAUAGUAAUAAUUUUAAUUUCUAACUUAAAAGAGACUCAAAUAAACAUUUUGAAUCAAUCUAUUCUAACAGGAAAAAAAAUCAUCGCCACUAAAAAUUGGCGUCGAAUCCUCUUUUUUCUAAACAUAUACAUAGAGAUAUAUAUAUAUGGACCUAUUCUCCCAUUCAGUUGAACAUUUAGAUAUUUUAUGGUCCUAAUAUACGCAUCUUCAAGAUGGUCUCAUGUGUAUAUUUUAUCAUCUCUCAACCUGGCGUCUACGAAAUUAUUGGCACAAAUAAUAUAAUUAAGGGCACAAUUCUCAAAUUAUCCUAUUAAGAUUAUUCUUCUUGACAAUAUAUAAUGGAGAAUUUAUAUCCCAAGCUUUUUUGAUGAUUAUUGUAUAUCAGUUAGGAUAAGAGUUGAACAUUCUGUCGCUCAUAUUCAUACUCAAAAUGGCCUUACUAAAUCAUUUAUUAAGCGUCUAUAAUUGAUAGCAAGACCACUACUUAUGAAAAUGAAAUUGUCCACUACUUGUUUGAGGUCAUGCUAUCUUGCAUGCAACAUCACUUAUUCGUCUUAGACCAACUCAUUCUAAUAAGUACUCCCCGUCACAAUUGAUCCUCGAUCAUGAGCCAAAUAUUGGUCGUCUAAGAAUUUUUUGAUGUGUUGUAUAUGUAUCAGUUGCACCAUUACAACGCACUAAGAUGGGGCCCAGAGAAGGUUAGGAAUAUAUGUUGAGUUUGAGUCAACAUCCAUAAUUCGCUACCUUGAACCAUUGACAGGAGAUUUAUUUACUGCUCGAUUUGUAGAUUGUUAAUUUGAUUAGACAAAUUUUCUACAAUUAGGAGAAGAGAAACAUGAACUCAAAAGAGAAAUUUCUUGAAAAGUUUCAUCAUUAUCACAUUUUGACCCACGUACUCCGAUAUGUGAACAUAAGGUCCAGAAGAUCAUUCACUUACAGAAACUAGCAAAUCAAAUGCCAGACACAUUUACAAAUUUUAAAAAAAGAUAACUAAGUCACAUAUCCCUGCAGUGAAUGUGCCUGUUUGAAUUAAAGUCUCAAAAGGACUAUCUGUUAACGUCAUAUCUUUUGAAUUUCAAACACAUCUAAAGCCUGGUAGGCCAUUGAGUUUAAAAGAUAAAAAUCCUAGAAAAAGAAGCACAAAAAUGAUAAAGAUAAUAUUAUAAAAAAGUCUCGUGAAGAGACUCAAAAUUUGAUUAACCCUGAUAUUCCUGAAGAAAUUAGUAAAUCCGAGACUCAAGUGAAUGAAAAACUUUCAAUAAAUCCUGCUAGUGAUGAGGUAAAUUUAGAUUGAUAAAAAAUUAUGAUGGAUAAUAUUUUUGCAUAUAAUGUCGCAUUAAAUAUUAUUCAAGACAAUAAGGACUUUGAACCUCUAUCUAUCGAUGAAUGUCGAUGGAGAAAUGAUUGGCCGAAAUGGAAAAAAGUCAAUUCAAUCAGCAUUAAACUCACUUGUAAAACGAAAGAUUUUUUGACCUGUAGUUCAAACCCCUGAUGGUGUAAAAUUAGUCGGUCAUAAAUGGUCUUUGUAUGUAAAAGAAAUGAGAGAACUUGAAUUAUAAGAUACAAAACACGUCUUAUUGCACAAGGAUUCUCUCAAAUAUCCGGUGUCGACUAUGAAGAAACAUAUUCACCUAUUAUGGAUGCGAUAAUAUUUUGAUACCUCAUUGAUCUAGUUGUACAUGAAAAUUUUGAAAUUCAUCUAAUGGAUAUAGUUACAUCUUAUCUUUUUGGCUUACUUGAUAAUAAAAUUUAGAUGGGGAUCCCAGAAGGAUUAAAAAUGCCUGAAGCAUAUCGUUCAGAGUCUCAAAAAUUAUAUUCAAUCAAAUUACAAAGAUCAUUAUAUAAUCUAUAACAAUCAGGACGUAUGUGGUAUAAUCACCUUAGCUAGUGAGUAUUUAAUAAAUAAAGGUGACAUAAAUGAUGUCAUUUGUCCUUGUUUUUUCAUUAAGAAAACGACACUACAAUUUAUGUUGAUGACAUAAAUCUCAUUGGAACUCCAGAAGAGAUCCAAAAGGCCAUUGAAUAUGUAAAGAAAUAAUUUGAGAUGAAAGAUCUUGGAAAGACAAUAUAUUAUCUUGGUCUGCAGAUUAAAUAUUUAGCAGACAGGGUCUUCAUCCACUAAACUGCCUAUACCAAGAAGAUUUUGAAAUGAUUUUAUAUGGACAAAGCAUAUCCAUUAAGUACUCCAAUGAUUGUUUGAUCACUUGAGGUGAGUAAAGGUCCAUUCCGACCUCUAGAAGAGGGUGGAGAGAUUCUUGAUCCCGAAGUACCAUAUCUUAGUGCUAUUGAUGCACUUAUGUAUCUUGCUAACACUACAAGUCCUGAUAAUGAAUUUUCUGUUAAUUUGCUAGCAAGGUAUAGCUAUUCUCCUAUGCGAAGACACUAGAAUAGAUUAAGAAUAUACUGAGAUAUCUAAAAGGAACUAUUGAUAUGAUUCUGUUUUAUACUAAUAAAACUAGUGCAUUUUAUACUAAUAAAACUAGUGCAGAUCAUGUUGGCCAUGCAAAUGUAGGUUAUUUAUUCGACCCACAUAAAGCUCGAUCUCAAACAGUCUAUGUGCUUACAUACGGAGGUACUGCUAUAGCAUGGUGAUCUACAAAGCAGUAUAUUAUUGCUACUUUUUAAAAUCAUGAUGAGAUAAUAGCUAUUCAUGAAGAAAGUAGAGAAUGCAUAUGAUUGAGAUCGGUGAUACAUUUCAUCAAAGAAAGAUGUGGCUAGAAGUGUGAUAUCAAGGUACUCACAGUCCUAUUUGAAAACAAUGCAGCAUUUGUAGCUCAAUUAAAGGGAGACUUUAUAAAGGGAGAUAGAACAAAACACAUUUCUCCAAAGUUAUUCUUUACACAUGAUCUCAAGAAGAAUGGUAAUAUUGAUGUACAACAAAUCCGUUCAAGUGACCAUCCAACAGAUUUGUUUACUGAAUCUUUGUCAACUUCAACUCUUGAGAAAAUAGUACACAAAAUUAGAAUGUAAAGGCUGAACCAUUUGAAUCGGGGUCUUCAGCAGGGAGAGUAAGAAUGCGCACUAUACUCUUUUUUUCUUAAUCAAGAUUUUAUCCGACUAAAUUUUUUGUAACUACCUACUUUUUGAUGAAAUAUGUGAAAUUUGUGAGUUUAUAUGAUUUAACUGUUUUACCCCUCUCAUUAGUUGCAUUAUGAUAUUUAUGGAGUGUGGGGGUGAUUGUCACAGUUUUUGAUGUAUUUGAGUACCGUUUAUUCGAUAUUAUGAUUUUUGAUGGCUUCGAAAACCUUAUUUUAAACUUAUGUGGAUAUCUUUUAAUCCGUGUGAUGGAUGGCUAAAAGGACUGCACCAAAAGCUUCAGAAUAUUUAUUUUAGGCCAACUAGACCUUUGAUUCUGGUCUCGGUGCACCCGAGCUCAUUCGACCUAUUGAUCGAAAGUUAAAAAAUUAGAAAUAUGAAUGUGGGAUCCAUAUUUGAUCGAAAUAAUCUCCGAUGAAAAAUCCAACUUUGCUAGCACAUUCGAAAUGUCGAUUUUAGGAUGGUAACAUAUUUGGUGUGGUUUUACGGCUUUUAAAUUUUAUUUUGACCCCAGGUUUGAAAAAUUAUGAUUUCGGAUUUUGGGGGUCAACUUUAUAAAAACGAUGAUUUUUCAAAAAUCUCAUAUCGCUAUUGAGUUUGGCGCGUCAAAUUUAGGGUGGUUACAUAGUUUGUUGUCAUAUAUCGAACUCCGAACGAAUCCUGAAUACCCCGUCGAAAUUUGGAUUGGACUUUAAAAAAUAGUUUUUUUUCUUCAGCUAGUGCUGAUUUUCCAGCACUAUUAAAGCAGUUUUUGGGUCAUUUUGCUCAUUUUUUUCAUCUUGCCUCUUGAGAUUUAAACCCUAAAAUAGUGUGAGAGCUUAAAAGUGAAGCUUUUGAGAACUUGAAAAACUAUAUUAACAUUCUUGAUUCUAUUACAGAUUUAAGGUAAGAAUUCACCCUUUUCUUAGUAAUUUCUUGAUUAAUUUAUCAAAACCCCAAAAAUCUUAGGGCUCGAUUUUAAACCCUAAUUUCACUCCUUUCUACUUGAAUAAUAUUUUUAUCUUAUAAUUACUAAUUUUUCAUCAAUUUAACCUUCAAAACAACUUUGAUCCUUGAUUUUAAUCUUAAUUUCAAAGAUUUUACCCGGUAAAGCUUAAAAGUAGUUUUUCUUCAAUUUGAUUCUCAUUUUUAACUUGAUUUGACUUGAUUUUUCAACUGUAGGUUCUUAAAAAUAUGGUGAACACAUUUUUAAAGUAAAGUUAUAAUUUUUUCUUCUUUUUCGAAAACUCAUUUCGGGGGUCCAUUUUGACCCCGAACUAAAAGCAGUUAAUAUGGGUGUCGUUGAUUUUAUUUGAUAUGUAGAUUUCAUAGUUGGUCUUUUUAGUGGAGUUUGGGACCGUUUGUGAGGAGUAAGGUUUUGGGAGCAAAGUCUUGAUUGUGGUAUUUCGGCUUUUGAGGUAGGUUAUGGUUUAACUCUUUCAGACAGGGCUAAAUAGUAAAUGAUGGUACACAAUGCAUGUUAAGGAUGGAAACUAAUCAUGAAAAAAUAAUUACCUUUGUGUUGUGCGCGUGUAAUACCCUGAAAAUUCAGACCACUAUUAGAACCAUGCUUCGAACUCAUGAGUAUUAAAUUUUAGUGAUUUGGUAGUUUUAUGAUCAGGUUUGAUGCAUAUUAAGGCCUCAAAUAACUCAUAGCUAAUAGACGAAUCAAAACAUUCCUUACCAAUUGAAUUUUUCAGAAGGAUAUUUCCAUAUUCAACUUCAAAUGAGCAUAUCUCUCAUUAUACUAUAAAUUAUUGAUCUCCUGACCUACCAACAGAUAGAUAAAUGAAUUAUCUUUCCAAUGAUACCAAUUUAUCCUAAAUCUGAUAUCGGAGCAAAGAGUUAUGCCCAUUUUACUCCAACAUGUCUGGUUGGGAAACUGGUGACGACAAUUGUGACAAGCCAUCACGCCCGUGACGGCCUAUCACCAAUGUUGUCAGACCUGGGCAGAUUUUUGACCCUGGUGAUGAUGUUUUGUGACAAACCAUUACGCCUGUGAUGUCCUAUCACCAAUGUCGUCAACCUUAAUCGAAAACUCAAAAUUUCACCCAUUUGUGAUGACAAUUCAUGACGGCCUAUCACCAACUUGACGGCUUGUCACGAAUGUCGUCAGCUAUUAUUCCCAGCAAUUGAGGGGCAUUUUAGUAAGGGUAUUUGGGUUUUUUUCCUUCACUUCCCACGACUUAUAACCCUCAAAGAGCGUAUUAUCUUCCAUUCUCUUUAGUUAAACAUCUCAAAAAGCUCUCUCAUACACUUUCAACCACAAGAUUAGGGUUUUCUCUCAAGAUCAAAACUCUCAAGAACAAACCCUAGGGUUUUCAUAGAAGAAUCUAUUUCAAGGAAAUUUCAUCGUCAAUCUCCACGAAUUCUUAAUCUAAGGUAUGCGUAGUGUUCAUCCAUGGGUCCCUUUCAUCCAUGGAGCUCAAGAAUCAUGUUUUAAAUUAUAAAUUGUGAUUUUCUUGUCGUAUUAUGAUUAUAUUCAUGUUGAUGAUUGUUGUUUGGAUUCAAGGUUGUAUCUUGAUGUAUUUUCAUGAAGCAUGUGAAUAGUUUAGUUGAAACCCAUAAAUUUUGAAUGGAUUAAGAUGGUCGAAUUGGUAAAUAUACCUAAGCCUUAAAAGAGUGCAUGCAAGGUGUUUGAUAAAAUGCCUAAGGAACUAGAAAUCAUACAAUAUAGCUAAAUUGUGACUAAGUGAAGGAUUCAUGAUAUGCCCCCAUGUUCCAAUGAUUUUUAUGUUGAUAUUGUGUCUUGUAAAUGUUGUUGGGAUGUUCAUGAACUAGUCUUAUGAGAUUAUGCCAUGCUUACUUGUAAAUCCUACUUAUCUACAAAAUGUAUGAUAUCCAUACACUUCAUGAAAUUCCCCAAGUUAUGAUAUUAUGGAUUAUUGAUGUUGGUCACGUACUCAAGUCAUGUCAUGUGUGACAGUUACCUUCUAUCGAGUCCUGGGAGUAUUCGUACCCAAAAAAUACAGUUGUGUGCCUAGAGUCAUGUCAUGUUUCACAAUAUUCAAAAUCAAGCCAUGAUUCAGUAGAAUUCAGUCAGUCAGGUGACUCAGGAAGACCUCAUGAUCUCAGUCAGUUAUCAGAUAUCAGUAGUAUUCCGUUAGUCAAUGGAAUUCAGUCAGCUCAGUACAUGUUCAGCCAAUUAUUCAUGUUCAGUCUCUUCAGAUAGAAGUAAAAGUUAGUACCGAGUGAACCCAAGGAUGGGAACACACACUGUCAGAUCAGGGUGUGAUUCUAAGCAGUCAUCCUUGCCUUCCAAAACUAUGUAGCCAGCAUAGGUUGAGACAUCAACACUAUCAGAUUAGGGUUGAUGAGGUGGCUUAGCACUGCCAGAUGAGGGGCCCACCAUUUUCUUUUGGGAACACUAUCAGAUGAGGGUUACCCACAGUUGUCUUUACCAGUGGUGUAGUAUUGACACCCUUUCAGUCAGGGUAGAGAUUGGACCCCAGCUUAGCCAUAAUGACAUAUAUAGGGGCAUGUAGGUUAAACAGCUACCUCCCACAGUUUCAGAAUUAGUCUCAGUAAAAAAACUCAGAUAGUUCUUCAGAUUUUAGUAUAUCAAGACUGUCAGAGACAGUCAGACUCAAUUACAGUACGGAACUCAGAUAGUUCCAUCAGAUUUAGGACUGUCAGAUACAAUCGCCCAUGUUGUCAUAACUACAGUAUCAGUAAUGUUAGUCAUCAGUAAACCAUGUAUUAGCAUAUAGGUCUAGCUAUCAUGCACCCAUGAUUUUAGUUACUAUGUAUACAUGUUUGUACUCUUACGUUCAUAUCAGUCAGUCAGUUAGCAUUGUUCAUGCAUGUAAACCCUAUUUAUAUUUAGCCUACCUCACUCCUAUACUCAGUACAUUCCCAUGUACUGACGCAUUUACGCUAUGGUGCUUUCUUUUUAUAUUAUACUAUAGGUCCAGAGACACGAGAUCCAAAUCAGCAAUAGCAGUAGCAUUUCCAGUCGCAUAGUUACAGUGAGUCCUCUUCAUUCGAGGAUAAUAUGAUUUGAUUAAUUAUUUAUUUCAGUUAGUUUUUAGUUUUACGGAGUUAGUUGGAGACAUAUUCCUUCAACUCCUUAUUCAGACAGUUUAGAGGGUUUCCAGACUAUAGUAUGUCAAACAGUUAUUUCCAAUUUGUUUUGGUAUUAUUAUACCGUUUUCAGAUAUUGUCAUAUCAGAUGUUUAUUCAGAUUUGAACCUUAUGGCCAUUCAGUACAUGCUUCCGCAUUUUCAUGUUAUAUUAUGCAGUAUACAUGUACAAAUAUCAGUCAUGGAUUAGCUUGUGGUCCUUCGGGGUCGUAAAAACCGUGUAGCAUUUUGAUCCAAAAAAUCAAGGCAUUACAGCGCGUGCGGGCCUAUAUGUGAUGUAAUUAUUGAAAUUGAGAUAUUAUGUGAUAUGUGUGACCAUGUGGGGUCCUACGUGAUAUUGAUGGCCUUGAAUACAUAUGAAUAAUUGUAUUACAUUGUUAAAAUGCUUAAUGUGGUACCAUUGGUGUAUUGUGACUAAUUCAUACUUUAUUGGCAUAUGAGACAUGUGAAAAUUUAUGGAUGAAACAAAAAUAAUGAGUGAAUAUUUGCUCACAUGAUUGUGAAAAUAUAUCAUUGUGGUACAUUGUGAAAAUAUAUCAUGUGGUUGGUUGUUAAAAUACUCAUUGUGAUUGGUUGUGAGCAUUACAUCCUCAUGUCAUACUUAUUCAUAAAACAUUGGUACCACCAUGGCAACACCUGAGUAACAUUGGCAACACCUUUUAAAAACCUUUUCUGAGGGUUGUAUGGGGAAGGGGAUAUUGCAACACCUUAUAAAACCUUUUUUGAGGAAUGUGCUAAAAAGGAGAUAUGAUAUAUAUGGAUUGUAUACCGGUUGAUGAACCCCCAAUGGGUCUUGCGUUGAGAGGCAUGCAUCCGUAGGUGUAUACGGGGAUUGUGUGAUUAUUUCGGAGGUUGUGUGACGACCUCGUGCAUCAUCAUCAGAUACAUUGCACUUUAUUGUGUUGUAUUGUCAUAUUGACUUAUCAUCUAUGUAAUUAUCUUAUCUUCUUUUACUUUUGUUUGAUGAUCUUAAAUAUUCAUGUUCCUCCUUGUUCUACUUAUAUAUGAUAUAAUGCAUAUCUGCAUUCUAUCUUGGUGUGAUGUUGCAAUAUAUGUGAUAUAUUAGAACUGUUAGUGCAAGCGGUGUGGACUACUGUUGGGGAACAUUAUCUGAUUGCAGGUGACAUACCCUGAGUGUGUGUUUUGUUUGCCUUAUUUUCUAGUUUUUCCGGUCGGUCUAUUAUGCCUACUGAGUACAAAUGGACCGUAUUCACUCCUACUUCACCCUUUCGGUGUAGCUUCAAUUUUGGGUGCGUCUUUGAAUGGUUGAUUUCGGGCGUCUUCAGAUUAUUCAAGGUAGCGGUUGGACAUUCAUACGUCUGGAGUUCACCUCUAUCUUUCUAUAUUAGUUAUGUCUUUAUUAGUCUUUGGAGAUAGAUAAUUUUUCUUUGUGAUCAUUUUUCUGAUGUAUUUUACUCUUGAAUUGUAAAAUAGUAGUUUUUACACUAUUGACACCUAGUUUUGGGCAUGAUUGAUAUUUUGGAUAAGUUCUUUCCGUAUUGUUAUGAUCACUUAUAUGGUUUGGCUUCAUUUUAGAGGCCUUGCCUUGGCUAUUUCUAUCUUUUCUUUUUUCUUUUUGUAUCAGUUUGGGUGAUAGACUUACUUGUUAUGGUACGACGCCAAAGUGUUAUCAUGACCCUUAUUUUGGAGUUGUAACAUUUUUCUAGUAAGGUUUUUAAUGAGAUAACACUCAAAUGCGUAUUCAAUAAAUUUUUCUUUACAUGGACAUCCAAGGAAGAGUGUUAUGAGACUUAGUAGAUGUCCGUGUGUCCAAUAUUGGCACCAAGUUGCUUACUUCUAGUUAGGCUCAAAGUCAAAUCAUCCCCCACCCUUUGAAUUGGAUAAGUUUUCAUUUUGGCUAUAAAUAGCCAUAUUCAUAUUUAGAAGAUGUGAAUAGAAAAUACUACUCCAUAUUUUCCCUUAUUACAUUGUUAUCUUUUGUUACUUUCUUAGAUAAGUUUAUAAUAUUUUGAACUCAAAUUUUUUUUUUAAAAUUUAACCCAAUGGACAUAAGAAAAUAUGUGUGUGAAUGUUUUCAUCCAUGUCGACACACCCUAUAUUUUUCAUUUUUUUUCUAUUUUUUAUAAUGUUAUUGUAGUUUUACUCUCCUUUUUUAUGAUUUAUCUAUCCCUUUUAGAAAUAUUUAUUCUAAUUAUAUUAAUUUAUAAUAUAUUAAAAAUUAAAGAAUUAAUGGGACUUACACCCCAUUGAUAUGUAUCUAGUUUCAUUUCGGUUUGGUUAUCAUUUUUUCAAUUUUUUUUUAAAAAAGAAAGUGUUGAUUUUGUUUUGUAAUGCAAGAUUGUCUCUUUUUUCCGGAGUUAACUUGUACGCAUUAACAGCGUGAAGAAUCUUUUUAAUGUUUUGAAAAACUUAUUUUCCUAGAGAAGAUAUUUUUAAAAAAAAAUUACCAAUCAACCCCACUCUAAUCUUUUGAGAGAAUGCAAUUCCAACAAAUAUUCAAAUAAUUUCUGCAAAACAAGGUAUUGAUUUGGGGGAUCAAAGAAAUAGAGCUUUGUUCAAAGUUAAUAAUUAAUCAGAAAAGAGAAUUUCACUUAAUAGGAGAAUUGAUCCUAAUACUAAUAGUGCCAAUGUAGCACACUUCACAAAGAAUCACAUUCUCAUAUUUAAGUCCAAAGCAAAUUUAUACUAUUUUAAUUAAUAUUUGUGCAUUAGGAUUAUGCCAAUAUCAAUACUGAAUUUGUCUUAAUUACAAAAGGAACCUCUAAAUCUCUUUGUUCCUCUUUAAGAAUACACUCUCUGUUCUUUCUUUCCUGCCAAAAAUGUCUUCCAGACAACGUCGGUCAUGGGUGGAUCGCGCAUAAUUAGAUGUCCAACAUUGGGCAUUUCAUGGUAGUUGAUCCACGGAAGCCUUUCUGCAAUGUAACGUUGUCAUAUAACAGGUACAAUCCAGUCUUCGUCAUCAUGCCACAAGUGGACCGAGCCUUCACCAUUUGGGAAAGGAUUCGUAAGAUAAAAAUCCCAUUUCCCGAACCCCACCAUCAUGUCACGGUGGGGGGACUCGAAAUCUCCUUGUUUUACAGCAUAUUCCUACAGAUGAAACAAGCAGCAGCAACUUUUGAGCCAACCAUACUCAUCAUAUAAGCAACAGCAUACGGACGUAACGCUUAGUUGUGUAUUAGGAAUCAAUUACACUUACCACACUUUAACUUCCUCUCCUAUAUUGUUCAUCCUAAUAGCAGCAUGCUUUCACAUCCACUCGGAAAAGUUCUUUCUCAAGAAAAUAAAAAGUACCUCAAGCCAAAAUGUUACUUAGAUCACAGGCAAACAAAUACAAAAAAAAAUUGUAACUUGUGUGAUUUUUUCACCCCUAUAGUGGUUAUUCCAACACUUCACCAAAAACAGAAGAAGCAUUUAACUCGAACAGAAAUAAAACUCCAAUUUACUAUGAGCUGGAUCAAAAUUCCAAGCCAUUACAAAUUCUCCCGACAAGUUUAUUACGAGGAUUAAACACAUGCAAGGGGAUCAAGAAGUGACAGUAAUCUAGCAGUAAAUUGUGCAUAUUCAGAUAGGAAACCAAUUACCUUAUCUUGCAUGUUUAGCAAAUCUGGAAGAAACUUCCAUAUCUGGGGGAGACCUAUUGAAUUUUCCAGCUAUAGCACUAUUGUAUGGGAACCACUUUUGAGUGUUCCACCAGUAGACUAGCCAAGGUGCAUAAUGUGCAACUCGAAGUGCCCAUUGGUCCCGUGGGAACUGUAGAUUGUAUCCUUCUGUAGAUAAAUUAGUAGGAAAGCCAAGCCACCAGUAACUGACAACAGGAGCAACAAGAGCUGCUCCAGCUGACCUAUUAGCACCAAAAGAAGAUGCCACAAAUAAUCAAAAGCAGAGAAUACAGGAAUACUAGAAGUUUUGCUGCUGUUUUUGAGAAUAGCGAGGAUCAAAACGAAAAUAGAAUAUACAUUGGUCAGAGGGACAGUGAUUUUAUCAUGUCGUGUAAUACCAAGGACAGGACCUUAUAUAGGAAGAUAUGAGGCCAGGGAUUAAGGUAGAAUGUUAGCAAGUAGUCAAGUAUUGUCUAGUUCCCCUAUCAAUAUUGUUAUUAUUACUCUCUUAGUGUUGCCUAUUGUUGCCUUUGCUUCUAUUAUCGUAAAUUUUGCUGUUGCUACUUUUUCCUUUUUAAUUGUUUUUAACAUGUCUUCCUCAUUACUAUAUUUUUUUACUUGUUUUUUGAUUCCGCUUUGACUGAGUUGAGGGUCUAUCGGAAACAACGUCUUUACUGACAUAGGGUAGGGGUAAGGCUGCAUGCACACUAUCCUCCCUAGAUCUCAUCUGUAAGACUAUACUGGGUAUGUUGAUGUUGUUAAGUUUAUCGCGUACAAAUAUACGUACCGAUAUGUACUUAAGGCAACCCCAAACAGCAUUAUCACCGAUGGAAAACCCCAUAACAUAAAAUUUAGGGCAAAGUCCGAGUUGAUCAGCAAGCUCUUCCAUAUCCAAAGCUGUAGUUUGUAUGGUUCGUUUUGGAUGUGGAUCGCUUUCCCCAUAACCAG
rnacentral:lncRNA from 1 species